rnacentral:lncRNA from 1 species
AGGCUUCUCCAUAGCCAUCCUCCACACCAACUUCAACUCCCUCAAUCCUUCAACCCUAAACCCACACUUCACCUACCAUUCAAUCCCUGUUGGCUUGACAGAAAACGAAGCCUCCAUCAAGGAUCCCACCCUUCGUCUUUCUAUUCUAAAUGCUAAAUGUGUUGAGCCUUUCAGAGAAUGCUUGGCCGGGUUGUUAUCCGACGAUGUUAAUUCGGAGGACCCCAUUGCAUGCUUGAUCUUGGAUCCUAUCUUCGACUUCACUCGAUCGGUUGCAGAGAGCUUUAAGCUGCUGAGGAUCGUGUUAAGGACCGGGGGUGCCGCUUCCUUCACUGUUUAUGCUGCAUUUCCACUUCUCAAGGAAAAGGGUUACCUGAUAAACCUAGUUCGGAAACCCUAAUGAACAACCGGUCCACGUCAGCACCACCAAACCUUCCCGCUGCAAUCUGCAACUGAAAGGAUCAUAACUGUUAAACCACUAGCUGUACACCCUGGACAAAAGGAAUGGUGCACAAGGACACAACAUUCCUUUACAGCUUGUCUACCACAUGGGUUCUGCACUUGUGUUCUGAUUGCUGCAUCGUGGGCAGCAAGGACAUCACUUGCAUUGCAUUUGUUUAUUGCAUGCGUGUCUGUAACAGUGUAUAUAAAUAUAAACUCUGCUGUCCAUUGUAGUUAGUGCAGUGAAAUAAUAAAACAGUUUCGAAUACAAAGUUUUUCAUUACCUACCAAUACCAGGUACAAUCUCAAGCCAACAAAACCCUAUUAUCAAAUGUCUUUUUAUCUCAUCGUUGUUACUAAUAAAUGCAAUAUAAGUAGAUUGAAAACUCACACCGAGACUAAUAACGCGUUUCAAAUUCUUUUUAUACGUAGCACUUUUGUUCUUUGUUCAUAAGAGAUUGUGCAAUAUGUGCGUUUAUUAUAAACAUGUCAUUAUUAAAAACUCAGGUGCUUCUUAGGAAAAAAAACUUCAAAGUGAUUCUUCUUCUUCUUCAUAAAUUACUGUAUAAAUCCAAAAAUGUUUUCUGUUACUAGAAAUCACUUUUAGCACUUCUAGAAGCGAUACUAGAUUGGCACUUAGACAACUCAGAUUUGAGUUAGGCUAGUUAUCCCGGUUAGCAUUUUUAUUCCUUGCUCUACCUCCUCAUAAAUUAGCAUUUGAGGACAUGCAUUAAAAGGCAAAAUAUAUAUACUUACUAGGAACCUUAUAUUUGGCUUUUUAUUUUGACAAUUAGAUUCUCGAUUAGAAGAGCCGGUAACAGAACUUUCACGUAUCAAAGUUAAAGAUCUACCAGUGAUGCCCAAUUGCGACCCUGAAGAUUUCUAUCAACUGAUAACCAACAUGGCAAAUGAACCCAAGGCUUCUCAUGGACUUAUCUUCAAUACUUUUGAAGAUCUUGAAGGACAAGCACUUGCCACACUUCUCCAAGAAUAUUACCCCAAUAUUCCAAUUUUCUCACUAGGUCCAUUUCACAAGUGUGGCCAUACAACCUCUUCUUCUUCAACUAGUUUGUUAGCACAAAAUCAAAGUUGCAUUUCAUGGCUAAACACUCAAGCGCCAAAAUCUGUUGCUUGUGUUAGCUUUGGGAGCAUUGCCAAGAUAGAUCAAGUUCAAUUUUUGGAGGUUGCUUGGGGGUUGGCCAACAGUGGCCAACCUUUUUUGUGGGUGGUUCGACUUGGAUUAGUUCAAGAGUUGGAUUGGUUUGAAGCAUUGCCUAAUGAGUUCCUAGAAGCGUUGAACGAGAGGGCCCAUGUCGUGAAAUGGGCUCCACAAAAAGAAGUGUUGGCCCAUCCAGCAAUCGGAGCCUUUUGGACUCACUGUGGUUGGAAUUCUACGUUGGAGAGCAUUUGUGAUGGUGUGCUUGUACGCCAUGCUUCCGUGAUUAAAUGGUGGAUGCAAGAUUUGUGAAUGAUGUUUGGAAGGUAGGGUUGCAGUUGGAGCAUGGGAUUGAGAGAGGUGAGGUUGAAAGAACAAUUAGAAGACUGAUGGUUGAGAAAGAAGAAGGGCAAGAGAUCAAAGAGAGAGCCUUGAAGUUGAUGGAAAAGGCAAAUCUUUCCCUCAAAGAAGAUGGCUCUUCGUACCAAUCAUUAGAUGGCUUGGUUAAUUAUAUUUUAUCCUUAUAAAUCGUUUGUUUGAAAAUGGUAAUUCAUCAUCUUUAUCAUAUCCUUCGAAUUCUUCCAUUUUUUUCUCUUGCCCGCUUACAAUGGUUCAUUAUCUUUUUCUUUAUACAAAGUACCAUUGAUUAAAAGAUUUAUCUACACUAAUUAAUAAGAGAGUUUUAACGAAACACUCCCGGUACUGUUCACUUUUAACAAAAAAAGACAUUUUACCUUUCCUGUUACUAUUCACUUACAUAUUUAUUUGUCAUUUUUCAUUAAAACUAAAUAGUACAGAGGACUUUUCAUUAGUUUUCCUUACUAAUAAACAUGCUCAAGAGUAAUGUACAUACUAAUAAACAGUAAACCACUGGGCUUAGCAAUCCAAUCCGCCUCCUUUGUAAACAAUCCAAAUCAUAUUGACAUAUGUCAUCUUGUAUUUGAGAUAUAGAUGGAAAUACUUUGUAAUCCAAUGUAUUUAUACGUCGUCAAUGAAUGAAUAUGAGCUAUGCAUGCAUGAAUCACAUUCUGGCAAUAUCUUUCAUAGUUCGAUUUAGAUCUCGAUCUCUUAUUAUUUUUAAUUAUAUAAAUGUUUAAAUCUAUGAUCUAAAUCUCCAAUUAUGUCAUAAAAUAAUGAAUGUCUAUGAUUUUUAAGUAAGCUGACAUAUAGCAAUAUAAAUCAUAAUCUUGAGACGUAGUUGUCAGUAUUAAUAUUGGAUAAUCAAACAUUCCUAUUCGAAAUAAAAAACCAUAGGGUUUUAGUCGGUCCCCUGAGAGCAGAGUGACGGAGUGAGAAUCGGACAAGGUGAUUACGAUGGCUUUCUUAAGUAAAAUUGGGAGCAUACUUAGACUGCAAACAAGCAGAUCAGGUCUGAAGUAUCUCCUUUCAAACUGUCCAUCCAUCAAGCUAUAAGAUGCAUGUCAUCCAUGGGAAGCUCAAAGCUCUUCAUCGGAGGUGUUUCGUACCAGACAGAUGACCAGAGUCUGAGGGAGGCUUUUCAAAAAUACGGUGAAGUUGUAGACGCAAGAAUCAUCAUGGACCGUGAAAGUGGUAGAUCAAGAGGAUUUGGAUUCGUUACUUUCACUUCUAAUGAGGAGGCAGCUAGUGCUCUCGAGGCCUUGGAUGGGCAGGAGCUUCAUGGCCGACGAGUAAGGGUGAAUUAUGCUACCGAAAGGCCUCGCCCCAGCUAUAAUAAUUACGGUGAUGGUCAAAAUAGUUAUGCACCUGGUGGUGGAUUUAGUAACUAUGGACCCGGUGGAGGUGACAGCUAUGGAAGAGGAAACACUGGAUAUGGUCCAGGAAGCUACAACAGUCCUAGCAAUUAUCCAAGUGCAAACACUUACGAUGCUCCCAGUGGAAGUAGCAACAAUUUUGGUGUUGGUAGUGGUGAUAACUUCGGUGUUGGUGGUGACAACAGCUUUGGCACUCCUGAUGCUCCAUUUGGAGAGAACAAACCUGGCUUUGGCCUGGAUGAUUCAUUGGAAGCAAACGAUAAGGACGAUGAUGACGCGGGUGACUUCGCCAAGAGGGCCUGAUUAUAAUUAUUAGAUUUCAGGGGCCAAACUUAGUUUGCUUCUCCGGCAGUGCUACAAGUAGAUUGUUUUCUGCUUAUGUUACAGCCAUCUAAUCUUCCCUUCCUCCUCUCUCUGAACUAUUUUAUUUCAUUUUAUGUCGUAUUUGCCUGUCACAAUCUUCAUGCACUUUUUGUGUGCGCUUUGUUAAAAAAAAAAAAAAAAAAAAAAAGGUUUUUUAAUCAAAGUGGUACUAGAUAUUGGCAUCUCCUCUCAGAUUUAAAAUCUAUAAAACUGAUUCCUGAGUUUGUCUACCGUCAAUCAUUUUGGUCAUUCUGUGACAAAUCUCCGUUAAAUAAGAUAAAAUAACAAAAGUAUCCUCAAAUUUUGUCAAAUCACUUUGGUCCAUUGUUUAUUAAAUUGAGAGUAAUUUUGUCAUUUUCAUCUUUAUUUAACAAAUUUUUCUUCCAAAAUGAUCAGAAUGAUGGACGGUGGACAAAGCCAAGAACAUGUUCUAUCAAUUUUAAAUUUCAAAGAACAAAGUAAAAAAGAUAUGUAAAUCUCAAAACUACUUUAGCUAAAAUGCCUAAAUUAAAUUGCAGUCCUUGUUACAAAGUCAACAACACGAGUCUUUUUUUCUUUUUCUUACUUUUCGUGAAACAUGUGGCCUGGUGUAAAAUAAUAAUAGGAAUUUCAUUAGCUGACAAGUCAUACAAAACUAAGCAGACUUUUCCAAAAAAAAAAAAAAAAAAAAAAACUAAGCAGACACGAACAUUCCCGCUUCAACUCCCUCAACCCUCAACCCUAAACCCAAACUUUACACACCAUUCAAUCCCUGUUGACUUAUCCGAAACCGAGGUGACCAUGAAGGAUGCCAACGUUAUUCUUUCUUGUCUCAAUGCUAGAUGUGUCGAGCCUUUCAAAGAAUGUCUGGCCAGAUUGUUGUCAGAUGACUGUAAUUCAGAGCACCCGGUUGCUUGCUUGAUCUCCGACACUUACUUUCACUUCACUCGAUCCCUUGCGGAAAGCUUUAAGCUUCCAAGGAUCAUGUUAGAGACCGUAUGUUUCACUACCUUGGUUGUUUAAGCUGCGUUUCCUAUUCUCAAAGAAAAAGGAUACUUUCCAAUACAAGGUACAUCAGAUAUAUGCUUAUUUCUUUCUAUGUUGGUUACAGGAAAAUAGCUCUACACUGUUAUCAGUGGCACAUGAUAAGGUUGGUAGAAGUUUAAGGCAUUGAUACUUGUUCCUACUGAUUAUUCCACACAGAUAGUGCUUUUAGUUUUACCGGAAUAAUUAAUCCGACAAAGCCUAAUAUUACAAAGUGCCUUUUUACUCAUCAUUGUUUCAUAAUGUUACUUAUUCACAUGUUAUAAGCAUAAGCGAAUGUACAAAUACUUGAACAACUUACAUUUUCUAUUAUCUUGGCAAUUAUUGGAUUCUCGACUAGAAGAGCUAGUGACAUAAUUGUCACCUAUCAAAGUUAAAAGACCUGCCAACGAGUCCCAAUUGCGAUCCUGUGGCGAUCUCCAACUGAAGGGUCCCAGAGGGCUAGAGGGCUCGUGGGCCCCACAUAAUCUUAAAGGGCCAAAGGGCUGGCCACAUGCAGCCAGCCCGGGGCUGGCCAAGAUUUUUGUUAUUUCUGUCGGAUUUAACCGACAAGAAUAAAAGAAAUAGUGCCGGUUAUAACCGACACAAAUAGAAUGGAAAAUUUUGAAUCCAACAACUAGUUACCAUUGAAUUCAAUUUUUUUUUUUGUUUUUUUGGGCCAAAUUUUUUUUUUAAUGAAUUUAAAAAAUUCCCCUUUUUUUCCUAUACAUACCUAAGUAAUUCCUACACUAUUUCUAACAUAAUUUUCACCCUAUUUAAAUUUAAGUUGUUGUAGUUUUUAAAUUUAAAUAAUAAAUUAUGUUUGGCCCUCGGUUGGAGAUGGUUUUUUGUGAUAGGGCUAAAAUGAGCCCUAUGGCCCUUUGACCUUCGGUUGGAGAUAGAGGCAAAUAUGACAUUGUACUGUUCAUUAAAAUAUUAAUAUCUUGGAGGGCCAGAGGGCUAAAAUGAGUCAUCUGGCCAUCCCUCGGUUGGAGAUGGCCUGAGAAACUUUAUCAACUAGUCGUCGACGUGGCAAAUGAACCAAAGUCUUCUUAUGGACUCAUCUUAAAUACAUUUGAAGAUCUUGAAGGACAUGCUCUAGCCACGAUCCGCCAAGAACACCUGCCCAAUGUUCCCAUUUUCCCAAUAGGUCCAUUUCACAAGUGUUGCCGUACAGUAUCCUCUUCAAGUAGUUUAUUGACACAAGACUAAAGUUGCAUUUCAUGGCUGAACACUCAAGCGCCAAAAUGUGUUGCUUAUGUUAGCUUUGGGAGUGUUGCCCAGAUAGAUCAAGUUCAAUUUUUGGAGAUUGCUUGGGGGUUGGCCAACAGUGGCUAACCCUUUUUGUUGGUGGUUCGACCCGGAUUAAUUCAAGAGUCGGAUUGGCUUAAAGUGUUGCCUAACAAGUUUUUAGAAGAAUUCAACGAGAGAGCUUACAUUGUGAAAUGGGCCCCACAAAAAGAAGUGCUGGCUCACCCGUCAGUCGGAGCCUUUUGGACUCACAGUGGUUGGAAUUCUACAUUGGAGAGCAUUAGUGAGGGGAUCCCUAUGAUUUGCACGCCAUUUUUUAGUGAACAAAUGGUGAAUGCAAGAAAUGUGAGGGAUGUUUGGAAGGUAGGGCUGCAGUUGGAGCAUGGGAUUGAGAGAGGUGAGGUUGAAAGAACAAUUAGAAUACUGAUGGUUGAGAAAGAAGGGGAAGAGAUCAAAGAGAGAGCCUUAAAGUUAAUGGAAAAGGCAAAUCUUUGCCUCAAAGAAGGUGGCUCUUCGUGCCAAUCUUUGGCUGGCUUGGUUAAUCACAUUUUAUCAUUAUAAAUCGUUUGUUUUAUAAACUAAAACCCAUAUGUUGUUUUUAAACUCCUUUCAUGGAUCAUGUAUUAUAUCAUGAACUGUCAUGAUGCAUCUGUCUCAUUGUAUUUAAAGAAAGUGGUGGUCCAUCAUCUGUGAUGUAGGACAUAUAUGAAUAAUUGGCUUCUAUAUCCUCUAUGUUCCCUGGAAUUAAUUUGGCUCAUUAAUGAAUGAGGAGGAGUAUCUCUUCAAUUCGUUACGGGACUGGUUUACGGAAAUUCAUGCUUAUAAUUAAAAUGAUUCAUAUUAUAAUGCACUUUGUAAAACUAUCUCUGCAAUUCAUCAAAAUAUGAGUUUGUUAAGUCAUCGAACUGUGUGAAAAUAAAUGGACGAAUUCGGUUGAAAUAUUAAGAACUAUCUAUCUAUUUAAUACAAUUAAUUGACUAAUUUUUUUUAAUUUUAAUUGACUUUUUUACAAAUAGCAUUUAUAGAGAGAUUUAUAGUAUAACAAUUUUGACUAUAAACAUAAAUUUUAUAAAUCGGCUAUUAAGUGAAUUUGAGGACGAGUUCCUCCUCAACCUUGAAAGAGCCAAGCAUUCCUCAUAUUUCUAGAGGAGUGUUUAUCAUAUAAGUUGCUGAGUUGUACUUUUGCAAUUAAAUGUUCUCAGAAGUUCGGCCACUUUCGUGAGAGAUUUUUCAGUGUGACCGGUACACGGGAUGGUAUAUCACAUGUCACUAUACAAAUGGUGAGAUAUGUGUGUUAAAAAGUUAAUAACUUAAAAAAUAAAAUUUCCCACUACUUAUAUAAAAACAUGUGGUGUACCCUCGUGUUCCGGUCACAAAAAAAAAAUUCUCCACUUUCGUCAUCCAUUUUCAGCUUGCCAUUAGGUGUAUAUCUGCCCACCAUUAUCAAGUGCGGGUAAUACUCAUUGUUUCAUUUAUUUUCAUUAAAUGAGUUUAAAUUUUAAGAUUUGUGUGUAUUUAUAAUACAAAAAUCAAAAUUUUGAAUUCUUCUAAAAGUGAUAAAUAAGGUGAUGAAUAUCAUCAGUACUUAAGGGCUUUGAGCAAAAUAUUUCGUUACAGGCAUAAUUGGUAAUUGAAAAUGACAAACAUUCAUACAAAAAUAGGUUGACUCAUCAACUAGAAAUGGAAAUAAGCUGAGCUGGAAAUAUGAUCAAUAGACCUAAACUGAUAAGAAAAAUACCUUGGAUAAUCCUAAUAACCGAUAAGAAAAACACCUUGGAUUAAUCUUAUUAUCUCUUAACUAAAUUCGGAUUUUGUGAGUGUUCAAAUCCUUGGUAAUUGCUUGCCAUGACUGCUAAUUGAUUCUGAUUUUGGUGCGGUGGGUAUAUUGAGAAUAAGGUGGCAGUUCUGUAAUUGUGGUGGUGUUUUGUGGUUCCGGAUGUUAUAGGAGGAGGACGGAGGAGAAAGAAGUGUUCAACUAAUUAUAUUAUAACACUUAGUAAUCUUGAUAAUCUUAGUUCGAUGAGAAGAUUUUCAAAGAGAAGAAGAGUAGAGACCAUUGUGGAAUCUGACACGUGGCGGAAGAAGAGUAGAGACCAUGCUCGUUGUGGUUGUACGUUUGGGGUAGUUGAAUCAUUUUAGUUAUUGGACUGCGAAGGAAUACGAGGAGGACAUGCCCAUAGACAAAGUGAAAGGCUCUAUAGAAAAUAGGGAACUUUAAUGAAAAACACCCGGUACUGUUCACUUUAAUGAAAAACAUAUUUUUACACUAAAAAGUCAAUCCUGUUACUAUUCAUUUUACCCUUUAUUUUGUCCUUAUCAUUAAAACUCAAAGUUUUCAAACCCUUUUCAUUAGUUUUUCUUAAAAAAUAAGCCUAAAACCCAAUUUGUAAAUAUUGACAGUGAUAUUCCUGGUGUAUCUCUGUAAGCAACCACAUAAAAGAAGUCACGACAAAAGGAGCUGGUGGUGGAAAAAAACCAAAUUCGACAGAGCCACUGGCUCUGAGCCAGCAAUAUUGACUAAAAAAAAAAAAAAACAGCCAUCAAUAAGAUAAGAUUCCAGGGUUGCGUCAUGCGUGAGCGAAUUUUCCAAGCUCAGCUGCCUCAGUAUUCACCAAUAAGUUCACAAGUCACAUAAAGCUAAGCAAACGUAAACAUUGUCGAUUAAAAAUGGAGCAAAGCAAAGGCAGGAGAGUGAUCCUCUUCCCGAUGCCCUUCCAAGGGCACAUAAACCCUAUGCUGGAACUAGCCAACAUUCUGCAUUCCAAAGGCUUCUCCAUAGCCAUCAUCUACACCAACUUCAACUCCCUCAAUCCUUCAACCCUAAACCCAAACUUCACCUACCAUUCAAUCCCUGUUGACUUGACAGAAAACGAGGCCUCCAUCAAGGAUCCCACCCUUCGUCUUUCUAUUCUAAAUGCUAAAUGUGUUGAGCCUUUCAGAGAAUGCUUGUCCGGGUUGUUAUCCGACGACGUUAAUUCGGAGGACCCCGUUGCAUGCUUGAUCUCGGAUCCUCUCUUCGACUUCACUCGAUCGGUUGCGGAGAGCUUUAAGCUGCCGAGGAUCGUGUUAAGAACAGGGGGUGCCGCUUCCUUCGCUGUUUAUGCUGCAUUUCCACUUCUCAAGGAAAAAGGUUACCUACCAAUACCAGGUACAAUCUCAAGCCAACAAAACCCUAUUAUCAAAUGUCUUUUCAUCUCAUCAUUGACCCACGUAGACUGAAAACACCACACCAAGACUAAUGACUCUUUUGGAAUUCUUUUUAUAUGUAGCACUUUUGUUCUUUGUUCGUAAGAGAUUAUGCAAUAUGUGCUUUUAUUAUAAACAUGUAAACUUUCUUAUUAAAAACUCGAGCACAUGGAAAAAAGCUUCAGAGUGAUUCUUCUUCUUCUUCUGAAAUCACUUCAUUGAUCCAAAAAUGUUUUUGGUUACAAAAAACACUUUAGCACUUCUAGUAGCAAUCCCAAAUUAGCAUUUUGACAAUUUGUGCGGAUUUGAGUUAGGUUAGCAUUUUUAUUCCUUGCUCUGCCUCCUCAUAAAUUAGCAUUUUAUAAUAUGCAUUAAUUAAAAGGAAAAAUAUAAAUACUUAUGAGGAACCUUAAAUUUGGUUUUCCAUUUUGACAAUAAUUAGAUUCUCGACUAGAAGAGCUGGUGACGGAGCUUUCACCUAUCAAAGUUAAAGACCUACCUGCAGCGAUGCCCAAUUGCGACCCUGAAGAUUUCUAUCAAGUGAUAACCAACAUGGCAAAUGAACCCAAGGCUUCUCAUGGACUCAUCUUCAAUACUUUUGAUGAUCUUGAAGGACAAGCACUUGCCACAAUUCGCCAAGAAUAUUACCCCAAUAUUCCAAUUUUCUCACUAGGUCCAUUUCACAAGUGCGGCCCAACAACCUCUUCUUCUUCAACUAGCUUACUAUCACCUGACCAAAGUUGCAUUUCAUGGCUAAACACUCAAGCGCAAAAAUCUGUUGCUUAUGUUAGCUUUGGGAGCAUUGCCAAGAUAGAUCACGCUCAAUUUUUGGAGAUUGCUUGGGGGUUGGCCAAUAGUGGCCAACCCUUUUUGUGGGUGGUUCGACCUGGAUUAGUUCAAGAGUUGGACUGGCAUGAAGCGUUGCCUAACGGAUUUCUAGAAGCGUUGUAUGAAAGAGCCCAUGUCGUGAAAUGGGCUCCGCAAAAAGAAGUGUUGGCCCACCCUUCAGUUGGAGUCUUUUGGACUCACUGUGGUUGGAAUUCUACAUUGGAGAGCAUUUGUGAAGGGGUCCCUAUGAUUUGCACGCCAUGUUUCAGUGAUCAAAUGGUGAAUGCAAGAUUUGUGACUGAUGUUUGGAAGGUAGGGCUGCAAUUGGAGCAUGGGAUUGAGAGAGGUGAGGUUGAAAGAACAAUUAGAAGACUAAUGGUUGAGAAAGAAGGGGUAGAGAUCAAAGAGAGAGCCUUAAAUUUGAUGGAAAAGGCAAAUCAUUGCCUGAAAGAAGGUGGCUCUUCGUACCUAUCUUUGGAUGGCUUGGUUAAGCACAUUUUAUCGUUAUAAAUCGUUUGUUUAAGAGAGUCAGUAUUAGCUAUUCAAUAAAAUAAAAAAUAAGGGCUUUAAGUAAUAUAUUAACUACAUAUUUUAGAGAGUUUUAAUGACAAGGGUCUUAUAGAAUAAAAUCUUAACUAAAACACUCUUUAUUGGUUACUUUAAUAUAAUUCCUAAUUUCAGUUUUUGUUGGAAAUCAAAACUGAUGCAUUAUAACGUUGGUUUUAUACUAAGUCUAAUAUUAUUAGUUAGCCAUUUGAUCAUGUGCAGCACACCAUGUCCUAAUAUCAGUUUUCCUUCUUAAACAAAAACUGAUAUAUUUUCUUUGUAUCCUAACGUUGGGGGUAAUAAUGAUUCUGCUACCCGAUUUGCAAAGCUUUGUUCCUGCUACCCGAUUCGCACAUUUCAACUUAAUCUUCAAUCCAUUCAACCAUUUGAUAUACCUCAGAAAACCAACAAAACAAAACAAUAAUGGGUUAAUAAGAUGGGAGCAAGUUGUCUUGGAGCCUCAUAUACCGCAUCCAAUCAAUCUACAUAACAGCCAAAAAAAUUAGGGGUCCUUCGUCACAACGAAUGCAUUCAAUCAAUAUACAUACAUAAGAGUCAUCGUAUUUACAUUGUCUACUUUUAACUGAUCCAAAAUACUGGCAUAUUGUUCCUUUGGAUGCUUCUACUUGCUAUCAAAUGCUUUUCCAAUAGCUUUACCCCAGCUCUCUAUCAGCAGAUACUCCUCUGUUUCUGAUGCCCUAUGAUGCAUGAACAUGGUGGUAUCCCCUCGUAUCCUCGUAUCGUAUUGUGUGGUAUUUAUGUGUCGUGUCAUGUGGUAUCCUCGUGUCUAUGUCCAUACAUCUUGAUAGGUUGCCUUGUAGAAAGAUAUGACAUAAACAAAAAGACAUUUGUAGUUAGAAGAUGUUGUUAGAAUAAUUGGGUUGUCAGUGGUUGGCUAACCAUCCAUAGAUGAUUUGUGUCUUAAUCUUUUAGGGAAACGCCCUGAGGGGAACAAGAGUUUCAUCAUCGUGAAUGGCUGAAGCCAGUAUUUAUUUGACAUGUUAAUCUUGAAAGAGAAAUAAUCAAGCAUAAGAUUGUAAAGGGCUAAAAGAGUUAUUGAUGCUUAACUCAGUUAAAUCUGAGAGAGAUAGUAAGUUUGUAUUUAUAGAGAUGAUUUACAUCAAUAAGUUACAAGUAGUGUUUGACACAAAUAACAAUACUAUAAAUCCCAAAGAUAGGAGAUAAUACAAGAGAGCAUAUCAGAUAACUCUCAGCAGAGGUAACUUGAGUGAAGGAGUCAUAUGGAUUGGAGACUUAUAGUUUAUCACGCCCCCGCAAGCUGAUUGGACGACCAAGAACGGGAAGCUUGGAAAGAAGAACCAAAACCGAUUGGAAGACAAACCCUUUGUGAGAAAGUCAGCCACCUGAUCUUGAGAAGCAACAUAGCCCACAACAAUUUCCUUUCGAGUAACCUUUUCACAAACAUAAUGAUAAUCAACUUCUACAUGUCGCAUUCGUGCUUGAAAAACAGAAUUGGAAGCCACAGCAGGAGCACUUAUAUUAUCACACCAUAAUUGAGGUGGUGUAAGAUAAAGAUGAAGAUCAUGAAAUAAGUUUCGAAACCAGGACAAAGUAACGGCAGUAUAUGCUAGUUGAUUAUACUCGGCUUCAGUGCUUGAGCAAGAAACACCACGUUGCUUCUUCGAGCACCAGGAAAUCAAAUUAGAACAGAGAAAAAUACAGUAACCUUUUAUGGACCGACGAUCAUUAGGAUCACCGGCAUAAUCGGCGUCGGCAUAAGCAGUGAUAGAGAGAGAACUCGGACGAUAGAGCAUGCCAUGAUCAUGAGUGCCCUUAAGAUAACGCAAAAUGCAUUUAACAGUAGCCGAGUGUACUGUUGUGGGAGAGUGCAUAAACUGGCAGACCUGGUUGACGGAGAAGGCAAUGUCAGGAUAGGUGAAGAGUAAAUAUUGAAGAGCACCUACAACACUGCGAAACUCCGUGGCAUCAGAGACUGGUUCCCCGUCGUGCAAAAAAAGGCGACGGCCAGAUGAAGAUGGCGUGUAAAUGGGUUUACAAUCUGCCAUGUUUAUGCGUGUGAGAAGGUCCUUAAUGUAUUUAGCCUGAGCUAAAUGAAAACCAGAAGCUGUUCGAGUGACCUCCAUACCCAGAAAAUAAUGGAGGGGCCCAAGAUUUUUCAUGGAAAACAUUAAACUAAGCUGAGCAAUGAGUUUUGUAAUCUAUGAAUUGCUAUUGCCAAUAACCAAAAUGUCAUCAACACAAAUCAACAAAUAUAUAAUUGUGGUGUUAUCAAAGUAGGUGAAUAAAGAAGAGUCAGCUUAAGAGGCAACAAACCCGAGUUCCUCGAGAUAAUUGGAAAAACACUGAAACCAUGCUCGUGGAGCUUGUUUGAGACCAUAAAGAGAACGUUGUAGCUUGCAAACAUGAGUGGGAAAUUGCGGAUCAACAAAGCCCUGGGGUUGGCACAUAUAAACAUCUUCAAAGAGGGAACCAUGUAAGAACGCAUUAUGUACGUCCAACUGGCGAAUGGACCAAUUAUAGUGAAUAGCAACAGAGAGAAUUAAUCUGAUGGUGACGUGCGUAACCACGGGACUAAACGUUUCUGCAUAGUCGAUGCCUUCCUGUUGGUGGAAGCUGUUAGCAACAAGACGGGUUUUGAACCGUUCGAUGGACCCAUCGGAGUUGCAUUUGAUCUUGUAGACCCAUUUAUUUGGAAGAACAUUGAGAUGUGGUUGAAAUGGCACAAGUGUCCAGGUACCAGUUCGUUGUAAUGCCGUGAACUCCUCAGCCAUUGCCCGACGCCACUGUGGACAUUUGUUAGCCUGUGUAAAUCUUGUAGGCUCAACUAAAGUAUUUAUGUCAGCAAGUAAGGCAUAUCGAGGAUUUGAUUUUCGAAUGCCAUAUUUGGCCCAUGUAGUCAUGGGAUGAGAUGGAGGAAUAGUCAUCACAGGUGAGGUAGUUGAGGUCCCAAUAGUCGUAGGAGAAGAAAAGGGAUGGGUCGUAUAGGGAAGAUGAGAGUCUCUAGUAUUAGGUAUGUGGAGGGCCGGGAUAGGAGGAGUAGGUAGGGAUUGAGGUGAUGUGUCUUUAGGUUGAGCAGGUGGGGUAUUGGUGAUCGAGAUAGGGAGAGUAGGUAGAGGUGGAGAUGGGGUAGGGUUAUGGGAUAAGGUGGCAGGAUUGCGGGUGACUAGGUAGAGUCGGAGGUCGGGUAGGGUUAUAGGAUAGGUGGCAAGAUUAUGGUGCAGGGGAGUAGAAUAGGGGAUAAAGUUAGGAGGUGUCACGAUAGUGUCAAAAUGUAACAUGUCUGUGGAUAUGGAAGUCUGAGCUGGAGUAAGAAGCAUAUCCUUGUAGGGAAAACAUUUUUCAUCAAAAAUAACAUGACGAGACAUGAAAACUUUGCCCAUGGAGGGAUCAAAACAACGAUAACCUUGCUGAUUUAAAGAAUAUCCUAGGAAAAUACAUUUUUUAGACGAAACUGAAGUUUAUUUUGAUUAUAUGGGCGAAGAUAUGGAAAACAUGCACAGCCAAAAACCUUUAAAAAGUCAUAUUGUGGAGGACUAGAGAAUAAUUUUUGAAAUGACGAUUCAUUGUGCAAAACUUUGAUGGGUAAGCGAUUAAUCAAAUAAUUGGCAGUGUGAAAAGCCUCUACCCAAAACGUGAUUGGGAUUGAUGCAUGAGCAAGUAGAGUAAGGCCAGUUUCAACCAAAUGACGAUGUUUACGUUCUGCAAGUUCAUUUUGUUCAGGGUGAUGAGGGCAUGUAAAGCGAUGAUGUAUGCCUUUAGAUGUUAAAUAAUUUUUAAAAAUGUGACUCAUAUAUUCUCCACCUCCAUCAGUUUGAAACGAUUUUAUUUUCCUACUAAACAUAUUUUCAACUAGUUUCUAAAAAGAAACAAAAAUAUUAUACACGUCGGAUUUAAGUUUUAGAAGAUAUAUCCAAGAGUAACAUGAAUAAUCAUCAAUAAAAACCAAAUAAUAUUUAUAACCAUCAAUCGAGUAAGACGGGAAAGUCCAUAUAUCGGAAUGAAGUAAUUCUAAAGGAAAUUUUGAAAUUGAACUAGAAAGUGAAAAUGGAAGUUUGUGACUUUUGCCUAGAGGACAAGAAUGACAGAGCAGAAGUCACUGGGCCAUGAAUAGGCAAUUUAUUCUUAGCAACUAAAAACUUUAAAUAGAACCAGAUGGAUGGCCCAGUCUAGAAAGCCACACUGUAUCAAACACGCGACCACCAAAAAAAUGCAAAAAUGCCAUGUUGUUAUUUGGAUGAAAUACUGGAAAAAUGAUAGAACCCAUACUUACUCCGGCCUUGCAAAAGGAUCCUCCAUGUGGUGAGAUCUUGAACACGAUAAGAAUGGGGAUAUAAGGUUAGUGAAUAGUUGUUGUCCAUGAUAAAACGAUUUAUAGAAAUGACAUUGGUUGAGGCAUUGGGACAAUAUAAAGUAUUGGAAAGAUUAAAGGUUUUUGUGGGAGUGCGAAUACUGGAGUGACCAAUUUUAGAAAUAAGCAAACAUGUGCCUCCAACUACACCAUUCACAUGAUUAUUGCCAUUGUAUUCUCAGGCUUUAGCUACCUGUGUCAAGUCAAUUGUAAUAUGGGUAUUAGCUCCAGAGUCAAAAAGCCAAUUUUGAACCUGGGAAGUAGCCAUGGGUGGAGGGUCAUAUGCAUGAGCAGUAGCGGCAAAAGCUUGAAGUUUGGGAGCGGAAACACGUCAUUCGUAUGCCAUGUUCAUACGAUUGUAGCAAUUGAUAGCAAAAUGACCAGGUUUGUGGCAGAUUUGGCACUGAACACGUCCAUUUGAAUUAAAAGCAUUCCCUUGUUGAGGAGCAGUACCAAGGAAGCCAUCGUUAGGAGCAUGAGCUCCUGGCUGGCCAAGCAUGCCACGACCACCACGACCAGCGGCAGCCUGAAAACCACGUCCAGCAGGCUGAAGGCCAUGACCAGCGUCGGCCUGAAAACCACACCAUCCAAGUCCAGCAACAAGGGCAAUAGGAGCAGCAUCGUCGUGGAAGACAUAACUCAUUUUUUGUCGACGUUCGGCGCCGAGAAGCAAGGCUUCCAAAGCGCCAUAAGAGAUGGCAUCUUCUCGAGCUUAAGCAGCCGACAAUGUGCUUUCAUACGCAGGACAAACGUUAUUGAGAACGAUGGCCACUAAAUCCGAGUCUGAAACAGGAGACCCCGGGAGGGAAAAGGUGUCAGCGAGAGAGUUCACACGAUCCAAAAAAUCAGCAAUGGAAGAAUCACCAUGUUGAGUGUUCAUCAGGUCACUCCGGAGUUGCAAAAGACGACCAGUGGACGUCAAAGCAUAACUCUCGUGAAGAGAAGUCUAAGCGGAGUGAGAACUAGUUUUCUCAAUAAGAGAGGCCAAAACCGUGGGGUGAACGAAACUGUUGACCAUGAGAGAACCAUGGCAUCCUGCUGCAUCCAGACUUCGAAGGUUGUGUUGACAUCAUUGGUGAGAUUACCUGAGGUAUCUUUGAGAAACGCCGAAAGACACUGACUAGUGCCAUCAACAAAUGGAACUAGGUUCCUGCUAUGAAGUAGGGGUAGAAUUUGUGCAUGCCAAAGGGGAUAGUUUGUACGAUCAAGUUUGAUCGUCAAAAAAUUGGAGACAUUAGGAAGAGCGGCAAUGGGUAGGGUAGAAGAAGAUGAGUUUGAGGAGGAGGAGGUUGAGGAGGCCAUGUAAAAAAAAAAAUUGCUUUUGUUGUCGUGAUACUUUCUUAGCUCUGAAAUACCAUGAAAGAGAAAUAAUCAAGCAUAAGAUUGUAAAGGGCUAAAAGAGUUAUUGAUGCUCAACUCAGUUAAAUCUGAGAGAGAUAGUAAGUUUGUAUUUAUAGAGAUGAUUUACAUCAAUAAGUUACAAGUAGUGUUUGACACAAAUAACAAUACUAUAAAUCCCAAAGAUAGGAGAUAAUACAAGAGAGCACAGCAGAGGUAACUUGAGUGAAGGAGUCAUAGCAAACAACUUUGAGGAUAUGGAUUGGAGACUUAUAGUUUAUCAAAUCUCUGGUUAGACGAGGGGAUUUUCAGGGAGAAGAAGAGACCAUUGUGGAAUAUGACACGUGCCGGAAGAUCAACGGGGAGCAUUAUCGUGCUGGUUGUGGUUGUACAUUUUGGGCUAGUUGAAACAUUUUACUUAUUGGACUACGGAGUACGAGGGUGCCCAUAUACAAAAUGAAAGGCUCAAUAAAUAAAAAAAAGCCCAAAACCUAAUUGGUAAAUAUAUUCCUUGUGUAUAUUUAAGUAACCACAUAAAAGAGGUAAUGACAAAAGGAGUUGGCGGUGGAUGGAUGUGACAAAGCUCGGCCAGGGGUGAGUUCACACUUAAUCUCUUUGAAAUUAGCCCUUGAAAAGUGUUUUUCCUUCUGAAACACCUUUUGCAACAACCUACCUGAUUAUUCUCAUAAGUUUGCUGCCCAUAGUUGUCACGUCAUAAUCAUAAUUUUAAAGGAACUUUAACGAAAAGCUCCCGGUACUAUUUAUUUUAACGAAAAAUUACAUUUUUACACUAAAAAGUCAAUCAUGAUACUAUUCAUUUUAUCCUUUAUUUUAUCAUUAUCGUUAAAACUCAAAGUUUUUAAAUAUUUUUUUAUUAGCGAGCUUAUUGGGCCACAAAGUGAGAUCAGUGUUUAAUUUUGACCCAAACAAAUAUAAUUUUCAUGAAUCAUAAAAUAAUUUAAUUCAUUUUGAAUUAAAUUUUCCAACAUUGAGGAAGGAAAUGUUGUAAUAAAAUAUACGAAAUUCAUAAGCUCACAAUCUAAGCAAAACAAUCGUUCUUAGAAAUUCAAAUGGAGCAAAGCAAAGGCAUGAGAGUGAUACGUUUCCUACUGCGCGCCAUUCAAGGCCAUAUAAACCCCUGUUCUAGAGCUGGCCAAAUAUUCUACACUCCAAAGGCUUCUCCAUAACCAUUAUCCACACCUGCUCUAACUCUUCCAACCUUUCAGCUCUAAACCGGCACUUCACCUACCACUCCAACAAAAAUCAUCAAUAGAAUAUACAAUCAAAUAGAAAAAUCACCAAUUUGCCUUAGCUUUUAGGGUGCGUUUGUUGCACCGGACUAUCUGACUGGACUAACUUCAAGAACUAAGUUGGAGGAGCUUGGCAUAAACUAAAUAGUAUUAGAAUUGUGAAAUGUUAGGUGCAAUACCUGACUAGCUAGGACUAUUUUUUUUUUAAUUACAAAAACUCCCAAUUUUUGUUGUCUGACUCUCUCUCCCAUCUGUCGCUCCCGUUCCUUUCCUUUGCACUCCACUAUUUUCCUUUCCUUUCCUCUACACUCCUUUCCUUUCUUGCAGAUUCAAAAUUUCCCGGAUUUCCAGUUAGCAACUGUAGAAAUUUGGUUUCAAAGUGUUUUCUAUUUCAUGAGUGAUUCUGAAUGUACAAUGCAGUAUAUAUCUAGAAGAGAGAAACAGAUGGUUACAAGCAACCAUCUUUACAUGAAACCCUAGAGACCGGUUAAACCUAGGACACAAGCUUUUCCUUAAUUUAAGGUGAUUUACAUCAAAUCCAAGACUAAGAAGUAAUCAACAAGUUAAGUGCCUUAAAUCAAGGAGCUGGAAAACUGGCAGUUGACUUGUGUGUAUCCAUGAUUACUUGUAGACUUGAAAUGAGAUGACAUGCUAGGGUUGCUGUUGCUAAGGUUUAGUGUGACUGGUUCCAACACUUCCCCUCAAGCUGGAUCAUGAAGUGUAGUCGAGCCAAGCUUGCUCAAAAGUCUGUGUAACUGAGAAGAGGGUAAAGGCUUAGUGAAUAAGUCAGCCAAUUGAUCAUGGCUUCUAGUGAAUUGAGUUUGGAUAACUUGUGUUUGAACUUGAGCUCGGAUGAAAUGGCAGUCCACCUCAAUGUGCUUGGUUCUUUCAUGAAAACAGGAUUAGUUGCAAUGUGCAUGGCAACUUCGUUAUCACACAUGAGAGACAUGGGGGCUUGAUGUGAGAACCCUAAAUCUGAAACCAAGCCUUUAAGCUAAAUCAGUUCGCAUGCAGUGGCUCCCAUUGCUCGAUACUCCGCUUCAACACUAGAUCGUGCUAUAACAGUUUGCUUCUUACUCUUCCAUGUCACAAGGUUUGCCCCAACAAAAGUGCAAUAUGCAGUGGUAGAUUUUCUGUCAAUUGUAUUAUCUACCCAGUCUGCAUCGGUGUAAGCACUGAUUUCUGUGGACUGAUUGUUUGACAUAAAAAUGCCUCUAUCCAAUGAACCUUUGAGAUAACGAAGAAUACGUUUAACAAGGUGAAAAUGUUGCAUAGUGGGAGCAUGCAUAAACUGACUAACUAAGCUAACAUCAUAAGUGAUGUCUGGACGUGUGAUAGUGAGGUAGAUAAGCUUACCAACCAAUCUUUGGUAGUAGCUUAUGUUGGGGAGAGGUUCCCUAGUAGAAUCAAUCUUCAUUUUGCUGUCAACAGGUGUGGUGGCAGGCUUGCAAUCUAUGAGCUUAGCCUCAGUAAGUAAAUCAACAACAUACUUUCUUUGACUGAGAAACAACCCCUUGUGAGACGUGGCCAUUUCAAUGCCAAGAAAGUAUUUUAAUCUCCCAAGAUCUUUGAUGGCAAAGGUGUGGCGUAAGGAGUGUUUCAAGGCUUUGAUUUCACUCUCAUUGUCACCGGUGAUGAUUAGAUCAUCAACAUAGAUGAGAACCACAAGUUUUCCACUUGAACCACUUCGAAUAAAUAACGAGGAAUCAGCAUUGCUUCUUAUGAACCCUGUCUUUUCUAAGAUAGAACUUAGCUUUGCAUAUCAUGCUCUCGGAGAUUACUUAAGUCCAUAGAUAGCCUUAUGUAGCUUACAAACCAUUCAUUUUUCCACUUAAGUAUAACCUGGUAGGGGUUACAUGUAGACUUCUUCUUGAAGUUCUCCAUGGAAAAAGGCAUUUUUUACAUUCAUUUGGUACAAAGACCACCCACAGUUAACUACUAUCGGGAGUAAUAUCCUAACAGUAUUCAUUUUUGCCACUGGGGCAAAGGUUGCCUUGUAAUCAACCCCGAAUGUCUGAGUGAAGCCACGAGCCACAAGUCUGGCUUUAUGUCUUUCUAUUGAACCAUCUACCUUGAGCUUGGUUUUGUAAACCCACCUGCUUCCAACAGCCUUCUUUCCUGGAGGCAACUUGACAAUGCUCCAGGUAUUGUUUUCUUCCAAAGCAUUUUGCUCUUCAGCCAUAACUAGUUUCCAAUGUGGCAAGGAAGUAGCUUCUUGGAAUGUUCUUGGUUCAGCAGUCUUAGAGACUUUAGUGAGAAAUGCAUGGUGAGAAGUCGAAUACUUUGAGUAAUGUAAUACAUCAUAGAUAAGGUACCUUGAGGCAUAAAUGACAUAGUCCAACAGCCUUGCUGAAGGCUUUCUUGUUUGAGCAGGAUUUCUUCGUGCACCUUGAGUUGGCCGUGAUAAUUGUACAUUGUCAACUUGAUCUUCAGAGCCAUGCUCAACGUCUUCUUGUGAGAAGACAUGUGGAUUUAAGGGGUUUGUGACUUGGUGCAAUUCCUCAUUGAGUUGAGUGUCAUGUCUUGCUGGAACAUCCUCAUCUUGUUCUGUGUACAUAGGUAACGGGAACAAGUCAUGCAAAGACUCCCCAUCACCAGGAACAUGCCUUUGUGGUUGGAAGAAGGGAGUGUCUUCAUCAAAAAGGACAUAUAUGGAGACAAUACACUUGUUGGUGAGGGGAUUGAAGCAUUUGUACCCCUUUUGUGUAGAUGAGUACCCUACAAACACACAUUUUGCAGCCCUAGCCUCCAAUUUGUCACGAAGUUGAGGCUGCACAUGGACAAAGCAUGAGGAACCAAACACUUUCAAGUGAGAUAGGUUGAUAGACCUUUUUUCUAGAGUUUCACAAAGAGAUUUAAACCCUAGAAUAUGGCUUAGGAGUCGGUUGAUGAGGUAUGUAGCUGUCAAGACUGCAUAGGACUAAAACUUCUUUGGAACAUUCAUAUGUAACAUCAAUGCACGAGUUUUUUUCAAGUAGGUUUCGGUUUUUCCGUUUAGCAAUCCCAUUUUGAUGUGGGGUUCCCACACAACUAGUUUGAUGUACAAUUCCUUUUGAGCUCAAGUAUUUAAUCAUUGUGUUGGAUAAAAACUCAAUGCUAUUAUCUGAUCUUAGUGUUUUAAUAGUUGAGUGGAAUUGGUUUGACACAAGUGAAUGAAAGUCUUGAAAGAUAGUUGAAACUUUACUUUUAGCUUUCAUGAGAUAAAGAAAAGUGACACGAGUACAAUCAUCCACAAAUAUGACAAAAUAUUUGUAACCUUCCAUUGAUUCAAUAGUAGGACCCUAUACAUCGGUGUGAACAAGUUCAAAAGGUAUGCUAGACUUAGACGUUGAGGUUUUAAAAGGUAACCUAGCAAACUUUGAGAAAUAACAAGUAUCACACUUCAUCAAUGGGUGACAAAACUUGGGGAAUAGUUUUGCCAAAACAACUUUGAAUGGAUGGGCUAGCCUUUGGUGCCAAAGUUGUUGAUCCUUGGAAGAGCUUGGUUAAACUUGAAAGCCUUUUGACAAAAUGGGCUUCUUGCAAAAAUAGUAGAGACCAUUUUGAUAGAAUCCUUCACCAAUCAUUCUCUUGGUGAGAGCAUCCUGAAAGAUUACAUUUUUGGGUGAGAAUAUGACUAGGCAAUUUAGAGUGUUAGUGAGUUGUCCUACGGACAUCAACUAAAAUGGAAAAGAGGGUACGUAUAAGGCAGUAGACUCUAUGGUGUUUGAGACUAAACCUAGUUUUCCUUUUCCCAUGACUAAGACAUUUUUUUCCAUUUGCAACUGACACAUGAGAUGGUUUUGACUAGGGAUGGGCAAAAUACCCAUGGAUAUGGGUAACCACGGUUACCCGUCCAUUUAAAGUUGACGGUUAUGGUUAUGGGUAACCGUUUAGACAAAUAAACGGUUAUGGGUAUAACCGUUUAUCUAUGAAAUUUAAAUGGCCGGUUAUGGGUAUUAUCCGCGGUUAUAACGGGUAUCCAUCGGUUAUGGGUAAUAUUCAUGGUUAUAACGGGUAUCCAUUUACCCAUUUAAUUUAAUAUAUGUAAAAUUAAAAAAAAAAUUAAAAACCCUCAGAUAAAAAAUUACAACUCUAUCACUCUCUCUCUCCGUCCCUCUCUCUCUCCGCCUCUCGACUUCGUAACUCUCUCUCUCCGUCGCUCUCUCUCUGCGCCUCUCUCUCUCUCCGCCUCUCGACUUCGUCACUCUCUCUUUCUCCGUCGCUCUCUCUCUCCGCCGCUCGCUCUCUCUCUCCGUCGCUCUCUCUCUGCGCCUCUCUCUCCCUCGCUCUCGCUCUGAGGCAGUUGCUGAAGAGCCUCUGCAGCAAUUCGCCUUGGAAUUAUUCAGUGUUUUGGAAGCUCAAGCACCAGAGUGAUUUGUAAGCUUCUUUCCUUUUCCUCGGUUUUUGCUAUGAAUUAUACUCUUGUUGAAAAUUUUAAUCUGUUUAUCCGUCCUUAGAAUUCGGAAAGUAAUUAAUUAGUUAGUAAUUUAGGGUUUGAGAUUUAGGGUUUGUGAAAUUUAAAUGACUAAGAACUUUUUGCUGUAAUGUGAGAUUUAGGGUUUGUGGAUUUGUGAGUUGUAAUUCGAAAUUAGGAUCUGGGUCUUUGCAAUUUCGGGAUUUCUGAUGUGGGUUUUCGUAUUUAAGUGAAAGGGAGAUUGAUAAAUUUUAAUGUGUUUGUGUACUAUUUGAAGAAACUGCACCUCCUUUGGUUAUGGUUCUGACAUUGUUGGAUUCUCUGUUCAAAUUUUGUAAGUUAUUAUAAAACUUGAAUUAUUUAGUUGGAAGUGAAAAAAAACAGAUGAGGGAAUUGGUUGAACAGUUUUAGUGGUAAACGAAGGUUUCCGGUAGAAUAUUUCGAAUUUGUGAUGGAUAUAAGAAAUUAAGAACACAAUUUUGUGUAUAAGAUUUAGAAAUAGGUCCUUAAGUACUUUGUUUCUUAACAACUUCUGAUACAAUUUCUGUAUUCUAUCCCCACUACCUAAUAAUGACAAUGUGCUAAUGCCCUAAUCAAUGAUUUGGGGUUUUCCGGGUUUAUAAGUACCCCUAUAUUAGUGGAUAAUAAUGUUUAUACUUGAUUUCAUUGACAUAAGACUGAGUUGUAUGAAAUGAACGUUUAGCUGGAGUGAGCUUUCGGUUUACAUAGUCAUAAGUGGGGCUUUCUGAACUCUACACACUGAUCGUGACACACAUAUCGGUUCAUUCUGUUAGAAUAAUUUCAUUUCUUUUCAGAGUUUUUGUGUUAACGCCUCCAGUAGAUGGGAUCUCGUAAAGUUUUUCACUAAACGUGUCAUGUUGAAUUUUGAUACUAUAUUUUAAUUUUACUAGCAAGUUUCUUAAAAAAGAAUCUAAUAUGUUUUCCAAGCCUGUAAUUCUGCAUGGGUUUUCUUUUAUGAUUUUAUUUAAUAUUCCAGUAAGCCUGCUGUCACUUUUGUUUGUGUGCCAAGAUUACCAUGUACUGUUGUAGAGAUGUCCUUAUUAUGUUCAGACCGAGUGUGUUAUGAUUUUUUGCUCUAGGCAUCCAAAAUGUUGAAGAUUUUUGUUUGGCCUGUGGCGAUGUUUUGAUGACUUUGUUUGCUUUAAACGAGAACCAGAACCCCCAAUUAUGACAGUAUAGUGUUCUUUUGUUCAAUUGAUAUCCUGUUUUUCUUUUAUAUUCUGAACUUGUAUUCAACUAGUUCCAAGAUGGAGACUCAAAGCGAGAACCAAGAUAUUGAACCAAUUAAUCUUGAUCAAGAAUUGGACCUAAGUGAAUCAAGCUUUGAUGACACUGGUAGGAAGAGAAAAAGAACCUCAGUUGUCUGGCAGCAUUUUGAGGAAAAAAGUUUUUGUGGGGAGGUGAAGGUUGUCUGUAACCAUUGUAAAGCUAGGCUAGCAUCGGGCUCCACUGUUGGUACUUCAUCUUUACUUUCACUUGUUAGAACAUGUCAUGUAUUGAGGACAAAGAAAAAGAGUCCAGUUAUAACCGGUGAUGGGUCUGUUAAACAUGGUGCAUAUAGUUUUGAUGAAGGUAAUGCUAGGAAAGAGCUAGCUUAUAUGAUUAUCUUACAUGAGUAUCCUUUAUCUAUGGUGGACCACUUGGUUUCGUAUGAUUGUUUUUUGUUAUCAGAAACACAGAUUUAUGAGCUGUUGCUAUAGGGUCUGUUGCUUUAAAAAUCAUUCGGGAAUUCAGAAAUAAAAAAGCUCUACUUUUACUCUUCCUUUAGGCUCAAUUUUCUCAAGUUCCUGAACUUCCAUAAUUUAUUGGUUGCUAUUCAGAAUAAAAAAAAAACUGAUUGGUUGCUAUACAGAAAAAUAUCGUUCGUAAACUAUUAUUUCAAUUAUUGGAAUUAUAUGAGGACUUAAAUGAUUAAAAUAGGGAAAUGUAUGCUAAAAUGUACUUAUAACGGUGUUUAAUUGUCAGAAAAUAAAAAUUAUGACAAAUUUUUCUUUUGUAAUUUUCAAAUUGUUAAAAAAAAUAAUGUAGACAGGUGAAAAAAAAGGUAAAUGGGUAAAAAAAGGAUAAAUGGGCGAAAAAAUAGGUAAACGGGUAAAUGGUUAUGGUUAUGGGUAAAUGGUUAUGGGUAAAUGGGUACACGGUUAUGGGUAUGGAUAACCGUUUAUAAACGGUUAUGAUUAUGGGUAUAACCAUUUAUGUAAUUACCCAACGGGUAAACGGUUAUGCGAGUAUGAACAUAAACGGUUAUGGGUAAAAUAACCGCGGUUACCCGCCCGCAUAACCAUUGCCCAUCCCUAGUUUUGACAAGACUUGAAAAUCAUGCAAGUUUAAGGCUUUAUUUGUCAUGUGAUCAGAGGCACCCGAGUCAAUUAUCCAACAAUCACAAUUAAAACUAGUUUGUAGUGCAGUUGAGAAUGCUUUGGAGAUACCUGGGACUGCAUCUCAUGAAACAUGAUCAUGAUCAGCAAGAAAUCCUGCAAACUGUCCAAGAAGUGCAGUUUGUUUGUUCCCGUCACCCUUUGACGUUUGUGCAGUUCUCCAUGAUUCUUGGUGUGCAAGUAAGUUGCAAACUCGUUAAUAAGAGUAAUAGGAUUGGUUAUGAAAUCUGUUAAGCCAUGAAUGGGUGAGCUGGUAGCAUGGUUGGCCAGAUGCUAAGCCUUAAGAUGAGCCACUGAUGAGGAUCUUGGGACCAUCAUCAUGUUGUCUUUAAAUUUAGGCUUGAGUCGGGGUGCAGCUCUCAACAUCUCUCUUCUGUGUGACCAGAAGCAUUGCAAUACUUACACUUUAGAUGUGGAUUCUUUCCUCUGUACAUUUUGGCAUCAUGGUUCUUGUGGUUUGCAACAUACCCUCAAGCCUUAGAUAGCUUGAGAUUAGGCUCUAGAUUCAUCGCCCUUAUUCUUGCUGCUUCACGUUGCACCAUGGCACAAAUAGUCUUGAAUGAUGGUAGCCCCACACUCAUUAAUAUGUGACUCCUGAGAUCCUCAUAAUCUGAGCUGAGGCUUGCGAGCAGUUGGUAGAUCUUAUCCUCCUCAGCUCUUUUAAGAAGAAUAGUAGGAUUUGUGGUGUGAGGGAGGUACACAUCAAGCUCAUUCCACAUAGUCUUCAAAUUGCCAAAGUGUUGGACAAAAUACUUCUUUUCUUGCUAGAGGCAAGCAAUAUCUAUUUUCAACUGGAAUACCUGAGCAUAGUUGUUCUGGUUUCCAUACAUAUCCUUCAUAGAUUUCCACAAAUCCUGUGAAGAUUCAGGAUAACUAAAUAUCUCAGCAACAUGUUUCUCCAUGGUGUUGAGCAACAAGGACAUAACAAACUGAUCCUUGCACAGCCAUGCUUCAUAGGCCUGAGAAGAGGAGUCUGGAGCUUCAAUACUUCCAUUGAUGAACCCUAAUUUUCCCCUGCCUCCUAGAGCAAGUGAAACUGCCCUAGACCAAGGAAGGUAGUUGAGCUCAUUCAGCAACACCGAGCAUAGGCGCUGGUUGGUAUUAACUUCAGAGUCUAAGAAACUCGAAGGAGCUACCUGCGAGCUUUCUCCCUCAAUAUUAAUUGAGCUUUCCUCAGCCAUUACAGAAGCUCACAAGAAUAGCAGCAGAAAUUAAACGGGCAGAGACAGGUUAAGGAUGACACUACUCUGAUACCAUGUAGAAAUUUGGUUUCAAAGUGUUUUCUAUUUCAUGAGUGAUUCUGAAUGCACAAUGCAGUAUAUAUAUAGGCGAGAGAAACUGAUGGUUACAAGCAACCAUCUUUACAUGAAACCCUAGAGACCGGUUAUACCUAGGACACAAGCUUUUCCUUAAUUUAAGGUGAUUUACAUCAAAUCCAAGACUAAGAAGUAAUCAACAAGUUACGUGCCUUAAAUCAAGGAGCUGGAAAACUGGCAGUUGACUUGUGUGUAUCCAUGAUUACUUGUAGACUUGAAAUGAGAUGACAUGCUAGGGUUGCUGUUGCUGGGUUUAGUGUGACUGGUUCCAAUAACAACCCAGAAACCAAAACAGCCACGUCCCUCAUAAAUUUCAAAAAGCCAUGUCCCUGAUUAAUUUCGGAUUACCAAAAAAGCCGUAGCCUUUGGAUCGGACGGUGUUCUUAUCGGUGAUGACCACGACCAGGGCCUAUCCAAACAUUCCGGAGGCCUUGGGCAAAAAUAAAAAAGGGGCCCACAAAACAACAACUGUGAAAAAAAAUUUUGCGUUUUUUAUGUGAUUUUUCCCUCCUUUUCUACUAGGUAUUUAAAGGAUUAUAAAAUAUUUGAAGGUAUUUUUCUUUGUAGUCAUACACAAAAACAAAGUUACAUCAUAAUACUUGGUCAAUUGGUCAUAAAGAAAAGAAGAUUGUCAUGUUGUAAAAAAGUACUAGUCUAUCUGUUAGUUUGUGUGAGUGGCAAUUUUCUUAUACCAUCGUCAUGCGCUUCUAAAAUUAAGGUAUAAAUAAAAUUACAUUCUUCAUCCUUAAUAUUAAAGUAUAAGGAAUAAGAGAAUAAGUAAACAAAAAUUAUUUCCAAAAAUCAUUUUAUGUGACUGCAAUAUCGAUGAGUAACUUUUUCUUUCUCUUCCUUCACACAAAAAGGAAAAGCAAACCAGCAACUCAAGCAGGCAAAACGAAGUACAGCGAAACAUAAACAAGCUAUCUAAUAGACGAGCAUCUGCAUUGUUCUCUUAUUUUUCUACUUCUUAUUUUUCCAUUGCAUCUUCGUCUUCUUCCCCUGCCUCUGUUAAUUGUGGCAUUUCAGGUUCUGAAUCACUUAGGAGUAAUCUAUCAGGAUAAAUCCUAACCUCAAUCGAGCAAUACUUGAUGCCUAAAGUGUCUAAGUGCCUUUGACAAUGCAAUUUUCUGACUAAAUUUCUUAUAGAUUUGGUGUAAGAGAAAGUUUCAAAAUUUUCAGCUGAUUGAAAGUGGUCUCAUUUUUUUAAGCCAAAUUAAAUUUGUGAAUACAUACAUACAUUAAUUUGUUGAAUGUUAAAAUUGAAUUAGAAUGAAUGUAAAAAAUGUGCAACCCAAUGGAGCUAGUAAUUAUAAUCGAAGAUAAAAAGAAAUUAACAAUAAAAAAAUUAGUAAAAAAUCAAAGGUAAAAACAAUUUAACAAUUAAACAAAAAAUAGUAAAAAAAGGGAAAGAAAAAGGCGUGCUCAAACCCAAGACCUCGUUGUUAUUAGUACACAAUAAAACCAACGCCUCUAAAUAUACUUUUUGAUGACUUAACCAAACAUUUUUUAAAUUUAUACGGUUAUGAAAACAUGUAUGGAUAUACUACCCUAAUAAAUUUUUUGUGCCCCUGAUUUUUUGAGGCCUUAGACGAUCAUCGUUAGGGCCGGGGCCGACCCUGACGACAACCACGAAAAUGUCCCUGAACUUAGACCUGGCAAUUUCUUACACGACCCUUUAAUACGACACGUAAAUGACACAAAAAUAAUGGGUUUCGGGUCAAUAUGAUAACUAAUUGAGUCAUUAUCGGGUCACACUAUAAUAACCCGUUAAUAACGGGUAUAUUAUAAAUAUUGAGAUUAAAAAUCAUAAAACACAUUAAAAAUAAAAAUAUCAAGUAAUUUAAAAAUACCAAACACAUUAAAAAAAAUUAUAAUAAUUCAUUUACAUGUGCGAAAAAUAUGAAAAAAUAUGCAAACGCUCGUAGUCGCAUCCUCUACGUUUGAGGAUGGGUAUAUGAUCGUUUGAAUUUUUAAAACCAUACAAACUCUCAUGAAUAGUAUUUUUAAGGGAGUUCAAAAUAAACAAAAUUCAUAAUCAUUAAUGUAUAAAGUCUGAAAGAUGUGAAAGCAUAAUAAACGUUCAUAAUUGCAUCAUCAAUGCUUAGACGAUGGUUACAUGGUUGUUUAGAUUUUUAAAACCAACAAUGUUUUGUAUUUGAGUGCAAAAUUAAUAAAAUUAAUAAUAAUUAUUGUAGAAGUGUGAAAAAUGUAAAUACUCGUAAUGAAAAACUUUACAACUUUCAUGAAGGGGUCAAUGUAAUGACCCGUCCCUAAAAAUUAUGAUUUUUAUAAUUUUAAUACGCGGGAUUACGAAAAUGCCCUUCGAGGCAAAUACGUUGACUUAUGUUGACCACCUUGUCGUGUCAUGUAAGGUUCAUUUUCUUGGCGUAUUCAGGUAGUACUCGUCAACACGAGCGUAUGAGCGCAAACGAAACUUGAUUUGGAGUUAUACGAAGAUUAUACGAACUUUUAAAUGUCGAUGGCAUUUUGGUAAUUUGCCAUUUGAAACACAUGUUGUAUCUAGAGUAGUGUGUCACGUGGGACCCACAAAUUGGUCCCUAAUCUUCUGGAACUCUCCUUCUCUUCUUUCUCUCCCGUGACUCUAUUUUCUCUCUCAUAGCUCUCAUUCUCUUUCUCUCUUGGCUCCCUUUCUUCCCGUGGAAACCAAACCAGCACCAAUCAUUUUUCCAGCGAAUUAGACCCUGAAAACAUCAUAAUCAUGUCCCUAGAAUCCCUGGAAUUGUGAAUCCAUAGUUGGUUUCGAGAAUUUUUGUGGCCGAAGGCAAGUUAGAACUCACUUUUUGGAGCUGCGGGUUUCCCUUCAAUUUUAGAUAAUUUCCAGCCAUAUCUUGAACUCUAAACAGUUUCUGGUGAACCCGUGACCUUCCAGACCAUUUUCCGACCAAACCACGGCGAGUUAGCCAUCAUUCAAGGUUGCCCAGAAAUUUCGAUGAGUUACCAGUUUUCCCGUGGACAGCCGUCUUUCAGGCCAUUUUCUGGCCACAUACGACCAUUAUUUGGACUCCAAGCUGGCGCCAAUCGUUCGUGCUAGGGAGUUGUACUGCAGACUCCAGGUUUUAGCUGCUGAAAGUUCGUAUCGACGAGGGUUCUUGGCGAAUCUCAGUAUAAGUGGCUACCUCUGAGCACAUAAUCCUUACCUACACUACUAUACUUUACUUAUGCUCCGACGUCGUGUGUGAAAUGGGUUCAUUCCCGCUUAUAGCUCACUCUUGUCUUUAGGCACUUUUAGGUUUAAAUUUAAUCACAUUUUCCAUAUCACCAUACUUUAUGGCUUCAUCACCUUCUAGGUGUCAGCCAGCAUAGCUUGAUUCGAAGUCUUAGUGGACAUUCUGGGUCGGGGUAUGUCAGUUUGGUAUCAGAGCAUAAGUUAGGCAGUAUUGCGUUCAUCACACGCGUGAUGUAAUCAUUCUUGGUUCUUGAACCUAAAUGUCGAAUCUUGCCACCUCGUCGAAUACAAAAAAAUGUAUUAGCUUUUUCUAAGUCUUGAGUGACUUAGUCGACUUAUCGACCUUUUAGAAAAUCAUUUUGGCGAAUGCCUCUAAAUUAUAAGUGAAGAAAUUCCCUCCCAAGAAAAGAUGUAAAUUUAAGGCAAGUUGAUGGCCUUCAAGCAGGGCUAAUGUAUCGAUAAAUGUGUAUCAUCAGAGACUUUACCAAUCAAUUUCAUCACUAUUCUCUAGCCAUAUGUACUAAACCUUUCGAGAUUGGAAAUCAUAAAUAGUUUUGAUUCCUUGGCAGUAUCCGUUAGAAUACCACCUAUUAGAAUCUCUAUGAAGUUUUAAUUUUCGUCGAAAUUUCCAUAAUUGUCUUGAGUGACAGUGGGGUGCUAAAAGGGUAGCACUUGAUGUAAGACCAUCAGGGGGACAAUCACUUUUGGUCCAUGGUAGCACUAAUCUUUCCAAACGCACUAGUGAUUAUUCUGGAUCUUCAGGGGGAAGAUCGACUUCCUCUAAGUCUGUCCUAAAGUAGAUUAUUAGAAAAUUCUUUUUCGGCCUUAGGACAUUCCAACUAACACUAGUUCCCGAGUUCUCUUUUGGUGACUUACUCGUCAUUUCGACAAGCAUAGGCAUCGAUAUAUGAGUUGUUACCUACAGUUAGUAAAAAUCCCUGAAGUAGUAAGUAUUUUCUUUAGAAUUAAUGAAACCACCUCACCGGGCCAAUUCUUUACCAAUCGUCCAAAACCAAUUAUCUAAGUGGGCUUUAGCUUGUGAUCAGCCUAUGAUGGCGCUAUUAACUGACUUUCCUGUCCAAUAUCCAGAAACUGUCAACUAAUAUUCUGGUGGUUGGUAUAACUUCUGAUAUUGGACAUAGGCUAGUAUCCGGGAGUGAUACCCUUAUGCCAGGACGCUGAUUUACAGUUUCAGGGUAGCGAACAAUAUCAAAAUAUCGUAUAUGCGUCAAUUAGCGGCGCAACUGGUGGACUGAUUAACAGUGACUACUUGAGCCGAAUAAAUUAAAUUGUGGAAACUUAAGAGUAGACCUUGUAUUAAGACAGUAAACUCACGGUUAUGUUAACCAUAUUACCUAUUUAGGUAAUCAAAACUUCUUCAACCAACCACUUCUCGAUCACUUUCACAGAUAAAUAGUAGGAUCAAAAUACGAAAUGACAUCUCACUGUUAGAAUGUUUGGAGUGUCAAGAAAACUGUGAAAACCUUUUAGUUCAUGUCGUAGAGUUGUUAGCAGUUUAGCACGGUCUGAGGAGGUAUACCUUUGGCAUCAUUUUUCAAAAUUCUAACGAAGGCCAAGUGAGACUUGGCUGAAGUCGCCAUUAAUACUAGGUACUUAUGGUAUUUUCCUAGUAAAGAAUAAUGCUACCAUUUUACUUAGAUGAUAGUAAACUGCAGUCGCUGAUAAGAGCAUGGUCAGUAAAAAUGGUCAAAGCGUGAACACGUAUAAGCCGAACCACAGACUAACGACAGUUUAAAAACUUUUGUAAACUACAGUUGGAAAGUAAAGAGUAAUUAGGAUUUGAUACUCGGUUAUGAUCCAAUUUGUGUAGCCAACGAGAUCUUACAUCAUCAAGAUCAAGUGGGAGAUAUUAAAAUAUGAUGGGGUGUGCUAUCCACACACCCCAUUUUACUUCUCACACACAUUUUGAUAAUUUAUGUCCGUUGAUCUUCUUUAAUUCAUUCGAUUCGAUUGUCGAAAAUUAAAAAUGUGUGUGAGAAAUAAAAUUGGGUGUGUGGAUAUCACACCCCAAUAUGAUCAUGAUGAUGUUGGCUUUACUAUGCAUAUAUUUGAUGUAUGGAGGUGCAUCGUAAGAAUGGUGUAUUGAUAUACACUUAACCAAAAAGUAUGUUAAGAGGUAUGACUUAAUAAUGAUUAUACCAAGUGUCUUAUCAUGAAAGGAUAAGACUAUUCAGAGAUGUCUCAUAACUAUCUGAAAAAGGGUGCGAUGAAAUCUAUAAAAAGAUGAUUCAUUCCUCAGACAAAUCAAUCCAAAGCGAAAUACAUUUUAUCUUCUUCCCUUUGGUGUGCUAUUUCUCCCUUGGCACUACUGCAUAGUAAUCAAUAGUCUAACGACAUUAGAGAUUGAUCCUAAUCCAUAAAAUUCUAUAUUGAAAAGCAUUUAUGAGGGAGUCGCUAUGAUUUGCACGCCAUGUUUACUGACCAAGUGGUGAAUGCAAGAAAUGUGAGUGAUGUUUGGAAUGUAGGGUUGCAGACGGAGCAUGGAAUUAAGGGCACGUUUACUAAUCUAUAGUUAGAUUGAGAGGAAUUGAAUUGAGGAGGAAUUGGAUUGAGGAGGAAUUGGAAUGAGGUGGAAGUAGAAUCAGAUUCCUGUUGAAGUUGUUUACUAAAACUGUCUGGAAUCGGAGAGGCAUGAUGUUGGUUAUAUAUAAGUUGUUUACUAAUUCACUGGAAUCGGAAUUAAAACUAGCUUGAUUACUAAAUUGCCCUUAUUUAAAUAAAUUAUUUUUAUACUAAUUAAUCAAACUAAUUUAUUGCGCAAAAAAAAAAAAAAAGAAAACUAAUUUUAUAUACCAAAAUUUAUCUAUAUAAAAAAUAAUUAAAGAUGUUUCUUUUUGUUAGAAGAUGGUUAUUUCCAUUUGCCCCCACCACAUAAAACCAUCCUGAAAGCUUUAUUUUCCCAGUCGCAACAACCUUCCCCCAUCCUCGCUUUUCCAUGCCCUCCACCCCACUUACCCCUAUAGCCACCGCCCCUAGCCCCAAUUUCUUAAACCCUUUAUCUCUCUCCUCUAUGCCCUCCCUCUCCGCUUUCUCGGUUACUCCCGCCAUGGUUUGCAAUGUCGUUCAAUCCAACGCAUCUGUGAAAGCUGGUGAGUGGGUUGAAGUUCAGAGAUCUUAUAUAUGCUUCCUGAGUGGGUUGCCUACUAUCGAUCGUAGUGGGUAUGAUGUUUGGCUGAUGGGUUCUUUUUUUUUUCUUUUCAUUUUCUCUAAAUUUGAAAUUUUGAUUGUUGAAGUCAAGGAUGGGUGCGAUAAUUCUACAUAUGGUGGCUGUUAUAUUUGUGGUGGUUUUAGGAGGGGUUGUGAUAGGCCUGGUGGGUACGGUUGUUAUUGUGUCCAUUAAUGGUGGUAGAUUUGGGAAAGACAAAAGAUUGAGUGGGUGGUCUGGGCUUGUAGAGGAGUUGGAAAGUAAAACUGCAAGGAGUGUUUCGAAAUUAGAAAAAAAAACUAUGGGGGUAAUAUUGGUACAUAAGGUGGAUUCUUGAUAGGCUUCAUUUCGGGGAAUUCAAUUACCACCUCAAUGUCGAGAAUUGAAUUCCGGGAGUUUGGGGAGUCUGAUUCCCUAUAUUAAGUGGGGUCCCACACAUUUUUUUCAUUCCCAAGUGUUAGUAAACGGAGGAAUGAUCAGGAAUGGGGAAUGACUCCCAUUCCGCCAUAUCCAUUCCCUAUAUGUAACCACGCCCUAAGAUAGGUGAGGUUGAAAGAACAACUAGAAGAUUGAUGGUUGAGAAAGAAUAAACCAAGAGACAGCCCUAAAAGUGCAGGACAUGAAUGCUUCAUCAUCCUUCACGACUUGAACAUCGCACCACAGUGAUUGCAUCCACAUAAAGGAAGCCAAUGGGAAGAGGCUACCGACAAGCUACAUAGCCAAUAAAGGCGAAGACAUGGAAGAAGGUGGUGCGAACACCCGAGCUGAAGCUCUACGCACCUUCCAAAUAAAACACAAGUCGCUAAGGCCAUCUCCAACCGAAAGGGUCCAGAGGGCCAGAGGGCCGAAAAUAACCCCGAAAACCGUCUUCAACCGAGGGCUAGGCCAGAGGGCUCUGGAAUCUGGGAGGGCCCCACGGAAUCGAAAAGGGCUGGAGGGCUGGCCAUUUUUUUUAUUAAUGUUUUGUUAUUACUGUCGGUUAUAGCCGACAGGAAUACCGACAGUAAUACAUUUAUACUAAAUAAUAUAAAUGUAUUCCUGUCGGUUAUAACCGACAUGAUUUCUUAAGAAAGAAUUCAAAUGCAACGGCUAGCUGACUAGCCGUUGCAUUUGAUUUUUAUUUUUUUAUUUUUUUAUUUAUUUUUUUACAGUUUUAUUAUUAUUUUUUAUUUACAAAUUUUUUCAUAUAACUUCUAUUUUUUCCUAUAACUUUUAUUUUACAAAAUUUGUUUCAUAUUUUUUUUAAAUUCCAUUUUUUCCUAUAACUUCUAUUUCAAAAAAUUUGUUUCAUUUUAUUUUAAGUUGUAGUUUUUAAAUAAUAAAUUAUGUUUGGCCUUAUGGCCCUCUGACCCUCGGUUGGAGACGCUUUUUUGUGACAGGGCUAAAACGAGCCAUCUGGCCCUCUGGCCCUCGAUUGGAGAUGGAGGAAAAUAUGGUCUUGUACUGUUCAUUAAAAUAUUAAUAUCUUGGAGGAUCUUAGAGGGCCAGAGAGCUAAAACGAGCGCUCUGGCCAGCCAUCGGUUGGAGAUGGCCUAAGAAGAUCAAUUGCAAACAUGGUUUGAUGUUGAAUCAAAGGAGGACUAGGAGCAGGGAGAAGGGUGAGGAUUGGAUUCAUGAGAUUCAUGGUGGUGGGUGGGCAGCAGGAAGUGGAGGAAAGGAGAAACAGGGAGUUUGAAACAAAAUUAGGGCUAAGAAAUCUAAGGCAAGAGGGAGUGGAGGUCAAGGGAAAUCCGAGAUGCAAAGCAAGAAAAACCAAACUAAAAAAAAGGAAACAAGAAGAUACAGGACUGCCACCCCAGGCCGCAGCUAGGAUCGGCGGUUGCAACGUUUGGAGAAAUAAAGAAACUCUCACAAGCGGAGAGAAGUGCUUUCACAGAGAGAGAAGAGCUUGGACCCCUAAAAUAUGCCUAUUUGCCAUUUUGGUUAAGCACAUCUUAUUGUUAUAAAUCGUUUCUUUAAGAAACUCGGUGUAAUUUAUUCAAUAAAAUUAAAAUUAAAAUUGUUGGGUUGAAUUAUGUGUAUACAUAAAUAUAGAAUUUUAGCAAUGUACUAACUACGUUUUUUAAGAAAGUUUUAAUAAAAAGGGUCUUAUUGUGAUAUACAUUUUAAUACGUGUGGUUGUGCAAAUCUUAAAUAGAGAUAAAUUAUGAAUCCUUUGGAAGCUAGAAGAUCUUUAAUAUUAAACUUUGUAUAACCCGAAGAGCAAAGCAAAGUUUCUCUCAUGUUUAUUAUUAUAUAUAAAGACACUAGGUCUAAGCAAUAACACAUAAUUUUUCAAGCUUAUUCUCCAUAUCUCUUUCUCUCUUGUCGUGUUCCCUCUCCCUCUUCUCAAUUAAUCAUGUUGCAAACCUCAUCGACAAAGAGGGAGAUUGAGUUUUCAUGUUUUUUUUUCAUUCAAUUUUAUUAUUAUUUGAUAUUUCUUUUAAAUUUAAAUUAGCAUUUUCCUUUUUAGUGAUAAUACACUCAUCAUCCAAGUUAAUUAAUGUUUAAAAAUCUUCAAAUCACUCUUAAUCAAGAUCAUUGGGUGUUAUAAGAUUUAAAGACUACAAAGAAGUGUUAAAAUAUUUAUCAAAAUAUUUAUAACUUGAUCUUAUCCCUUUAAUUAUAAAUGUGUAAAUAAUAUGAUCUAAAACUCCAAUGAUGACAUAUCCCGAGUAGCUGGUAUAAAUAAGCAACUUUGGCCAUCAAUCAACCGCAUAUUCAGGCCAAGCAACCACAUAUUCCCUAUUAUUACGACAGUAGCACAUUAAGUCAUAAAUCUUCAACGAACUACAUUUGUGUUGAACUCUCCUAUGGCACAGUGAACUUGUAUGACCCUACCAAUUUAAUUGAUUUAGGGCACAAUACGUUGAGACCUUUCAUAUACAUGUAUAAUUGGCCUCCUGUCCUCCACACCUGCCCCCUGUAUACAAUUUAUUGACAUUGUUGAACAAAUAUCGCGGCCGAUCAUGACACACCACUUCACAUUAAUGGUAUUGUCGUGAAUGAUGAAUAUACUUUCUGUUUUGUCGAGCCCCACAUUGCCGAGCCCCUUAUCAAUUUAACGAGAUGGGAUCCUCAUCAGAUUUUUUUGGAAGGAUCUCGAGGAUUCUUUAACUCUUUUUUUUAUCGUAUAUCUUAUAGUUCGAAAUUAUUUUAAAUUAUAUUAUUUAAAAUUAAAUACAAAUAAUACAUGAUAAAAACUGACCGCACGAUGUACGAUAAAUAGACAUAAUUAAAAGAUCUCCGAAAUCCUCACAAAGAGAAUAUGGCGAUGAUCCUAUCUCCAAUUAACCACAUAUUAUUAGUUGUGAAGUUUUAUUACAAAAUGUUACGAUAAUAUUAGUAGUCAACCUCCUAUAGUUAAACUGUAUUAUAUAUUAUUUUGGUAUUUUUUUAAUGUGAUGCUCUAUUCUCCAACAAAUUCUCUAUGUAAGUAACAUUAACUCAAAAUUUUCAUUUAGUAUUCGGAAGAACUUAAGUCAGGGCAUUGAGUUAUUCAUGAAAGUCGAACUUAAGACAUCUUUUACUAAUAAAAAUAAAUAUUAUUAGACUGUGAUCAAUGCUAAGUAACUUUUUAUGGACUAUUUCUCAAUGUCCCCGCAAAUACUUGAAAAAGGAUUGGCCUCGUAUAACGCUAGCCAGGUAUAUGUGUGUAACGUGUAAAUAAUCAGUCCACAUUAUCAUUCUUUAGUGCAAGUUUUUCUAAAUAAUGUACGUUUAAAUUUGGGAUCCAAUAAAAUAAGAAUAAUGCUACACUUAUUAUAUUUUUUGUGGAGUACAAUUUUCUCCCUUCCACAUUCCUCCCCUUCAUUCCCCCCCCCCUCUCUCUUUCCUUUUUGUCUCUCUCUGUAAAAAAAAAGUCCACAUAAUAUGUUGACAUGACUUAAUCAUAAUCGUUUAAAUAGAAGGUGAAGAAGGAGAUGAGAAAAUCUUACUCUAUUUUUCAUACCACAUUUGUACUACAUUUCUAAUAAAAGUAGGAUCCACCAAUACAAAUGAUUUUCAUCUCUAUUAGAAGAAUUAUACUAUAAUAUAAAAAUGUAGUAUUUUUGAUAAAAUAAUGUACUCCUAUCAUUGUUUUUAAGUAAAAUGACAUGUAGCUACUCAAAAUAUCGAUAACAUUAAUGAUAUAAACCCCUGUUCUGAUUCUAUCCCCUCCUAAUCUCUCUCUCCCCUUCCCUUCCCUCUUACUUGAACGGUUACGAUUAAAAAUCCUACGCCCUGUUCUAGAGCUGGUCAAUAUUCUACACUAUAAAGGCGUCUCCAUAACCAUUAUCCACACCCGGUCCAACUCCAUCAACCUUUCAGCUCUAAACCCGCACUACACUCUACCACUCUAAACAAAAAUCAUCAACAGAAUAUACAAUCAAAUAGAAAAAUCCUAGUUUUUCAACCACAAGUUACAACUACUGAUCCGAAAUCACCAAAACCCAAUUGAAGCACAUAAGCCAAAUUCAAAAUCAACGCACCAAUUUGUCUUCACUCUUAAAGGUUUAAUGUUUAAUAGUCACAGUCAGUCAGUCAGUCACCACCCUGUCCUUUGCCUACCUCCUAUCGUUGGCGUGGCACCAUUUGUCUAACGUGUAUUGAGGAAAGCCUCUGAAUUGGCUUAGUAGAAGAAAGUAUUUGGUCGAAAUUUCAAUGUAGGUCAAGUUGGACUUGAUUGAAUUUGCCAUUAAUACUUGGUACGGAUGGUAUUUUCUUAGUCAAGAGUAAUGCUAUCAUUUUACUUGAACGCUAGUAAAAUGGAGUCACUGAUAAAAGUGUGGUCAGUAAAAGUGGUCAAAUUGUGAGUACGUAUAAGUCAAACCACGGACUAACAAAAGUUUACAAAUGUUUGUAAACUAUAGUUGGAAAGCCCAGGGCAAUUGGGAUUUGAUAUUCGGUAAUGAUCCAAUCUGCGUAGCCAACGAAAUCUUACAUCAUCAAGAUCAAGUGGGAAAUGUUGGAAUAUGAUCAUGAUGAUGUUAGCUUUACUAUAUAUGUACUUGAUGUAUGAAGGUGCACCAUAAGAAUGGUGUAUUGACAUACACUUAAUCAAAGGGUAUGAUAAGAUGUAUGACUUAAUAAGGGUUAUACCCUUCUAUAAGUGAAUUGUCUUAUCGUGAAAUGAUAAGAUCAUUUAGAAAAGCUUCACAACUCUCUGAAAAUGGUACGAUGAAGUCUAUUAAAGGAGGAUUCAUUCAUCAGACAAAUCAAUCCAACUUGAAUUGCAUUUUCUCUUCUUCCCUUUGGUGUGCUAUUUCUCCCUUGGUUCUACCGCAUAGUAAUCAAUAAUCUAAUGACAUUAGAGAUUGAUCCUGUAAUCCAUCAAAUUCUACAUUGGAAAGCAUUUGUGAGGGUGUACCUAUGAUUUGCAUACCAUGUUUAUUGACCAAAUGGUAAAUGCAAGAAAUGUGAGUGAUGUUUGGAAGGGGGGCUGCAGUUGGAGCAUGGAAUUGAGAGAGGUGAGGUUGAAAGAACAAUUAGAAGACUGAUGGUUGAGAAAGAAGGGGAAGUGAUCAAAGAGAGAGCCUUAAAUUUGAUGCAAAAGGCAAAUCGUCGCCUCAAAGAAGGUGGCUCUUCGUACUAAUUUUUGAAAGGAUUGGUUAAACACAUCUUAUCGUUAUAAAUCAUUUGUUUAAAAAACUCAGUAUCAUUUAUUCAAUAAAAUUGAAAUUAAAAUUGUUGGGUUGUAUUAUAUGUAUACAUAAAUAUAGAAUUUUAGCAAUGUAUUAACUAGGUUUUUUAGAAAGUUUCAAUAAAAACGGUCUUAUUGUGAUAUACAUUCUAAUACGUGUGAUUGUACAAAUCAUAAAUAGAGAUAAAUUAGGAAUUCUUCGGGAUUUAGAAGAUAUUUCCUAUUAAACCUUGUAUAAUCUGGAGAGAAGUUUCUCUCCUGCUUAUUGUUAUAAAUAAAGACACUAGAUUUGAGCAAUAACAUACACACAAAAUUCCUCAAACCUAUUCUUCAUCUCCCUCUCUCUUGCCGUGUUCCCUCUCCCUCUCCCUCUCCUCAAUUAAUCAUAGAAGAGUCUUCAUCCAAGGCAUGAAAGUUGCAGACCUUAUCCACAAAGAGGGAGAUGGAGUUUUCAUGUUUUUGUUUUUUAUGUUUUUCUUAUUUUUUUCAAUUUUAUUAUUAUUUGAUAUUUGUGUUUUCCUUCUUAGUGAUAAUACACUCAUCAUCCAAGUCAUUUAAUGUUUAAAAACUGCAAAUCACUCUUAAUCAAGAUCAUUAGUGUUAUAAAAUUUAAAUACUACAAAGAAGUGUAAAAAUGUUUGUCAAAAUCUUUUUUCCCCUGAUCCAACCCUUUAAUUAUAAAUGUGUACAUAUUAUGAUUUAAAUCUCCAAUCAUGGCAUUUCCCAAAUAGCCAGUAUAAAUAAGCAACUUUGGCCAUCGAUCAACCACAUAUUCAAGCCAAACAACCACAUAUUCCCUAUCCUUGAGAUAGUAGCACGCUAAAUCCUAAGACUCCAACGAACCACAAUUAUGUUGAACACUCCCAUAGUUGAUAUGGCACAUGAACUUGUAUGACUCCACUAAUUUAAUUGAUUUAUGACUCAAUACGAUGAGGCCUUUUGUAUGAGAAAUUUUUCAUUGUGACCAGAACACGGGUAAUACAUUAUGUUUUUUUUAUAUAAAUGGCGGGAAAUUUUAUUUUUUAAGUUAUUAAUUUUUAAACAUAUAUAUCCACCAUUUAUAUAAUGACACGUGAUGUACUAUCCUAUAUUCUAAUUGCAUUAAAAAACCUCUCCGUUAUAAUUGGCCUCCUGCCCUCCAUGCUUGCCUCCUGUAAACAAUUUAUUGACAUUGUCAAACAAAUAUCGCGGCACAUAAUGACUCACCACUUCACAUUAAUGGUAAUGUUUAAUUGUCAUCACCAUCCUCUCCUCCACACCUAACUCCUAUGUGUGUACAACGUAAACAAUUUAUGCGAUAGAAUAAAUAUCGCGGCCCAUCAUGACUCAACUUUACAUUAAUAGCAUUGUCGUGAAUUUAACACAUUGUUUUAAAAAUUUCCGUCUAACGUUGCUUACUCCCCGUCUAGGUGCUGCGAUGCUAGGCGGCUGGCCACCGUUUUGAUUAGUUCCUAUACAUUUGAAAAUUAAGAAAAUACGCAUAGACCUGCCCGAUGAUUUCUGGUUAUGGCCAGAAAAUAGCCUAAAAGGUGACUGGUCUGCGGGAAAACUGGAAAACUCGUCGAAAACUGUGUAAACUUUAAACGUUCAUAACUUCUUCAAUACUCAACGAAAUCGAGUGAUUCAAAAUGAAAAUCAUAUUUCUUGACGAGACGAAGAGAAUGAAAUCUUUCUUGACUGCUAACUCGCCGUGGUUUGGCCGGAAAACUGCUCGAAAGUGGCUAACUCAAAAAUGGUUAGCCAUUUUCGAGCCGUUGUCCGACCAAACCAAGGCGAGUUAGCCUUCGAAAAAGGUACCAUUCUCUUCGUCUCAUCAAGAGGUAUGAUUUUCAUUUUUGAAUCACUAGAUUUCAUUGAGUAUUGACAAAGUUAUGAACGUUUAAAGUUUACCCAGUUUCCAGCGAGUUUUCUUGUAUCACCUUUCAGGCUAUUUUUCGGCCAUCUCCGGCAACCAUUGGGCUUCCAAAUAGGUAUAAUCUUAUUCUACACUUUCCUAUCUUCAUUUUGAUAUAUUAUGGGUCGAAUUUGGUUAAGAAACGAUUGAGUUACAAAACUAUGAAAAUUGCCCAAAGAGUUUUUAACGGAAUGACCAAAAUCAUGGAUGGUGGACAAUCUCAGGGGCCAUUUCUAUUGAUCAUGCAAAUCUCAAGGACUAUUUUGUAUAAUAACCCUAAUCUAUAUGUAAUUUUAUUUUACAAUUGCUGUAUCACAAUACAAUUAUGUAUUUUUUUUAAAGUAUAAAUAGACACUUAUUAUCAGUGACUUUUAAAAAUAUAUUGAAAAUGCUCUCUAGGGUUUUCUAGGUUUUCUCUCUAGGGUUCCCUAGGAAAGCGACGGCAAGGAAAUUAUGGCGGGCAGCGCCGAAGGGUUUUUAGUUCACGAUUUCACAAUUGGAUAUGGAGGCGUAUUCUUCAUUUGGGGAGGGAAAAGUGCUGGGGUCUAUUCAAGGGCGGUGUGCAGUUUAUGCAGAGGCGUAUGGAGGAUAUGUUGGAAAAUUUCGCAACUAGGCUGGUGCUUACUACUGAAGAGCAAAUGGUGGUUGUGGUUGAUGACAAUGAGGGUUUAUCCCUCAAAACAUCCAAAGUGUUCUUAGUAGGAAAGGUUCUUUCUCAUAAGCCUGUUGGGAAGGAUAGGUCUAGGAGACGUAUGAUGCAUCUUUGGUGUCCAAAGGCUCGGGUAACGGUGGUAGAAUUGGAUGAUGAUUUGUUCUUGUUUGGCUUCGAGAAUAAACAAGAGCAAACAAUGGUGGUAAAAGGCAGUCCUUGGUUGUAUGACGGGGCUUUGUUGCUAUUGGCAGAAGCUGAUACAUUGGCUAACCCUAAUAAGAUUCCACUCUACGCCCAGGAGUUUUAGGUUCAAAUCAAGGGUUUGCCUCUUGGGUAUAUGACGCAGAAUAUGGGGUAAUUUAUCAGAAAUCAGACAGGUAAACAUAUUCUCACGGAUCAAAGCUGAAAGGGAGAAUUGGAAGGUCGAGUGCUACGUAUACAGGUGAAGUUGGAUGUUAUGAAACCUUUUCGCAUGAGUUUGCUACUUUAUAUUGAGGGUUUCGUGGUGAGUGUUGAUCUUUGCUAUAAGAAGCUUCCAAUCAUACGAUAAUUAUGUGGACUUGUUGGUCAUAUGGAAGAACGAUGUGAGAAGUUUUCAGCGAAGAAUGAAGAUAAUUUAACGAAACCUUACGGUCGAUGGUUCCAGAAUGAUGUUCUUGAAGCCAACUACCGUCGAACACAGGGUACUCGUUUUGGCUUGGAGCCUUCACAUGGAUGGUCAACGAAAGCAUCGAUGGACGUGAAUGAGGAGGAGUUUAAUUACUCUUCGAUGGUUCGGCCUCCAGGACGGCUGUGUCUAGAUUAGUGGCGAAGGGGGAUGAUGAAUUGGAAAACAGUACAGUGGGGAAUGAUCGGAAUAAUAGGAUCAAUAAUGAGGGCGUCGACUUAGAUGAGAUGUCCAUUGAUGACCUAGCUGUUGUCCAUUUUCAGGAACUUCCAGUUGAUCUAGCGUUGAUGGGGACUAAUCAGGGGGACAUAUCAAUUGACUCAUGUGGUUUGAGACUCUUUGGGUUUGAUUUGAAUGUCCCGAAUGUUGAUAAUGACAUGUUUCGAGGAGUACAUGCUUGAUGUUAACUGAUGGGCCCAAUGAAGCAUACAAUAAGGAUGAGGUGAGAGGGAGUGGGCUUAUGUUUAGUUCUAAUAUCGUUCAGCAUCAGGUAUCCUUUCAUCAGGGGCUGCCUCCUCAUAGCAGGCAGUUUGAGGAGGGAUCUAAUGUUGUGGGGUUUGGAAAGUUUGAGAUGGGGUCUGACCCAUUUAACCUUAUGCCAAUUGUUGAACAAUUGCAGACAAAGAGGAGGAGGAAGUCAAAACGAGUUAGGAGGGUGAGGGGCACAGCUCAACGUGGUACCCCCUCUUCUGCUCAAGUAUCCACAAGUACAAGGCUACCGGCUUUAGGGAAACGUGCUGAGCGUGAAGAGAAUGAUAUUUUGGCACCUUCUAGUGAACGUAGAAUGAUUAUGGUCAAUGAGGUUGAUUCUAUUUUAUCAGCAGAGGUUGACGGUGGUCAAACCCGCCGGUCUCAAUAAGUUGCAUGAGUUGGAACUGCCGGGGGCUUGGGAACCUCCGUGCAGUUCAUGCGCUUCAACGUUUGAUUUUGAAUAAAGAUCCCACCGUGGUGUUUCUUUGUGAGACGAAGAGCAACGUUCGUUACUUGGAACGCCUACGGAUGAAGUUGAAUUAUGAUAGAAGUUUUACAAUUGCUAGUAAUGGAAAUUCGGGAGGUUUAUGUGUAUUAUGGAAGGAAGAGAUUGACUUGAGAUUGUAGUCUUAUUCAAAUAACCAUGUUGACUUUGAUGUGGAGGAGCCUGGGGAUCGUAGAUAUUGGAGGCUGACUAGGUUUUAUGGCUAUCCGGUGGUUUGUGAUAGGUAUAAGUCAUGGCAGCUAUUGGAUACACUCUAUGGCGAUGAGUCAAGUCCUUGGUUGUGCAUAGGCAAUUUUAACGAAAUUCUGCAAGUACACGAACAUGUGGGGGUAAUAUUCGGAGUGAGAAUCAAAUAGAGGGCUUUCAAAACAUUGUAGAGAGGUGUCAUUUCAACUAUUUGGAUUAUUCUGGGAACAUCUUUACGUGGUUUACAACCAGAGGGGGUGGUAUCAAGGUACAUCUGGAUCGUGCUUUGGGUACACAAGCUUAGUUUGAUUUGUUUCCGAGGUUCAGGUUGUAACACUUAAAUAAAACAUCUUUUGACCACGUCCCAAUCCUGCUCACAUGGGAUGAGAGGUGUAUUAGCCGAGGGAAGAGACAUUUCUGGUAUAAGAAGGCCUGGAAUAUGCAUGAGGGAUGUGAUGAGGUGAUAGGGCAAGGUUGAGAUACUAGUGUGGAAGGCUCGACUAUUUUUCAGGUGACUGAGAAGAUCAAAGCCACAAGAAUGUUGUUGAAUAGGUGGGCUCGAAGUAACAUAAGGUUAGGGCCGCAAGAAAUUAGGGAAGUUAAGGAUAAACUCACGAGUUUGCUGGGGCAGCCGUUGACAAGUGAGUCCAUUAAACAAAAGAAAGUACUGGUAGGACGGUUGAAUCUCUUACUUGAGCAGGAGGUACUCUUCUGGCGACAGAGAGUGAAGGAAAAUUGCGUGAGGCUUGGGGAUCAGAAUACGAAAUAUUUUCAUCAGAAAGCUAAUAAAAAAAAAAAAAGGAAUUGGUUGCAUGGCCUUACGGACAAGGGUGGGGUGUGGCAUGAGGACCAAAAGGGUAGGGAGAAUGUCGUGCUUUCCUAUUUUACCAGCUUGUUUACAUCGAAUGAUGCUACCAUGUUUGAAGAAGUUUUGAGUAACAUAACGCCUUUGGUAAUGGAGGAUAUGAACGUUGAGCUCAAGAGACCUAUGUCGGAUGAUGAAGUAAAGUGUGUUGUGUUUCAAAUGCACCCUACUAAGGCUCUGAGGCCUGAUGGCAUGACUCCAGGGUUUUACCAAAAGCAUUGGGGAAUUGUAGGGUUGGAUGUAUGUAGAGGAGUUUGUGAAAUGGUGUUAUCUGGUCAUAUACUACGUAAGAUCAAUUACACUCAUGUCACUUUGAUUCCCAAAGUGAAAGAAGUUACGAAGAUGUCUCAGUUGUGACCUAUCAGUUUAUGCAAUGUAAUUUAUAAAAUUAUGUCGAAGCUGUUAACAAAUCGUUUGAACUCUGUUCUUCCUCGUAUAAUUUCCCUCACUCAUAGUGCGUUUAUUCCUGGGAGGUUGAUUUCAGAUAAUUAUUUGGUGGCGGCGGAGGUUGCUCACUAUAUGCAUAAAAAUCCUCGAGGAUGAAUGGUUUUAAGGCAUUGAAGCUGGAUGUUAGUAAGGCCUACGACCGGUUGGAAUGGCAUUUUUUGGAGGCCAUCAUGACUCGGAUGGGUUUUUCACCGAGUUGGGUUCGAAUGGUUAUGUUAUGUGUGACCAUUAGUUACAACUUCAAUGUAACUGUCUAAUCCAAAUUAGUUUGAAUCUCAUUAGGUUUCCCUCCAAGACUUUAAAUCCGGAUAUUGCAUUAGUGCAUUAGUUAGGCUAAGUUCAAUAUAUAUAACUCACUUAACUUAUAAUGUUACACUUGUCAAAUGUUUGAUGAAACUCACAUUAAGUUUCUUACACAAAUCACCCCAGAAAAGUGUGUAGGAAGAUGAGAAUAUUUUGAGUUGAUUUUAUUGUGAUUGUCUUCUUACACCAUUCAAAUUCAAAGUCUAAGUAAGUUAAUGAUGCUGCUUCUGGAUCCUAAUAUGGUAGCAAUGAUACUGAAGAACUAAUUAGGUUUUAGUUUUAGGUGUAAUUAAGUUUUAGUUUUGAGGGUCAUUAGGUCUAUUUAAGUGAAUUUUUUACUAUAUUUGAAUUGUUUUAUAAAAAAUGAUAUUUAAGAAUUUGUGGAGUAAAUUUUUGCUAUAAAUGAUAAAAACCCCGGCAAAUCUCACCCUCUGGUACCACUCUCCUCCGUCGAACACUAACGUACCCCUUCCUCCAACCUUUCCGUUGAUUCUAGCCCUAGUAGUUCUACCAACCUCUCUUCUCUGUCGAACCCUCUCCUCCGCUGAAACCUCCAUCUUCCGUCGAACCGAUCCCCAAUUCCUCCUUCGUGGAGCCCAUCCCCAAUCCCUCAUCCGUCCUCUCCUCCAUUUGAUUCACAGUCGACCUCACUCAUCCACCGAAUCAGAUCACCUAAUAAACUAAAUCAGUCAUUUCUAAUGAACUAGAAGCAACAAUAUACAUGGUUUCAAUGAUUUUGAGGUUAAGGUCAUUUUCUAAAAAAUCAUGCAUCAAAUUGUAUCUGGGAUGCGCAGAACUAUGGUUGCUCGCGAGAAAGAAUGAGUGUGUUUGGUUACGCAUGAAAGAAAAACAGGAGUACUGGCAACCAUGGCAAAGUGAUAUUCUCUAAUAGCAACUCUAGCCCUAUCUUUUAGGGCUGAUUUGGUAGUACUUUGCUUAAAAAAAAAAAAAAAAACUAUUUAUGCUAUGUUGUGAAAAUAAGAUCAUUUUUGCUGCUUCACGUUUUUAGUUUUUUUUUCACCCAAAGUGAAAAUAAGUUGUUUUUAAGUGUUUACCAAACACUUUUUUAAGCUCAGUUUUUUUUUUAUACCCACUUUUUAUAAAAGCACAUUAGUAUCAAAUCAGUACUUAGGCUGGCCCAAAGCCUACAAAAUAGGCUGGUACCCAAAAACUCCACCCCACUCUUAAAAAUAUGCCGGUCCAAAGUCUAAGUCAGUUUGUAGGUCGAUCCAAAAUAAACUGAGGUAGGAACUGACCUAUCUAACGUCAUACUGACACCAGCAUAACGUCAGCGAACAAUAGGGUUGGAGUUGCUCUAAGUGGUCCACUUAAUAAGUUGGCCAGAAUACUCGUCCAUCAAUAAAUUCUACUUUGGACCAUUGGAGAGCAUUUAUGAGCCGGUCCCUAUGAUUUGCAUGCUAUGUUUUACUGACCAAAUGGUGAAUGCAAGAACUGUAAGUGACAAUUUAUUCACGUUGUCGAACAAAUAUCGUGGCCAUCAUGACUCACCACUCACGUCACAUUAAUGGUAUUGUCAUGAAUUUAACCACAUAUUAUUAGUUGUAAAGUUUUAUCACAUAUUAUUAGUUGUAGAGUGGUGUGAGUUUAUGGGUUUUAUAUGUACAACGUGAGACCCAACCACUUCUUGUUUUUCUCUAUUUUAUGAUUGGCUACCUAUUUUCUUUUUCUUGUUAUUUAUUUUAUAGGCUUGACACUCAUGAGUUUAAUAUAUUGAACUUAAAAAUAGAAUCACCCUCAUAGCACUCAGAUUUUUGGGCAUAUUGUAAGAAAUUAAUUCCUAUAUUAUUGGUAUCAUACUUACUUUUCUGGUCUGUUGUAGAAGGUUUUAGCGGGAUUAUACAAAUAUGAUAUUUAAAAUGUGGUAGUAGUAAUAUUUUUGAUAAACUAAUGUAUGUCUAUCAUUUUUUUUAAAUAAACCGACAUAUGGUUAGUCAAAAUAUCAACAAUAUUAAUGAUAUAAAUAAUAGUCGUGAACCCAUGAAAUAUUAACGUAAUUAUCAGUAUUAUUAAAUAAUCAGACAUGUGACAUAAUGAGACAACAUAACCUAAAUUGCACUCCUUGUUAUAAAGUCAUAAAGUUGUGAAACUUUUUUUUUGUUUCUGCUAAAGGUGACACGCUUAACUUGUGGUAAAACAAGAGUUUCCACUGACCCAGUAAUCUAUAUAUACAUGAAAUUCAUAAGCUCACAAGUCACACAAAGGUAAGCAAAAACAACAUUCUUUGACCAAAAAGAAAAAAAAAAGCAAAAAGAAACAUUCUCGAUUCAAAAAUGGAGCAAAGCAAGGGCAGGAGAGUGAUCCUCUUCCCACUGCCGUUUCAAGGCCACAUAAAUUCUAUGCUAGAACUGGCCAACGUUCUACACUCCAGAGGCUUCUCCAUAACCAUUAUUCACACACGCUUCAACUCCCUCAACCCUUCUACCCUAAACCCACACUUCACGUACCAUUCAAUCCCUGUCGACUUCUCCGAAACCGAGGCCGCCUCGAGGGAUCCCAAAGGUUUUUUUUAUCUUCUCAAUGUUAGAUGUAUCGAGCCUUUCAGAGAAUGCCUGGCCAGGUUGUUAUCGGAUGAUGUUAAGUUGGAAGGCCCCGUUGCUUGCUUGAUCUCAGACACUCUUCUUCACUUCACUCGACCCAUUGCGGAGAGUUUUAAGCUUCCGAGGAUCUUGUUAGAUGUCUCGUGCGCCACUAAUUUUGCUGUUUUGGCUGUGUUUCCGCUUCUCAAGGAAAAGGGUUACCUCCCAAUACAAGGUACAUCAGAUAUAUGCUUCUUUCUUUCUAUGUUGGUUACAACAAAAUAACUCAUUACCAUUAUUAGUUGCAUAAAAUAGAGUUGCUAAUUUUUUUUUUUUUGACACAGAUAGUGCUUUUAUCAGAAUAAUUGUCAAAUAUUACAAAAUGUCUUUUUACUCGCCAUUGGUACAUAGUAUUACUAGUUCACUGGUUAUAAACAUGAUUGAACUGAUGAUAAUAUACAAAUACUUGAACAACUUAUAUUUGGCUUUCUAUUAUAUUGGCAAUAAUUAGAUUCUCGACUAGAAGAGGUAAUCACAGAACUAUCACCUAUCAAAGUUAAAGACCUGCCAAAGGCGCCCGGUUCCGAUCCUGAGAAUUAUUAUCAACUGGCCAUCCAAGUGUCAAAUGAACCAAAGUCUUCUUAUGGACUCAUCUUAAAUACAUUUGAAGAUCUUGAAGGACAUGCUCUGGCCAGAAUCCGCCAAGAACACCUGCCCAAUGUUCCCAUUUUCCCAACAGGUCCAUUUCACAAGUGUUGCCGUACAAUAUCCUCUUCAAGUAGUUUAUUGGCACAAGAUCAGAGUUGCAUUUCAUGGCUGAACACUCAAGCGCCCAAAUCUGUUGUUUAUGUUAGCUUUGGGAGCAUUAUUCAGAUAGAGGAAGCUCAAUUUUUGGAGAUAGCUUGGGGGCUGGCCAAUAGCAAUCAACCUUUUUUGUGGGUUGUUCGACCCGGGUUGGUUAACGGGCUUGAUUGGCUUGAAGCGUUACCUAACGGGUUUUUGGAAGCAUUGAACGGGAGGGCUUACAUUGUAAAAUGGGCUCCACAAAAAGAAGUGUUGGCCCACCUAGCAGUCGGAGCCUUUUGGACUCACAAUGGUUGGAAUUCUACAAUGGAGAGCAUUUGUGAAGGGGUCCCUAUGAUUUGUACACCAGGUUACAUUGAGCAAAUGCUGAUUGCAAGAAAUGUGAGUGAUGUUUGGAAGGUAGGGCUGCAAUUGGAGCAUGGGAUUGAGAGAGGUGAGGUUGAAAGAACAAUUAGAAGACUGAUGGUUGAGAAAGAAGGGGAAGAGAUCAAAGAGAGAUCCUUAAAGUUGAUGGAAAAGGCAAAUCGUUGCCUCAAAGAAGGUGGCUCUUCGUACCAAUCUUUGGAUGGCUUGGCCAAGCACAUUUUAUCGUUAUAAAUCGUUUGUAUAAGAAACUAAGUGGUAUUGCAAGUAGCUCUUUACCACAGUGGUGAAAAUAAGUUGAGCCCUUGCAUGAAGGCAUGAGUUUAAACCCUGUCGGUGACUAAAUAAAAGAAAAUAUAUCGUUUAACCAAAAAAAUAAUAAUAAUUACUAAGUGGUAUUAUUUAUUCAAUAAAAUAAAAAUAAAAUUGUUGGGUUGCAUUAUGUGUUUACAUAAAUAGAGGCUUUUAGCAAUGUGUUAACUACAUUAUGUGUAUAAAAUAAAAUCUCGACAAAAGCCAGUCUUCACUUUACUACCCGAUUCGCACAUUUCAACUUAAUCUUCAACUCAUUCGAACAUGUGAUGUAGGUCAGAAUACCAAUAAACCAAAACAAUAAUGGUUCUAAUUAGGCCUGACAAUUUUGUAAACGACACGAAAAUAAUAAGUUUCGGAUAAUUACUAAGUUACCCAUUAAUAACGGGUUUACACACAGGUAACUGGUGGUUAACCCAUUUCGACCUGUUAAGAAAAAAAUAUUUUGAUGAUUUGAAAGUUAAGCUACUAAACAAACUUACUAUAAAAUAUAGUAUAUAUUGUAUAUUAAAUAUGUAUUAUUGUAUUACUAUUCUACGUAAGUUAAAAAAAAAAGUUUUAUUUAUUUAUUUUUAUUAUGAGAGUUUCUUAUCAUUACUACGAUAAAUUUUACUUGACAUGGUAUCCUAAAUUCAAAUCAACUAGUAUAAUAUUAGUAUAAGCAAAAUGACAGACUUUCAAUUUCAGAGUCAACGACGUAGCAAAGUUUUUACUCUCUCUUAUACAAUCAUACUCAUAAAUGUUUCAUCCUCUUAAAAGUGAGAUUAAAACAUUAUAAAACACAUUAAAAAAUUAAAUAUCAAAGUAAUUUAAAAACACCAAACAUAUUAAAAAGUAUAAUAAUUAAUUUACAAGUGCAAAAAAUGUGAAAAAAGAAUAUGCAAAUACUUGUGAUCACAUCCUCUACGCUUUGAGAUGGGUACAUCAUUGUUUGAAUUUUUAAAAACGUACAAAGCCUCAUGAAUAAUAUUUUUAGGGGAGUUCAAAAUAAAUAAAAUUUCGUAAUAAUUAAUGUACAAGUGUGAAAAAUGUGAAAGAAUAUAUAAACGCUCGUGAUUGCAUCCUCCACGCGUAGAUGAUGGAUACAUUGUCUUUUAGAAUUUUAAACCCUCCAAACCCUCAUGAAUAGUGUUUUUAUUUGAGUUCAAAAUUAAUAAAAUUUGUAAUAAUUAUUUUAUAAGUGUGAAAAAUGUGAAAAAAAUAUACAAUCACUUAUAAUGAUAAGCUUUACAACUUUCGUGAAGGGAUCAACUCCGAAAUCUGACACCAUAAUCCAUGAACCUUUGAUUUAUAUUUAAUCGUUGAUUAUUGUUUACGCUUUACUCUUUCACUAAAUUUUUUUUUUUCAUAUUUUCUUUUUUAAAAACAUGAUCUUUUAACGGAUACAGAAAAAUGAACGGUUCGGAUUGUUGAUAUUACGUUCCAAUAUUUACGGUUACCUGAAUAUGAGUCGAUGUUAUAUAGUUUUUGGAGACUUUAUAAACUCUAAGCAAUAAUUUCGCUAAUGGUAAAACUUUGAAUGUAAUAUCAAUGAUCCGAAUCGUUCAUCUUCCUGCAUCCUCUAAAAGAUCAUGUUUUCAAAAAAGAAAACCUUAAAAAAAAAAAUUGGUGAGAAGAAUUGAGCGUAAAUGUAAAUGAUUAUCAACGAUUACAUUUCAAUCUAUAGUUUAUGUGAUUAUAGUGGCGAAUUUUGAAGUUAAGCCCAUUAUGAAAGUUGUAAACCUUGUUAGUACGAGCGUUUAUAUAUAUAUAUAUAUAUAUAUAUAUAUAUUUUUUUUUUUUAAUAUCUUACACAUCUUUCACACUUAUCCAUUAAUUAAUAUUUAUGUGAUACGUGAAAGACAAAUGUGUUUUUAUGUUUUGAAGUAAUAUUUAUAUGAUAAUGUGGUAUGUAUAUACCAAUUUAGUAUUAUGUUUUUUAUUUGAUUAUUUACUGGUUUAAAAUAAAUUUUCUUUAAAGGAUAAUGGGUCGGGUUAUAUUACCUGUUAAUAUUAACAGUUCAAGUUCGGACUGGGUCAUAUUACUCGUUCAUUUUAACAGGUGUUGCAUGACACAACCCAUUAAAAUAUCAAGUAUGACAUGAAAACAACACGAACAUGAAAAACACAACACGAAUGCAGUUUUAAUAACAUGGGAGAAAGUUGUCUCAGAGCCUCCUAUAUGGCAUCCAAUAUAACAACCAAAUUAAAAUUUAGGGUUUCUUCGUCACAGUGAAUGCUUCCAAUCAAAAUAUACAUAUAUAGUAAUCAUCAUACUUACAUUGUCUACUUUUUGUUGAUCCAAAUUAUUGGCAUACAGGAAUUGCGGCAAAAAAACUCUUUCCGUGUGAGUUCUUCUCUCUUCCUGAGAGUCGUUCUCACUAUUGUGUGAGUGGUUUCCCUUCCGUUUGAUAAUGUCAUUGUCGGUCCUUGCUGUGGCGGAGAUCGGUAACAGAUCAUUCCAGUUAAUCUGCGUCAGAAUAUUAAUUGGGAAGCUAAAGUUUGUGCUUUAUUGAUAAUGGGAACUGGGACAAAGUCCAACUUUCUCAAGUAUUAGAUUUAGAUGUUGUGAAAAAAAAAUCUAUUUGGUAACUAUUCCCUUGCAUAAUAAGGAAGUUUACUUCAUUUGGGAUCAUUCAUCAACUGGUGAUUUCUCAAUUAAAUCAGCUACUUGGAUUCAGAGUAGUCAAAACCAUGAAGUGAAUAGACAAAGGCUCCUUAAGAGGUUGUGGAGGUUAAUCAUUCCCCCUAAGGUAAAAAAUUUUGCAUGGUUGCUUAUUCAAGGAAAAUUGCAUACUAAGGUAAGAUUGAGUAAAUUCAUUCAAAAUGCUAUUAAAGAUUGCUCGUUAUGUGGCAAGGAGGAAGAAACACAAAGUCAUCUUUUUCGGAAUUAUGAUUUUGCAAGAGAAGUCUAGAACAGAUCCCCCGUUAAAUACAUGAUGGAGUAAUGUUGGUCAUACGAAUGAGUUUUUAGAUUGGUUAGAAUUAAUUAACAAUGAUGAAUUCAAUGGUUUGAGUGAGCUUAGUAAGGCUCAUCUAAAUUGUCGGCAAAUUUGGAAUGACAUGAAUAAUAAAGUUUUCAGAAGCAUAAGUCCUCAUCCUGCCAGAAGUAUUGCCAUUGCCGCUAGAGUGGGUUUAUAUUAUUUUGAGGCCAAUUGCAAAAGGACUAACAAAAGCAACCUUUGUAAUCAAGCAAACAUUCGUUGAGAGCCUUCGCCCCAAGAUUUGGUGAAGUUAAAUUUUGAUGGCUUGGUUUAUUUAAAUAAAGCGGUUGCUAGGUUUGUUUUAAGGAAUGAGGCUGGACAACCUGUUGGAGCUGGUGCUUUUAAUCUCGAUGGGGCCACCACCUUGCUCGCAGAAGCCACUGCUUUAAAGGAGGGUCUUUCUUUUGCCAGGCUCAAAGGUGCGAGAAAGCUUGUUAUGGAUGGAGAUUCCAAGCUCAUCAUUUAGGUGGUGCAGGGGGAGUGGAACCCCCCUUGGCAUCUUAUACCGAUCAUUGAGGACAUCAAGUGGCUAGUAUCGGGAUUUCAGUGCAUUAGAUGGCAUCAUAUUUUUAGGGAGGCAAAUUUUGUUGCGAACAAAUUAGCUCACGUGGGUCUAGCAGUGACGAAUCCAUAUUUUAAGGAUAUUACGUUCCUACUUCGGCCUUGGAUGCUUUUAGAUUUGAUUGUUUGGGAAUCGGUUGUACUAGAGGCUUUUCUGUUUAAUGAAAUCUUUUUUCCUAUAACAAUAAAAAAAACAUAUUUAAUUUUCCAAAAUUUUUAAUAAGCCUUUUAAAAAUAAAAAUAAAAAAUAAAAAAUAAAAAAUAAAACAAAACACCACAAUUCCAAAUUAUUACUUUAGUCUAAAGAAGGCUUUUCAAUUGCACUGUACAAAUGAACAGUGUUUUGAACCACAUUUCAACUUAUUUACAAGAUUGCCACUGCCUCUUCAGUUUCAGAUUGAAAAUUUUGAUUUAUUUACGAAAUUGCCACCCUUCAGAGUGCACGUGUCGACGAUCGUAGAAAGGGUGGGGGAUGGAUGCAAACCCGAUUUUGUUCCAGAGAUCUCUUCGACGACAAACCCAUUUUGCUCCAGAGCUCUUCAACGACAAAGUCGAUUCGGCGCCUCGCCGCCGCACUCCUCGCCAGAACUCGAAUCAAUGGUAACGUGCCAAUUGUAUAUAUUUUUUGUCAAUUUUUAUCAUUAUUCUGGAAAUUAGGGUUUGAUCUAAAUUUGGUGUGGCUGUGCUUCAGCCAAAACUCACGGAUUAGGCUGAGAGAGAUAUAUAUGGGAGGAUUUGUGGACGGAUUUCAGGGAGAGAGGUGUGGGAUGGCAGGGAGGGGAAGGAAGAGGGAUGAGUGAGGCUGCCAAAAAGGGGGUUAGGGUUGAUUUUUUUCUCCUCAAAUCAAUUGUGGUGUCGGUGAUUGAACGAGCAUUGGUUAGAAGGGAACUUUCGUUUCCUUUGUUUCUGAACCGGAAUGGGGUCGAUGGGACCAUGCUCUGUUGCACGUUCAGAUGAGUGAUUUCAGGGAUUUGGGGGUAGGGAGAGUGAUUUCAGGGAUUGGUAAUCCCAUCCCGUGUUUUCCCUUCAUCUCUGUCACACUCAACCUCUCUCUAAUCCUUUCUCUUUCACUCUCUUGCCAUGGAUUUGGAGGGGACUGAUGGGAGGGAGAAGGGCGAGGUAAUCAGAUUGAGUUUUAUUAGGGGGUUUGUGGGGUUUUUUUAGAGAUUUUUCUGUGAAAGCAUUGUUGUUGUAUGAAUUUUUUUUAUUGUGGGUUUUGAUUGUUUGGUUAUAAUUUUGGGUAUCUGUUUUGGUUUUUUCAAUCGGUUUUUGUGUAAGUCAAAGUUUUAUGCGGAUGAUCGUUGGUUCUAAACCAACCGAGCUACAUAUAUGGCUUUGCUUCCCAUCUACUGACAACGUUACCCUUCUUCGCUCUACAAAUUCCCUUCUAACUGUCCACACUUUUACAAAACCAAAACCAAUUUUAUAAAUUUUGAUCAGAUUUUUCUUCAGAUUAGAGAGAAAGGGUCAUAUAUUUUUGCUAUUUUCAGAGAGAGAGGAUUUGAUGGAAAAAGGCUAUAUUAGCAAAUAGAUGAUAUUUCAAAAUUACAGUCGUCUGAUUCACUUAUUUUUGUUCAUAUCUAAUAUUUCUGGAUUUUUCCAUGUACAUUAUAGAAUUUAGUGACAUUUGAUAAACAUUGAAUGAAGUCCUUCAGUGAAUCUCUCAAGGCGCUCGAAUCUGAUAUUUAGUUCGCCAACACUGUAAGAACUCCAAUUCUUUCUCUACUUACACAAUUCCAAAGCAAUGUGUAAUAAACAGUGGAAUUUUGAUUCAAGUUGUAGUAAUUGCCCUGCAAUUGUUUUUCCAAUAUGUUUAUACACUUACGGUACUCCAAUCUCUCUCUCUAUAUCUGUCUCUCUCAUUUCUUUUCGGUUUUGCAAAUCUCUGACUUUCGGUGGUUUUGUUUUCUUCCAGUUGUCGAUGAAUUUUAUGGACUUCCUUUGUAAUCCUUGCUGCAGAAAGCAAUCUCGACGCCGCUGUGGGCGAAGGAACGCCAUCAUACGAGCCACCACGCUACUGUUGGUAAUUUUACUUUUCUGAUUUUAUAUGAGUAUGUGGUUUGUUUGAUGAGAAAAUAUGGAAAACGAGAGAUUUUUUUUUGAAUUUAGGGUUGCUAUAACAUGAAUUUUCACCAUGAUUUGUGAUUGGUUUUGGGUAUCUUUCCUCUCUUAUGCUUUUUACACUGCCUGCAUCAACCCCUUUUCGUUUUUUGUCUUCUCUUCCAACUUAUGCCCUCAAUAAUGAUAUUAGAUAAGGCAUUUUAAAAUUUAUUGCUAAUAUUUUGAAAUUUGUGUUGUACUAAUGCCAUAAGGCAUUUUGAUUUUUGACAUUUUGUUAUGUUGGUUGGAAAGUUGGAGACUUUUCCUCUCUUUGCAUUUUGCUAUGCUGGUUGGAGACUUGCGAACUAUUGAUUUUGAAUGCUAUUGCUCUCUUUAUUCUUUAAAAUCGAGUAUUGGAAUUUUGAAUGGGACAGGAUUGGAUUUAUGACUUUGUGCUUUCCUGAAUGGGUUUAGUUUUGUACAGCUUGAAAUGUUGGUAUUGUUUUUGUUCAUGUAACUUUGGUUCAUUGUUCGUUGUGGGAUGAGAUUUGGGAUCUAUUUUUUUGUUUCAGUUUUUACAUAUCGAAUUUUCGAGAGCUAUUUGAUAACAGUCAGGCCUGUUUAGAGUCAGGUUUUAUAACUCAAACCAAUUCCAAUAGCUAUUUGGUAAUAGGAUGAGUAAUUAAGUAUCAAAGAGUGGGGAAUUCAAUGUCUUAUAUUGUCAAAUAUAAUGUUAUUGUGUAUGUAUUUACUUUGCAUAAACUUGGUCUCACUUUUGAUUGAAUUGUUGCAGUUCUUGGUAUAAGGAGCUAUAGCUCCAUUGAAGAAGUGAGAGGCAUACGACAAUAUUUCUUUAGUCUGGUAUGUCAUUUUAACGAUUGGAAUUCCACAAUUUGAUUAGUUUUGAUAAUUUCCGGAAGAAGAAGAAGGCCCUGUGUCCAAGUUUUAAAAAGCACACUUUGUAAUGCUUCAAAAUUUCAUGCUUUUUUUAGGAAUUCAGACAGGCAGCAUGCAGAUACUUCUGACUUUAUCAAGGUUAGUGAAUUAUGUGGUUUCUCCACGGGGUGCAGUUUUGUUGUUACACUUUGUAAAGCUUCAAAAUUUCAUGCUUUUUUCAGGAAUUUAGUAGUCCCCAUCAUCAUCAGUUUGUCUGCUAUUGCAGUUAGGGAAGCAUUCCACAGAAGAAGGCGGGGUUACACCUUCAGUUUAUUCACGCAAAGAACCAGUAUGUCGAAAAAUAUAUGUUACUCAAUUCUUAAAAACUUUAUGGCGUGACAAAAUAAAUUUGCAAAUUGCUAAUUUUUCUGUUUUGUAUAAAAUCUUUGUUCACUCUACCUGAACAGGUACACAUGUUAAGUUUUCUUUCAUCUUAUCUUUGGCACAGAAGGCACCAUCAAAAUUUAAACUUUUUUAUUUUUUUAUUUUUUUUCAUUCGGCUGUUGAUGAAGGGAUUGUUGUUGGUGGAUGAAACCUUUAGGUAAUUAUCUGUUGCUUAUUGAACUCCCCCAAUCAUGAGUUUUGACUCGGAAGAAGAUUUUGAUGAUGACAGAUACUAAAUUAAAUUUUGGCUCAAAUUGUAUUGAAAAUUGCAGUUCAGAGCAAUUUUAUGAGGAAGAAGGAUGAAUCCUAAACAUAUGUAUGAAUUUAGUCAAUUUCUACACGCUCCAUUCAGUAGAUGAAUUGUAAACAUAUGAAUUUCAAGCACCUGAAUUGAAUAGAUGCUUUUAAUUCUUCUCUCAUCUAAACCUUAGAUUUUUCUGCAAUUUUAUUUCUUUGUUGUUUAUAUCAUCGUUGUUUGAAUAUAUGGUUAAACUUAUUUCAUUAAUUGUUGAUGCCGUGUGUUGAUAAUCAUGGAAAGGUAGGGGUGCGAUGGUCGUUUUAGUCUGUAGGGUUUCGAACGGAUUGGGUGGGUUAGGGCGACUUUCAUUUCCUUUCUUUCUAUGAGCUGUAGAGGGACUCGGUGAGAGCAUGCCGUCAGAGAGAGAGCGGGAGGGAUAGAGAUAGGGAUUUGGUGGGAACUCAUAAUGUAGUAGAUAUUCCUCAAUGCAAAGGUCCCAAUCCUAAUGACUUUAUAUUUGAUAUUUAAUCCUUGGAUUAGUGUUAAAUUCUAUAUUUUUUAGUUUAAUUUGUGUUUUCUUUUCUGUUUUUGCAGCUCAUCCUCCAAGUAUAAAUGCUGCUGUGGAGCUGCUUAAACAAGGUCCCUUUUCGGUUAUUAAAACUCAAUGUUACUUGCUUUCAUUUCUAGUUUUUGAGUCUUCUAUUUGUUUGCUUGCUGCAAUUAUUCAACUUAUGCCGCUAUAAUAUUUGUUUCCUUCUGUUUUGUCCUCGCAUUAACUACCAUUUGGAUCAUGUGAAUGACAACUUUCAUGUAUAUUUCGAAUAAUGAGCAGUUUAUUGCUGUUAAUCUUUUGAUCACUGUAUAUGUUGCUAAUUUGCCUUCUCAAACAACGUAGAUGUAAACAUUGAUAUAUAAAACUUAUAUGUUAAUCAACCAAUUUAAAAUUGGGAUUUUAACUGAUGGUCGUCCAUGGUUCCUUACUUUCCAGAUAUUGCAACAUGCAUAAAUUCACCUGGAAGUUAUUCAUGUCAAUGUCCCAAAGGAUACAAACAUGAAGGCAUGGAUGAAAAGAGUUGUAUCAAAGACAACAAAGGGUCAAAGGCCAUUCUCCUCAUUAUUUCAUUAGGUAUGCAUGUUUUUUUCACAUGUUAAUAUAUUGCAUAUACGAGUCUAAAUUUAUUUUAUUGGAGCCACUUUUGGAUCCAAAAUUCUCAUAAAGUAUGUCAUUGAUGAAAGUUAUAUUCUGCUGUCUUUUAGUGAUCUUUGAAUAGUCUCAAGCAGUAUUAACUAUCAGGGAUUUGUUUUCAUAUUGCAUGAAAUUUCCACUUUUUUCAUCUUUGAAUAGUCUCAAGCACGGUAAAUAUAAUAGCACUAGAAAGUGAGGAAAUCCACUUUAUUUGGUCAGGUUGGAUUCUCUACUAUGACUGCCAUUUUUAUCUCUAAACAAAAUUUUAAUGGUAUGUAUGAUAUAAUGGUAAAUUUAACUAUUUUGGUUUCGUUGUUCUCAUACUUUGGUGCCUCGAGUUUUAAUUUUUCAUAGCUGUGUCUGAGUUGUUUUCCAGUUACAAUUCGGGUGCCAUUGGCAACUUCUAGGGGACCAAAAUUGUUUUCAGGUCAAAAUACAGGAACCAAAUUGUAACUAGGCUAGGAGAUUACAUUACCAAAGUAGGAAAGUUUGGUCUUGAUUCAUAGUUUGGCAACACAAUAUGUAUGUAGGAUGUUGUUUUGGAACCGUUUGGUAAGUGUUAAAUACAUCCUAUAACAUGAUUGACUAACAAGCAUGGUCGUUCAGAUAUACAUGCAAUUGAGAUCACUGACUAAAUCAGGUUUCUUUUAUAUUGAAGCAAAUCUUGCCUAUUAGGUGUUUGUGAAAAUUCCCCAGAGUUAGAAACAAGGAUAUGAUGCAAAUCUGAAUGUAGGCUGUUUUGGUAUCUGUGUGUAUGUAUAGGGGUGUUAUAUUGAUAUGACAUGUUGCCUAAUUUAUCUAUUUUUCGAUUGUUAGAUCAAAGAAGGAAGUUCAAUUUAUCAAGGAUCAAGGUUUGGACUACUAGACAGCACGCCGGCUUCGGUUUGAGGUAUGGAAGUCUCGAGCUUGCAAUCUUAAAUUUCUGGUUCCCGAAUAAGAAAUAUGCUCUAUUUGAUCCCGAAUAAGAAAUGACAUAGGUCUGUGGCUUCCAUCAUUAUUAAGUUGUAUCCUUUUCUACUUGGGUUACAAAAAACCAUUAUAAUGAAUUAAUCAAAUUUUUUAUUCUAAGGAAGUAUGUAUUCAACAUUGUUUUUUUCUGAACAAUUUCAAUUAAUAUAACUAUGACCAUUUGUCUACUAUUUUAUAGACUCCCAUUGCCAUGUUGGUCUCUUGCUGCUAAAUGUGUAUUACUUUGUCUUCUGGGUGAGCGUUCUCUAAUUUAGAUUAGACAACAAUUCUUCAAGCUUGGUUUGUUUUCUGUGUCUCCUUCACUGUAUCUGUUCUGUGAAUGAACAGGUAGAUGUCAACUCUAGCAUUUAAUAGUGUUGUGCACCUUGACAGGUGUAUAUGUGAACGGCUCACAGGGUUUUUCUGAAUCUGUAGGUCCAGGAUUUAUUUUUGAAAGGGUAAGUCUGUUGUGAUUCUUUUAAUUCUCAUCUUCAGUGCAAAAGUUUGUGUGCAAACUUUUUUGUUGCAGUUUUAUUCUUCUGUAUGCAUUAUGUUUAUCUUUAAGUAAAGGUUGCUAAUCUUUUAUUUAUGAGUGUGUGCUGCUCGGUCUCCAAUGAUUGUUUAUAUUUCGAGGGUAUAAAUGGGGAGGCAAAAUGCAUUCCAAUAACUCGGAAUUCAACCUCCACCAAAUUGUAAGGAAUCCAAUUCCUCCAAAUUUUGGAGUUGGAUUCCAAAAUUUGCAUGGUCUCUUAAAAUUUUUGAUUCCCCAAUAUUGGGUAAACACUGGAGUAGUCAGUAAUCGACUUUCAAUUCCUUUUUUUUGUUCCGAUUACCCUUACAUAAAUGUAUUUAUGAUCUUUUAGUUUCAAGAGCCCAACUGUUGUUGCAAAAUGUGCUAUAGAUGGAGCAUCUAAUGUCUUUCUUACUUAUUGUUGGGCUCUUCUAUCUUUAUGUGAGGCAUUUUGUACUACUGCUUUUGUAACGUUGGGAUGUUUCAAGAUUUAUGACUGUGCGUUCUCUCUCUCUACACUUUUUCUUCCCUCGCUCCCUCUCAUGUAGAGCCAUUUUAUGGUACAAUGUGUUUAUCGGUUCUCAUGUCCAAGUUUUUCUUUCUGCUUUCUAUUAAGUUUUGUUUGUAUGUUAUGUUUUCAUGGAAUCUCUUGCACUGAUUUCAAUUACGUUGUACUUGAAUGUCCUGAACUCAAGUCAAUCAGGAUUUUUUUUUUGGUUGAAACCAUUGAAUUUCGUUGGACUUAAAUGAUAUAGAUGUGGGGAAUACAUUUACAUAAGGAUUAAUUUUAGGGAACUUUAACGAAAAGCACCCGGUACUGUUCACUUUAACGAAAAACCACAUUUCUACACUAAAAAGUCAAUCCUGGUACUAUUCACUUUACCAUUUAUUUUGUCCUUAUCAUUAAAACUAAAAGUUUUCAAGCCCUUUACAUUAGUUUUCCUUUAAUUUUAACCAUAGAAUUUUAUUUCAUUUUUCCUUGGAGCUUGAGUAACAAGAUCAUCAAAUUCUUAUAUUCGUUAUCGGUGAGAAUAAAUCUACAUGCAUAACAAUAUUGUUACACUUCUACUUUUAUUGGGUUUUUAUACAGUUUGUGUGUUUGCUUAGUCUUGCCUUGGAGUUGGAUCCACUUUGUGUAAUGGAUUGUGAUUUGUUUGAAAAUAUCUUUACUGAUGAUUUUGAGUAUAAUGUGUUUUUCUCUCCCUUUGUAAUCCAGUCGUGCAGAAGACAUCUCCAUUAACCGGUAACAGAUGAAAUCGUUUGCUGCCGAGGUUCACGUGCAGAAGAGCGAAAAUGCUGCAAGUGGAUGAUAGAUAACAGCUCAAGACACAUGGUAUGAGGGUGCAGGUAAACUGUACAUAUGCAUCUGGAAAAAGUUAAAAGUUAAGGCGGGUUGGCUAUAGCUUCUCCUUCUCGCCACAACAGGAAAUACUUUUGAACUGCAUUAAGAUGUUAAUAAAUUAAGCUUAAGCUAUAUUUUACUUAUCAAGAAUGGGUAAAUUGUUUUAAAUAGAAAAAUUAAGUGCUUAUAUCAGGGAAACUAUCAAUUUUACAAAGUUUUUUGGUAAAUUAGAUAUAUAGUUUAAUUUGAAGAGUUGUGUUGACCUUUACUUUUGUUAAAUUAUAUAGUUUAAUUGCGUCCUCUUUUUCCAAUCCUUAUAUAUCUGCUCAACUCUUGGUCAAUUAUUUGCCAGUAAGAAUGUUUAAUUGCUUGAUCAAUGAUGUCCAUUCAAUUUGAAGAAGAAACAGGACUUUUGUCCAAUAGGAAUUUGAAAUAGGGAUUGAGACCAGAUAUGAGUAAGAUGUCCCAAUUGUUCAUUGAUUCUUAGAUGCUACGUCUUUUUAGUUGAUUUGUGUGGAAACUAUUCAUGCAUGUUGCGACUAAUAUAUUCAAGUCCCCGUAGCAACGCGCGAGCAUAUUUUCUCGUACAUAUACUAAAACCCAGUUUUAUGUUACUGUUUUGCACUGUUAAUGAACAGUGAAAUUACGGAUAUACCCUUGGUUUCUCCUUUGUUUGUGCAACGAAUUUCCAAUUUUGCCCAUGCUGGCGACGGGUCAGUCAUCGUUGAUUUUUAGCCUUCGACUCGGUUUUGUUUACUCUACCUUUCUGUGUGGCUUUUCUUUCUUGCCGCUCUGUGCUUCCAUCCGUUUUGGUCUCGCCUUUGUUCUCCGCACUUUAUUUCGCAAAUUAUUCACGAAAUUGGUCUCCGUGGUUUUAUCCUGCGUUCAUGAUUUCUGUUUUUUUUUUGGGAUUUCGUUUUGCGACCUGCGUUUUGAAAGAAGUGGUGCAUCUCUGUGAACCUAAAUUUGUUGGCGGUCUGUGGAGACUCAUAAAAUUCGUCUCCAUGUUUGAUCCUCCACUUCUAAUCGCUGGCGGAAGACUUUUUGUUUCUUUUUCCGCCUGCCAUACCGAAGUUGUUGCCGGAUUUCCCACGAAUUUUCAGGCCACUUUGGGCACAGCCUCUCUGCAAACUGAGGUAUUUUUUUAACCCAUUUCUAGAGAUGUUAUUAAUUUUUGUGAAAUAUUUGGUCUGGUUUUUGUUUCCCAUUGCACACCCAAGUCUGAUGUGUGUGUAAUAGUCCUCCACACUAAACUAUACGCUUCCAUCCAGUUGGAAAUCCAUGGGUUCUGUGGGUCCCUUGGCAUCCGCAACAACGUGAUCCUCCAUUUUGGUAGCUAUUUCCUUUUAGGGUUUUUGUGUGUUUUUCCUAAUGAAUUAAAAUGAUGUCAAGUUCCUCUGAUUAUUGCUACAUUGGAUCCUCAAUUGGAACUCAUCUCUCAUCAGAUUCAAUUGAUUGAGGGUAUCAAUUAACAUCACCCUUUUAACUUUACCAUGGUGUGGUUCCACAAAUUAAGUCAUACCGUUUUCUCUCAUUUAAAUUCUUGAAGUUUUAAUUGGAAUUUCUUUAACAGUUUUUAUGAAAUUUGUUAUCUUGUUGUUUUAGAUUUUUAUAAGGUUUUUAUGAUUCAAUUAAUGGGGUUUGUUUUCGUUUCAGAUUAAUUUGGUUCCUGCUAAAGUAAUCAAACAUUGAAAGCUUGGAACCAGCAAUCUUUCAAAGAGGUUGGUUGUUCAAUGUUUUCAUUUUUGUCUUUUUAGUUGUAUGAAUGUGGUGGUAUGAUUUACUGUUUACAUUUAUAAUUCCAAUGUUUGGUUAUGUUUCUUUUAGUUUAACUGUUUUGCAUAUAUUGAUUGUCCUGUGAUUGAGAUAAUAUGAUGUGUACAAUGAAACAAAAUUCAUUGAAAAAAGGGAUGUAGAAUUCCAUUUUUCAAACUUUUUUAUUUUGGUUUUUUAAAAUUAUCCUUAUCAAACCUAAUAAAAUUUUGUAAACUGAUGAUAGACAAUUUUUUUUCUUUUCCUUUUUACAGUAUUUGAACAAGCUCUAUUUUAUAAGCUUUUGAAGUGUGUUUUUGGCUUUGAAGACGUUCUGUGCUAAAGGUAAGUAAUAUAAACUUUUGAUGUCAUUUGAUUCAAAGUUUAAUUAUAUAGUUUUAUUCAUUUUUUUCUGAUUGAAGUCAAGUUUCAUAUUAUGUUUAUGUUUAUUGAGAUCAACUUUGUUUUAAACUUCUGUUUACAUUUGAUAUAAGCCAUAUUGAUUUGUAUAUGUGUUAUGUCUCUAUUAAUUUUUUUUUCUUUUUUCGAAAUCUGUUUUGCAGUUGUUUGCUUUUGAAUUAGUUGUCAGAGUUCCUUAGUAUCAUGUCUAAACGAUCUAUAAUUACAAUAAGUGAUGGUCUAGACCAAAAAGAAAACAUUGGCAAUAGUGAAUAUAAUUUUUUGAGUGAGUAUAAUUGUUGAUGCACAAAAUCAAUGAGGACUUUGGUACAAUAGAAAGUGUCAAGUUUGUUAGAUUGCUUUGGUCACUAGUGUGGAUAAGUAUGCAAAUGGAUAGGGACAAGGAAGCAAACACAAGAUGUACGUGGUUCACCUAGAUUGGCUACGUCCACGAAGUAGAGGAGUUCUCAUUAAUUGUGAAGGGUUUACACAAGUACAUAGGUUCAAGCUCUCCUUUAGUGAGUACUAGUGAAUGAUUUAGUACAAAUGACAUUAGGAAAUAUUGUGAGAGAAUGAUCUCUAUUUAUAGAAGAGAGUUUCUAGUUUCAUUCUAACAUUGACAUGUGUCGUGUUGUGAUUGGCUUCUGAUGUCGACACAUGUCGCACUGUGAUUGGCCUCUUGGUUGGAGGGAAACUUUUCUGGAUGCUUGACGGUAUAAUGUUGAUCGAUGCGCCAUAGUUUCGGGAUUGGUCAAGUAUGGUAUAAACAAUAAUCAUCAACCAAAAAGACUUUGUAGAAUUGCUUAUAUACAAAAUUGUGAAAGCACUUCUGUUAGCGAAACUGAUGCAUUAGUUUAUGAAUAUUCACGAGCUCCAGUGCAUCUUCUGUUAACCAAUGUGUUAUUAUGCUUGUGAGCGAUGUUCAAGUAUUAGAUACCACCCCGUUUAAAAAUGAAAUAUAUGUUUGUGAUCGAAAAGGCUAAAACAUUAUUGGUUUCUCGACUGGCGUUGAAAACUCUGUUGGAAAAAGCUUAGGCGCUAACAAUUAUAAUUUCAUGAGUAAAGGUCAAUCCUUUUUCCAAGCAACCAGAAAGGGUGAGUUUUACAAUUUGUAUAAUGAUUAUUUCGUUUAGGUUUGAUCUUUACCGUUUAGCUACUUGCAUGUAGUGAUUAAUUUUUUCUUUCUUUUUGUGUGUUGUCUUUUUAGGGAUUAUGAAACUUUAUAUGGAUUUGGGUGACAAAAAUUACAAAUGUGUAUACUGUGGUGCAUUCUUGGUUAAAAGAGUCUCUUAAACACACAUGGAAAACAAAUCAACCCAUUUUCACUCUAUGUUGUCAACAAGGAAAGAUUAAAUUUUCAACUCCAAAACCGACACAUGCUUUUUAGAUUCCUUGCUUGAUCCAAAUGGAGGUAAAAAAAGUUUAUCAUUUCGAGAAAAUAUUAGAGCUUACAACUCGAUGUUUUCAUUUACUUCAAUGGGAAAAAAAGUUGAUAAUUCAAUUAAUGACAUAUCAAGUCCUUACAUUUUUAAAAUUAGUGGUCAAGUUUGUCAUUUGAUGGGGUCUCUUUUGCAUGUUGAUAAUGAGUCACCAAAAUUUGCUCAAUUAUAUGUUUAUGAUACAUAUAAUGAAGCACAAAAUCGUUUAAGGGCUGUUAAUUGUGAUAGAACAAAUGAAAAACUUGAUUCAACAAUUGUUGAAAACUUGAUUAAGAUGUUUGUUGAGUCAAAUGAGCUGGUAAAACUUUUUCGAACAGCGAGAGACAAAUUUGAAAAUGAUGGUUUGGUCAAUUUCAAAAUGAUUUUGUUGGGUAGACAACCAAAUGAUAGUAAGCAAUAUGAUCAACCAACAAGUGAUGAAAUAGGUGGAUUAAUAGUUGAUGAUAUAGGUUUGUCAGACUCUAAUAGAAAUAUUAUUAUAGAUUGCAUGAGUGAAGGAUUAAAACGUGUUGCAAAAUUGAAUCCAAAAUUUAUGGCUCUUCAAUACCCUAUUCUUUUUCCAUAUGGUGAAGAUGGUUACAGGCUUGAUUUAAAAUGGAAUGAAAAUUAUAACGGUUCAAAAAUAAAAAGACAAAGAAUACCUAUGAGAGCUUAUAUAGCUUAUCUGAUUCAAGAAAGAGAUCCAUACUUAACUACUUUGUUAAAAGGAGGUAGACUUUUUCAACAGUAUUUAGUAGAUUCUUAUGCGAUGCUUGAAGAUGAAGAUAGAUUGGAUUACAUAAGACAAAAUAAAAAAAAUUUAAAAGUGAGAUUUACAAAGGAAUUUAUGACGCUGUGUCAAGAGGUAACAACGAUGCAAAUAGUUUGGGACAAAAAAUUGUUUUGCCAGCUUUGUAUACAGGAAGUCUAUGAUUAAUAAUUAUCAAGAUGUUAUGGCUAUUUCUAGAGAACAUGGACAUCCUGAUUUGUUUAUAACAUUUACCUGUAAUGUGAAAUGGCCAGAAACUAUAAGAUAAUUUGAAAAUAGGCUCGACUAUGAUUCUCUUCCCUCCUAUUUUCAUCCCCUCCUCUCACAUUCUCUUAUUUUAUCUUUCUCUUGCUAUAAAAAAUUAAUAUAAGAUAUUGACGUGCCUUAACCAUAACCGUUCAAAUAAGAGAAGAGGAAAGGGGAGGGAAAAAAAUGAGGGGAGAUAAUUCUACUCCCAAAAACAAAGGCAUCAAGAAGAUAAGAUUCCAGGGUUGCGUGCGUGAGCGAAUUUUCCAAGCUCAGCUGCCUCAUCAUUCACCAAUAAAUUCACACGUUAAGCUAAGCAAACGUAAACAUUGUCGAUUGAAAAAUGGAGCAAAGCAAAGGCAGGAGAGUUAUCCUCUUCCCGCUGCCCUUCCAAGGGCACAUAAACCCUAUGCUAGAACUGGCCAACAUUCUGCAUGCCAAAGGAUUCUCCAUAGCCAUCAUCUCUACCAACUUCAACUCCCUCAACCCUUCAACCCUAAACCCACACUUCACCUACCAUUCAAUCCCUGUUGACUUGACAGAAAACGAGGCCUCCAUGAAGGAUCCAUUCCUUCUUCUUUCUAUUCUAAAUGCUAAAUGUGUUGAGCCUUUCAGAGAAUACUUGUCCGGGUUGUUAUCCAAGGACGUUAAUUCGGAGGACCCCAUUGCAUGCUUGAUCUCGGAUCCUCUCUUCAACUUCACUCGAUCGGUUGCGGAAAGCUUUAAGUUGCCGAGGAUCGUGUUAAGAACAGGGGGUGCAGCUUCCUUCGCUGUUUAUGCUGCAUUUCCACAACUCUUAUGCUGCAUUUCCACAACUCAAGGAAAAGGGUUACCUACCAAUACCAGGUACAAUCUCAAGCCAACAAAAUCCUAUUAUCAAAUGUCUUUUUAUCUCAUCAUUGUUAGUGACCCACGUAGACUGAAGACACCGUAUCAAGACUAAUCACUUUUUUGGAAUUCUUUUAUAAGUAGCAUUUUUGUUCUUAUGAACAUUAUGCAAUAUGUGCUUUUAUUAUAAACAUGUAAAUUUUUUUAUUAAAAACUCAAGCACAUGGAAAAAAACUUCAAAGUGAUUCUUCUACUGAAAUCACUCCAUUGAUCCAAAAAUGUUUUUGGUUACCAAAAAACACUUUAGCACUUCUAGAAGCGAUCCUAAACUAGCAUUUUGACAAUUUGGGCAUAUUUGAGUUAGGCUUGUUAGGUUAGCAUUUUUAUUUCUGCUCUGCCUCGUCAUAAAUUAGCAUUUUAGAAUAUGCAUUAUUCUAAAAUGCUAAUUUAUAUAUACUUUUUAGGAACCUUAUAUUUGACUUUCUAUUUUGACAAUAAUUAGAUUCUCGACUAGAAGAGUGACGGAGCUUUCACCUAUCAAAGUUAAAGACCUACCUGCAGCGAUGCCCAAUUGCGACCCUGAAGAUUUCUAUCAACUGAUAACCAACAUGGCAAAUGAACCCAAGGAUUCCCAUGGACUCAUCUUCAAUACGUUUGAAGAUCUUGAGGAAAAGCACUUGCCACAAUUUGCCAAGAAUAUUACCCCAAUAUUCCAAUUUUCUCACCAGGUCCAUUUCACAAGUGCGGCCCUACAACCUCUUCUUCUUCAACUAGCUUACUAUCACAAGACCAAAGUUGCAUUUCAUGGCUAAACACUCAAGCGCCAAAAUCUGUUGCUUAUGUUAGCUUUGGAGAGCGCUGCCAAGAGAUAGAUCACGCUCAAUUUUUGGAGAUUGCUUGGGGGUUGGCAAACAGUGGCCAACCUUUUUGUGGGUGGCUCGACCCGGAUUAGUUCAAGAUUCAGACUUGCACGAAGCGUUGCCUAAUGAAUUUUUAGAAGCGUUGAACGAAAGAGCUCAUGUUGUGAAAUGGGCUCUACAAAAAGAAGUGUUGGCCCAGCCUGCAGUUGGAGCCUUUUGGACUCAUUGAGGUUGGAAUUCUACAUUGGACAACAUUUGUGAAGGGGUCCCUAUGAUUUGCACGCCAUAUUUUAGUGAUCAAAUGGUGAAUGCAAGAUUUGUGAGUGAUGUUUGGAAGGUAGGGCUGCAAUUGGAGCAUGGGAUUGAGAGAGGUGAGGUUGAAAGAACAAUUAGAAGACUAAUGGUUGAGAAAGAAGGGGUAGAGAUCAAACAGAGAGCCUUAAAUUUGAUGGAAAAGGAAAAUCAUUGCCUGAAAGAAGGUGGCUCUUCGUACCUAUCUUUGGAUGGCUUGGUUAAGCACAUUUUAUCGUUAUAAGUUGUUUGUUUAAGUGACUCAGUAUUAGCUAUUCAAUAAAAUAAAAAAUAAAGGCUUCUAGUAAUGUAUUAAAUACAUUUUUAAGAGAGUUUUAAUAAAAAGGGUCUUAUAAAAUAAAAUCUUAAUAAAAGCACUCCUUAUUGGUUACUUUAAUAUAAUUCCUAAUUUCAGUUUUUUGUUGGAAAUCAAAACUGAUGCAUUAUAAAGUUGGUUUUAUACUACUUAGUCUAAUAUUGUUAGUUAACCAAUUGAUCAUGUGCAGCACACCAUGUCCUAAUAUCAGUUUUCCUUCUUAAACAAAAACGGAUAUAUUUUCUUUGUAUCCUAACGUUGGGGUUAAUAAUGUUUCUGUUACCCGAUUCGCACAUUUCAACUUAAUCUCCAAUCCAUUCUACCAUUUGACAUACGUCAAAAAACCAACAAAACAAAACAAUAAUGGUUUUAAUAAGAUGGGAGCAAGUUGUGUUGGAGCCUCAUAUACCGCAUCCAAUCAAUCUACAUAACAACCAAAAAAUUAGGGUUCCUUCGUCACAACGAAUGCAUUCAAUCAAUAUACAUACAUAAUAGUCAUCAUACUUACAUUGUCUACUUUUAAUUGAUCCAAAAUACUGGCAUAUUGUUCCUUGGAUGCUUCUACUUGCCAUCAAAUGAUUUUCCAAUAGCUUUACCCCAGCUCUCAAUCAGCAGAUACUCUGUUUCUGAUGCCCUAUGAUGCAUGAACAUGGUGAUAUCCUCUCUGUUGCGAGUUAUAUAUUAGUUAAAGUGUAAAUAGUAAUUUAUUGUCCCACAUUGGUGAAAUAUAUAUGUAAUACCAAUUGUAACUCCUAUAUAUACUCCACUUUGGAGAUUAAUGAUAUAUAAGAAAUUCCCAAAUAUUGUCAUAUAUAUUUUUGGUAUUUAUCAUGUUUAGUUUAAUAUUGGUAUUUACCAUGUUUAGUUUAAUAUGGCAUCAGAGCAGUUCGCUCUUGGUGACCUGUGUGCUUUAAUUUUGUGCCCACAUUUUUCGUGAUUUCCUCUGUGAAAGAAAAAAAAAUGAAUAGUGUCGCACUACAAUACAGCGCUUUGCUACAGUGCGUGAACAGUGUCCUGCUUGUGAACAUUGGUCAUCUACAGUGUCAUGAACAGUGAUUGCUACAUUGCUAUGAAUAGUGAUUGCUACAGUGUUUUGGUAAAUUGUUUUCAUUCCACUGCGUAUCUUUUGUGCUUUUAUUGUUAGUGAUUUUGUUCAAUGGCACAAUAUAAUCAUAGUGUUGUUAUGCAUCUUGGUGGAACAAAUAAAUGGAUAAUUGAUACUGGGGUCAUUGAUCAUGUGACUAGUGACCCCAGAGUGUUUGAUGAGUUAUUUGACUAUGUUCAUGAUCCGUAUAUUACUAGUGCAAAUGGAGCACCUUCUCCUGUGAAGGGUGAAGGCACUAUCUCUCUGACUUCAAUCUUAUCACUCGUCUGUGCUUUACUUAUUCCUGAUGUUAAGUGCAAUUUUUUGUCGGUAGGAAAACUUCUUGAUACCUUAUAUUGUUCUGCUCACUUUUAUCCUACGUAUUGUUAUUUUCAAGACAUUCAAACUCAGAAGAUAAUUGGUUAUGGUAAAAGAAUAGGGGGUUUGUACAUCUUGAUUAUGGAGGAUACUGUUGUUUCUGGUUCAAAUAAUCAUCAAGUUUUAAGUGCUAAAGUGGAUAACAAACAUCAAAUUUGGUUGUGGCAUCGACAAUUGGAACAUCCACCAUUCAAUUAUAUAAAGCAUCUAUUUCCUUCUUUGUUUCGCACUUGUAGUGAUUCAAAGUUCAAGUGUGAAACAUGUGUUAUGGCUAAGAGUCAUCGUGCUUCCUUUCCUGUAAGUGAUUCUAAGCUACUUUGUCAUUUAAUUUGAUACAUUCUGAUGUGUAGGUCCAGCGAAAGUUACUUCUAAUGGAUUCCGUUGGGUUGUUACUUUUAUUGAUGAUUAUACUUGGUUAACUUGGGUGUUCUUGAUGAAAAAUAAGAGUGAUGUUCCGUUACUUCUUCAAGAAUUUUGUACAAUGAUGUCUACUCAGUUUCAGACCAAAGUUAAGGUCUUCAGGUCUGAUAACGGAGGAGAAUAUGUGAAUCACACUUUGGCAUGUUUUUUUCGUUAUCAUGGUAUUAUUCACCAGACGACUACUCCGUUUACGCCCCAACAAAAUGGUGUGUUAGAACGGAAGAAUCGUCAAAUAAUGGAGGUUGCUCGCUCCUUGAUGUUGGAUAAAUGUGUUCCUAAUCAUUUGUGGGGGUCAUGCUGUUUUGGCUGCUGUGUAUUUGAUCAAUCAUGUUCUAAGUAGGGUUCUUGAUUUUCAAAUAUCGUUUGAUGUGCUACAAAAACAUUUUUCUCUUGUUUCUGUAUCAAAGCUUCAUCUGAAAGUGUUUGGGUGUAUUGCGUAUGUGCAUGUCUACUCUCAUCAGCGGAGUAAACUUGAUGCAUGUGCUCUCCGGUGUGUCUUUAUUGGGUAUGCUAACAAUAAAAAAGGCUAUAAUUGUUAUCAUCCUACGACUCAAAAAACUUAUAUUACCAUGGAUGUCACCUUCCAUGAGGAAGUUUUGUACUUUGUGAAGUCCUCGUCCGACUCUCCACUUCAGGGGAAGAGGGGGAUUGAAGUGCAGAUUCGAAGAGAUGGUAUGGAUGAUGUGUUACAGGCAGAGUUAGGAACAAAACCUAUUAUGUUGCGUGAUAAUAAUCAGUCGGCUACAGAUAGUAAUUGGUCACCUGUUAUUCCCAGAACUAUUUCUACUGACAGAUCAGAUGUGCCCACCGAAUUGCCUGUUAGUAUGUUUGACGAAUUACCUUCUGAUGAUCGGUUGCCUGCUGCUGAUAUGUCUAACGAGUUGCCUGAUGAUGGUUCGUCCAAUGAUGAUUCUUCUACCAGUUUGGUACAAGAUGAUGACAUACAUAAGGUAAAUUCUGACGAUUCUUCUACUUAUCAGUUGCCUCCAUGAGCUAAUCGUGGAAAACCUAAAGUACAUUAUGAGCAUGAUAUGCAUGCCAAAGCCAAAUAUCCUAUCAACAAUUAUGUGUCUACUCGUUUGACCAAACCAUAUGCAUCUUACAUAUGUUAGCUAUCUAGUGUAUCAAUUCCAACAAAAUUGCAAGAUGCUUUGUCUGACCUUAAGUGGGUUAAUGCCAUGAAAGUUGAGAUGGAAGCUUUGGAAAAGAAUUCUACUUGGGAUUUGGUUCCUAUACCAAACGGGAAGAAAGUUGUUGGAUGUAGAUGAGUGUUUACUAUUAAGCACAAAGCAGAUGGUUCUAUUGACCAGUAUAAAGCCAGAUUAGUUGCUAAGAGUUAUACUCAAACAUAUGAGGUGGACUAUCAGGAGACCUUUGCUCAUGUUGCCAAACUUAAUACUGUGCGUGUUCUUCCGUCCUUAGCAGCAAACCAGGAUUGGCCUUUGUUGCAGUUUGAUGUUAAGAAUGCUUUCAUUCAUGGUGAUCUUAAGGAGGAAGUGUAUACGGAUCUCCCACCUGGUAUUGGAACAUCUCCUGGAAAAGGUGUUAUAUGCAGGUCACGAAAGGCCUUGUAUGGUUUGAAACAAUCUCUUAGAGCGUGGUUUGGGAGGUUUACAAGUUCAAUGAAGAAGUUUGGGUAUAUCCAGAGUCAUUCAGAUCAUACUUUGUUUCUAAAGCGACAAAAUGGUAAGCUAACUGCAUUGAUUAUUUAUGUUGAUGACAUGAUAGUGACUGAUGAUGAUCAGAAUAAGAUACAACGCCUUCAAAAGUACCUAGCUACUGAGUUUGAGAUGAAAGAAUUGGGUGAAUUGAAGUAUUUUCUUGGAAUCGAGGUUGCAUGAUCCAAGCAUGGUAUUUUUCUAUCUCAACGGAAGUAUGUUCUUGAUUUGUUAGCUGAAACAGGUAUGUUAGAUUGUAAACAUGUUGAUACUCCGAUUGAGCAGAAUCAUCGUCUGGGCUUAUUUCCAAAUCAAGUUCCUACUUAUAAGGAACGGUAUCAGAGGCUUAUGGGGAGAUUAAUUUAUUUGUUUCGCACUCGCCCUGACAUUGCUUAUGCAGUUAAUGUGGUAAGUCAUUUUAUGCACUCACCUAGUAAAGCUCAUAUGAAUGCACUGACCCGUAUUUUGAGGUACUUGAAGAUGGCUCCUGGCAGAAGCCUAGUUUUUUCCAAUGAUGGUCAUUUGAAUGUCGAAGGGUAUACAGAUGCAGAUUGGGCAGGUUCUAUCACUGAUCGGCGAUCUACAUCUGGAUACUUUAUGUUUAUGGGUGGUAAUUUAGUUACUUGGAGAAGCAAGAAACAAAAAGUGGUGGCUAGGUUAAGUGCAGAAGCUGAGUUUCGUAGUAUGUCUCAUGGUGUAUGUGAGUUGUUGUGGUUGAAAAAAUUGUUGAGAGAUCUUGGGUUUAAACCCAAAGGUGCUAUGAAACUUCAUUGUGAUAACAAGGCUGCUAUUGAGAUUGCUCAUAAUCUAGUGCAACAUGAUUGAACAAAACAUGUGGAGAUUGAUCGACAUUUCAUGAAGGAAAAAUUGGAUGCUGGAAUUAUUAUGUUUCCGUUUGUGGGAUCUGAAGAUCAACUUGUUGAUGCUCUUACUAAGGCUGUGUCUAAUAGUGUGUUUUCCAACUUGCUUGACAAGUUGGGCAUGCGUGAAAUCUUUGCACCAACUUGAGGGGGAGUGUUGCGAGUUAUAUAUUAGUUAAAGUGUAAAUAGUAGUUUAUUGUCUCACAUUGGUGAAGUACAUAUGUAACCAAUUGUAACUCCUAUAUAUACUCCACUUUGGAGAUUAAUGAAUAUAUAAGAAAUUCCUAAAUAUUGUCAUAUAUAUUUUUGGUAUUUACCAUGUUUAGUUUAAUAUUGGUAUUUACCAUGUUUAGUUUAAUACCCUCGUAUCCCAGUAUCAUGUCAUGUGGUAUUUCUAUGUUGUAUCAUGUCGUAUCCUGGUGUCUAUAUCCAUAUGUCUUGAUAGGUAGCCUUACAGAAAGAUAUGACAUAAACAAAAAGACAUUUGUAGUUAAUGAACACGCUUUAAUAUUUGGGUUAGAAGUUGUUAGAAUAACUGGGUAGUCAGUAGUUGGCUAACCAUCCAUAUAUGAUUUGUGUCUUAAUCUUUUAGGGAAACGUCCUGAGGGGAUUAAGAGUUACAUCAUCUUGAAUGGCUGAAGCCAGAAUUUAUUUGACAUGUUAAUCUCUGGUUAGACGAGGGGAUUUUCAGAGAGAAGAAGAGAACAUUGUGGAAUAUGACACGUGGUGGAAGAUCAACGGGGGAGCAUAUAUCGUGCUGGCUGUGGUUAUACGUUUUGGGCUAGUUGAAACAUUUUACUUAUUGGACUGCGAAGGAAUACGAGGGUAUAUGCCCAUAGACAAGAUGAAAGGCUCAGUAAAAAAUAAGCCCAAAAUCCAAUUGGUAAAUAUAUUCCUUGUGUGUGUUUAAGCAACCACAUAAAAGAAGUAAUGACAAAAGGGGCUGCCGGUGGAUUAAGCUUUCAACUCCUGGAUGCAUUCCUUUUCAUGUCAAGUGGUUGAUGUGACAAGCUCGGCGAGGUGUGAGUUCACACUUAAUCUCCUUGAAAUUACGGGAUUUAGCCCUUGAAAUGUGUUUUUCCAUAUGAAACACCUUUUGCAACACCUCCUAAUCUGAAAUAGGAGGGGAUGAGAAAGGUAUGAGAUGAGGAGGGCAGACAAUCCAAGUCCUUACAACACCCUCUAGUCUGAUUAUUCACAUAGAUUUACCGCCCAUAGCUGCCACGUCAUAAUCAUAAUUUUAAACAUUGAGUCUGUUACUGACCGCAAAUCUUCCAAUAAAAUGCCCAUUAAACAUCUAGCAGUUUAGCGAGCCUAUUGGGCCACGUUGUGAACUCAGUGCUUAAUUUUGACCCAAACAUAUAUAAUUUUCAUUAAUUCAUAAAGUAAUUUUAUUCAUUUUGAAUUAAAUUUUCCAACAACGAGGAAGGAAAUGUUGUAAUAAAACAUACGAAAUUCGUAAGCUCACAAGCUAAGCAAAACAACCGGUCUUAAAAAAUCAAAUGGAGCAAAGCAAAGGCUGGAGAGUGAUACUUUUUCUGCACUCCAAAGGCUUCUCCAUAACCAUUAUCCACACUAGCUCCAACUCCAUCAACCUUUCAACUAUAAACCCGCACUUCACCCACCACUGCAACAAAAAUCAUCAACAGAAUAUACAAUCAAAUAGAAAAAUCCUAUUUUUUUAACCAACAGUUACAACUACUGAUCCGAAAUCACCAAAACCCAAUUGGAGCACACAAGCCAAAUCAAAAUCAACACACCAAUUUGUCUAAACUCUUAAAGGUUAACUAGCUUUCAUGCACGCGCUCACGUGCGUGCAAAAGACAUUUUUUGAAUCACGGUGUGCUACGCGCGAAUUACACGUUUUAAAUGUAUUUAUAUGCGUAAAUUGACAAAAGGAAAGUCAAAUAUUUGAAGUAAAUGAAUAAUCUCAUAUCAUGCUAGAAGAAACUCCUCAUAAAUUAAUUAAAGCAGUUGAAUUCAUAUAAUAAAAACGAUCUUUAUAUAAUUUACUUUAAGAAUAGAGAAAAUAAUAUUUAAUAAGCAAUUAAUUGAAAAACAUUAUGGCUAGCCCAUUGUGAGGAGCCCACCUCUCACCUCCAUAGACCAUCUCCAAUGGUUGGGCUAAAAGCCAAAUAUUUUAGCUCGGAAAAUUUAGCUUUUAGCCCAAAAAUAGUUUUUCUGCUCCAACCGUUUUGGCCUAAAAUUUUAGUCCGGGAUUAUUAAAGAAUGAACUUAGACUAUUUUUUUCUUAAAUUAAAUUAAAAAAAUUAAAUAUGUAGACUAUCGUAAAUUAAUUUUAUGAACAUUUUAAUCUAAAAAAAAUUAAAUUCCGAUAAAUAUUGAAAAAUCACUAAAUUUUCCACAAAACCUUCUUAUUUUGAUUUGUGCCAAUUACACCAUCUCCGCUAACAGAAACUCAUGCCAAGCAUAGAGCAACAUCUUCAUCACAUGUCCAAUUACGACCUCUAAUAUGCUUUCUUGCCAUGUUGAACAAUUUGGAAAUGGAAAGAAAUGGUAGAAAGAUAAAUUGGAAGAAUUGUAAGAGAAAAUUGAGGAUGUUUGAACAAAUACAUAGGUAUUUAUAGAGUUUUUGGGUGAAUUUUGAGUUAAAUAAUUUUUUAAAAUUAUUUUAGCCGUUGGAUUUAAAUUUGGGCCGUUAGAUCUUUUUUUUUACCGUUAUAUUUGAUUAUAUUCAAUCUCAACCGUUGGAUUCAAUGUAUUUUAAAAUAACAUAUUUAAAACAAAUCAAAUUUGAAUCCAACGGUCCUUGAAAACUAGCCAUCCAAUUCAAAAUGUAGCUGUUGGAAUUCAGUGGGUGGCCCGACAAACCGCUGACAGCGGGGCCCACCCCUGUCGGGAAUGAAAUGCAGGCGCUCCGUGUGGGGCGCGUUGGAGCGUGAACCGGCCGAGACUGGCGCUCAGUGAGUCCAAUCGCGCGAGGGGGGUGGAAACCUGGGGGGUAUUUGGCCCAGAAAUAACAUUUGGCAUUUAGCCCAAAAUUUUAGCAUGGAUUGGAGAUUGUUUGGGGGGGGGUAAUUUGGCUUUUAGCCUCCCAUUGGAGAUGGUCUUAGUGUAGAUAAUAUUGUUUGUUUAAAAAAUAUCAUUUGACAACUAAUUUAAUCACAUUAUUGUCCACAUGCUGAAGACCUUUUUUAUAACCGGCAUUACACUCCUCUUAAGAUGUUUUGAAUGUGUUUAAAAAUAGAAAAAAAAAAUAUUUAAUAAACAACCGAUUGAAUCAUAUUAUUGCUAGUGCAUUGUAAGGUUAACCCCACUUGACACACCUCGACCGAGAUCAAGGCAUGCCGGCCGUCACACGGGAGUGACGUAGCCAUGUGCACAGUGCAAAAGCAAUAAAGAAAAUAAAUAUAGGAAUAAAUAAAAACAGAAAUACUAGAGUGCACCACUAAACAGAAGGUGAUAGGAGUUAGUUACAACAGUGAACACUCCUAAUCAGAGCAUAAAGUCUAGGUGCAGUCCAGUAGGACAAGUACUAGUUAUACAGUACCAAGAAUGUCAUACUAUUAUUUGGAUAAGUCAGAACUGCCGACGUCCUCUAGCCACCAACAGCAAGCUUACUUAAAACUGGAGGGGGGCAAAACAAAAAACGUGAGUGGGAAAAAACAAAUGCUUUACAAAGUCAUUUUCUUUAUCAACUUGUCUAACCUCUCGCUGUAAAACAUAUAUAAUUUUUCCCAGAAUUAGAAUAUAAGCAUAUACAUAAUUUAUAUAUAUACAUAUAUAUAUAUAUACAUAUAUAUAUAUAUAUGAAAUCAUAUCAAUUCAAUUCAUGCUUCACAUAAUCAUAUUCAAAUAUAUAUGCCAUGCUAAGAUAUAACAGAGUAAUCAAUUCAAGUAAGAAUAAAUUCAUAGAAUGUGAUAUGUUAGCCGGAACCCUUGUGGUAGUCUGUACGGCUGAACAUAUAGCUCAAAGUCAAUCUAGCCAGAGUCACUACAAUGACCUAUACGGCAAUAUACUACACAUAAGUCGGAACCCCUAAAAGGUUUGUACGACAAAAUUGGGUGUAAUACGGUUAUGCUCAAUUUUACUAUCUCAUAAUAGUCGAGCGAUAAAUUGCUAGUCACCUACGAGUUGGAACCAUAAAUAAGGUUUGUAUGACAAGACUGUGCACUUAAUUUGGAUCCAGUAUGAGCAUAUAGUGCGGGAGGUGACUUAAAUAAACAGGCAUGUACUUCAUAUCUCUGGCUAAAUCACAAUCACCCUAGGUGCAGUUUUAUGAGCUCAACAUUAUUCAAUUACAUAUCACAUCAUUGAUGAUUCACAUAACCAAAAUAUAACUCACCUGAACUUACCUGGGCCUCCACAGCACCAUGCGACAAUAUGCAUAAUUAUGAUAAUGCAUAUACUAAAAUAAAAUAUAGGCAUUGGCAUAGCAUGGCAUUUAAAUCACAUUUCCUUUAAAUAUAUUUUCUGGGAAAAACAUCAAGUAUACUGAAAACAAAAGCCCACUCACUGAUAUGUCGAUGGGUCGUAACCCCCGAGUCGCCCUUGGAUAUGCUCGUCCUCGGGAUAAGUCUCACCUAUAUUCGAAUUAACUAUAAAAACGUUAUUUUAAAGCACAUAGACAAAACUAGCUAAUAACUUCUAAUACAUUGCUCAAAAUGGGUAUACGAAUAUACCAUAGUGACCUACACAACCUUACGAAUAUCGUGAUAUUUUUUGAGCUCCCACGCGCCGGCAAGGGCACGGUAAAACGCGCCCCCACGCUUGGCCCAAACCUGACGGAUUCCCUAACCACCGUUAGGGAAUAUUCCGUUAAACCUAACAGAUUCCGCUAAAAUUGAUUGACGACGUUAGCAUAUUCCGUCCAAACUGACGGAAUAUGCCGUCAUCUUCUCUGACGAGUCGCCGAUCGCCGGGAAACUGGGUAAAAUCUCAAACCCACACAAUAAACUCUAAAUCUCAAUAUGUCACACAUACACACUACAAUUUCCUGUCCAAUGUUAAAACUGUCAUUUGACCGCACUAAUAAAUGAAUUUCGGGACGGGCUGUGACAAUCUCCCCACCUUAUAAAAUUUCAUCCUCGAAAUUACAUAUAAUAAAUACAUCCACUAAUAACCAUAAAACAAGCAUGGAUACAUCUCUCGCAUCCGAUCCUCUGUCUCCCAAGUAGCUUCUUCCACUGAAUGAUUUCUCCAUAACACUUUUAGCAAACGAACUGUCUUGUUCCUCAGUUCUUUGUCCUUCCAAUCCAAAAGAGUCAUUGGCUCUUCAUCAUAAGUCAAUUCCGAAUUGAUUUCCAAGGGUUGAGGAGGAAUCAUAUAUGAAGGAUCCGAAACAAAAUGUCAAAGCAUCGAAACAUGAAAUACAUCAUGCACAUUGGAUAACUCUGGAGGCAACUUAAGCCUGUAAGCAACCUCACUUACUCGCUCGGUGAUCAUAUAUGGUCCAAUGAACCUAGGACUCAACUUUCUUUUCUUUCCAAAUCGCACUACACAUUUCCAAGGUGAUAGCUUCAGAAAUACCCAAUCGCCUACAUCGUACUUCCGAUUAGUGGCAUGCUUGUCUACUAAGCUCUUUUGUCGAUCUUGAGCCGCUUUCAGGUUAAACUUAAUUACCUGAACAUUUUGAGUAGUCAUAUCCACAAUCUCAGGGCCCACUAAAACUCUUUCGCCAACCUUUGACCAACAUAGAGGUGUACGACAAGAUUUCCCAUAAAGUGCCUCAAAUGGUGUCAUACCAAUGCUCAAAUGAUAACUGUUGUUGUAGGCGAACUCCAUUAAAUCCAAACAAUCAUGCCAACUAUCUCCAAACUGCAGCACUGAAAAUCUCAACAUAUCCUGUAAUGUCUGAAUGGUCCUCUCAGAUUGUCCAUCUGUCUGAGGAUAAUAUGCCGUACUAUAAAGUAAUCUCGUACCAAAAGCUUCCUGGAAUGCUAUCCAGAACUUAGAAGUAAAUCUAGGAUCCCGAUCCGAGAUAAUAUUAACUGGCACACCAUGAUACUUCACAAUCUGUGAUAUAAAUAACUGAGCUAAUUGGCUUAGCGAAUGCUUCUCCCUCACUGGAAUAAAAUGUGCUGACUUCGUAAGCCGAUUAACUACCACCCAAAUGCCGUCAUAUCCAUUCUGUGUACGAGGAAGCUUGUACACAAAAUCCAUAGUAAUAUUUUCCCAUUUCCACUGUGGAACGGGAAAUGGCUGCAUCAACCUAAACGGCUUCUUCCUUUCAGCUUUAACCUGUUGACAAAUGGCACACCUACUCACAUAUUUGGCAAUUUCUCUUUUCAUACUUGGCCAAUAAUAAAAUGGUCUAAUGGUAUGAUACAUCUUAGUGCCUUCUGGAUGCAUUGCAUAUGCCGAAAUAUGUGCUUCAUCCAAAAUUUCUUUCUUUAACUCUGCAUUAUUCGGCACAUACAUCCUGCUUUCCUGCAUAAGCAUGCCAUCAGUUUCUCGAAUCUCGAAAUCUUUCUUUUUGGCUUGGUUCCUUGCUUGAAUUAUUUCAUGGGUCUCUUCAUCAAUCAUUUGAGCCUCAAGUACAUGAUCAAUUAAAAUUGGCCUAACCUGAAAAUUAGCACGUUCACAAUCUUCCACUCCUAACUCCACUCCAGUGGACCUCAAAUCUGCUAAGAGAGGAACAUGACAAUCAUAGAUGGCAUUAAGUCUGGUUGGAGUCUUUCUACUAAGUGCAUCUGCCACUGCAUUUGCACGACCAGGAUGAUACUCAAUCGUGCAAUCAUAGUCACUAAGUAACUCAAUCCACCUCCGCUGAUGAAGAUUAAGAUCUCUUUGAGUAAACAGAUAUUGGAGACUUUUAUGAUCUGUGAAGAUCUUACAUUUUUCACCAUAAAGAUAAUGUCUCCAAAUCUUCAAGGCAAAGAUGAUAGUUGCUAACUCCAAAUCAUGUGUAGGGUAAUUCUUCUCAUGAGGUUUCAACUGUCUCGAAGCAUAAGCAAUUACUCUACCAUGUUGCAUCAAUACACAACCCAAACCAUUCAAAGAAGCAUCACUAUAAACCUCAUAAUUACCGCUAUCAUCUGGAAGUGCUAAAACAGGAGCAUGAGUGAGAUAAUACUUCAACUGCUGAAAACUUUGCUCACAUUUAUUAUCCCACUCAAACUUAACAUCUUUUCGAGUCAACCUCGUCAAUGGCAGAGCAAUCACUGAAAAAUCCUUAACGAACCGUCUAUAAUAGCCUGCUAAGCCAAGAAAACUCCGUACCUCGGUGACGGUUCGAGGUUGCUCCCAAUUCUCCACGGCUGCCACAUUCUGAGAAUCCACUUGAAUGCCCUGAGAAGAAACUAGAUGUCCCAAAAAUGCCACUUGGUUCAGCCAAAAUUCACAUUUGCUAAACUUAGCAUAUAGUUAGUGUUCCUUCAAACUACUCAACACCAACUUCAAAUGUCUAACAUGCUCAGCCUUAGACUUAGGGUAUACCAAAAUAUCGUCAAUGAAGACAAUAACAAACCUGUCCAAAUAUGGCUAGAAUACUCGAUUCAUCAAAUCCAUAAAAGUUGCUGGUGCAUUAGUUAACCCAAAUGGCAUCACAAGAAACUCAUAAUGACCAUAUCGAGUCCUUAAUGCGGUUUUUGGGACAUCUUCAUUUUUAAUCUUCAAUUGGUAAUAACCUGACCUCAAGUCAAUCUUAGAAAAUACACAUGCACCUCUGAGUUGAUCAAAUAAAUCAUCUAUACGAGGCAAUGGAUAACGGUUCUUAAUGGUCACUCGAUUCAAUUGCUUCUAAUCAAUGCACAACCUCAAAGUUCUGUCUUUCUUCCUCACAAAUUAAACUAGAGCUCCCCAAGGUGAAGUACUCGGCUGAAUAAAACCUUUAUCCACUAACUCUUGCAACUGGACUUUCAAUUCCCUUAAUUCAGAAGGAGCCAUUCUAUAAGGAGUUAAGGAUAUGGGAUUCGUACCUGGAAGCAAAUCAAUAACAAACUCCACCUUUCUAUCUGGCGACAAUCUAGGCAAAUCCUCAAGAAACAUAUCCGGAAAAUAUCUGACAACACGAGCAUCCUCCACACUACUAGGAGCAUUAUUAUUCAACACCACAUGAGCCAAAUAUCCUUGACAACCUUUCGACAACAAUCUCUUUGCUUUCAUGGCUGAAAUAAUACCAUGCCUCACCCCAUUAGGCUCUCUUACAUAUGUAACUUCAGGUAAUCCAGGACAAUGAAAUGUGACUGUCUUCUCAUAACAACCUAUCUUGGCACGAUUAUAGUGCAACCAAUCAGUGCCCAAAAUCACAUCAAAAUCCAUAAUAUCCAACGGCAUACGAUUAGCCGGCAUAAUAAUAUCCUCUACUAUCACUGGACAUCCUAGAUAUACUUGAUCCAUAAAACAGCUAUCCCUUCUAGGCAUAGAAAAUUCUAAAUUAUAUCCUAGAGGUGUAGGAUGGGGUUGCGACACUUGAGCAAAUGUAUGAGAAAUAACAGAAUGUGUAGCACCACAAUCAAUCAAUACUCUAGCAAAAUGACCAAGAAUAUUUAACAUACCCAGGAUUAAAUCUGGAUUAUUCUGGGCAUCUUGCAGUGACAUGUUGUGGAUACGUGCCUGGUUCUACUAUCGUCCACCGCGACCUUUGUUGGUGUGAACACCACGUCCCUGCCUCUGCUGACCCGACUGCCUCGAAGGUCCUGCACUACUAGCAGCAAUUUCUCCCUGCUGGGGUUGUCCCCCUUGGUACCACUGAGAUCCUCCGGCUGAAUGUGGCUGAUAAGACAUAGAUCCUUCAUGAUACUGAGGGUACCCACUCUGGUACUAAGGAUCUUGAUAGUACUGUUGCUGUCCUGAGGUGUAUGGAGCGACGUCGCCCUGAUAGUGGUAGGCACAUCCUCGUCCAGUCUGAUUGUAACCACCAGAUUCUGAAGCUUGCUGAAUCGGUGCAGGUGGUGGGAAGGAAGGCUGUUGGGGUAUCUGCUGACUCUGAGGGCAUUGGGUAGCCUAAUAACCCAUCUGACCACAAGUAAAACAUCCAUUGCUGCCUCUCCUACACUCCCCAAAAUGUCGAUUAUUACACAUGCGGCAUAAGGGAGCACUAGAUCCACCUGAACCACCAAAAUCUUUCUGCCUCUGAAACCUAAAGCCUCCAGUGAAUUUACCACCUCUCCUCUGCAUAUUAGUACUCAAUCCUCCGCUAGAAGAGCUAGAGCUGCCACCAUUCCUCUUAAAGUUCUAGGUCUUGCGGAGUCCCUGAAAUGCUUACCCUUUUCCUUUGUCAUCUCGUCUCUAGCCCCCAUUCUUUCCUUCCUUAUCUUCACUUUCACUAGGCAUGUUCUCUAAGGCCUCAAUCCUCAGUAGAAUCUCAUAGAACUCCUGGCAAGAGGCACAGUGAGUCGAUGUUGCUAUGGAAUGCCAUUUCUUCUUAGUACCUAAACUGAAACGAUGAAGCAUCUCUACUGGGUUAGCAGCAACCUCCGGAUCAUAUCUCGACAGAUCAGUAAACAUCCUAUAAUACUCAUUAGCGGACAUUUUCCUUGUCUCAGGUGAGUAAACUCCUGUUUCUUAAGAUUGAUAUAUGUAGGAGGAAUGAACCUUUUCCGAAACCGUUCCUUAAACAUUCCUCAGUCUACAAUCUCUUCUGGGGUCAUCUGGUAAGACUCCUGUCUCCACCAGGAUGCAGGCUGUUCUUUUAAAACCAGGUAGUCGUCUCGACCCACUUAUCAGGAUAAAGAUUCCCCUGACUCUGCAUCACCUAAUAUGUCUUCUCCACAUGAUUCAGCCAUUUUUCUACCCCCUCAUGACCUUCAUUAUCCAUGAAGUGAGUCAACUUCAGAUUAUGAACUAUCUCAAGAUGUGUCAUCUGAGGAGUACAAAAUGCUGUCUGAAUGGCAGAAACUAUAGCUUUCCCCAAUUGAGCAAUAUUAGGGAAACUAGAUUCGGCUACUUGACGGGGCUCUCUACAAGGCGGCAUAGUUCUGACAUAAAACAUCACAAGGAUUAGAACAUUCAAGAAUUAUACAGGAUUGCUAAACCUAUGCUCUGAUACCAAACUGACACACCCCGACCGAGAUCAAGGCAUGCUGGCCAUCACGUGGGAGUGACGUAGCCAUGUGCACAGUGCGGAAGCAAUAAAGAGAAGAAAUAUACGAAUAAAUAAAAACCAAAAUACUAGAGUGCACCACUAAACAGAAAGUGAUAGGAGUUAGUUACAACAGUGAACACUCCUAAUCAGAGCAUAAAAUCUAGGUGCAGUCCAGUAGGACAAGUACUAGUUAUACAGUACCAUGAAUGUCCUACUAUUAUUUGGGUAAGUCAGAACUGCAGAAGUCAUCCAGCCACCAAUAGGAAGCUUACUUAAAACCUGGAGAGGCGCAAAACAGAAAACGUGAGUGGGAAAAAACAAAUGCUUUACAAAGUCAUUUUCUUUAUCAACUUAUCUAACCCCUCGCUGUAAAACAUGUAUAAUUUUUCCUAGAUUCAGAAUAUAAGCAUAUACAUAAUAUAUAUAUAUAUAUAUGUAUAUGAAAUCAUAUCAAUUCAAUUCAUGCUUCAUAUAAUCAUAUUCAAAUAUAUAUGACAUGCUAAGAUAUAACAAAGUAAUCAAUUCAGGUAAGAAUAAAUUCAUAGAAUGUGAUAUGUUAGCCGAAACCCCUGUGGUAGUCUGUACCGCUGAACUCAUAGCUCAAAUUUAAUCUAGCUGGAGUCACUAUAAUGACCUAUACAACAAUAUACUGCACAUAAGUCGGAACCCCUAAAAGGUCUGUACGAUAAGAUUGUGUGUAAUAUGGUUAUGCUCAAUUUUACUCUCUCAUAAUAGCCGGGCGAUAAAUCGCAAGUCACCUACGAGUUGGAACUAUAAAUAAGGUCUGUACGACAAGACUGUGCACUUAAUUUGGAUCCAGUAUGAGCAUAUAGUGCGGGAGGUGGCUUAAAUAAACAGGCAUGUACUUCAUAUCUCUAGCUAAAUCACAUUCACAUAACCAAAACAUAACUCACCUGAGCUUACCUGGGCCUCUACAGCACCAUGCGACAAUAUGCAUAAUUAUGAUAAUGCAUAUACUAAAAUAAAUAUAGGCAUUGGCAUAGCAUGGCAUUUAAAUCACAUUUCCUUUAAAUAUACUUUCUGGGAAAAACGUCAAGUAUAUAUAUACUGAAAACAAAAGCCCACUAACUGAUAUGUCGACGGGUCGUUAUUGGAUAAGUAAAUAAUAUGCCAGGUCAUCAUUGUACAUGUGCAGAACAUGUGCACAUAUAGAGUAGUAUAAAUAGUUACUUUCCUCUUGUAUUUGGGAAUGUCGGUGUAUAACAAAAACAGUUACAAAAAUAUAUUGAGAAAUUCUUCGGUUUCCUUCGCCUUUAAGCUUUCUUAGUCUGCAUAUUUCUUGAUUUCUAUGAAGCACUUCCUUGUAGUUAAGAUGGUAUCUAAAGCCGGUCUUGCUUGCGCAAUGGGUCUGGUUUCUGGGUUUCGCUGCUUCGGUUGGUGAUAAGGUGGUUUCUGUUUUUUUCGUUGCUUCGGUUGGUGAUAAGGUGAUAUUGUUUCACAAAUUCUCAAGAAUUUUGCUUAGAUCUGGAGUUUUUUUUUAAUUGAAGGCCGAUGCCAUAGUUUCUGUUGAAUUGACGAUUUAUAUGUUGUGUUCAUGAAAGGCCGAUGCCAAUUUGUUGUGAAUUUUGGGUUUUCUUGCUAUAAGUGAAUUGAUUGAAGGCCGAUGCCGAGUGAUGAAGUUUGUUUGUGAUUCUUGAAAUUGUAUAAUGAUUGGUUGCUCUUGAUUCUGUGUUCGAAGUUAAUUUUGUACAUCUUUCAUCUGGGUUCUUUCCACCGACUCAAAUUUCAUCUGGGUUUUUCUGGGUUCUUCCAUUAUCUUUUGGUGUUUGUUACAUUUGUUGAUAUUACAGUGAAUUUGUUCUUCCAAUCAUGGUUAAUCAAGUGAAAAUUGAAGGUUUGCUGGGUAUGCUUACGAUCAAACUAAAUGAUGAUAAUUUUCUUAAAUGGAGUUUUCAGUUUAGCUCUGUUUUGCGUGGAUAUGAUCUUCUUGAUCAAUUUCACAGGUGAUUAUGUAUGUCCUCCCAAGUUUGUUCUCACUCCUGAAUUAGGAGUUACUACUGAGGUUAAUGCUGAGUAUAAGGACUGGGUUAAGAUGGAUAUGGCAUUGUUAAGCUUGUUGAUUGCUACCCUUAGUGAUGAUGCAAUUGAGCAUGUGGUCGGCUGUAAGACAUCUCAUGAGGCCUGGAUUGCCUUACAUGAUCGAUGUAUGUCUAUUUCUAAAGCUAGUGUCAAUCAUCUAAAAGCUGAACUACAUACUAUGCAAAAAGGGGGGGACAUUAUUGAUAAGUAUCUGCUAAGGUUGAAAGCACUAAAAGAUCAAUUACAGGCUGCUGGAGAGAAAGUGUCCGAUAAUGAUCUUAUUAUUGCUGCACUCACAGGUCUACCUUCUGAUUAUGAUACAAUUAGAACUGUUAUUUUUGCCAGAGAGUCACCCAUUACUCUUGAGGAAUUUCGCGCUCAAUUAAUCGGUGUAGAGAAGAGUAUUGAAGCCAGAAUGAAUUCUUUGGUUCAGGGGAUGUCUGCUUUGUUUGUGAAUGCUAAUUCUUCUAAUAAUCAUACUGGGGGAUCUUCAGGUUCUUUGACUAAUCCUUCACCACCUCAAUUUUCUCCAAAUAUUGGCUAUAGCUCCUCUGAUAGUUCUUCUUCUUAGCCAAGUUAUUCUUCUGGUAAUCAAUUUCAGUCGAAUAGUUUUUCAGGCUUGAAUCAGAAUGGCAGAAUGUUUGGUAUGAAUACCUAUAGACCUCGAGGUAAUGAAGGUUAUAAACCAAGGUUCAAUAAUUCCAGAUCUGGUCCAAAUUGGCAAUCAUGGUCGGGCAAUACUUCUAACAGGUUUGAUCUUGUCCCUGAGUGUCAAAUAUGCUCUCGCAAAGGUCAUGUUGCUGUUACCUGUCUUUAUAGAAAUGAUGGUGGACAGUCUGUACAAGAGUGUCAAAUUUGUGGCAAGCGUGGUCAUAUUGCAUUAAACUGUCGGCAUAGAGGCAAUUAUGCUUAUCAAGGCGCUCAACCUCCUCCUUCCUUAUCUGCUAACUAUGCAUAUCAAGGUUUUCCUAUGUCUUCUCAAGCUAAUAUGGGAUUGGUCUCUUCUCAAUCUCAGUUUUUGAAUAACAAUCAACCUCCUCAGUAUGUGCAUAACAUUCAGUCUCCUCAGUUUGUGCACUACAAUCAGUCUACACAGUUUACCUCUCCCUCUAUGUCAUCUCCACCUGGUUUUCCAGCUAUGAAUGCACAAUCUUCUGCUGCGAUUGCAAAUGGAGAUUCCUGGAUUCUUGAUACUGGUGCUUCUCACCACAUGACACCCGAUUUGACAGUCCUUGCUCAAUCUACACCUUAUGCAGGAUCCGAGAAGAUAAUAGUGGGCAAUGGUGAAGGUUUGAAAGUUCAAAAUAUUGGUCAUGGCACUGUGCAAACUCCUUCUCAUGUUUUACAUCUUAAGAGCAUUUUACAUGUGCCAAUGUUGACUGUGAAUCUGUUGUCUGUUAAAAAGUUGUGCAAAGACAAUCAUAGUUGGUUUAUCUGUGAUGAUAUUCAGUUUUUUGUGCAGGACAAGGCAACUGGGGCGAUCCUCCACCAUGGAAAGAGUAGCAAUCAUGAGCUGUUUCGAGUCCCUAUGCAUAUUUUUCCCACUUUACUGGAUCAAGGUGCGGGUUCUGCUUAUUUGGGACAGUCUGUGACAUCUUCCUUGUGGCAUCAACGUUGUGGUCAUCCUUCUAAUGACAUAUUGAAAACUAUGCUCAGAGAAUCAAAUAUAGUUGUUACUUCUGAUGAAAAUGUCAAACUUUGUUCUCAUUGUCUUGAUGGGAAAAUGAGUAGACUUCAUUUUUCUGAUAGGAUUGAUAGAGUAGAUAUUCCCUUUUACAAAGUACACAGUGAUGUAUGGGGCCCUUCUCCAGUUGUUUCAGUUGAAGGGUUUCGAUAUUAUGUGUCUUUUAUAGAUGAAGCUACUCGAUUUGUAUGGAUUUUUCCUAUCAUGAAUAAAUCAGAAGUUUUUGGUUCCUUUGUCAAAUUCUGUGCAUAUAUUGAGAAUCAAUUUCAUACUAGAGUUAAAGUGUUACAAUCUGAUGGUGGUGGAGAAUUUCUUAGUCAUGCUUUCAAAGAAUUUUUGGCAACACAUGGUAUAUUACAUUUUAUCUCUUGUCCUUACACACCAGCAGAAUGGAUUAGCUGAGCGGAAGCAUCGACAUCUUAUUGAAACAGCUAUUACAUUGCUAUCUGUGGCCAAGUUACCUCACAAGUUUUGGUCUUAUGCAGUCAAUCAUGCUACCUUUUUUAUUAAUAGGAUGCCAUGUAAGGGUCUUAAUAUGAUUUCACCUUUUGGGAAGUUGUUUGGCAAGAAACCAGACAUAGCUAAUCUCAAAGUUUUUGGUUCUGCCAUUUAUCCUUAUCUUCGGCCCUACAAUACUAAUAAGUUACAGCCUCGAUCAACCCAAUGUGUGUUUUUGGGAUAUUCACCAGGUUAUAAAGGUGCUAUCUGCUACAGUAUAUCCACUGGGAAAGUUCUUAUUUCUCGUUAUGUCAUUCAUGAUGAAACUAUAUUUCCUUAUAGACAUGUUAGUUCAACUGCUACAGAUGCUACUUCUUCCAUGUCUUCUGGUCAAAGUAGUACUGCAAGUCCUAUUAUUGUACAGUUACCUUCUUUAAUGGAUCAUUCUUCUAGUCUUGAUUCCAGCAAUGUUUCUCCACGGGUUUCAGUCACUCCAUCACUUGGUUCUACAUCCCAGCAUCAUGUUUCUUCGAGCUCUUUGGAAAAUACACAGGACUCUACUACGCAUGCUACUCUUUCCAGCCUUAUGUUGCCUGUCCAAGUUGAGUUAGCUCCUCUCAGUUCUUCUAAUUCUCCUCGCACAUGUAAUACAUCUAUUUCACAAGGAAUUCAAACACGGUUAAGAACUGGUACCAUAACCAGAAAAGACUACUCGGCCUUAACAGCUAUAUUCCCAGAAGUGCAGUCUUUGACUCUUGAGGAUGAUGAUCACUUCUCAGGGGGUUUCACCUUUGUUGCUGAUAUUCUGGAUGCUUCAGAACCGUCUACUUUCAAACAAGCAUCUCAUAUUCCCCAGUGGAAAAUGGCAAUGCAGGAUGAGUUUGAUGCUCUUCAAGCACAAGGUACCUGGUCACUUGUUCCUAAUUCCUGUGAUAAGAAUGUCAUUGGUAGCAAGUGGGUGUAUAAAAUAAAAAGGAAUAGAUGGCUCUGUUUCCCGAUAUAAAGCACGCUUGGUUGCCAAGGGAUUUAAUCAGGAAAAUGGGCUGGAUUAUACAGAAACAUUCAGUCCUGUUGUUUGACAUACUAUGGUUCGUAUAAUCUUAGCACUAGCCGCUACACAUCAUUGGGAUCUUCGACAACUUGAUGUGAAGAACGCUUUUCUUCACGGGGAAUUGCAGGAAGAAGUUUAUAUGAAGCAACCCCAAGGUUUUGUCAAUCCUCAGUUUCAUACUCACGUUUGCAAAUUAGUUAAGUCUCUUUAUGGUUUAAAACAAGCUCCCCGAGCUUGGAAUGACAAAUUUACUAACUAUUUGCAGGCUAUUGGAUUUGAAGCUUCUCUGUCAGAUUCUAGUCUAUUUGUUAAACUCGAAGGAGCUCAUGUGAUCAUUUAAUUCUCUACGUAGAUGACAUCAUAAUUACAGGUUCUAAUUCCCAGUUGAUACAAUCUGUGAUCACAGCUCUUAGUGAAGUAUUUGAUCUUACGGAUAUGGGCAAGUUAGCCUAUUUCCUUGGCCUCCAGGUUACUUAUAAGACAAAUGGGGAUAUGUUUAUCAAUCAAGCCAAAUAUGUGCUUGAUUUGAUUCACAAGGCUGGCAUGGAUGAUUGUAAGCCGUGCUCCACACCCUGUAAGCCUCAUAAUCAGGUUCUUUCUACUGAAGGUACCUUACUCACUGAUCCUACUCUAUAUCGAAGUUUGGUUGGGGCUCUACAGUACCUUACAUUUACACGUCCAGACAUUGCCUUUGCUGUGAAUACUGUAUGUCAAUAUAUGAAUGCUCCUACCGAUGUACACUUUGCUAUGGUCAAAAGAAUACUUCGAUAUUUGCAAUUAACUGUUCAGUGUGGCUUGACUUAUACUUCUGGGAGUUCUGUGUCUGUAACUGCAUAUAGUGAUUCGGAUUGGGCUGCAGAUUUGAACACUCGGAGAUCUAUCACUGGUUAUGUUGUGUAUCUUGGCUCUAAUCCUGUUUCUUGGCAAUAAAAAAAGCAGUCCUCUGUGUCUCGGAGUUCGACUGAGGCUGAAUAUCGCGCCUUAGCACAUACCACAACUGAUAUUGCCUGGAUCCGUCUCAUUCUCAAGGAUUUACAUGAGGUUUUAUCGACUCCUCCAGUGGUGUAUUGCGAUAAUCAAUCUGCAAUCACUUUGAGUUUAAAUCCAGUUCAACACUCUUGAAUCAAGCACUUGGAAACAGAUUUUCACUUUGUCCGUGAACGAGUUCAAAAAGGUGACUUAUCUGUUGAAUAUGUGUGUACUAAAGCUCAGAUUGCCGAUGUGCUCACCAAAGGUCUUCAUGGUCCAGAUUUUCUUCGUCACUGUUUCAAUCUUAAGCUUGGUUAUCCAAGCUAAGAUUGAAGGGGGGUAUUGGAUAAGUAAAUAAUAUGCCAGGUCAUCAUUGUACAUGUGCAGAACAUGUGCACAUAUAGAGUAGUAUAAAUAGUUACUUUCCUCUUGUAUUUGGGAAUGUCGGUGUAUAACAAAAACAGUUACAAAAAUAUAUUGAGAAAUUCUUCGGUUUCCUUCUUCUUUAAGCUUUAUUAGUCUGCAUAUUUCUUGAUUUCUAUGAAGCACUUCCUUGUAGUUAAGAGUCGUAACCCCCGAGUCGCCCUUGGAUACGCUCGUCCUCGGAAUAAGUCUCACCUAUAUGCGAAUUAACUAUAAAAACGUUAUUUUAAAGCACAUAGACAAAACUAGUUAAUAAUUUCUCAUACAUUGCUCAAAAUAGGUAUAUGAAUAUACCAUAAUGACCUACACAACCUCACGAACAUCGUGAUAUUUUUAGAAAAACAUUUCGAGCUCCCACGCGCCGGCAAGGGCACGGCAAAACGCGCCCUUAUGCGUGGCCCAAACCUGACGGAUUCCCUAACCACCGUUAGGGAAUAUUCCGUUAAACCUAACAGAUUCCGCUAAAAUUGACUGACGGUGUCAGCAUAUUCUGUCCAAACUGACGGAAUAUGCCGUCAUCUUCUCCGGCAAGUCGCCGGUCGCCGGGAAACUGGGUAAAAUCUCAAACCCACACAAUAAACUCUAAAUCUCAAUAUGUCACACAUACACACUACAAUUUCCCGUCCAAGGAUAAAACUGUCAUUUGACCUCACUGAUAAAUGAAUUCGGGACGGGCUGUGACACCACUCCCUCUCCCUUAAUGUAGAUAAUAUCGUUUGUUAAAAAAAAAGAAUAAUCAUUUGACAACUAAUUUAAUCAUAUUAUUAUCCGGAUGCGAAUGACCUUUUUAUAACCGGCAUCACAGGCCGCUUAAAAUGUUUUGAACGUGUUUGAAAAUAGAAAAAAAUAAUAUUUAACAAACAACUGAUUGAUUCACAUUAUUGCUAGUGCAUUGUAAGGCUAAGGUCACCCCUUCUCCCUUAGUGUAGAUAAUAUCGUUUGUUAAAAAAAAUAAAAACAAUCAUUUGACAACUAAUUUAAUCAUAUUAUUAUCCACAUGCGAAAGACAUUUUUUAUAACUGGCAUUACACGCCUCUUAAGAUGUUUUGAACGUGUUUAAAAACAGAAAAAUUGAAUAACAUUAUUACUAGCCUAUUGUGAGUUUCUAAUUUUUUUUUAAAAGAAAAAAAAUUAAUUAUUAAAAAAAUAUUGUUAAAAUGAUGAAAAUUCCUUUGCCUUAUUUGAUGUAUUAUUUUGCAAUGCUUUUGAAGUUUUUUUGUUUUAGAGGUGUUUUUGUCCAAAAUUUUUUAUUGAAAGUAACACCAAAAUCACUAUUCAUCUUUUGCGUUCGUUAUAUAUAUAAGAUGUUUAAUAGUCAUAAUCAAUUAGUCAAUCAUCACUCUGUCCUCUGCCUGCCUCCUGUCAAUCCUUUAGGAUUUCAUAUAAUCCGGCACAGGAGAUCCCAAAGUUACAGCGGCCUGGCACCAUUUGUCUAAAGUGUAAAGUCAUAAAGUUGUGAAACGCGUCCUUUAUUGCGUUUAGCUAAAUGUAAAUCAUGACCUGAGGAAAAAGACAAUUUCCAUUGAUCCAAUAAUAUCUCUACCGUAUGAAAUUCACUUACUAAUGAAAACAAGUAUUACCAACUUUUUAUUAUUUUCUAAUGUCCCCAAAAGGCCUAUUCUUAGAUGUAAAGUCGUUGAUAAGAUCUGACAACAGUUUACAAAUGUUUGUAAAGUUGGAAAGCCAAGAGUAAUUAGGAUUUGAUACUCACUAAUGAUAUCCAAUUUCUAAACAACAGUUGGAAAGUCAAGAGUAAUUAUUUUUUUAACGAUUUAUUUUAUAUAUAAUUUCUUAAUGGCACAAGUGGACUGCCACGUCAGCAAAUAUAUGGGCCCUCCAUGUGCCAAAUCAUUACUUAACUGUCAGUUUGACAGAAUCAUUAAUAGAUGUAUGAUAUUGCAACGAAUUUAUAAGUUAUAGUAUGACAUUGCAAUGUUUAAAACAUGAGGUAUGAAAUUCUGGUGCGACACAUAGUUGAGCUAGUUUUGUGUAAUUUACUCUUAUAUUUUUUGUGGAGUAUGAUUUUCUUCCUUCCAUAUUCCUCGUCCUCCCUCCCCUUCUCUCUCUUUCCUUUUUGUCUCUCUCUAAAAAAUAAAGUCAACACAAUAUGUUGGCGUGACUUAAUUGUGAUCGUUCAAAUAAGAGAUGAGAAAGGAGAAAUUUUUCAUUGUGACGGGAACAUAGGUGGUACACCACAUGUUUUUAUAUAAGUGGUGAGAAAUUGUAUUUUUUAAGUUAUUAAUUUUUUAGCACACAAUUCUAUCAUUGAUAUAGUGACACGUGAUGUACCACCUUGUGUUCCAGUCACACUAAAAAAUCUCUGAUGAGGAAAGAGAGGAGAAAAUCUUACUUUAUUUUUCAUACCAUAUUUGUACUACUUCUCUAAUAAAAGUAGGAUCCACCAAUACAAAUAGUUCUCACUUUUAUUAGAAGAAUUAUACUAAUAUGAUAAAAUAUAGUAUUUUUGAUAAAAUAAUGUACUCCUAUCCUCGUUUUUAACUUUAAGUAAAAUGACAUACAGCUACUCAAAAUAUCGAUAACAUUAAUGAUAUAAACCCGUGUGUUCUAGAGCUGGCCAAUAUUCUACACUCUAAAGGCAUCUCCAUAACCAUUAUCCACACCGGUUCCAACUCCAUCAACCUUUCAACUCUAAACAUAGAAAAACCCUACUUUUUCAACCACAAGUCACUACUGAUCCGAAAUCACCAAAACCCAAUUGGAGCACAUAAGCCAAAUUCAAAAUCAAUGCACCAAUUUGUCUUCACUCUUAAAGGUUUAAUGUUUAAUAGUCACAGUUAGUCAGUAAGUCACCACCCUUACCUUUGCCUACCUCCUAUCGUUGGUGUGGCACCAUUUGUUUAACGUGUAUUGAGGAAAACCUCUGAAUUGGCUUAGAAGAAAGUAUUUGGUCAAAAUUUCAAUGUAGGUCAAGUUAGAUUUGAUUGAAUUCACCAUUAAUAUUAGAAAAUGGAGUCACUAAUAAAAGAGCGGUUAGUAAAAGUGGUCAAAGCGUGAGCAUGUAUAAGCUGAACCACAUAUUAACAGCUGUUUACAAAUGUUUGUAAACUACAGUUGGAAAGCCAGGAGUAAUUAGGAUUUGAUACUCGGUAAUGAUCCAACCUGCAUAGCCAACGAAAUCUUACAUCAUCAAGAUUAAGUGGGAAUUGUUGUAUGAUCAUGAUGAUGUUAGCUUUACUAUUCUCUGAAAAUAAUAAGAUGAAGUCUAUUAAAGGAGGAUUCAUUCCUAGACAAAUCAAUCCAACUUGAAAAGCAUUUUCUCUUCUUCCCCUUGGUGUGCUAUUUCUCCCUUGGCACUACCGCACAGUAAUCAAUAAUCUAACAACAUUAGAGAUUGAUCCUAUAAUCCAUCAAAUUCUACAUUAGAAAUCAUUUGUGAGGGUGUCCUUAUGAUUUGCACACCAUGUUUACUAACCAAAUGGUGAAUGCAAGAAAUGUGAGGGAUGUUUGAAAGGUAGGGCUGUAGUUGGAGCAUGGAAUUGAGAGAGGUGAGGUUGAAAGAACAAUUAGAAGACUGAUGGUUAAGAAAGAAGGGGAAGAGAUCAAAGAGAGAGCCCUAAAUUUGAUGCAAAAGGCAAAUCAUCGCCUCAAAGAAGGUGGCUCUUCGUACUAAUUUUUGGAUGGCUUGGUUAAACAUCUUACCGUUAUAAAUCAUUUGUUUAAAAAACUCAGUAUCAUUUAUUCAAUAAAAUUAAAAUUUGUUGCAGUCCUAUUAGAUUAGGAAUGCGAUUGUGUAAAUCCUAGUAUAUCUUGGAAUAUCUCUUAUUCCUAUUAUGAGUUGAUCACCUAUUAAGAGUUGUAAUCCUAAAAGGGUAAGAAAUUAACCUUUCCGACUACUAUAAAUAAAGGCAUAAUGGGGUGGAACAGAACACACCUCACACGUACACAUCUCUCUCUUCUCUCUACUAUUGCCGCACCUUUCUUUCUCUAUGGCCUCCAUAAUUGUUCAGUAAAUUAUGCCUACAACACGUUAUCAUCACACUUUCGACGUUGCGCUAAAGAAAGUUUGAAUUUCAAUCUGGGGAGUAUUACGUUUUAAUCAUUUUUUUAUGAUUAAUUUAUUAUUUUAUUGAAUUGAUCUACAUGCUAUUGAUUCAAUUUAAUUUUUCUUUGUUGAACGUGACACAACGCAUUGGAGAUGCAAUUUCGGCUUUCUGUGAAGGAUCUUCUACAAAUACAAAGGCUUUUGUUGUUUUCUGCCAAUCAAGUACGCUGAUAGGAUUAAAAUGCACACCACAAAGUAGCAUACAAAUGUCCUAUUGAUUUUCCUUAUUAACACUAAGAUUUGUCAAUUGUAGCAUAUGAAAAUAAGGGUCUUUCCCGCAGAAGACUGUUUUAUCUAACUACUUAAAAAGUCACAAAAACUGGGCUGCUGUCCAUACUGACCAGCCACCGAAAAAUAAUUAUUAGACUAACUUACGCUUAUCUAAAGUCUACAAAAUUUUAUAUGACAACACUAGACACACAGAGCUACACUCACAAAUAGUUUUGGGAUUUUUGGAGUUGAUUUGCUAUUUAAAUUAAAUUGAACAAAAACAGGACAAAAACAAAUUUUAAAUAGUUCAUAAAUUAAGAAAAACGAGUUAGGGGAAUUGCUAUCCACCACCAAAUAAUCAUGCAAACAUGUUAUGUUUCAUGCAAAAUCCUUUUAUUUCAGGAUGAAGAUGCUUAGGUUGGCUCAAUGUUAGAACUCAACCUAUUACUCUUUCUUAUGUAGUAUGUUAAGAGAAUGGCGUUUUCAACUUAACUUAGUCCCUAGCAUGCAAUCUAGAAUGGCGUGUUCAUAGAUAUAACAAGUAGAAAUCAUUAAGAACGAAAAGAGUUUGGGUCAUCACAAGGCAUCGUAAGUACUGGCGUUGUCUUACUUAUCCUAGAAAUUGGUUCACAUGUUAAUCGCAAUUAACAAGUACUACUCUAGAACAUAUGUAGGUCCUUAUUCGACAAGGGCAGACACACACAUAUUCAUAGUGUUAGAAUCCUAGAUAUGCUUACUACGUAUGCAUCCAUAGAAAACAAAUAAAGAAUUCAUCAAUGAGACAAGUAGUGAACCAAUUUUCAUCCAUUCAUAAAAGUAAUUCAAACGAAAUGUCAUAACAAAUUUGCAAUCAUAUUCGGGGCUUCAAAACAGCCCCUAACUACUAAAAAUUUAGUUACACAUAAUCCUUAAGUUAAAACAAAAGAUAGACAUGAGUUUGAGAAUAUAGAACCGAAAGAAAUCGACCGAGGCCUCCUCCUCUCUUCCUUCCUUCCCCAAUGUUGCUUUUAAACCAAUUCUUGCAUCAUUUUCUUCUCCUUAACUCACCCACUAAUAACCAUUUAGUGAUGACAAUAAGUGAGAGGAAAUGUGGUAAAACAAUUGUAACACUUUAGAUAGCCUUUAUGCCAAUUACUCCCUCUUAAUCCUCAUUUUUAAUUCCAUUUCCUCUAAUAUUUGAAUAGGUGUCAGCUGACUUGUUCUUGGCUGCAUCAGUUUUGGCUGCUAGAUUUAUUGGGUUUAUUGCUUUCAUUGCAGUUACAAACUGCUCAGCCUCUUGGUAACCUUUCAGUGUUAAAACGGCCAUAACGUCUUCUAGAAACAUGAUAUUAGCAAUCCGCGAAAUGCUCCAGAAAAUAGACAUCCGUAACUUUCCAAACAUAUAAGGCUCAUUCUCUAAUUCAUUCUGAGCUGUUCACAACUUGCUUCCAAAGUCAGCUGAUCUGCAUAGGCAUUUUUGACGAAUUUGUUACUUAAAAUCCCACUUGUGCUAUUUUUCUUUAUUUGCUUGACAAAUCCCACAAAACACAAAAACAAAGUAAAUAGCUCAAAAAUAUAAGGAACUAACUAAGAAAAGACAAGUGAAUUUGAUGUAAAAUAUAUAUAAACAUGAGCUUAUCAUACGCUUAAAAUAAAGUAAGAUAUUUGAAACGACCAUGAAGCAUGAAAGCAUUCCCCAUGAUGCAUGAAUCCCAUACAUUUAUAUUUACCUUCCGAUAUAUAUAUAUAUAUAUAUAUAUAUAUAUAUAUAUAUAUAUUGUAUAUGUUCAUAUAUUUUUCAAUAUAUAUAUAUAUAUUUGUUUCAUGCAUUACGCAAUUAUAUUUGUUAUGUGGAAUAUGUGAGUCAAAGUAUAUUCAUAAAUUAGAAGCAAUUUAGGGUUUCCUAAACCCUAACACUUUCGGAAAAAAAAGGAACAUAUUGCGAUGAACCUCGGUAGUAUCCCUCUGGGCUUUGCUGCUAACAUAUGGACACACCAGGCAUUCGGCCUGGCUGGUUUGACUCGGACCCGUAGCCCAACUUCAUCAAGGAAGCCUGCAACUUUCCUUUUGGACCUACCUUAUGCUCUCAGCCCAUGCCAGCAAGCUGUCAUGCUUGCUGGGCUUUGAAUUAAGCCCCAGCCCGCGGCAAGCUUUGCUUGCUAGGCUUGUCCUGCAUGCACCCAGGUCUGAAACAUGCUCACUCUGGUGCCAGCCCACAUAAUUAGGCUUGGUCUCCACGGCUCAAUAUGAUGCCAGCCACAUGGCUGGGCUCAUGUGCCUCAACCAGGCCAGCUCCGUGCUGGGCCCGAAGUUCCUCGCACUCCCUAGGCCCAAAAACCAACAGUCUUGGUUGCUAGACCUUCCAACCCAUCAGGCCCAUGGCCUGCAACCCACUUCUGAGGCCUUUAGGGCCUUGCCUACUUAUGGCACCCAGCCCAAAUCUUUUUGGGCUAUGGUAUUUUCGACCCUAUACUAUUAUUUAGCCUUUUAAAUAAUUUUAACUCGAAUGUUAUUAUUAUUUUUGCUUCUAUAAUCGGCCUCGUUUGGUCCCAAUUUAUUGAAUUAAUUAAAAGUGACUUGCAAUCCAUUAAUCCGAUAAUGAAUCCAAAAUUAUUGACAUGAAGAUCACUCUUGGACAUUGACGAUUCAAUAAUUUAUUUUUUUAUACUUUGAACCGUUGACAUACUUUCGUAGUAACGAAGCUCUCACACUUGAAUUCCCGAAAAAACUCAAAUCCUCUACACUUAGUUGUAUAUUGCAUUCUGUGUUCUUGCAUGAAUCUCUUUUUUAUGAACUAAACGUUCAUAAACUAAAUUGAACCUGUAAUUUCAAAUUUAGUGCCUUUGAAAUCUGAAGUUUUCUUAAAACAAUACACCCAUAAAAACCUAACGUUUUUCAUGAAAACCAUGUCUUAGAACCCAAAUGUUCUAACUUUGAUGCUUAUGGAUGAUUCAUUCCCAUAGCACCAAUUACAAAUCUUGUUCCCUCCAAAUUCAAUGGAUUCGAACCGUCAUAAGUUCGAUUUCCCUUAUUUGGAUGUUUCUUAUAGAAACCACUUUAUGUGGGGUACAACGUUAUACCGAAACUAUUGAGUACUGGUCAACGUUAUACCAUCAAAGACCCAGAAGAGUUUCUCUUAACCCAGGAGGCCAAUCAGAGCGUGACACGUGUCGACAUCAGAAGCCAAUCAUAGCACGACACGUGUCAACAUCAGAAGUCAAUCAUAACACGACACGUGUCAAUGUUAGAAUGAAACUAGAAACUUUCUUCUAUAAAUAGAGAUCAUUCUCUCACAAUAUUUCCUAAUGUCAUUUGUACUAAAUCAUUCACUUGUACUCACUAAAGGAGAGCUUGAAUCUAUGUACUUGUGUAAACCCUUCACAAUUAAUGAGAACUCCUCUACUCCGUGGACGUAGCCAAUCUGGGUGAACCACGUACAUCUUGUGUUUGCUUCCCUAUCUCUAUCCAUUUACAUACUUAUCUAUACUAGCGACCGGAGCAAUCUAGCGAAGGUCACAAACUUAAUACUUUCUAUUGUACCAAAGUCCUCGCUAAUUUUAUGCAUCAACAUUUGGCGCCGUCUAUGGGAACGACACUUAUUCCCACUCUCUUCAACUUUGUCAAGCUAGUUUCCACCGUUCGUACACUCUCUUUUGACCAGGCAUCCCUCUCCAACAUGGGGAGCGAAGGAAGCCACAGCACACAGAAUGACACCCCUCUUGCACCUAGUGCGAAACAACGAAAGAAGGAAGGAAAGAGGGCUGUUCUUCAAGCUAAAGUCGAUGAGUUAGAAGCUCAAAACAACAAGAUAGCAAUGAAGAAUGAGGUCCUCCAGGAGCAGUAUGAGAAGCUAUUUGAGACGCUCCAUGAAACUAUGCGUACUCAAACACGCGAGCUUGUUGCCCCUGUGGACAUCAACCAUCAUCUGGGUGCCCCCUAACACGGAGGGUUACCUUCCUUCGACAUGGGUAUCUCUGAUGAGGAGCAAGCUAAUCAUCAAAACAUUGAUCAACAUGAGACUUCUCUCAACCCAGCUGCUUCGACCCGAAGUAUGAGAAGUGGAGGAAGACACCUCCUUGUAGAAGGGUUGGAAGGAUCGAAAGCCAUUUAUCGUGACUGCCGAGACUUCCUAAAGUAACGUCGAGAGAAUCUCCUCCACAUAUGCUUGAAGAUCAAUGACCCAAGGGUUUCUGAAAGACUCGGUCCCCUCUCACGACCCAAGCCAGCUGCCAAUCUAGGGAAGGAACGACAUGUCCUAGAGGAACAUGAAGGUACAGGGGACUCUGAGGUAUUCCAACAGACUCGCCCUAGAAGUCAGUACGGCGAAUCCAAGGAAAAAUCACACGCCCUUGCUUAAACUUUCCUACUUCCAAUAGGCGAUGAAGACUUACGAAAGAAAAUCCCAAUGAUACAUGACUCCACUCAAGACCCCCUUGUCCUACAGCUCAUUGAGGAAGUAAACAAGUUGAAGGCCGAACGUCAGGCCGAGAUACCUGACUGGAACCAACCCAGGCCUGGCCCUCUCACAAGGAGGAUCCUCGACACCCCCCUUCAAGCAAAGACAAAAUAAAAGCUUGGUUUAUAACUCUAUACUGGAAGAGAUGACCCAAUUGAACACCUUAACCUUUUUUAGUCCACCAUGGCAUAUCGGAUGCACACCAACGAAAAACGAUGUCUUCUCUUCCCCUCCACCCUCUCUGGCGGAGCUCUAAACUGGUAUUGCCGUCUUCCAUCUGAGACAGUAGAUUCAUUUGAGGAACUGAGGAAACUGUUUAUCUCUCAACAUAUCUUCCAGACCGAUCGCUUGCAUUCUGCAGAUGACUUGUACACUAUUCGCCAGAAGCCAGACAAGUCACUACGAGAGUAUGCUGGUCGUUUCAGCCAUGAGUAUUCUCGUUGCGCUGAGGCAGAUGACAAGACCGCCCUCAAGGCCUUCACGGCAGGCCUACGGGAUUGUUUUUUCAAGUACAUGAUCAAUGCCAACACUUGGAAGACUUACUCUGAGGUGAUGGCACAGGCUUACAACAUUGCCUCCGCCGAGGCAAUGACAUAUUAAGGGAAACCCCCCACAACCACCCCUUAUCAGCAAGUAGGGAGUGGAAGCCAGAUCCAACCAAAUGAGAAGACCUCGACCUUCCAAACAGUAGCGGUGCCUCCCCCUGCCUUACUUAAUACUUUGCCAAGUCAACAGACAUAUCAAUCUCAGGGCAAAAGGAAAGAUUUCCAUCCUCACCAGUCUCAUUUUAGUAAAAGAAGUAAGUGACACUAUUGCGAUAACCAAGGGUAUCGCCAUGAUAAUCCCCAACCCUAGGUAGUCAACACAGUGGGUCAAGCACGUGUCAGGACAUCCCCUACCCUGAAAUAUGAGGCAUACACACCUUUGAACGCCACAUGUAUGGCCAUUUACCCCAGCGUAGCAAACUUGAUACCGAAGCCAAAUGUGAGGCACCCGGAUUACAAGUGCACGAAGAACACGGGCACGUUUUGCUGCUACCACGAGCAUAACGGCAAUGACGGCGAGAAGUGUAUCACCUUUCGUGAUCAUGUUGAAGCUUUGGCACGUGAAGGAAAAAUUGAUCAAUUCCUCCUUCACCCUCCAAGGGGUAACCGUAACCAACGUCAGGUGAAUGUGAUAUAUUCCAUAUGUGGUGGCACACCCAUAUCUAAAUCUUCCAACAGGGUUAUGAAAAAUAGUGAACGAGCUUUAAGGUGUGGCCACUAAGUGUUUCACGUGGAAGACAUCAGGGGAGGUAAGUAUAUGUUUCUACCCUGAGGAAGAAAGAGGUAUCAUUUACCCUCACAACGAUCCACUGAUUGUGGAAGCUCACAUAGCCAACUUUGAAGUACGACGAAUUCUGGUAGACACGGGGGCUUCGGUCAAUAUCAUGUUUGCUGAAGCUUUCAGGGCACUUAAUGUAGCUGAACACUUGCUUGAUCGCUCGAUUUCCUCUCUGAUAAGCUUCUCCAGUGAUAUCGUGCAACCUUUGGGGAACAUACACUUACCUUUCACCAUUGAUAUAGGCCCUUACAUAGCUACCAUUAUCACUAACUUCGUGGUGGUUGAUUGCCCAACGGCAUACAAUGUCAUCUUGGGACGCACAUGCAUCAAUGAUCUCAAGGCCAUGGUAUCCACACAUAUGUUGUUGAUGAAAUUUCCAACCCCCUAUGGCAAUGGUUACAUCAUAGAAGAUCAACUUAGUGCAGGAUCAUGUUACAACACUUUGGUCAAGCAACAACACCUGCCUGUGCCCAAGGAAACCCUUUCUAUACAUGACUAAGUCAUAAAGACCAGCCCAGACGAAACCAACUUGGAUCUUCACGGUGGUAACAGUCAACUCGACGAUCCUCGAGAUGACUCUUUCACCCAGCAAGCACAACCCGCUGAAGAGUUGGAGAAGGUCUCUAUCUCAAAAGAUUAUCCGGAUCGUAUAGUGAAGAUUGGCACCACCUUGUCACCACCCAUUCGGUUGGCAUUGAUCUCUUUUUUGCAAGAGAACACUGAGGUCUUUGUCUGAUCAUACGAGGACAUGUCAGGCAUCUCUCCCGAUAUCAUCUGUCAUCGCUUAAGUAUUGACCCCAAGACCAAGCCAGUGAGACAGAAGCGAAGAUCCUAUGACAUUGAACGGUGCGAGGCAAUGAAGGCAGAAGUUGAAAAACUCAAAGGCAUAGGGUUCGUCCGUGAAGUCAAUUUUCCAAUGUGGGUAGCAAAUGUUGUCCUUGUUAAAAAGAAUCCGACCAAGGAAAGUUUCCUGCUCCAAAAGGUCUUGUGGAGAAUGUGUGUCGAUUACACCGACCUAAACAAAGGAUGCCCGAAUGAUAGCUUUCCUCUUCCUCUCAUAGACAGACUUAUAGACUCUACCGCAGGGUGUGAACUUCUGAACUUCAUGGAUGCUUACUCAGGAUACAACCAAAUCCUCAUGAACCCUCCGGACCAAGAACACACAACCUUCACUACUGACAGGGGACUAUAUUGCUAUAAAGUAAUGCCAUUCGGCCUAAAGAAUGCAGGAGCAACUUAUCAGAGACUGGUCAAUUCAAUAUUCACCGAACAUAUUGGGAAGAGCAUGGAAGUUUACGUUGAUGAUAUGUUAAUUAAGAGCAAGCAUGCUGACCAACACAUCACCAACCUAUCUGAAACUUUCACCAUUCUGAAGAGGUAUCGAAUGAGGUUGAACCCCAAUAAAUGUGCCUUCGGCGUAGGCUCUGGCAAAUUCUUAGGCUUUAUGAUAAGCCAACGAGGCAUUAAGGCUCAUACUGAGAAGAUCAAAAUAAUCAUUGGCAUGAAGGAACCGGUAACUUCAAAAGACAUCCAGAGCCUUACUGGCAAGGUGGCAGCCUUAACUAGGUUCAUCUCUAAGGCAACAGACAGAUGUGCUCAUUUCUUCAAAGCACUUAAAGGAAGUAAGAAGUACAUUACAUGGACUGAUGAAUGUGCUGAGGCAUUCAAUAACCUCAAAGACUACAUGAGUAAGGCCUCUUUGCUCUCCAAACUUGAGGUUGGUGACACUCUCAUUAUCUAUUUGUCGGUAUCGGCUUCACAGUAAGUUUCGUUCUCAUUCGAAAUGAUGGUAAUGUCGAACGGCCUGUCUACUACGCUAGCAAGGCCUUACAAGAUGUGGAGACACGAUACUUUAACAUUAAGAAAUUGGCUCUAGCAUUGGUCAUGUCUGCUAAAAACUUUGCCCUUACUUCCAAGCACACUCUAUCAUUGUGCUUACCAAUCAUCCUCUUCGACAGAUACUCAAAAGUCCUGACACUUCUGGGCAAAUGAUCAAAUGGGCGAUAUCAUUGGGUGAGUUUGACAUCUCCUACCAACCAAAGCCAGCUGAGAAGGGCCAAGCAGUGGCAGACUUCAUCGCCGACUUCACAUAUCCUGUUGACAUUGUUUCUACACCUAAAGAAGUGGUUUCAUUACACUUAGAAGCUCAGAAAAUAGAACCAACAGCCCCAGCUUGGAGUCUAUAUGUUGAUGGCUUGUCCAACCAACAGGGUUGUGAAGCAGGACUAGUCCUUACGACCCCUGACAAAGUGGCGAUGAAGUAUGCUCUUCGUUUCAAAUUCAAGGCGUCGAACAAUGAGGCCGAAUAUGAAGCCCUCUUAGCAGGCUUACGUUUGGCCAAACACCUUGGGGUUAAACGAAUUGAUAUCUUCAGUGACUCCCAAUUGGUGGUUAACCAGGUCACCAACAACUUUGACGCUAAGGAUAACUCUAUGGCUGCAUAUCUGGCACAAACACAAUUGUUGCUUAAGCACUUCCACUACCAGAUCACCCAAAUUCCUCGAGCGGCAAACAGUCAUGCAGAUGCUUUGGCUCACCUCGCCUCAGCGAUGGAAGACAAGAUUGGGAGAAAAAUUUGGGUCGAAUUGUUGGCAGCACCAAGAACCAUAGCUGCGGAAGUGUGCAACUUACAACAGGGGGAUAGUUGGAUUACCCCGAUUUAUAGAUUCCUUGCUCAUGGCACCCUUUCAAAUGACAAAGUCCAAGCUAAGCAGAUUUGAUACAAGGCUACCCGUUACUUGAUCAUUAAUGACCAACUCUACAAGCGGGGUUUUAACCUACCAUACCUAAGAUGCCUUACGCCUGUAGAGGCGGAAACUGUCCUUCGGGUUUUAACCUACCAUACCUAAGAUGCCAUAUGAGAAGUUUUCCUCACUCGGAAAAUUAAGGGAGCACUACCUCAACCUACAUGCUUCACUCACAAAGCUUCAACAAAAGGAAAAAUUCAAAUAACUUAGUGAAGAAGGCCUUAGUGUAUUUAACACAAUACAUUGAAAUGAAGCAAAGCUUGUUUAUUGAUAUCUCCGAUAAGUUACAAAUAUGUACAUAUACAUGAAUCAAAAUAUACAAAUAAGAGGGAGCCUUCACAAAGGUUGCUCAAGAGAAGUCUCAGCAGUCGGCAGAGCCCCAGAAAGAGGAGGCACCAGAGGGUGAUUAUUCGAAGCCUCAGUACUAGGUAGAACCCCAGAAGGAGGAGGCACCGAAGGUUGAUCAUUUGGAGCUUCAUUACGCGGUACAGCCCCAGAAGACGAAGCAAUAAAUCCCUUUGGAACAAACCCACAAACCUCUGAUGAUCAAGAAAAAUCUGACCAUCAGAUUCCUGCAGCUGGUCGAGCUUUCUUUUCAUGUUUGUAGCAUAGUCAUGUGCGAGCCUGUGCAACUGUUUAUUCUCAUGCUUGAGCCAUUUGAUCUCCUGUUUGAGACUUAUCACUUCAGCCGCCAAUGAUUCAACUUGGCGGGUUCGAAUAAAUAGGCGUUGGGCCAUAUUAGACAUAGAACCUUCACAAUGAACACCGAGAGCCAGAAAAUCCUUAACAGCCAACUCAUCAGACCGUUUGGAUAGUAGUCUGUUAUCUUUGGGAGUGAGAAUGUUCCUGGCCACCACCACAUCGGUCAUAUCAUUCUUCAUCAUAGAGUCCCCAACGGUAAGAGGACCAGUAUGAGAUAAGAAGGAUGGUCGCCAUAUGUUGUCUUAAGAAGGCAUUGCUGCCUCUUCACAAAAGUUCAAGUCAAAACGACGGUCGGAUGGGCCAGACAUUCUCAGAAAUGAUGAAACACAAAUGAGGUGCAAUAAAUCUCUGAAGUAAGGGGAAAAUUCCUACAAGCAAUAACUCUCUGAAUGUACUUCUUGCACACAAUUGGUGCCCUUAUAAAAGAAAGGGCAACAGAGCCGUUCGUUCAAAAAUCGAAGACGCACCACUCUCCGAAUUUCGAAGAGGCACCACUUUCCACACGCAACAUCAGCUCCUCGAGUACCACAGAUAACUUUGCCAAAGAUUUCUGACAAAGUUUAGACACCUAAAUUUUGAAGAUCCAGCUACCCUACUAUUACCCAUAAGGGUAAAGGAACAGCACCACUGCUUGAUAACUAGAAUGUCCCAAUGUGUGUCAACCUCCGUGCUCCGUGGCAAAGCAGACUGGUAAAAAUACCUAACCUUUACUUAUAUUCGAGAAAACACUCCCAACAAGAUUGCUUGCUCAAAAAUCGAAGAGGCACCACUCUCCGAAUCUCGAGGGCUAGACUCCCAAUAGCAUUACUUUCUCAAAAAUCGAAGAGACACUGUUCUCCGAAUCUUAAUAGUUAGACUCCCAACAGGAUUGCUUUCUCAAAAAUCGAAGAGGCACCGUUAUCUGAAUCUCGAGAGCCAGAUUCCCGACAGGAUUGCUUGUUCAAAAACCGAAAAGGCACCGCUCUCCAAACUUCGAGAGCUAGAUUUCCUUGGAUAAAGCUUGUCUGCAAUCUUCAUAAGCAACAUCAGUUUUCUAGAUACCAUAGACCACUUUUUCAAAGCGCUCUGACAAAGUUAAAACAUGUGAAGCUUGCAGCUCCCACUACAUUGCUAUGACCAAGAAGGGUAAAGGAAUAGCAUUAUUACUUGCUCAAAAAUCGAAGAGGCACCGCCCUCCGAAUCUCUAGAGCCAGGCUCCCAACAGGAUUACUUUCUCAAAAAUCGAAGAGGCACCGCUCUCCGAAUAUUAAGAACUAGAUUCUCAACAUGAUUGCUUUCUCAAAAAUCAAAGAGGCACCAUUCUCCAAAUCUUGAGCCAAAUCCCCGACAGGAUUACUUGUUCAAAAACCGAAGAGGCAUCGCUCUUCGAAUUUCGAGAGCCAGAUUUCCUUGGAUAAAGCUUGUCUGCAAUUUUCACACGCAACAUCAGCUUUCCAAAUACCACAUACCAUUUUUUCAAAGUACUCUGACAAAGUUAAAAUACGUGAAACUUGCAACUCCCACUACAUUGCUAUGACCAAGAAGGGUAAAGGAAUAACAUUACUACUUGUUGUUAAAAAGACUCCUAUAUAUGUCGAUCUCUAUCCUUCACGGACAAGCAGACCUGCAAAAAUGUUCAACCCUUCCUCAUAUCUGAGAGGGCACUCCCAACGAAGUCUCUCGAAAUACUCAGCUUCUUUUCCUCCUGAUAAUACCUCUGCAAACAAGCCACACCUAGAGCAAUAGUAUCUCAUAUCAUCAGGGUUAAAAGCAAGAGUAUCCCAUAUCAUGCUUUUUCCCUAUCUUUUCCUUUGGCCUUGUUCUUACCUGCAAGACAAAGAGAAAGAUAGCAAUCAGUCAGCACUUGGAAUCAAGCUUCCAGUCAGGAACUGACUGCCUGGAAUCCCUUGCCUGAUUACUUACCUGGCAUUGCUCUCGAGUACUCAUCUUCAACAUCUUAUACUUCCAGAGAAGAUACCACAUCUACCUGAGGAACAGAUAUGGCAAGUGAGAAGGAUACAAGCAUGUGGAGACAAGCGUAACAGAACAUGUGCCGAUACAUCCACUACUUUGUCAACAGCAAAAGUAUCCCAUAUCAUCAGGGUCAAACGUACUCUAGAUUUAAUGGACUUGUUUUGACCCUCAAAUUCUUGAGUCGACCUUAUACUUUGGAGGAAACCAGAAAACGCUCCAACCCAGUUCAAGAAUAAGCCUGUGGAAAGUUACUUCUUCAAAAGCAAAAGUAUCUCAUAUCAUCUCUCUCCAUUUGCUUCUCCUUAUCCUUGGUGCUAUUUACGACACAAGGAGAAGGAGAACAAUCAACCGGAAGCCGAAGUCGAACCUCCGAUCCAAGUUGCUUGCUUGGAAGUCUGAUUGCUUACCUUGUCUGUUACCUCUUUCGGCAAAUCUCCUAGCUCGGCGACUUGGGGGACUCAUACUAUAGGGUUUUGUAUCGUACUUGACCAAGCCCGAAACUACAAGUAAGCUUCAAGUGAAAUUGAUACAUUACCUUGCAUCUUCAUCGGUUAAAGAUACCACCCUUGGAUGGAGGAAAAGUACUUCCAGAGAAGAUGCCACAUCUAUGUAUGAGACAGAUAAGGCAAGUGAAAAUGAUACCACACUUCGGUACUUAGAAGUUUCAUGAUUACUCAAUGGCUUUGAUCUUGCAAGUCCCCAACCGAGGAGCUUCCCUCACUCGGGAACUUAAGGGAGCACUGUUUGUACCAUACUUGACCAAUCCCGAAACUACUGAGCACCAGUCAACUUUAUACCGUCAAAGACCCAGAAGAGUUUCCCUCCAACCAGGAGGCCAAUCACAGCGCGACACGUGUCGACAUCAGAAGCCAAUCAUAGCACGACACGUGUCAACAUCAGAAGCCAAUCAUAACACGACACGUGUCAAUGUCAGAAUGAAACUAGAAACUCUCUUCUAUAAAUAAAGAUCAUUCUCUCACAAUAUUUUCUAAUGUCAUUUGUACUAAAUCAUUCACUUGUACUCACUAAAGGAGAGCUUGAACCUAUGUACUUGUGUAAACCCUUCACAAUUAAUGAGAACUCCUCUACUUCGUGGACGUAUCCAAUCUGGGUGAACCACGUACAUCUUGUGUUUGCUUCCCUAUCUCUAUCCAUUUACAUACUUAUCCAUACUAGUGACCAGAGCAAUCUAGCGAAGGUCACAAACUUAACACUUUCUGUUGUACCAAAGUCUUCGCUGAUUUUGUGCAUCAACAAUUUUUGCUUCUAUAAUCGGCCUCGUUUGGUCCCGAUUUAUUGAAUUAAUUAAAAGUGACUUGCAAUCCAUUUAUCCAAUAAUGAAUCCAAAAUUCUUGACAUGAAUAUCACUCUUGGACAUUGACGAUUCAAUAAUUUUUUUUUUUUUUUUUAUACUUUGAACCGUUGACAUACUUUCGUAGUAACGAAGCUCUCACACUUGAAUUCCCGAAAAAACUUAAAUCCUCUACACUUAGUUGUAUUCUGUGUUCUUGCAGGAAUCUCGCUUUUAUGAACUAAACGUUCAUAAACUAAAUUGAACCUGUAAUUUCAAAUUUAGUGCAUUUGAAACCUGAAGUUUUCUUAAAACAAUACACCCAUAAAAACGUAACGUUUUUCAUGAAAACCAUGUCUUAGAACCCAAAUGUUCUAACUUUGAUGCUUAUGGAUGAUUCAUUCCCAUAGCACCAAUUACAAAUCUUGUUCCCUCCAAAUUUAAUGGAUUGUCGAACCGUCAUAAGUUCAAUUUCCCUUAUUUGGAUGUUUCUUAUAGAAACCACUUUAUGUGGAGUACAAGACAUGAAUCUCCACUUGACUAUCAAGAAACUGAGAAACCAUUGUAGCCAACAAUGGCAUGGAAGAGCUGAAUAAGCCUUCGCCAUGAUCUUUAUUUGAAGAUUUAUGCUCGAAGCAUAACAAACAGAAAUACCUCCAGAACUAGGAUUCCAUGACUCUUUGGCUCACUUCUACAGACUGUUUAAUCAUGAAAGACAUUGCCUGAAGCACACCAUGAUUAUGUCCAUAAAUAAGUACAAUUCUGAAGUUUAUAAAUCUGAUCGAAUUUUGACUGGAGAAUACUUUUCUCGUCCUUCCAUGUUUCUAACUCGUUUCUGAAGCAAUAGUGUAGAAAGUGGAAGUUUACCAAAUUCUCAGAUUUGAUUACCACCACAAACAUAUGGUAGACUCAGGGCCUGCCUAGGUGUGGCAUCAUGCCCGAAGCAUGAUCUUUGGUACCUAAGACCUAAAACUUCAAGAAUUAGGGAUAAUAUUCCCAAACUUCAACCCUGCAAAAUCUACUUCCAUCUCGAUAGAAUAGAUCAUUGGUCAUGCAACUGUUCGUGCCUCUACCAAUGUCGUUAAGGAGUGUCAUUCUCGUAGUUAAUAUGUGAGACUAAUUUUUCUCCACCAAACAUCAUUGGAAGAGCAAAAUAUUGACAUGGAUGACCUUGUUGGCCGAAUCCCCUUAGUAAACCAUUUACUUUAUGAACAUUUUUCUAUGUUCUUGAAUUCAAGGUGGGUGUAUGUUUUACUUAUGGAUAAUCUUAUUGAUAUUGUCAUCAAAUACGAAUUAAUUGAAUCAUGUUUCUUAAUACAUGUGAUCGAUUCAAUUAAACACGUGAUUAGGUAGGAAUGUGGGGAAGUUAGUUGUCUGAAUGAAUGCGAUACUACGCGCACCAACUUUAAACCUAAAUCACAUAUCUAACAAUGACUUCAGGUUUAUCCAACCUGAUUAAAAGUAUUGGCACGCUCCUUGUUGUAUGAAUGGUAUUGCAUGACCAUUUAAAGGACAUUAAAUUCUCCCUGUCGUUGAGUUUUUAAGGAUAUUCGUGAUACAAUGACCAUAAAUGAAACCACUGAAGAAAAUAAAGUGGAAUAUCUUUGCACCACCUCCAAAAAUGAGCAUGCAGCUUUGAUUUAGGGCCAAUGGGUUGUCUCCCAACUGGGAACACACCACAUGUGGCUGGUCUGGAGAUUGGUGAUUCAAGCAGUUUACUCGCUUUGGCACGACCUUUUGGAACACUUAGGUCGAAUUAUGAUGCUACAAUGCAUCUCCUUACCCGAAGUAAGGAUCUUAUGCUAACAAGCACACUUUGCCAAGGCCGUUCAUUUGGGAAAUUUGAUUUUUAUAUCAUCCCUCGCAAAGAUACGAAACGACUCUCUUUUAACAGUGGAUUCAAGGGAAUAUAUGUGGACUAAUCCUACCAAAAUGCGGACCAUAUAAAUACUUAUGGUUUUGGUUGAUGAAUCGACAAACUGGUUACAUGUUUGUCCACACACAUUGCUGCUAAACCUCUUGGCCGAUUAAGGGCUCACCACCCUACUUAUCCCAUAAAGUCUGAGAUACUAGAUAACGUCGGAGAGUUUAUAUCGACAGUUUUCAAUAAAGUAUUGCAUGUAUUUUGGGUUUAUAAUUGAACAUUGAAUUCCCAUGAUUCACCCCAAAUGGCCUCGCCUAGUGAUCAUAAAGCGCAAUUUAAAUGAUCACUUGGAUUUUGGUAAACAUACCAAGUUUUCAGUUUUUGCCUAGGGCUAUGCAAUCUUGUACGCAGUUAUGUUAGUCUGCCUUGAGGCCUAUUGCCACUCAACCUAUUGGACGUUACAUUUAGUUACUGGGUACGAACUUGACGUUUUUCGUAUUUACGCAUUUAGGUGUGCAUUCUAUGUGCCAAGUUGCGCCCUUACAACGUACCAACAUGGGUCAUCAAAGAAGGAUGUGAAUCUUUGUCUAUUUUGAUUCUCCUUCACACUAGCUCUAUUCGAGCCCUUGCAUGCGAUCUUUUUACCUCUCAUUUACGGGUUGUCACUUUAAUAAGACAGUUUUCCUGCUGUUAGGAGGAGAUAAGAACGUCAAUGGUCCUGUAGAAUGGCGUGAAUUUGCACGGACUUUGCCCAUUGUCUCAUCUUGAUCCCCGUACCACACAAGUGUGAUAAGCAAGUGCGAUGAAGUCUAGCUUUCAGAAUGUUGCUCCAGACGCAUUCAUUUGGUCUACCUAAAAUGACGAGAUCAUAUACUAGCUGCAAACAUGCAUGCAAGGAUAGACAUAUUUAACAGACGUCGAGUCAACAUCCCUGAAGGAUGUGCCGCCCCUAUUGGACGGUCCGGUACAUUGGUGGGUAGCCAAUCAAUCUGUCUUAGCCUAGAGCAUGACAAAUCACUCGGUUCGUAGGAUUCACUUCCCUAGAAGAGGAAGACACGGCACAAAAAUGAAUCUGUUGAUGCACAAAAUCAGCGAAGACUUUGGUACAACAGAAAGUGUCAGGUUUUGUGACCUUCGCUUGGUUGCUUCGGUCACUAGUGAGGAUAAGUACGUAAAUGAAUAGAGACAGAGAAGCAAACACAGGAUGUACGUGGUUCACCCAGAUUGGCUACGUCCACGGAGUAGAGGAGUUCUUAUUAGUAGUGAAGGGCUUACACAAGUACAAAGGAUCAAGCUCUCAAUUUAGUGAGUUCUUGUGAAUGAUUUAACACAAAAUGGCAUUAGGCAAUAUUGUGGGGGAAUGACCCCUAUUUAUAGAAAAACUUGUAGCUUUGUCACAUUGACAUGUGUCAUGUUAUGAUUGGUUCUUGAUGUCGACACGUGCUGCGCUCUGAUUGGCUUCUAAUCUUGACACGUGUCGAGUAGUGAUUGGCCUCCUGGUCGGAGGGGAACUCUUCUGGGUCCUUGACAGUAUAGCGUUGGCCGGUGCUCGGUAGUUUCGGGAUUGGUCAAGUAUGGUACAAACAGAAUCCAUACUUGAUCGUUGUCUCAAAAUCAUUUCCAUCUCAUGAGAUUAAUCUGGAUUACUCUUAAGACUUCAAGUUCUUAGUCCAGUAUACUAGUUUGGAUAAGCUAAAUGGAAUUGAACUAAGAUUACCAUCAAUGAUGUUUUCACUUACAUGGUAGCUACUGAAGUAAAUGAAAAGCGACGAUAUCGAACCGUGUUCCAUUGAUUAAGUGACAACGUAUAACUGAUUGGACAACCGAAAUUACAAUCCAAGUCAAAUUCCUUACCAAAGUGUGUUUUGGACCUGUCGUUCCUACACUACCCAAGGUAACCCUAUUGUGUUACAAGUAGGAAAGGAAGCGUUAUGACAUGACUGAAAUAGUGUGAUAUGAUGCAUGCCUUACGGUGCAAGGUUUCUCUCAAACGUCAUGUGAUUGAUAGCAGCAUUAUGAAAUUUGGUUAGUGUUUUCUCCAUGGGGAUAUAGAUACGGAGAUUAGCAUGUAAGUUCUCGAAGAAUUACAUGAAUUGGUUCAAAAAGUUCCAAAACCAUGGAACACCCUCUUAACUUGUUUGAGGCAUUCACUUACAAUCCGACGGAUGUGGUUUACCCGUCUAAAUGAUUAUUUGAUCGGUCGGGGAUAAAUUAUGCUCUUAUGUGUUAAAAAUAUGAAGUCUUAUUCUGAAUUGCUAAAGUUACAAUUUAUGUUGUUGACACAAAUCUCACUAAGACUCUAGAAGAGCUUGAGAAAACUGCCUCGCACUUGAAGAUGAAAUUUGAGAUGAAGGAUCUUAGGAAAACUCGUUUAUGCUUUGACUUAAAGUUCAAAACAUUAUUCUGACGGUAUUUUGGUCUACCAAUCUAACUACACCCCGAAUGUGUUACCUUUGAGUAUACCUAUGAUCGUCCAUAUGUUAUAUGCAAAUGAGACCCUUGAAGAGGUUAUGGAAUCCGAAAUUCCAUAUUUGAGUUCAACUUUGCGCUUUGUUGUACUUAGCUCAUUGUAUUUAGAUAGGACAUCUACUUUGCUGUUGAUCUUGGUAAAGAUGCAGCACUACACCUACAUGCAACCAUUGAAUUGAUAUUAAAGACGUACCCUAAAGGUACUACGAAUUUGGGCAAUUCAAAUCUCAUUGCAUCUCGAACGGAUCCAACCCCCUAAUCCUCAUAAUGAUGAUGGUUACUUAUCAAAACCGCACAAGGAAAAAUUCCCGAAUGGUUAUGUCUUUACCAUUAAGGAUAUCGCAAUAUCUUGGAGGUCCACGAUAUGACCUUAGUUACAAAAUCUUCGAAUCAUUCCAAAAACUUGCCUCACUUCACUACGCCACACGUGAAACAUGGUUAAAAGUUCUUGUUGAGCAUAUUCGAAGUACUUGCUAUUUUCGUCCAUCAUUGAGUCCCAACAACGAUUCAUGAAGAUUAUGCUGCACGUAUCCACUCAACCAAGACAUGAUACAUCAACGAAGUCAACGCCAAGACAUAUUGUGUCUACAUCUACAUCAACAAAGCAUCAAGAGAUUGAAGUCAUGCAAGCCGAUCCCAGACAACCUUGUCCGAGGAAUUGGUAUGCCUAACUAUUCAUAUGCAAUGCUUGUAGUUCUCAUUUGGAAGUUAUGUCAAACUCAGGGGGAGUAUCCAGAAGUAUACUCACUUGAUCUUAAUGUACUCUUUUUUCCUACGAUUAGGAGCAUUUUUCCCACUGGGUUUUUGCUACCUAACUAGGUUUUAAUAAGGCAUCCAUCAUGGGCUGAUCAUACCCUUGUAAGCUAUUCUACUUGCGUCCAAAAGACUUAUAGUUUUGACUUAAUACAACUUCUCACUUUUCUCCUUAGUCUAUGGGUUAUAUCCCACCUUAGGUUUUACCAUAACGAGAUUUUGUGAGUUUUAUUUUUUUUUAUACAUUCUUCCAUUGAUUUGAGACUCGCAUUUGCUCAUUGUGUCGACGACUUCAUCAACUAUACUUGCUUGAUCACUGAAGCCAUUUACUUGAGUAUUUACACACUCAAGGGAGAGUGUUGCAGUCCUAAUGUGAUUGUGUAAAUCCUAUUAUAUCUUGGAAUAUCUCUUAUUUCUAUUAGGAGUUGAUUACCUAUUAAGAGUUGUAAUCCUAAAAUGGUAAGGAAUUAACAUUUCCUACUACUAUAAAUAAAGGCACAAUAGGGUGGAAUAGAACACACCUCACAAUUACACAUCUCUCUCUUCUCUCUACUAUUGCCGCACAUUUCUCUCUCUAUAGCCUCCAUAAUUGUUCAGUAAAUUAUACCUACAACAAAAUUAAAAUUGUUGGGUUGCAUUAUAUGUAUACAUAAAUAUAGAAUUUUAGCAAUGUAUUAACUGGGUUUUUUAGAGAGUUUCAAUAAAAAAGGUCUUAUUGUGAUAUACAUUCUAAUACGUGUGAUUGUACAAAUCAUAAAUAGAGAUGAAUUAGGAAUUCUUCGGGAUUUAGAAGAUAUUUCCUAUUAAACUUUGUAUAACCUGAAGAGCAAAGUUUCUCUCCUGCUUAUUGUUAUAAAUAAAGACACUAAGUCUGAGUAAUAACGCGCACAUAAAAUUUCUCAAACCUAUUCUCCAUCUCCCUCUCUUUUGCCGUGUUCCCUCUCUUUUUCCUCAAUUAAUCAUAGAAGAGUCUUCAUCCAAGGCAUGAAAGUUGCAGACCUCAUCGACAAAGAGAGAGAUGGAGUUUUCAUGUUUUUCUUUUUCCAUUUUUCUUAUUUUUCAAUUUUAUUAUUAUUUGGUAUUUGUGUUUUCCUUCUUAGUCAUAAUACACUCAUCAUCCAAGUCAUUUAAUGUUUAAAAAACUGCAAAUCACUCUUAAUCAAGAUCGUUAGUGUUAUAAGAUUUAAAGACUAAAAAGAAGUGUAAAAAUGUUUGUCAAAAUCGUUUUUCCCUUGAUCCAACCUUUUAAUUAUAAAUAUGUAAAUAUUAUGAUCUAAAUCUCCAAUCAUGGCAUAUCCCAAAUAGCCAGUAUAAAUAAGCAACUUAGGCCAUCAAUCAACCACAUAUUCCUUGUGGAGCAAAAAAUAAUCAAGAAAAUUAUGAAGGUGACAUGUGGACUUUUGAGGUGAAAAUGACAAAAUUACCCUUGAGGCACACCGGGACUCCCACGCGCAUGCAACGGACAAUAACGGCUCAAUCAAGGUCAAAGGUGACCUAAAUGGUAUUCUUUUAAACCCUCUCAUCACUCCUCAUCAAAUCUUCAUCCACAAGGUAACUCCCAAUUAUUCUUUUCAAAUUGGGAGUUAUUGUCAAAAUUAAUUGAUUAAUUUCCUAAUUAAUUGAUUAACAUCCAAAUUAAUUCCAAGAUAUUAUUUCACAUAAUAUCUUGCAAUCAAUCCCACAAAUCAACCAAAUGUGGCCAGUCCCAACCACACCCCUAUAUAUAGCCCUUCAUUUUCUAAAAAAAUGUAAGUCCAAUUAUUCUCCUAAAAUUCUCUAAACACUUUCUCUCUCAAAUUCUAACUUUGGCAUCGGAGAUUCUUCGGCCAAAGCCCCCACAUUCAUCGUGAGCGUGUGAGGCUCUUGACCUUGAUCUUAGGUGUUAAUUGUUUUGCAGGUGCAUUUUCGUCCAAGAAGAAGGCAUAAAUUUGCAUCCACAAAUUGGUGCUUUCAUUAUGAGUUUGAUUCACACACUCGAAAAAGACUCUCGCAUUCUACUUUUCUAAUUUUCUUCAUUCAUUCGUAGAUUUUCCCACACGUUCCUACUCCUAGAAUUUUUUUAUAUAAAUUAUUUGAAUAGCCCUCGGGAAGAAAUACGAUGACGAAAAAAUUAUGAAACAACAACAAAAGGCACUCCCUACAAAUUUAGGUUUUCACCCACUCGACGGAUCGCGGAGCAACAAUAGUUGCCACCACCCACUGCUACUGUCGUGGCCUAAUCAAGAAUCGGUGCAAUUUUUUGCAGCUAAAACCUAGCCCAUGCUGGUGUAACCUGUAGCCCAUUACCUCUAGUCCAUGCGUCGAGCCAUUUUAGCUAGGGAUGUAACUUUGGUAGGGCCAACCUGAACUCGUCCAUGUCCAACCCGACUUUAAACCCCGAACAAACAAGUUUAUUUUAGCUAUAACCCGCCCGAACCCAACCCGAUUUCAACCCGUUCAUUGAUUGGUUGAGUUGGGUUGAUCCCGAACCUAAACCGACUUUCUAAUAUAUAUAUUUUUAAUAAAUUACCCCUCUAAACCCUAAAGCUAUAUAUUAAGUUGUUAGUCUCCAAUUUCAUUAUGCGGCUUUGCAAGACUGCAACUCAGUCCCUCUGUCUUAGGUCUCAAGGCUACAAGUCUCCAUCUUUAUUUGAAAGCCCAAGAAAAUUUGUAGUUGAAGUAUGUUAAGUGGUGUUAUGACAAAUUUUAUGAAAGUAAAAAAGGUCACUGAUAUAAUUGCUAAGGUUUAAGAUUUGUCAGUGAAGCUUUAUCAAAUUUAUUUAUUAGAGAACCCACAAGCAUUGGAUACUGGUUUAUCUCAAAGUCCUAAUGUCUCAAGUUUGAAUGAAGUGGAAGAACUCAUUGAGGAAGAAAGCUCGGGUUGGGACAUUCAUAUUGUAUUUUAAUUCAAACAUUGCAUGGUUGAAACAUUCAUAUUUAGUUUAACUUUGUAACAAAUACAAUUUGAAGAAUUGAAUUUUAAUUUUGAAAAAGUUGGGCAACCCAAAUCCUCCCAUGUCCAACCUGAACCCGAUUAAACCCAAUUAAAACCCAACCCGAACCUAAGCCCAAAUUGUAAAAAUUGGGUUAGGGUUGGGUUGACCUUCCAACUCGCCCAACCCACCCGAGUUGCACCCCUAAUUUCAGCAAGCCAGUAGGCUCUAGAAAAGGCUAAGGCGCGGGCCCAAUGUUGAAAACCAUCAAAAUCCCAAUGCUUCAACUAAGCUUUCCAAGCCAUUUCCUAUCUGAGCCCAACAUUGGAUGCAACGGCUACGUGGAGGCAGUCCCAUGGUAGAAGCUACCCAGGCCUAUUCCCGCACUAACCCAAUGCGUAGAAGCCCCAGCACGCAAGCCUCAUCCGUGCGAGCCCAGUGUAAGAAGCCCAUUAAGCGUGAGCCAUGCUCCAGUGCAUCAGGACCUCUCAUAUGCAAACCCAGUGCGUUGUUCCAUCUUGCAGCCACUUGGGCCAAGCUACAUAGCCCAAUCCAACAAAGCCCAAUUGGACAACUAAGGAGGUAGGCCCUAGCGCAAUCAACGCGGGUCAAGUUGACCUAGAUUCGCUCCCACACGCCCAUGAUCUAGAUCCACUACUCCUAGCGCCCAUACAAGCCUAUUUUUGGAUAUUUCGAACCAUUUUUCAAUGUUUCGGACCCCUUGUUUGAUGUUUCAGACCCUUUUUUUCGGUGUUUUUUUAUGUAUAUUUGGCUCAUUGAAGCUCAAAAUAUCGUGCCCGAAAUCUAUUACACUUCUACUACUCAAGGAGACGCAUACCUUCGAAGCUCUUCCAACCCAAAUGACGAACUUUUCCAGCAGCGUCCAUGCAAGCAGCCCUUCGACUAGCCAAGAACCGAGCAUUCGAGCAAUGUACACUCCCGACUAGGCCCUAGAGAUAAUGUAUACUCUUGUCUUAGCACACAUAAGAGUUUGCAUUCUCAGUUAGGCCCACGAACGAGCAUACACUCACAGUUGGGGCCACACUCUGAUAAUCAACAUGAGCAACCUUCCAAGCGAAGUGUUCAUUUGCAGCUAAGCCUACAAGGAGCAUCAUCCACCUCACAUCGAAGUAAGCAGCAUGAUAGACGGAGAUAAACAGUCACUGAAUCCAGCUCAAGUUCAACCUGCAGCCUGCAAGGAAUUCACUCGCCUGUUAAGAACAUACCACAUGCACCGCAACAUAGACGAGCCGAACACAUAGAAGAACAGCCUAGACCAGCAGCUCACGACUAGGGGAAGCCGAGAGCUCCCCUACCCCCAACGAAAGUAAAUUCAGGAAGAAGUAUAGAGGCUCCUAACCAAGCGAUUGCAUGAUUUCCAACACAACGAGGUCAUUGACGAGGCACUACGAAAGGACAUGACCAAUAUAAAUAGAUCACCCUUCAUGGACGAGAUCGAGCAGGCAAAGCCUUCACACAAAUUCAGGAUACCACAUUUCAUAUCAUUCAAAAGAGAUGGAGACUCGAAAAGGCACUUAAAGCACUACUGGAGUGCAAUGAUCUUCUAUCGAAACAACGACGCUUUUAUGUGCAAAAUAUUUGCCACCAUUUUACAAGGCAAGGCGUAAGAUUAGUUCCAUACCUUGGCUUCACAAUCUAUCUAGAGUUUCGAUGAGCUUUCUUUGGUUUUCACCAAGGAGUAUUCAUCUUAUCGCUCGAUCAAGAAGAAGUCUGACCACUUGUUCAACAUCAAGAAACACCCAAAAGAGUCGCUUCGUAACUAUGUGAAGAGGUUAAAAAUAGAGAAGGCUAAGAUAGUCGAAUGCAACGACUCGAUAGUUAGAGCAACCUUCCAAAAAAGACUCUGAGCAGACCCUUUCGCUCGGGCAAAAAAGCAUGCAUUUUGGGAUGAGGCUUGCAGAUACACAUUAAGGACUUGAAUAAGUACCUAACAUCACAUUCCUACUAUCCAAACCAGAAGCAAUGGUUGACCUAUUCACAUGUUUGAUGGUAUUUGAAGCAGCAAUAAGCUCUACCCUCAUACAAGAAGAGUUGGGGGGCCGAUAUUCCACAGUUCAAAAGCUCUCCUCGAUGCAGAAACCAGCUACCAGAAAUUCAAAAGCUAACUUUGGCGCAUGCAGUCAUCCUCAUAAUACAUUAUUCCACCCAAUCCAGACGCGCGAUGAUAAAGGCACAGAAAAUGACAGAUGUAAAGUUUUCUGACGAACGCAACAACUCAGCCUAAAAGGCGCGCCAAGGGCAGAUGAACACUAGAAGGACACACUCGAAAGCAAGUUUUAUCUUCGUCACCCUAGAAGAUUCUACAUAGGAGCAACACGUACCGACAGUUGAGCACCACCUCCUGCUGCGCGUCACCCCAGCCGACCCUUGCUCUAUAAUUCAGCUCUAGAAUAGCCCAAUGCCAACAGGGGAGCAUAUUUUGUUGCGUGUAACAUGGCCCUAGCUCUACGGCUCCCUACCACACCUUUAAUUUUAGCCUAGGUGACGCAACAGAGCGACCUAACAACGCCUCAUAAGCAACCGAGCAUGCCCUAGCCACGCCUGCUUCACCCAAUGGAGAUUUCUAGCAUUUGCUUGUUGACGACGCAUUGAACUACAAGGGAUCGGGAGCAGGUGUGGUCCUUGUCACCCCAGACGGUUUAGGGGUAAAAAAGCUUGCAAUUCAUUCUGAUUCCCAGCUAAUCACCAUCCAGACUACUGGGGAGUACACGGCAAAACAUUCAAAGAUGGCGCAAUACCUAGAGAAUGUAUGAAAGCAACUUGAGACAUUUCAGACAUACAUACUCACUCGAGUUCCGUAGGCAGACAACGCUCAUACGGACGCGCUAGCCGGCCUAGGCUCCGCCCUCGACCACCAACGUAAACGUUAUAUUCCGAUAGAGUAUAUUGACAAGCUAAGCAUAGAGGCGGAGCCAACAACUGAGGUGUCACAGUUUAGUAUAACUCCAAACUGGCAAGAUUCCAUUAUAGACUACAUAGUCAAUUGCACACUCCCCAUGGAAAGAUUGGAGUUUACAAAGCUCCAAACAAAGGUAGCACGCUACUACAUGUGGAACGACAUUUUUGUCCGAAGAUCCUACAUUGGACCACAUCUCCGCAGCCUAGUGCCUCUUGACGACAUAAAGGUUCUAAGCUCAAUCCACGAAAACGUUUGUGGAAAUCACUUCGGAGGUCGAUCCUUAACACAGAAAACUCUAAACGUAGGCUACUACUGGCCUACUAUGCAUCAAGACGCUAAGGAUUUAGUACAAAAGUGCGACCACUACUAACGCUACAAGUUGGUACCAGCAUUGCUUGCCAGCGAACUACACCUGCAGAUGAGUCAUUGGUCGUUCAUGCAGUGGGGAAUUAACUUGGUAGGGACAAUGCCGCCUGCUACUAAGGGCUGAGGCAUGAUGAUUGUGGCAACUGAUUACUUCACCAAGUAAGUGGAAGCAAAGCCCAUGACAACCACAACUUAGAUGGACAUAAAGCACUUCAUAUGGAGGAACAUUAUUUGCCGAUUUGGCAUCCCUCAAUCCAUCGUCACAGACAACGGCCCGCAAUUCUUAGGCAAAGAUUUGGCGAAGUUCUUCCUGAAAUAUGGCAUCAAGCAACGCAUGUCCACGCCGAGGUAUCCCCAAGGCAAUGGGCAAGCCAAACCAUCCAACAAGAUGAUUCUCGACUACUUCAAGAAAUUCCUCUCCAACAAGAAGGGAAAAUGGCCAGACGAACUUCCCGGAUGUCUAUAAGUGUAUUGCACAACCAAACGACAAGAAACCAGUGAGACUCCUUUCUCUUUGGCAUUUGGUUCAUAAGAAAUCAUUCCUCUCAAUGUCGUCGUGCCAUGUAUCAGUACUCUACUGCCAAGCAUCAAGCAGAACAGAAAAGAUAUGGCCACAAACUUAAAUCUGGCAAAGGAGAAACCCGAGAAGGUCAUCACCGCAUCGCAACCUACCAGGACUAAGAUUCGGCAGUUCCAGUCUGGAGAUCUAGUCCUAAGUAAAGCCUUCAUCACUGCCUACAGAGAAUGCCCCAAAAAGAUGGAACGCCUACAAUCUGAGGAAGUACCAUGCAUGACCUUCCACUAAAUCAAAGCCCGAAGAUGCCCCAAAAAGAUGGAACGCCUACAAUUUGAGGAAGUACCAUGCAUGACCUUCCACUAAAUCAAAGCCCGAAGACUCAAGCAGCUCAACGAGCACCACCUCGCAAGCCGAAGACUAUCCAGUUGUUAUGCAGCCUUUACCUUACAGUUAAGUUUUCGUUUGUUUUACUUGUUUUUCAAUGAGGAAUUACAUGCGGGGACAUGGUGUUGGCUGCAGGCCAGGAGAAAUAAUCCCUGGCUUUUGGCCGAGGGCCAUGGAGCAGGCAUUGGGCGAGGAGAAAUAAUCUCUGGCUACGGGCGCAAAAACUUAGGAAUGGGCAUUGGGCCGGGAGAUAUUAUUAUUUGAUACCACUAUUUAGCACACUAUAUACAAGAUAUGCUUUAUGAGAUGUUUUAUGGCAUGCUAGGGUUUUCGAAAAACCUACCACUUAUUAUGCUAUUAGUUUUCAUAAAACUUUGGGGGUUAGUAUGUUGAUAACUGUUUCAGUAUAUUAUAUAUAUAUCAACUUGGUCCACUCAUGUUUGUUUUGCGCCCCCUCAGGACUUAGAAUCGAGGAGUACGAUCCCAAAAUCAAGGUACUUCCACGUCGGCUUCUUCGAGUCCUCUCGGUGUAGGACCCACUCAUUUGUUCAUUCAACUUUUAUAUUAAUUCUUUUAGUGUUCUAGAUUAGAUGUGUGCUCUGAAUACGUUCUUCAUUCGUAUAUUAAUUUUAUUUAAAUUCUUUUACCUUAUUUACAUUUUAGUUCUCAUGUUUUCAAUAAAUGGCUUUCGUUACCUUCGGGUGUCGGUCAACACGUACCUACCUUGGUAUUCAAGGAAUAUCAAGAUCAGAGCAUGUCACGUCUCUUAAGAUAUUUUGAAUGUGUUUAAAAAUAGAGAAAUUGAAUUACAUUAUUGUUAGCCUAUUGUGAGGUACUACAACAACAACAAAGCAUUUUCCCACUAAGUGGGGUCGACUAUAUGAAUCCUAGAACGCCAUUGCGCUCGGUUUUGUGUCAUGUCCUCCGUUAGAUCCAAGUACUCAAGUUUUUUCUUAGGGUCUCUUCCAAAGUUUUCCUAGGUCUUCCUCUACCCCUUCGGCCCUAAACCUCUGUCCCGUAGUCACAUUUUCGAACCGGAGCGUCAGUAGGCCUUCUUUGCACAUGUCCAAACCACCGUAACCGAUUUUCUCUCAUCUUUCCUUCAAUUUCGGCUACUCCUACUUUACCUCGGAUAUCCUCAUUCCCAAUCUUAUCCUUUCUCGUGUGCCCACACAUCCCACGAAGCAUCCUCAUCUCCGCUACACCAUUUUGUGUACGUGUUGAUGCUUCACCGCCUAACAUUCUGUGCCAUACAACAUCGCUGGCCUUAUUGCCGUCCUAUAAAAUUUUCCCUUGAGCUUCAGUGGCCUACGACGGUCACACAACACGCCGGAUGCACUCUUACACUUCAUCCAUCCAGCUUGUAUUCUAUGGUUGAGAUCUCCAUCUAAUUCUCCGUUCUCUUGCAAGAUAGAUCCUAUGUAGCGAAAACGGUCGCUUUUUGUGAUCUUCGCUAGCCUGCUCCGGUCAUUAGUGUGGAUAAGUAUAUAAAUGGAUAGAGAUAGGAAAGCAAACACAAGAUGUACGUGGUUCACCCAGAUUGGCUACGUCCACGGAAUAGAGGAGUUCUCAUUAAUUGUGAAGGGUUUACACAAGUACAUAGGUUCAAGCUCUCCUUUAGUGAGUACAAGUGAAUGAUUUAGUACAAAUGACAUUAGGAAAUAUUGUGGGAGAAUGAUCUCGUAAUCACGAAACUUCUAAGUACCGGAGUGUGGUAUCGUCUUGACUUGCCUUAUCUGUCUCAUAGGUAGAUGUGGCAUCUUCUCUCGAAGUACUCUUCCUCCAUCCAUGGGUGGUAUCUUUAACUGGUGGAGAUGCACAAGGUAAUGUAUCAAUUUCACUUGAAGCUUACUUGUAGUUUCAGGCUUGGUCAAGCGCGAUACAAACCAUGUAGUAGGAGUCCCCCAAGUCGCCGAGCUAGGGGAUCUGCUGAAAGAGGUGACAGACAAGGUAAGCAAUCAGAGCUCCGGCUGAUUGUUCACAUUCUCCCUAUCUUGCAGGCAGCAUGAAGGAUAAAGAGAAGAAAAAUGAGAAGAGAUGAUAUGGGAUACUUUUGCUUUUGAAGAAGUAACUUUCCACAGGCUUAUUCUUGAACUGGGCUGGAGGGUUUUCUGGUUUCCUCCAGAGUAUAAGGCCGACUGAAGAAUUUGAGGGUCAAAACAAGUCCAUCAAAUCUAGAGUACGUUCGACCCUGCUGAUAUGGGAUACUUUUGCUUUUGACAGAGUAGUGGAUGUAUCGGCACAUGUGCUGUUACGCUUGUCUCCACAUGCUUCCUUGUAUCCUUCUCACUUGCCCUAUAUGUUCCUCAGGCAGAUGCGGUAUCUUCCCUGGAAGCAUAAGAUGUUGAAGAUGAGUACUCGAGAGCAAUGCCAGGUAAGUAAUCAGGUAAGGGGUUCCAGGCAGUCAGUUCUUGGUUGGAAGCUUGAUUCCAAGUGCUGACUGAUUGCUCUCUUUCUCCUUGUCUUGCAGGUAAGAACAAGGCCAAAGGAAAAGACAGGGAAAAAGCAUGAUAUGGGAUACUCUUGCUUUUAACCCUGAUGAUAUGAGAUAUUCUUGCUCUAGUAUAGCUUGUUUGCAGAGGUAUUAUCGGGGGGAAAGAAAGCUGAAUAUUUCGAAAGGCUUCGUUGGGAGUGCCCUCUCAGAUAAGAGGAAGGGUUGAGCAUUUUUGCAGGUCUGCCUGUCUGUUGGGGAUGGAGGUCGACAUAUAUAGGAGUCUCCCUAACAUCAAGUAAUAAUGCUAUUCCUUUACCCUGCUUGGUCAUAGCACGGUAGUGGGAGCUGCCAGCUUCACAUGUUUUAACUCUGUCAGAGCACUUUGAAAAAGUGGUUUGCCUCUUCGGUUUUCGAACAAGCAAUCCUGUCGGGGAUCUGGCUCUCGAGAUUCGGAGAACGAUGCCUUUUCGAUUUUUGAGAAAGCAAUCCUGUUGGGGGUCUGGCUCUCGAGAUUCGGAGAGCGGUGUCUCUUCAAUUUUUGAGAAAUUAAUCAUGUUGGGAGUCUGGCUAUCGAAAUUCGGAGGGCGGUGCCUCUUCGAUUUUGGAGCAAGCAAUCUUGUUGGAGUGUUUUCUCGAAUGUGAGUAAAGGUUGGGCAUGUUUGCUAGUCUACCUUGCCACGAAGCACAGAGGUUGACACACAGGGACUUUCCAAUUAUCCAGCAGUGGUACUGUUCCUUUACCCUCUCUUCGAUUUUUGAGAAAGUAAUCAUAUUGGGAGUCUGGCUCUCGAGAUUCGGAGGGCGGUGCCUCUUCGAUUUUGGAGCAAGCAAUCUUGUUGGGAGUGUUUUCUCGAAUGUGAGUAAAGGUUGGGCAUGUUUACUAGUCUACCUUGCCACGAAGCACAGAGGUUGACACACAGGGACUUUCCAAUUAUCCAGCAGUGGUACUGUCCCUUUACCCUCUCUUCGAUUUUUGAGAAAGUAAUCAUGUUGGGAGUCUGGCUCUCGAGAUUCGGAGGGCGGUGCCUCUUCGAUUUUGGAGCAAGCAAUCUUGUUGGGAGUGUUUUCUCGAAUAUGAGUAAAGGUUGGGCAUGUUUGCUAGUCUACCUUGCCACAAAGCACAAAGGUUGAUACACCGGGACUUUCCAAUUAUCCAGCAGUGGUACUGUUCCUUUACCCUUGUGGGUAAUAAUAUGGUAGCUAGACCUUCAAAAUUUAUGUGUCUAAACUUUGUUAGUGUUGUUUCUUUGUUAUUCUUUUACCCUUCUUGGUCAGAGCGAUGUAGUGGGAGCUGCAAGCUUCACGUGUCUCAACUUUGUCAGUUAACUUUGGCAAAGUUAUCUGUGGUACCCAUGAGCUACUGUUGCGUGUGGGAAGUGGGUGAUUGAACAGUACGAUUCAUGUGCUUUCUACUUCACCAGAAAUUUUCGACAGAAUGCCCAUAAUUUCCGCAAAGCUGAGUGUGUGUGUGACAGGUGAUGACAAGGCUGAAAAAGUAGGUGCCUCUUCGAUUUCUGAGAUCGGCCCUCGUGGUCUCUGAGCAGCCCAGCUUUUGAGAAAGCAAGCCUCUUCGAUUUCUGAGAUCGGCCUUCGUGGUCUUUGAGCAGCCCAGCUUUUGAGAAAGCAAACGCCUCUUCGAUUUCUGAGAUCGACCCUCGUGGUCUCUGAGCAGCCCAGCUUUUGAGAAAGCAAACGCCUCUUCGAUUUCUGAGCAGGCGCCUCUUCGAUUUCUGAAGCUUCGUCGAGUGCAGAUUUUUAUAGGGGCUGGCAUUAAGUUCCAAAGCACACUUGAAUCUCCACUAGUAGAAGCUCUAUUCUUGCACUUCUAAGAUCUUGAUUUGUCCGACCUCUUCUCUCUUCAACACCUUUGAAAAUGUAUGGCCCCUCCGACCGUCGUUUUGACUUGAACCUUGUUGAAGAGGCAGCCUCGCCUUCUCUAGACAACAUAUGGCGCCCAUCCUUCGUCUCCUCUACUGGUCCUCUUACCGUUGGGGAUUCCGUGAUGAAGAAUGAUAUGACCGCUGCGGUAGUGGCCAGGAACCUUCUCACUCCCAAAGAUAACAGACUACUUUCCAAACGGUCUGAUGAGUUGGCUGUUAAGGAUUCUCUGGCUCUCAGUGUUCAGUGUGCAGGUUCUGUGUCUAAUAUGGCCCAACGCCUAUUUGCUCGAACCCGCCAAGUUGAAUCAUUGGCGGCUGAAGUGAUGAGUCUCAAACAGGAGAUUAGAGGGCUCAAGCAUGAGAAUAAACAGUUGCACCGGCUCGCACAUGACUAUGCUACAAACAUGAAGAGGAAGCUUGACCAGAUGAAGGAAUCUGAUGGUCAGGUUUUACUUGAUCAUCAGAGAUUUGUGGGUUUGUUCCAAAAGCAUUUAUUGUCUUCGUCUUCUGGGGUUGUAACGCGUAAUGAAGCUCCAAAUGAUCAACCUCUGAUGCCUCCUCCUUCUAGGGUUCUAUCCAGUACUGAGGCUCCGAAUGAUCCCCUCCGGUGCCUUCUCUUUCUGGGACUCUACCGACUGCUGAGACUUCUCCUAAGCAACCUUUGUGAAGGCUCCCUCUUGUUUGUUUAUUUUGACUCAUGUAUAUGUACAUAUUUUUAACUUAUCGGGGAUAUCAAUAAAUAAGCUUUCCUUCAUUUCAACGUAUUGUGUUAAAUACACCAAAGUCUUCUUCGCUAAGUUAUUUGAAUUUUCUUUCGUUGAAGCUUGUAUGUUGAAGCUUGUAUCCGAACGCAGAUUGAUGAUUUAUGAUGGAAGAUGAUCCUCUCGAAAAUACUAAUGCCUUAUUUGAUGCAUUAUUUUGGGAUGCCCUUGAAGUUUUUUUUUUUUUAUCUUGAAGGCAUUUUUGUUCAAAAUUUUUUGUUGAAGCUUGGUAACACCAAAAUCACUAUUCACCUUUGUAUUAGCGUUAUAUAUAAAAUGUUUAAUAGAGGAUGAUUAUCUACCCUCAUAAUCUCUCUACCCUUCCAUGCCCUUUAUUUGAACGGUCACGGUUAAAUCACGUCAACAUCUUAUAUUAAUUUUUUUAUAGAGAUAAUAAGAUAAAAAAUAAUAUGUAAGAUGAGGGAAUGAAAGGAGAUGUGAAUAAAAGGGUAAAGAAUCCUCCUUCAUGUUAAUAGUCACAGUCAGUCAGUCAGUCAUCACCCUGUCCUCUGCCUGCCUCCUGUCAACCCUUUUCAUAUAAUCCGGCACAGGAGAUCUCAAAGUUACAGCUAACGUUGGCGUGGCACCAUUUGUCUAAAGUGUGAAGUCAUAAAGUUGUGAAACGUGUCCUUUAUUGCUUUUUGCUAAAUGUGAAUCAUGACCUGAGGAAAAAAAAAAAAUUCCACCGAUCCAAUAAUACCACCACAUGUAUGAAAUUAACUUACUAAUGAAAACAAAUAUUACCAACUUUUUACUAUUUUCUGGUCCCCAAAAGAACUAUUCUUACAUGAAAAGUCGUUGAUAAGAUGUAUUGAGGAAAGCCCUUAGAUUAGCUUAGAAGGAAGUACUUAGUCUAAAGUUCAAUGUAGGUUAAGUCGGACUCUGCUGAAUUUGCCAUUAAUACUGGGUACGGUGGUAUUUUUCUAGUAAAGAGUAAUGGUGUUAUUUUACUUGAACGAUAGUAAAAUGGAGUCAUUGGUAGAAGCGUGGUCAAUAAAAGUUGUUAACUACAGUUGGAAAGUCAAAAGUAAUUAGGAUUUGAUACUCAGUAAUUAUAUCCAAUUUCUAAACUACAGUCGGAAAGUCAAGAGUAAUUAUUUUUUUUAAUGAUUUAUUUUAUAUAUUAUUUCUUAAUGGCACAAGUGGAUUGCCACGUCAGCAAAUAUAUGGACCCUCCAUUUGCUAAAUCAUCACUUAAUGGUCAGUUUGACAGAAUCACUAUCGGAUAUAUGACAUUGCAACGAAUUCAUAAGUUAAGGUAUGACAUUGCAAUGUUUAAAACAUGAUGUAUGAAAUUAUGGUGCAACCCAUAUUUGAGGUAGUUUUGUGUAAUUUACCCUUAUAUUUUUUGUGGUGUACGAUUUUCUUCCUUCCACAUUCCUCCCCCUCCCUCCCCUUCUCUCUUUCCUUUUUGUCUCUCUCUAAAAAAAAGUCAACACAACGUGACUUAAUUAUGGUCAUUCAAAUAGGAGGUGAGGAAGGAGAUGAGAGAAUCUUAUUCUAUUUUUCAUACCAUAUUUGUACUACCUCUCUAAUAAAGGUAGGAUCAACCAAUACAAAUGGUUCUCACCUCUAUUAGAAGAAUUAUACUAAUAUGAUAUAAAAAUCUACUAUUUUUUAUAAAAUAAUGUACACUCCUAUCCUUGUUUUAAUGUAAAAUGACAUACAACUACUCCAAAUAUCGAUAACAUUAAUGAUAUAAACCCCUAUUCUAGAGCUGGCCAAUAUUCUACACUCUAAAGGCGUCUCCAUAACUAUUAUCCACACCCGUUCCAACUCCAUCAACCUUUCAGCUCUAAACAUAGAAAAAUCCUACUUUUUCAACCACAAGUCACAACUAGUUAUCCGAAAUCACCAAACCCCAAUUGGAGCACAUAAGCCAAAUUCAAAAUCAAUGCACCAAUUUGUCUUCACUCUUAAAGGUUUAAUGUUUAAUAGUCACAGUCAGUCGGCCAGUCACCACCCUGUCCUUUGCCUACCUCCGAUCGUUGGUGGCACCAUUUGUUUAAUGUGUACCAUUUGUUUAAUGUGUAUUGAGAGCAACUCCACUGUGGGUUGCUGCUCGGGGGACAGUGGACCAAACAGGGCAUGAUAGCCUGGUUGAAGCCCUCCAGCGUGGGGAGCCCAAGGGACUAGGCCGGCCCGAGCAACAGGCUUGUGAGGAAUCGCUAGCCCGCAAGCCCGAGGUGGACCUGACUCAGGGCUGACGUUAGCCUAGCGUCAGUCUCAUUUUUAAUUUUUUUUCUGUCAGGCGCGUGCGCCUCACCUGCGCGUGGGGGCGAGUCAGCCGACAAAUUUCAGACCCCAGGGGCCCGCGAUGCAGUCUGCCUACCGUUGGGAAGCCACGUGGCUUCCCACGGUCCGUUCGAUCUCAACGGCUCUUUAAAAUAGGCCGUUCGAUUUGCAACGGUAAUAAAAAUAAAAUAAAAAAACUUAUUUAAUAUCAACCAUUGGAUCUGAGAUCGACGGUUGAUAUUAUUCUGAUUUAUAAAUAAAUAAAUAAAUGAAAAAUAGUUUUAAAAUUUUAAAAAGUUACUGUUGUGACACAUGGCACAAUCUGGAGUGUUGGAAUUCAAUUUUUUUUUAAAUCCAACGACAGAGAUUAAUUAGUUCAAUAAAAAAUUUAAAAAAUUGUAAAAAAUCUGAAUUUUUUUAAAAAAAAUUGUUUUUACUUUUCUAUAAAUACUUCUCAUUAUCAUCUACCUUACACCACAAUUUCAUAUUUUCUUAACUACUUUCAAUCAAAUUCCUAUCUUUCUCUCAAAGUUUCAAUCCAUUUUUUUUCAACAAAAUGACUACUACUGCAGGUACGAAUUGGUCGCUUCUUGAAGAUGUUGCGUUGUGUACUAGCUGGGUUGAAGUUACUCAUAGUUCGCUUAUGGGUAAUGAGAUGCAGUUGCGAGAAAUGUGGAGUCUUAUUCAUGCUACGUGGCAUGCCGUCAUUUGUUAAAAAUCUGAUGGAAAUCUAUCCUCAAAUAUUGUAAACAAAUUAUGACACGUGGCGCGACGUGAUUGGUUAAUAAUCUUAUCUGAAAUCCAUCACCAAUAAUUGUAUUUUUGGAUAAUGACACGUGACGCAAUGAGAACGAUUAAAAAUCUUAUCGGAAAUCCAUCACCAAUAAUUGUUUUUUCGGAUUAUGACACGUAGCGCAACGAGAACGAUUAAAAAUCUUAUCCGAAAUUACAAAUAAAAUUAUUUUGUAUUAUUUUAUUACCUAUAGCCAAGGGGAGGGCUCCCACACUGGAGGUGCAAAAAGCAGUUACUGUUCAUUAAGGGGAGUUACUGUUCACCUCCCACGCUGGAACUGCUAAGAGGAAAGCCUCUGAAUUGGCUUAGAAGAAAGUAUUUGGUCGAAAUUUCAAUGUAAGUCAAGUUAGAUUUGAUUGAAUUCGCCAUUAAUAUUAGGUACGGAAGGUAUUUUCUUAGUAAAAAGUAAUGUUGUCAUUUUACUUGAGCAUUAGUAAAAUGGAGUCAUUGAUAAAAACGCGGUCGGUAAAACUGGUCAAAGCGUGAGCACGUAUAAGCCGAACCACAGAUUAACAGCAGUUUACAAAUGUUUGUAAACUAUGGUUGGAAAGUCAUGAGUAAUUAGGAUUUGAUACUCAGUAAUGAUCCAAUCUGCAUAGCCAACGAAAUCUUACAUCAUCAAGAUUAAGUAGGAAUUGUUGGAAUAUAAUCAUGAUGAUGUUAGCUUUACUAUAUAUGUAUUUGAUGUAUGGAGGUGCACCAUAAGAAUGGUGUAUAAGAGGUAUGACUUAAUAAGGGUUAUACCAUUCUAUAAGUGAACUGUCUUAUCAUGAAGGGAUAAAACCAUUCAGAGAAGUUUCACAACUCUCUAAAAAUGGUACGAUGAAGUCUAUAAAGGGAGGAUUCAUUUCUCAAACAAAUCAAUCCAACGUGAAAUGCAUUUUCUCUUCUUCCCGUUGGUGUUCUAUUUCUCCUUUGGCACUACCGCAUAGUAAUCAAUAGUCUAACGACAUUAGAGAUUGAUCUUGUGAUCCAUCAAAUUGUACAUUGAAAAGUAUUAGUGAGGGGGUCCCUAUGAUUUGCACGUGAUGUUUACUGACCAAAUGGUGAAUGCAAGAAAUGUGAGUGAUGUUUGGAAGGUAGGGCUGCAGUUGAGCAUGGAAUUGAGAGAGGUGAGGUUGAAAGAACAAUUAGAAGACUGAUGGUUGAGAAAGAAGGGGAAGAGAUCAAAGGGAUUGAAUUAAAGUGGAUGGAAAAAAGCAAAUCAUUGCCUCAAAGAGGUGGCUCUUCCUACCAAUCUUUGGAUGGCUUGGUUAAACACAUCUUAUCAUUAUAAAUCGUUUGUUUAAGAAACUCAGUAUGAAGUAUUCAAUAAAAUUAAAAUUAAAAUAAACCGACAUAUGGUUAAUCAAAAUAUCAAUAAUAUUAAUGAUAUAAAUAAUAAUCGUGGAUCCAUGAAAUAUUAAUGUAAUUAUCAGUAUCAUUAGACAUGUGACGUAACGAGAUAACAUAACCUAAAUUGCACUCCUUUUUAUAAAGUCAUGAAGUUGUGAAACUUUUUUUUUUUUUUUCUGUUAAAGGUUAAACGCUUAACUUGAGGUAAAACAACAGUUUCCACUGACCCAAUAAUCUAUAUAUACAUGAAAUUCAUAAGCAAAAACUAACAUUCUUUGACCAAAAAAAAAAAAGCAAAAAUAAACAUUCUCGAUUCAAAAAUGGAACAAAGCAAAGGCAGGAGAGUGAUCAUCUUCCCACUGCCGUUUCAAGGCCACAUAAAUUCUAUGCUAGAACUGGCCAACGUUCUACACUCCAGAGGCUUCUCCAUAACCAUUAUUCACACACGCUUCAACUCCCUCAACCCUUCUACCCUAAACCCACAGUUCACGUACCAUUCAAUCCCUGUCGACUUCUCCGAAACCGAGGCCGCCUCGAGGGAUCCCAAAGGUUUUCUUUAUCUUCUCAAUGUUAGAUGUGUCGAGCCUUUCAGAGAAUGCUUGGCCGGAUUGUUAUCGGAUGACGUUAAGUUGGAAGGCCCCGUUGCUUGCUUGAUCUCGGACACUCUCCUUCACUUCACUCGACCCAUUGCGGAGAGUUUUAAGCUUCCGAGGAUCUUGUUGGAUGUCUCGUGCGCCACUAAUUUUGCCGUUUUGGCUGCGUUUCCGCUUCUCAAGGAAAAGGGUUACCUGCCAAUACAAGGUACAUCAGAUAUAUGCUUCUUUCUUUCUAUGUUGGUUACAACAAAAUAACUCAAUACCACUAUUAGUUGCACAAAAUAGAGUUGCUAAAUUUAUUUAUUUUUUGACACAGAUAGUGCUUUUAUCGGAAUAAUUGUCAAAUAUUACAAAAUGUCUUUUUACUCGCCAUUGGUACCUAGUAUUACUAAUUCACUGGUUAUAAACACGAGUGGACUGAUGAUAAUAUACAAAUACUUGAACAACUUAUAUUUGGCUUUCUAUUAUAUUGGCAAUAAUUAGAUUCUCGACUAGAAGAGGUAAUCACAGAACUAUCACCUAUCAAAGUUAAAGACCUGCCAAAGGCGCCCGGUUCCGAUCCUGAGAAUUAUUAUCAACUGGCCAUCCAAGUGUCAAAUGAACCAAAGUCUUCUUAUGGACUCAUCUUAAAUACAUUUGAAGAUCUUGAAGGACAUGCUCUGGCCAGAAUCCGCCGACACCUGCCCAAUGUUCCCAUUUUCCCAAUAGGUCCAUUUCACAAGUGUUGCCGUACAAUAUCCUCUUCAAGUAGUUUAUUGGCACAAGAUCAGAGUUGCAUUUCAUGGCUGAACACUCAAGCGCCAAAAUCUGUUGUUUAUGUUAGCUUUGGGAGCAUUAUACAGAUAGAGGAAGCUCAAUUUUUGGAGAUAGCUUGGGGGCUGGCCAACAGCAAUCAACCCUUUUUGUGGGUUGUUCGACCCGGGUUGGUUAACGGGUUUGAUUGGCUCGAAGCGUUACCUAACGGGUUUUUAGAAGCAUUGAACGGGAGAGCUUACAUUGUGAAAUGGGCUCCACAAAAAGAAGUAUUGGCCCACCUAGCAGUUGGAGUCUUUUGGACUCACAAUGGUUGGAAUUCUACAAUAGAGAGCAUUUGUGAAGGGGUCCCUAUGAUUUGUACGCCAGGUUACAUUGAGCAAAUGCUGAUUGCAAGAAAUGUGAGUGAUGUUUGGAAGGUAGGGCUGCAGUUGGAGCAUGGGAUUGAGAGAGGUGAUGUUGAAAGAACAAUUAGAAGACUGAUGCUUGAAAAAGAAGGGGAAGAGAUCAAAGAGAGAUCCUUAAAGUUGAUGGAAAAGGCAAAUCGUUGCCUCAAAGAAGGUGGCUCUUCGUACCAAUAUUUGGAUGGCUUGGCCAAGCACAUUUUAUCGUUAUAAAUCGUUUGUGUAAGAAAUUAAGUGGUAUUGCAAGUAGCCAUUUACCAUAGUGGUAAAAAUGAGUUGAGCUCUUACAUGAGGAUGUGAGUUCGAACUUCAUCGGUGACUAAAUAAAAGAAAAUCUAUCGUUUAACAAAAAAAAAAAAAGUACUAAGUGGUAUUAUUUAUUCAAUAAAAUUGUUGGGUUGCAUUAUGUGUUUACAUAAAUAGAGGCUUUUAGCAAUGUGUUAACUACAGUAUGUGUAUAAAAUAAAAUCUCGACAAAAGCCAGUCUUCACUUUACUACCAGAUUUGCACGUUUCAACUUAAUCUUCAACUCAUUCGAACAUGUGAUGUAGGUCAGAAUACCAACAAACCAAAAAACAAUAAUGGUUCUAAUUAGAUCUGGUAAAUUUUUAAACGACACGAAAAUAAAAGGUUUAGGGUAGUUACUAAGUCACCCGUUAAUAACGGGUUUACACACAGGUAACCAAUGGGUAACCCGUUUCAACCCGUUAAGAAAAAAAUAUUUUGAUGAUUUUAAAAUUAAGCUACUAAACAAACUUACUAUAAAAUAUAGUAUAUUAAAUAUGUAUUAUUGUAUUACUAUUCUACAUAAGUUAAAAAAAUAAAAAGUUUUAUUUAUUUUUAUUAUGAGAGUUUCUUAUCAUUACUAAGAUAAAUUUUACUUGACCUACUGUCUUAAAUUCAAAUCAACUAGUAUAAUAUUAGUAUAAGCAAAAUCACAGUCUUUCAAUUUCAGAGUCAACGACGUAGCAAAGCUUUUACUCUCUCUCUCUCAUACAAUCAUACUCAUAAAUGUUUUAUCCUCUUAAACGUGAGAUUAAAACAUUAUAAAACACAUUAAAAAAUUAAAUAUCAAAGUAAUUUAAAAAUACUAAACAAAUUAAAAAAUUAUAAUAAUUAAUUUACAAGUGCAAAAAAUGUGAAAAAAGAAUAUGCAAAUACUUGUGAUCACAUCCUCUAUGCUUUGAGAUGGGUACAUCAUUGUUUGAAUUUUUAAAACCGUACAAAGCCUCAUGAAUAGUAUUUUUAGGGGAGUUCAAAAUAAAUAAAAUUUCAUAAUAAUUAGUGUACAAGUGAAAAAUGUGAAAGAAUAUAUAAAUGCUCGUGAUUGCAUCCUCCACACAUAGAUGAUGGAUACAUUGUCGUUUAGAAUUUUAAAACCCUCCAAACCCUCAUGAAUAGUGUUUUUAUUUGAGUUCAAAAUUAAUAAAAUUCGUAAUAAUUAUUUUAUAAGUGUGAAAAUGUGAACAAAAAAAAAUAUACAAUCACUUAUAAUGAUAAGCUUUACAACUUUCGUGAAGGGAUCCAACUCCGAAAUCUAACACCAUAAUCCAUGAACCUUAGAUUUAUAUUUAAUCGUCGAUUAUCGUUUAUGCUUUACUCUUUCACUAAAUUUUGUUUUUCAUAUUUUCUCUUUUGAAAACAUGAUCUUUUAGCGGAUAUAGAAACAUGAAUGGUUCGGGUUGUUGAUAUUACGUUCCAAUAUGUACGGUUACCUGAAUAUGAGUCAAUGUUAUAUAGUUUUUGGAGACUUUAUAAACUCUGAGCAAUAUUUUCACUAACAGUGAAACUUUGAACGUAAUAUCAAUGAUCUGAAUUGUUCAUCUUCCUGCAUCCUCUAAAAGAUCAUGUUUUCAAAAAAGAAAACUUAAAAAAAAAUUGGUGAGAAGAAUUGAGCGUAAAUGUAAAUGAUAAUCAAUGGUUAAAUUUCAAUCUAUAGUUUAUGUGAUUAUAGUGGCAAAUUUCGAAGUUAAACCCAUCAUGAAAGUUGUAAAGCUUGUCUGUACGAGCGUUUAUAUAUAUAUAUAUAUAUAUAUAUAUAUAUAUAUAUAUAUUAAUAUCUUUCACACUUCUACAUUAAUUAAUAUUUAUGUGAUACGUGAAAGACAAAUGUGACACACCCCGACUGAGGCCAAGGCAUGUUGGCCGUCACGUGAGAGUGACGUAGCCAUGUGCACAGUGUGGAAGCGAUAAAGAUAGCAAAUAUACGAAUAACUAAAAACCACAUUACUAGAGUACACUACUAAACAGAAAAUGAUAAGAGUUAGUUACAACAAUAAACACUCAUAAUCAGAGCAUAAAGUCUAGGUGCAGUCCAAUAGGACAAGUACUAGUUACACAGUACCAGGAAUGUCCUACUAUUAUUCAAAUAGGUCAGAACUGCUGAAGAUCCCGAGCCACCAACAGCAAUCUUACUUAGAACCUGGAGGGGCGUAAAACAGAAAGCGUGAGUGGGCAAAAACAAAUGUUUUAAAAACCAUUUCAUUAUUCAGCAUAACUAACCCCUCGCUGUAAAACAUGUAUAAUUUUUCUAGAAUCAAGAUAUGAGCAUAUACAUACAUAUACAUAUAGAUAUAUCUAUAUACAUAUAGAUAUAUCUAUAUAUAUAUAUAUAUAUCUAUAUAUAGAUAUAUCUAUAUAUCUGAAAUCAUAUCAAUUUAGUUCAUGCUUCACAUAAUCAUUUUCAUAUGUAUGCCAUGCCAAAAUAUAACAAAGUAAACAAUCCGGGUAAGAAUAAUUUCAUAGAAAUGUGAUAUGUUAGCCGGAACUCCUGUGGUAGUCUGUACGGCUGAAUUCCUAGCUCAAACUCAAUCUAGCCGGAGUCACUUCUAUGACCUAUACGGCAAUAUACUGCACAUAAGUCAGAACCACUGAAAUGGUAUGUACGACAAGGUUAGGUGUAAUAUAGUUAUGCUUAAUGCUACGCCCUUACGCUAGUUAUGCGAUAAAUCGUUAGUCACCUACGAGUCAGAACCACCUAUAGUGGUCUGUAUGACAAGACUGUGCACCUAAAUUGGAUCCAAUGUGAGCAUAUGGUGUGGGAGGUGACAUAAUAUACAGGCUUGUGCCAACUCUCUUUGACUAAAUCGCAAUCACCCUGGUGCAGGUUAUGAGUUCAAUGUUCAUCAAUACAUUUAUAAUCAUUCUAUUCAUAACUAAGGCCUUUGUUUUAAUCACAUCUCAUAUAGACAAUCAACAUGUUCAUCUCAUUUAUUGAAUGGAUGCAUCUAACCUCUCGUUAGACUGCCUAUGUACCCUAAAUAAGGAUCAAGUCGUUCAUAGUUCACCUAAUCAAACAUAACUUACCCAAACUUACUUGUGCCUCCACAACACCACAUUUAUAUAUAUAUGCAACCAUGGAAAUGCAUAUUCAGAAUAUAAAGUCAUUUAGCAUAUUGUUUCAAAGCAUACUUUCAUUUAAAACAAAUUUCUGGGAAAUAAAUCAAGUAUAUAAAUAUAUACCGAAAACAAAAGCCCACUCACUGUUAUGUCGACGGGUCGUAACCCCCGAGUCGCCCGUGGAUACGCUCGUCCUCGGAAUAAGUCUCACCUAUAUGCGAAUUAACUAUAAAAACGUUAUUUUAAAGCAUAUAGGCAAAACUAGCUACUAACUUCUCAUACAUAGCUCAAAAUGGGUAUAUGAAUAUACCAACGUGACCUACACAACCUCACGAACAUCUUGAUAUUUUUAGAAAAAAAUUCCUAUAGCUUACGCGCCCUCACGCGCUGGGGAGGGCACGGCAUCACGCGCCCUCAUGCACAUCACCUUCAACCUCCAGACGCCGGAAUAGUGCCACCGGCCCCGGAUUCUGGGCAGACCUGCAACUGCCCAUUUCUCUCUCGUUUUUGCACCAUUUUCUAUGAAAUUUUCACCCAAAUGUCACAAAUUUCAAGAGGAAGAAGGUUAUACCUCUUUGGAGCCUCAAAUCCUUCGAAAACACGUCAGAAAAAUCUCAACAAAAUCGACCACCUUCGAACCUCAUGAUCCCGACGUCAAAACCAAGCUAACGAAGCACUCCGAGCUUCAUGAGAACCUCCUAGAGUUCGCUGAAGGCUUGGAUUGUCCUAAAACAUAACCAUUCAAAAGUUCAUGAAUAGUGUUCAACUCGGAGCUUGAGUUUUCAACGUGAAAUCGAACGAGUUCUUACCUGAAAUUGGUACUUUUGAACUUGUAGGGUCAUCACGAACACAACGGUACCAUUUUCUUCCUCGAUAUAUGAAGAUUUGGCUCAGUUUCAAGGUGGUCCGUACGGAGGAGAGUGAAGAGAGAGUCUGCGAGAUGAGAGAGAGAGCACGGGAAGAGAGAGAAGGGUAUGUAUUUGUGUGGUCCAAAAAUGCACACCAAUCCCAACUCUUUAAUUUUUUAGUUCUAAUUGGGUCCAAUUAGUUAGGGAUAGAACUAAUUGACUCAAUUCUUUAAUUCCACACAAACACACAUCCGACGCUCAAGGGUAAAUCUAUCUUUUCACAACCACAAUGAUAAAAUAAAGUACAUUUCUGGGACGGGCUGUGACAAAUGUGUUUUUAUGUUUUGAAGUAAUAUUUAUAUGAUAAUGUGGUAUGUAUUUACUAAUUUAGUAUUAUGUUUUUUUAUUUGAUUAUUUACUGGUUUAAAAUAAAUUUUCUUUAAUGGGUAAUGGGUCGGACCAUAUUAUCUAUUAAUAUUAACGAGUCGAGUUUCGACUUGGUCAUAUUACCUGUUCAUUUUAACAGGUGUUACACGACACAACCCGUUAAAAUAUCGAGUAUGACAUGAAAACGACACAAAUAUGAAAAACACUACACGAAUGCCAAAUCUAGUUUUAAUAACAUGGAAGAAAGUUGUCUCAGAGCCUCCUAUAGGGCAUCCAAUUCGUCACAGUGAAUGCUUCCAAUCAAUAUACAUAUAUAGUAAUCGUCAUACUUACCUUGUCUACUUUUGUGGAUCCAAAUUAUAGGCAUACAGGAAUUGUGGCAAAAAAACUCUUUCUGUGUGAGUUCUCUCUUCCUGAGAGUCGUUCUCACUAUUGUGUGAGUGGUUUCCCUUCCGUCUGAUUAUGUCACUGUCGACCCUUGCUGUGGCGGAGAUCAGUAACAGAUCAUUCCUUGUAAACUUUUAUGGAAGGCUUUUUGAAAAACUUUGCAGUUGUAGCCCUGUUGGUAGGACUGGGGGAUUAUUCUUGUUCUGGAAUUCUUGUAAGGUGGAUGUUAAUGUUAUCUCUUCCUCUUCUUGUUUUUUACACUGUGUGGUUAUUGAUUUUUCUCAAAGGUUGAACAUUAUUUCACUUUUGUGUGUGCAUAACCACGAAAACACUUGCAAUCUAUUAUGUUGGAGGACAUUUUAUUGCUUAGUCCUAAAGUUAAACCGGGGUGUUUAAUGGCAGAUUUUAACAACAUUAUGGACAUUUCUGAAGAAAAAAAAGAAGGAAGUUGCCAGGUUACUACAACUUUUAUGAACAAAUUCCUCCAAUUUCUUAACAACGGUAACCUCUUAUCUCUUAAUGCUUCUGGGGUGCCUUUUACUUGGUGCAAUAAUCAGGAAGGUAGUAAUCGAAUUUAUGAAAGACUUGAUCGUGCCUUGGGUAAUUCAUAUUGGUUAAAUGAAAAUCCUAAUUAUAAUCUUCAUAAUUAUCCUAUUUUCGGGUAACUUUUAAUUCAACAAACAUUAGUAGUAGACAUAAUAAUUCCUUCAAAUUUGAAGCGAUGUGGCUGUUGCAUCCUGAUUUCAAGGAGUUUGUGAAUGAUGCUUGGAAAUGUAAUGGUGGUUUCAAUCCUAUGAAUAAUUUUAGAGUUUGUGCAAAUAUGUUUAAUUACUUAGUAAAGAAUUGGAAUAAGACUACUUUUGGUAAUUUGAAAGUUCACAAGGAAUGCAUCCUUGGUGAACUGGCUGUGAUCCAAGAGACCAUUAUGAGAAAUAAAAAUGUUGAUGUUGAAUUGGAACUCGAAACUAAGAUAAGUGAAGAACUAAAUUCGAUACUAAAGCAAGAGGAAAUUAUGUGGGCACAAAAAGCUAAAGUCAAUUCUCUCCAGUUAGGUGAUAAGAACACUAGGUUCUUUCAAACGGUAGCAACUAUACGGAAGAAAAGACACGAAAUUAAGAGGAUGAAGGACAAUAAUGGGUUUUGGUGGAAUGUGGAUGAAAGACUUGAACAAGUUUUUGUACAGGAAUUUAAACUGUGUUUUUCUUGUGAUUGUCCUCCUUCACCCGUUGAUAUUUCUUCUUGUGCUAAUAUUAUUACCCCUUGCAUUGAUAAUAGUCAAAAUGAAAUGCUUCUCAAACCUAUGGAGGACGUUGAGGUUUGGGAGGCGAUGAAAAGCAUUCGUGCACUAAAGGCACCAGGGCCUGAUGGUAUUAAUGCAAGUUUCUACCAUGAAUGCUGGGAUACCAUUAAAGAUUUAGUUAGUGCAAUGGUGAAGGAUUUUUUCCUUAAUAAUUUCAGUCUAAAAUUGAUUAAUCAUACCAACAUAGUUCUUAUUCCCAAAGUGGAGAAUCCGGAGGUGGUAAGUAACUACAAACCAAUUAGCCUUUGUAAUGUUAGUUACAAAAUUAUUAUGAAAAUCAUUAUCAAAAGGUUAAGACCUUUGCUUGAUUUGUUCAUAUCUAACUGUCAAGGGGCUUUUGCCCCAGGGUGUUCUAUUCAUGAUAAUAUCUUGAUAGAUCAUGAGAUGUUCUCUAGCUUUAAAGUAUAAAAAAUUAAAAAAUUAAAAAAUUAAAAAAUUAAAAAUUAAAAAAAGAAGAGAAGGAAGGAUUGGAGCAACGGGAAUAAAAUUAGAUCUUGAAAAGGCCUAUGAUUUCCUUAUUGGGAUUAUAUUGUUUAGGUGCUUUUGAGAUUUGGUUUUGCGGUAAGGUGGGUCGAUUUAGUUAUGGUGUGCAUUAAGUCCUCUUCAUUCUCAGUCUUAAUAAAUGGUUCUACCCAUGGUUAUUUCUACCCGAAAAUAGGGAUUAGGCAAGGGGAUCCUUUAUCGCCUUAUAUUUUUAUGCUUUGCAUGUAACAUGUAAUUAGACAUUUUAACAGUAUGGCCAAUAACCCUAAGUCUCAUAUUGGUAUUUUAUCCUCUCCCGGGGGAUUUAGAAUUUCUAAUCUAGUGUUUGCAGAUGACUAUCUUUUGUUUGCCAAUGCAACUACUAAGGGUGCGCGGAAUGUCCUCCAAAUUUGUAAUAUGUUUGCUAAAGCUUCUGGUCAGCAGGUAAAUUUUCAUAAAUCAUCUUUAUACUUUUCAAACAAUACUAGUGCUCAAACUAGAAAUGCAAUUGUCAAUAUCCUACAUAUACAACACAAAACAACAAUUGGUAAGUACUUGGAAAUUCAUAACAUUGUGUUCUGGAGAGAUCUAGUUAAUGAACAAGAAUUAUUGAGAAGAGUGAAACAAAAGUUAGUGGGUUGGAAGGCAAAUACUCAUUCUAAAGCAGGUAGAUUAACUCUUAUUAAGUCUAAUCUAACUGGUAUGCCUAACCAUAUCAUAUCUUGUUUUAAGUGUCCCCCUAGUGUAACAAAGAAUUUAAACAAGGAAUAGGAAAUUUUAUCCUUUAGCUUGGGAUAAAGUUUGCAUGGCUAAAGACCAAGGGGGUGGUUAGGAAUUAGAAGAGUGGAUCAUUUCAAUAAUGCUUGUUUGGCUAAGUUAGGUUGGAAAGUUGUAAAAAAUGAGAACAAUUGGUGGGUGGAAGUGGUUAAAAGGAAAUACUUAAGGAAUAAUAUUUUUUUAAGUUGUAAGGUUAGACAAAACUAUUCUAUAGCCUGGAAAGGAAUUUUAAAUAGUAGACAUGUUAUCCACAUGGGAAUGAGAUGGGUGGUGGGUAAUGGUAGGGACAUCCUUUUUUUGGACCCAUUGUUAGGUUUUUCCUUAUCCGCUUGCCCACCUCAUUCAAGUUAAUUAGCGUCAGAAUAUUAAUUGGGAAGCUAAAGUUUGUGCUUUAUUGAUAAUGGGAACUGGGACAAAGUCCGACUUUCUCAAGUAUUAGAUUUAGAUGUUGUGAAAAAAUUCUAUUUGGUAACUAUUCCCUAGCAGAAUAAGGAAGAUUACUUCAUUUGGGAUCAUUCAUCAACUGGUGAUUUCUCAAUUAAAUCAGCUACUUGGAUUCAGAGUAAUCAAAACCAUGAAGUGAAGAGACAAAAGCUCCUUAAGAGGUUGUGGAGGUUAAUCAUUCCCCCUAAGGUAAUUUUUUUUACAUGGUUGCUUAUUCAAGGAAAAUUGCAUACUAAGGUAAGAUUGAGUAAAUUCAUUCAAAAUGCUAACAAAGAUUUCUUGUUAUGUGGCAAGGAGGAAGAAACACAAAGUCAUCUUCUUCGGAAUUGUGAUUUUGCAAAAGAAGUCUGGAACAAAUCCCCGUUAAUACACGACAGAGUAAUGUUGGUCAUACAAAUGAUUUUUUAGAUUGGUUAGAAUUAAUUAACAAUGAUGAAUGCAUUGGUUUGAGUGAGCUUAGUAAGGCUCUUCUGAAUUGUUGGCAAAUUUGGAAUGACAGGAAUAAUAAAGUUUUCAGAAGCAUAAGUCCUCAUCAUGUCAGAAGUAUUGCCAUUACAGCUAGAGUGGGUUUAUAUUAUUUUGAGGCCAAUUGCAAAAGGACUAACAAAAGCAACCUUUGUAAUCAAGCAAACAUUCGUUGGAAGCCUCCGCCCCAAGGUUUUGUGAAGUUAAAUUUUGAUGGCUCGGUUUGUUUAAAUAAAGUGGUUGCUGGGUUUGUUUUAAGGAACGAGGCUGGACAACCUGUUGGAGUUGGUGCUUUUAAUCUCAAUGGGGCCACCAUCUUGCUUGUGAAAGCCACUGCUUUAAAGGAGGGUCUUUCUUUUGCCAAGUGCAAAGGUGCGAGAAAGCUUGUUGUGGAUGGAGAUUCCAAGCUCAUCAUUUAGGUGGUGCAGGGGGAGUGGAACCCCCCUUGGCAUCUUAUACCGAUCAUUGAGGACAUCAAGUGGCUAGUAUCGGGAUUUCCGUGCAUUAGAUGGCAUCACAUUUUUAGGGAGGCAAAUUUUGUCACGGACAACUUAGCUCACGUGGGCCUAUCAGUGACGAAUCCAUAUUUUUAGGAUUAUUGCCUUCCUGCUUCGGCCUUGGAUGCUUUUAGAUUUGAUUGUUUGGGAAUCGAUUAUACUAGAGGCUUUUCUGUUUAAUGAAAUCUUUUUUCCUAUAACAAUAAAAAAAAACAUAUUUAAUUUUCCAAAUUUUUUAAUAAACCUUAAAAAAAAUUUAAAAAAUUAAACAAACACCACAAUUCCAAAUCAAACCUAAAACUUAAUUCGGAAUUUUUGUGAGUGCUCAAAUUGUUCCCAGUAGAAAAAUAAGCCCAAAACCCAAAUGGUAAAUAUAGACAAAACAAUGAUAUUCCUUGUGUAUCUUUGUAAGCAAUAUGCUAAUACCAAAUUCUUUCAUCAAUCCACUCUGCAUAGAAGAAGAAGAAAUACGGUGUUAGCUUUAAAAAACAGACAUGGGAAUUGGACUGAAAACCCUCCUCAGGUUAGGCGGUUGUUUGAUGAGUACUUCAUGGAUCUCUUCACGUCUUCUGGUCACAGGGAGUGGGGCAAUUUAUUAGACUGUGUUGUCUCAAAAAUUUCAGAUGAAUUGAAUGAGUCUCUAAUGGCAGUGGUCUCGAGUGAUGAGGUCAGAGUUGCUGCCAUGCAAAUGGGAAGUUUAAAGCUCCGGGCCCUGACGGCUUUCCGGGAAUCUUUUAUCAAACUAAUUGGGACACCAUUGCUGCAGAGGUGAAUGAAUUAAUUUGGGAUAUGAUGAAUGGAACGGAAAUCCCAGGGGGAAUUAACGCUACACACUUGGUGCUGAUUCCGAAGGUGCCUAAACCGGAAUCUGUGGAGCAAUUUCGUCCCAUUAGCCUCUGCAACUAUUCUUAUAAGGUGUUUUCCAAGGUUUUGGCAAAUCGUCUCAAAAUGGUUAUUCCGGAUUUGAUUUCUCCUUCCCAAAAUGCUUUUGUGGCGGAGAGGCAAAUUCAAGACAAUAUUGGAAUUGCUCAUGAGCUUUUUCAUUUCCUAAAGACUAGAAAAGCUAGGAGUCAAUUCGAAUUGGGAAUAAAGUUGGAUAUGCAAAAGGCCUAUGAUAGGGUGGAGUGGGACUUUUUAAUGGCUGUCAUGGAGAAGAUGGGAUUCGAUGAAAGAUGGCGAAAGUUGAUUUUGGGAUGUAUAUCGUCGGUGAACUUUUCCAUCUUGCUAAAUGGUCAACCGGGAUCUAAAUUUGCUCCGUCUCGCGGGCUUCAGCAAGGAGAUCCUCUUUCCCCUUACUUGUUCCUUUUGGUUAGUGAAGUUCUAUCUCUUAUUAUCCAACAGGCUUGUGAGAGGAAGUGGUUAAGGGGGGUGCAGAUGAACCCGGCAGGUCCGUGUAUUUCCCAUAUUCUCUUUGCUGAUGAUACUCUGAUCUUUAUUAAGGCUGAGGAAGAGAAUUGUAGGAAUCUUAUUCAGCUGAUUGAUAAUUUUUGUGCGGCUUCUGGACAACAUGUGAAUAAGUCUAAAUCCAGUGUGUGUUUUGGUUCCAAUGUCCCUGAGGAGGUCUCUCGACAUCUAUCUAAUAUUCUUGGUUUUGAGUGGGUGGGUGAUCCGGGGAUGUAUCUCGGGGUUCCAGCUAUAUGGGGAAGAUCUAAAAAAGCCGGGUUGGCCUAUGUUAAAGGCAGGCUUCUGGAUAAAUUGCAGGGAUGGAAAAAAUCCACUCUCUCCCAAGCCGGCCGGGAGAUCCUGAUUAAGGCGGUGGCACAAGCCAUUCCAGCUUAUCCUAUGAAUUUGUUCAAAUUUCCUGUUUCUUUUUGCAAUGAAAUGGAUGCAUUGAUAACUAAAUUCUGGUGGGGUCAAAAACUUGGUGAAAAUCGGAUCCAUUGGGUUUCCAGGGAGAGAUUGGGUCGGUCUAAGGAGGAAGGAGGUCUCGGCCUAAGGAGUUUUACGAUUUUCAAUGAUGCUCUGUUGGCCAAACAGUGUUGGAGAUUGAUCUCUGAACCUAACACAUUAUGGGCCCUUGUUCUCAAGGCCCGUUAUUUUCCUAAUAGCUCAUUCCUUGAUGCUAAGAAUGGUGGGAGAGCUUCUUGGGUUUGGGCUAGCCUUCUUGCUGGAAGAGAGAUUCUUAGGGCAGGUGCUCAUUGGCAGAUUAUGGACGGAAAUGACACGAGGGUUUGGGUGGAUAGAUGGAUCCCCCCCAUCCCUUUAGGGAGACCGUCCCCGUUGGGGUCAGUUCAAGUUUCGAAAAAUCUAAAGGUGAAGUCCCUUAUCUGUCCGGUGAGUGGGGAAUGGGACUUGGAUUUUUUAAAACCUUUCUUGGCGGAUUCUGAAGUUGAGGCGAUUUUGGAUUUGCAAACCGGUGAUCCGAUGCUUAAGGAUAGAUUGGUUUGGCCCUUUGAUAAGAGGGGGUCUUAUUCUGUGAAAUCAGGCUACUAUUGGAGUCUCAAUCGAUCCCAAGUUCGCUGCCAACAACCUACCAGGUUGGUCUCCAUUCCUUCUACCUUAUGGAAAACUGUAUGGAAGUUGAAGGUUCCUCCUAAAAUUCGAACUUUCAUGUGGAAGACCCUGCAUGCGGCUUUAGCUACAAUGAAGAAUUUAUAUAUUCGAAGAUCUUCCCCCUCUCCCAUCUGCCCUCUGUGUAACUCCUUUGAUGAGUCCAUAGAACACCUCUUUCUUUUCUGUCCUUGGGUGGAGGUGGUAUGGUUUGGAGGAAGGCUGAAUCUGAGACCUAACCGGCAGCAAGUUUCGAGUUGGGCUAGUUGGCUCAUGCAAAUGGGUGCGGCAGAGAAUGGGUCAGCGGAGGUGAGGAUUGAUCGAAUUUCCUAUAUUGCUUUUACAUGCUGGCAUAUUUGGAAAUCUAGAUGUGAUUUUCAGUUCAACAAUCAGGUUAUCUAUCCCAGCAGGGUGGUUGCUGCUGUCUCCAGAUCGGUCUCGGAUUACCAGGGGACAAUCUUAAGGCAGAGUUCCCGUUCUUUGCUAAACCAUUCGAGUUUGGGAGAUGGAGUUAAGUGGUCUCAUCCGGAUCAUGGUGUUAUCAAAAUAAACGUGGAUGCCAAUUGGGAGGCAAAGUCGGGGGUGGGUUUCACGGGGGUUGUGGCGAGGGAUGAGCAGGGUUGUUUUUUGGCUGCCUCUAGGCAGAAGAUUAAGGCUACUGGUGCUACUAUGGCGGAAGCUUUGGCCAUUUUGCAUGGGUGUAAUCUGGGGGUUAGCAAUGGAUGGAAUUCAAUAUGUGUUGAAUCUGACUCAUACGAUGCUAUCUCCUGUUUGUGGGAUCCGGCUUUGAAGGGCAAUUGGGAUGCUUUUCCAGUUCUCAGGAAGUGCCUUAGAUUGGGAAGGGCUUUUCAAGCUUGCCGCUGGUCUUGGGUUCCAAGACUAGCCAAUUCGGUAGCGGACUGUUUGGCGUCGCUGAUCGGAUCAUAUUUAUAUAUAUUUUUACUUCGAAUUCACUCGUCUUUUCUUAGUUAGUUCCUUAUAUUUUUGAGCUAUUUACGUUAUUUUUGUGUUUAUAGGAUUUGUUAUGCAAAGAAAAUAAAAAUAGAACAAGUGAAAUUUUAUGUAAUAAAUUCGUCAAAACUGUCUGUGUAGAUCAGCUUUUAAAUUAAAUUAAAAAUUAUAUUUAAUAAUGAUAAGUCAUGAUGAUGUUUGAAACAUCAUCAUGAUGGUUUUGUUUUGUAGAAGAAAAGAAAGGAACGGAUGGAGAAGAAGAAAAAAAAAGGGAAUAAAAGUAUGGAAAGCAAAGGCAUACGACGGAGAAAGAAAUCAGAAAAGGAGGGAUCCAAAGCGUGAGGGAGGAGAGGAGUAAGCUGCCCUUGCAGCUUUGAGAAGGUAAGAAAAGAGAUAUAAAAAAAUAUAGAAAGAAAGGAGAGGUCAGAGAGGAUAGGGAGACUGGCAAGGUCAGAAACAAGAAAGAAAAAUAUAAAAAAGGCAGGAAGCUGCCUUAGCAGCGGAGAAAGAAAGAAAAAAAAAGAUAAAAAAAUAAAGGAAGUAGUAAGGAGGUGAGAAGUCAGUAAGGGGCGGACAGGAGCAGAAAACAGGAAGCAGCUUGCUGCCUUGCGGGAGCAAGAACGAGAGGGAGAGAACCGAGAGCUGAGCUGCCCUUGCAGCUUUGGAAAGGUCAGAGGUGAAUAAAGAAAUAGCUGCUUUGCAGCUGGAGGAAAGAGGGGGCAGCGCAGAAAAAUGGGGGAAUAAUCAGCAGCAGAUCACAGAGGCACGGACGCAGCAGAUCUUCUUUUCUUGGUUAAAUCUUUCCAAACUUAUAUUUUAUUUCUAUUUUAAUAAUGUGUAACUAAGUUUAUUUUGGCUAGAGGUUAAUUCAAAGCCAUGAAUAUAUUUGUAAUAUGAAUUGAUUACCUUCAGUUGUGAUUUCUGAGUUGUGAUUUAAUUUGCUUAACUGCUUGAUUGAUAACUUAUUUUUGUAUGUCGAUUAAGGAUGCAUACUUAAUUUACAUGCAUGAAUUUGAUGCUAGAAUAUAAGUGAAUUUCACCUCAUCGUUAUGAACUUAUAUUCACAAGUAGUAAAGGUUGCUAGUCACAAUCACGUUAAGUAAAUUCUUGGCAAGAGUAUCAUGCUUUUCAUAGUUACGAAUGCCUCAUCAAUGCUUAUAGUUUUCACAAAGUUUAAUGAUCUUUGAUUGUAUCUCUAUUGUGCUUUUCACGUAGGGGACUUUUGAAGAAUGUUUUGAAUUGUUGUAUGCGUUUUCCCGUCCAAUUCAAUAACUUAAGGAAAACUUGAAGAUUAAAAAAAGGGCUAUUCACGGUUAAUCUGAAGUGUUGAAAUUCACAACUUAUUGAAAGAACAACUGAAAAUCAAUUUAGAUUGCAUAUGUGUCAUGUGUGGAGAAAACCUUCUAGCUAGUCCGUCAUUUAUCCUUUCACCUUAAUUUCAUGUUUUUGUCAAUUCUGUAAUUUAUUUAAGUUUAAUUUACUUCUAGUCAAAACCAAACACCCUUCCAUUAUUAAAUUAUAUUAUUUAGUUAGUUUUCAUUGUUGUUAGUUUUUUAAUUCAAUUUCCGUCCAUUGCAGUUCCUAGUGUCUAAUUUGAUUGUUUUCAUUAUUUUGAGUUAUCCUAAGUGUGUUUUGAGUUAUUAGAGUUUUUAGCCUAGUUUUGUGUCCUUGAGUCUUAUUUAAUAUUUUUAAAUUAAUUUAGAAUAGAUUAGCAAUCCCUCCUAAUCCCCGGCCUAGAACGAUACCCUACUUAUAUCUAUACUACAAUUGUCAAAAGAGGGUUUAAUUUGUGUGUCAAGUAAUUCACGCAUCAGUCGCGCAAGUGUAAGGAAGUAUGUGAUCAUGUUUGGGUCAUUAGACCCCCAUCUUCCCUGGUCCAUGUUUUAAGUAAUGAUGGCCUUCCUUGCCCUCCGUAGAUUUUUUUGUUAGUUUGAGAAGGGACGCUUUAGCAUUUGGUGCGGCGUCAUGGUUCCUUGUACCUUCUUUUUCUCCUUACUGCUGUGGUGUAGUUGUCUGUUUGCCUCUUUGUUUGGCUUUCGUGUUCCUGUUUGGCAUCUUUGCCCGGUUAUGAAAAACUGUUUGCCAAAAAAAAUAACAUAAAAAGAGGUAACGACAAAAGGAGCUGGCAGUGGACAGUGGGAUUUAGGAAAAAAACAGAAAAAUGGAUUAUCUCCGGAUCUCUUCCACCUAAUCUUCCUUAUCAAACAAUCCGCACUCUUGAAAUUUGAUCAAACGGCAAAAGUUACUAUAACUUUUAAAAUAAGCCCGUAUUUUUAGCCGUUGGAUCAGCAGAGCCAUCAAUAAGAUAAGAUUCCAGCCUGGAAUUUCCAGGGUUGCGUCAUGCGUGAGCAAAAUUCCCAUAUAGUACAUUUGCCCAAGCUCAAGCUCGGCCGCCUCAGCAUUCCCCAAUAAGUUCACAACUCACAAGCUAAACGAUUGUCGAUUCAAAAAUGGAGCAAAGCAAAGGCAGGAGAGUCAUCCUCUUCCCACUACCCUACCAAGGGCACAUAAACCCUAUGCUACAACUGGCCAACAUUCUGCAUUCCAAAGGCUUCUUCAUAGCCAUCCUCCACACCAACUUCAACUCCCUCAAUCCUUCAACCCUAAACACAAACUUCACCUACCAUUCAAUCCCUGUUGACUUGACAGAAAACGAAGCCUCCAUCAAGGAUCCCACCCUUCGUCUUUCUAUUCUAAAUGCUAAAUGUGUUGAGCCUUUCAGAGGAUACUUGGCCGGGUCGUUAUCCGACGAUGUUAAUUCGGAGGACCCCAUUGCAUGCUUGAUCUCGGAUCCUAUCUUCGACUUCACUCGGUCGGUUGCAGAGAGCUUUAAGCUGCCGAGGAUCGUGUUAAGGACCGGGGGUGCCGCUUCCUCGCUGUUUAUGCUGCAUUUCCACUUCUCAAGGAAAAGGGUUACCUACCAAUAUCAGGUGCAAUCUCAAGCCAACAAAACCCUAUUAUCAAAUGUUUUUUUAUCUCAUCGUUGUUACUAUGCAAUAUGAGUAGAUUGAAAACACCACACCGUGACUGAUGACUCGUUUCAAAUUCUUUUUAUACGUAGCACUUUUGUUCUUUGUUCGUAAGAGAUCAUGCAACAUGUACAACAUGUCAAAAACAUUAUUAAAAACUCAGGUGCUUCUUAGGUAGGAAAAAAAACUUCAAAGUGAUUCUUGUUCUUCUUCUUCAGAAAUCACUCUAUAGAUCCAAAAAUGUUUUUUGUUACCAGAAAGCACUUUUAGCACUUCUAGAAGCGAUACUAGAUUGACACUUAAACAACUUAUGCAAAUUUAAGUUAAGCUAGUUAGCCAGGUUAGCAUUUUUAUUCCUCGCUCUACCUCAUAAAUUUUCAUUUUAGGAUAUGCAUUAAAAGGCAAAAUAUAUAUACUUACUAGGAACCUUAUAUUUGGCUUUUUAUUUCGACAAUUAGAUUCUCGACUAGAAGAGCCAAUGAUGGAGCUUUCACAUAUCAAAGUAAAAGAUCUACCAAUGAUGCCCACACUAGUAGAAAAAUCACUUUGCACGACGUAGGUACCUUUGUCGCGCAAAGUCAAAAUUCGUUGCCUAAAAACUAGCGCAACGAAACCUUCGUCGCACGCUAACCGUCGUGCCAAGUCAAUGACAGUAAGGUUUGGGCGACAAAGUAAAUACAUACGUCGCGCAAAGUCAAAAUUCAUUGCCUAAAAACUAGCGCAACGAAACCUUCGUCUCGUGCUAACCAUCGUGCCAAGUCAAUGACAGUAAGGUUUGCGCGACGAAGUAAAUACAUACGUCGCGCAAAGUCGACGGACGUCCUACGUCGCACAAAGUGACUUUGCGCGACGUAGAAAAUGCGUCGCGCAAAGUGGUUUGGAUGGCUUUGCACGACGCAUGACCUACGUCACGCAAAGUUGUCAGUGGCUUUGCGCAACGUAGGUCAUGCGUCGCUCAAAGUGGCUUAGGUCGCUUUGCGCAACAUAGGAAUGCAUCGCUCAAAGUGGCUUAGGUCACUUUGCGUGACGCAUGACCUACGUCGUGCAAAAUGGCUUAGUGGCUAGCCAUGCAUCGCGCAAAUCCUUUUUUUUUUUUUGGUCCAAAUAUUUUUUUUUAAAUUUUUAAUAAAUAUUGUAAUUAAAUUCUAAACAAUAAUUAAUUAACCAAGCAAAAAUAUUUAAUUAUAAAAUAUAUGAAAAUGUACAUACAAGAUGUCCGAACAAAAAAGAAAAAACUACAAGUAGUCUUCUAGGUUUGAUACAUUAGGCUACUGGGUAUCAGUAGGGCGAGAUGGCUCUGAGAUCGAAUGUGGAGCAAGAUGAAUUGCUGGUAGCGAGAUUUGGAGGCCGGACAUCUGUAUGGCUCGUACAAGGUCUCUCACCAUCCCGGCAUAGGCCCUCAUCUCCUCGCCCUGGGCUGCAAACUGACCUUUUAGGGUUGUCACUUCCUCCUUCAAUGCAUCAACUUCUGCUGUGUUCGAUCUGGAAGAAGAGGCACCCGUCUCACGAACCCGCACUUUCCCCAUACAUGGAACAACCUUGCCAUGACGACAACCAAAGUUAUGAUCCAGGACAUUAGUCAUGAUUUGAAACCUACAUCCUCGGGUACCGUGACGUCCUCAAUCGGGGUCUCCAGGGGAAGCUGCAAUGUUGCUUCUUGGAGAACAGCAGUGCUUUUUUCCACCAUAGCAACUUGUAAUAAUAAAGAAAAAACAUAUAAUGUUUAAUAACAAAAUAUAAAUAAUAUUUGAACGAUUCAUACAUAUAAGAAUAAUAAUAAUUACAUAUACUUACAUGAAGCUGCUCAGUGGUCUCAUUACCAGGUCGAACGUAAACGUCCUUGAACAUGUCGCUCUUUGGGAACUUAGAACCCUCCUGAAGAAAAAAACAUUAAGAAAAUUUUAUUAAUCAAUAAUAAUAAAUAAAUUGUAUAAAAUUUCAAAGUUAAUAUACUUUUACCUAACGUCGUGCCUUAAGCCUAUACGAAAAGGGCUUAGAACCGGAAUGGUGGAGAAGUUUCUUUGACUCCCAAGCUUUCUUGCCAGCAAUAGAUUUCGUCUGUUAAACACACAAUAUACAUGUUAGUGCGACUAUUUGAAAUAAAUUAGUAAAAAAAGCUUAAAAAAUAAGUAAAACAAUAAUAAAUUAUUUUUAAAAUAUUAUGUACAUACCACAAAUUUUGGGUCCGUAAAAUGUUUGCAAAGUCACUCCCAAUCCUCCGACCGAUCCUGCAACUCGCUUGGAACAUGUAGGCGAGCAAUCUCCGGAUCAUCCCAUCACUUAAAAUACGUGUGAAAAUUGUUCUUCCAAUGUUUGUACCGGGUUGCUAAGAUCUCCUCUAAGUAGGCCAUGGUCUCGGGGGAUAUGUCCUGAAGAUCAUAAAUGACCUACGAAUAUGAAAAACAAUAAAAUAAUUGCAAGAAUUUAAUAAUAUUAGAUAAUAUAUUUGGUUUUUAAUAUUUGUAAACAAAAUUAAAAAAAUGAUAAAGGCUAAAAAUUAAUAUACUAACUGACAACUUGUCUCGCACCAGUUUCUUCAUCUCCUCGGGAAUUUCUGCCCAAGACUCCCAUUGAAAAGGACAAUUUUGUCGAAUAACAACACCACAGCUACUAGCGACGCUGCUAUGCUCCUGUGAGGUAGCCGUUCCACGAUAUUGCGAGUCAUACACAAUCUUGAUCUUGGAGGCGGCCUGAUGUGCGUUCUGUGCCUGCUUCAGCAUUCAACUAGGCCCCUGGUGUUUUUUUUAACUGGCCAAAAAUACUAAAAUGGUGAAAACCCUAAGCUUAAAUUUGUACAAAAAAAAAAUCGACACAACCUCCCCUAAUAGUAUAGCAUUUCCCAAAACCUUAAAACAGUAAAAUAACAGUAAUUCACAACCUACAACACAUUUUCAUAAUCCAGCAAAUUUUCACCAUCAUAAAAAUAAUAGUUUAAAAAAAUACAACGUACUGAGAAUUAGAAAAAAACUACAUGGCUGGGAGGGCUCACCCUCGACUCUGGAUGCCGAGGAAGUUUGAUCAGAAGGCUCCGGCUCGCGAGGGCACCAGUGAGGCCGCCGUGCAUUGAACGGUUGAACCGACACUGAUGACGUUGAUGAGACAGGCACCUGGGACGCCGUAGGAGUAGCCUCAGUAAGGGGUGUAGGCUCCCCAAUCAAUGGAGCACUCACGGCUAGAGCAAUAGAUGCUAAUAAUGCGGGAGGCGCAUUGGUCACACUCCGACGACGAGUGAUCAACUGAGACAUCUAUACACUUUUUGAACCAUAAAAAUAUAACAUUAGAAACUAAUCCUUGCAUUUGAAACUAGAAGAAAAAAGCAAAGAAAACUGAACAAAUAAACCAUGUGUGAAAAAUGCAAAGAAAACUGAACAAACAUUAACCAAAGAUUAAAAAGUGUAAUGAAUCCAAGGAAGCACGAUUGAUUAAAAAGAGUCAAACCUAAACCAAGAGACCUAUCCUAAUCUGUCAAACCCCAACCCAACUUUCUAUAAUUUGAUCUCCCAGGCUUAGUGUGUUUAAUCACAACAAUUAUUAAUCGAAGGCAGCACGAUGGACUGUUUUUUUUUUACUGCGUGUAAUUUGAUCUCCCAGGCUUAGUGUGUUUAAUCACAACAAUUACUAAUCGAAACGAAGAAAACAAAUUACCAAAUCCAUAAUCCUUUGCAAACAGAGCCAGUCAAAGUUAGUACCUCUACUUAUCAAGAACUCAAUUCUGUGUACACACGAAGAUCGACUUAAGACAAUAUCAGAUCACUAUCCAAUGCUCAAUUCACAUCCAAAUAUCCAAUUUCCUCAAACAAAAAAAAUAUACGAUUUAAGCAAAUAACCUGCAGACAAGAUUCACUUUAAUCAAAAUCCACAUCCGAUUACUGGUUUUCUCAUCAAAAUUCAAGCAUCAGCAUAUGACUUGCAGAAAACAAACAGAAACCAACACGUCAAAGAAAACUGAUCCUUUCUUGCAUUUGAAAGUAGAAGAAAAAAGCAAAGAAAACUGAACAAAUAAACCAGGCCCUGUUUGCUUUGGAAUUUUGGGAAAAACAAAAAGUACACACUGCCUGCAGUAACAUGUAGCAAUGGACCUUUGGGGAUGAAAGGAAAGCAUUUUCCUUCUGGUCUAUGGUGAGAUUAAAUUGUUAGCAUCUAAUCAAACUGCUGUGAAAAAAUACAACAAUUGUGAUUGACAUAUAAGUAGGAAUGAAUCUUCCCAAACUCCCUCAGUCCUAACAUGAAUUGUCAACAGACCUAAACCAAGAGACCUAUCCUAAUCUGUCAAACCCCCAACCCAACUUUCUAUUUGUUAGUAUGUAUGUACAUUUUGUGUGUGUGCAUGUGUAUGUGUGUGUGUUUGAGAGACAGAGGAGAGAGAUGGAGGUGUUGCUUCCUGCAAUUUAAAAAUACAAUAUACACCAAAAAAAGCCAGAUAUGUUUUGAUAGGUUAAAAUUUCUAAAUGACAUCACCAGAGGAAGCCUUCGUUGCCAGGCUAGCAUAUCAGGACGCUUAACCAUGCAAAUUUUGUCAAAGCAUACUACAAAUAUCCUUUUGUAGAUGAAGCCCAUUCAUAUUGGUAAAACCAAAAGACUGAUAGAUUUCUUGUUUUUGCCAACAAGUCCUCGACAUCUACGUGUUCCCACAAGGCAUUCUGUUGUUUUGUUGUUCGACAUGAGAAGGAAUGAAGGCAAAAGACAAAGUGAUAAAUGGGAGGUACACUAAAAAAGAAUGACUAUGACCUUGCAUCUAAUAAUAAUAUCAAAGGAUGAGAGGAUGUCUCCCAUUCCUCUCUAUCUCAUUCCAACUCAUCUUGUAAUCUCAUGCAUUCAGACAACACUCACAAUACACACACACAUUCAAUAAAUUAAAUAUAAUUAAUUAGCAUAAGCAUAUGGACAUUCUAAUUGUAACAUAUAUGUAAUAUGCACUAUUUUAAGGGGUGUGCUAUCCACACACCCUUUUUUACUUCUCACACACCCCUUGUUAAUUUAUGUCCGUUGAUCUUCUUCAUUUCAUCCGAUCUAACGGCCGAAAAUUAAAAGGGUGUGUGAGAAGUAAAAAGGGGUGUGUGGAUAUCACACCCCUAUUUUAAAUGCAUUUUCUCGAACUAAUAAGGAGACACAUGCAGAGAUAAGAAAGGAAAUGUUCAGUUAUUACAUAAAUAUAUAGAGCUCUCAUAUAGCUUCAGCCUGAAUUAGAAAUAUAUAGAGCUAGUUGAUUGCAAUUAAAAGAGUGUAGACGAUAAAAAAUUGUGCCAAAAGCUUAUUUGUUUUGUUCUGUUUGUAUCUUUGUUAGUGUGAGAGAACUAAGAUUUUGCUAGGCAAAUGAGAAUUUGAUGAUGUUAGAGAAAAUUUAAACAUUCAUAGAACAAAAUCAACAGACCCCCAAAUCAUAUCCAAAUCAAGAAAGCAAAAUGAUAUCCAUAAUUCUCUAAACAACCGCAGCUUGCUCCUUCCAACAGACAAACUGGGUGCAGAGGCAAAAUUUUCAAAGCAUAUCAUAGGAAAGUACCAUUUGAAAGGCAGCAGAGACAGUCAAAAUUUUAAUUUCUAUUCUGGAGAUAUAUAUUAUGUAUCUUCUCAGCUUUUUCAUGCAUUUAGAUAUCUUUUGAGAGAAAGUCGCAUGCUAUUUUAUUUCCAUUUUGUGGUGUUCUAAUCUGUCAAAAGUACUGCACACAUGCAGCGCUUCUUCAAAAAUGGAAAGAAAAAAAAAACAGGGAAACUAUGCGCCCAGUCUGAUUUUAAAGUAAGUUUGAAAGUCAUUAUACCUUCUGUUAGUUUUUCCUGACAGUUCCUUCUAUAAGUGUUCCCUCCUUAAGGUAUAACAGUUCCUGAAACAUUAUAUGGCAAACCAAUGUCAAUUCUUAAGAAAAAUAAGAUCACAGAAUCUCAGAACAAACAAUGAGAGAACAUUGCAAGCAACAAAAAACAUGAAUAAAUUAAAUGUCAAAAUCCAACUGACCCAAGCUUCUUUCUCACUCAAUAAAUUAAAAUUUUCAAAGCAUAUAUCUUUAGAAUUAAAGAAAUUUGAAAGGCAGCAGAAGUUUAGUUCAAGUGUUGCUGGCUUUGGAAAAGUUAAAUACAGAAAGCGUUUUCUGUAGAAGUUUGAAUCCGGUCCAUAGUUCAACCAUGUUGCAACUGUAUACUACUUUGGGAACAAACAGAAACCAACACGACUGCACCCACCCUAAUUCGAAACCCACAUAACCUCAAACCCUCACAAAUCUGAAACUCUAUUAAAUCAGAACCAACAUCCAAUUUUAUCUGGAGAUUUAGACAAAGUACUCAGAAAUAAACAUGCAAUUAGACCUUAAACCCUAAAUAACAAAAACCCAUCGAAAAUCAGAAAUCCUUACCUUGAUUUUGGGACUUGAUUCGCGUCGGCUUCGAGAGUCGCAUGGCGACCCGUCGUUUCGCAUGGUGGUUGGAUUUGGGUUCAAGAUUUGGUGUUCACGAGAAAGAGAGAGGGAGAGAUGAGCGAGAGGGAAGAAAUAAAUAGUUGGUGGUCUACGGGAAGAAAGACUUGGGGAAAGAAAGAGUUGGCGUCCAAACUCCAAACUCGGAAAUUGAAAAAAAACCUCCUAUUUUUUACUAUUGAACCGCCAACAUUAUCACAACUGACGCUACCUAGGUAUACAAUUUGGCGUUGCACAAAGUUGUUUUGCGCGACGAUCACAUUAAGGCUUUGUGCAAGGUUUUUUUUUUUUUUAAAUUAUUAUAAAAAUUAUUAAAAAUGUGACUUUCUUUCUUUCAAAUUCAAUUUUUUUUUACAUAAACUCCACAAUAAAUUUUGUUGCAUAUAUAUCAUUCAAUUUCUUAAGUGUUAUAAGUACAAAAUAAAUAAAUUAAAAUCUACUUUGUAAAUAUAUAUAUAUAUAUGUAUGUAUGUAUAUACCAUUGAACUUGAUGGGAAAUGCAUUGUACGAAACUAAUUUCAAAUAUUUAACCGUCAAACAUGUUUAUAUAUGCUUCGAGAUCGCAUACACCAAAAAUCACAAAAAACAAACAUUCAGAUAUCAAGUAACGGGACAAACCUUUUCAACAACUAUAAACGAAAAAUCACGAUUUAACGGUUAUUUUAACUCUGAUUUUGAUGAUUUUUUACAGCUACACUUUUUAACCCUAUAUGAAUACAAUGAACUAAUUCAAUCGUCAAUUUAAAACAUUUACACAAGUGGAUACCACAAAAUAUUAUGUUAUACUUAAUGAAAGUAUAUAUAAACUCCAUGUGUUAGUGAAUCUCUCAUUUUAAUGGGAAACGCAUUGUACGAGACUAGUUUCAACGAUCAACCGUCAAACUUGUUUGUAUAUGCUUUGAGAUCGCAUACGCCAUCGCAAAAAACAAACAUUUAGAUAUCAAAUAAUGGGACAAACCUUUUCGACAGUUAUAAAUGAAAAAUUACGAUUUAACGGUUAUUUUAACUCUAAUUUUGAUGAUUUUUUACAGCUACACUCUUUAACCUUAUAUGAAUACAAUGAACUAAUUCGAUCAUCAAUUUAAAACAUUUACACAAGUGGAUACCACAAAAGAAAAAGGCAAUGCAAGAACCCCAAAAGAAAAGCAAAAAAAAAAAAAAAAAAAACUUUGCGCGACAUAGGUACAACUGCGUUGCGCAUAGGUAGCUUUGCACGAUGCAGUUGUACCUACGUCACGCAAAGUUUUUUUUUUUACCAUUGAACUUGAUGGGAAAUGCAUUGUACGAAAUUAGUUUCAACGAUCAAGCCGUCAAACUUGUUUUAUAUACUUCGAGAUCGCAUAUGCAAAAAAUCGUAAAAAACAAACAUUUAGAGAUCAAGUAAUGAGACAAAACUUUUCGACGGUUAUAAACAAAAAAUCACAAUUUAAUGGUUAUUUUAACUUCAAUUUUGAUGAUUUUUUACAGCUACACUCCUUGACCCUAUAUGAAUACAACGAACUGAUUCAAUCAUCAAUUUAAAAUAUUUAUACAAGUGGAUACCACAAAAUCUUAUAUUAUAUUUUAUGAAAGCCAUCAAAGGAGACCACCUCCAUCAGCCAUCCAAGGAGGCGUUGCACUGUUAUUACCCGUCUUUAAUAAUCUCGUUCAACCUAGCCUGCAGGGGAAGUAUGUGAAAAAGAGAAUCACAUGAUCACAUAUGUUAAAGAAGAAGCAUUCUCAUUUAUGGGCUCCGCCACACCAAAAACUAAAACAAAUCAACCUGUAAAAUGACAAACCUUUGCUUCGUCCAUCUCAACACUUGCACCUCAACAUAGAGGAGUCCAUCCCACAUACAGGAGUCCUUGCUAACAAGGGAAACCUUAAGAAAGGGAAUAAAUUCAGUCAUGCACCUCAACAUCCUAAAGCAGUCACAAUCAUGUAAAAAAAUACUAUAGACCAGGAUUUGUGUUAGCUGCCCUCCGAGUGAAAGUAGGCCCUUAGCAAAAGCAGCUGCAGACAUCUGUAAACAGAUAUCUUGUAAGCAAUGUAACUUAUAAAUGAUGAAAAUUCCAGGGGCUAAUGAUCAUAACAGUAAGGCAAUUUACUUCAUUUAAAUAGAGGUCAAAUAAGACAAGAAGAAAAAGGGAGCAACAUACAAAAAAUAUAUAAACCCAUGAGCACUAAUGAGACUAUAACUGCAGACGGCCCUCAUCAGAGUUGUAGAUUUUAAGAUCAUGACGGUAGGUCAAAUAUGCCGGUACCUUCACCUGCAGUUGUGUACAAAUUCAUUAUGACAAGAAAAUAAUUCUGAAACAAAGUCGCACUGUGUGAGCAACCUUGUAGCUCAAUCUGGGUCUGUUGAAAUGCAUGAAUUAAAAUCAGACAUCACACCUUACAUCCUUUAAGAUCAGACUCAGUUAUAUCCACCACUUCAAACUUCUAGCCUUUCUUGUGUGAGAAUCUAUCAUACCUGUGGUUAAUUGUUAGACGCAGACUCUCGAGAGAAAAUGCAUACAAGAAUUUACAAGUAUUGAUACAAACUUACAUUUUAAAUAUGUCCAUUGCAAACAAAGAAGCCUCGUCCCCACCAGUUCCUAAUGAAAUCUUUUGUCAUAUAAAAAAUAAAAAGAUAAAAGACUCGCAAUGGAAUAAAAAUUUGUUGGGCAGGUGCUUAAUACCUGCUCUGACCUCUUUCCUCGUGGAUGGCUUGAUCCUUAGGAAGCAGGGACUUGAGCAACAAAUUGUGCAGCCCUCUUUCCUCGUGGAUGGCUUGAUCCAAUUCGGUAGUUACCAUAUCAAGCAUGUCUUUUCUUGAGAACAUUCAUCGAUCAGAGUCCUCAAAGCAUUAAUCUCCUACAGAGCAGAGAAGCAAACAAAUGAUUUAGUUCGGUCUGCACAAGGAUGAAGGUUUAUGUUGAAGGUUUUGUUCUAUGUUAGUACCUUGGUUGUGGCUCUUAGACGACUUAUAAGGUCCAUGGAAGUGCUGAGUUUCCGUAGCUCCUUGAUCGCCCUUGCAUACUCUUCUGCCGAGGCAUCAGGCUGUCUUCAAGCAAAAGGUCCAACACCAUUUCAAUUCCAAAAUUUGUUUUUUGUUCUUAGUCAAACACUACAUUUAACUAUAAUUCAGCAAGCACAGAAUCAACGACAUAGGUAAACCUGGUUAAUGAGACUGAAGAAAACCACUCCUCUGCUCGAUAAGUGAUAACCUUUGCUCCAUGAUCUUGAUAAGUUUUGGAGAUAAAUCAGGCUCCAAUUCUAAAUCAGCCAUUUCACUUUCUGUUGAGAAUUGCAAGACAAAAUGAAUCGAUAAGCAAUAAACUCAUAUUAAAAUUAUACUACAUGAAUCUAUAAAGCACAAAGGUAAAUUCAAUUCCUGAUGAAAAUAAAAGAAAAAGAAAGAGAAAUUAUAACUAAAUACAUUGAAUUACAAAAAGCAGAAAUUUCAAAUAAAAUAGAUACCUCCUCAAGCACUGCUUUAACUUGACGAAGCUUUUCAGCCUCACUAUCACUUUCUCGACCUGGUCUAGACAAUGUAAAGCUUUUCAGCAUGUGCAAUCAUAUGAGAACCAGCUAAACAAAGAUAAUUAGGGUGUUUCCUGUUAUGACUUUAAACAUGAAUUUCAAAGAAUGGGAAAAGGGGUAGAAGGUGAGUUUCAUACGAUUACAUCACCAAUUAUUUGUUAUGACUUUAAUGCACGAAUAAUAAUGUAAAUCCAAAAAUCAGAAGCAAAAUUAGCAAAUGUAUUGAAUGCCAAAAAAAAAAAAACAAAUCAGAGAAAUACCUAAUCAAAGAAUGGAGAUGAUCACAUGAUUUGUUGGGAAUAUUAGAGUUGGGUAGAAGAGAAGCGGUAUUAAACCCUCAGCCUCCUGCUUUUUCCUUUACAAGUUUAUAUUAAUCCUCAUCCGAACUACAAUAAUAACUCUCGCUAUCAUCACUACUAUCAUUUCCGGAUUCCCAUUCAUCAUCAUCUUCGUUUGCCUCUUCCGGUGCAUUGUAUUGAGGCAGAUCACCAAGGUCAAUUGAUAUUCAAAUUCGGGAACUCCAGGUACGUCAAACCGUUCUUGGGCAAUAUUAGUAACCCAGAAUGUUUCUUCACCAAUUUCUAUCGAAGAUGGUAACUGUUGGUCAGCGACGUUGUCAUCAUGAUCUAGUUCUGGAAUAUCAUAUAGCCCUCUUCGAUCAAUCUUCUGAACAACUUUCCAACCAUUACCGGCUUUAGGGUAGUCUAGAUAGAAUAUUGGUUUCGCCGUAGUUGCCAAAAUGUAUAGGUCUUCAUCGUACCAAUGUCUCGUAGUGUUUACUGAUAGUAAACCAUGGUCUCACUUAACACUUGUUCGGUUAUGUGGGUUUGUAUCAAACCAAAGACACUUAAACAGUAUCACUUGACACCUAUCUUUGUAAAACAAUUGUACCACACUAGUUAGUUUGCCAUAAAAAUCAAUGUCUUCACCGUCGCCCGCACCCAGGACAUGGAGAUACUAUUUUGAGUAGACAACUUUUCAUCACGUGUUGCCCCCAAGAACUUGAUCCCAUUGACAUGACAACCUGAGAACAAUUCAACGUGAAGCGGUCUUCUUGCCAAGUUAUAUAAUUCUUCAUCGUAAGAGGGUGAAUUCAAUUCCUUCAAUUUGUUCAUCUAAUAUAACAUAUACAAAAAGUUAACAUGUUAGUGUAACCAAAUUUAAAAACAGGCAUGAACAAGUUGGAAAAUAUGCUCAAUUCAAACCUAAUACAACUUACAUGUGCGUGAAACCACGAAGGAAACAAGUCACGGUGCUUCUUGGCAUAGAAAUGGGAAGGAUGUUCCCACUUUAUCAACUGUUCAUGCUCUUCAAGGUAUGGCAAAGCCUCAUCACAAUUGUUGAGUAUGAACCAAUGUGCUACCUCCAUGUUCUUUUUUGUAAACGAUUCGCCUUUCACAAGGUUGCGCAAUUUGGGCAAAAACAGAUAGUUUCUUUUUCUUGCGUUAAGGACGAUUGAAAGUUGUCUCAACAUCUUGAAGAUACAUUGCACAAAAAGUAAGUGACUCGUAUGUGAGCCAUGCCUCCACAACUGAUCAUUCGGGCCUUGCCUUGUUUCGAACACACUUUUUCAACUCACCAAGAUAUCUGCACAAAUAAAAGGUAUGCUACAAAUUAUUCAAAGCGUUCGUUAAUCAUGAAUUUGUUAUAUAUAGAGACGCUUAAUUAAGUACCUUACUAUUGUAAACAUUCAUCAACAGUUCACUGGUCCGGCAAGCAAUGCCUCAUCUGGCAAGUGAAUCAUACUUGUAAAGAAAGUUGGGGGAAAUAUCUGUUCGAACUUGCAUAAGACGUUCACAAUGUUAUCCUGCAAUUGUUUAACAUCCGACUUCCACAAACACCUUGCAGUCAACUGCGAAAAAAAUCUCGAUAACAACACAAUUGGUUUCACCACAUCAAGAGGCAAUAAGUAUCAAAUACCAACCAGAAGAAGGCGUUGAAGUAUCACAUGACAGUCAUGACUCUUCAUGUUUGAAAAUUUACACCCCUUCACGUUCACAUGACAGUCAUGACUCUCCAUAUGGAAACUUUACAGAAGAAAUAAAGUUGAAAAACUCUUUCUUCCCAUUCGGCUUAACUGUAAAAAAGGGAUGGCAUUUCUUCAAUGUACCACCGACUCUCUUCAUCCAUAAGGAUGACCUAAUGCCCAUUCGUUCCAAAUCGAGGCAAGCUUCGAUCGUGUCCUUCGUUUUUCCUUCAAUGUCUAGAAUUGUCCCGACCAAAGUAUCAAACACAUUUUUCUCAAUAUGCAUAACGUCGAGGCUGUGUCUGAAUUUUAACUUUGACCAGUAUGAGAGCUCAAAUAACAUACUCUUAUGCGUCCAGUUCAGAUGUGUAGUUGGUUUGGGCUUACUGACCCUUUGUCGAAAUGACCAAAUUCCAUAAGGUUUAACUUAUCCAAAAUCUCAUCUCCAGACCAUUCUCUUGGUCUUGGGCGAGUCUCUUUUGUGCUGUAGAAGGCUUUAUUGUUCUGACGCCACUCGUUGUCCCAAGGGAGCCAUCUACGAUGACCAAGAUAACAAACUUUUCUCGCAUGCCAAGACGAUGUUACAUUCUCCUUGCAUAUUGGACAUGCCAAAUAACCCUUAGUCAUCCACCCAGAAAUCAUUGCAUACGCGGGAAAAUCGUUUACUGUCCACAUCACAUCACCGCCGCUCACAUGGUGAACAUCUGCCUAGUAUACUUAUCAUAUGUACGAACACCAUUUUCCCAUAAAUCUUUUAGCUCAUCAACCAACAGCCCCAAAUAAACAUCAAUGGACUUUCCUGGAUCUCGGUAAUUAAUAGAGUCAACAUCAUGUAUUCUUUUUUCAUGCACUUCCAAGGCGGCAAAUUAUAAAGAAACAUGACGACCGGCCAAGUGUUGUGGAUUUGGUUUAAACCCCCGAACGGAUUAAAUCUGUCGGUGGCAAGUCCCAAUCUGACGUUGUACGGGUCAGCUGCAAAAUCAAGGUACAUCUGAUCGAAUUCUUUCCACUCUUCAUCUGCAAGAUGCCUCAUAACAUCGUCAUUUACCCAUUCCUUAUGCCAUCUCAUGUCGGUUGUGGUAUGCAUCGACAUGUACAAUCGCUGCAACCUAGACUUCAAUGGAAGAUAAUGCAUUAUUUUUUGUGGAAUCUUGGUCUUUCUAUUCUGUGAUGUCAUUUUAAACCUCGGCUCAUUGCAGACAGGGCAUUUAUCCAACUGUUUGUUCUCCUUAUAGAACAAACUACAAUUAUUUACACAUGCGUGAAUUUUUUCAUACCCGAAUCUGAGACCCUUCAACACUUUUUGGGCACUUUUAUGAUCUUCAGGUAAACAAUUCUCCUUUGGAAGCAUCCUCUUGAUAACUCCCAAAAAGUAAUCAAAACACUUUUUUGACAAACGAAACUUGAUCUAGCCAUGCAUCAACUCCACAAUUGCUGUGAGCACUAAAAAGUUCUUGUAACCCGGAUAUAAUUCAUGCUUGGCAUUUUUCAACAGUUUUUCAUAGUUUUUGAAUGCCUCACUGUCCAUGGUUGGACGACCAUCAUCUCCCUCUUCCUGAUUGGUGUUGCUCAAGGCGUAUGAAUAAACGUCAUUUAGAAUAUUCAUAACUUGUUCACUAGGAUCCACAUUAGAUUCAACAAUCUCCACUUGUGUCACAUAUGAAGACGAAGCUUGGUCUAAUCGUUCUCCAUGAUGAUACCAAGUACAGGUCUCCAUCAUCCCAUUUCUUACUAAAUGAAAUCGAACAUUUUCGAAUGUCUCCCACAUUAAGUUGUUACACCUCCUACACGGACAUCGAAUAUGAGUUGAACCUAGGUUGUGUCUAGUUGCAAAUUCAAUGAACUCAUCUAUUCCAUCCAGGUACUCAACAACACAUCUAUAUGAUUAUGUAUCCAUUGUAUGUCCAUCUUGCCUACAAUCCCAAUAAAAGUAUAAGAAUUACAACUUGUCACCUUAUUCCUCCGGUAAGGGCCCUAUCUCAUUCAGGAAUACACAGUUAUGUGCCGUAAUUUACGAUUCCAAUGGAUUAAAUUUCGACGUGGGCUAAUUUCGAUAGCAUCUCCUUACAGUUCUUCAAGUGCACGUCAUAGAUACAUAAUAUCCACUGUGUACUCGAAGAACAUCAAGAAAUGUUACCAAAAUUUUCACAAUCGAAACCUAAUCCGUGAACCACAAACUACAACACAUAACUAUACAUUCCCAAACUGUCCAAAAAAUGGGACAAUUCAAGAAUUAAUUAGACCGCAGUCAUGCUUUCACAUCCAUGCACGAAAUCCAACUAAUUCUCAAAUGGGAAACUGAGCUUUUCUUGAAGAAAAAGUGUACGAAGUUAAGUAGUAUUAACUUCGUACAACACAAAACAAUUUUGUAGGUGAUGUACAAAAAUAUGUGCAUACAAAUAAACUAAAUCACAAUAAUUACUAAAACUAAAUAAAAUAGAUAAAAUUAAUUUAGCGAAGAAAAUAAAGAUUUUAAAAGACUUUAAAAUCCUAGUGUAGUCAAUUAAAAGAUUUUAAAGGAUUUUAGAAUCCAUUCAAAUCUAGGUGUAGUCAAUUAAAGGAUUUUAGAAUCCUUUAAAAUUUAGGUGUAGUCAAUUAAAAGAUUUUAAAGGAUUUUAAAAUCCAUCAAAAUCUACGUGUAUUAAAAAAAUUAAGAUUUUAGAGGAUUUCAAUAAAUUGUGGAUUUUGUGGGAUUUGAGAGCCAAAAGUAUAUAUAACCAAGACUAAAAAGAAUCCAACCUCACUCCUAGGAUUUCAAAUCCUUCCACCACAAUCCAUUCAAAUUCUUUAAAAAUCCAUAUGAAUUUUGUAGGAGUUUUUAAUCCUCUUAAAUCCUAUCAAAUCUAUCACUAUUAAAAUCCUUUAAAAUCUUAGUUUGACUACACCCCUAAAUUUUUCUUAGACUUCAUUUUCAUUGUAAUAUAAAGUGAUUUAUGCACCCUUUAUUUCACUUUACGCAUCUACACAAGAGAAUCUGAAAAGGACUAUUGCAACUAGAACUAUAAAGACCCAAAGAGGUCAGGUUUCAGUCACAAAAGAGUAACUGUGUCUAGAAAUUGGCAUCCAAUAAUCCACCAACUCAAACUUGGUAUUGUCAGUAGGAACUUUUGGCAUCUACAAGCAACUGGGUCUUGCAGCCAAAUAGUCCAAAUAGUUCAUUCAUUUUAUAAUCCUUCUAAAGUUACAAACUGAAAGUGCUUAUUCAUCAUUAUAAUCAACCAGAUAAACAUUCAGCUAAUUAAAAAAAAUAACGCAUUGUAGUUGGUUUGAUAAGUUGUGUCCUAAAAUUAGAAAAGUUCCCCAAGUGGUUUGACUGAGAGAGUGUGAGUCAGUUACCUGUAUAAUGUAAUUGGCAUGCCUAAAAGAGGAAGAUAUUGCUUUGGCAUGCUGGCCUAGUACCACAAACAUAACGAGAAAACAUGAUCAUCUUAUGGGACUGGAAUGACAACCAAAUCCAUAGAUGAAGGUGAUGGGAAUUUCUCUUAGACUUCAUUUUCAUUGUAAUGUAAAGAUGCAACAAAUAGCAAGCAUUCUCUCAUCAAAUUCAACUGAUUCUAUACCGUUAUACAAUAAACAUUCAAAACAAAUGAUUGAAACUUCAUAUAUAAGCCAUCAAAAGUAUUUAAUUCACGUUUCACAAAAAAAAAAAAAUCAAUUCUCAACAGCUAAAUUAGAUCUGCUUACUCCAAAUCAAAGACCAUCAAAUAGCAAGGGAGGGAUUGCAUGAUGAAAAGAGAUGAAACAUUUAUAUGUUGAAUUUAUGAGCAAGGAGGGAUUAGAGAAGGUUUUGAAGAGAGAUGGGGGAGGGAGGUAGCUGCUGCAACUGGGUUUGCAGUUUUUGCCUCCCAAACUAAUUAAGUGGAGCAGAAAAAGUCGUUGACUUUACAUGACGCUAGUCUUCGUUGCGCAAAACAGCUUUGCACGACGCAAGUGCACCUACGUCGCGCAAAGCUAUUUUGCUUGACGCAAGUGCACAUGCGUCGUGCAAAGUUGGCAAAAAAGCGGUAAAACAUUCUUUGUUUGGUGCCAAGAACUUGCGCUACACACAAAAUGUCACGCAAAUGGUAUUUGCGCAACGACACUUUGCACGACGCAUUGUGUUUUGGGUUGCAUAAACAUACUUUGCGCGACGAAAUUUGCUCCGUUGCACAAGGUUCCAUCGGCCAAACAUGUUUUUCUACUAGUGCCAAUUGUGACCCUGAAGCUUUCUAUCAAUUGAUAACCAAUAUGGCAAAUGAACCCAAGACUUCUCAUGGACUCAUCUUCAAUGCUUUUGAAGAUCUUGAAGGACAAGCACUUGGCACACUUCACCAAGAAUAUUACCCCAAUAUUCCAAUUUUCUCACUAGGUCCAUUUCACAAGUGCGGCCCUACAACCUCUUCUUCUUCAACUAGUUUGUUAGCACAAGACCAAAGUUGCAUUUCAUGGCUAAACACUCAAGCGCCAAAAUCUGUUGCUUAUGUUAGCUUUGGGAGCAUUGCCAAGAUAGAUCAAGUUCAAUUUUUAGAGGUUGCUUGGGGGUUGGCUAAUAGUGGCCAACCUUGUGGGUGGUUCGACCCGGAUUAGUUACAAAGUCAGACUGGCUUGAAGUGUUGCCUAACAAGUUUCUAAAAGCAUUGAACGAAAGAGCCCAUGUCAUGAAAUAGGCUCCACAAAAAGAAGUUUUGGCCCACCCAGUAGUCGGAGCCUUUUGGACUCACUGUGGUUGGAAUUCUACAUUGGAGAGGUGAAGGCGUACCUAUGAUUUGUACACCAUGUUUCAAUGAUCAAAUGUGCAAGAUUUGUGAGCGAUGUUUGGAAGGUAGGGUUGCAGUUGGAGCAUGGGAUUGAGAGAGAUGAGGUUGAAGGAACAAUUAGAAUGAUGGUUGAGAAAGAGGGGAAGAGAUCAAAGAGAGAGCCUUAAAGUUGAUGGAAAAGGCAAAUCUUUCCCUCAAAGAAGGUGGCUCUUCGUACCAAUCUUUAGAUGGCUUGGUUAAUCAUAUUUUAUCCUUAUAAAUCAUUUGUUUUUGAAAAUGGUAAUCCAUCAUCUUUAUCAUAUCCUUCAGAAUUCUUCCAUUUUUUUUUCUCUUGCCCGCUUACAAAUGGUUGAUUAUCUUUUUCUUUAUACAAAGCACCAUUGAUGAAAUAAGAAUCAAAUACAGAACCUCGAGUAAAAGAUUUAUGCAUACUAAUAAACAUCCUCAAGAGUAAUGUACAUACUAAUAAACAGUAAACCACUGGGCUUAGCAAUCCAAUCCGCCACCUUUGCAAACGAACUCUUGGAAUUUUUUUUAGUAUAAAUCUUCAUUCUACAUUGUCUCAUAUUGGUCACUACCAAAAUGUUUCCUCACUUUAUAAGACUUUGUCCCUAUUAGAAAGUGAUUGAAGUGUUGGACCUUGAAGAGUAACAUUAGGCUCAAACAUUGGUUUCAGUGGCGGAGCCAAAAUUUUUUGUUAAAGAGAGGGUAUUUCGAACUCAUAGCAUGAGCAAUCGAAGUGACCUUCACAAAACUGAAAGAGCCGUUAAAUUUAAUAAAGAGAAUCAAAAGAAGUGUAUAAUACAAGUAAGUGGGAGGUAGAGAGCAAGGUACCCACUAAAAAAAUUGAAAUUAUAGGAAGAAAAUAGACAGAAAAAAAGUACGACAAAGAGGAAGGCUACAAAUAAUAGUUGAUUAGGUUGCUUUAGAAAUAAAGUUGAUUUUAAAACCUCAUCCCUGAGUUUAACUAAUCCACAAAGCCAAAGCAAACAAAAUUGUUAGAAAAAUAUAAGAUACGAUGUCGUUCAACUCAACUUCUUCACGAUGACAAUUCAUCUUCUUUCUUAUGUCUCAUGGUUCUACAACUGCAAGCUUAAGGCCGUUAGAAAUUUCUUAAACAAUGGUCAGGAUGGGCCCGUGACCACUCUGGUCCCUUAGUGGCUCUGCCCAUAAUUGGGGUUUGAGCUUUGAGGUGUGCUAAUUAAUUGAUAAUUAAUAUAUAAUUAAUUAUCAACAGAUGAAGUCUGAAGUGAUGAAAGAACGCCAGAGAGCAAAACACUCAUCUGAGAAGAUGUCUCCCAAUAGACGAAUCUCAUUCUCAUACUUGUUACGAACAUGCAUAAACCUAUUAUAUAUACAUUCAUCUUUCAUAGUUGGAUUUAGAUCUUGAUCUCUUAUUAUUUUUAAUUAAAUAAAUGUUUAAAUCUAAGGAAAACUAAUGAAAAAGGCUUGAAAACUUUGAGUUUUAACGAUAAGGACAAAAUAAAGGGUAAAGUGAAUAGUACCAGGUUUGACUUUUUAGUGUAAAAAUGUGGUUUUUCGUUAAAGUGAACAAUACUGUAGGCUUUUCGUUAAAACUCCCUUAAAUCUAUGAUCUAAAUCUCCAAUUAUGUCAUAAAAUAAUGAAUGUCUAUUAUUUUUAAGUAAUCUAAAAUAUAGCAGUACAAAUCAUAAUCGUGAGACGUAGUUGUUAGUAUUAAUAUUGGAUAAUCAAACGUGCUAACAACAUAAUGGUUUUUUAAUCAAAGUGGUACCAGAUAUUGGCAUAACUCCUCAUUUUGAUCUCUGAAAUUUAAAAUUCAUAGAACUGGUUCUUGAGUUUGUCUACCGUCAAUCAUUUUGGUCAUUCUAUGAAAAAUCUCCGUUAAAUAAGGUAAAAUGACAAAAGUAUCCUCAAAUUUUGUCAAAUCACUAAGGUCCGCUACUUGGACAUUUUGUGAAUCAACGAUUCGAUCGUUAGAUCGUCACCAAACCUUAAUACAUUAUAGUACGUAAUAUUUGAGGGCCAUAGGAACUUAUGGAUUGGGAAUUCGACAUAUAGAUCUUUCCGAAUUAAAUUUGUAAGUUCGUAAAAUAAAACGUCAGCCGCCACUUAAUUUUAGCAAUUGGCUGAGAUCCGACAUUUGGAUCAUUCUGAAACUUUAGGAUGUUGUUCUAGAAGCUUAUUGAAACUCUUGGGAAGUUAUGGAUUGGAAAUCUAAGAUGCGGAUCUUCUGGAUCGAGUUACGUAGGGCUGUGGAUCCUAUAGUCGGCCUUUGAUCGACGUAUGACUUUUGGUCAAUGGGUUUCAAAUCAUUUUAGAACGUCAUUGGGGAUUUGUUUUAUGUAAGUUACGUGUUCUAUCGAUAAGAAUUCUGAGACGUGAUUUGAUAAUUGUUCUAGGCAACAAUCGUUCGUGAUGCCUUGAUAUUCGUGCUAGGGAGUUGUAGAGCAGACUCUAGGUGAGUGGGUCUUUUCCUUUGUAUAGUGUAUAUAUAUAUGAUUGAUAGUUUCCACAAAUGCUUUUAAAUUGAUUUAUGCAUUUUACGUCAUGUCUUAUAUAUAUUUUUUUAAAUACUAUGAUAUGGUUGAGUUUUAGAUUGCAUCAUGGCAUAUCCAUAUGCAUAUUACCUGCAUAUAAUUGUUGUGAAUGCUUUGAAAUGCUAAGGUGAACGCGGGACGCGCAUGUAAGUUAUGUGAUGGAUUGAAAUGGUUGAAUCAUUUUGGUAUGCACACAUUUAUUUAGAGCUCAUCAAGGCUGCACCCCGGUAUUAGUGCUCCCGCCCGGGGUAGGGUCAGUCUUCACAUGAUUGUUCACCUCCCGCACCGCACGCUCACCUUGGAUCUAAGUAUGGUGCCAGCCUGUCGUACAGACCACAAUUGGGGGUUCCGACUCGUAGAUGACCCGUGAUUUAUCGCACAGCUUUCACAUGAUCGUAGCACUUAAGCGUACACAUUUAUACCCAGCCUGUCGUACAGGUCCACUAGGUAACUCCGACUCGUGUGUUAGCCUAGGUUGAUGAGCUACAGGUCCAGUCGUACAGGUCACAUUAGGUGACUCCGACUGGCAUGCUAGUUUAUACUGAUUUCACAUCUAGCUUACAUUUAUUAUUGUUGAGAUAUUAUGACAUGGCAUACUUCAAUUUUCGCUGCUCUGGUGCAUUGGUUUUCGUACCGAUGUAGUAUUAUUUUCUGAAAACUAUACAGGUUUUAUGGUAAGGGGUUAUAACGUUUUCAAAGGUUUUUAUUAAAACUUUAUUUUCAGGCCCACUUACCCUUGUAUUUCGCCCCUCCAGGUUUUAGUAGCUGAGCUUUUGUAUCGACGAGGAUUCUUGGCAAAUAUUGGUAUAGGCGAUUACCUUCAAUGGUAUAAUUCUCUAUCCACUUUACUAUACUUUACUUAUGCUCUGUCAUCACGUGUGAAAUGAGUUCAUUCCCGCUCACAACGCACUCUUAAAGUUAGGCACUUUUAGGUUUAAAUUUAUUCACAUUUUCCACAUCACUACACUUUAUGACUUCGUCACCUUCCAUAUGUCGACCAGCACAACUCGAUCCGGAGUCCUAGUGGACAUCUCGGAUCGGGAUGUGUCAUAAUGUAUCUACUGUUUUAUUUUAAUGGUGAUAAUUUUUCUUGGUUUAAGUUUUACGAAAUAAUUUAGGCAAUGUUUAACUUUACCAAAAUAAUGUAACUACUAUUUUAAUUUACCUACAAAAUAAAUGCUAUUUGAUUCCAAAUUAAUUUACCUGCAUUUUACAUAUAAAUAUAGAUAAAUUAUUUUUAACACGCAAAUAUAAUAACAAAUCAGAAAUGUCUAUUGUAUGUAAUAAAAUAAUUUACCUACAACAUAAAAGAAUAUUAAUUGGUUUUUUUUUUUUGUAUAUAUAUUUGUGUUACUAAUAUUUGUGAUACAAGAAAGGUAGAAUUUCCAUAUGGGGUUAAUUGCUAAACAUAAUUAGGGUUUUGUGGCAUAAGUUGUAAAUAUUUUGUAAUAAUUGGUUAUAUAUUUCUCUACAUAGUAGUCUAUUUGAAAUUUGGGUUUUAUUUGAAUGUUUAACAUUAGGUGAGUUUUUGUUUGAAAAAUAGGAUUUCAAGAGCUUUUCUCUAAAGAACCCAAAAAAUUACUGGCAUACUGUUCCUUCGGUUGCUUGUACUUGCAAGCAAAUGCUUUCCAAUAGCCUUACCCCAACUCUCCAUCAGCAGAAACUCCUCUGAAUAUUUUCUGAUGUCUUGUCCGAGACGUAAACUGCGAAGGGUUUUCAAGUGUACCAAUGCAAAGAUCCAUAACUUAGUAAUUAGAGUUUUUCCAUUUACCAUAAUAACAAAAUGGUCAUUUGUAGAAAUAUGGUCAAUAGACCUAAACUGAUAAGAAAAACACAUUGGAUUGAUUCUGGUUUUGGUGCGGUGGGGGAGAGGGGUAUUUAUCGUGAAAAUACGGGAGCAUUUUCGUAAUUGUGUGGCGGUGUUUUAUGGUUCCGGUUGUUUCAAGAGGAGGACGGAGGAGGAGGGAAGUGUUCGGUAGUCUUUGGUUCGACGAGGGGAUUUCCAGAGAGAAAAGAAUAGACCAUCUUGGAAUAUGGCACGUGGCGGAAGAUCAACGGGGGCGCAUAUAUUACUGAUGGGACUGUGAAGGAAUACGAGGGUACUGCCAAUAGACAAAAGGAAAAAUUUAAAAUACAUCUAAUUUUAUAGGUUUAUUUUGAAAUAUGUUUAAUUUUUAGUAAUUUUUAUUUUUAAAAUAGAUCUAAUUUUUAAUUAUUUUGAACCGAAAUGUCUAGACAAAAUGAAGGGCCCUACAGAAAAAUAAGCGCAAAGCCCAAUUGGUAAAUAUAAACAAUGAUUUUCCUUGUGUAUCUUUGUUAGCAACCACAGAAAAAAAAAAGGAACGACAAAAGGAGCUGGUGGUUGACAUGUGGGGUGAGUAAAAACAUCAACUUCAACAGAGCCAUCAAUAAGAUAAGGUUCCAGGAUUGCGUCAUGCGUGAGCAAAUUUCCCAUAUUAUAUAUUUUUCUAACGCACGUUAUAUGAUAUUAUAUAAAUUAAAGUAGUUUUUUCCCCUUGUUUUCUUCUACUUGUAUAAUAAUGUGUGUCUGUACAUUAAAAAUCUCUUUUUCUCGAGCCCCGCCGCCUCAUCAGUCAGCAUUCACAAUAAGUUCACAGUCACAAGCUAAGCAAACGUAAACAUUGUCGACUGGAAAAUGGAACAAAGCAAAGGCAGGAGACUGGUCCUCUUCCCAUUUCCCUUCCAAGGGCACAUAAACCCUAUGCUGGAACUAGCCGAUAUUCUGCAUUCCAAAGGCUUCUCCAUAGCCAUCAUCUACACCAACUUCAACUCCCUCAAUCCUUCAACCCUAAAUCCACACUUCACCUACCAUUCAAUCCCUGUUGACUUGACAGAAAACGAGGACUCCAUGAAGGAUUUAAUCGCUUUUGUUUCUAUUCUAAAUGCUAAAUGUGUUGAGCCUUUCAGAGAAUGCUUGGCUGGGUUGUUAUCCGAUGACGUUAAUUCGGAGGGCACCAUUGCAUGCUUGAUCACCGACCUUCUCUUCGACUUCACUCGAUCUGUUGCGGAGAGUUUUAAGCUGCCGAGGAUAAUGUUAAGGACCGGGGGUGCCGCUUCCUUCGUUGUUUAUGCUGCAAUUCCACUUCUCAAGGAAAAGGGUUACCUACCAAUAUCAAGUACAAUCUCCAGCCAACAAAACUCUAUUAUCAAAUGUCUUUCUUUUAUCUCAUAUUUGGCUUCCUAUUUUGACAAUAAUUAGACUCUCGACUAGAAAACUUACAAUUGGCCUUCAAUUUUGACAAUAAUUAGAUUCUCGACUAGAAGAGCCGGUAACGGAGCUUUCACCUAUCAAAGUUAAAGACCUACCCACGAUGCCCAAUUGCGAUCCUGAGGAUUUCUAUCAACUGAUAACCAACGCGACAAAUGAAUCCAAGGCCUCUUGUGGACUCAUUUUCAAUACUUUUGAAGAUCUUGAAGGACAUGAACUUGCCACAAUUCGCCAAGAAUAUUACCCCAAUAUUCCAAUUUUCCCAAUAGGUCCAUUUCACAAGUGUAGCCUUGCAACCUCUUCUUCUUCAAGUAGUUUAUUCGCACAAGACCAAAGUUGCAUUUCAUGGCUAAACACUCGAGCGCCAAAAUCUGUUGCUUAUGUUAGCUUUGGGAGCCUUGCCAAGAUAGAUCAAGCUCAAUUUUUGGAGAUUGCUUGGGGGUUGGCCAAUAGUGGCCAACCCUUUUUGUGGGUGGUUCGACCCGAAUUAGUUCAAGAGUCAGAUUGGUUUGAAGUGUUGCCCAACGGAUUUCUAGAAGCAUUGAACGAGAGGGCCCAUAUUGUGAAAUGGGCUCCACAAAAAGAAGUGUUGGCUCACCCAGCAGUUGGAGUCUUUUGGACUCAUUGUGGUUGGAAUUCUACAUUGGAGAGCAUUUCUGAAGGGGUCCCUAUGAUUUGUAUGCCAUGUUUCAGUGAUCAAAUGGUGGAUGCAAGAUUUGUGAGGAUGUUUGGAAGGUAGGGCUGCGAUUGGAGCAUGGGAUUGAGAGAGGUGAGGUUGAAAGAAUAAUUAGAAGACUAAUGGUUGAGAAAGAAGGGGAAGAGUUCAAAGAGAGAGCCUUAAAGUUGAAGGAAAAGGCAAAGCUUUGCCUCAAAGAAGGUGGCUCUUCGUACCAAUCUUUGGACGGCUUGGUUAAACACAUUUUAUCGUUAUAAAUCGUUUGUUUUUGAAACUAAAAUCUAGAUAUUGUUUUAAAAUUCCUUUAAUGUAUGAUGUAUUAUAUCAAUAAUUAUCAUGAUUCGUCUGUCUCAUUAUGUUUAAGGAAAAUGGUUGUCCAUCAUCUUUAUCAUAUCUUUCAUAAUUAUCGUAUCUUUUUUCCCUUGCGCCAUUACAAUUGUCCAACUACCUUUUUCUUUAUACAAAAGACUAAUUAAAAAAAAAGAAUCAAAUACAGAACCUCGAAUGAAAAAUUUAUGCAUAUUAAUAAACAGUACACCAUUGGGCUUAGCAAAGAUACCUACAAUUAUAAGCAUGAUUUAUCGUUCAAACACUUCAUCACUUCCCCUCCAAUCGAAACUAUAGUUGUUGGAUUGUGCCAGCCUGCAAUGGUUGGUUAGGGGCGCACGGCCACACUUCUUCUCACACUCCACACUUUCUACAUACGAUCCAGACUCCCCAUACUGUACACCCCACAUCCAUCUUGUGUAUACCAUUCGCCUGUUGUUUUCACAUUAGAAGGUGACGAUACUUUCUUUUGCACUAUUAACCCCAUCCUAAGAAUGGUCUUUCUCUGGGGGUUGGUUUUUAGAAAUGGGGUCAACACUGAAGCUUUGAUGUACCAUUUCUACGCUUUCCCGUCUCGUUUCUGCCGUUUUUCCUUAGUUUGUACGUCUUUGGGCGUAGUCCUUUUUAUAUUCUACUUAUCAAGAAAAAAAAAAAACUCUACGUGAAUCUUCCAUGACAUAACCUAACAGCAAAAGCAAGUCCAUGCUUAAUAUGGAUAACGAUGUCGUUGAAUCACUCAAAUAACAAAAAAAUUUGAAGUCUUAUCUCAUGUGAAGCCUACAAAACGUCAAUUUAUGUUUCAUUUGUAAAAAAAAUUGUCUUUUUUCAUCAACAUAUUUGUACUUUUAUUGGUAGAAUUCUGUUCUAGAAUAGACAGUGGGAGUGCUUUUGAGAGCUUGAAAAAUAAAUUUGGAAUACAGGUUGAACAAGAUUUGGGGUGCAUUCAUAAAUUUUGUUAUUAUUGUUAAAACUAUGAGGCCCAAAAUAGUUAUUUCAUAUUAGAGUAUUAUGUUAUUUAAUAAUAAAUUUUAAUGUAAGGUGUUCAACAAUAUGUAAAAUGCUAUUUAGAGUGCUAAUAACAGCUUUUGAGAAUAAUAAAAAUUAAAUAUAGCAAUGUUAUAUUUUGAAUGGAAGCUCACAAGAUUCAACGAUUUUUAGGGACACAAAAAUAAGCCCAGUAGGAUGAUGUAACUUUGGCCAUCAAUCAACCGCAUGUUCAAGCCAAGCAACCACACAUUCCUUAUCCAUACGAUAGUAGCACACAAAAUUGUACAAAUGGUCCCUCAACUUUAAUCAAAUUGGAGCAAUGGUCCCUCAACUAAAAAUCCAUUACCAUUGGUCCCUCAACUUAUCAAAAUGUGUAGCUAUAGUCCUUUUCAUCAAUUUUGUCAAAAUUUUGUCAAAAUAAGCUAUGUUGGAAUGACCAUUUAUAUAAUUAGGGUCCCUUAACUCAUCAAAGUGUAUAAUUAUGGUUCUUUUCGUCAACUAUGUCAAAAAAUUUGUCAAAACGAGUUAUAUUGGAAUGACCAUUGCUACAAUUGGGUUAAAGUUAAAUGACCAUUUCUCCACUUGAAUUAAAGUUCAGGGACCAAUGGUAAUGGAUUUUUAGUUAAGGGACCAUAGCUGCACGUUUUGAUAAGUUGAGGGACCAAAGGUAAUGAAUUUUUAGUUGAGGGACCAUUGCUCCAAUUUGAUUAAAGUUGAGGGGACCAUUUAUACAAUUUACUCCACUAAAUUAUAAGACUCUAACGAACUAUAAUUGUGUUGAACUCUCUCAUGAUUGAUAUGGCAAAUGAACUUGUAUGACUCUACUGAUUUAAUUGACUAUGACUCAAUAUGAUGAGGCCUUUUAUGUAGAUGUAAAAGUGACUCUUCAUAAUAAUUGUGUCUUUUCUUGACGAGUCAAGAGUUGCAUCUCUUCAAUCCAAAGGCAAAGGUUACACUCUUUCUCUUUAAUUGAACAAUCACAACUUUAUUCAUGAAUAAUCACAGCUCAUCAAAUAUAAUUUUCAUUCACAAAAAAUAAUUGAAUUCAUUUUGAAAUAAAUUUUCCAAAGGACGAGUAAAUGUUGUAAUAAAAUAUACGAAAUAAGUUCACAAGGUAAGCAAAACAGUCGCUCUUACAAAUUCAAAUGGAGCAAAGCAAAGGCCGGAGGGUGAUACUUUUCCCACUGCCUAUGCUAGACCUGGCCAACAUUCUACGCUCCAAAGGCCUUCUCCACAACCAUUACCAACACCUCAAUAUGUAGUCACAGUCACCACCCUGUCCUCCACACCUGCCUUCAAUAAUUGGCUUCGCACCGUGUGUGUGUGUGUAAACAAUCUAUUGGCAUUGUCGAACAAAUAUCGCGGCCCAUCAUGACUCACCACAUCACAUUAUUGGCAUUGUUGUGAAUGUUACCACAUAUUAAUAGUUGUUAAAUUUUAUUACAAAAUGUCUCGAUAAUAAUAGUAGUGAACCUUCUACAUUUAAAUUGUUUAUUAUUUGUUAUUUUUUUUAUGUGAUACUCUAUUUUCUAACAAAUUCUCUAUUGUAUAUGCAAGUAAAAGUAAUUAGCUAUCAUUUAAAUUUGUCUUUAGUAUUGGGAAGAGCUUAAGUCAGGGCUUUGAGUCAUUCAUGGUAGUCGAAUUUAAGACCUCUCACUUAAUAAUGAAGACAAAUAUUACUAGAUCAUGGUCAAUGCUAAGUAACUUUUUAUGAACUAUUUCUCAAUGUCCCCACAAAUACUUGAUAAAGGAUCGGCUCCAUAUAAUGCUGGCCAGGUAUAUGUGUGUAACGUGUUUUAAACAAUCACAAUCCAUAUUAUCAUUCUCUAGGAUUUUAAAGUAGUUUGAUAUUGCACUCAAAAUUUCCAGCCUAUUGUAGGAUGUGAUUCUUAUAUGAGUUCAAUAUAUUAGUAUCACACUCACUUUUUUCAGCUUCAUGUGGAAGGCCUUAGUGUAAGUGUAAGUUGUUCUAAAUGUUGUGCGUUCAAAUUUGGGACCCAAUAAAAUAAGAGUAAUGCUAUACUUACUAUUUUUUUCAAAUCACAUUUGUACCACCUCUCUUAUAGAGAUAGGACUCACUAAUAUAAAUGGGUUCCACCUCUAUUAGGUCUUCCACAAUGGUUUUUGGUGAGUGAGUGUGAUACCUAUAUGUAAGAAUCAUGCGCCCCAAUCCCGACAUACAUCCAAAAUCAACACAUGACGUCACCACAUCCCUGUUUAUCUAUCAUGUCUCACCUCCUAGAGAAGACCAAAACACAAUCAAUGAUUCAACCACGCAAUCAUUUUCUUUUGUUUCAUGCCUGCAUCUAACCUUUGUGUUAGACUGCUAUGUACCCUAAGAAGGGAUCAAGCCAUUCAUAGUUCACCAUUCACCACACUCUGACAUUUAUCACAGUACAUUCUAACAGAAAGGCAUAGCAUUCCUCAAUCAAUUAUUGGGACUUGACAUGCAUGAAUUACCAGAUUCAGGGCUACAUAACGAACCCACAUGACAUUCAAGAUUUUCAUUUCAUCAAUCAUAUAAAUCAUUAUGUUUUCAACAUAAUAUCACAACCCAUAACAUGUAACAUAUCAAAGAACCAACAAAGCACAAUAUUAUUCUUUAGUUACAUUGAUCAACUGAUUUGAUCAUAAUAAUAACAAUCAUACCAACAUCAUUCCACAAUCACUUCAAUUAAGCAAUUCCAUGAAUCAAAGAUGCGCGAUAUUAACAUUUAACUACAUUAAUCAAUCAACAAGAUCACAUUUCAUUUCACAGAAUUUAAUAAAGGAACUCUACAUGACUCCUACCUGGAUUCCAAGUAAUAAUAUGGUAAAUUAAUUUAUAAACAUGAUGUCUACUAUGAGUAAUUCUCAUUCACUCGAAUCUAGAGUUCUGACUAACUUUAUGAAAAUGAGUAAGAAGGGGUAUUCCAGACCACUCAACGAAAUCCAACUAAAAUAUGGUCGCCUAUCAAAAUGUACCAAGUACAACUAAUCUUUAUAACCCUAGGUAGGCAGUGAUCACCCAUCGCAGAUAUACCAAGCACGAUCACCCUUGAAAAACGUAUGGUCCCCAUCGCAUAUAUACCAAGUAGAACCAUAUCUUAAAUCUAGGUGGUGAUCACCUAUCAUAGAUAUAUCAAGCAUGAUCACUCCUAGCAUGCGUAUGGUCCCUCAUUGAGGAUAAACCAAGCAAAACCAUAUGCGUAGUCUAAUAACGUAGGCAAUGAUCCUCGCGGAUAUACCCAAGUAAGACUGUACUGUCACCUCAUCACGGAUAUACAAGCAUGAUUAGAAUGUGUAAGUAAACCAAGCAGAACCAUAAGCAUAAUCUAAUGGCAAGCGGUUUCUAUACCAAUGAUCACCCUGAAAUACGUAGCAAUAACUUCCAUGUACUACUAAUGUUCAGGUAACGCAUCCAACUAAUCAAAUAUAAUUCAAUAAGAUUCUAUUCGCAUGUACAUAUGGAUUUAAUAAACAAGUGGCACGUAACCAAUUAAUUUAGAAGAUCUAGGCUUUCUAAACGAAUAGGACAAAGUUAACCCCUUAAUUUUUACUGCCCAUUGGAUUUUCGAUCUUGGUUGUCAAAUCAUGCUACGAAUCGGGUUCGGUAAAUCAAAUGGUUUAAAUAUGGAAUCGGGGUAUCAAAUGUAGCCUAGAAGGAUCAAGUGGUUCCUCCGGCCAUGCGCUACCGCAAGUGGCUGCCGGCCGCCCGCCGCCCGGUUCGUCGAAAAAUUCACCUAACCCCAAAAUUUCCAAAAUUAUACCGAAAUAAAUAUCUUGCAGAGAUGAGUAAGUUUUAUACCUAGGCCGAUGUUCAAUUCAGCCGGGAAGUGGCCUGAAAUUCCUUCGAACUGCUGGAAACCCUAAAAAUAGUGUCACUCGAUUCAACGUCCAAAAGAACUCCAACACUCCAACACUCCAACCACUGCUUGGGCCUUGUUCCUGGGUUCAAGAAGAGUGGAUUAAUAGUGGUGGCUGAUAGACACAUAUUUAUUACAAUUGUUACCCUAUUAUUUCUUUUUUGUUAGUGCCUCAUUCAGACUAUUUUUAGUAAAUUACUUUAGUUUUUGUAAUUUAUAAGGAUUACGAGGUUUAUUGAUAAAAGUGGAAUUUAACAUGGUCUUAGUACAUCCUCUAUGUUUUAGUCUUCCUAAUUACAUUGACUUCAUCCAUUAUUUUAUUUUUAGGUUGAAGACCAAUAGGUGGGGUGAUUUUUUUACCAAUGUGAACCAAAAACCAAUUCCAAUCCGUGGCUUUUAAGUGAGGUGGUGGAGAUACUUCAAAUGAGGAAUUUCAAAUUGUUUGAACUCCUAUCCUUUUAGAAAACUUGGACUAGAGGCACAUAUAAAAAGGAGGGAAAGCAGCAAAUAUAACAGGUGGGGGACUCCUACUCCUUGGCUUUCUGGCGUGAAACAGAGAAGGCAGCAGCAGAGCAGCAGCAAUUCGGUUCUUUCCAAGUUUUAUUUUAUGCAUAUUUUCCAUAGGACUACGAUGAAAUCUUCGUUCAUGGGGUUCUAAACUCUUAGCUAAGGCUAAGAGGAAGCCCUAAUUAUGAUUACUCUAGUUAUUUGAUUGUUUAAUUCGUGAAUUUCAUAUUGAUGAUUAGUUUUCAUUCACUAGUAGAAAUACAAUUUUGAUAUUUGGUUCUUUGUGCUUGACCAUAGCCUAGGAUUUUGAUAUUAAAAUUAUUUGCAUAUUAAUUUAUUUCUGACCAUGAAUUGGAUUCUAUCAAUGCUUUGUGAAUGAGAAUCAUGAACUUAUAUUUUGAUCCGCCCGUAGACGAAUAUUGGAUUGUGUGGCUUCCUAGAAAAUUAGCUAUUUGUUUGACGUGACCAAGUUGAUAAGUGGUUAAUUUGUUUCUCACUUUGUUUAAUUGGAUUUCUACAUGUUUGUGUAUACCGGACCAUGGAUAUAGAGACUGUAGGAAUAGUUGAGUUUAAGAUUGGCCACGGUAAAAUUCACAUCUAUUUGGGAAAUUAUUGGCAUGUGUACCUAACCACAGACAUAUGUACGGAAGUUGUUUUCAUUAAUUUGAUAAUUCAUGAGUUGACAAUUGGAUACUAGGGUAUGGCAAUUAGUGGUGGAAUCAAAACCUUAGUGUUUUCUUACAUUUGUUCUCAAUCAUAUUUAUGUUUAAUCAUCAUUAAUUUUAAUUAAUCUUCGAUACAAACUCAAUCUUUAUUUCAACUUGUUAAGUAAUAGUUAUAGGAUUAAAUUGUCAAAUCAACUUCGGUGGAUUUGAUCUCGUAUUUACAUGUUUCCACUACAACUGAUUCGUGCACUUGCGAGUAAAUUUGGGUUGAAUUAAUCUAUUUAUUAGGUUAGUUUAAAAUCACAUUAGUGGUCGUCAGUAAAGGUUGCAAGAACAGCAGAUCGCUGUCGUGGCACUCUCGAAGUUGUCGACUUCAAUCUUCACAAAAUAUGGCCAAAAUGGCUCGGGUUUUUGGUGUAAAUGGAAGAAGGAAUGAUGUUGUGAUGUUUUCAAGUGGUGUAUAGGUAGAUUUCAUCAAAAUAAUCGAUGGAAAAUCGUCGGAAUUCGUCGCCAGAAACGAGUCCGUGUCAAGGGGGUCUGGGUCUCCUCUCCCUUUUCCCUCAUUUCCUUCCCUCUGAUUGGUCACCCUCUCCCUCAUUUUCUCUCACGCGUCUCUUUUUUUCCCUCUCUCUCUCGCUACCAUCUGGCAGCUUCUAGUCCUUAUUUUAUUUUUUUUAUUUUUUAUUUUUUUCACAACUAAAACAUCUCUAAUAUCUUCAUUUUAACUUUGAUUCACAAACAAUUUUCACCUAUGUGCUCGUAGGAUCGAGCUCUGUCCAAUUCUACGUAAUAUGACCUCGUAAGGUCUACGGAUUUUUAAUGAUUGACCAAAAUUGAAACUUCGUAAUUAGUUUAAUUAAAAUAUAAAGUUAAUAUAAUUAAUAUAAAUUUUAAAAAAUAAUAUAAAAUAUUGAUAAUACAAAUACGUAGUUUACAAAAAUAAAAUCCAGAAACGGGGUUUUACAGUGGCGAUAAUAAUUAUAUAUUAAAAAUCAAUUAAAAAACUAAAUUAAAACAAAAUUACCGAACUCAUCUCUCUCUCCCUCUUUCUCUCUAAAAUUCUUCAUCUCGCACAGCCCCAAACUCAGUGGUUGUGGCCACUGUUCAUCGCCUUCUCUGAUGAUUUUCCUGACGCACCCAGACGACUCAGACGACGGCUUCACCACCGUUCCCCGUCAACGUCAAACCACUAUCAUGGCUCAAUGUUUCCCUUGGAACAACCCCAAGUCUCGGCUUGGUGAUUUUCAAACCCCAAGCCCUCGAAUUGAAGAGCCCCGUCAGGGAGGAGGAAAUCGAAACCCAAGUCUCUGCAGCAACGCUCACUCUUGUCAUCGCCAAAACUGAAACCGUGAAGCUACAAGAUUCAGGAGACCUCGAAUGUGACAUAGCCGCGCCGAGCUCUAAGAUGCCGGGGAUGAGGAAAUCCUCAGCCACCGAAAAGAGUAGAGGUCGUCCAAGUCGUCGAAGGUGAGCUCUAACUCGCAGUUUCAGCGGCACCUAACCCAAAGCCGAGAUCGAACAUAAAUGCGUUGUCAGAGGGCACUGUGACCAUGCCGUUGUAAGAUGAGAAAAAUUCAGGUUUAAGAGGAGGGAUCGUGAGGGAACGGCGGUGAAGCAUCACUUUCGUCUGAGUCUUAAUUGUGGCCGGAGUGCCAUUUUAGGGUUUCAGAGUGGUUUCUUUGAGAAUUUAGAGGGAAAGGGGGAGAUACGAAGACUUAGAUGAUGAAUAGUUGAUUUGGCUAUCAAAUUAAAAAAAUUGAGAUUUAAUAAUUAAAUAUUAAAUUAAUUGAAAAUUUUAAUAAUUCAAUAAAUUUUAUUAGUUGUUAAGGCCAUGUGGUAGAGGUUGACAACAACGUUAAAUGCGGAAUAUAUUGUUACCACGUCACGUCAAUACUUAAUCGUAAACUUAACAAAUUUUCUAACGGUUGUUUGAAAUGAAAUUAUACUAAUGGUAUGAGAUUGAAAUGUUUUAAAGAUAUUGUAUAAGAUUACAAUUACACCCAAACUUGAGGGGAUAAAAUGUAAUUUAAAAAAUAAAGAACACUUAGCAUUUGUUUUUUUUAACAAACAAUAUUAUCUACACUAAGGGGGAGGGGUUGAGCUUAGCCUCACUGAAAUUGGUACCAGACGGAAUAUCUUGUAAGUAAAAAUAAUAAUAUGCUAAACUGACUAGUCAAGCCCACUAGUCAACUAAAACUGAUUUGUUAUUCAAUAAAUCAAAGAUUUAAUAACCAACUUCAAUUACCAUAAGCUAUCCUAGUCAGCAAAGCCUCAUAUCGAUCUAAGUUAUUAAUGUGUCAAAUGAGCAAGAUUGUGAACACAUACAAUUAAAUAGUCAUGAGAUAACUGUGGCAUGUAUAUGUAUGUGAGACAUAUCACACAAUGUAAAUAACUUUGAACACAAGAUAUUUGAGCAAGAAUAACAAUAACACAAGAAGUUUUUGGCCUGGAAAAACCCACCUCUGGGUUAAAAAACCAGGGAUUAACCACUGAGUCCAAUCCACUAGUGUAAAUAAAGGUUCAUACAAAGACCAUACAAGCUCUAUUCCUAAAUCCUUAUCUAUGGAGCAACUUUACCUUUGUGCAACCUUACCUUUCACGAGAUGAACUCCUUCGGUCUUCACGAAGUGGCAGCUCUUCUUGACCUUUUCUCCUUGUGGUUCCGAUAUCAACUUAUGCAAAUGAUGUUAUCAUGAAUUAAUGCAAAUCUAGAUUCAAUUGAACUGAAGGAAAAUCUAACCUGAAUCCAAAAGCUUGGUCUAAAAACAGAUUUAAAGCUUAAAACCAGACUAAGAAUUUUAUGUAAAAUCUUAAAACAAUACGACCCUAAUAUACAAUUAUUGGAUGUUUAAUGCAUGAACUUGGUUUUGUACUUGGAGCACGGGAUUGAGAGAGAUGAGGUUGAAAGAACAAUUAGAAUACUAAUGGUUGAAAAAGAAGGGGAAGAGAUAAAAAAAGAGAGCAUUAAAGUUGAUGGAAAAGGCAAAUCUUUGCCUCAAAGAAGGUGGCUCUUCAUACCAUACCAGUCUUUGGAUGGCUUGGUUAAACACAUUUUAUCAUUAUAAAUCUUUUGUUUUCUGAAACUAAAGUCCAGUUCUUGUUUACUGAAACUCCUUUUCUGUAUUAUGUAAUUAUAUCAUGAAUUAUAAUGAUUCGUUUGUCCCGUUAUGUUUAAAGAAAAUGGUGGUCCAUCAUCAUUAUCACAUUUUUUAGAAUUAUUCUAUGUUUUUUCCCGUGCCCCCUUUCAAUUGUCGAAAAAUGUAUAAUUAAGACUACCAUAUAAGAAAACUUUAACAAAAAACUUCUAGUACUGUUCACUUUAAUAAAAAAUCAUAUUUUUACACUAAAAAGUCAAUCAUGGUACAAUUCACUUUACCCUUUAUUUUGUCCUUAUCAUUAAAACUCAAAAUUUUCAAGCCUUUUUCAUUAGUUUUUUUUUUAAUAAUAAAUUCCAUCACCUAUGCAUAAUUCAUGUUUUUAGCAAUUCAUACAAUGACUAAAAUAACAACACUUUCAAAGCCAGACAAACAAACAAUAACGUCAAAAAAAUGUAUAGUAUUAUGAAAUAUGAGAUACUCUGGAUGCUUCUAUCGUUAGAUUUUAAUUAGAUUUUAAUUUUUAUAGGUAAAAUAUAAUCUGACUUAGAUAAAUCUUGAACAGCUACAGAAACCUCCAAUCCAACAAGUCACAUGCAAAACCAAAUGGGUUUUUUUUAGGGGCGUUUUGAUAUAGGCGCCUCGUUUUUUAAUUUUGUUUAGACUAAACAUACACUCCUUUUGAAAUUUUGAUCAAACAUUUUUCUAAAAUUUUGGUUAUUAAUUUCAGUUUUUCACAUAAGUUCAGUUUUGUUUAGAAUUUUAGUUUUUCACGACUUCUCCUAGGCAUUUCGUUUUCUUUUUUUUUCUUUUCCUAUUAUCCCUAUAUUUAUGCAUUUAUUAUCCAUCUCUAUGCAUUUUUUUAUUGUUUGUUAUAAUUUUUACUUUUUUGUGUGAAUAUAGUAGAAUAUUUAUAAAAAAAAAAAAUCAGAUCUUAUUAUUUAGAAGAUCCAACACAUAAUAAAGAUUUGUUUGAUUAUAUAGCUAUGUCUAGUUACCUAUAAUAUGGACACAUUUAGUUUUAUAGUGGAUUUGAUUUUUUGUAUUUCUCAGUACAUUUGGAAUGUAUAUGUACCAAAAAGGUUAUCUGAUAGAGACAUUUGGUUUUGUGGUACAUUUGGGAUUUUUUGUUCAUUUGGUCUUUUGGUACAGUUGGAAUCUAAACAUACCAAAAUGGUUACCUAACAAUGGGCACAUUUGGAUUUAUGGUACAUUUGAAAUUUUGUACAUUUGGUUUCUUUGUAAAUUGUAUAUUUGAAAUCUAAAUGUACCAAAAGGGUUACAUAAUAAUGGGUACAUUUGGUUUUAGGGAACUUUAACGAAAAGCUCCGGGUACUGUUCACUUUAACGAAAAACCACAUUUUUACACUAAAAAGUCAAUUCUGGUACUAUUCACUUUACCCUUUAUUUUGUCAUUAUCAUUACAACUCAAAGUUUUCAAGCCAUUUUCAUUAGUUUUCCUUUGGUUUUAUGGUACAUUUGAAUUUUUGGUACAUUUGGUUUCUCGGUACAUUUGAAAUCUAAAUGUACCAAAAGUCAAUACUUUUGUUCUCAAAUAUACCAUAAGUUUUAAGUAUAUUUUUUAUAUAUCUAUACAUGAAAAAAAAAAUGUAUUGAAGACUUUUUAUUGAGACAUUUUUAAUAGAAAGAGAUUUUUUUUUAAAUACCGAUAAUCAGAAAAUGAGGAAUUAGUUAAUUUUUUAUUUUAUUUUAUUAAAAAUGUCAUUUAAUGCGUGGAAGGGGAUUGAGAAAAUAAAAUUUCUAUAUUAUAGGCAAUUAGUUGCUAAGUUACCUUAUCUGUCUAUAUAAAUGAACUUAAAUUAAUGACGUGGAAAAUAAAUAAAUAAAAAAUUAUUGAGGUGGCAAUUGAUCAAAACACCUUAAUCAAAUCUUUAAAAUGAAUGAAUGUUUAAUCUAACAACUAUAGAAAAGACGGAGGGCAUUCUAAUUUUCUCUUUUUUUUACUACCAAUUAAAUUUUAGGAAAAUUUAUGAAAAGAGCUUGAAAACUUUGAGUUUUAAUAAUAAGAACAAAAUAAAAGGUAAAAUGAAUAAUACCAUGUUUAACUUUUUAGUGUAAAAAUAUAAUUUUUCAUUAAAAUUAACAGUACCGCAGACUUUUCGUUAAAACUUCUCAAAAUUUUUGGGCUGGAUAGGAGCUACCCCAAAUUAGUGCACUGGGCAUCCCUUCUUGAAAUUGAUAUUAUUUUGUUUUUCCCAAAAACUGAAGUUUCAAGAAGUUGAUGGAAGCUCAUGGAACCGAACUCUCUGUUUUUCUUUUCUUUUUCUUUUUCUUUCGUUUUUUCCUGGACCAUACAACUGUCUGUAAUUCUCAAAGAACCAUGAAAACACCUGAACCUUCUUUGGCAACCUAUAAAUACAACCACUGUCGCACCCACCUUUGUCAGAUAAGAUCGUCGAAAGCAAUCUAAGCAAAAAUCUCUCGUUCAAAUUCUUCGAAUUGACGCCCAGCAAAAACCAACUCUAACCCAUCAUCCAAUGGCUCUCAGUCUCUUUGGCAACGGCCGACGAAGCAACUUCUUCGACCCCUUCUCCCUGGACAUCAGGGAUCCAUUCGAGGGCUUCGGCACUCUGGCCAACAUCCCCUCCUCCGCCCGCGAAACCACUGCCAUUGCCAACACCCGCAUCGACUGGAAGGAGACCCCGGAGGCCCACAUCUUCAAGGCAGACCUCCCGGGGAUAAAAAAGGAGGAGGUGAAAGUGGAGGUGGAGGACGGGAGGGUCCUGCAGAUCAGCGGCGAGAGGAGCCGGGAGCAGGAGGAGAAGAACGACAAGUGGCACAGGGUGGAGAGGAGCAGUGGCAAGUUUAUGAGGAGGUUCAGGCUGCCGGAGAACGCGAAGAUUGAUCAGGUGAAGGCAUCGAUGGAGAAUGGGGUCCUGACUGUGACUGUGCCGAAAGAGGAGGAGAAGAAGCCUGCUGUCAAGGCCAUUGACAUUUCCGGCUAAGCUCUUGUGGUGUUAAUUUUUGCUUCUGUGUAUUUCCGAGUAUCUGUGUGUGAGAUGAGUGAUCUGAUGUGUCAAUUUUCAUGUAUGGCUUCUUAUUCUAAAUAUUAUUAUAAAUCUUUAUAAAAGCUGAGUCCAUUUUAUUUUUGAAGAAGUGUCUCUUGGAGAAGAUCUAUUUAAUUUUAUACCACGAAUAUGGAGAUCUACUUACUACGAAUAAGAGUCCUAUGGUGGUCGAAAUUCCUAGCUGCUAUUUGUGGUUUGAUUUGUGAACAAGGUUAUAAUUUCAAAUUUUGAAUUGGUGAUUGUUUCUCUUGGUUUUAGUUUGAGUCUUCGAUCAAUUGAUGUUUUUCUUGAACAUGUGAUUGAUUGAAUAUGAAAGUUUUAAUUUUUUUUGUUUAUGUGGCCGAUUCAAUUUAUUUAUUUAGGUAUAUUUUAUGGAAAAAUUAGUUGUCUGGUUGAUAUGGUUACAAUGUAUAUCAGAUUGCAUGGUUAGUUUUAUUUUGUGUUUUUGAGUCUUAACUCGUUGUAGCAUGACGGUUUGAAACAUUCAGGUUAAGCUUGUUCUUCGGUGAAAUUGGAUUCUAGACCUUCCCUACAAAGAUGUUACCGAUUUUCAUCUUUUCUCAAGAAUACAAGAGAAUAUAUGUGGACAAUUCAACCACAAUGAAGACCAUAUAGAUACUUUAUAAUUUUUUUGUUUUUUGUUUUUUUUUUUUGGUAAACUUGAUAUUAUUCCGGGACAAAGCCGAAGUACAAGGCCAACAAAGAUACAAGAAGCACACAAACUUACAAACUAAACAACCAAAGGUCAAGACCAAAGUACAUUGACAAGCAAAAUGGACCAGCCAAACCAAAGCCCAACCAACAGCGUGGCCCAAAACAAAAAAGAUACGGUCGGAUGUGUGUUUGUUAUCUGCAAGAAACACUGCAUUUGCAAAGCUCCCUGUCGCAAAUUAUCAAAUUGCCGGCUCACCAUCCCGGUUAUCGAACUUAAGGCUUGCGGCAUACAUGUGUAGUGUAGGAUUAAAACUGUAAUUAUAUUAGCUUAUGAAAUUAUUCUAUAUAUAAGCCUAAGUCGUCUAUAGACCUAGUGUAGAUUUUACGAAUUGUGAAAUUGUUGAUUUUAAAAACUACCUAGUUUACGUCGCACACAGGUUUAGUAAUUAAUAAGCUAAUUACAUCAUUCGGUUAAAUACGGGAUAUGUUAACUCGUCGGCCGAAUUUGGUCGGAAAGUAAAAUAUGUUGAUGUGACGUUAGGCAUAUUACUGACUUAUUGAUCUUGCGACCGCGGCCGAGAAAGUAACACGUCUCGAUCUUCACGUUCUAGAGUCUAAAAACAAGGUUGCUAGUUCUGCGAAGUUCAAUAUCAAAUUCAACUUUUAGUGUGCCGAAUUUAGUAACAUGAUAACACCUCACUUCGCCUAAAAAACUGAAAAUAUAACCUCUUCCAACAAGAAGUAAAAAAUUAUUGUCAACCAAAAUUUGGAUAAAUAACUAGUCGGUUUGAAAGUAAUGAUGUUUAUUUAAACAAAAGGUGUUCCUCGUAUUGGGGACAUCAAAGAGACACAAAGAAAAAAUCAUAUUGGGGACAUCAAACCUUCAGUCCUCUCUCACCUACUUGUAAAAUUAGUUUCACAACAUAAUUUAGUAUUUUUUUUUCCUUAAAUACGGUUUUUUUUUUUUUUGAGAAAAAAAUCUAUAUCCAAUUUAACUGAUACUUAAUUUAAUUAAUUUUAUAAUUACCAAUUUGGAUAAAAUAAAAUAAAAUUAAUUAUAAAAAAAAUAAAUCAAUCAAUCAAAAAAGGUUUGUAAGUGCCAACUAUGUUUUGGGCCGAAAGGUACUGUUUGGUACGUAGACGGGAUGGAACGGGACGGAACAGGACAGAACAGAUGAUAUAAAUAUUGAAAAAAAUAAGAAGAAAUUUUGUCAUAAAAUGUUAUAAAUUUGUGUUCCCCGAAUGUGGAACGGGUCGUUCUAGGAGGAAGAGGUGGAACGAAAAUCAACCAAAUUUCAUCCCAUGGACAACCCGUUUCACAAUUUUUAAGCGCAUCAAAUGUGGGACGGUUCGUCCCACGUACCAAAUGGUACCAAAAAGUAACUAAAGGCACUUUCGAGAAGUUGGUGGAAGCUGAUGGAACUCUCUGUUUUUAUUGUUUUUUUCCCUUCUGGAUAGCUGCAGAACUUUCUGUAGUUCUCGGAGAAACCUUCUGUGCCAUCCUAUAUAUAUACAACUCACUCCACAACCCUCCUCAUCAGAUAGAAUUAUCCAAAGCAAUCUAAGCAAAAAUCUCUUGCUCAAAUCCUUCGAAUUCACACCCAGCAAAAACCCAACUCAAACCCACCAUCUAAUGGCUCUCAGUCUCUUUGGCGGACGACGAAGCAACGUCUUCGACCCCUUCUCUCUGGACAUCUGGGACCCUUUCGAGGGCUUCGGCGAUCUGGCCAACAUCCCCUCCUCCGCCCGUGAAACCACCGCCAUCGCCAACACGCGCAUCGACUGGAAGGAGACCCCGAAGGCCCACAUCUUCAAGGUGGACCUCCCGGGGAUAAAAAAAGGAGGAGGUGAAAGUGGAGGUGGAGGACGGGAGGGUCCUGCAGAUCAGCGGCGAGAGGAGCCGGGAGCAGGAGGAGAAGAACGACAAGUGGCACAGGGUGGAGAGGAGCAGUGGCAAGUUUAUGAGGAGGUUCAGGCUGCCGGAGAACGCGAAGAUUGAUCAGGUGAAGGCGGCGAUGGAGAGUGGGGUGCUGACUGUGACUGUGCCGAAAGAGGAGGAGAAGAACCCUGAGGUCAAGGCCAUUGACAUCUCCGGCUAAACUAAAUUCGCAUAACCUCGAUCGGCUACUUUUGAGCUCUGUUUUGGUGUGGUGUUAAGUUCUGCUUGUGUGUAUUUCCGAGUCUCUGUAUGUGAGAUGAGUGAUAUGGUGUGUCAAUUGUCAUGUAUGGGUUCUUCUUCUAAAUAUUAUAAUAAAUCUUUAUAAAAGUUUACAUUAUAUUUCCAAGAAGUGUGUCUGGGAGAAGGUCUAUUUAAUUUGUUUUCCACGAAUAUGAAGAAGAUGACUGUUCACGGCGCGAUUAUCUUGCUCUUAAAGUCUAGAACUUUAACACUUGCGCAUAGAAUUGAUAAAGAUUCUUUCGAUCUUCACACCUGCUAUUGCUAUUAGGAACCAGCUGCUGAGCUGUGACCUACGAAGAUUGCAGAGGAGUAUCAGGCAAAGAAGAAAGUUCGAGAUGUAAAUUUUGUAUGGGAGAAGUACUGCUCAAGUCGACAGUCCAGCAAAGGCGACAUUGAAGACAUCUUACUUACUCCAAGAGCAUAUGGCGAAUGCUCGAAGUUGCUUGAUUAGGACAGGGUCCUAUAGUGGUCGAAAUUCCUAGCUGCUGUUUUUGGUUUAUUUUCAAGGUUAUAUUUUCAACUGUUUUUGGUUUAACUCGUGAUUCGUGAACAAGGUUAUAUUUUCAAAUUUUAAAUUGGUGAUUGUUUCUUUGUUUCUUUUGGUUUUUAGUUUGGAUAUUAAAAGUUUUGUACCGUUUUAAUAUAUGACGUGGAUUGUCUGCCCUUCCACUCUCGUGCCUUCCUGUGCCUUCUUGUUUGUGUGAUCACGGUAGUUAAACCACGUUAACAUUUUAUAUUACUAUUUAUUUUUGUCUUAUUAUUUCUAUAAAAAAAAUAUAAAAUGUUGACGUGUAUGCGCAUACACGUAGACAUUAGACAUGUGUCCAAGUCAUCUUGCAAUUACUUUAUAGGUACAGCGAAAUGAUGAUCGAACCCUAAAUUCUAAACCCUAAAUCCUAGGGAAAAGUAAUUGAUGACAAAAAUACUGAGAAAUAAAAUUGGACUUCCUUCAACUUUCAACCUUCCCUAAGUAGAUAUUGAUAAAGCAGCUUUUUCAACCUUGUAUCGGUCGUAUUCUUGAAUUUGGAAGGAAAAGAGGAGUAAUGCUUCCUAGCAUGGGACAUAGAAUAAGACCUAGAAUAAAACCACUUAGAUUAGAAUAGCAUUCACAUAAAUGUUCUAAAAUAGAGUUAAAUCGAACAUUGAAGAGAUUAGUUGGUCGUUAUUGGGAUGGGUUCAAACAGGAUUGCAAUAAAUAAUAAAAAAUAAAAAAUAAUGAAGGAGCGGAACCUUCAUUUGACUCAAGCCAACCCCAGGUCGGGACGAGACUUUCUUUGUGCUACAAAUUAGUGAAAUUCUAUCUCUUUCGUUACACAACUAAAAAAUGGGCAACAACUCUUGAGUCAAAAGCCUUCUAAGUUAUGCUGAUGAUGAUUAUUUAAACCGUACAAAGCGCGUUUCUAGAACUGUUUAUGUCUUUAUCAUUAGAGAUAUUGCAAUAUUGUGCAUAUCAACCAAACAGGACUUAGUUGCUACGUCUUUCAAUCACACUGAGAUUUUAGCCUGUGCAAAGUAUCGCAUGAAUGAUUUUGGCUAAGGCGCGUGAUUGAUCACAUUAAAACUUUAUGUGAUUUUUCUUACAUCGUUGAUGUUCCAACAACGAUUUAUGAAGACAAUGAUGCGUGUAUCGACUGGUCAUACGCUUGUGUGUUUUAAUAACCACUCUGAAUAUGUGAAAUAUCGAUAUCUUGUAUUAACUCAAUUUUUCUCUGUAAGUCUACUAGUUAUCCCAUAGCAAGGUUUUUAACCGAUAGCUGACAACAACAACCACAUCACCUAAUCACGAAGAAAUGAUGCAGCUACUUCUUAAGUUGUACACACUUAAGUAGGAGUGUUGUGAAUAGAAUCAUUAAUUAGAAAUGUGAUUGUGUAAACUUAAAGUAGAAUUCCACAAGGAUUUGGAGAUCAAAUAAUUAUAGGCUUUGUAUUACUUAUAAGGCAAGAAAACUCAUCAUAAUUAGUGAAGAAAACCCAUCAUAAUUAGUAUUAAAAAGUCACGUGCUAAGGGUGAAUACGCCAUUCUUAUACACAUGAGCCCUUCUUUCAUGUCGUCUCAUUCCUCUCUCACGGUCGCAGGUCUGUUGUCCCUAAUUAUGGUGUCUCCUCUCUAAUUUCUCAACACGUGUACCACCCAUUUCGCCUAAUCUUCACCCCAUUAAAUUUUUAAUAAAACUAAAACCCAAAAACAAAGAAACUAGCAGUGACUAUGUCCUCAUCCACCCCAAUCCAUGCAGUCCCGUGCGCCAGCAACCUAAGCAUUCACCCAUGCUAGCCUCCCCAUGCGCCAGCGGCUACCCUUACUUGUACUUGCCAUCACCAAAAUCCUCUUCCAUCCAAAGGCGGAUUUAUUAAGGGACCUAGGUGGUUUCAGGACCACCCGAAUACUCGGAUAAUUGAAAACUUCCGAGGACCACCCAAGUUUGGGCAGUGAAGGGAAAGAGCAACGAACUGCAUAAUGUUCUAGCUUUUUGCAAACUAGAUGGAAAGAAGAAGAACAAGAAGAAGACCAAUUCUUUUUUAAACGGUAUCCUAGGUCACGUGCUACAAAGUCACAUUAAUCAUUCAAGUAAAGAGUAAUGCUAGGGGGACUAAAUUUGUAAAAAAUAUUUGCAAACUAAAUGAUGUGUCACCAAUAGGAAAUGAGCAUGUUUAUCAAUACUUAAGUAAUAAUCCAAUCAUUAACUUUCAUGUCAUUUAGUUUAUAAAUUUUGUCUAAAAAUUUAGUUUUUCUAGCAUUACUCUUAAAUAAAACGGUGAGCACUGAUGUGGUGUUUGAAAACUCAUUCUAGGUCACGUGGGAGGUUGAGAGCCUCACCAUUUUUUUAAUAAAAAAUAAUAAAAAGAGUUCGACUUUCAAAGAAAGUCCACCCCAAGCAAUAUAGUUCCCUAAUCCCCGGAUUUGGAUCCCAUCCAAAUCUAAAUUGUGAGGAUUCUAGGGAUCCGCACAUCUUAGUCAUUCAUCGUGCAUCGUGUAGUAAAAAAUCAUCUGACUUUUUUUAUUUAAAAUUAAACACAAUUAGUACCUAACGAAAACUGGCCGCACGAUGUACGAUAAACAACUAGGAUGUAGGGAUCCCUAUGAUCCCCACAAAGUGGAUCCGGAGAUGAUCCUUUUCCCUAAUCCCCAAUUCCUACCCCGCUCAACUAAAGGUCACCAUCAUCAGCACAGAACCAAUCUCUAGUCUUCACACACCAAUCGGCACUUCAAGAUCAACUUGGUAUUUAAAUUCAUUCUAUGCGUUGAAGAAAUGACUUUUCUCAAUUGUAAGGGAUUAGUAAUCUUGCUAAAAAAUGAUGAAAAAAGGGUUACAUGAAUUGUUGUUUGUACAAAAAUUAUGAAUAAAAAGUCGUAAUUUAUCGUUUAAUGUUUCAAUUUUACUUUCAUCUAAUUUUUUGGAGCUUUUUGUGAAACUUUAUAGGCCUAAGCAUGAUCUAUCACCGAUAUGAUCCCAACUUAACCACGUAUGGCUUAGUGUUUGGUUUUAUCCCAAAAUGACUGGUAAUAUUAAGGGUGAAAACUCUUAUAUAUUAAUAGUGUUGCAGUCCUAUUAGAUUAGGAAUUUGAUUGUGUAAAUCCUAACAUAUAUAUGAUAUUCUUAUGUGAUUCUACCAUAUCUCUUAGACUAUAUAUUAUCUUUUUAGAGUUGUAAUCCUAUUGGGGUAAGGAAUUUACCUUCACUACUACUAUAAAUAAAGGCACUAUGGGAUGAUAUAACACACACCUUACAAUUAGACAUCUAUCUCUUCUCUCUCUAUGUGCCGCACCCCCUCUCUCUCUCUGGCAUUCAUAAUUGUUCAAUAAAUUAUUCCUACAAUACAUUAUUAGCACGCUCUUAACGCUACGCUAAAGAGAGUUUAUUCUUCAUUCAGGGGAGUAUUAUGUUUUAAUCAUUCUUUUUAUGAUUAAUUUAUUAUUUUAUUGAAUUGACCUACAUGCUAUUGAUUCAAUUUAAUUUCUUAUUUGUUGAACGUGAUACAACACAUUGGAUAUGCAAUUCCGGAUUUCCGAGAAGCAUGUUCUACAAAUUUAAAGGCUUUUGUUGUUUUAUGCCAAUCAGGUAUAUUUAAAAUAAAUGAAGAUAUUUGAAACGACCAUGAAGCGUGAAAACAUUCCUCAUGAUACAUGAACCACUUAAAAUUAUAUUUACCUUUCGAUAUAUAUAUACGUUUCAUGCAUUAUGCAAUUUUUGUUAUUUGAAAUUUGUGAGUCAAAAAAUUGAAAUAAAUUAGAAGCAAGGGUUUUUUAAACCCUUCAAUGGCGGACGAGGUGGUGUUGUUGGAUUUCUGGCCAAGCCCAUUUGGGAUGAGGCUGAGGAUUGCUCUGGCAGAAAAGGGCAUCGAGUAUGAGUACAAAGAUGAGGACUUGUGGAACAAGAGCCCAUUGGUGCUGCAGGUGAACCCGAUUCACAAGAAGAUCCCGGUUCUCAUUCACAAUGGAAAACCAGCCUAUGAUUCCCUCAUUGCGCUUCAGUACAUUGAUGAGGUUUGGAAUGAUAAGCCUCCACUCUUGCCCUUUGACUCUUACCUCACAGCCCAGGCCAGGUUCUGGGCUGACUUUGUCAACAAGAAGGUGAUUUUUACUCAUUAAUUUACUUAUUUUUUUGGGUAAAAGACUGUUUACCACCCUCUUAUUUCGUGGUUUUCAACAUUUAGUACAUCAAGUUUUUUUCGUCUCAGAGUAAUACCUAAAGUGUAAAUUUUGGGACAGUCUCAUACAUCUGUUAGUCAAACUGUUAGUUCUCCCGUUAAGUGAUGACGUGGCGCUCUGAUUGGACGCCACGUGUCAUUAAAAAAAUAAAAAAUUUAUUUAAAUAAAAAUAAUAUUAAAUAAUAUUAAAAUAAAUAUUAAAAUAUUAAAAUAAUAAUAAUAAUUUUUUUUUUCUUCUUCUCUUCUUCUUUUUUUUUUUUUUUUUCUUCUUCUUCUUCUCUUCUUCUUCUGGUUCGGUUCUUUUUUUUUUUUUUUUUUUUUUUCAUUCUUCCUCCUCCUCCUCCUACUUCUUCCUUCUCCUUCCUCCUCCUUCUUCUUCUCCUUCUUCUUCUUCUUCUGGGUUCGGUUUCUCUCUUUUUUUUUCUCUUUUUUUUCUUCUUCUUCUUCUUCCUCCUCUUUCUCCUUCUUCUUCCUUCUCUUUCCUCCUCCUUCUUCUUCUCCUUCUUCUUCUUCUGGGUUCGGUUUCUCUUCUUUUUUUUUUUUUUUUUUAUCCUUCUUCCUCCUCCUUCUUCUUCCUUCUCCUUCCUCCUCAUUCUUCUUCUCCUUCUUCUUCCUUCUUCUUCCUCUUCUUUUCUGGGUUCGGUUUUUUUUUUUUUUUUUUUCUGUUUUUUUCCUUCUCCUCCUUCCUUCUUAAGAAGGAAGAAGAAGGAGAAGAAGAAUGAGGAGGAAGGAGAAGGAAGAAGAAGAAGGAGGAGGAAGGAGAAGGAAGAAGAAGGAGAAGGAGGAGGAAGAAAAAAAAAAAAAAAAAAAAAAAAAGAGAGAACCGAACCCAGAAGAAGAAGAAGAAGAAAAAAAAAAGAAGAAGAAGAGAAGAAGGAAAAAAAAAAUAUUUUAUUAUUUAAAUAUUUAUUUAAUAUUAUUUUUAUUUAAAUAAAUUUUUUAUUUUUUUAAUGACACGUGGCAUCCAAUCGGGGCGCCACGUCAUCACUUAACGGGAGAACUAACAGUUUGACUAACAGAUGUAUGAGACUGUCCCAAAAUUUACACUUUAGGUAUGACUCUGGGACGAAAAAAACUUGAUGUACUAAAUGUUGAAAACCACGAAACAUGAGGGUGGUAAACAGUCUUUUACCCUAUUUUUUUUGUUGUUUUUUUUAACAAGUGAUAUUAUCUACACUAAAAAGAAGGGGAUAGGUUUAGCCUCACAAUGAGUUAGUAAUAAUUUGGUUCAAAUUCGCCCUUUGCAAGAAUCGAAUCUAAGACUUCUCACUUACAAGUGAAUAAGAAUAUUAUUAGACCAUAGUACAAAGUGGCAAUUUCACAACAUAAUUAAGUUUAGUAUUUUUUUUUCCUUAAAUAUGCUUUUUUUUAUUUUAUUUUAAAAAAAAUCUAUGUUCAAUUUAACAUGAUACUUAAUUUUGUAAGUACCAAUUUGGAAAAAAAAAAUAUUAAAAAAAGGGGUUUUUAAGUACCCACUAUGUUUUGGCUGAAAAGGAACUAACCCAAAAAAAGCUCCAGAUCUGCUGUCUCUUAAAAUGUAUCUAAUAUGAGUCUCCUUGUUAAUAUGUUGACAUGUAUUCUUUAACUUGACUUAAAACUUAACUUUGUUAAUUUUAUUUAUUUAACAUUUAAAUUAAAAAAAAACUAAAAUAAUAAAAAACUGUUGGGUUAACGAGAUGAGCAAAUCCAAAUAGGAUUCUUCACCUUCUUUUUUGGUUUGCUGCAACAAUCGCAAGGAUCAGAAAGAACAAGGCGAGUUUGCUGUGCAUUUUUCUCCUUUGAAACAAUCGUAGUUCCAAAUCUAGCAUCCACACCAACAAACUCACUUGCCUCAACUCCAUCAAUCCAAGUUCGAACUUUUACCAAAACGAAAUUGUUCUCGCUCCCAGGCUUCUUCGAAGCAGAAUCAUCAUCAUGCACUAUAUCCCCGGCAGUGAUAGAGCUCGGAUUACCGACUAGUAGAAUAGUCAAAGCUGAAACAAAAACCAACCCACAAAGCCCCUUUCUUUCUCUCUCUUCCUUCCAUGGCUACAAUCUCUACAAAUCUGUGAUGCAGAGGAGGAAGAACCAAAAGGGUUGUUCUUUCUGAUCCUCGCGAUUGUCGCAGCAAACCAAAAAAGAAGGUGAAGAAUCCUAUUUAGAUUUGCUCACCUCGUUAACCCAACAUUUUUUCAUUAUUUUGGAUUUUUUUAAAUUUAAAUGUUAAGUAAAUAAAGUUAAUAGAAUUAAGUUUUAAGUUAAAGAACAUACGUCAGCAUAUUAAUAAAGAGAUAAAUAAGACACAUUUUAAAUGACAGCAGAACUGGAGCCCCCCAAAAAAGGCACUUUCGAGAAGUUGGUGGAAGCUGAUGGAACUCUCUGUUUUUAUUGUAUUUUUCCCUUCUGGAUUGCUGCAGAACUUUCUGUAGUUCUCAGAGAAACCUUCUGUGCCAUCCUAUAUAUAUACAACUCACUCCCCAACCCUCCUCAUCAGAUAGAAUUAUCCAAAGCAAUCUAAGCAAAAAUCUCUCGCCCAAAUCCUACGAAUUCACACCCAGCAAAAACCCAACUCAAACCCACCAUCUAAUGGCUCUCAGUCUCUUUGGCGGACGACGAAGCAACGUCUUCGACCCCUUCUCUCUGGACAUCUGGGACCCUUUCGAGGGCUUCGGCGCUCUGGCCAACAUCCCCUCAUCCGCCCGUGAAACCACCGCCAUCGCCAACACGCGCAUCGACUGGAAGGAGACCCCGGAGGCCCACAUCUUCAAGGCGGAUCUCCCGGGGAUAAAAAAGGAGGAGGUGAAAGUGGAGGUGGAGGACGGGAGAGUCCUGCAAAUCAGCGGCGAGAGGAGCCGGGAGCAGGAGGAGAAGAACGACAAGUGGCACAGGGUGGAGAGGAGCAGCGGCAGGUUUAUGAGGAGGUUCAGGCUGCCGGAGAACGCGAAACUUGAUCAGGUGAAGGCGGCGAUUGAGAAUGGGGUGCUGACUGUGACUGUGCCGAAAGAGGAGGAGAAGAAGCCUGAGGUCAAGGCCAUUGACAUUUCCGGUUAAACUAAAUUCGCGUAACCUCGAUCGGCUACUUUUGAGCUCUGUUUUGGUGUGGUGUUAAGUUCUGCUUGUGUGUAUUUCCGAGUCUCUCUGUAUGUGAGAUGAGUGAUAUGGCGUGUCAAUUGUCAUGUAUGGGUUCUUAUUCUAAAUAUUAUAAUAAAUCUUUAUAAAAGUUUACAUUAUAUUUCCAAGAAGUGUGUCUGGGAGAAGGUCUAUUUAAUUUGUUUUCCACGAAUAUGAAGAAGAUGACCGUUCAUGGCGCGAUUCUCUUGCUCUUAAAGUCUAGAACUUUAACACCUGCGCAUGGAAUUGACAAAGAUUCUUUCGAUCUUCACAUGUGCUACUGCUAUUGGGAACCAGCUGCUGAGCUCGUGCGUCCUACGAAGGUUGCAGAGGUGUAUCAGGCAAAGAAGAAAGUUAGAGAUACAAAUUUUGUAUGGGAGAAGUAAUGCUCAAGUCGACAGUCCAGCAAAGGCGACAUUGAAGACAUCUUACUUACUCCAAGAGCAUAUGGCGAAUGCUCGAAGUUGCUUAAUUAGGACAUGGUUCUACAGUGGUCGAAAUUCCUAGCUGCUGUUUUUGGUUUAUUUUCAAGGUUAUAUUUUCAAGAGAACUUUAACGAAAAACUUCCAGUACUGUUUACUUUAACGAAAAAUCAUAUUUUUACACUAAAAAAUUAAUCAUGCUAUUAUUCAUUUUACCUUUUAUUUUAUCCUUACUGUUAAAACUCAAAAUUUUUAAGUCAUUUUUAUUAGUUUUUCUUAUUUUCAACUGUUUUUGGUUUGACUCGUGAACAAGGUUGUGUUUGCAAUUUUAAACCGGUGAUUGUUUCUUUUGUUUCUUUUGGUUUUUAGUUUGGAUAUUAAAAGUGUUGUACCGUUUUAAUAUAAAACAAAGCUUUUGAGUACUUCCAUGGUCAUCUUAACCCUGGAUGCAAAACGAGAUUGAUUCAAUCCUAAACGAGAUCAAUUAUUUAAGUGAAAUCAACCGCUGUAUUUUACUUGUAGACUAGAGCUGACAUAUCUUUUGUUGUGAAUUUUAGCAAGGUACAACAAUGCGCCUACACGUAGACACUAGACAUAUGUCCAAGUCAUCCUGCAAUUACUUUAUAGGUAUAGUGAAAUGAUGAUCAAACCCUAAAUUCUAAACCCUAAACCCUAGGGAAAAGUAAUUGAUGACAAAAAUACUGAGAAAUAAAAUUUGACUUCCUUCAGCUUUCGACCUUCCCUAGGUAGAUAUCCAUAUAGUAGCUUUUUCAACUUUGUAUCGGUCGUAUUCUUGAAUUUGGAAGGAAAAGAGGAGUAAUGCUUCCUAGCAUGGGACAUAGAAUAAGACCUAGAAUAAGGCCACUUAGAUUAGAAUAGCAUUCACAGAAAUGUUCUAACAUAGAGUUAAAUCGAACAUUGAAGAGAUUAGUUGGUCGUUAUUGGGACGGGUUCAAACAGGACUGCAAUCAAUAAUAAAAAAAAUAAAAAAUAAAAGAAUGAAGGAGCGGAACCUUCCUUUGACUCAAGCCAACCCCAGGUCAGGACGAGACUUUCUUUGUGCUACCAAUUAGUGAAAUUCUAUCUCUUUCUUACACAACUAAAAAAUGGGCAACAACUCUUGAAUCAAAAGCCUUCUAAGUUAUGCUGAUGAUGGUUAUUUAAACCGUACAAAGCGCGUUUCUAGAACGAUUUAUGUCUUUAAAUUCAUUCUAUGCGUUGAAGAAAUGACUUUUCUCAAUUGUAAGGGAUUAGUAAUCUUGCUAAAAAUGAUGAAAAAAGGAUUACAUGAAUUGUUGUUUGUACAAAAAUUAUUAAUAAAAGUUGUAGUUUAUCGUUUAAUGUUUCAAUUUUAUUUUCAUCUAAUUUUUUGGAGCUUUUUGUGAAACUUUAUAGGCCUAAGCAUGAUCUAUCACCGAUAUGAUCCCAACUUAACCACGUAUGGCUUAGUGUUGGGUUUUAUCCCAAAAUGACUGGUAAUAUUAGGGGUGAAAACUCUUAUUUAUUAAUAGUGUUGCAGUCCUAUUAGAUUAAGAAUUUGAUUGUGUAAAUCCUAACUUAUAUAUGAUAUCCUUAUGUGAUUCUACCAUAUAUUUUAGACUAUAUAUUAUCCUUUUACAGUUGUAAUUCUAUUGGGGUAAGGAAUUUACCUUCACUACUACUAUAAAUAAAGGCACUAUGGGAUGAUAUAACACACACCUCACAAUUACACAUCUAUCUCUUCUCUCUCUAUGUGAUGCACCCCCUCUCUCUGGCAUUCAUAAGUGUUCAGUAAAUUAUGCCUACAAUACAUUAUCAGCACGCUCUUGAUGCUACGCUAAAGAGAGUUUAUUCUUCAUUCAGUGAAGUAUUACGUUUUAAUCAUUCUUUUUAUGAUUAAUUUAUUAUUUUAUUGAAUUGACCUACAUGCUAUUUGUUGAUGCACAAAACCGGAGGGGUCUUGGAACAACGUAAAUCUGACCGUGAAUCUGCAAGAAAUUAAAUAACACAAGAUGUAUCGUGGUUCAUCCCAAUGUUCGGGCUACGUCCACACUGAUAUUGUAUUUCUCUGUUUGUGAGAGGAUUGUGAGGGUGAGAGCCUCUGUAAUGUGAGAGUGAUGCUUCUCUUUAGGGAUCUGAGACCCUUCCGUUUGUGAGGGUGAGGAUACCCCUUUUAUAGACUAAGAGCUCCUCACUUAUUACAUAUUUCCCCCUUCAUUUAUUACAUAAUUACAUUUGAGUCCCCCGAGUAUUUAUACGAGGUCUAAAUACGGAGGCCCUAAGUAUGGUACAAACAGUAGUCCCCCAAGUCUUCAGUCAAGAGAGUCUUUUGGCUAGAGACUUGAAAUUCAGUCCAUGUGUAGGCCGAAGUAACUAGAUGUCGUCUAGGACUGAUACUCGAUAUGAAGCGGUGCUCAAUCUGAAAUAAUGUUCAACUAGAAGUAGCACAUGUUGCAAGGCUGCUCGGUUUGUGGCUUAUGUUGCCUUGGUUGGCUCGGCUUGUGGCGUUGAAGGUGAGGGAGUCCCUUUUAUAAAAUAAGGGCUCGCUCCUCAAUACAUAAGUGAUGGGCUAGAGUUUAUGCUCGCGGCGAGACGGUUGCUCAGCUGGCGACGAUGCUCUCUAAUGAUGGUGAGGGAGUCCCUUUUAUAGAAUAAGGGAUCGCUCCUCAAUACAUAAGUGAUGGGCUAGAGUUGAUGCUCACGGCGAGACGGUUGCUCAGCUGGCGACGCUGCUCUCUAAUGAUGGUGAGGGAGUCCCUUUUAUAGAAUAAGGGAUCGAUCCUUAAUACAUAAAUGAUGGGUUAGGAGUGAUGCUCGCGGCGAGGUGGUUGCUCAGCUGGCGGCGAUGCUCUCUAAUGAAGGUGAGGGAGUCCCUUUUAUAAAAUAAGGGAUCGCUCCUCAGUACAUGAAUAAUGGAUGCUUUCUAAUGAAAGUGAAUGAGUCACUUUUAUAGAAUAACGACUCGCUCCUCAAUACAUAAAUAAUGGGUUAGAGUCCCCCAAGUAUUUUUCAUGAGGCCCAGUUGAGGCCCAAUAUAUGGUACAUAAUGUAGUUCCCCAAGUCUUCAGUCAAUAGGGUCUGUUGGCUGGAGACUUCAAAUUGAAUCCAUGUAUGGGCCGAAGUGGUGGUUGUUCGGAGACGGUAUUUGUAUAUCCUUGUCACACCCCGGACCCGGGGUAGGUGGAAAAUUCGAUCCCAAGUCUGAAACGCGAACUAAAAACUAAAUAAAUAAAAUAAAACGGAAACGGGUUGGAAAAUAAAAUUCUUCUUAUUUAAAAUAACUCAAUAAUUCUUUACAAGGCUAAAUAAAUAAAUACAAAUUCUAGCCUCACAUCUAUCUCGUUUCAUCCCGUCUACCAUUUUGACAGUUUAGUUAGUAAACCUGCAUAACAAUAGAGGGGUGAGCUUCAACAGCUCAGUAGGAACAUAACCUUACCACAGUAAAAUUGACAAUACUAAAUUACGUGUUAUAAAAUCAUGUAAUCAAGUACCAAAUCAUUCUCGAUAACAAUGCAUGAAUGCAAUGCAAAACUCUUCAUCUUUGCCCGUUAAUUCAUAUAAUAAAACACGCGGACCUGCACGUCCCAUACCGUGCAUUUUACCUCUGCAGUGGUGGUUCGAAUGUUUUAAUAUACAAAUUAACCCCAUGUAACUCAAUCAUCCCAAUUUCCCAAACUCUUCGUCGCCAGUCCCGAAUUACCCUUAAAGAAUUUAUGCAUUGUGGGCUCGCCUGAGACCUGGUACCUGCUAAGAGUUUGGCUCAACUACACAAAAGAUAUUUCCAACUACCCUCAUUUCCAGAAUUCCUUCCUCAACACCAAACUUCCAACUAUUCUCACACAUAAGUGAUGCACAAAUAAUCUCAUUUCAUCAUUCACAUGUACCAGAACAUAUUCUCAGCGAAUAUAACUUCACCAAUAAUUUCGUAUCCAAUAACGAGUAAACACACAAGAGCAGUAUUUGUCCAAUUAGUAAACCAUAUCACAUUAAUCAACCAACAAGAUCGAUAAUAAUAUAAUGUUUCACGAAAUUUAAUAAAGCCAAUCUCCGUAAAGGUCUGCCGUAUUUCCCUUACCUAGAGUCCAAAGCAAGCAAACAAUGUCCCUUACCAACACCUCGAUUAAACACAACCAUCGUGGUAACUGGAGUCCCUGAUCCAACAAAUAAACUAUAUCACUGUAUAAUCCCUAUAUCUAACACCCAAUAUAAACUCCUUUAUUUUAGAAUUCCAAUAUUAGGCUUAACAUCACCUUAUCUUAGUUGGACCCUUAAAACAUUUUUCUUUCUUAUUUGGGUCCUAAAAAAUUUCUCAAUUAUAUACAUGCUACCAAGAAGCAUUUGCCCACAAAACAAUUCUAAAAUCACAGUUUUGUCCCAAGCCUUCGGGUAAUAACAAAACUACCCUUAACUUUCAGAGAACUGUAAAAUGGCCCCAAAUCUGAACUUCUAUUUCAGUUUGGUCCCUGUAGGGUGAAUAGUGAUAUUCAUGGCUAUUUUCCAGAUUGGUUCCUCUUGUCUUUCAAUCCAAAACAUGUCUAAACCCAUUUAUCAUGAUCUCUAAGUACCAAAUCACCAUUCAAGUUCACCAAGUUCCCUUAAUUUCGUAACAGCCACAAAAUAUCAAGGUUUAAAAACCAUGAAAUAAUUCUAGGGUUUGCAGCAGCUAGCCCAUAAAGAAUAUAACCUCAAUUCGUUCAGUUAUGCUUCCAAUAAGCUUAAUCCACCAUAAACAACAUUUAAAUUUAAAGAUUAAAGUUUGUGUAGGAAUAAAUCCCAAAAAUGGCAGCUUUCAAAAUCUGCAGUAAAUCCAUAAAUUAUUACUUGAGAUUUGUAAUACUCUUCCCCACGAAAGUGGAAUCAAAUUCGAACUUCCAAAUCAAAAGUUAAGAGAAAAUUGGUGUUUGGUUGAGACAAGGAGAUGAAGCUCAUUGCUUCCUCUUUGCAUCUUUCCGUGAAGAGAAGAAGAAAGACCAUUAGGUCUUUCGAUCCAAUAUAUAGGUGCACUUGCACCGCUUUCUUCAUUUGUGAUCCAAUGUCCACUUGCCACGUUUCAACGUAAUUCUAUCUUCUUCUUAAGGUCCAACUAAAACCUGCCAAGUGGUAGACUUGGCACUUAUUUGAGAACCCGGAUCAUAUCCUUUUGCUGUCACCUUCAGGAGCUGUCAUGUGGUGAUUCGCCAUUGGUCCAGCUUGUAAAUUCAAUUAAAACCUACACUCCGAAAAAUCAUCUAAAAGAUUAUACAAAAUCGCAAUGACGUUCACUACCUUCAUAUGAAAACCUUUUGAAUAAAUAAGCACAACAUAUUUUUUCCAAAUAUUUUUCUUAUUCAAUAAUAAAUUCUUGGGAUAUUACAAUCUUGCACUAAAGCUUUGUAGGUGAAGCUUUGCAAGUGAAGCUUUGAAGCUAGAGCUCUGUAAAUGAAGCUUUCGAAGUUGGAGCUUUUGUAAAUGAAGCUUUUGAAGCUAGAGCUUUGUAAAUGAAGCUUUCGAAGCUGGAGCUCUAUAAAUGAAGCUUUCGAAGCUAGAACUCUAUAAAUGAAGCUUUCGAAGCUAGAGCUUUGUAAAUGAAGCUUUUGAAGCUAGAGCUUUGUAAAUGAAGCUUUCGAAGCUGGAGCUCUAUAAAUGAAGCUUUCGAAGCUAGAGCUUUGUAAAUGAAGCUUUCGAAGCUAGAGCUUUGUAAAUGAAGCUUUUGAAGCUAGAGCUUUGUAAAUAAAGCUUUUGAAGCUAGAGCUUUUGUAAAUGAAGCUUUUAAAGCUAGAGCUCUGUAAAUGAAGCUUUUGAAGCUAGAACUUUUGUAAAUGAAGCUUUUGAAGCUAGAACUCUGUAAAUGAAGCUUUCGAAGCUAAAUUGACAUGAGUGAUGCUCAUGAAUGUUUAUGUUGAUUGACAUGAGUGAUGCUUAUGAAUGUUAACAUGAGUGAUGCUUAUGAAUGUUGACAUGAAUGAUGGUCAUGAAUAUUUAUGUAUGAUUGACAUGAGUGAUGUUCAUGAAUGUUUAUGUAUGAUUGACAUAAGUGGUGCUCAUGAAUGUUUAUGUAUGAUUGAUAUGAGUGAUGCUCAUGUAUAAUUUUGGAGUACUGGACAUACUUUUGAUCACCUGGUUGGUGAUAAUAGCGGCAGGCUGCCGAAUAAUUUUGGGAGUACUGGACGUACUUUUGAUCACCUGGUUGGUGAUAAUAACGGCAAGGUGUCGAAUAAUUUUGGAAGUACUGGGCGUACUUUUGAUCACCUGGUUGGUGAUAAUAGCGGCAGGGUGCCGAAUAAAUUUGGAGCCAUAAGGCUUGGCUCUUUUGGGCAUAUGGCCCUUCGCCAUCCACAUGACAUUGCAGCCCAUUAUUUUAGGCUUGCCUUUUUUUUAUAUUUUAUUUUAUUUUUAUGAUUACCCUCUGAUGGGGUUAUACAGAUGUCUUUGAAAGAUAAGAAAAAUAAAUUACAUCAUUCAAAAAUAAAUCUGACCCUCUGCUCAAUGGGUCACGCCCAUAAUUCUCUUUUCUGCAUGUCAUCACCACAACAAUUAUGUCUGCUUUUUUUUUUUUUUAUCUUAUUUUGCUUUGCUGCUUUUGUUUUUCCCACUUCAUUUCCUGCAACUUUCAAAACGUCAAGGUUGGCAGAGCCCAUCUGCAGACUUGCUUUUGCUUUUUCUUUUCACUUUUAUGGGAGUGGUUGAGCUGUCUGAGGGCCUUUCUUUUUCUUUUGUUGGAUAAGUGCGACAAAGCAUCAAUAUGCUAGCACAUGUGAAUAUCUGGUAAAGCUAAGUCUUUUGUUGGGAAAAGUUAUUCCUUUUGUCUAAGUGGGUUGUUGAAGAUAACCCAUCAUUGCAGCUCCACCACAAGUUUGCAUCUUAGCUUCCAUGCUCGCCGACAGUACCGUAUGGACUGGAUUCCAAUGUUCAGUUGCAAACUCGCAGCCAUUUGGACCGUCACCAGGAAGCCUUGAAUUGAAACACACAUUGUUUUACUGAAAACAGCAACUUUCUCUUCCUCUCCUCAGAAACAACUUAGCACCUAGAACAGAGAGGGAAACAUCCUGCGGACGGCAAGGUCACCGAGAAGCUUGUAACGGAGAGACUUGGCCUGAGCAAUAGCGCACAGCCCUCUGUUGUUAACCUUCUCAACGUAAAGCUCAACGCUGUUUUCUGGAAACUUAAACCUCUUCUGUACAACAGAGGUUAGCUCCCUGAUCCUCAUCCCCUUCUCUCCGAGAACGUUUUGGGUUCAGGUGGCUCGGAUGAUGAUCUGGGUUCGCAUCGGCAUAACCCUAACUUCAACGCCGGAGUAGCCGUCUUCGGCGAGCUCUCUCGUCAACACCUCGUUCAGCUCGGCGAAGAAAACGUCAUUGGCGAUGAACAUUCUGCGGACGGCAAGGUCACCGAGAAGCUUGUAACGGAGAGACUCGGCCUGAGCAAUAGCGCACAGCCCUCUGUUGUUAACCUUCUCAACGUAAAGCUCAACGCUGUUUUUUGGAAACUUAAACCUCUUCUGUACAACAGAGGUUAGCUCCCUGAUCUUCAUCCCCUUCUCUCCGAUAACGUUUUGGGUUCAGGUGCCUCAAAUGAUGAUCUCGGUUUGCAUCGGCAUAACCCUAACUUCAACGCCGGAGUAGCCGUCUUAGGCGAGCUCUCUCGUUAGCACCUCGUUCAGCUCGGCGAAGAAAACGCCAUUGGCGAUGAACUUUCGCUUCUUGCUCAUUUGGGUCGCAGUCGCCAUGGUUGUGGGUGUGAAAGUUGCAGAGAUGGGAUCUGAAAUAUGGUGGCAGGAGAGGAUUCAAGGCCACCUGGGUAUCUACAACAUUGUUCAACUUGAUGCCAAACUGAAAGUACAGGGCCUCACUAUCUCGUUUGCAAUCAUGAAUGACUUUGGUGAUAUAGGAAUACUCAAGUGCAGGCUUACAGGCAUUGAUCAGCAUCACCCCUCCCUGAAUGGCAUCAACCAGAUAUAUAGCAUUUGGAAAUACAAGCUGCAUGAUACAGAGAGUUCCAUGACGACAAAGGUUAACUCCCUUGCAAUCAAAACCAAUGACAAAUGGCCUUUCAGCUGAAAGCUGGGCCAGGCGAAAGAGGAAUGUGAGUCUAUAAAGGAGGAGGUACAGAGGUCAUGCGAUCGGACCAUCCACGCCAAUCUUUAAUUUUGCCUCCAAACCAACGAAACCCUGAUUGUCUCUUAUUCUCUCUCUUCUCAUAUGCUGAUUGAAUGAGUGUGAUUGUAACUGACAAAUAAUGGUAGAGAGAGAAAAAGUUUGUGGUGUUUUGUUUGAAAAGGUGAAAGAGAUCAGAAGCAAAAGUGAGGUAGAGAGAAUUUUGGUUGUCUCUUGGGUUUUGCAGAUCCACGGCGAAGGUGAAAAUUGAGAUAGGACCGACAUAGCUUUUCGUGUCACUUCCCACAGACGACGCCAAAUGUUGAUGCACAAAACCGGAGGGUCUUGGAACAAUGUAAAUCCGACCGUGAAUGUGCAAGAAAGUAAAUAACACAAUAUGUAUCGUGGUUCACCCCAAUGUGCGGGCUACAUCCACAUUGAUAUUGUAUUUCUCUGUUUGUAAAAGGAUUGUGAGGGUGAGAGCUUCUGUAAUGUGAGAGUGAGGCCUCUCUUUGGGGAUCUGAGACCCUUUCGUUUGUGAGGGUGAUGAGGCCCCUUUUAUAGACUAAGGGCUUCUCACUUAUUACAUAUUUCCCCCUUCAUUUAUUACAUAAUUACAUUUGAGUCCCCCGAGUAUUUAUACAAGGUCUAAAUACGGAGGCCCUAAGUAUGGUACAAACACUAUUGAUUCAAUUUAAUUUUUUAUUUGUUGAACGUGAUACAACACAUUGGAGAUGCAAUUCCGGCUUUCCGAGAAAGAUGUUCUACAAAUUUAAAGGCUUUUGUUGUUUUAUGUUAAUCAGGUACGUUUAAAAUAAAUGAAGAUAUUUGAAACGACCAUGAAGCAUGGAAACAUUCCCCAUGAUGCAUGAACCCCUUACAAUUAUAUUUACCUUUCGAUAUAUAUAUACGUUUCAUGCAUUAUGCAAUUUUUGUUAUUUGGAAUUUGCGAGUCAGAGAAUUGAAAUAAAUUAGAAGCAAGGGUUUUUCAAACCCUUCAAUGGCGGAUGAGGUGGUGUUGUUGGAUUUCUGACCAAGCCCAUUUGGGAUGAGGCUGAGGAUUGCUCUGGCAGAAAAGGGCAUCGAGUAUGAGUACAAAGAUGAGGACUUGUGGAACAAGAGCCCACUGUUGUUGCAGAUGAACCCGAUUCACAAGAAGAUACCGGUUCUCAUUCACAAUGGAAAACCAGCCUAUGAUUCCCUCAUUGCGCUUCAGUACAUUGAUGAGGUUUGGAACGAUAAGGCUCCACUCUUGCCCUUUGACUCUUACCUUAUAGCCCAGGGCUGACUUUGUCAACAAGAAGGUGAUUUUUACUCAUUAAUUUACUUAUUUUUUGUUGUUGUUUUUUUUUUUUCAACAAACGAUAUUAUCUACACUAAAAAGAAGAUGGUAGGUUUAGCCUCACAAUGAAUUAUUAAUAAUUUGGUUCAAAUUCGCUAUUUGCAAGAAUCGAACCUAAGACCUCUCACUUACAAGUAAAAAAGAAUAUCCCUAUACCGUAGUACAAGAUGACAAUUUCACAACAUAAUUAAGUUUAGUAUUUUUUUUCUAAAAUAUGCUCUUUUAUUUAUUUUUAAAAAAUCUAUGUUCAAUUUGACAUGAUACUUAAUUUUCUAUGUACCAAUUUGGAAAGAAAAAAAAUUUAAAAAAAAGGGGUUUAUAAGUACCAACUAUGUUUUGGGCCGAAAAGGAACUAACCCAAAAAAAGGGCCUUUCGAGAAGUUGGUGGAAGCUGAUGGAACUCUCUGUUUUUAUUGUUUUUUUUCCCUUCUGGAUUGCUGCAGAACUUUCUGUAGUUCUCGGUGAAACCUUCUGUGCCAUCCUAUAUAUAUACAACUCACUCCACAACCCUCCUUAUCAGUUAGAAUUAUCCAAAGCAAUCAAAGCAAAAUCUCUCACUCAAAUCCUUCGAAUUCACACCCAGCAAAAACCCAACUCAAACCCACCAUCUAAUGGCUCUCAGUCUCUUUGGCGGACGACGAAGCAACGUCUUCGACCCCUUCUCUCUGGACAUCUGGGACCCUUUCGAGGGCUUCGGCGCUCUGGCCAACGUCCCCUCCUCCGCCCGUGAAACCACCGCCAUCGCCAACACUCGCAUCGACUGGAAGGAGACCCCGGAGGCCCACAUCUUCAAGGCGGACCUCCCUGGGAUAAAAAAGGAGGAGGUGAAAGUGGAGGUGGAGGAUGGGAGGGUCCUGCAGAUCAGCGGCGAGAGGAGCCGGGAGCAGGAGGAGAAGAACGACAAGUGGCACAGGGUGGAGAGGAGCAGUGGCAAGUUUAUGAGGAGGUUCAGGCUGCCGGAGAACGCGAAACUUGAUCAGGUGAAGGCGGCGAUGGAGAAUGGGGUGCUGACUGUGACUGUGCCGAAAGAGGAGGAGAAGAAGCCUGAGGUCAAGGCCAUAGACAUUUCCGGUUAAACUAAAUUCGCAUAACCUCGAUCCGCUACUUUUGAGCUUUGUUUUGGUGUGGUGUUAAGUUCUGCUUGUGUGUAUUUCCGAGUGUCUCUGUAUGUGAGAUGAGUGAUAUGGUGUGUCAAUUGUCAUGUACGGGUUCUUGUUCUAAAUAUUUAUAAUAAAUCUUCAUAAAAGUUGGAGUACAUUAUAUUUCCAAGAAGUGUCUCCGGGAGAAGGUCUAUUUAAUUUUUUUUCCACGAAUAUGGAGAAGAUGACCGUUCAUGGCGCGAUUCUCUUGCUGUUAAAGUCUAGAACUUUAACACUUGCGCACAGAAUUGACAAAGAUUUGUUCGCUCAUGACAUGUGCUACUGCUAUUGGGCGCCAGCUGCUGAGCUCGUGUCUCCUACGAAGAUUGCAGAGGAGUAUCAGGCAAAGAAGAACGUUAGAGAUGCAAAUUUUGUAUGGGAGAAAUAAUGCUUAAGUCGACAGUCCAGCAAAGGCGACAUUGAAGACAUCUUACUUACUCCAAGAGCAUAUGACGAAUGCUCGAAGUUGCUUAAUUAGGACAGAGUCCUAUAGUGGUCGAAAUUCCUAGCUGCUGUUUUUGGUUUAUUUUCAAGGUUAUAUUUUCAACUGUUUUUGGUAUAACUUGUGAACAAGGUUAUAUUUUCAAAUUUUAAACUGGUGAUUGUUUCUUUUGGUUUUUAGUUUGGAUAGUAGAGGUGUUGCACCGUUUUAACAGGAUAAAACAAAGCUUUUGAGUACUUCCAUGAUCAUUCUAACCUGGAUGCAAAACAAGAUCGAUUUCACCCCAAAACGAGAUCAAUUACUUAAAGUGAAAUCAAAGUUGUAUUGUACUCGGUACACUAGAGUUGACAUAUCCUUUGUUGUGAAUUUUAGCAAGGUACAACAAUGCGCAUACACAUAAAUACUAGACAUGUGUCCAAGUCAUCCUGCAAUUACCUUAAAGGUACAGUGGAAUGAUGUUCGCCUUCUAAGUUAUGCCGAUGAUGGUAAUUUAAACUGCAACUGUACAAAGCGUGUUUUUAGAACGGGUUAUGUAUAUUCCAUUAGAGAUAUUGUAAUAUUGUGUAUAUCAACCAAACAGGACUUCGUUACUACGUCUUUAAAUCACAUUGAAAUUUUAGCCUAUGCAAAGUAUCGCAUGAAUGAUUUUGGCUGAGGCACGUGAUUGAUCACAUUAGACCUUUAUGUGGUUUUUCUUACAUAGUUGAUGUUCCAAGAACAAUUUAUGAAGACAACAAUGCAUUUAUCGACCAAUUAAAGAAAUGAUCCACCAAAGGCAACAUUACAAAGUAUACCGUCACGAAGUUUUUCUUCACUCAUUGGCAACAAAAGCAUCAGGAGAUCAAAGUUAAGCAAAUCCGAUCCUAAGACAACUAUGCUGACCUCUUCAUGAAGUCAAUACGAAAUCUACUUUUCAAAAGCUUGUUCAUGAAAUUAGACUGCAUAAUCUUUUAAAUUUAUGUCACUGAUAAUUCUCUUGGAGAGUUUUAUCGAACUCAGGAGAGUAUCUUAUAGUAUACUUACAUGAUCUUAACAUACGUUUUUCCUUAUGAUCAAGAGUAGUUUUCCUAUUGAAUUUUUGCUAACUUGACGAAUUUUUUUGAUGAAGUACCUACACUUGACUGGUCAUACGCUUGUGUGUUUUAAUAAUCAUUCUAAAUAUGUGAAAUAUCGCAUCAUGUAUUAACUCAUUUUUUUCCCCGUAAGUCUACUGGUUGUCAGAGCAAGGUUUUUACCGAUAGUUGAGGACAACAAUGCUACUUCUUAAGUUGUACAUACUUAAGUAGGAGUGUUGUGAAUAGAAUCAUUAAUUAGGAACGUGAUUGUGUAAACUAAAAGUAGAAUUCCACAAGGAUUUGGAGAUCAAAUAAUUAUUGGCUUUGUAUUACUUAUAAGGGAAGAAAGUCCAUCAUAAUUAGUAUUAAAAAGUUACAUGCUAGGGGUGAACACACCAUUCUUAUACAUACGAGCCCUUCUCUCUAUGUCGUCCCCUUCCUUUAUCAACGGUCGCGGGUCUGUUGUCCCUAAUUGUGGUGUCUCUUUUCUAAUUUCUCAACACGUGUACCACCCAUUUCACCUAGCCUUCACCCCAUUAAAUUUUUAAGGGACCUAGGUGGUUUCAGGACCACCCCGAUGCUCAGAUAAUUCGUUAUUAGAACUUCUAAGGACCACCCCAGUCUGGGCAGUGAAGGGAAAGAGCAACGGCUACAUACUGUUCUGGCUUUUUGCAAACCAGAAUGAGAGAAGAAGAAGAAGGCCAAUUCUUUUUUAAACGGUAUCCUAGGUCACAUGCUAGUCACAUUGAUUAUUCAAGUAAAGAGUAAUGUUAGGGAGACUAAAUUUGUAAAAAAAAAUUGCAAACUAAAUGAUAUAUCAUCAAUAAGAAAUGAGCAUGUUUAUCAACGCUUAAGUAAUAAUCCAAUCAUUAACUUUCAUAUCAUUUAGUUUAUAAAUUUUGUGUAAAAAUUUAGUUUUCAUAGCAUUACUCUUAAAUAAAACGAUGAGCAUCGAUGUGGUGUUUGAAAACUCAUUCUAGGUCACGUAUGAGAUUGAGAGCCUCACCAUUCUUUUAAUAAAAAAUAAAAAAAGAGUUCGACUUUCAAAGAAGGGUAAAUUACACAAAACUACCUCACUUAUUGGUCGAACCACAAUUUCAUACCCCCAUGUUUUAAAAAUUACAAUGUCAUACCUCAUCUUAUGAAUUUGUUGCAAUGUCAUAUCUCUGUCAGUUUUUUUGUCAAUUUAUCUGUUAAAUGCUGACGUGGCUUGAGGCGAUGCCCACUCCCUAAUCCAACUGGAUUAAAAAAAUUAAUUAAAUAUAAAACAAAUUAAAAAAAAUUCAUUUCAAUUAUUUUGUAAAAAACGUGGGGCCCACCAUGACCCUCAACCUUCUUCCCAGUCUACUAAGAGCAGUUCCACCGGAGGUGGAAUAGCCUAGCACCUAGUCAAAAAACCAGGCUAGGACCCUGUCAAUCUACUCCAGCCCGUGGAAUAGACUGGCACCCAGCUCAAGCCAGUCCACAGGCCGGCCUAAAAUCGACAGAGGAAGGAGACGGCUCAUAUGAUGCCAUGCUAACGUCAUGGCCACAUCUCUCUCAUCUGGAACCCCAUUCGACGCCUAGAACCCCAUCCCGAUCCUUGGAACCCAUCCCGAUGGAGCGAGCGGGCUUGGAGGCGAGGGGGGAGGUUGAGGUUGUUGAGCUUGAUCUUGCAGAAGCAUGGGGAGAAUGAAGGGUGAACGACGGAGCGAGCGGGCUUGGAGGCGACGAGGAUCUUGAGAGCGAGAUUGCCCACUGUGACACGCACAAAUGGGCAUGGAUCCAUUUUUCACCAGCAAAAUAAAAUCAAAGGGGGAAAUGCUAAUGCGCCUAUGCCUCUCUCCCUCUCUCCCUCUCUCAGUUGAGUGUUGGGGCAAAUAGUGUUGUUGCUGCCAUUGAUUUCUGGCAAGUGGGAAGAAGAAGAAGGAGAAGAAGACGACAGGAGUCAGAGAAAAAGGAGUCGGAGAGAAAAGUCAGAAAUUAAAAAACCAAAUUAUUAUUUUAUAGUAAAAAUUAAUAAUAUUUUAAUAAAAUUGACUAGGCUAUAUUUUGUUAGGGGUGGAGAUGUUUUGGUCUAUUACUGUUCACUGUGGUCUAUUACUGUUCAUUUGAGUGGAUAAAUGCGCUGGGUGCUGGCGCAAAGUCUUUAGGGGUGGAAUUGCUCUAAGCCUUCUUUUCCAGUCCACCGACGAUCUCCAUAUCCAUCAUCUGCCACCACACCAUCAUCCCCACCACCACUUCUGCCUUCUUAAUCGUCGUCAAAUCUUAAUUUUCUGGUGCGUCUCUGUCACCGCAUCCAAACAUCGCCAGAACCCUAAUGUCUCUAGGAAAUCGCAACCCCCAGAACCAAGUCGGCUCAGUUUCUGCUGAAAAGCGAUCCGGCGACGUUGAUUGUGUGAUGACGGCCUGAUCAGAAAUGACAAAGCCCUCUCACCAAAUCAUCUUCCACUCCUCCGAUUCUCACCGGCGACGGCCUGGCAGUUAUUGUUCUUGCUGUUGCGGAACUAAUUCUUCACCAAAAUUGAACGAUUGGGAGAUCCAGGGCGGUUCACGAAUCGUACAGAUGACGACAACGGGGAAGGAGAAUGGGCGUACAUGAAGAGGUGCGUAGGGGAGAUGAAACGUGUGAAGAACGUCAACAACCUAGAGGAGAACCUCCAAGAUGUGGACGACGUGAAGCCCGAUAAUGAGGAAGAAAAUAACGGCCCAGCCUCCUUUCCCGAACCCCAAACUAAAACACAAAAAAACCCGAUCGAUUGGUGCUAAGAAUUUGAAAUUUAGGGUUAGGGUUUGGAUGAAAUUGGGGUAUUUUGUAUAAAAUUGGUUACAGGGAUUAAUUUGGUGAGGGUGAUAGGUGUGUAGGAGGGGGAGAGGGAUGAGCGCCAUGGGAGGGAGUUGGAGAUGGAGGAAGAGAAGGGGGAAGUUGCAGAGAGGUGAGAGGGAAGGAAGGGGAUUUUGGUGCGGGUUUGGUUUCCUUUUUUCUUUUCUUUUUUUAAUUUUUUAUUUUUUUUAAUAUUUAGUUAAUUUUUUAAUCUAGUUGGAAUUGAAAAUGGGCCCCAUCUCAAGUCAUGUCAGCAUUUAACAAAGAGAUUGACAGAAAACCUAACGGAGGUCUGAUAUUGUAACAAAUUUGUAAGAUGAGGUAUGACAUUGAAAUGUUUUAAAGACGGGAUAUGAAACUAUGAUUGGCCUAAUAGUUGAGGUAGUUUUAUGUAAUUUAUCCUUCAAAGAAAGUCCACCCCACGCAAAUUAACUCCCUAAUCCCCGGAUUUGGAUCCCAUAUCCAAAUCCAAAUCCAAAUUAUGGUGAUCCUAGGGAUCCUCACAUCUUAGCCAUUCAUCGUGUAUCGUGCGGUCAGAAAUUAUUUGACUUUUUUUAUUUAAAAUUAAACACAAAUAGUACCUAACAAAAACUGACCACAUGAUGUACGAUGAAUAACUAGGAUGUGGGGAUCCCUAUGAUCUCCACAAAGUGGAUCCUGAGAGGAUCCUCUUCCUUAAUUUCCACCAUCAUCAACACAGAACCAAUAUCUUCUCCAGUCUUCACACACCUAUCGACACUUCAAGAUCAACUUGGUAUUUAUAUUUAUUCUAUGAAGAAAUGGCUUUUCUCAAUUGUAAGGGAUUAAUAAUCUUACUAAAAAUGAUGAAAAAAGGGUUACAUGAAUUGUUGUUUGUACAAAAAUUAUGAAUAAAAAGUUGUAGUUUAUCGUUUAAUGUUUCAAUUUUAUUUUCAUCUAAUUUUUUGGAGCUUUUUAUGAAACUUUAUAGGCCUAAGCAUGGUCCAUUACCAAUAUCACUGAUAUGGUCCCAACUUAACCACCUAUGGCUAGGUGUUGGGUUUUAUCCCAAAAGGACUGAUGAUAUUAGUGGUGAAAACUCUUAUAUAUUGAUUGUAUAUUAUUUUGUCAUAUGAUCUAUGUAAGAUCUUAUUCUCCAACACUUUUUUACUAGGACUUCUCGAUAAUAAAUCAUGAAUCCACCACUAUCCCCAUCCACACUUGAGAAUUUCAAACAAGUGGAGCUUUCCAAUUGUCCUUGAUAACAAGAGGAUUCUUGGUUGGGUAAUGUAAAUUCAUGAUAAAGAUGAAACUCAUGUGUUUGCAGCUAGGAUGGUAAAGAGGAUUCCUAGGUAAUUGUUUGGGCCUAAAAUAUUGGUUUGGGCCGAGUUUAGAAUGUUCUCGACUUGGAAGCAUUGUUCAAGGGCCGGAUACAAUAAGGAGUCUCGGUAGGAUGAGGAUGUUGAAAGUUGGGAAUGAAUGCGGCCUGAUAAGGGGUUGAGUUCAAAGUCCUAAUAGGAGUGGAUUGGCUGAGAUAAGAUUGGAUCGGGGUGAAGAGUCCUAAUCCGAGUAUAGGUUUGAUUCGAUCAGAAGAAGGUUUGCAACUAUAAAUAGAGGGAGGGGUACAUCAUUUAAACUCUUUUCAAUUCAACACACAAACUGCCAUGCGGAAAUUCUCGCUCUACGUGAAACCUCUCAACUGUUGGAAAUGUGCCCUAAAGCCAAUCAUGUGAUGAUACUUUACGGACAUUUCACAUGUUAAACUAAUCUAGUUUUACAUAUAAAGGGCAAAGAUUAUUGUUUGAGCCGUCUCAUAUAAAUGUUAUAUGCUUAAACGAUAAAGUCCAAGGAAUAUGUGAUUGGGAGAAUGUAAUCUAAUGAAGUUAGAUUCAUGAGACCAUUCUUUCGUAGACACAUCCUAAACGUUCCUGAUCAUAGGAUUGCCAAUUGGGCGUUGACAGUCCGUUAAGAUCAGUACGUACUAUGUCUUCUCUCAGGGAGAGUGAUUAGUCUCGAAUCAUUGGUGUGUGUGACAUCAAGACAAGUACGGUAGGUGCUCAAUAGAGAAUGAGUUCACUGAACGCGAUCAACGAAGAGUUCUCAUAUUCCAUGUCACGUGAGAACUCAUGGUUGGGAUAAUGCAAAGUAGUCCUUUGACCUGAGGCAUCAUAGUUGUCUUGUGGUUAAGUCCUUGAUCUUUGAUUAUGUCAAAGUCACUCCAUCAGGAGGGUGUCCACGGCAUCGUUGGGGUCAAGCCACUUAUCUAUGGAGACAAGUGAAUGCGCAACAAGGGAUCUCUAACCUUCAAACCGUUUGAGGGAGAAUACUCUCUGAUAUGAUUUGAAUCUCUGGCCAGAGUAUGAAUGAGAUUGAGGAAUGCGUUCCAAAUCACAUUCAAGGUAAUCAUAUAAGCACAAGACACACAUUGGAUAGUAGACAUGAGAAAUAAACUAUCAAACCAAACAAUGUGGUCAAGAGUAUUAGAUUAGAGAAGGACCGUAUUGCAUUUGUAAUCUCGAACUGAAUAGGUUCUCCACCUCUUCUGAUUAGCUUGGAUAACCAUGAUAUGCUGCUAGGUGUCACUCAUGGUUUGUGGAAGCCCUAAACGUGUGUAAUCACUAAAGGGAGAAUUGAAAAUAGUUUCAAUUCACAAUCGAUGUAAAAUGGUUUUAAUCGCCCACUACCUCGCUAAAAGGAACCUAAUGGAUCGCACACCAUAAAAGGUAGAGAUUGGAGAUUAAACGGAAAUGAGUAAGAAUGAUUAAAUGGUUUAAUCAUUUAUUUAUGGCAAGGAUUAAUUAAUAUGUUAAUUAAUCAAACGAAUAAGUUCGUUAAAUGACUUCGGGAUAGUUUUGGACCUUAAGGCCCAAUGGGCUUCGAACGUCAAGCCCAUUAACUUAAGUUGUAUGACAAUUUAAUGAAUAAAGAUUCAUUAAAGCCCAAAAGCCCAAAAUCCCUAAAUGUAUAGCCAUAUGGAAUGAAUUAGGGUUUUGGUUAUUUAGGUCACUUCAAGAAGUGACUAUAUAAAUGACUUUAUAGCCAAAUAUUCAUGAGGGAUUAAAAGGUUUUAUUUUUGGGGAAAAUUGGUGAGAAUUGUCUCUCCAUUUUCUCUCUAAAGAGGCCAACACCUUGGAGGGUACAUCUAGCAAUCCUACUACUCCAAGGUCACUCAUUUCUACAAUCUAACCUUGGUGAAGAGACUUAGAGGUUCUCAAUUUUGGGAACUUGGAGAACCUAUUCUUCCAUCCAAAUCCAUGGAUCUAAGAAGCAAGGAAUGAAGGCCCUAUCUCUUUGGGUGAUUAGCCUUUGCUUAUGCAAAGAGGAAUCUACAAAGGUAUUAAUUUCAACUCACUUUGUUUUGAGUUGAUUAUUGGUUCACCAAUCUACUAGGCUUUGAAUUUCAUGGUAAUGUUUUGUUUUUGAGUGCAUACAAGCAUGAUUCCGCCUUUAAUUGUUAAUUGCAUGCUAUAUGAUGUUGCUCAAAUGAACAUGUUUUCCCAAAAGAUUUCCUUCAUCAACAACCUUGAGAUUUUUAUUUUCUUUUUCGCCGACACAUCUUCAGUUUGGAUAAACAGCAUUAUCACCGUAGAACCAGCCGACAACGGAACCCCUUCAGUUUGGAUAAACAGCACUGCGUCGAGGCCAACUGGUUAUCUAUCCAAGUCUCGGUCGAGAAAGACUUUCAGGUCUUUAUUGGCAGAGGUCAUCUCAUUAGCCUUUUUGGUGAGGUGAGGUGUUACAGUCUACUAGGGCUCGGUACAUUGAACGCCGAGUUGUUUUAUGAUUGGAUACUCACAAGUAAGCUUUAGAGUUCGGCAUUCUAAUGGCCGAACCACAUUUACCAUCAAGACAUAUAUCUGUUUUGAGUAUCUGUUCCCCUAUACUCUGGUGUCGAUUCGGUGUGCUUAUACCCUUACAAAUAUAAUCACUGUGACCGAAUCCGGCGCCGACAAUUUAUGAACUUCAUAAAAUUAGCAGCCUUGUCUUCAGGCUAUAGAACCCAAAGGCCGGGACGUGUUUCUUCCUUGGUCGCAGUCGCAAAAUCGAGAAGUCAGCCGCACGCUUAACGCAACAUCAACACAUUUUACUCUUGGGCCAAGCUCAGCCGACAAGUUGGCAUGCCCCGCAUCAACCGAAUGACGUAGUUAGCUCAUUAGUUACUCAGCUUGUGCGCCACGUAGGCUUGGUAGUUUUUAGGGUCAACAGUAAUGUAACCUUCAUGAUUAACAUGAAAUUGUAAUGUAUUAUAGUGAAAGUAUGGUUAGUCGAAUGCAAUUAGGUCUGUUAUACUGUUAGAAUUUAGGCUUUAAUUUUCUAGGAGAUGAGGCAGUGAAGGUUACUAAGAACACAGAUCCUAUCCUAAUCUGUGCAACCAGAGCCCGGAGAUCUCUCUAAAAGUUAUAAUAAUUAUAGCCGUUAUAUCAAAUUUCAGCGGUCCGAAUCCAUUGAUCCCCGGGCUCUAGUUGCACAAAUCCGGAGAGGAUAUGUGUUCGGUUACUAAGGAGAUGAUCUAUGUUCGGUUACUAAGACUCGUUGGAUACUAGUUUCUCUAAUUUUGUUUAUAGCUUUUAUUUUUUAGGAAAACUAAUGAAAAUGGCUUGAAAACCUUAAGUUUUAAUGAUAAUGACAAAAUAAAUGGUUAAGUGAAUAGUACAAUAAUUGACUUUUUAGUGUAAAAAUGUAAUUUUUAGUUAAAAGAAACAGUACAGCGGACUUUUCGUUAAAACUUCAUUUUCUUCUUUUUUUUAUAUUAAAAAUCAACAUAAUUAAAUUUGAGAUUAAGUGUUUAGAUACAUGUAAGAAAUAAGCGAAGAGACAUAAAAAACUUCAAAUUGGGGACAUCAAACCCUAAGUCAUCUCUCACCCACUUAAAAUUAGUUUGACAACAGCCAUUUAGUACUACGGUCUAAUGAUAUUCCUCUUUAUUUGUAAAUAAAAAAAUUUAGAUUCGAUUCUCGUCAAAGGCGAACUUGAAUCACAUAUUGCUAACCCAUUGUGAGGCUUAACCCACUCUUCCACUUUUUUGAGUAUAGAUAAUAUCGUUUGUUUAAAAAUUAGUUAGACAACAUAAUUGAGUUUAGUAUUUUUUUUUUUUCUUAAUUAACAUGGUACCUAAUUUUAUAAUACCAAUUUGGAGUCUUUUUAUAAGUAACAAUUAUGUUUUGGGCCGAAAAGGAACAAACCCAAAACAAGGCACUUUCAAGAAGGUGGUAGAAGCUGAUGGAACUCUCUGGUUUUUUUUGUUUUAUCCCUUCUGGAUAGCUGCAGAACUUUCUGUAGUUCUCAGAGAAACCUUCUGUGCCGUCCUAUAUAUAUACAAGUCACUCCGGUACCCACCCAAUCAGAUAGAAUUAUCCAAAGCAAUCUAAGCAAAAAUCUCUCACUCAUAUCCUUCGAAUUCACAUCCAGCAUCUAAUGGCUCUCAGUCUCUUUGGCGGACGACGAAACAACGUCUUCGACCCUUUCUCUUUGGACAUCUGGGACCCAUUCGAGAGCUUCGGCCCUCUGGCCAACUUCCCCUCCUCCGCCCGUGAAACCACCGCCAUCGCCAACACCCGCAUCGACUGGAAGGAGACCCCGGAGGCUCACAUCUUCAAGGCGGACCUGCCGGGGAUCAAAAAGGAAGAGGUGAAAGUGGAGGUGGAGGACGGGAGGGUGCUGCAGAUCAGCGGGGAGAGGAGCCGAGAGCAGGAGGAGAAGAACGACACGUGGCACAGGGUGGAGAGGAGCAGCGGCAAGUUUAUGAGGAGGUUCAGGCUGCCAGAGAACGCGAAGCUUGAUCAGGUGAAGGCGGCGAUGGAGAACGGGGUGCUGACUGUUACUGUGCCGAAAGAGGUGAAGAGGCCUGAUGUCAAGGCCAUUGACAUCUCCGGCUAAACUAAAUUCGUAUAACCUCGGCUACUUUUAGGUUUAAUGUCAUAAUUAUGUUAAAUGAUCAUGGUUUGUUGACAUUGUUGUGGUGUCAGCUCCUGCUUUUUGUUCUUGUAUUUCAGUGUCUCUGUGUCAAUUUUCAUGUAUGGUUUCUGCUUGUGAAAUAUUAUAAACCUUAAUAAGGGUUUUGAGUACACUUAUUUUAAUUCAAUCAAUUCAAAUUAACUCAUAAUUUCAAUGAAAAAACAAUUGCAAAAUUAUCUAUCCUACCGGGAAGAGUGGAGAUGCAAGAAUCGGACGGAGGUACGUGUCCGUCUUUUCUUCCUGGUCGCGCUUCCUCACCCCACUGAUCUGGAGGAUCCGACCAUCCUCCACAUGAACCUUCACCAUCUCCUUCCGGAGCCCCGGCGCGUCCGAAUCAUACGGAUGACGACGACUGGGAAGGAGAGUGGGCGUACAUGAAGAGGUGUGUAGGGGAGAUGAAGCGUAUGAAGAACGUCGACAACCCAGAGGAGAACCUCCAAGGUGUGGACGACGCAAAGCCCGAUGAUGAGGAGGAAAAUAACGGCACGGCCUCUUCUCCCGAACCCCAAACCAAAACACAAAAAAAUCCGAUCGAUUAGUGCUAAGAAUUUGAAAUUUAGGGAUAGGGUUUGGAUGGAAUUGGGGUAUUUUGUAUAAAAUUAGUUACAGGGAUUAAUUUGAUGAGGGUGAUGGGAGUGUAAGUGGGGGAGGGGGAGGAGCCCCAUGGGAGGGAGGUGGAGAUGGAGGAAGAGAUGGCGGGAGUUGCAGAGAGGUGAGAGGGAAAGAAGGGGAUCUGGGUGUGGGUUUGGUUUUUCUUUUUUUUUUCUUUUUUAACAUUUAGUGAAUUUUUUAAUUUUUUAAUCUAGUUAGAAUUGAAAGUGGGCCUUAUCUCAAGUUAUGUCAGUAUUUAAUAAAGAGAUUGACAAAAAACCUAAUAGAUGUCUGAUAUUGUAACAAAUUCGUAAAAUGAUAUAUGACAUUGAAAUAUUUUAAAGACGGAAUAUGAAACUAUGAUUGGCCUAAUAGUUGAGGUAGUUUUGUGUAAUUUACCCUUUAAAGAAAGUUCACUCCACGCAAAUUAACUCCUUAACCCCCAGAUUAGGAUCCCAUCCAAAUCCAAAUUAUGGGGAUCCUAAAGAUCUUCACAUCUUAAUCAUUCAUCGUGUAUUGUGCGGUCAGAAAUUAUUUGACUUUUUUAUUUAAAAUUAAACACAAAUAGUACCUGACAAAAACUGACCACACGAUGUACGAUGAAUGACUAGGAUGUGGGGAUCCCUAUAAUCUCUACAAAAUGGAUCCUAAGAGGAUCCUCUUCCCUGAUCUCCACCAUCAUCAGCACAAAGCCAAUCUUUUCUCCAGUCUUCACACACCUAUCGGUACUUCAAGAUCAACUUGGUAUUUAUAUUCAUUCUAUGCAUUGAAGAAAUGGCUUUUCUCAAUUGUAAGGGAUUAGUAAUCUUACUAAAAAUGAUGAAAAAAGGGUUACAUGAAUUGUUGUUUGUACAAAAAUUAUGAAUAAAAAGUUGUAGUUUCGUUUAAUGUUUCAAUUUUAUUUUCAUUUAAUUUUUUGGAGCUUUUUGUGAAACUUUAUAGGCCUAAUCAUGGUCCAUCACCAAUAUCACCGAUAUAGUCCCAAAUUAACCACAUAUGGCUAGGUGUUGGGUUUUAUCCCAAAAUGACUAAUAAUAUUAGGGAUGAAAACUCUUAUAUAUUGAUUGUAUAAUAUUUUGUCAUAUGAUCUAUGUGGGAUCUUAUUCUCCAACAUUUUUUUAUUAGAACUUCUCGAUAAUAAAAUCCUAAAUCCGCCACUGUCCUCAUCUACACUUGAGAAUUUCAAAUAAGUGGAGCUUUCCAAUUGUCCUUGAUAACAAGAGGAUUCUUGGUUGGGUAAUGUAAAUUCAUGAUAAAGAUGAAACUGUAAACACCUAGUCGUGUGUUUGCAGCUAGGAUGGUAAAGAGGAUUCCUAGGUAAUGUAAACUUCAUGAUUAACAUGAAAUUGUAAUGUAUUAUAGUGAGAGUAUGGUUAGUCGAAUGCAAUUAGGUCUGUUAUACUGUUAGAAUUUAGGCUUUAAUUUUCUAGGAGAUGAGGCAGUGAGGGUUACUAAGAACACAGAUCCUCUCCUAAUCUGUGCAACCGGAGCCUGAGGAUCAAUGGAUCCGGGACAUUGAAAUUGAAUCCAACGGCUAUAUUAUUAUAACUUUGAGUUUUAACGAUAAGGACAAAAUAAGAGGUAAGUGAUUAGUACCAUGAUUGAUUUUUUAGUGUAAAAAUGUAGUUUUUAGUUAAAGUGAACAGUACCACAGACUUUUCGUUAAAACUCCAUUUUCUUUUCUUUUUUUUAAUUAAAAAUCAGCAUAGUUAAAUUUGAUAUUAGGUGGUUAGAUACGUGUAAGAAAUAAGCGAAGAGACAUAAAAAACUUCAAAUUGGGGACAUCAAACCCUAAGUCAUCUAUCACCUACUUUAAAAUUAGUUUGACAACAGCCACUUAGUAUUACGGUAUAGUGAUAUUCCUCUUUACUUGUAAGUGAAAAGUUUUAAGUUCGAUUCUCCCCAAAGGCGAACUUGAAUUACAUUAUUGCUAACUCAUUGUGAGGCUUAAUCCACUCUUCCACUUUUUUAGUGUAGAUAAUAUCGUUUGUUUAAAAAUUAGUUAGACAACAUAAUUGAGUUUAGUUUUUUUUUUCUUAAUUAACAUGAUACCUAAUUUUAUAAAGGAAAACUAAUGAAAAUGGCUUGAAAACUUUGAGUUUUAAUGAUAAGGACAAAAUAAAGGGUAAAAUGAAUAGUACCAGAAUUGACUUUUUAGUGUAAAAAUGUGGUUUUUCGUUAAAGUAAACAGUACCGGGUGCUUUUCGUUAAAGUUCCCAUUUUAUAAUACCAAUUUGGAGUCUUUUUGUAAGUACCAAUUAUGUUUUGGGCCGAAAAGGAACUAACCCAAAAAAAAGCACUUUCAAGAAGGUGGUAGAAGCUGAUGGAACUCUCUGGUUCUUUUUUGUUUUAUCCCUUCUGGAUAGCUGCAGAACUUUCUGUAGUUCUCAGAGAAACCUUCUGUGCCGUCCUAUAUAUAUACAAGUCACUCCGGUACCCACCCCAUCAGAUAGAAUCAUCCAAAGAAAUAUAAGCAAAGAUCUCUCACUCAAAUCCUUCGAAUUCACACCCAGCAAAAACCCAACUCUAAUCCGGCAUCUAAUGGCUCUCAGUCUCUUUGGCGGACGACGAAACAACAUCUUCGACCCCUUCUCUCUGGACAUCUGGGACCCAUUCGAGGGCUUCGGCCCUCUGGCCAACUUCCCCUCCUCCGCCCGUGAAACCACCGCCAUCGCCAACACCCGCAUCGACUGGAAGGAGACCCCGGAGGCUCACAUCUUCAAGGGGGACCUGCCGGGGAUCAAAAAGGAAGAGGUGAAAGUGGAGGUGGAGGACGGGAGGGUGUUGCAGAUCAGCGGGGAGAGGAGCCGGGAGCAGGAGGAGAAGAACGACACGUGGCACAGGGUGGAGAGGAGCAGCGGCAAGUUUAUGAGGAGGUUCAGGCUGCCGGAGAACGCGAAGCUUGAUCAGGUGAAGGCGGCGAUGGAGAACGGGGUGCUGACUGUAACUGUGCCGAAAGAGGUGAAGAGGCCUGAUGUCAAGGCCAUUGACAUCUCCGGCUAAACUAAAUUCGUAUAACCUCGGCUACUUUUGGGUUUAAUGUCAUAAUUAUGUUGAUCAUGGUUUGUUGACAUUGUUGUGUGUCGGCUCCUGCUUUUUGUUCUUGUAUUUCAGUCUCUGUGUCAAUUUUCAUGUAUGGUUUCUGCUUGUGAAAUAUUAUAAACCUUAAUAAGGGUUUUGAGUACACUUAUUUUAAUUCAAUCAAUUCAAAUUUUCAACUCAUAAUUUCAAUUUAAAACAAUUACAAAAUUAUCUAUCCUACCGGGAUGAUUUGAGAUGCAAUAAUUGGACUGAGGUCCGACCAUCCUCCACAUGAACCUUCACUAUCUCCUUCCGGAGCCCCGGCGCGUCCGCUUUGAACACGUGCGGCGUCGGCGUCUCCCGAAUGGGUUCGGAAUCACCCAGAUUAUUUCAGAAUCUUCUAAUCAAUAAUGCAAUUUUGGAUUUUGUAUUUUCGGAUAAGGACCGUUUGAAUUUGGGCGAAUUCGCGAAAAAAUCUUUAAAAUUUUAGUUUUUAAUGAAAAUGAUAAAAUAAAGAAGUAAGUGAAUAGUAUUAAGAAUGAUUAUUUAGGUUAAAAAUAUUUUUAACGUUAAAAGUAGAUCGUAAGUUAAAAAUAUAUUUGACGUUAAAAGUAGACAGUAGGUUAAAAAUAUUUUUAACGUUAAAAAUAAAUCGUAAGUUAAAAAUAUAUUUAACGUUAAAAGUAGACAGUAGUUUAAAAAUAUUUUUAAACAGUAGGUUAAAAAUAUUUUUAACGUUAAAAAUAAAUCGUAAGUUAAAAAUAUAUUUAACGUUAAAAGUAGACAGUAGGUUAAAAAUAUUUUUAACGUUAAAAAUAAAUAGUAUUAUAAAUGUUUCACUAAGAAUUUUUUUAUUAAAUCAGUGAUUGGAUUUCUACGGAGUUUGAUUGCGCCGCACGUUCUCCAUUUUCAUCCUCUACGUUUUGGCGAACAUCGUAAAAUUAAAAAGCCCAUGGACUCAAGUAAGGCCCAAUGGCUCGAGCCUAUGCUCACUUAGCUCGUUUUAUUGAAAGUGCGACAUGCGACCAUUAUCUAACUAACAAAUAUUAAACUUAAUGUAGACGUUAUGUACAAACUAAAAGAAAAUAAUGAAUUUACAAUGAUUCUUGACCGCUGCUAUCGCUGUUUUCCGAAUCAUAUUCAACAUCGAGUGCAGCGACUUUCGAAGCACUAAUUCUCGACGAAGUGGAUCGAAUUUUGUAGAGCAAAUUCGAAUGCGCACUAGCGACCAUAGCGCCCUGUUUUCCUUCCUCUUCCUCUUUCUUUAGGUCACCGGGGGGCAAGAAGCAGUCCAUGGACAAACCCUUUAUGUUAAAAUCGACCUCCUCAAUUUCCCAAGCCUCCUCCAUUCGCGUUCUCGAAUGGCCUUCCGUGCUGUCACCAAACCUAAACAACGAUGCACAUGUCUUGCCCCCGUGCGCGAUGCUGAUGCCUUCGACGUUCCGGUAGUCUUGGACGUGGGACUCCAUUGUGGUCUCCCAACAAAUGCCGUGGUCGUUGCCGGCGGAUUUGAUUCGGAGGAGGUGGGAGUCCUCUAGUUGGACUAGGAGGCCGGUUUUUUGGCUGAAGUAGCCCCAAACCGUGUGCCUUAUUAUCUCAACGUUGGUGCUGCUUCUUGCUUUUAGGGUUGAGGGUUCGGCUUCUAAUUUUAGUGUGAAGCAGUCUUCUUCCUUGAUCGCUUUCUCUCCAAUGCAAAUUGAGUUGCUGAAUAAGUUGGCUGUUGACCUCGGAUCAAGACCCUGUUGAGUACAGAAUGUAGUAUCAAUAUUUGUGCAUUAAGGUUUUUUUUCUUUUCAAACUAACGAUAUUAUCUACCGUAAAAAGUGAGGAAGUGGGUUAAGCUUUACAAUAAGCUAAGAAUAACAUAGUUCAAUUUUGCCUUUGUGUAAAUCAAAUCUAAGAUCUCUUACUUACAAGUAGAAAGAAAUAUCACUAACCGUAUAAUUAAGUGGCUUAUGCAUUACGGUAUUUUUUUUAAAUGGACAAUUGGUGGAAAUUCAUGAUUAUCGACCCUUUUUGGGGGUCGGAAAGACUCAUAUAGGCAUUUUCAAUCUUCCUCUAGCUACUAGUUUGGUUUCCACACCAGAAGCGGGUUUCGAACCCGAGACCUCCACACAAUUUUUGUAGUUUUCUAAGAAAAUCUCGCAAUUCGUCAUUUACCACUGGGUUAACAACUCGUGAUUUAUGCAUUAAGGUAUUUAAUUGUGUUUUUUUUUUAUUAAAAAAAUUGAACUUUUUCAAAACAAGCAAAGAAAAAUAAAGCUAGCUAGGUAUUGAAAGUGCCGAGAAACGUGCAGUUUUGGCCCACAUGAAAGUGGGCCAUAGAUUUAUAGUUGAGAAUAGUUUGAUGGGGACAUACCAACUUAGAAGUCAGGGCUUCCUAUGGGCAAAGUCAAAAGAAACCAAAAGAGAAUAAAAGAAAAAAGUCCUCAAACACCCUCUUUGGCUAAACUUAAUGAACUAUGAGCACUUAUACGCGGCUAGACACACAUACAUCAACCAGCGACAAUAAUUUCAUUAGAUAUCUCGUUAAAGUGUAUAUAUAAUUGAUUAUCGUUGAUGCAUUGUGAGACGUUUCAAAAAUUUUAACGGAUGACAAUCAUUAAAGCAUAAAUCGUGAUUAUAAAUUUUUCUGUAACUCUGUUAUCUUGAUCGAACGGUGAAUACAAAGGCAUAACACCAAAAAAACACCCGGAAAGGAAGGAGAGGUGGAAGGAAUUAGUACCUGAAGGAGACGCCGGAGAGGGCGAGGCGGGCCUCGAGAGGCAUGCGAGUGGUGCCAUGGUGUUUGGCGCCAAGCCACCUUUCCAUCACUCCCUGCACUGAUCUUGCAACCAGACACUACCAAUUCCAAGCACCAAAGUUCUGGUCUCUUCUGCCACAGCACAAACCCACCCAUCUCACCGCCGCCGCCCACUGAUCUCAACAAGCUCUUCACCUUCAACUUGUUAUUGCCACCAUUCAAGCUCCUCUCUCCAGUACAAAACUCUGACGCCGUCAUCUUCACCUUUCCCAUUGCGUACAUGCUGUCCACUGAAUUCAAAGCCUUCUCUCCUCCAACUGCUGCUAUGUAUUGCUUGACUAUGUACUUAGCCAUUGAAACUUCCUACAAAUCAUAAAACACAAAAUUAUUAAGGAAACUUCAUAUGUGACCAAAAGUUAUAUGUCAAACGUAACUUUCAUGGGACUUGACGUCAAAUUCCUUAACGUUUAUCUUGUCAUACUAGGAAUCUGGACCACUGAUCGUAUUCGUUCUUGUCAGAUUGGGUGGUCCAAAUUCUAGUCUAACAACAUAAGCAUUAAUGUAGUGCAUAGUCUGAUAAGAGAACGUUGUCAUACUAUUAUUUUGAACAAUGAAGUAAAAAUUACUUACAAUUGGUUGAUCUUUAAUGGAGCGGCUGAUGGGUUGGUGAUCUUUUGGAAUUGGUAAGGGAAUGAGAGGGGCUCCAAUGACUCCAAGCAAGAGCUGGACUUCGGCGUUUUUGCUUCCAAAAACCGCGUUGGCUGACUGUGAUUGGUCGCUGUUUGAGGGUUUCAUCCAAGACUUCAUGUUAUGCCAUGAAGUGGUGGCGUUCUUGUGAUUACCUGAAACAUACAUCUCUUCUGGGAUUGGGACCUCAAGGACUGUUUCAAGCCCAUCUUCGCAGUCCAGAUUGGGACAAAGCUUCCUCAUGACGAUGACAAGAAGGAUCAGAGCAGAUUGAGUGGCAAAAGAGAGUUUAGGAGGAGGGAGGAGGGAGGAGGGGCGUGGGAUUGGUGGAGAGAGCUAUUCUAUGUAGGACUAGGAAUACUAAGAGCUAUUGAGGUGGUUGCGAGUUGAGUCUUGGAUUCAAAGGGAGGAAGUAGGGAGGGGUCUUUGCACUCUGCAGCUGUUAAACAUUACCAACCCACCAAUGGCUCUCACUCUAACGUGGUUUGCGUUGUCUAUGUCGUGUUUGCACGCUCCUCUCUCUCUCUCUCUCUCUCUCUCUCUCUCUCAAACUUGGUUUAUUCUUAUUUUAUAAUUGAGGUAGAUUGGCAUCCAAGGAAUAAACUUCUCAUCUGAACUCAAAGAGUAUGUUGAAUUAAAAAAGGGAUAAAAGAAAAGUAGUGUUAAAGCUAUUAAUUAAAGGUAGACUUAUUGCUUUGUGUGACCUUGAUUUCAACUACCAACCAGGACCGUUUAGGGUUGUAGGAGUUGGAUUACGAUGACUUUUCGACAGUUAAAGUAAAACUUAAAUUAAAGCAAUAAGUAUUUUUUGUCAAUAUGAAAGCAAGAAGCUCAAGGAUCUUAUGAAUAAAGAAUGGGAAAACAAAGAGAUCAUGGAACUUAAUAAUCAAUAUGGACCUACUUGAUCAAAUUUCUGAUUUUUAGGAAUGGAAAAUAAGGACUUGGUUGAUCCAAUUCUUGAUUUAGAGAAAAAUAUCGUUGUAUAAAGAAAUUAUGGAUUGUAAAGUCGUAUUAAUACAAUAAAUAUUGGAAAAAAUGGAGAAUUGAAAAUAGAAUUUGAGGUGUAAAAGUAAAUGCAGUCUUAAUCACUUGAACUCUAAGCUUCUUCCAAAAUUUAUAUAUUUUUAUAUUCUCCAAAAUAGGAUGUAGAUGAUUCUCUCGUACAUUCCUAGUAAAUAAACAUCUCAUAAACCUAUACUUGAUACUCACUCUUUUAUCAUUGCGAUAUAUAUGUUGGAUUGACGGCAUACAGUAAAACAAAGCUCAUUCACAAUACACCCAAAAAGAAAGGAAAGAGAAGAAGAGAAAAAGAUAAAGUAAAAGAGGUAUAUAACUGUGGCAUGUGUUGAAUAUAAGUUUCAUAUCCGAGAAUUAAGAAAAUAAAGUAUAACAUAUAAAUGUAUGAUUUCACUUUUAAUGACACCAAAUUCUUUUAUGAUAAAAUCUAACAUUUAACAAUAAUGAUUAAGUUAGAAUAAUAUUUGUAUCAUCAGGAGUGGAUCAAUGAUCCGUUCCUCUGAAUAUCUUACAGCAUCCACAUUGCCAGCUUUAACCGCAGCAUAUAAUCUGACCCUAAAGCUUUUUACCCAUUAAAACGGACAAGAAUAUAAUCAUAACCAUCAUCAUUGGAUGAUGCUGCCGGAGAAUGCGACUGACAUUUUUAUUGAGUUGACACUCAAUCUAAUUUUCUCUCUAUUUCAAUAUUUUUGCUGUUGUUGAAGAGAUUUUUCAAUGUGACCGUCAUACAAAGUGGUACAUCAUGUGUCUUUUUAUAAAUAAUGAGUUAUGUGUGUUAAAAUGUUAAUAACUUAAAAAUUAAAAAAUUUCACACUUGCAUAAAAUCAUGUUGUAUAUCAUCCGUAUUACCAUCACAACUAAAAAUUUCUCCUGCUGCUGCAUUGCAUUAGCUGUAUCUGUACGUGCUUAAUUAUUUUUGUUUAUUUUUUUAGUGAAUUAUUUUGCUUUGUUUAGCUAAUUAAGCAAUUUGUCUUUAGCAAAACAAGAAACUGGAGGAUACAAAGCUCCUGGAUUAAAACCCUAAAUUAACUGAGUCGGUGUUGUGGGGUUGCGACACGUGUUGCUCUGCUCUCAAUCAUGUCCAGCACGUUCGUAUGAAAUCUUGAAAAUAUUAUUGUUUUUUUUUUAUUUAUUUGGAUUAACUCUUAUAAUCCCUUGGAGUGGCGACGAGGUAACUAUGUCUUCUUGUUACAAAAAAAAUGUAUUGUUGUUGCAAACAUUCCAAGGGAGUUGAGAGAAGUGAUCUAUCAAGAUAUGUAACGUUGUCUUGUAUUGUUGUUAGCGAUAUUCAUAUUUAACCAACAAUACAAAAACAUAAACACAAAAAAAGCAUAAGGCAUUUGCUAGACUCUUAUAUAUUAGCAUAUGAGUUUAUUAUCUGAUCCAAAUAAUUAACCAUUCUCUUAAAGCACUAGUCUUUCAUACAUAUUUUAUGCUUAGGGUAGUGCUAGGGAAUGUAGGACGUAUAUUUGAAUGCACACUCAGGUCAACCACGGAAUGGGGGUGGGGGCGGGCAUCAUUCUACUAAGAUAAACACUAUCGAGUAGUACCUUUUAAUGAGAGAUAUGAACAAGAAGCUUCAAGAAAACUAGUGUGACUAUCUAUUUAUAUCAUAUUUGAUAAAUCAUAUGAUGUGAUUGUUGAUAAUUGAAUUAGUACUUAAGUGCUGAUUAACGUAGGUAUCAAAUUUAGCAUUCAAAAAUGUUGAUGCACAAAACCGGAGGUCUUGGAACAACGUAAAUCCGACCGUGAAUCUGCAUGUAAUGUAAAUAACACAAUAUGUAUCGUGGUUCACCCCAAGGUUUGGGCUACGUCCACACUGAAUAUGUAUUUAUCUGAGGGAGAGAGAGAGAAUGAGCUCUGUAAUGUGAGAGCUUUGAGAGGAUGAAGGAGCCUUAAGAAAUGGCCUCCCCUAAUUGUGAGGGUGAGGGGUCCUUUUAUAGAAUAAGGACUCCUCACUUAUUACAUAUUUGCCCCUUCCUUUAUCACAUAAUUACAUUUAAGUCCCCCGAGUAUUUAUACGAGGUCUAAAUACGAGGCCCUAAAUAUGGUAUAAACAGUAGUCCCCUAAGUCUUCAGUCAAAAGAGUCUUUUGGCUGGAGACUUGAAAUUCAAUCCAUGUGUGGGCCGAAGUAACUAGAUGUUGUCUUGAACUGAUGCUCGAUAUGAGGCUGUGCUCAAUCUGAAAUGAUACUCAACUAGAAGUAGCACACGCUGCAGGGCUGCGAGGCUAGUGGCUUAUGUUGCCUUGGUUGGCUCGGCUUGUGGCAUUUGACGGUGAGGGAGUCCCUUUUAUAGAAUAAGGGCUCGCUCCUCAAUACAUGAAUGAUGGGUUAGAGUUGAUGCUCGCGGCGAGGCGGUUGCUCAGUAGGCGGCGAUGCUCUCUAAUGGUGGUGAGUGAGUCCCUUUUAUAGAAUAAAGGCUCGCUCCUCAAUACAUAAGUGAUGGGCUAAAGUUCCCCAAGUAUUUUGUAUUUUUCAUGAGGCCCAGUUGAGGCCCAAUAUAUGGUACAUAAUGUAGUCCCCCAAGUCUUCGGUCAAUAGAGUCUGUUGGCUGGAGACUUCAAAUUGAAUCCAUGUAUGGGCCGAAGUGGCGGUUGUUCAGAUGCCGUAUUUGUAUACCCUGCACUGAAGCUUUGCAGGUGAAGCUUUGCAAGUGAAGCUUUGUAGCUAGAGCUCUGUAAAUGAAGCUUUCGAAGCUGGAGUUUUUGUAAAUGAAGCUUUUGGCGCUAGAGCUCUGUAAAUGAAUCUUUUGAAGUUGUUUGACAUGAGUGAUGCUCAUGAAUGUUAACAUGAGUAAUGCUCAUGAAUGUUGACAUGAACGAUGGUCAUGAAUGUUUAUGUAUGAUUGUUUAUGUAUGAUUGUCAUGAUUGAUGCACAUGAAUGUUUAUGUAUGAAUGACAUGAGUAAUGCUCAUGUAUAAUUUGAAGUACUGGGCGUACUUUUGAUCACCUGGUUGAUGGCAUGAAGGGGAGUACGGGUUGUACAUUUCAUCACCUGGUUGGUGGCAUGAAUGGCUAGUUGCCAAAUGAUUUUAGAGUACGGGUUGUACAUUUCAUCACCUGGUUGGUGGCAUAAAUGGCUAGUUGCCAAAUGAUAUUAGAGUACGGGUUGUACAUUUCAUCACCUGGUUGGUGGUAAUAGCGACAGGUUGCCGAAUAAUUGUGGAGUACUAGGCGUACUUUUGAUCGCCUGGUUAGAGCUAUUUUGGGCUUAUGGGCCUUCGCUCUCCACACAACAUUCCAGCCCAUUUAUUUUGGGCUUUGCCCUUUUUUUUUUUACCCUCUAAUGGGGUUUAUACAUAUCACCCUCUGAUGGGGUUUAUACAGAUGUCUCCGAAAGAUAAUAAAAAUAAAUUACAUCAUUCGGGUGGGGUGUUUAUUCCUUGCUUUUGCAGUGUUUUCCUGCUUUUGCUUUCUGCUUGGUCCACGAGUCCCCCACGAUUAUCCCUGGUCUUCCGCAAUUAUAUCCGUCCACUCAUGUUCUAUGACCUUUGGAGACCAUUUGACUUUAAGCUUUUACUUGCCAUUCCUUGCUUUUCUCUAGAAUGACAGCUACUUGGACAGACACCAACCUUUUGCUUUUAUCUCUCUACUCCAAAUUUAUUACAUCCACUUUCUCUGGUAGGAUAACAUCCUCCAUGAAGCCCUCAAUCAUCUCAUCCACUUUCUCCCUCUGCUUUUCAGUCUCUCUCUUCCUUCAAAUUUCAAAAAAGCAUUGAUAAAGCUUAUGAGGCCUGGGCCCGGUUUUACACUAGCACAUGGUGGGACUGGGGGAAGACAUAGACCACUCCACAUGACAUUGCGCUGGAGCCGAGUUGCUUGUCUAAAAUCCAGACCGAAAACUGCACCAAGCUUGGGCGGAGAAGUCCCAAAGCAGUCCUCCAGCUCGAGACUAAUCAAACAGACCAACUGAUUCCCGCGAUCUGAGACGAGCAGCGUGCACUGAUCAGUAGCGAAAACUAGCUCAGUAUCUGGUGAAACCCAGGCUUCAACGAGAACCCUCCCGCAAUCGUGCUCACACUUGAAGCGCUCAUCACAGUUGAAAACCCGUUGAACAGCUAUCUUAUCAGCCCCUUGCUGCCGAGCUUAUCCUUAAUACCAGCAACAAUUGAGGUCUUGCUGCCGAGUUGAAAACCCAGCCGCCAUUGUUUCCGGUAGGAUUGAUCGAUUCGAAGACGAAUUACGGCGAGGUUUUUGUCUCCGGGAAUAAAAGGGACUCCUUGUGGUGUGGAGCUCGUACGUAGUCUCUGGGAAAAUCGCCAAGACUCCAUCUUGCUCCUCUAGUCGCUGCCAGAGCUCCCCUCCUGAUCAUGUCGCGGAUUCUGCCCAUCCCAGGUAAUAGAUUAUUCCAAUCUGGCGUCGUGUUCGAUAUCAAAGGGUAUGCAAGGUAAGGCAACAAAGUGGCGUUGUGUUCGAGAUCAAAGGAAUUGCAGAGACGGAGGAGAUGGGAUCGAUGAGCGACGACGGAUCUUUAGAUUGAUCGUUGAGAGCGCGGUAGAUUUGCCAGAGAAGAGACGCACGGUGUCUUCCAGGCUUCAUCCUCGUACAGAGUCCCUACCGUUUCUCGCUGAUCCGCUACUCUCCUGCCCGUUCUCAAUUUUUUGAAACCUUCAUAUUUCCAUAUAAGAACUGAGGCUACAACCAUAGUAGAUAAGAUCCAUAUUGCACAAAUAAGGUCGGGAUCAGGAGCUUUUCAACUGAAGAGGAAAAGCUCCUUCUUUGUGGUGGUGGUGGUUGACACCGACAUCGAGCGCUUCGUGGACAACUGGGUUUCUCCGACCGCCGCCAGAAGACGCGAACCGCCCACCACGUUGCUGCAACUAGAGAAUGCCAUAUGUCUCUCUCGGAAAGAAUCUCUCCGGUGGAAUCUCCAGCGUCGUUGCUCAGUUGGUAGCAAGCAAAAUUGCAAAUGGAGAAAUGAGAAGCUCCAAAUGCAAGGAAUUGGCGAUCAGCCUUUAUAAAACGAAGGCGUUUUGGUGAGGUUGUGCUCUGCGUUGAAAUACUUUGGGUUUUUGCAGAUUCUGUGAUUUUGCAGAUUCACGGCGGAGAUGAAAAAUUGAGAGAGAACCGACAUAACUUUUUGUGUCGUUUCCCACAGACGGCGCCAAAUGUUGAUGCACAAAACCGGAGGUCUUGGAACAACGUAAAUCCGACCGUGAAUCUGCAUGUAAUGUAAAUAACACAAGAUGUAUCGUGGUUCACCCCAAGGUUUGGGCUACGUCCACACUGAAUAUGUAUUUAUCUGAGGGAGAGAGAGAGAAUGAGCUCUGUAAUGUGAGAGCUUUGAGAGGAUGAAGGAGCCUUAAGAAAUGGUCUCCCCUAAUUGUGAGGGUGAGGGGUCCUUUUAUAGAAUAAGGACUCCUCACUUAUUACAUAUUUGCCCUUUUCUUUAUCACAUAAUUACAUUUAAGUCUCCCGAGUAUUUAUACGAGGUCUAAAUACGAGACCCUAAAUAUGAUAUAAACAAAAAAUAUUUAUUUAUUUUUAGUACAACGAUAGUUCUACUGCUAGACUAAGAAAGCGAAGGACUUCAACCCAUAAUUUGGUUUUUAUUUCUCACUUCACCACUUGCUGCUACGGGUACUUCUAAAUCAAAUUAUUAAGCCAUUUGAUUAUUAUGAUUUUCCUGUCAUUAAAAUCUUUCUUUUUUUAAAUUAAAAGCAAUUUGAUAUAUAAGAAAAACGAAUAGAGAAAGAAGGAAAUCUUGAAGUUUCAAUGACUGAGACGCGGAUUGAAAAUUAGUUACAGAAAUAAAGAAAGAAAAGUCUAAGGUUCACUUUCAUGCUGGGCCACUUGAUGAACUGAGAAACAAAAACCAAUGUCUAAAAAAUAUUUAGAUAUUAUCAAGAGACUAAGUAGGUCACCGAAAUUUCUGAUGAAUUUUCAGGAGUUUUCAUCUGACUGUAUCUCAUUGAACUCUCAUAUAAUUUCCUUGAAAUAUACCAUUUUUCCUAACUGGAUUGGUGGAAAGUCUCAGGAAAAACACCAUCUCGAUAAGUUUCUUUGUAUACAAGUAAUGCAGCUGUCAGUGUUUACUUUUCUUUAUACAAGCUGUUUUCAAGUUUGGAGGACGAGGCAAACUAAUACAGGACCUAUUGUGGGGGAGCAACUUGUAUUAUAUGUGUAUACCGUCGCUAUGACAUCUCGCAUCAAUGAUAAAAGACACAUUAUAUUAUAAUAUUAGUACAUAACACACGGUGACUGGUAUGUUAUGCCUUGAAAGUCCUUGCCAUGGAAUGCACUUACUAUUAACUGUAUAAACCCUAAACUUAGAAGCUCAUAUACAUCGAAUACAGGAUCUCGGGUGCAGUUAUAAUAAUCACUCAAUGCAACUUAUGAGCAUAGCAGGCGUCACAACUCGCGCAGACCACCAUAAUAACAAACAAACAAUUAUUUCAAUUUGUUUUCUUUUCCAAUUUUUGGCACUAGGAAACUAUGAUUGAUUCGUCCACUUAAAAAUACAAAAACAAAGAGAAUGAAUUCCUUACCCGGCCUAAAGAAUUGGAGAUUAUUUGGAGUGAGUUCCCACCGCGACACCCAGCACGAGCUGUGUCUGUGGCAUAUUAAGAUGUCGAUCGCCAAUCACGGCACCUUCCAUGCAGGAACUCGUGCAUGGACCAAAUAUUAUCUGUUUGUUUAUGAAUUUGACAUCUCCAAUGGAAAGUGCAGACAGCAGUCACCUCCCAGGGUGCUGACAAUGUUCGUCUUUUCCAUCUCAUAACUUUGCUUUUUGGACCCCUAACCACGUGUCCCAUGUUACCAUAUUAUCCAUUCCUAAAUUCCAUUUUUUUUUUUACAUAUUUUUAUGGGAUUCACGUAUGUUUAUGUAUAUUUGCUAGCAAACACAUGACAAAUCGAGAAUCGAAUUAGUUUUAACAUCCGUGUGUUGAUAAACGUUGUAGAAGCCAGAGAUUGAAACAAGUUUAAUGCUCAUCCCGACAUAUAUCAAAAGUUUUUCCAAAGUUUUUGGAUAUAUGCUAUUGGAAAGGAUAUGAUUCAUGAUCGUAGAACAUUAUGUACAGGAACAAACACUCCUAAGGAAUUGAGCUGCAAGCCUCUUAAAUGUCUCGAAAACUUUAAGCAACGAUGUCUCAUGAGGCAUGCCAAGUUUCUGUACGAGUAUCCUUACCCAACUUUUUGUCAAACUUACCAAAUUUCAGGGUCAUUGAUAGAAAUAUAAGCAGUAACCAUUCAGCUUGAAUGUCAAACCAUAUUAUAUGUGUUUGACCUUGCAGAUGGUCAAUCCCAAUGGCCGAUUGCUAGAACACGACUCGGUCUCAGCGAACACAUUGCUUGCAGAGCCAAGGCAAUUCAAUAACCAAGUUUAAGUUGAAAUGGCUCCUCGGAAUCCCCGGUUAUCAAACUUUUCACCCAGUUCCAAUAUCUUGCCUCCAGGAAUUCAAAAUUCUAACUUGCAGAAUAAGAAAUUUUCCCACUAGUUUUUUAUGUUUGAGAAUUUCUAUUUUAACCCAUGCUACCCAAUAAAGAACCGGAUUGGACGCAGACUCCAAAUACGCCCCAUGGUAGGAGGGAAACUUAGGUAUGAUUGUCUGACUAGAAAACUCUCAUACCAAUUAUACUAACAUGGGGUAGGUUGAGACCAAAAUACAGAGAAUCUCAUGCUUUUAGAAGAGCAUCCCUUCGGAUGGCCUAAUCCAAGUGCCCCUAUACAGAAAAAUCUUACCUGCUUAUACAGCAAUACUACACAGUGAAGCAUCUGCCACAAAUCUUAUACAUAUAAUUGGUUGUUUUUCUCUAAUAAAGCAUCUUCAGUUACGACAAGAAACUACUAUGGUGAUGCAAAUUCAACUCAAGUUUUGACAAUGGAAACAUAAGUUACACAACCUGCUGAAGCUAAGGCUACUUAAUAUAUAAACAAGUAGACAGAGAGAAACAGCUAACUCCAACGUAGUUUUCGGAGGCACGGGUACAAGGAAGGUACCAUUGAGUGCUUGUUUGCUACCUCUCUAUGACCACCGAAGUAAAAUGCACAACCCUCUACACGAGGUUUUCAUGAGGGCACAUUGAAGUGAAACAGCCACGAGAUGACAAACGCAAAGACCAUACAAGCUAGUAAGAAGUUCAGGAAGCGGUGACCCUGCCAGAAGUUUCGGCUCUCUGGUGUCUGCACAGGGGCACCUGCUACUGCUGCUGCCAGUGCGGCUUCAUCAUGCCACUGCUCCGCCGACUCAGCUUCACUCAAACCAGAUACAUUACGUGCGGUUGAUCCACAUAUCUCACAGGUUCUGCAAUCAUAUAUAUUUAAUCCGAAAGUUGAGCAAUAAUAACACAAACAUAAAAUUGUAAAGGAUACCCCAAAGAAACAUGUGAAGAACAACUCCUUUGUUUGGUUACAGGUUAAGCAAUCUGAACUAAAGAUUUGAUAUUGACUAGAAGAUAUUUCUAAUUCUAAAGUCAGAGCUGAAGAAAGAAGCAGGUGCAUAGGACACCUGUCAUUCAGCAUCCCUCCUGGGAGCUCUAUGAAACUUUUUAGUUAGGGCACAGUUAGUAGCAUGAAACGCCAUUCCCUGUAUUCAUAUAAGAAGGAUUAGAUUAGAAGUUAUCACAUAUCUCAUGCCACAACUGGAAACCUGAUGUCCAGUUUUUUUAAUAACACAAUGAAUUCAUAAUAAAUGAAUACAUCAAAUGGAACAACUUCUUACUACGGUGUGGUAAAAAGCACGCACAUCUCCGUGCUCUAUGCUUGGUUAGAGUCACAAAACCUGCGUGUAAGACUUGGAUCUUACCCAAAACAAUAACCUACAUGUUCGAUUUCCUAUGGGAAAAACAAAAAACAAAAAAAAACAAAAAAACCUAUUUCGAAUUUUGCAUAAACGCACAAACAUUUUAAUCUUAAUAACAAGGAACCAAAUCAAGGAAUAGAUACAGCUAAGCUUUUUACGAUAAUGGUUUUAGGAUGUCAGAAAAGUUCAACAAGAACCGAAUGAGAUUUUUACUUUAAUAUGAAAUUUCAAAUCUUUAUCUUUUCUGGUAUGUACUUAUUUUUUACCAUCUCAAUCAGAUUGAUAAUGGUUUCUGCCAUAAUUCCCUUUAAAAACAUACCAAGCAUAAAGAAUCUAUGAGGUCAUCAGGAUUUGAUAAGCAGUGCACCUUACAACUCUGCAUGAAAAGCUUGUCACUUAUAGCAAGAACUUAAUAGAUGAAAGGAACAAAGUCGUGAAUGAAAAAGUAGAAUGCACUACCAAGCAUAAAGAAUCUAUGAGGUCAUAAGGAUUCGAUAAGCAAUGCGCCUUACAACUCUGCAUGAAAAGCAUGCCAACUUAUAGCAAGAACUUAAUAGAAGAAAGGAACAAAGUCGUGAAUGAGAAAGCAGACGCACUACGCAAUCAAUUUCUAUUUCAGUUAUUUUCCUUCCUUUUUCUUUUUGACACAAAUAGAAGGACACCAGGCAAUUUAAAGGUUUUUGUCUAAUGGGAGUAGGAAAGGUAAAAAGAAAUUCAACCUUCAGAAACCUUCAAAGUUAAAACAUCACAAAAUUCCGAAGAAUUCAAGAGUAGGUUAAUAAUUUCGGAACAUAACACGGAGCAAAACAUUUGUGGUGCUUUUGACAAGACAAACCUACUUCAUUCGGUGAUCAAUCUUCAUAAGAUGGCAUCUUACAACAGUUUGAGCCGUCAAGUCGGAAAAUUCGUAGUGGGUCAAUAUCAGAAAAAGGAAACUUGGUAAAAGCACAUUAUUAUUUCCAAAACAUCCAUCAUGAAGCUAAAUGUAUGUGGAAAACACAUGUUCAAUACAGGUUUACUGAGUCAAGUAAUUUCAGUUAACAAAUCAUAUCAAAAGAAUGUGCAGAAAAAACAAAUUAUUUGACCUUUACAAUGCACACAUCACCAACCAGCUUGUCCAACCGGGAUGGCGGAAAAAGCGUCGGAAAGGAGUGAGAGAAAUGCAAAGUGCAGGCAUUCCAACAAGGCAAGAAUGGGAGAAGAAUCAUGCAUGUGCACAGUUGGAAUUCCAUGCAGGACUGCGGGUGCUUUGGACUUUCGCUUUAUUAAGCUUUAUGCUCUUGAUUUACACUAAUAUGCUUUUUCUUUAAAGCACCACACAAACUUAUUCUAAUUUAAGUUUGCAUUAUCAUGUGCAAACUGAGUUAGGCGGGUUGGUCAGAACAGUGUGCUCCCCCUUCCAAAUCCCUUCCCCGUAAAUUAGCGUAGAUUAGAAUAUAGCUUUAGCAAAAGUUUGCAUUGUUAAGUUCUUCUCAUUAAGUAAAACAAUUUUUCCUGCAUUAUCCCCAAAUUAUACUUCAUAAUUACACAAUCCUCAGAAAAACAACAUAACAAUUUAACCUAGCAUUUCAACGAAAUCACUGCUAACAGAUAAAAGUAAAUAAAUUAACAUCUGGGUAAUUUCUAAAACACUGAAAGAUUUAACCUUUGGAUGUAAAAACAACUUACUUGUUACCCUUGAUCUUGAACCAAGCCUCAGCACACUGCUUGUGGGCAGCAGCCAAAUCAGCCUUACAAGAACACCCCAGCUCAAUAGGAAUCCCAGAUUCAUGAUUCGUUGCAUCCAAGCUCAGGUGACAAAUCCUGCAAUCCCUCUCCACUUUCGCCACGUGAAUCUUCACCUCCUCCAGAUCCACCUCCGCCGAACUCUCCGACGAAGAUGAUUCCCUCUCCACAAUCUCAGACCCUGACUCACUGGAGCACCUCUUCUCCCCGUCCUCCGACCCCUCGGAGCCGGACUCAGGGUAGCUACGUCGACCCGUGGCGGCGCUGCUGCGUCCCACUUCCCCCUCCUCCACAUCAACAACCACAUGGGCUUUGUCUACGGCUGCCAUUUGCAAAACCCAGAGAGAGAAUCCUCAUGUAAUGGCUCUGUGCGGCCGAGAUCAUCAAUGCCCACAGAGGUUGAAGAAGCUCUCAACCCAGCAGGAAGUGGGUUUCUUAGAUUUUCAGCAACUGGGUUCGGUAGCAGUAGGUAACCCUCUCUCUCACCUCACUCCUCACUCUCGGUGUCAGCGACCAAAGUAAGAUCUUUUAUAUAGGACAAUGGAGAUAAAUAAACGCGCACACUAUUAAAAACCCGAAAUGUUUGCAGUGAGCAGCUGAAACAUAAUAACAUAUACAGCUUCCUAAUUUGUGUCCCCCAAAACAGACGACUUUGACCCCUCGCUCCCUGCUGCUCUGCUUUUUUGGUUAAAUUAACAGCAUUAGUGUGUUGUUCGGUGAUCAUAAACAAUAAAUAACGUGCCACCACAUUGCAUAUUUAACUUUGCCUUUUGGGUUUAACAAGUGAUGAGGGAGAUUAGUGUGUGUUUAUUUGCUAAUCUCUCUACUUAAUCAUUUCAGUUGAGAAGAUAAAGGAGGAGGUUUUUUUUCUCUUUGCUUAAUCAUUGUAAAUGAGAAGAUAAGAGGAAUAAGGUUCUUCCUUAAAGCAACUUAUGUUAAAGCAACUUAUGUGAAACGAUGUAUUAUUACCGUGACGUUUUAAUUUAAUAGGAGAGAAGAAGUGAUUGAGGUGACUUCAGAAAACUGUCGAGCAGAGAGCACCGAAGUUGCAUGCAUCAAAAGCAGAUUUCACUGUAUUCUUCACCCAAAGCUGCUUUUUUCAAUCUGCUUCUGUUUCGCUUGCGCAACUGACAUGAAGACCCCAUUCUUUUCUUUGAGGACAAUCCACUUUAACUUGUGGAAAGACAGACAUGCCCAUGUAGUUCUGAUGUAUAACUGAUAACACUAGUUGUCUGAAGGGUAUUAUUGACUGUUCACAACAUUAAUUGAUUGAGAAAAACAUAGGCUAGCACUGUGCGCAUGGAACAGCUGUUCCUUCAUCAUGCAAUUUAGGGUAAGUUGAAAAUUUUCUUUUUAACCUCAUGUUUGCCAAAAUCCUAAAUUAAGCUUUUGGUCAAAAUUAAAAUAUGUGGGGAGGGGGGGUGGGGGACACUGACAAAUGAGUUGUCUGUGUAACGGGAAGUGAUUAUCUCUGGAUUUCUCUCUUUAAAGCUCAGGGAUUAAAUGAUCUGAGCCUUUGAAAUUUGAUCAAACGGCUAAAAACAGAGAAGUGAGUACAAACUUUUAAAAGUUAUAAUAAUUUUUUACCGUUUGAUCAAAUUUUAAGGACCAGGAUCACUUGAUCCCUGCUUUGGAGGAAGAGAUCCGGUAUAUUUCCUCCCAACAGGAUUCUUUCCGGAUCCUUUUGGUGAGGAUUUUGGAAAUUCGUAAAUCAUGUCCAUUCAUCGUAUAUUGUGCGGUCAGUUUUUAUCAGGUACUAUUUGUAUUGAAUUUUAAAUAAAAAUAUUUAAAAUAAUUUCUGAUCGCACGAUGUAUGAUGAACAAAUAUGAUUCAUAGAUCUCUGGGAUCUUCACAAAGAGAAUCUGACGAGGAUCUGGAUUCUAUUUCCUCAUCCUCUGAAAACCAAAUUUAAUGAUUAAAUAUUUGAAAGAAAAAAUAUGGUGGGAAUGUCUGACCAUGUCAUCUAUAGAGCAAUUUUGACAAAAAGAUGAAACGGUUAUAUUUUGAUCAAAUCAGGCAGCGAUUCCCAUUUGCUCUUCCAAUAUUCACUACAUGAGGGACAUACUCUUAAAUGGAGAAUAUGGGUCAAGCUUGAAGCUUGUUUUGAGUCUAAGAUCGACUUUGAUCCUAUUCAGCAUGUUUAUGAAGGGCCACGUAUCCACUUGUUUUAGCCCCUUUUUAUAAGGAUCAUAGACCUAACCAGGUAAGGUAAGCCCAAAAUCUCUUCUUUAUGGGAGAUGAUUUUCGGCACUUCUUCUGCAACCCCUGUUUAUUUCUAAUCUUUGAAUUGAACAGAUCAAAUGAGAAUUAAGGGAAUUAAGGGGACAAAAAGAUAUGAGCGUAUAGUUAACAAAAGUAAUGAUUUUGAUAUUCCGUAUAACGACUUUCACGCUCAUUUUAACUUCUAGCACUCCCACCUGAAUGUGAAUAAACUCGAAAAUAAUCGAUUUGGAGUGCCAAAGUUUUAUCAAUUAUGUUUUCGGAUUUGAGAUAAAAGCACUUGUAUAAAAGCAUUUACUAGUCAACAGCUUCUUUGCUCAUGACAAAAGGGGUAGAGAAGUACCUACAUAUAUAUCUUUGAUGUAAUGCCCUCUUAAACGAGAUAAGUCAAAAGUGAAAAGCCUUCUAAAUGAAACUGGAGACUUCAACUUAAUCUGCUGUAAAUUAACCGAAACACCCGGAAGACUGAGGAAGACCAGCCAUGAGUUCUAGCUCAAUCCCUCAACUUCAGUUGGCAUUGCAAAAGUUUGUCUAGGCACCUGGGUUGAUAGCACGUCCGUCAUCAUUCCCAUCAACUUGUUUCUUCCUUCCUCAAAGCGCAUAUGGUCAUUCAUCGGAGUGUUUGCUGGCAACCCCAUUUGCAAGGUAGUGGCAGCUGCUUGAAAGACUCUCUGGCUUGCUACGUGCUCUGGCAUCCUUAUCCCAUUACUCUCAAGGCCACCCUUAAUCCAUGCAAUCUUGUUCAAAUCCGUAGCAAUGGAGAUUAAUUCGUGGCUAGAGAAAGGGAGAGGCUCAUCAUACUCAACGAACUCAGGCCCCAACAACGAGCUUUGAGAAUGCCCCUCAAUUCGAUCACAGCAACCGUGACCACAGCGUUGAGGAACCGUAGGCUCAUUGCAUGCACCUUCAAGGAAGUUGUCAAAGCCGAAAUCUAGUUUAGUUAUUGGGACCAAAGGGCCAUGACUUGGGACUGUCCUUGACAACGAUGAAGCAUUUGCUGGAACACUUGGACGGUUAUAAACACUAAAUGCACUAACACGUGCCACUGGACAACAAAUGGUGGACUGGAGAGUCGGAUGGUCUCUUGGCUCGGCAAUAAGAGUAGAAUUGUGCUUUGAUUCGGCAGCGCCAGAGCCCUCCUUUGCAUGACUUCUUACAUCGAACUGGUUUGGUCUAUUUUCCAUCAAGACCUCUCUUCCUUCAUGAGUCUUGAAUGAACUGAUAUUCCCAACUGACAGGGUUUCUUCUGAGGAUGCAUUUUUUCUGUCAAAGGUGUCAUCUUCCAUCAUUUCCCCAGGUCCAGUAUUAAACCUUCCUUUAUCAAAGCACUUGCGCCUUAGUGUAGAAUUCCAAUGGUUCUUGAUUCCGUUAUCUGUUCUACCUGGAAGAAGCUUUGCAAUUACUGCCCAUUUGUUCCCAUGGAUAGCAUGUGCUGAAACUAUAAUACGGUCUUCUUCCUCUGCAUUAAUUAAAGUUACACUGAGCAAACUUCAGAAAAAGCAAUGAAGCAAAUAAAUAUGCAACCUUAGACAGAAAGGUAUGCCAGUAUCAAACUCAUUUAACAUAUUUCACAGAAUGUAAUGACAACCUUAGACAGAAAGGUAUGCCAGUAUUUAACUCAUUUAACAUAUGCCAGACCCUGCGUAAAGCGGGAGCCUUGUGCACUGGGUACGACCUUUAUAUUUGAUUCACUAACCUGAGGUCCUGAACCAGCGGCAACAUUUUAGCAACAAGAGAACCAGCAUGAUACAAAAUCUUAAUGCAAUUCCAAACAACAUAAACCGAGGUUAACCCAAGGACAUUUACCUUAAUCAACCAAUGAUCCCUAGGGACUAAUAAAAUAGAUGAACCACCUAAUUAAAAUGAUUUGGUGCACCAACCCUACAUGUACACAAUAUCCUUUAAAAUGUAUCACCAAAUUGUGACCACAACUUCAAAUACGUUCUUCCAUCGUGGUGUUAUAAAUCAUUCUGAACUUUCCAAAUAUUCAGUUGCAUUCAUUCCUUAAACAUUGUCCAAAAGUUGCACAUAAAGAAGAAUCAAGAAAGCUGAGAAUCCACAUACAUACAAAAUCACAAAUUAACAAACAGAUAGAUCACGACAAAAACGAGAUAUGUUAACAUUAUGGAAACAACAUACUCGAGACUGAAAACCACACUAAGAAAAAGACCGCGCUAAUUGGAGCGUCUAUGUACACAUUGGACAGUCCAAACACAAUACCAGUUCCAACAUCAACAAAAUUCGAACAAAUUUGUACCGUGCUAGACUAACUGCAUAUCUCUCAAGGUUCCAUCUUUAAUCUUGAAAUCAUAUUCGACACUAACGAAAUGCUUGGCUCCUCGAUCAACACACUAGACUUACGAUAUACCAACAUUAAUCCCACCCCUUUUGUGUGCUACUUAGAACCAUAUCCAAUGCCGACAAUUUUUCGAAAAACGACAUACUACAUCUUUGAUUAAACAAACAAGAAACCAAGAAGACACUUCCGACAUAUGUAACAAACAAGACAGUGACAAGAGUUCACAAACAGCUUCGAAUUCGAAAAAUCGACACUCGAAAAUUCAUAAUUCCACUUGGUUAAGCACAUCCUAAUCGAAUUUCAGUAACCGUCAAAAUCCAAACACAACAAAACCAAUCAAACACAAACAAAGAAAAUAUCAAAACGAAAGUGGCGGCGAUAAAUUACCAGAAAAGGGUUUACGCUUGACGCAGGGGUCAAGCUGAUUACACCACCUCAGCCGGCACGACUUCCCAGACCGUCCGGGAAUUCCUCGGGCGAUCAGGCUCCAAUUCCUCGCCCCGAAGUUGCUCACGAGCCGGCUCAGCACCGCGUCCUCCUCGGGCGACCACGGUCCCCUCACUUUCCCGUUGGGCACUGCGCCCUCGUUCAACUCGGCCUCGGUGCCGGGGCGGUCGUCGGCUUGUUUGGGGACGGCGCCGUUUGGGGCCGUCAUUGGUGGUCGGUUCGGAGGCUUCGGUUGGUUUGUUUUUAUGAGUACCUACCCAGCAGACCAAACCUCUGCCUUUUUAACUGCAAAUAGGAUAGCGAUUCAUGUGGGACUGGCCUUUUGCGAAUGUUUCGGAUUCCGGUUUUGUACGGCAGUUUUUUAAAUGACCAACGUGUCCCCGUGGGUUGCGGGACGACGUCGUUUGCUUGUUAAGAAACUUGAAGUCUUCAUGUUGACUUUGUUUGGACUAUGGCUUUUUAAUUUGAAAACUUUAACGAAAAGCUUUCAGUACUGUUUACUUUAAUGAAAAAUCAUAUUUUUACAUUAAAAAGUCAAUCCUGGUACUAUUCACUUUAUCUUUUAUUUUAUUCCUAUCGUUAAAACUCAAAGUUUUUCAGUUGUUUUCAUUAGUUUUUUUUUUUAACUUUCUAAAGAUGGGAGGGAAAUGGAAUCCAACAAUAAAUGAAUUCGGGGUGUGAAUUUGCCAAAUUACCCCUAUAUUCACCAUUCGGUCACCAAAACGACGGCUUAGCUUUUGUCGUAGUCUCAUUCAUACAUAAAUUAGUAAGGAUGCAUUUAUUGCACCAAAUUAUCGGACUGAACUCAUUUUAGAAGUUAAGUUGGACUGGUUUAAUUAAAAGAGGCAGAUUGUCUGCCCUCUUGUUACUGUGCCCUCCCAAUCCCCUCUUAUUUGUGCGGUCACAAUUAAGUCACGUCAACAUUUUAUAUUCCUAUUGUUUUUUGUCUUAUUAUCUCUAUUACAAAAUCAAUAAAAAUGUUGACGUGACUUAACCGUUACCACACAAAUAAGAGGGGAUGGGAAGGGCACGGUAACAGCAGAGUAGACAAUCUGCCUCCUUAAUUAAAUGGUUUGUACAGUAUCAAAAUAAGAAACAAAAUAAUAAAAAUAAUAACAAUUAAUUCUCUUUGUUUCUUUUUCUUCUUUUUUAUUUUAUUUUUUCUUUUCUAGAACUCUCUCUACCCUCGCCCUCUCUCUCUUCUUGUCCAACUCCCUCUCUAUCUCUCUAUUGAUGGUCUCAUUGAUCCUCCAUUUCAAUCGAUCAAAGCUCCCAAAUUCCACAACUUUCGUCCAAUCACAAAACACAAACCUCAAAAAUUAAAGCCCAGAAUUCUCUAUUUCAACAACCCCAUAAUCCAAUCCCAAAUCAAAGUGAAGAGGGUCACAAAGGUGUUUGAUUUUCACCAUAACACUAGCCCUCCCCGCUAACAAUCAUUUGUUUAAAUUAUUUCAAAUAAAUGUCUACAUAGUUUCUGAUUGAAUCGAUUUUUGUAUAAAUAAUUUAUAACUUAAAACUUAAAAUAUAAACAAUUCGGAUCGUUAACAAUGCAAAUUAGGCCGUACAACCAGUCCACGUUUCUAUUACUCUAUUCUUUGAAAAUGAGUUGGAGAGGUUAAGGCCCUUUAAAAUGGACAUGGAUCCUAAUCCUAGGGAUCCACCAAUUCGGGCCAUUGAAAUUUGAUCCAACAGCUACAAACGAGGAUCCACUUUAAAAGUUAUAAUAACUUUAGCCGUUAAAUCAAAUUUUAAUGGUCCGGAUUAGUGGAUCCCUAUAAUUAGGAUGCAUGGAUCCAGAGAGGAUCCAUGUCCCUUUAAAAUAUUUUAGCAACUCAAUCGGUCAGUCUCUCGAUUGUGAACCCACACAAUUUGCUUGAAUUAUUGUGAUCUGAUUGCUUCUAGAUGUUCUAGGACUUCUGAAAAAUAGACGUUUUUUAUUCUUGUUCAUGUUCCUGUAAAUUUGAAGUAAGCGUGCACAACUUCAAUUAACAAUAUAUAUAUUGCUGCCCUACACAGAAGAAAGUGAGAGGAAAACUACAAUAUCUGAAGCGUGUGAGGUAAGCAUGUUUUAUUUUGAUUUUUGAGGUCCUUAAUUGUGUUCUUAGACAGUGACACAGAGCAAAUGAUGUGAUUACGAUGUCUGUUUACAAUGUUGCUAAUUAUACUCGUUCACCCUUCUCUUCAAUUACUCGUCAAAUAUGUGUAACCUUAGAUGAAUAGUCAACCAUGUAUGUUUAGUGACAUUCGUUUUUUUACUUUGUUGGAGGAAAUUUUUUGCUCAAAUCGACAAUUGUUAUCACAAAACAAAAGGCAUUGAAAUGAUAAAGAGUAAUAUAGACGGUUUGACUUGAUCAACGUGUUGAAUGUUUCUUACCCAAUACCUCAACAUAACUUGUUGGAGAAUGCAAGUAAAAUCUCACAUCGAGAACUCGACAAAAUAAUCUCCAAAAUUUACACGUGUAGUUUCACUACUAAUAGCAUUGAGACUUUUCAUGACAAAAACUCAGCACCUGUCAAAGCAUAAAACUUAAUUAUGGUGCCCCUUCUAGAAAAUAUUGUACUUAUUACAGGUUUAAGAUUCUGAAAAAUGUAUGCGCGUAGAUGCCUAGGUUCAAUAUUGACAUUAACGUAGGACUUCUUCAAGCCUUUUAAUUUGUCCAAGCAUUAGGCGUAUUAAGGAGUAGAUGUGCUUAAGUUAACGAGUUAAUUUCGUUCAAUGUCCAUUUUUUCCUUGUCUUUUGGCCUCAAUACAAUCAUUCUUUCUACACGCAUUUAUAUCCAUAAUUUUGCCUCCUCCCCAAGAAGUCAAGCGUCACCAUAUUUAAAUAAAUUUGGUGAUCGGAAGCUUCAAUGGAAUUUUGUCUUUUCAAACCUCUAAUUUGACUAGGCUUGUUUGGAUCAGCCUCUCUCAGCAGGCCCUUCAAUAAUAUAUCUGGCCCUCUCUUCUUCCUCUUUCACAAUCACAACCAAAUCAUCAGCUCAGAUAAAGAAAGAAAACCAAUAAAAUUUAAACGACAGAGAGAGAGAGAAAAAAUCCUGAAAAUUACCACAACAUGUUCAGCCCUUUCAGUUGUGCCAGUUUUAGUCACCAAGUAGAAGAAGAUGAUGAGCACAUGAUUUCAACUUCGCCUCCAUCUCCAAGAAAAUCAUCGAGAUCGAGAAGCGCUGGCCUGAUUUACAGAAGACACAACAAGGACAGCAAAAACCCAUAUUCGGACCGGGGCCUUGACAAGUUUUCUGCACUUGUAGCUGACCUAGAAGAAAAAAGGCAGAAGAUUUAUGAGCAAAUUGACCCGAAAGACAAAUCUUUUGUGCGGUUCGUGUUCAAGGACGAGACUGAUACAAGUGCUCCGGUUCCAAUCGUGAUCAAACUGAAAGACAAAACAAAGACAAUUAGUGAUCGUGAAGAGAAGCAUGCAAACCCUAAUUCAGAAGCCUUUGAAAAUAUUGACCAAUCCCACAUCGACAAGAAAGACAUGAAGCAGAAGCAAUCGAGAUCGGAAUCUGAUCAAGGGAGCAAGAAGGGAAGAUUUUCAAGUUGGAAAAUGAAGUUGGAUGAGUGGAGAAAGCCGUAUUAUUAUUUGCCGGUCGUUGUGAUCUUUAUUUUGGUGCUGUUGACCUUGUUUGGGCGGUCGUUUGCCAUAUUGUGUACGUCUAUUUUUUGGUACGCGGUUCCAACUGUGAAAGAGAGCUCGAGUAAUACAAGGAGGCCGGCGGCAUCAAAGAAGAAAGAUUAUGUUAGAAGAUUGAGUGCAAUACUAUGUUAGUUAAUGAGGGAAGUACAGACGCCGUGGCUAUACCCCCAUCUCAACGACACAGUCACCAGAAAAGUUUGUGAUAUCAUGGUCGAUGAUUGUGAGAGGGGAGAAAUUGAACACAACAUCACAAUACUGGUGAGUAUUCUUAAUUACUUGAGCUGCAAGCAGGUUUCAAUAUUUAUUUGAUGUGUUGAUAAAUGUAAACAAUGUGUAAUAUAUGAGAUUAGAGUAUUUCCACGUAGGUUUAGUGACAUUUAUGAUUGAAAUUCAUUUGUUUGAUGAUGAUCCAGUUAUGGUACUUUGAUGUAAGUUGUAGAGAAUGCACAUUACUUUAAUUUGAGUGGAUGUUCACCGUAAAUUUCUAAACAAAAGCUUAAGGAUUCGAUUUAGGAUUAAGCUACUGUAUAUGAAUCAAUAUAAUCGUCUGGCGUUUUUUACCAGUCAAGAACAAUUUUUUGAGAACAAUUCAAGUCAGAUAACCAUUAAUUUAUCUAUUUAUAUAUUGGACAACAAUAUACUUUGAAAAUUCUGGUUCUGAUCCUUUUGCUAGAAUAUAUUGUAUAGUCAACGUUUCUCCUCUUAAUUUUCCUCAUUUUUUAAGGUUCUCCUCUUCAUUCUUAACAAGCAAUUUCCAUGUGUUUCUUAUGUAUUUUUUUAAGGUUUUUUUUUUUGCUAAAAUAGUCUCUGAUUGAUAUAAUUUCUCAUUUUGGUCAUUGAUAAUGAAAAUCUAUAAAAGUGAUCCCUGAUUUUGUCCCCCGUAAAUUAUUUUGGUACUUCCGUGAAAAAUAUGUCAAUAUACUCGUUAAGUAGAGGGAUUGGUUGGACAAAAAUACCCUUAAAAAUGUGAUCAUGUAGUCUUUCACGUGAUAAUUUAAAGAGGAUAUUUCACGGAAUAACCAAAAUGAUUUACAGUGGGCAAACACAAAGACCACUUCUAUCAAUUUUUAUUGUCACGACCAAUGAAGAGUAUACCAAUUUUAGAGACCAUUUUGGUUUUAAAAAAAUAUAUAUUUUUAAUGACUUUCUGAUGUUUUCUUGUGAAAACCGUUGUGUUUGGACACAAUUUCCACAAGUUUCAGACGUUUGUUGUUGAACCCAAAAAAAGGACACCAGUGGUCCAUUCUUCAAUUCAAUGGCCUCAAAUUGGGGGAUGCGUCAAGCCCAUAUUGUCCUACAAAUUUUUGGAGGUGCAUCAGGUCCAUAACCUGUAUGGGCUAUUUUAGUCCAUCUAUCUUGCUAUUUGUAAAUUAAUGCAUGAUCUUUCUUUGGCAAGGUAAAUUAGAGCAAGUCCAGCGGGGACAAAAUGUCCCAGCCCUCAGUCCAAAAAACGUGCCGGGCCUCUGUCAAUCAAGUCCACCCCAUGAAAUGAACUGGUACCCAGCCCGAGCUGGGCAAUGGACCAGCCCAAAAUAGACUGAGCAAGAAGCCGGGCUAUUGGCUUGGCGCGUGCGAUUCACGCCGGUGUGGCGCGAGUGCCCGACACGGUUUCAGAGCCUGGGCCCGCGUGACAGGCGCACUGACUCCCCCCCCCCGAGUUGGUGACGUGGCUUUCUUUCGGCCGUUGGAUUUCCAACGGCUAGUUUUCUAGACUGUUGGAUUUCCAACGGUAAAAAAAAUUUAAAUUUUACUUUUAACAUAGACCGUCGGAUCAAAGAUCAACGGUCCACGUUUUUUUUACAAAAAAGUAAAUUAAAAAAAAAAAGGCCCCAACGGUCAGAAAUAUGACCGUUGGCCACGUGGCAAGUCCCUGGCUCUUGGAUUUGAAUAUUUUUCAAAUCCAACGGUCCAGAGUAAUUAACUAUAUUAAAAUUCAUUAAAAAUUAUUAAAAAAUACAGAAAAAUUAUUAAAAAAUACAUAAAAUUUUAAAAAAAAUUACAGAAAUAUUUGAAAAAUGUUAUUUUUUUUCCUAUAAAUACCUAACCCUCAUCUUCCACCUUUACACCACAUUUCAAUAUUUUCUACACUUUCUAUACUAUCUACAUUUCAAUAUUUUCUACACUUUAAGAGAAAAAAAUGUCUUCGUGGAAGCUCAUUGAAGAUGUUACGUUGUGUGAAUGUUGGGUUCACACUACUCAUGACCCGAUUACGGGUAAUGAGAUGGAUAAGCGAGAAAUGUGGAGUAAAAUUACGAAAGCGUUUUGCGAUGUACAUGGAGAAAACGCCAGAACUAGUCAAGGUCUUCAAGGUCGUUGGAAAAAACUCAACGCAUCAUUUACUUGUUGGAAAAACGCCAAAAAAAGCAUGCCAAAUCCAUGUAUCAAAUGAAGCCACCGCUUCCAAAAUGAUGCUUUUGGCUCCUUUUCUGUCGCCAUAUGCUCCUUGCCACGCACUUGGACAGUUUUUCCAAGUCCAGUGCACGCAGUCGAUGCUUCCAAUCAUGCCAGGGAAGCCUCGCAUCUCAACCUUCCUCAGAAGCCUUCGCAUGUCCCUUGACGUGGGUGUCCGGAGGUACUCUUUGGUGUAGAGGGCUUCAAUUGCAGAGCAAAACCGCAUCAGGGACUCCAGAACAGUUGUUUUUCCCAUCCUCGCGAUCUCAUCCACUUGAUCUGCAGAUGCUCCAUAUGCAAGCAUUCGCAAGGAUGCCGUAAUUUUUUGCUCGGGAAUAAGACCUAGAACAUGAAAAGCAUCCUCUUUUUGCACAAAGUAUGAAUCAUGGUUGCAAAUAUCACUCAUGAUUUUGUUGAACAAAUGUCGUUGCAUUCUAAAACGCCGUCUAAAAAUAUGAUCAGGGAAUAUGCUAUUGGGAAUAAAAUAAUCUUCCAAUAGAUUUUUACCUCGUUUUUCCCUUUUCUAUCGAGGUUUGCAACACGUCUUGGUUUGGCUAUCUGACCCACGGCUUCCAUGACACGGCGGGAAUGUGAGGCCUUCUGCCUUCUAUGGUGAUCAUCCUCAUCCCCCUCCAUGAAGAAAGCCUCAUCUCCACCUCCACCUUCCUCGAGAUUGGCCAAUUCUGCCUGUUGUGCCAACAACCUUUGUUGUUGCUCUUGCAACUGCUUAUACACCCUUCUUGAAGAAGACAUUGUAAUAAGAACUCAAGAUUUGAAAACGAUGAACAAGGAUUCUGAGCUAAAAAGAAGGAUUGAGCUUGGUGUAAGGAUGGAUGUAGGGAUGUAGGGUUUAUAUGGACAAAAAAAGAAAGGAUGAGGUUCUGGACAAUGCCAUGUGGCACUACGUGAUUGGUUGAAAAUCUUAUCGAAAUCUUGGCUAAAUUAUUGUAAACCGGAAGUGACACGUGACGUGUUAGGAUUGGUCGAAAAUAUUAUCGGAAAUCUAUCCACAAAAUAGUACGUUUGGAUAAUGACACGUGGCAUGACGUGAUUGGUUGAAAAUCUUAUCGAAAUCUUGGCUAAAUUAUUGUACCACGAAAGUGACACGUGGCGUGUCGGGAUUGGUUGAAAAUAUUAUCGGAAAUCUAUUCACAAAAUAGUACGUUCAGAUAAUGACACGUGGCGUGACGAGAUUGGUUAAAAAUCCUAUCCGAAAUUAAAACUAUUUUAUUUUUUUAUUCUUUUAGAAAAAAUUUAAAAAUAUUUUAAAUGGGCUGAGUGCCAGCGCAUUUUGUAGGGAUGGAGAUCGUUUGUGCCAGCGCAUUUUUUCACUAGGUGCCAGCGCAUUUUUUUAGGGGUGGAGAUGCCUUGGCCUAUUACUGUUCAUUGGAGUCUGUUACUGUUCACUUGAGUGGAUAAAUGCGCUGGGUGCUGGCGCAAAGUCUUAUGGGUGGACUUGCUCUUAGAGGAAUUGGAUGAUCAUUAUCCUAUGAUUUACAUUCUUAUAGGAUAACUAAUUCUUAAACAAAAUUAAGGUGGUUAAUCCCACUAGUCCGACCUGUGAACUAGACUCACACCACGUUACGACUUUUUUUUUUUUUUUUUUUUAACGAGAACAUAAUUCUAUUGAUGCACAAAUAGUUAUAAGCAGUGCCAUGGGUACAUAAAACUUUAGUAACCAAAUCCUUGAUCUGUAGGUAAAUUUGCACAAACGUCAAAGAGAAUUAAACCCGAAGCGGCUACCACACAAAACAAAUGCACUAGUACCAAGCUGUCAUAAUGACAAUAGAUGCAACAAACCUAUACCAAACACACAUCAAAAUCAUUGCUAUACAACAAGACCACAACAAAGCUAUCGCCACAAGUCUUGACCACAAACACAACCCUCUAAAGUGGUACCAUUAACAAUAAACAACGGCUUGAACCAAAUAUAAUACUCAAUGUGUACAAGAUUAAUAAGAUGAUAACUAUUUUUAAAUUUUCGGAUAAAAAAAAUGAAUUGUUGUAUUAUUGCAAAAUUAUUUUUGUAUCGCUUUGCACAACACGAACAUAACAUGAAUAUAAACAGAUAAAUAUGAACAUGACUCAUCGUCACCCCCAUUAAACCUAAUCUAAUCUAGUCACUUAACAACAAUUAAUCAAAUCCAUUCCACCAAGUGAAAACCCAUAUGUAAUGGUGUCUAUUUUCUACUCUUUGGACAUAUAUUAAUCCCUACUUUAGUAGCUAGUAGAAGUUCUUAAUUAGACUUGAGUCUUUCACGUGUUCCAGCCAACUUUUUAUAUUCCCUUUUUUCCUAUGUGAAUUUGAUCAUGUGUUCGAUCUUUAAUUAGGAACCAAUGAAAAAUCGAAGGAGCAGCAUCUAUUCCAUCGCAUCUUAGACCACUCUUCACAUCACAUGGCCCCUACCUUUCGGCCAUGACAUGGAUUUCACACUAAAAAACUUGCUUUAUUUUCUCAAAGCUAGAGAGAAGAUGAUCAAAAGGCAAAGCAGUUCCUUUCACUUUAGGGUAAGUGAGUGUAAGCAGCAGCAUCAAUAUUCAAUGGAGAAGCAAGAUGAUGACGAAUGCCAAAUCAAGAAGUGCAUGUUUUUUCCAACCAACCAAAGUGAAUGACCAAAAGAUUCAAUCGAUGGCCUUUCCUAGGCAGACACAGAUGCCCCGCAAACGCAUUCUGACGGCGAUUUUUAGGGCAGCUGGAACUUCUCAUGCUCCAUGGAGCGCUGUCCUUGAUGUGAUUAAGAUUACUGUUCCUGGCAUUGAAGAAGAGGGCUUACCAUAGGGCAAUAUAAGGAGUAACCUUAAUUACUUAUAAACAUAUGUAAAGGUCCUUCCUUUCCCGGAUGUGAGAGUAAGAUUCAACUCUCAACACGCCUCUUCACGUAUAGCGAAUUUUUCAGUCUAACAAGUUAAUAGUACAAAUUGAGUGACGUGGAGCGUGUGUGGCCGUUGGGCUUCACUUGUAAGACAUUACCAUGAAAAAGUUGAGGUUACACCAUAAAAUCAAUUAGUGAUAUGAGGAGUAGCCUAAUUACUUUUGGUACCGUUUGGUACGCAGACGAGACGGAACAGGACGGGACGGGACGGAACAGGAUGGAACGGAUGAUGUAAAUAUUGAAAAAGAUAAGGAGAAAUUUUGUCAUAAAAUGUUAUAAAUUUGUGUUCCACGGAUGUGGAACGGGUCGUUCCAGAGGGAAGAGGUGGAACGAAAAAUCAGCCAAAUUUCAUCACAUGGGACAACCCGUUCCACAGUUUUUAGGCGCACCAAACGUGGGACAGAACAGCUCGUCCCAUUCCGUCCCGUCCCGUCCCACGUACCAAACGGUACCUUUAAGUACAAUGUCCCUCAUUUCCUUGAUGUGGGAUUCAGCUCUCAUGACGCUGCUUACUCAAUUUUUUUGAGAAGUGAUUUUUAUGCAUUAUUUUUCUCCUCACGUAUAUGCACACCCUUGACUUUUAGCCAGGAGGAGAUAAAUUUAAAAAGGAGGUGGGAAAAUCAUUAGAGUUAUGAUAAUCAACCUGAAGUAAAAUUACGAUACUCCCAGUAUCAUUGAAUUUUACAACGAAGAUUAGACAAAGCUAACAGUGGUGAAAGAUGCAUGGGCAAAGGACUAUAUAAAUGAGGUACUUAAUGAUAAAACCCACUAGAUUGAUAUGUGCCUUGAUUUUCAUUAUUUCUUAAGCAUAAAUACAAUGAGGGAUGCAGUAUAAGUUAAAAUUAGGGUUCCUCACAAAGAUCGUUCACAUUAAAUUAAUGCAUUUCACGCAUUAUAACCUUGUUUUACGUCAAGAGGUCAAAUUCAUACAUGACAUAUGCAGACACACACACCUAACUACCAAAGCAAAAACGGACGACAAAAUAUUUUGCUGCAAAAUAUUGGUCACCUGCUACCUGCAGAUAAGGACUCUAUAUAUACACCACACACCCGUAGAAUUAUACAGGUUCAAAAUUUUAAUUAAGUAGAACGAAUUGCAGAAACCAGGACAUGCCAAACACAAGAUGACCAAAAGGAUCCAACGUGACCGCUAGCUAGAUAUUACCCACAAAGUUAACAUAUAACUCACGUUCCCACAAAAAGAAAUUAUAAUAACCAAGGGUUACCCAAUAAGUAAUGACGAAAACCCUUAUAUCCUUGCCGGAUCCUCUUAUUUGUGAGGAUCCCGGGAAUUCUCAAAUCAUAUAUGUUCAUUAUACAUCGUGCAGUUAUAAAUUAUUAUAAAUUUUUUUAUUUAAAAUUGAAUACAACUAAUACCUGACAAAAACUGGCUGCACAAUAAACGGAUGUGAUUGGAGGGUCCCCAGGAUUCUCACAAAGAGGAUCCAGCGAGGAUCCUCUCUCAAAUAUAUGUGUGUGCUCGCACAACUUUUGACACACAUUUUGACAAAUUAUUUUUGUAGUUCUCAUUUAACUUCUUUUAAGAAUCUGAGUCAUCUAUAUUUUAAUUCAUCAUUUAUGGAUCAUCUUUGCAAAAAAUUAGACAAAUUCAAAACUAUUAAGACAUUUAUUUGUAGCGAAGAAAAUAGACGUAUACGGUUCUACAAGGAAAUAUUAAAAUGAAUACGAUUUAAUUAAAUUGUCAUAUGGUUUCAAAGUUAGGUAAUUUUUGGCAGAGAUGAGCAUUGAGGAAAGACCUAAAAGAUAAAUGUUGGAUCGUUGAAAUACAUUAUAGCCUAAGAAUGUGGAUCCAAUAUAGAAUAUGAUCAAGGGAACACACACGACUUUUUAUACACUUUCUUUGAUGAUCCGAAACCCUAAUUCCUAGUUCUUAUACUAUAGUUUGCAUUUGAGGGUCCAAAACCCUAAUUCCUUACACCAGUGUCGGUGUCCCACUUCUCACAGUAGCCAGAUUGAAAGCGCCAUUGACUUUGAUUCCAAACAAGCUGGGUCAGGGUGGUGAGGGGUGUGACAUAGGAAGGGGUCCUAACCACUGAUUGAUUUGUCCUUUAUGUUUGAAGACCCUCCUAAUUGAAUCCAUGUGACAUAACAUAUCCAUGUCCAUGCUAACCCUAGCUCUAGUGCCAGUGAGAAACAAACAGGGUGUGUACGUACGUUUUACAUCAGGAAUGUAUAAACACUAACUAGCUAGUGUCGAUAAGUUCUGCAGAACCCUAGCUAGCUUUACACACACAUAGACAUAUAGUAUCUCCCACGGGCCAGCCAUCAGAUGAACACCAUUUGAAUACAAUUUUUUUCUGGAACUGCCAUUCCUUCGAUCAUGUCGUGUUUGCACGAUAUAGGUUAUAGCAAUUGACACUGCAUUAAGUUAUAUAUUGUUGAAAUUUGAAAAUGGUAGAUGGAUUGUUCCCACCAACUUUUGCCCCAUGCUGCCAUGCAGUGCCAAUUCUUCUUGUAUAAAUCUAAUACAAGAAAAACUUUUGUUACCGCUAAGAUAACUAAUAAUUGACCUUAGGCCCGGAUGAUUAGUAAUCCUUUAGAAAAGUAAAGACAUGCAUAUGUACAUUAUGUCAGUUGAUUAUUAAGACAGUGUACCUCCAUUCUCUUGCACCCGAAUUUAGAUUUUGCUUUUCGUAGAUUUACUGCAACUUAGAAUAUUACUUUAUAAAAACAAAAAGAUAAAGAAAUCAUCAUCACGCACGUUCUGUUUUGAGAAGGAAACCCUAGCCUCUCUAUACCCACACCACAUAUAUUUUGAUCGAUGUUUUCUUAUUGUCCAUAAGCAUUAGUACAAUUUGAUGGAUGGAACAGAAGCUUUCUCAUCAUCUUGUGUAUUUAUGAAGGUGUCAAUAGAUGUGGUCCAAACCCUCCACAUCCAACAAUUGAAGAAUUGUAGAUGAGGGCCAAGACGGUAGUCAGCGUAGGACCUCCCAAUAGAUGAUUUUAAAUGACCCUAUUUAAAGUCCUUGUAUAUAUAGGAAAAAUACAGGAGGAUCAAUCCUUCCUUCAGUUGAUGAAAGUUUUACUUGAGACUAAAGCUGUUGUGACUGUAAUUCAUGAAAAUAGACUUCGAUUAAUCUUAGGACUCGUUUGGAAAUACUUUUACAAGGACUGAAAGCGUUUUUAAAGAGAAAAAAAAAUUGGCUCCCAAAAGCACUUACAUUUUUAUUAAGGAUUGAUUCAAAAAAAAAAUUCACUAAAAACGCUUUCAAUCAUUUUAAAAACAUUUUCAAAGGAGGUUUUAAAUUUGUAUGUCCGUUUUUCUAUUGUACUUUUGUUCAUUACUUUGGCCGGGAGAAAGUGACAAAGGACUGGAAGAGCAGUCUGAAAAGGUCGACCCCGACGUGAAUAGUGUUUUCGUUUGAAUAUUGAUUUUGAUUCAUGGUUUGUCGUUCUAUUUUGGCUGAUGAUACCUUUUCGAACUUUUUUUUUUUUUUUUAUAACUUUAAUCCUUGAAAAUUAUUGGAAUUUAAUUAAAACCUAGUGUUACAUUACAUAUUGAUAUUAGUCUUUUGAUGUGUACUUUAAUCAAUUUUUUUUUAAUAUCUGAUGUGUAUUUUAUUUAAUGUCUCCCUAUUAAAUAUUUAAAUUUAUUAAUAUACAUAUUUUAAUUGAAAAAAUUACAUAUAAAAUAUACUUUUAAUAAUUAAUUUUAUAUUGAGACUUUAUCUAUCCACAAUUCUCUUAACCUAGUGCCAGAAUUCUCUUAAGCUUCUGGUGUUCAAAAGGGUAAUUGUUUGUGAUCACUUUAUCUAUUCACAAAAUGAGAAUUCUCUUAAGCUUCUGGUGUUCAAAAGGGUAAUUGUUUGUGAUCACUUUAUCUUAUAACUUUUGUUGUGCCAGAAGUUUUAAAUUUCUUGUAUAUAUAUAUUUUCCAUUAAAUUAACAAAACAAAAAUUCGGAAUUAGUCAUGAUCACAUGAUCUUAGAUUCAAACUUACACUAGUAGAUUAUAUUAUACGGAAGUUAUUUUCACAAAUUUUUUUCUAUUGCUAGACACUUUUAUUUAUUCUUGACAUCUAAAUUGAAUAAAUCAUAAGAAUCAAAAGACAAAAAUAAAUAAGAGCAUGCAAACAACAUUUUUCAGAUUAUUUAUAUUUCUAACGCAAAAUUCCACGUUAUGAAUUCAAUAAAAGAAAAGGGUGUGUGAGUGGAAGCUGUUGGCCCUCGGUGGAUGAAUAGUAUAUCUCAUGCAUGGGAGAGAUGAAGAUCUGAAAUAUAAUGGGCAGCAGCAAUAGCCAAUUAGCAGGUAUAUUCAAGUUCCUGUGGUGAUCCCAGCAGAUGGGUUACAAGGCCUGAGAGAAAAUAAUUCUUGUGUCCUGCAAACAAGGGACAUAUGUCCUUGGAGGUGAGCCAAAACCCUAUUUUCAAAUCACAUCAGACAGUAUAAGCCAAUCACAAAUUACCCCAUUUUCACAUUAUGCGUGGGAAGGUAAAAUAUAUAUGCAUGGUGGACCGUGGAGCCACUGUAUAGCACCAUCGACAAACCUGCUCUGUGGCUGUGGUCCACCUAUAUGCUUCAGUGCUUCACUAGUGUGGACAAGAUCUAGCACCAUCCAUGCCAUCAUGAUCUGGAGUGGUCAACUGAGCAAUCUUGAUACGGCCCCGCAUUUUGAACGGCCGAGAUGACUAGAGUAGAAGCAGGAUUAACUGUUUAGCCAAGCACUAAAAUAUGUCGUUUUGCCCUAUCAUGUAUUGCACUACAGUCACCAUUUAUGGAGGAUGACAAGUAACUGUUACUAUGGAACAAGUUUUUCUUUCUAAUUAACAAGUGAGACUGUGAGAGGUUUCAAAAAGGUUGCUGCCGAAUUGAGGAAAAAGGUAAAAUUCCACUUCCACACUUAUAGACAAUAUGUAUAAUGCAUAGUCAUGUUAUGAAGAUGGAUAGUGGUUAGAGGACCCCAUCCAUAAAUCAAUCUUGCAAAAAAAAUCAUGUGGUAGGUGGCUAUAUUUAAUUUAGCAAUACACAAAGAUUCAUUUUAUGGGGUAACAUAACAUGUAAAAUUCACUAGUUCGACUUCAUUUUCUUAUCAAAUACAAGUUGUAAAAUAUGUACAGAACCAGCUUCUGAGCAUGAAUCCUGCUUUAGAGUUUACACGGUCAAAUAUCAUAGACUGUUGCUUUGCUCGUAUAGCAACGAAGUAUUGACUAGAUACGGAUUGUCUAUAGUUCAUUGUUUAUGUCAGUUUCAGCUCCAUAAUAAUGGAGUGUUAUGUAGGCAAUACAUGGUCACUAGACAAAGUAUUGAUCCCGUUCCGUGAACAGUGGAGUAGAGUCUCUUUUAAAAAUGGGCUCAGGUAAGUAUCUAUGUAUAUAUUAUGGUGAGUGGACGGCUAAGAAAUUAAUCAAUAUUGUUAGUAAGAUUGAUACCUUUUUUUUUUCUUUUUUUUUUUGCGCCUAUCCAUGUGCACCAUUUAGAGGCCUUCGUAGUGAUGGUCCUCGUACUUUGGUGUCUAAAGAAAAGAUAACAAAAUUGAAUGGAUCAUCGUUUAUGUCUUCUAUUAUCUCGUUUCUUUUUUGGUGGUUUGGUAAAUGCUCCUUUUAUGCGUACUAAACGGAAGAACCUCAUUGGACUAACACUAGGGUUUCCAACAUUUCAACUACAAUUGUCAAAGAGUGAGGACCAAUACUUUAACUUCGUAAUUAAUAAUUUGAAGUUUUCCACUAAAAUUUAAUUUUAACUUUUCUUUUUGUAAUAUUAGAGGAAUCAAACUCUCGACGUGCUUUAAAUUCUAAUAUGAAUUAAUCAACUACACCACAUAUUUUAAAUGAUUAUACUAAAUUACAUUACAUUGAGGAGAAAUUUUUCAAAGUACUAGCUAGAAACAUGGCUCGUUGCGUUAAGUUUCAUAAUACAAGCGAUUGAAAUUUUUUUUAAGUAUUGUAUUAUGCCACACCAUGUUCUGACACACUAAAAAAUAUCUCGCCUUUGAGGAAGACCGGUGCCUUGAUUGACUAAAUCACACACCUUGUGGAUCCCACUAGCUAUAACAUUUUAAUUUCAAGGGAAAGGGAUCCUUUCCGGAUCCCUUCCAUCAAGUCCACCAAGGCCACAAAUUCGGGCUCUUGAAAUUUGAUAAAACGGCUAAAGUUAUUAUAAUUUAAAAAAUGGACCCCUGUUUGUAGCCGUUUAAUUAAAUUUCAAAAGUUCGUAUUUGUGGUCUUGGUGGACUUGGUGGAAGGGAUCCGGAGAGUAUCCCUUUCCAAUCUCAAAAUCCAUUAUAAGGUCUUAUCAUUGACGGAUAUUUGAAUAUAUAUUUAGAUACCAUAAUUAAAUUUAAAAAAAUGAGAAUGUGCAAUACUCUGUGAAAGCAUAGAAAAAGAGUAGGUCUGUGAGGGGGAACAUGGUUGGACCACAGACCUUGAUUUAGAUGAGGAGAAUAUUUGAGAAAUUAAACCAAAAAUUAAUACGAUUGUACCAACUUGUUGGGGGACUUCUAAUGUGGACACACAACGUAUAAACCUUUUCCAUGUGUCUAGUUUGUUUGAGAAUGGGGUCUACAAAUAAAAAUAUCCUGGAAAUUAAACUUUUAUAUGUGAUAAGAUAGGGAAGGUAUUUGAGAUAAACCUCAAGUCAGUGAUAACAAGUUGGUGUAGAACUCACCAUUCAACAGCCGAAGCUAAGCCUUUUUAGUUAUAAGUAGUGCAAAAAUAUAAUUAGAUCAUGAUCUUAACUAUUUAACUCAUUAACGCUAUCAAUUGUUAUGGAAAAGGUUUUUAUUAUGAUUAUUUUGAUAAAUAAAAAAAUGAAGAAAACUUGCAUGUUCCUCUUUGAGAGAUAAACUCAUUCUCCGGCCACUUGUAAAUAUUGUGUCUUCAUCGUAAAAAUUUCAUAAUUGAAACUGUUCAAUGUCUUAAUUUUCAUCUGAAGAUUAUUUCUACAAAAAUUCAUUCAACUCGGAUAUUAUUUAGUCAUUCAAAUUGUAUCAAAUAAAUCAAUGGUGUAAGUACCUAGUAACAUAUUAAUGAUGAAUUAACUGUCCAUUUACUUGAUAUAUUUGGAGGAAUAAACGAUCUCCGUUUUAAAUGAUUUUUUGUAAGUAUGAUAUUCAAAUGAAGAUUAAGAGACUGAAAAUUUCUGAUUAUGAAAUUUAUAAAGUAAAAUACAUUAUUUGUAAGUAGAAGAAUAAAUUCACCCCUAAAGAAGGGAAUGCAAGUAUUAUCCAAAAAGAAUAAAAAUAUAUGAAUGGUAACAUCGAAGAUGAAGAAGUCACUCCCUCUUUUAUAUUGGAGGCUCCCUCAAAUACCAUUUUCCUCUUACACAGAGAGUUUUGAGAAGGAAGCGAAGUGCUGGGUUGGUUUCAUAUAUUAAUUGCUUCUAGAGGAGGCAUCCAAAGGGAUCGCAUUGAUCCCAGCUAACUAUUUAUGUCCAUCGCUUGGUUUGGAUCAUGCUAUCCCUUUGGAUUUCUCCUUUGGAAGCUUCAAACUUAUUUCUAUAUAUCUUGCAUCAACGACUUCUUUCACGUUCAAGGUAUUCAGCCAAACUCGACGGUUUCUUGUUCAGGUAAUUCAAACUCUUUCAUAUAUAUGUCUUCUCUUCUUCUAUCUUUCUUUUUUUUUUCAGAUCGAGCUUCCAAAAUCUAUGUUUUCAGCAGCCAACAUCUGAAUAUUUUCAUUGACUGGAAAAAAAGAUGCACAUCGUCAUAGUUAAUGAGACAAAUUAUGCAUUUCGAUUAGGGUUUUGCAUUCUAUACUUAUGAUUCUACCAUAUAUAUAUGUCUUUUCAUCAUGUCGAAAAUCUAUUUGACGCUUAAUUAUGAACUCCUCUCUAUCCCCAAUUAUUCAUGAAAUUAACUUGGUCAAAGAUUUUGGUUUGUAUAUAUUAAUCUCUGUUGUUUCUUCAAUUAAAAUUUGAGGAUGCUUUUCUGCAUAUAUGGCUUCCUAUAUAUCUUGCUAAAUUAUGUAAUUAUUUGUUGUGUUGUAUAUAGAAUAUUUGGCAAAGCUACAAGUUAACCAAACCUGAAAUCGCAUAUGAACAUGUUGGAUCUGAUUUUCUGGGGAUACAGUUCGACGCUAAAACCCAGAAAUGAACUCUGGAAAACAAUCAAUUGAUUUUUUUACUCACGUUGUUUACAGGUGUCAUUGAUGUUUAUUAAUCUUAUUUAAUUAUUAUUUUUUAUUUAAACCAGAUGUCUCACCCCCCAACUCUCUCUAACUCCCUCCUUCCAAAAACCCUAGAUCCGAAAACCUACAGCUACCUGCCUCUUGCUCCGGCUUGGGGGUCGGCGGCAACCAUUUGCCCCCUAAUUCGAGUCACGCCUAUCAUUUAUUUUGUCCCCUCCCACACACCGUGCCCCCACUCUCCCACCGCUUCCCCUACCUUCGUGCCAUGCCUCCCUUCCCUCCGCCUCGUCUUUGUCCCCCUACCUUUCCCUUACCUCGCGCCUCUUCCUCUCCCUCACCAUCCCCUCUCCCACAAUUUUUCAAGCAGCUCGCCCUUCCUUUGACGAAGCUCUUCCUGAGCUCUUUUGGGCUAGAUCCGUGGGUAUGGGUAAGAUUUGUGGUUGUGGCGGGUUAAUCCACCUCCUACGACUCGUUCUCCAGGGUGAAUUUGCGCUCCUCAGCCGGCCCAGCCGCCUUACAUGACCAAACCUGUGGCGGCUCUUGUGGUGAAUGCUAUAGAUAUCUCUAGAAGCGGUGUUGGUAUCGUGGGGAUGUAGUCCAACUAAGAUUUUAAAGGAUUUUAAUUGAUUUUAAAAAGUGGUAGAUUUGAUAGGAUUUAUGAGGAUUUAAGACUCCUACAAAAUUCAUAUGGAUUUUUAAAGAAUUUGAAUGGAUUUACUUUGUAGAUUUUGGUGGAUUGUGGUAGAUUUUCAUAUAAUUUUUUUAUUGAAAAAAAAAAAAGAAAAAUCUUUCCCCUUGCCCUACUAUACUCGAUAGUCAUUUUAUCCCCUUCUUUUCGGGUCUCCUUUCACACAACCACAGCUUCAUCUCUUUCUCAAUUAAUAGAUCAACAUAACUUUUGUGAGCUUUUGAGCACUACACCACCAACAAACAUCACCACCGACUGCCAUUUUGUCAUAGAUGUACGCUGUGGUACUUCAGUAGUGCUUGUAGUACCACAAACAUUAAAAAAUCAAAAUGGCGAGAGAGUAGUAUUAACCAAAAUCCUAGAUCAAUCAUGUCCUUUGAUGAUCAUACAUGCCUACAUCGUUGGUAGAGAUUUGAGGACUGCCCAUAUGGAAAAGGAUUUGAAAUCCUAGGGGGUGAGGUUGGAUUCUUUUUAGUCUUGGUUAUAUAUACUUCUUGCUCUCAAAUCCCACAAAAUCCACAACUUAUUGAAAUCCUCCAAAAUCUGAAUUUUGUUUAAUACACUUAGAUUUGGAUAGAUUUUAAAAUCCUUUAAAAUCUUUUAAUUGACUACACCUAUAUUUGAAUGGAUUCUAAAAUCCUUUAAAAUCUUUUAAUUAACUACACUAGGAUUUUAAAGUCUUUUAAAAUCCUCUCAAAUCCAAGUUUGACUACACUCUAGUUCCCUUUUCGAAUUAGUUAGUUUUGUUUAAUGUUUUGUGUUAUGUCGCUUUGGUGAGUUUUAUGGUCUCGUUGUUCUAGCGGUGGUGCGAUGUGGCCUAGUUGUUUUAGUGAUGGCUUAUGUGUGCAUUCAAAGCAUGAUUUAUCGCGUUUAUCAUCUUUUGUGACAUAUUACACCAUGUGCACCUAGUUUUUGUGUGUGGUAGUCAUAAGGGGUUUUAUCUUAUUUGUUGAUUGAACGAAUCUCUCUUUAGAUAAAAAAAAUUGAUCAAUGGAGAAUAUGUACCCAUUUGGCACCUCUUAGAUUUGAUUUGGGUUAAUGGAAUCUAGCUCCAUUGCUUGUAAAAAAAAUCUUAUUUACAUUAUAACAAAGAUAGGUUAAAACUAAUUAAUCUUAGCAAUUUGUAGUAUACUACUACAUUAUGGUGAAUACAUUCUUAAUCAAAUUUCCUUCAUCCUGUCGAAAUUUCCUUAAAAACAUUAUGGUAAAUAAAUUGUAAUCGAUUUUCUUUUGCAGUGAAACAUGAAAAUGUAAAAAUAAAAGUUUCUUGAUUUAGAAACUGGUAGUAAGUCUUGAUUUUCCAGUUCAUGAAUCAUGAUUAGCAUAAAAGUGGAAGCUGUCAAGGUGAUGUCUUGCGUUACAAUUUAACCCUAAUCUCUGAAACUUUUGAUCAUUACCUUCCAACACUUUGACUUCACCUUUUUGUAAAGGUAAUUUCACUUUGACGAUCAAAUUGACAAAUUGCAAGUAGAAACCACGUGGUUUAUUAGCAUGAAUUACUGCAAGUGUUGCUGCUGGCUUUAGUUAUUUUCUACAAUUGCCACCACCCGAAACUAGGGAGAUCCAGUUGAACUUGAACCUACUAGAACAGACUCACAUGGCCACAUGAACUGCAGUGGACCAAAGUCAAGAACUCCAAAUCUCGCGCUUUUAAGGACUUUAAUUAGAAUCCAAGGUAGUGGAGGAAUGAUUUUAUAAACUUAACGACUUCCUUUUCCCCCCACUUUUGGGCCUCGCAUUGAGUGCACCAAAGGCAAAGGCAAAGGCAAAGACAUUAUGUACAAGUGAUGAGAUGAGAUCUAAUUAAUAAAAGUUCUUUUAACCAUUUCUCUCAUUUUGAAAUACAGGUUCAAUUUGUUAAACUCAUUCGAAAUGUAUGAAAAUUCUAGCAUGUUCUGGUGUACUUGAUUUAUUUUGUCGCAAGACUGAUGACUCCCAACCUUGCAACACCUUAAUUAUUUUUCUUUGUUAUUAAAUUAAUAGAUAGACUUAAAUCACAAAAUUGUUGAUUGAAAAUGGUCUUGUAUGCGUCGACAUAUACAUUUAGGUACGGUUUCGGCCACAAAAAUUGAGGUGUGGGGAGGGGAAUGGGAAAGGGUUGGGUGAGAGCUAUAAUGUGGGUUGGACUCGAGCACGCGUCAACUAUCCCUAAAGUCUAUUUGUGUAUAUAUUUUUUUUUUAAACAAAUAUGUAGAUUCGUAGAAUACAUAGUUACUUAUGCUGUAUAAUGUGCAGGUGAAAGAGGAUGAGCCCCACAAAAGAAAAUGUUACUUUUACGCUAUUGUGUAGUAUUGUGGAGGAUAGCUUGCACUAUUAAGUAAUUAGAUGAUGAGCUUUCACUUUGAAUUUGUCAACAAUGAAGAAACCCUAAAGGAAUUAUUGAUUUCAGAAGCUUCCUAAAUCUAUGCAAAGUUUGGAGAAUUCUCGAGUAGAAUAUGUUGCGUGGUCUAACUAUCAUCAUUGUUCAUCAUGGUAGUAAUUAAUAGUAAUCAUCACCAUCAUCAUCUAAAUCUAAAUCUUUUACAACUAAACGAAUGGUCUAAUUCAAAUGGCAGAUGGGGUCCAAAGUGGGAGAAGAAGAAUUUGCUUGGGGGCACCAGUGUCGUGUGUGUGUGUGCGUGAGUGUCGUGUGUGUACAAAUUAUCUUGAAUUGUAAGAUAUGCACCCCAAUUGUCUCCCUCCUGCACUACACAAAGCUUUAUCAAGGACACACAAACAGCGAAAACAAAACCCCCACACACUUGAAAUUUUUUCAAUCCAUCAGAAGGAUUUGGAUGCUGCUUUUGCUGUGGCAACUACCAAAGGGACCCCAAAACCCUUGACUUGCCUGUUCAAUCCGUCUGAAGGAUUUGGAUGCUGCUUUGCUGUGGCAACCAAGGGGACCCCAAAACCCUUGACUUGCCUCCAAAUUCAAGCCCCUCCACUCCUAUUUCUUCUCGAUUACUUGUUUUAAUAUUUGCACUUUGUGAGACUCGAUUUUCAGCCGUGUAUUCGGGACCUGGAGGAUUUGAUUACUUGGGGGAUUUGAUUAAGAAGUGUUCAUAAAGUUGCACGUUACCCUUACGUUGCUAUCUUUCGAAGCUACCAUAUGAAAAAGAAUGGAAGUAUUAUUUUGUAUUCGACAUACAGGCAUAGUGAGUUCCUGCUACCGUAUCAGAAUAAUAAGAAGAGCUCUUUACAGUAUCAGGCAGAGACAACUGAGGGAAGGAAUUCAAAUUGCAUGAGAAGCUAGGGCAGAAAAUGAACAACUGCUUAAUAGGGAAGAAAAUGAACAUCUGCUUAAGGGAUUCAAGAUGAUUUGGGGGUAGUUUGUGAGAGACUUGAACACGAGCUCAAAUGCAUGGAGUCACAUGAGUUACAAAUUUCCUGAAAUAGAGAAAGACUUUCAUGCAACGAGAAUGUCAUAUUUGUAAGUCCAAAUAAAUAUGACCAAUAAACAACAUUAGACACUAACAUUUAUCCCAAUAGCGAGCUAUUCCUCACUGUCAUGGUAUUUGCAUUACUACAACGGGAUAUUAUAAAAUAACUUAGGAAUCUAUAGGCUCAUUUCGAGCUUUUCUUUUUUUUUUUUUCAAAUGACUGAAAAUGUUUUUGGAACCAAUCCUUAACAAAAAUGUAAGUGCUUCCUUAAAAAAUGAAGCACUUCAAGUAUUUUUGGUACUCAAAAAUAUUUUUAUCAAGAGUGUUUUCAAUUAUUUUAAAAGAACUUUCAGACAAGCCAUAUAUCACAAAAAAAAUAUAUGGCCCUCCUAAUCUAUGAGGACGUUGCAAACUCAUAUGCUAAUUACUCGCGUGUAAAAGCUCUUGUAAUAUUGCGUAGCGUUGAGCGCAUUGAGUUAAAGAGAAAACCCUUAAUCAACAAGUUAAUCCACCAUUUAUUUAAACGAUUCUUUGUGUUGUUGACUAAUUGUCAAUUCUUAUGGCAGAUGCCCUUGGAUUUCAAAUACAAUUCAUAUUUUGUUGCGGAUGGAAAGGAUGGAUUUGGAUAUUUAUACGUUAAAUGGGCCUUUAGAUUUGUUUCUGUUUAGGUUGUUUGGGCUUUUUUUUCUUUUUAAUAAAUAGUUGUAUUUUAUACACCCAAAAGCCGUAUCUGGACACCAAAAAUUUUGUAAAGUUUUUAAAGACAGAUGUAGCCCUCAACAAAAUGAUUCAAAAGCCCAUAUUUAAAAAAAUUAAAAAUUUCUAAAACAAGUAAAGAAAUCUCAUAAAAGCAAAAUUAAAUGAUAUAAAAAUAUUAAAAUAGAAAACGAAAGAGAGAACUCUCUCCCGUCCCUUCCCACCUCCAGGCCCUCCAUUAUCAACAAAAAAAAAAAAAAAAAAAAAAAAAAAAAACCCCCUCCAAGCUCCUCCAACGUCAUCUCUCCAAAUCCCAGGUUACAAAAUCUUAAGGUGCAAUAGACAAAGGUGUAAUUUGAUAGGGCACCAAAUUUUAAGGUGUAAUGUGAAAAAAUUGAAACCUAAUAACUUAUUUUAAAAUGACUUCAAACAUUGAGAGUGUAAAAGCGGUCUUUUACCACAGUGACGAAAAUGUGUUGAGCCCUUAUAUCACGGUAUAAGUUUAAACUUUAUCAAUUACUAAUAUAACAAAAUUUACCGUUUAACAAAAAAAACCUUAAAAAUGUAAAAUAUAGUUAGUCCAAAAUUUUAUCACCACAAAGUUCGACCAAACAAAUACCAGGGUUUUGACUCGUGACUCAUGUCGUCAACUACUUCCUAAAUCAGGAUGUCGUUGUGAAGGCAACACGACGUCGUUGAGCCUAUAUAUGUCGCGAGUUUUUUGGACAGAAAAACGCAAUACUGCUUUACCAAAAAUUAGAAAUAUCCGUUUUUCGGAUCGGAUAAAUAGAAAAUCGUUGAAUCGCUAUCGCUCUGAUUCGGGAAGUGCACGAAGACGCCUCGGGUUUCUGCAAACAACGAUGGCGAACUUCACCAUUUCCUGCUGCAAUUUCCCCUUCAUUUUCCUCCUCUCCUCCUUCUAUUUCCUAACCCUAACCCUAAUUGCAGAACCCAUUUCUUCUUCCGGGCCCAAACCUCUAAACAACAGCAGCAAUCCCAACUUCGAUUCCGAAAUGCCCUCCUCGGUGACGCCGCGCUAGCAGGCGGUGGAUCCUAUGUCAACCUUACGCGGCCGUCGGUCUCAAGCUCCGGUCUUCUCCUCCGCAGAAAACCCUUUAAAUUUCUCGACGGGAAUCUCAGCAACCCGACGUCGUUUUCAACCGAAUUCGCAUUCUCGAUGACGCCCGACGGCGGCGACGGCCUCUUGCUCGUCUUUGCUCCCGGAGAUUUGGGGUCCAGAUUAUCGGGUAAGGGCCCGUUUGGGAUUAAAGGUGACGAUCGAUUUCUGGGUAUUGAAUUUGAUACUGAAAUGAAUGGAGAUAUGAAUGAUUUGAAUGCUAAUCACAUAGGGGUAGAUGUUGGUAGCUUUGUAUCUCUAGCUGUUGGUAAUGUUUCUGAAUUGAAUUUGGUGCUUAAUAGUGGAGAAAAGUUGAAAUGUUGGAUCGAUUACGAUGCUAGUUCGAAACGAUUGGAGAUUAGGCUAGGCAAAAUGGACGAUUCGAGGCCUUAUACUCCGAUUACGGCAUAUGGGAUAGAUAUGUCGGGAAUGUGGAGAGGUGAGGAUGUGUAUGUAGGUAUUAGCUCCUCGAAUUCGAAUGGAAAUUCGUCACAGAUUAGCAGUGUGUAUUCAUGGAAUUUUAGGCUUAGAAAUGUUCCCAAGUCAAUGCAUUCUCUGCCGGUGAAUCCGAGGGGGUAUGUGGAUGGACAUGGUGAGAGUUUGAGCGUGCAGAAGCGGGGGAUUUGCCCAUUGACAGUUCUUGCCAGGAUGAUCUUCGUGACUGGGUGUGGGGCAUUGGUGGCAUUUGUGAUGCUGUUUUUGUGGGCUAUUAUCAUCAGUAGGCACACGGAGUUCCCUGCUGAGUUUUCUCCAAAGCCUGUGGAGUUUAGGUACGAGAAGAUCGAUGUAGUUGUAGAGAAAGAUGCCGAUGGUAUUAAGUAGUAGUGCGUAAUGUCUUCAAGGGCGUGGCCUUUUUUUUCCUGUGAAUGUAUGUUGCCAGUGUUGUUUGUAAUCUCUAACACGAAAAUGUGAUGAAUUCUGUUGUUUUGGUGUACCCGGCUGUGUUUCCUGCAACGGCUGUGGAUCUCAGGUAUGUGAAGAUCAAAGUAGUUGUAGAGAAAGAUGCCGAUUGUCAUUUCUAACCCGAACUAAUGUGAUGAAUGCUAUAGUUCUGGUGUGAAUUCUGAUGGCAAAUUCUAAUGCAAUUAGGUCUGAUGAUCACAUAUGUCGUGUGUAUAUGUGGAUCUGUUUUGUUCAUUCAUCAUGUAGCUCCAUUUUGUGCAAUUUAGCAAGUGUGAAAAGUUUGCUAUGUUAAAGUGUAUUACACCUCUUAUGUCUAUUUAUUCAUUAUAUUUAUGAGUUUUUUAGAUAAUGGGGUGUAAAUGCGGCUUACGUAUCGACCCAUUUACAGUUUUCAAUGCUCACCAUGUCAUCAAUUGAACGUAAAUUCAAAUAAAUCAUUAGACUAAAGGUGUAAAUUGCUACAAUUUCAAAACCGGGAGCAAAGUGAGAAAAUUGAAAACUCGUGGCUCAUUUGAAAAUCAUCUCAAACAUGAAGAAGUGAAAUGUAGUUACCCUAAAUCCUAAAUCUAUUUUUUCGGCCUACUGUGGAAGGCCUUAGCUGUUGUUUUUCGACGAUUCGUUGUUGGGGAAGAAGACAUUCUGAAUCUUUUUCUAGCAAAACCAUGGCCAAAUUGUAUUAGGAGUUUGAGUUAUCUUUAAACAAUGUUGUUAAUCAUGGAUUUUGAUGUAUGACUUGUAAGCUUGUGCAAUGGGCUGGAAAAGAGCUGGUUCAAACCAGUUUAUAACUUUUAUAUUCCUCUUCCUCGCGUACAUAUGUGGAUCUGAUCCAAUGAAAUUGGUAUGGAUAGUGUAACUCUGUAAAACAGAUUUUAGACAAUCAAUACGUAUCUAAUUGUGUAUUUUACAGUUACUCAAUACUACGGUCUGGUUGUAUUCCCCUUUAUUUAGAAGUGAGAGAUAUUAGGUUUGAAUCUUGUGGAUGGCGAAUUCGAUACUAAAUUAGGUUGCUCAUUGUGUGGCUUAGCCGACCUCCUCAUCCCUUAAUGUGAAAAUAUCGAUGUACUCAGGAAAACAAAUUGUGUUUUUUACAGAAUUUUUUUAGUAAUCUCCUGACCAAGAUCUAAAAUAUCGAUGAUAUCGAAAAUAUCAAUAGUCUAAAAACACGGAAAUUUCGAUGGAAAUAUCAGGAUAUUAUCAUAUCGAUAUCGAUAAAAAUUGAAUAAAAACCACAAAAAUUGUAAGAAAAACUUGGAAAUUUUUAUUGAAAUUUUGCAGGAUGUUUAUUUAGUCAAUUAUCUAUUAGUUUAUCACAAAAAAUUGGAAGGAAAUGCAUUGCAUGAUGGAUUUAACUGAUUUAAGUCGAUAAAGAGGUCGCACUUGGUGCGAUGGCAAGUGCCUUCGCCCAUGAGCGGUAGGUCUCGGGUUCGAAACUUGGGAGCAGCCUCUCCAUAAAUGGGGGUAAGGCUAGCCGACAUUCACCUCUCCCAGACCCUGCGUAAAGCGGGAGCCUUGUGCACUGGGUACGACCUUUUUUAUAUAGCGAGUUGGCAAACAUUGUGAGUGUGGAAAAUAUGUAGUAAUUAAUGAAAAAAAUUUAAACACACUAUAACAAUUUAUAUAUAAUGAAUUAGUACAAUAUUUUACACUUUAUACAUUGCAUGGUAAGAUACAUGAGUGACUUAGUACCACAUAGAGUUCCUAUGAGGUUCAAAAUUUUCACUAUCUUCAUCAUCUCUAUGUGUAAAGUAAGUGUAUUGUGAAGAGUAGUCAUCAAAUGAUAAAUCCCCAAAAUUGAUAAGGACAUCCAAUUGGACUCAAUCCGAAAGUAGCUGAUUUUUUGGACAUACAUCUAAAUGCCCCUUUAAUCUAAUCGAAUGUGUCUACAUUCUUAAUAUUCUAGUUACAUUUUCGUCUUAAUCAUCAGUGUGCAUUGAGAAUGCUCCAUCUACAUCUCGUUUAGUUGUGUAAUCCAAAAAGAAAGUGACGUCUACGUCUCAUCUAGUCAAUUUUAAUGUAUACAUUAAUAUGAGUGGCAUUUGCAGUAUGUUUCACCAUGUCAUAAAUGUGGCUUACGUAUCGACCCAUUUACGUGUUUCAAUGCUCACCAUGUCAUCAAUUGAACGAAAAUUCAAAUAAAUCAUUAGACUAAAGGUGUAAAUUGCUACAAUUUCAAAACCGGGAGCAAAGUGAGAAAAUUGAAAACUCGUGGCUCAUUUGAAAAUCACCUCAAACAUGAAGAAGUGAAAUGUAGUUACCCUAAAUCUUAAAUCUAUUUUUUCGGCCUACUGUGGAAGAUCUUAGCUGUUGUUUGUCGACGAUUCGUUGUUGGGGAAGAAGACAUUCUGAAUUUUUUCUAGUAAAACCAUGGCCAAAUUGUAUUAGGAGUUUGAGUUAUCUUUAAACAAUGUUGUUAAUCAUGGAUUUUGAUGUAUGACUUGUAAGCUUGUGCAAUGGGCUGGAAAAGAGCUGGUUCAAACCAGUUUAUAACUUUUAUAUUCCUCUUCCUCGCGUACAUUUGUGGAUCUGAUCCAAUGAAAUUGGUAUGGAUAGUGUAAUGUAAAACAGACUUUAGACAAUCAAUACGUUUCUAAUUGUGUUUUUUUACAGCUACUUAGUACUACGAUCUAAUUGUAUUCCUCUUUAUUUAGAAGUGAGAUGUCUUAUGUUUGAAUCUUGUGGAUGGUGAAUUCUGUGAAAAUAUGAUUGUAUUCCUCUUUUUAGUAAUCUCCUGACCAUCAAUUUCGUCACAAUUUUAUUAAUUUAAUUAUUGCGUAAUGCGCAUGAUCAACUUUUAGUGGCAUAUGAGUCAAUAAAAUGCUACAUUCACAAGGAAAAUUCGUAAAUACUUUAAAUUUUCAUAUUUGAGGAAAGUUUAACAUGAAUCGUAACAAAUUCGGAAGCUUCUAACGUACACACGGAAUAAACUAACAAUUAGAAAUAAUUUGGCACUCUGUAUUAUAAAAGCACAUUUUGGUACUUUAUUGCACCUAAAAAGCGAUUUAGGCAGAGGCUGGGCAUCUUUAUUAGGGCCUAGGAGUUCAAAAAACCUCUAGGCUGCAAUUAGGCGGCCACCUAAACGGUCUAGAGGUCUAGGCAGCUCUAGACGGUUUCUUAUAAAAUAACUCUCAAUACAUAUUUCAUUUUAUGUAUUCAAUCAAUUGUAGUCACUUAUUUAUAUAUUUUUAUUGUUAUAUAAUAAUAAAUUUAAUUGAAAAAAAAAAAAACCCGCCAAGACCGUAGGCCUUGCUCGCUGCCCGACUAACUCCUAGCACUUUUUAGAGUCUUUUUUUUUUGGGAGAAUCACCUACAAGUACUUUAUGUAAAACACUUAGGGGGCGUUUAUUGUACCGGACUGUCUCGGACUGGAUUAACUUCAGGGACUAAGCUGGAUUGGCUUAGACUAGAUUAAGCUGGACUAGUUUAGUGAAGUAUUUGGUGCAAUGUCGGAUUAAAUACCAAAAUAAUAAAAAAAUAAAAAAAUAAAAUUUUUUUUUCUCUUCUUGCCGUAUUGGAAUUGUCAUCAAUCUCACCAUUGUUAACCGCAACUGCAAAUAAAAAAAUAAUUAAAGGAAUCAAAGAACACUAGAAUGAUGUUUGUUACACAAAAAAAAAAGAUUCCAGUAAGUCUCUCUGUCUCUCCCUUUUUCUUUAGUCAAACUAUCUCUCCUCCUUUUCUCCAUCUCUUCCCUUUCCGUUUCCGUCCAGCUCCUUCUCCCCCACCUUUUCACCCUCUUCCCUCCCUCUCACAAUUUAUAAUCAACUGUGCAAAUAUUCAAAAUCAAACCACAAAGCAAAAAAUAGAGUGUAAAUUAAGGAGUUGGGGUAGGGUGCAUGUGCAAUUGGCUCGAAGGUGAAAGAUAGGUAAAGUUUGUGAUCAACAAUUUUUAUGUUUUUUGGGUUCGAUCUACAUCACUCCCAUCGUUGAUUCAAGCUCAUCUCACAGAUUUUUUUUUGGGUUUUCUGGGUUCGGUCUUCUGGGUUUUAUGGGUUUUAUGGGUUCGAUUUUCUAGGUUUUCAGGUUGUGGGAAGCCAGGAAGGAGGAGAUGGAGUGGGAAAAGCGGAGCGGUGGUAGCAAAAGAUCCAUCUUUGAUGUCGUUCGGGUCGACCCAGAUGGCGAAAAACCCCAAAUCACCGACUGAAAUGCCAAAAAGGGUGCUAGGUUUACAGGACGAUGGAGAUCGGCGACAACCGUUUCUGGUUUGGUCACUGGAGAAGAAGUGAUGAUGGUGCUCAUGUUGGUUCACGGGACGCGACUUGCAGACGAAGGAUACGGGACUAGCAUUCCCGUUGUUUUCGGGGGGUCUCGCUAAGACGAUCUAGCGAGCCCCUUAGUCGAGGCGAGUGAAGGGUAAUCCCACUAAAGCUAGUCCGGUUGUGUAACAAACAUCGGACUGCCCUAAUUUCUAAUCUAGUCCAGUCCAGUCCCAUUUAGUGAGGGCAAACAAACGCCCCCUUAAAUUCUUAAUAUAAAAUAUUAUCAUCCUUUUAAUAAGAAGGAGAAAAAGUGCUCCCUACAUAAGCAUUAUCCAAUUUACUCCUAAGAGCAUCUCGAAUGGAAAUGUCAAAAUCCUAAAUGGAAUGCCACUGUGCAUAUUUGAUAUCAAAAAUCUUUCCAACCGAAGUGUUAUUUGAUUGGAUUUGAAGACUUAGUGAUUUGAUGUCAAAUUUAACAUCAAUGUCAAAUGUAUUUUUAAUUUAUUUUAAUAAUUGGUCCCUUAUUCCACUAAUAUUUCAAUCAAUAAAAAUUUUGUUUCAAUAUUUUUUUAAUAAUUACAAUCAUUUAAAACUCUAUUUAAAUAAUAAAAUAACAUUUAACAAUUCGGUUGCAGAAGUAUAAAAUUUGACAUAAGACUUCAAAUUAUCACAUCAAUCAUUAAUUGUAAUUUGACUCUUAUAAUUUGACAUUUUCUUUGAAGAUAAUCUAAGUGCACUUAAUGAUUGAUGCGAAUGACAUAAAGUUUCGAAAGCUUUAGAGGAACAUACAUCAUCAUUUCUAAUAGUUUACAGGACCAGAACCGCAAAAACCAGAGCCUUUGAAAACAAUGGAAUCACUUUAUCAAUCACCAAAACCCUAAACAAAUGGAAAUUAAAAGCAGCCUCACCUCAAAGCAUCCAAAUUUUAGUGGAAAGCACAUAAAGAUCGAUGCAUAUUAUUUUCUUCUUUACGUUAAGCAACGGUCGUAGUGGGAUUCUGAAUGUCUGAGUGCGACCCCUCUUUUCUUUCCCUUCGAUUGUCCAAUGUUUGCAAACUUCUGAGAAAUCAUGAUUGUUGAUCCGGAAUUUUCGGUAAAAAAAAAGAGACUGUUUUUAAGAAAGAAAAGCCCACUAUUAAUAUUCGACUUGAAUUCUCUCGUCUCCCGACUCUUCUUUUAAUCUAAUGCCGUUUAAAAGAAAUUUAAUAACUUGGAAUUAUGCCACAUAUUUAACGAACUUUUUUUUUAAGGAAAACUAACGAAAAGUUCAAAAAAUUUCUCUUUUAAUGAAAAGCCAUUUAAAGGUAUAGUGAAUAGUAUCAGUUAAAUGUAAAAAUAUGAUUUUUCGUUAAAGUGAACAGUAUCGGGAGUGUCCUUUUUUUUAUUGCUUUUGUUCAACAAUCCUUCCCCUUCUAUCCCCCAAUUAACAUCACCAUUUACCCUUCUCCUCUCCCACACGCCAACCGUGGUUGGCCUUCUUCUCUCCGUGGGUGUUGAAGAGGUUUAAGCAUUUGAUGGAAAAUUUUGUGUGCAUGGUUUGUUGAUUCAAUUGUGUUUUAACAAAAGAAAUUAAAAAAAAAACUUAUAUAAGGCUCGUUAAAUACGUGGCACAACUCUAACCCAUAUGAUUCUUUUUGAAUGGUCUAAAUUAAAAGAAGGGGAUGAGAGGGGAGAGAAAUUACUUUAGUCAUGCAAUCAUUAUCCAUGAUUAUAUGGAGUCCUUUUUUUAUGCUCACCAAAUGAUACAUACCGAAGUAGCAAAAAACAAAAAUUAUGUCUGUGCAAUUUAGUACGGUUCCAAAAUUUACCGAUUUUUUUCUCUUUUAAUAGCUAACCAUCUAACUUACUAACUCUACUAAAAAAAAAUUCAAUAGGAUGCGUAGAAUUUAAUAAUAACAAAUAUAUUUUAAUUUGUGGAAUAUAUCAUUCUUUUUUUUUUUUGUGGAAUAUCAUUAAUCAUAGUGAAUAUAAAGUGUAGACUUUAUCCAACGAAGUGGAGAGAAAAAUGGAUAAAUUCAUAGUGGAUAGUGUUAUUCAGAUUUAUUUUUUAUCUCUCAUACACUCUUAUUAAUUUUUUGUCGUUGAUCUUUUUCAAUUCAUUUGAUCAUACGAUUGAAAAUUGAAAGGGGUGUGUAAGAAGUAAAAAUGAGUGUGUGGAUAUCACUACCUAUUCAUAAUCCUAGGAUUUGUUUGAAAGUGCUUUUAAAAUUACUAAAAGCACUUUUGGUAAAAAUAUUUUUGAAACCAAUCUUUAAUAAAAAUUCAAGUGGAUCUUAAAGUAGCACUACAAGUGUUUCUUGCAAAUGAAUUCUAUAGAAAUGUGGUUAGAAUAGUGAAACCUCAUUUCAUACUUCUUUUAUUUUUAUCCUUUACUUCUCUUUAAUUUAUUAAAACUUUAAGGUUGGGAUUAUUUUUUUGGAAGUGCAUGAAGAGGAAUGGUUGUGAUUUUUAUGUUCUCGUCUCUUCAUUUCAAUUUCUUUUUUAGUCUAUCAAUAAUGUUAGAAGAUUAUUUAGUUACGACACUUCAUUAGAAGAUUCUUUAAUUACGACACUUCAUAGUUUUUUAAUGUGAGAAAUGCUAAGGAGACUAUCUCAAAGUAUGACUCUUCAUGGAAUCUCUACAACCUCAUGUUUUUUACAUAAUAUUUCAUAACGUUAACACCUGUAUUAUGCCAAAGACAUAAAAUGACAAAUAAUCUAUUAAAAGUCAUACUUUUAAAAGAGUCUCUUUAGUAUUUCUCUUCCUAAUGUUUGAAAACAUUUUGCGAUUUCCACACCUAAACAGUUGAAUGAUAACGAUUUCCAAUCAUUUCAUUGUGAACAAGUUGAAAUACCAUAUUAAACUUGUCAACAUUUUAAAAGAGAUGGUUGGGUUGGUAGCCAUCAAUUCAAGAUAUAUUAGGAAAAAGGAAAUAAAAAUCUUAGAGAGAUUCUUCCUAAAGGGACCUCCAAUUAUUUGGAAUAAACUAAUAAAUGUAAAUGCCGAUGCUUUACAAUGUUUUUUUUUUUUGAAAGGACGGAUUGAUGCCUUUGCCACGAUAAUCUAGCUUUUUGGAGUCCAAGGACUCAGAGAGGCAUUUGAGCCUCAUUCUGACCACUAUCGUGUGAUUUACAACUGUCAGGAACCUAAUACAGGAUGUGCAAUAAGAAAUACAUGUCUGAAAUUUGUCCAAAACUACCAUCCCGUGGUAAUUGCAUAUGCUUUGCAAUGAUAAGUAGCUAUAAUUUUGUGCAUUGCAUUAAGCUUUGUUGAUUUAAAAUCUCUUCUAAGAUAAAUUCUCUUCUAACAAAGGCAUCGAGUGACAAACACAUAUUGAAUUGAUGGUGUACUUUUUUAACACAUGACAAGUAUCUAUUGGACAUGCGAUAUCAUUAAAACUACACAUUGAUUGUAAGAAAGUUUUACUAUCUCUCCAACCAAGUGAUGAUUGAACAUUACUAGACCAACUGAUCAGAAGUCUCCUUCAAGUUUAUAACAUACUCUUGAUCUCACCCGUCUUAGAAAAUAGUAUAAAACUAGGUCAAGGCUUACAUUCCCCAUCAUAAUGUGUCGGUUUUAUUAAUAAGCUAUCUCUUCAUUAUUGAAGAAUAACUUAUAUCGAACAAAUUUCUCGCCAAUAUAGCGUAUCAAUCCAAUAAUGUAAUGUAUAUUUUGCUCAACAUAACAUUACAGAAGCAGAAUAUCAGACGAUAAACGCGUUUCAUAUAAGUUGCUCUCAAAAUAAUUUUGUACACAACAAAUCUUCAACUAAAUCUAACGGCUCCAAAAGUCCACGACUGUCGUGGCACUUUCUCAUGCGCGCGAUCCCAAAGCGGUGGAAAACCAGAACGACACUGCGCGCAACUGUAAAUGGUCAGAACGGUCACACACUCCCAGAGAGAAAGCGGGUGGGGAACGAAAUCUAACGAACCGCCACGCGUCGAGAAUUUAUAAGAUACUUUGGGAUGCUCAACGCAUCUCACGCGCCUCCGACAAAGCAGCGCCAAACCGAUACGAGCGGCGAAGAAAUCCGGAGGGAGAUACCGAAAGCGAAAUUACACAAAAAAUAUUUGGAAUUUAAUUAAAUUUUCGAAAAGAAUAAUUCGUUGAAAAGAUUUGAAAUUUAAUGAAUUUUCUAAUUGGGUGCUACCUUUUGCUGGUUGAAGUGGAAUUGUACGCUUGAAUUCAGCUGGGGCCUAUAAAAAGGAGGGAUACGCUGGCAGUUACUGAUAUCUCGGAAGCAAAGGAGGAGGUGGAGCCAGCGGAGCAGGACGGGGAAGAGCAGAUAACCAUCACCGAGUGGCUCCUGGCGGGGCAAGGACAUCAUCGAGAGUCGACUAUGGAUUCUACCAGUGAAGCUCAUUCCGGUUCUAGAAAGGUUCAUGAUGAAGAAAGCACCGAAAUCCCAGAAACCGCUCAUCAGAUUAGCACAGGUUCUGAAAUUUUCAUUUUUCUUAAUAUUAAUUGUUCAUAUUUUUUUUUUAUGUUUUUGUUAUCUGGGUUUGUUUUUUUCUGCAUGUUUGAUUGUUCUGGUAUCACAAUUCGACCAUUGGAUGAAGGAAAUUAUUUUUUCAAUCAUUUUCCGAAAUCCCGGAAGGAAAAUUUUAUUUAUUCAUCUGGGUUUGGUUUUUUCUGGUUUUUUUCUUAAAGUUUGAAUUUUUCAUGUGGUUGAGGAAAUGAAUCGUUUUUUUCUUCUAAUUUUGUUCAUAGGUUUCCUAAAAAGUUUCAGUUUUUAGAUUCCGGAUUGCAGUUCAUGAAUUUAUAGUUUUUCGAAUUGUGGUUCUUGGUAAUUUAGUGCAUUUGUAAUGAAGUAAUUCUGAAUGGUUUCAAAUAGCUUUGUGAAUUGUGAUAUUGGUACUGAAAUUGCUCUCGUUGUGAGUUCAUGUUACCUCUUUGGUUUCCACAGAUUCAUGGUUUCAAGUGGGAUUCGUCCUCACCACCGGUAUCAACAGUGCGUAUGUUCUGGGAUACUCUGGUAAUGUCAUGAUUCCUCUUGGUUGGAUCGGCGGUGUGAUCGGUUUAAUUCUAGCCACUGCAAUAUCACUCUAUGCAAAUGCUCUCAUUGCCAAGCUUCAUGAGUAUGGAGGGGUUAGGCACAUCAGAUACAGAGACCUUGCUGGAUUUAUAUAUGGUAUGAGCGAAAAGGAUAGCAAAAGCGAAAAAUUGAUCUGAUUCGUUUGUUGAAUUUACCUUUUCGAUUUCUUCUUUCCUGGCUGUAUUGUUCCCUGAUGGGGCUAUUUCAUUGCAGGCAAGAAAGCUUACUCUCUGACAUGGGGAUUGCAAUAUGUCAAUCUCUUCAUGAUUAACACUGGUUUUAUCAUCUUGGCUGGUCAGGCACUCAAGGUGAGAGCACAUUGCAUAUUAACUCCGAUCCGAUGGUACUAUGUGCAUGUAUGAACAGGUUAAUGUCUUAUUUUUCUAAAACUUGUCGUUCAUUUCGAGUGCAGGCUGCGUAUGUUCUGUUUAGGGAUGACCAUACCAUGAAGCUACCACAUUUUAUUGCCAUUUCAGGCUUUGUGUGCGCUGUAUUUGCCAUAAGUAUACCGCACUUGUCAGCUCUGAGGAUUUGGCUGGGGUUUUCAACAGUCUUCAGCUUGAUGUAUAUUGUUAUAGCAAUCGUACUGUCACUUAAAGAUGGUAAGGAUCAGCUCACGUUCUUUCUUCCGUACUACUUGAACAAGUGUAGAAAUUUUCUGGAUGUUUCACGCUUUGAGGUCGAUUUGGAUGAUGCACAUGCCAUUUUCUUGCUUUAAAUGAAGAACUUUGUACUGUUGGAUUUUCAUUAACAAUAGCUAUGUUGUUUUAGGACUUAAAGCACCGUCCAGGGAUUAUGACAUCCCAGGGACUUCAACAAGCAGAAUAUUUACUACAAUCGGAGCGGCUGCUAGCCUUGUUUUUGCAUUCAACACGGGAAUGCUACCAGAGAUACAGGUACCAAAAGCUUCAAUCUUUCGAGUUUUUGCAAGAACGCUGACAUGAGUAAUGAGAAAUCUUGCGAAAACCACAGUCGCCUGUCCAUGGAAGGCUUUCCACACUGAAUUUUGUUUUGGCUGUGAUUAUGUGACAGGCUACAGUGAGGAAGCCAGUGGUUGACAACAUGAUGAAAGCUCUGUACUUUCAGUUCACAGCCGGUGUUGUGCCGUUGUAUGCCGUCUGUUUUAUAGGGUAUUGGGCAUAUGGAAAUAACACAUCAUCUUAUCUGCUCAACAACGUCAACGGACCGGUCUGGGUGAGGGCGAUGGCCAAUUUUGCUGCCUUCCUGCAAACAGUCAUUGCCCUGCAUGUAAACCUUCUUCCUUCUGACCCCCUCUCUUUCACUUUCCGUAAAUGCACUAACCCAACAAGCUUUUUUUCACCGCUGCCUGCAGAUAUUUGCAAGUCCAAUGUACGAAUAUCUGGAUACAAAGUUCGGCAUCAAAGGAAGUCCACUGAAAAUUCAGAACUUGAUAUUCAGAAUCACCGUUCGAGGCGGCUACUUGGCGAUUAACACUCUGGUUUCGGCUCUGCUGCCGUUCCUCGGAGAUUUCAUGAGCCUCACAGGAGCCAUAAGCACAUUCCCCCUCACAUUUAUUCUUGCAAACCACAUGUAUUUGGUGGCAAAGAAGGAGAAGCUGACUUCUGCACAGAAGUGCUGGCAUUGGCUGAAUGUUGGCUUCUUCGGCCUUUUGGCUGUUGCAGCUUUGAUUUCGGCCUUGAGGCUCAUAGCCGUAGAUUCCAAAACGUACCAUGUAUUUGCUGAUCUAUGAGUAAUCUUCUUCCUCCCCCUCCCCUUUUUCUUUCUUUGCCAUUUGAUCCCACAAUUGUAUUUAAUUUGCGCAUUUAAUUAUGUCAUUUGUUCUUCAAGGAUUAAACAUUUUAUAGCAUAGUUAACGAAUAAAAAUCAAUUAGCGGAUACAUUUGACUAAAUUUGAAACGAAACGAAACUACAAGGACGAAAAUGUAACAAAAACAAUUACGGGGACCGAAUUUGGCGUUAAAAUGUUGGAAAAGUUAAUACCUUCGAGGAAAUUACACCGUAAAAAUGAAUUUUACCUUGAGAUGGCCUGACCACCCAAUUAAUAUCUAAAGCCAAACAGCUUCUGAACAAUGAGGAACAAGAACUACUUCAAAAAUACAGCAUUCAAACAAUAUCCAUCAACCUAAUGCUUCAGCCUUCCGAGAAACGAGAGAUCCAUUUUGGCCGAUUCCUAAUAUCAAUUCGACGAAUCUUCUGAACAAAUAACCUGCAUCCGUUCAGAAGGAAAAACACAAUUAAGUUUCGAUAUGGAAGAGCUAAGAGUUCCAACAAUCCCAAAUACUAAGCUAAGAGUUCCAACAAUUCCAAUGCAAAAUACAGAGGCCAAAAAAUAACUUGGCAACAAUUUGUUGCUACUUGUAAAAAUGCAUACUUUUCUAGUAAACCAAAUCUUCUCUUGCUCUGUUGUAUUUAUUAAUGUCGAGUGAAGCCACAUUAUGGCAUAUUCAUAUGUUAACAAAACACUAUUGAAUCGUCAAAUGCAUACGACUCCAGCAAACCAGGUGCUAUUGGCUCGGGGCUGUGGGGAUAAGAAUGCUAGAAUAUAAACAUAACCAGAGUUGUUAACAAACCUCACCUGAGCAGAAGUUCAAGACUAAGUUUGUUUGGAUAAUAAUAUUAUACACUGUACUCAGACAUAGAUAUAUAUCUUACCUCAUUUGGAAUCAUCCAGAUAUCAAUUUUAGAACGAUGCAGACAGUAUUGAGUAGCACAAGAGGAACUCUCAAGUAUUGUGUUGCGUAGAUGAGACCUAUAAUCUGUCCCUUGACUGAUUUUGUCCUGCCCCCUGAGAAUUCUGAGAGGCUCCAUCCCCUAGGCGCAAGGAAGCGGUCCUCAUUUAAAAUCGCCACUGCAUUUGCAAGAAGCAGAAAGCCUUCAAGUAGUGUACCCAGACCCAUUUACCUGAAAAAUGAAGCAUUUGUCUCAUACAACGACGUAUGACUUUGAUUUUUAGGCAUUAAUCUCCAUUCCUCAUCCCCUCUUCAAUCUAAUACGUAAAUGAGAAAAAGGAGACCAGCUAAAUAACUCAUUAUGUGCGUUAACUCAAAAGAUAUGACAGCGGAAAAGAAAGCACAGAAUGCUUCUGAGAAAAAAAAAUUAGUUUCAUAUUUAUAACGAAGUUUACAUAAUCUCAAAUCUUAUUUCGAUUUGUGGCAACUUCAGCACAAACGGUAUGACUGUAUCCAGAGAUGAGUGCUUAAAUGCCACUCAGUAGUUGUCUAAUCCGUUCUGAUGGCUAAAGAAGAGUCUGCAUCUAUUUGUAGGAGAAAAUCCCUCAUAUCUUACAAAAUCGAAGUAGAUCUAGACCAUGUCGCCGAAUCAUGCACCAGCAAAGCACUCAUUGUGUGCUUUCUCACUUCCGUAAACAUAAUUUUGGGAAAUAUAUAGAACUUUUACGAUGAAUGGAACCCUGUAUCUAAAAUAGUAGAUUGACACGAACUCUGCCCUCGGUAUUUUAGGAAGAUGUCGUCACGAUUAACGCAACAACGCAAGGCUGAUCAUUAUCGAACCUUAGAUCAAUCAGUUAUACUAUUCUAAUUUGUUUAAAAGAGCAAAACUAUUUUAAGCUCCAAAUCAAAUGACCCACAAACAAAACAACCCCUUUUACAUAAAUUCUAACACUCGCAGAAAAAUGAAGACUCCACAGAAACAACAGUAACUAAGAGAGAUUACUACUCAAAUUACCUCACUUUUAAACAACCCUAAAUACCAAACCCAAAAAACGGAUGCAAAACCUAGCAACCCAGGAAAAAUCGAAUCCCCUCAAGCAGUGGGGUAAAACCUCAAAAACCCAAUAAAGCCCAUGUCAGAUUGAAGCUUUAAAAUCAUAACUUUGAACCCACCAAGCUUCAAUGGCACAGGUAAUUACAAGAAUAACCCAGCUAUGGCAAACACGAAAAGUAGGAAGAUUUAGCUCGCAAAUUAUGAAUGUGAUUCAGAAAUUGAUACAAAUCCAAGUAAUAAUUUCAGAGAUUAAGGAAGAAAAUUGAAAACCCUUGUUACUAACCUGAAUGCGAGGACCUGAUCUCAGGAGAGGAAGAGACUUGGAGGUGGAAAAUGCUAAAGCCGAAGGCUUCCAACAACGAAGACUCCAGGAACAAAGUAGAACGUGCCCUUUUGCUUUCUUGCUGGAUCAUCUCAUUUGGGCCUGGUCAUGGUGGGCCUUGUAAUAAUUGUCAUAGUUAAAAUUUUAAGAUAACGAUAGAUUUGAGUUAAGCCAGUUUGAAUCUCCCAUAAUCUACAUUAUGUUGGCAAUUUAAAAUCUCGUUUCUUAUAUUGCAAUUCUCACACUUAUUUUUGUGAUAAUCAAACGAUAGAAAAAAGAGUAAAACUACAAAAGAAAAAUACAAGAGUGUGGAAAUCGUUGUCUCGGGGUCUAUAAUCAGAACCGCGAAAGGGUUGUAACAUGCAAUGUUUAUACAAAAGAAGGACAUGCUAAAUCUAAUUUUCAAUUGUCUUCAUAUAUGAUACACUUUGUAUGUACAUUAUAUAAAGGAAAAUGUCAUUUGGAUGAACAUCUCCCUGCUGGUGAUGAAGCUGGCUCAUUGGUCCUUUCACAAAUGCAACCUGGAUAUGGAUUCGCAUAAAAGUUCUCCUCCAGUCUAGGCAAAAUUCUGGGCACUCUUGGAUAUGGUGCUCCCAUCCGAUUUUUGUGUAACCUCUUAACUCGGGACGAGAAUGUUUUCCAAGUUAUCAUACCCUUGUCUAACUUAUCGAUCAAUCUAACAAAUCUUUGUCUGCAAGGCAAGUAACAUCGAGUGUGUCAGAUACGAAACUCCCAAUGAAACAUGUUACUUACCCCUCUAUCUCUCGCCACAUCACCAUAUUACGGAGAGAGAUGUUGAGAGGGGGUUAUGCAACACGCGACAGGUAAGUUUUUCUCGUUAGAUAGAGUGCGAGUAAAGAUUGAGCUGAAAUUAGUUAGGAAAGAAUCGUGCUUACUUGUCGGGGCUGAUUGUUUUCCUAAAACCUUCAAAUCUUCUGUGGCCUUUGACUGCUUUGGCCAUGUUUCCAUCAUAGGAGUAGAUGAAAACAUCACUCUCAACUGCUAUAAUAUAAUCUAAUGCGGCAAGCUGGUUGAGCUUAUCCUUGUAAGGUUGCAACUCCUCUUCGGAUGCUAAAUUUGAGUGGAAAAAUAGAUUUGGAUACUUGGCUUGCAGUGACGUUAGCCCGUCUUGCCCGUAGACUUCACCUGCAGCUAUGUAAAUUUUUGUAUCCGAAGGAAACCCUAUUGCCUCAAGGAAAACAGCAAUCUCUCUUGGGGUCAUGGGACAUUGCCCUUGGUGUCUCUGCACUGUACCAUUGAUUUUUUUGUGCUUCCAAUGUGGCGUCUUCUCCCUUAUCAUUUCGAGUUCUAAAUCUUCUUCUCUAGUGAGAUUGUGACUGCAGCCUGUGAAAGAAAGCAUGUCCUUUUCAUACCUGCGUUUGUAACAUUCCGAUCACUUGUUAGAAACUUUACUUGGACAGCAAGAAUAUGUUAAAUAUCCCAUUUUUUUAAUUAAUUAGACAAACCUUAGAUGGAGAGCAAUGUAUUUCCCACCAUUGUUCUUUAAUCUGUAAAUCAAAUUCAUUGCAAGCUCUUCGAUUUCAACUGCGAAGCGCAGUGCCUUAUAAAAGGCGCGGCAACGGAGUCUCUGGAUCGAGCUAUCAACAUUAUUAGCAAGUCUGGAAUCUGUGAAGGUAAAUUUGACAACCUUGUGCUUCUUCAAUAAUGUCGCCAUCUGUUGUUUAUAGUAACUGGCCUGGUCACAAAUUGUUAGACAUUGUUAGACAUUGUUAGAUUCAAACAAUCAAACCUCACUGGUUUUGUCGAAAAUGGUACUGACAACGUUGAUCAUACCCCUGACCAAGAUACUGGAGCCUUAUGGCGGGGUUUCAUGUUUGCAAACUCCGACGGGAGAGACUCUACGAUCAUGAUAUCAUCUCUCAAAACUUCCAUGAAGUUCUUCCAAUUGAAAAUGUCUUUAAAGUCACUGAGAAGGAAAAAAAACUCAAUUACAAUAGCCUAAUCUAAUUAUAAACAUACAGUAAUCAGUUAGUAAGUUAAUUCGAAUAUAUAUAUAUAUAUAUUGAAAUCUCUAACAUAACCUUGGGUCGGUCCAAAAGGAUAUGUGAUCUAAAGAAGGUAGAACAAGAGUGGCAUUCAUAAGUUUUGCUAUGGCAACCAUAUCACUUAUCUGCAAUUCCAGUUUGUUCAUAAGAAGCAAUAAGAAAAAGAAAUAUAUACCGAAUUGGAAAAUCCGAAAACAGAAAAGCUUAGCGCGAUUAUUAGUGUAUACCCCGAGCUUCAUUUGAUUCAAUCCGCCAUUGGAACGAACAAGGAUGUAGCCAUUUGUGGCUGUUUCAUUCACUGCAAGAAAUGGAACUUGCAAUUUAUGUAAAAUGUUUCACUGAUGGAUCACAAAAGCUUACUUGUUGGGGAAGAAAGCUUUCGGGACGUACAAAAUUCCUUCUUCGCUCGAUUUAUGCAUUGGUAGUAGUUAUAACUCUCUGAUGGCGUCCAAAUAUCAAGGGUCUGACUAGCAGAAAUCAAAUAAAAGAUGGGAUCACAAUUUCUGCAAUUUUUUAAAAUUAAAUGCAGUAAAAGAUAACAAUCUGACCUUGAACUUAUGAGCAUUUUAGCCACAUUUACCCUGUCACCUAAUCUGACCAUGUUCUGUUUCAAUGUCGUCGUCCCUUCGAUCAGUGAAGGUCGAAUCAAACUUAUUUUCUCCAUCACCUUCAACUCUGGAAACGUGUUCAGCAAGGCAAACUUGGCCAACAUUGACAGAAAGGCCAAACCCAUCAAAACCAUUGAAGUCCAUUUGCACAACCGCCAGCUCGAGAAAUCGGACAACUUUCGCACCCUGCGGCGGAAAAACACGGCAUGAGCAUUGGCGUCAUCGAACUUGGUGGAGGAACCCGGUUGCCCCUCCGUUGCCUCGAAAUGCCGCCGCCUCGACCUAGCGCAUGAGUUGUGAUCACUAGUGGAUUUCGACAUAGGGGAGGAGGGAAACAGAGGAAAUGCAGAGGAAAUGCAGAGCACUGUAAAGAAAGAGAAAGAAAGGGGAAGGGGAUUGGGUUGAGGGGGGAUAGUGGGAGGGAGUUGCUGCCAUGUUUGAUUAAUUUCUUUUUUGUUUUUAUAUUUUUUAUGGCGUUGGAAUAUAAGUGGGAGCGAAAUAUAAGGCGGAGGAGGCUCUGUGUUUGUGAUGGUUUUUUUUUUUUUUUUUUUUUUGUCUAUAUUUAUGUAAUUCACUAGUUUGUUUAGCAAUAUGAUUAUGAUAAACUUAUUUUAGAGGUGGAGAUUUGAGCGUAGUCAAUCAAUUAUAAUUACCCUUCAAACUUGUCAUAUAUAAGGUCUAAAUACAAAAUCUUUAACUUACAAAUGAAAAUGAAUACUACUGGAUCGUCGUAUUAGUAAAAUUUAAGAAACAUCUUUUUCAAACAAAAGAAAAAUGAACAAGAAUCACGGGGUGACUGAGUGGUUGGAACAAAUUUCAGGCCCGUAUUCCACACGGUUAGUCUUAGUUUCGAUUUUUAGAGGUAAUGAAUCACACGAUGAUGGCCAAAGGAAACUAAAAUGCCCAUGUGAAUCUUUCAAGCAUCUAAAAAGAUGGACUGUCGUGAUUUCGUCACCAGCUAUUUUUAGUUUUGAAAAAAAAAAAAGGGAAGAAAAAUGGAACAUAAAUUAUGGCAAAUCUCAUGCAACAAGAGAAAUGGCUUUCAGUUUGGGUUGGGCUUGGGAUCCAAAAUCAUUGAAUCGGACUCCUACACAAACUUGGGCCUUAUGAUAAUUCAAGAAGAGGCCCACCUGUAAACUCAAACCCUUUUAUAUAAGUAGUCAUCUUCUCCCGCAACCAAACUAGGGUUUUAGUGCUUCUUCUUCGCAGGCGUCUGUGGUUGCUCGCUGUGCUCACAUAAACCCCCAAUCGCGAAAAUGGUGAAGGAACGCCAAGGAGAGCGAAUUAGGUAAACUGAUCCAUUUCUUCCCCCCAAAAACCCUAAUUUCGAAAAUGUUAAUCCGAUUACAUGUUUUCAGAUUUCUAAUUGUUUUCUCACUUUAUUUUUGUCGUAUCAGACUGUACGUCAGGGGCACCGUCCUCGGAUACAAGAGGUAAUUGAUUUCCAUCGAGCUUUUUGUGACUUUUUUGUGCAAUUAAUUUUCUACUGAUUAACUGUAAAAUGAAAAGAUAUAAAUAUAUAUGUGUGUGUGUAUGUAGGGGUGUGAUAUCCACAUACCAUUUUUUACUUCUCUCACACCCUUUUAAUUUUCGUCCGGAUCGGAUGAAUUGAAGAAAUCAAAUGACAGAAAUUAACAAAGGGGUGUGGGAGAAGUAAAAAUGAGUGUAUGGAUAGCACAUCCCUAUAUAUAUAUUUGUGUUUUGAGCUAAAUGGAGGCUCGGGUUUUGGGUUGACUAUUUUUUUUUUGGGGUUAGGUCUAAGUCGAACCAGUACCCGAACACCUCUCUGAUUCAGAUCGAGGGAGUGAACACCAAAGAGGAGGUUGCGUGGUAUGCCGGGAAGCGGUUGGCCUACAUCUACAAGGCCAAGGUGAAGACCAAUGGCAGCCACUACCGCUGCAUUUGGGGCAAGGUUUCCCGGCCUCAUGGUAACAGCGGCGUAGUUCGUGCUAAGUUCACUUCCAAUUUGCCCCCCAAGUCCAUGGUAUUGUGUUGUAUUAGAAUUAUUGUUUACUUUUUUUCUUUUUGUUGCAAUCGAUAUUUUAUUGAGCUAUUUUGUGGUUCCUUGCAGGGUGAUCGCGUGAGGGUGUUCAUGUACCCCAGCAAUAUCUAAGUUUUUAAGGUACAAUUUUUUAGCUUGCUGCUUAAUUGUCUGCCUACAUUGUUAUUUAUAGGGAGUAUGUGUUUCUUGCGCAUGGCAUGUAUGUUUAUCUUCAAAAGUUUUAGUUUAUUGUUGUGAUCUUCUGUUGUGGAUUUUUCUUCUACAAUGUGGUUCAAUACGCAACUUCAGCUUGUGUCCUUUACCUUCGUUAGACAAUCAGGUGUGUGUUUUCGGGGCAAUGAGCUUGUGUGGUGUACUGUAGGGAGUGAGUUGUUAUCUAGAGGAUCGUUUCAAAUAUUCCAAUAUGAUUUACAGUUUUAAUUGUUAUUUAUGAACUUGUGUCCACGGUACCUUAAUUUUUACAUGGCCUCGAGAGUACUCCCUUCGUAUGUUAUUUCAGUUGACUCCGAACUUUUGGAUUGUUUGCAUUCCAAAUGUUGACUGAUAUUUGAUACAUCGUAUAACUAUUCUUAUCUUUUGGGUUUCUUCCAUUGGGCUGUUUCACGACAUUUUUUUUAUGCUCAUGUAUUUCUUGUCUCUAUGGGAUACAAAUUCAGUAUAUGAGCUUAUAUAGGGAUUGCAAAUUUAUCUCUCCACGAUGAAAGUUUUGCUUAGUGUUUGUAAUCAGAAUUAUGCGGGGUGUUUAAUCAUAAUGCUCCAUGUUUGUAAUUUUAGAGGAUGUCAAGAAAUUUGAUUGGCAGCAAUAUAUAUACAUAUAUAUCGCUUUUUUGUUUCUCGCUCCAUGUUUUAACGUCUUGUAGUCAUGAUGCAUGUUACAUCCAUCUUCAUAUAACUAUUUGUGCAACUAUGUGCUCAGGUCAGCCCGCAGUUCGUAUUACUUCUUUAGCAUAUUCUUCUUACCCUGGUUCUAAGCUCAUGCUCAUUUCUUCCUUGCAGUUGCUCAGGACUUCUAGAUGAUAGAGAACGGACACUUGAAGGGGUCUACUUUCACAUGGGUUUUACGAGCGACGUUAGAUGUAUUUGGUUGAAGCCGAGUCAGUUUUGUUGUUCAGAUGGUAGAACAUUGUCUUGAUACUCCUUUACUAAUUUUAAUGCAUAUUAUACCAUUUCAAUUAUGUUUUGAAGAUUCAUUAUUUGAGCGUCUGAAGUUUUGAAUGAAGCAAGUCUUGUUGGCUAUUUUUCUCAAAUUAGAUCUGUUUAAAAAUAUGAAUCGAUAAUUUGGAAUAUUCAAGUUAAGAGGGAACAAAUGAUAUACUUAAUCUAGACUGAUUGCGAUGUAGUCUUCGUUCGUGGUCUCUCUUGUUGAAAUUUCGAUGUUUCUUUUUUGAGUUGUUUUGUUUGUUUCAUUCGGAUUGAGACUCCGGAUCUUUGUGUUUGGAGCUCGCUGUUCGAGAGAUCCAGACCACUCAAUUUCAAUCUUCUAUCCCUCUGGUCCACUUCAAAAAGAUUCAAAAUCUGAACGGUCCUGAUCUCUCUCUUCAAUGUUGGGGGUCUCUUGGUAUGCUGGCUCGGGAAACAAAAAUCCGGAGUGGAACUCAUUCCGUUUCAAUCCCGGUGGGAGUUGUCAGACAUCGGCAUUCUUCUCUCAUCUUGCCUCACUGGUCACUUUCAUAUUGUCUGGAAAGAAUUUGUUGUGACUUGUGAUGACAAUCGAUAUUUAUUCAACUAUUUGUGCGUAUUUCUCUUAAUCGGUUUUAUUUGUGUGUAUUUCUCUUAAUCGGUUUUAUUUGUGUGUAUUUCUCAAAAGGAAUGAAAAAACUUUCGAAAUAAAGGCCGCCUCCGAAGCCCGAGAAAUGCUGAAAGGAAAGGCACAAAGGGUGUUGCGAUUUAACUUGCUAUUGAGGUCGUAUUUGCCUUGGUUUUGUAGUUAAAAACCAAUUGUCGUGAACAUGGUUCGUGGAUGCGAAACGUCAAAAGUGUAGAUUUGCUUUGGUUUCGUUUGUAAUUAAGUGGCAUGUGAUGUAAAAGUUGUUUUAAACCAUACGAUACGCACAUGCAUGAACUAUGCUUCUCACAUUCACAACCCACAUGAUCCUAAUUGUAAGAUUUAAGCUUUCACAUUCACUUUUUAGCUCAUGAUCCAUGUCCUAAGUAACCCAUCAAACUACUCUCUCUCAUACCUAAUCACAAUUUUUUUUUAGUACAACGAUAUAUUUUAUACUAAGGAGAGGGCGAGUUUGGUUAAGUCACACAAUGAACAACCUAAUUUGGUAUCAAAUUUGUCAUCCACGAGAUUCAAACCUAAAACAUCUCACUUACAAGUGAAGAGGAAUACCACCAGACAGUAGUACUGAGUGACACCUAAUCACGAUUUUGACAUGCUAAUAAAUUAAGUUACUCAUAGACACUCAGUAACGACACAUAUUUGAAUAGACUUUAUUACCUAUAAGCACUUAGUACAGACACAUAAUUGUUGAAUUUUAUCCAAUAAUUUAAACUAAGUGCCUGAAACCUGUUGAAUUAAACUCAACAAUUAAUGAAUCAAAUAUGUGUUGACGUUGAUUUUAUAAGUUAUCAAGAAAAAUUGAAUUCGUUGGCCAUAACUUAUGGUGGAAGUCAGUAGACAAACAAUGUGGAUUAAUAACUGAGUUUGACUAAACCAGGUCCAUAUAAAUUAGGUAAACUAAUCCCAUUUUUCUUGGAGUAAAGAAUAUGCACUAGGUUGAGGCCGCCAAAUGGCAAAGGCCUUCCGCACAAGACAUUUCUAAGUUCGGUACCAGCAAAAUCAUGCUCAAUUUCCAGUGAAGUGGCCCCAUAAUCCGAGAGAUUUUUCAGUUUGCCCGGCAUAUGAGGUGGUACACAACGUGUCACUAAACAAAUGAUGUGAUUUGUAUGUUAAAAAAUUAAUAACUUAAAAAAUAAAAUUUUUCACAAUUUACAUAAAAACACGUGAUGUACCAUCCGUAUUCCCGUCACAAUAAAAAAAUUUCUCCACAAUCCCAAAGUAACUAACCUCAUAAUAAAUUUAACUUUUACCCUUGUUUAAUCUUUUUUCCAUUGAUUUGUCAGACAUGGCCACCACCGUCAAAACUUAUUCAACAAAUAGUGUGACAAUAUUUAUUGAUUCAAAUAUACACCUCUAACCUCUUGCAUUUUAUUAUGUAUAAGCGAUAUCGAUGGAGUGAGAGAUUCGGCACAGAUAUUUAAGAUGCAACGAUAAACGUUUUUAAUUUUAUUUAUCUUUAUAUUUUAAGACAAUUGGAAGUGUCUAAGCUAAUAAUCGAACAUCCGGUGGAUGAGCCCCUAAUUCCAAAAUCCUAAAGUUGUAGGUGCGAACGAAUGAAGUUGCAGGGACCAGGGAGGGAUUAGGGAUAUGGGUGUGCUAUCUACAUAUUAUUUUUUAAUUCUUACACACUCGUUAAUUUAUGUUCUUAUAUCUUCUUUAAUUUAUUCGAUCUGACGACAAUAAAUUAAAAAUACAUGUGAAAAGUUAAAAAAAUAUAUUCGUAUAGCACAUUCCCACAUCUCUUAGGAUAUCAGUAAGUUUGGCAGCACAUACACCUGGACUUUUGGAUCGUGCAAGUGCAGCAAAUAAUAAUAUUAUUUCCAAAUCACUAGAAUUAUAUAAAUAUUGCUCUGUCCCUGCACGACCCCUUAUUAGUUAUCCCUUCACAUGGCCGAAAUUUAUGGCAAUCUCUUCCUGAACCUUUUCAGGCUUUUCUUAAGAUCGGCUGCUAAUACUUAAUUAAUUUGCUUAAUUGACCAAACUAAUUUUUAUUUGAGCAAUAAAAAAUAAGGAAAACUAAUGAAAAGAGUUUGAAAACUUUGAGUUUUAAUGAUAAGGACAAAAUAAAAGGUAAAAUGAAUAGUAUCAUAUUUGACUUUUUAGUGUAAAAAUAUGGUUUUUCGUUAAAGUGAACAGUACCGUGGGCUUUUCGUUAAAACUCCCAAAAAAAUAUGAGUCAAGACCAGAGUUAAAAAAGAUUGAAAAGAAAAAAUACAGAUGGAUUCUAAUUUCUACAUAAAUUUUAAGGAAAACUAAUAAAAAUGGCUUGAAAACUUUGAGUUUUAACGAUAAAGACAAAAUAAAUGGUAAAGUGAAUAGUACCAGGUUCGACUUUUUAGUGUAAAAAUGUGGUUUUUCGUUAAAGUGAACAGUACAGUGGACUUUUCGUUAAAACUCCCUAAAUUUUAUAUUCUCAAUACAUCGUCUUAACUCUUCAUCCGAUUCCUUCUCAAAUACAAACCUUUGGAAUAUGCUAGCAUUUGACGUGUGUAUUUAGUGGCAGAUCUAGGAUUCAAAUCUUGGGUGAUAUGUGUUAAAAGUCCAAGUUUUUUAGAUAGAAAGAGUGCAAAGGGCGCAAAAAAAAUAAUUUUAGUUUAUUCACUGAGACAUUUCGUCAAAUGAGUGAUAUCAAGAGAAUUCGCCUAGCAGAUAUUACAUCAAACAAUUAGUAGGUAUAAAUUAAAAGGGGACCCGUACAAAAUGUUCGGAGGAUCCUUGUUAGACCUUCACAUUUAUAUUUUCUGAACUUUAAGUGGUCCUGGGACCAUCUAGGUUUCAGUGUGCAUCCGCCUCUACGUGUGUAAUGAUGUGAUGGUGAUUAAAUUAUUUGUAAAUGUCUUUCACUCCUUAUUAGUAGACAAAGUGUAUUGAUCAUAUUUUUCUUUUUUAUCAAAUAAUAUUAUAUACACUAAAGAAGUGAGAUAGUGAGCUAAACCUUACUAUGAAUUAGUUGUACGCUCAAUCGAUAAUCAUAAACAUACCGCUAUCGUUUCGCCAAAAAAAUUUCCAUUAAAAGAUAUUUUGAGCUCCACGGCAAGGAUGAUGUCGACCUAUGUGAUGUUAUAGUUUACAAGAUGAAGGUGUCAUUGACCAUCUUUUUCCCUCAAAAUCCAGACAAAUUAGUGAACCUGGACUAAUUCCUACACGGAGGCCCUGUUUGGCAGAUCGGAUAGAGGAUCGGAUAGGACUAAUUAUACGGACGCGGGUGUUUGGCGUUCACUCGUACUAAAUAAGCGCCGGAUUAAAUUAACCGGUGUGCUUAUUUAGUACGGUAUACACCGGACUAAUAAAACCAACCAAAAGGUCGGGAUUAUUAGUCGGCCAUCUCUCUCUCUCGCCUUCUCUCGGCCCUCUCUCUCUCUCUCUCUCUCUAGGCGUCGUUGUCCUCCCCCCCCCGUCACCUUCUCUCACCAUUGUCGUCCUCCCCGUCGCUGUCGUCGUCCUCCUCGUUGACGUCGUCGUCCUCCCCUGCAACUGGGUCUUGCAAAGAAGCAUGCACUCUCUUGCCCGGCAUGGUGUCUGGGAAACCUCUCUUCUCAAAACGCCAACAAACUACUCUCCUUCUCUCUGUCAAACCGCCGCCAGUCCAUUCCACUUGCGAUGCUGCAGUGCAGGAGGUAACCUUGUCAACAAAUCGUUAGUUUGUUUCGUUUGUUGCAUCUUGAUUUGGGUUGAUGUGGAUCUGAUGACUCAUGGUUGUUCACCAAAUGUGCAGGCAGGCGGGGAAGAAGAAGGGAGAGAGAGGGAGGGCGUUUGAGGGGUUCGGCAGAGAGAACAGGGAAGAAGAAGGGAUGGUUUCAGAUUUUAUUUUUAUUUUUAUAAGUUUAAUUUAAUUUUAAGUUUGAUUUAGCCUAUCCGGUAUAAAACCAAACACAGUAUAAAUAAUACGGUCAUUAAUCCGAUACUGCACCAAACGCCCGACUAAUUUAGUCAGUACUAUCCGGUGGCUAUUUAUCCUAUCCGACAGAAAUAGUCAGUACAGUCCGAGCUGCCAAACGAGGCCGGAAGGUCCGGAUUGGACUGGAUAGUAUUAUUACGGAUAUUCCCUUUUCCAUCCAGACCAAUGGUAAAUCGGAAGCAGAAUAUACUCCUUUCUCGGCUCUCUGAACUUUGCUUGUCAAAACCCCACCAGUGCCAUGUUAGCACCAGAGAGCUUCAACUCCAGCAACUCUGGUUGCAGCUUCGCAGUUGCAGGUAGCCAGCCAUGUUUGGAUGCACAAUAGCUAGCUCAAAUCAACAGAUUAAAACGACUUGAUUAAUCUGGUUUUCUAAGGUUUUUUACUCCCAAACAAACAACCCUCAUCGGAGUUUGGUGUUUUUUUUUGAACUUCUUCGAUGGCACAGAUUGUUUUGACUGCUUCAGCUCCUCCUGUUCCCGUCAGUUGUAAUUGUAUGUUUCGAUCUCUUAAUUAAUCCCCCCUUCUUAAUUAGCUGCCCAAAUUUGUUUUUAAAAUUCUUGGGGCUUGAACAAAUGGAUUCUGGAUUCUGCUGUUUGGUUGCUGAGAAAAUGUUGAGAGAAAGGGAAGAAAAGUAGAGCAAGAGUCACUGAGAACUUAUGAAGUGUUGUGUGAUUUGGUAAUCUGAUCAGAACCCAGAUCGUGGUUUUGGAUUAUUUCUUGUAUUUUUCCAGCACUUUCUCGGAUUCCAAACAGAGUGGCAAAAUUGUGAAUUUGGGGAAGGCUUUUGACAUUUCUGGGAAUUUUUGCAGAUGGUGCAAAGCCGUGGAGUAAAUCAGUGCUUCUCUGUUCUUCAAGACAAUAUGCGAGUACGAGCAGCUCUUCGCUAUCGAUUACAAGUUUCGGAGGCAGAAGCCUUCGGAUCGUUGAGUCGAAAGCAAAUGCAGCUGCAGCAGAAGCAGCCGCCAGUAGUGAAGGUUUUGAAGAGGUAGCUGAAGGGCAACUGGUCUCUUAUUCAUGGGCAGAUAAUAAGGUUAGGACUCUCUUCUCAAUUUGCAUUUUAUAAACCCUUUUUACUUAAAGCUAAAGGUUAAUUAAUGCUACAUUAAUUACAUUUAGAGGCGUUUUUAAACUGCUUAUUUGGCGGAGUUGAAAUUUACUUAUUACAUUAAUUAUUGUGAUAAACUGAUAAAUGAAACAUCACAUGUUACAUAACGCUGUUUUAAAUACAAUAUUCUCACAUUAUUAUUAAAUAAUUUAUGAGUAUUGUUACACUUAUAUACUACAUUUACUGACUACAUUAAAGACUACAUCUUUCUUAUACGAGUAAAUUUCGGUUCAACUUAUGUGAGAUAUGUGAUCGAUAAACCGAAGAAACAAUAAGAACCAUUUACAUUUUACACGUUGUGCAUAUACACAACAAUACAGUGCCCACCAAAAAUUUAUAUAGCUCCCUUUUUGGGUACAUGCAUUCCACCAAAGCAAUUUCAAACUGAAAAAAGGAAGGAAGGUACACAUAUCACUAAUUCAAGUGAUAAAUGUAUUCAUUAAAGCAAGCAAGUAAUUUUCAUCAAAGAUUUUGUUUUACCAAACAAAUUUAACGCUGAAUUGAUAGCAAAUAUUAUAUAUAGGUUUUUCAGUCAAAAUGGUCUAUGAGAUUGAUAUAACUCUUCAUUUUGUUAUUUAAGAUUUAAAAUUCAUGAAAGUGGAGUCUAUGUUUGUCCAUCGUCACCAUGAAAAUCUUCGUUAAAUAAGAUUAAAAUGACAAAAAUACCCUUAAUUUUUUUUUUCAAAUCAUUUUGGCCCAUUGGUUCUCAAACUAAGGAUAUUUUUGUUAUUUUGGUUCUUAUUCAAUAGAGAUUUUUCGUUAAAUGACCAAAAUAUUGAUGGUUGACAAACUUAAGAACCACUUCUAUCAAUUUUAAAUCUCAGCGCUAAAAUACUAAAAAGAAAUACAAACAAGAAGAAGCAUCUGAUUAGUGAUCAAGUCGAGUGGAUUAGAAGGGUACCCAACCACUAAUUAAAAUAAUAAUGUUCUGCUACUUAGUCGUUUGCAUGGAUGAUGAUCCAAAUUUCUAGUAGCUCGAAAAGAAUAAAAAUGCUGGCCAGAUUCGAACAAUUCGUAAUUUAAAAACAUUUGGACUGGAAUUUUGAUGUUGCGAUGUGGCCUAACAUAAUCUUUUAAUUUUGUAUUCAACCAAUCAAAAGAAAAUAAAAUAAAAAAGGUGCGUCGGCCGUUGAGAAUUUCCUCAUUUAUACGGACCGGCUAUUACGGCAGACACUUCCAAGUCGUAUACGUAGUUCCCAUACACGUAUUUUAAAGCAAUAAUAAUAAAUAAUACUUUAAUAAAUCUUAAGUAUGAAAUUUCUUUAUUUGCUUUCUAAUUUCUUUAUUCGAUUGGACAAAAAAGAAGAUUAUUGACUUUCUCUAAAAAAAAAUAAAGAUAUUCGUUCAAAAUAAUUGGUAAAAAUAUCAUGUCUGAAUCACAUAAAUGCGAUGACGAUACAUAAUUAUAAUUAGUUCGAUUCUGAAUACUGAUAUGAGUGAUUUUACAACUCUUUGUAAAAGUAUUUUAUAGAUUCGUCAUUUUUUUUUAAUAAAGUCCAAAUACUUUGGGAGAAAAUGAAGAAAGGUAUUGUUUUAUUAUUCAAUUCUUUAAUAAGCUAAAGAUACCAUUAAAAUUAAGUUCAUACAAUUAAUUUUAAAAACUGAAGUCCACUUCCCCUUUAGUUCACAGCAAAAGAAAAAUAGAAAAAUUAAAAACAAAAAAAAAUAAUAAUUAAAAAUUAAAAACAAAAAAACUAAUUAAUUUUUUUGUCAAAAAAAAAAAAACUAAUUAAACUACUGACAGAUAAAGGGAAAAGAAUAAACGAAGUGAAUUCUCGCGUACGCGUUUACCUCUCUCUCUGCUUUAAAACUCUCUCCCCUCUCUCUCUCUAUCUCUCUCUCUCUCCGUCCUCCCCUCCCCUAAUUGCAGAAGAAGCACAUUCCUCGUCGGUCGUCCUAAAAAAUCUGACCCAGCGACGCAGCCUCUCUCUAAAUUCCAACGCAGACCCAACUCCCCCACCUCCCUCCCUCUCCCUUUCUCCGUCGGCAUCUCAGAAUCCCCAAUUUUUCCUGCUGUUUUUCGUUUUUCAAUUUCCUCAAUAAAUUCGCAGUCUUUUCGAUGGACCUAGAUUCUCAGAUCCAUGGGAGGCCGACCCAUGUUUCUACAUAACCCAAUUCUUCAUUCUGCACCUGGGUUUUCACCAAUGCCCCAGCCCUAGCAGAUCCCAUCCCCACCUGAAUUUAACGCAUUCUGGGUUUUUCCCCAAAUCUCAGCCGUCCGAUCGAGACCCGCCUCGGAAGAUGAAGGGGAAGAGCCGCUUGUUCACGAUCGGGCUCGUCACCGCCUGGUACUCAUCCAACAUUGGGGUUUUGCUGCUGAACAAGUACUUGCUCAGCAACUAUGGCUUCAAGUACCCGAUCUUCCUCACCAUGUGCCACAUGACGGCUUGCUCUCUGCUCAGCUACGUCGCAAUUGCUUGGAUGAAGAUGGUUCCGAUGCAGACCAUUCGAUCCCGGGUCCAAUUCUUGAAGAUCAUGGCGCUCAGCCUGGUGUUUUGUGUCUCCGUCGUGUUUGGGAACAUUUCGCUGCGGUAUUUGCCGGUGUCGUUUAACCAGGCUAUUGGCGCCACCACGCCGUUCUUCACUGCGGUUUUCGCCUACUUAAUGACUCUCAAAAAGGAGGCUUGGCUCACGUAUCUCACCCUCGUUCCUGUUGUUACUGGAGUCGUCAUUGCAAGUGGGGUAUGAGCUCUCUUCCUUUUCUGUUAAUUUUGCUUUGUUUAAUGCAAAUUCAAGUGUUUUAUUGAGAAUUGCUGUGAAUUCUGGAAAUGGGUUUGCUUUGGUAUGAGCUGCUUUGGAUGGGAUUUGAGCAACUUUGCUUAGACUAGUCUGAAUUGUGGGAUAUGGGUUGGGAUGGAUUGGUGACAUUUUUUGCCAAUUCAGUUGUUUAUAACUCCAAUUGGUUUUAACCGUCCAUAGUUUAGAGAAAAACUAUUGUCAGAAGAUCUAUCAAAACCAAAAGGAAAGAUGAAUUGUUGGACCUGAGGUUUUAGUAUCUACCUGAGAUCUGAUAUAUUUCUGUUAAGCUGAGCUUAGUUCAAGAUUUAACUGAAUCGGGGUGAAUAAAAAGUACUUUGGGUGCAUGAAAGUGGGUGGCUUUUUCCAAUUUCCCUAGUUAAUAUAGCCAGUAAAGUUGUGAGAUUGUGCAAAUGUAUGUGGAGCCUUCAAUUUGACCGGAGCAAUGCAUCUCAUAGUUUGUUCUUUUUACAUGGCCGCAGGGUGAACCAAGUUUCCAUUUAUUUGGUUUCUUAAUAUGCAUAGCAGCAACCGCUGCCAGGGCGCUUAAAUCAGUGCUACAAGGGAUUUUGCUUUCUUCUGAAGGGUAAGGAAUCCUUAUGUGUUUGCUCUAUCAGUCUCUAAAUGGUUGAAUGGGUACUGAAUGACUUGCCUUUAUAUUCCAGGGAGAAGCUGAAUUCUAUGAACCUCCUUCUGUAUAUGGCUCCGAUAGCCGUUGUUUUCUUACUUCCCGCAACACUUAUCAUGGAAGAAAAUGUUGUCGGUAUAACACUAGCUCUUGCAAGAGAUGAUGUCAAGAUCAUAUGGUACCUACUAUUCAAUUCGACGUUGGCAUAUUUUGUAAAUCUGACCAACUUUUUGGUCACAAAGCACACCAGUGCUCUAACUCUUCAGGUUUGUCUCCCUUCUUGAUGUAACAUCUUUUUAAUUGUUAAUCAAAAUGUAUUUUAAAUGCUGUUAACACUUGUUAUGUUCUAGCAUUUAGAAGAUUUCAUGAAUAAAAGUUACAGUUUGGGCAGUACUGAAGUUGCAGGGAGUUCUGUCCUCAGGGUUUAAGUGGUGAAACUACUUGGAUUUUGUUGCUUAUAGGAUGAGCCAUCCUAAUCUUAUAGGGACUAGUUCUGUUUAUGGGGUUGAGAAAUAAUGGUUUAUUGGUGUGUGUUCAAUGAUGGCACCUGCUGGAAAAUAGCCGGUUAUAUGGGGCUGUGAACAUUAUACCAUGGCAGAAUUUAUAAUCUAGGACCAGAUGCGUUAGAUUGAAGGCACUAGUAGGACAAGAGGAUGUCCAUUCAUAUGUUCGCGUGGCUAUGUUGGCUAGUGUUUUUGUUUGACGUGUUGAAAAAAUGAAAUGAUCAUGAUAAAAUCUGGUGUUUACUGUAUUUUUCUAAAUUACUUCGUUGUUUCCUUUAAUGUGAAAGGAGCUGUAGCAAGUAACUAACGGAACGUUUGGUUAUCCAGGUUCUAGGGAAUGCUAAAGGAGCUGUAGCUGUGGUGGUCUCGAUAUUAAUUUUUAAAAAUCCAGUUUCUGUGACUGGAAUGAUGGGUUACACUCUUACAGUCUUUGGAGUGAUCCUAUACAGCGAAGCCAAGAAACGAAGUAAAUCAUAGUUCCGGGAAAGCAUCAAGUGAAAUGUCUUACGUUUUGUAUUUUGUACUGCGAGAACAGCAGUGGCCGUCCUGGAGGCAUAGUUGGGGGGGGGGGGGGGGUACAUGCGAGCAGUUGGUGCCGGGAUCUUGCCUCUACAAAUUUUAUUUUUUCCCCUGGAAGCCUGAGUACGUGAGUGGCUUCCAUUUGUAUCAGCAAACAACGCAGGAUAAGUCGAAAAAAGUAGGAAACUUAAUAAGUGACUAGUAUUACGGAGGAAAAUCAGUAUCGUUUUAUCGUUUUAUUCUUUCAGCAAAAGGGUUGUAGAAUUGGUCUCCACACAUUCAGUCUGUUAUUAACAUUUCUUCUAUUGAAUCAAUGAAAACAAAACCAUUCACAAUUUCACUAUUUGGUACUUGCAUCUCAGACGCAACAUUGUAUAACUGUCUAUUUUCCUACGGGUGUGCUAUCCACACACCUUUUUACUUCUCACACACCCUCUUAAUUUUAGGCUGUCGGAUCGAAUGUCAGAAAUUAACAAGGGGUGUGCGAGAAGUAAAAAGAAGUGUGUGAAUAUCACACCCCUUUUCCUACCAGUUCUGACGCCGAGGAUGCAAUUGUUGGCCAACAACACGAAAUAUCUGCCGGAAGAUUUCAAAUGUUGCAUGUUUGUAAAGCAAAAAUAUGAUGGUCCGAAAACAUUAUUUUGAUCUUGAAAGGGAUGACGAAACUGCUCAACCUCCACUUCAUUUUCACCUUCCGGCUCCGCUACGUUUCCGACAUCCACGCGAGGAGCCAAGUGGAAGAACCCUAUGUAACCCAUGUCAGCAAACUCUACUCAAUCACCACCAGCAGAUGUGAAUUCGAAGACAUUUUGGUUUUCACCUGCCUCGUGGAUGGGAUUGCCGCGGCAAGCGGAAUCAUACUGCUCAGAGUAAUGGUCAAGAUAACAGGCUCCUCCAUUUCUGUAAUGGUAGCUUCAUCAGGCUUCAUAUAAUAUGUAAUUGCAGCAUAUUAGCUGAUGUGAAAAUCCCAUCUCUUUACCAAAACUACCAUUUUUGUGACUUUUUUUUUGGGGGGGGGGGGGGGGGGGGGAGUCAUAUUUCUGCAGAAAAAUAAGAACCUUGUCGACAGGAACGUUGUGAAGAAACAGUCCCAGAUUCUCACCAUUGGUGGAGAACUUCACAACUUCAUUGCUCACAGAGAACUUCGCAGCUUCAUUGCUCACAGAUAUCCUUGCAAAUCGUAGCAAGCCUUGCCGGCAGCAUCCUUGACAGUGGUUUGGCAUUCUUCUUGUGGUCUUCGUUAGCUUCAUCAUGUAAACAGGAACUCGUAUCUCGAGUCUUGAUCUUCAUGACAGAGAAUUUUGAAAAAGAAAUCAACAAAUUUACGAUGAACAAAGUCAGAGUUGCAAGACAUGAACUGAAGUAUCAUCAUCUCUGCUUUUUCUGAAAACAAAUCAAGUUCGAUUCUCUAAAACACACAAACUAAGCCUAUCUCCGAGAACCAGCCCUGCCCGAAAACCGAGUUACGAUACCAACCAAUCCCAGAAAUGAAGAAAAGAAAGAAAAUAGAAGCGAUUCAAGAAACUGAAAGAAAAUGCAGAACAUAGGUUGAGGUUUCCGUAAACUUAACAAUAAAAUGCAAUGCGCGAAAGUUGUUGUUCUCCGCCGGAGAGAUCAGAAAGUUGUCGCCGUUCUCCGACGGAAAAAUCCUUAAGCCUGAAUCUGAAUGAAUGAUUUGUCCCAUCCGAUCCGACGGUCACCCAUUUCUUUUUCUUUCCUUUGUUCCAAUAUGGAUUGGUGUGAUCAAGUUCGCUCAUUUUGGCAUCAGACAAACCAUUCUCGAUACUCAUUUUGGAAGCGCUUAUAAAAUAACUAAAAGUUUGGCCAAAAAGGUUAAAAGUGUUCCUGGGUAAGAAGAAACACUUGAAGUGCUAUAUAGAAGCACUUAAAAGUGUUUUUUGGAAGAAACAAUUGCUAUGUGCUUGCAUGUCAAGUUCUUCAAAAUUUCGAUGUAUUUCAACUGCUUCUGACCCAAUGUGUUUUGUAUAAAAACAUUUCCAAACGAGCUCUCCGUCCGAAUGCUAUGCGAAGAACAUAAGCCAGGUUAAGGAACGGGACAAGAAAAGCCCAUUACAAUAUUUUUCAGCAGAUGAAGGAAAGGGGUGAGCGCAGAUGGUAAGAGCGGGCAGAAAAAUUCUUGACUCUUACCGUACGCACAGCCGUCAUAUGGUAUUAUCAUUCCCCAUGUUAUAAUAAGAAUGUGCAAUCUAUUUAUAUUUUAGAUAUGGUUGAAUUGUAACACCACAUGACCGUCACAUUGAAGAAUUUUCGGGUGAGAGGGAAGCAGGAAAAUGAAACGAAGAUGACAGACUCUUUUCAUAUAUUUGCCAAAUGCCGAGAAAAAUGGUGACAACAUGAACUUACUGCAAACAAAGCCCUGAAGGUCUUUUUACAACUGCCGGACCCAGAAUCACAUACGGGAAGCAAAACACAACAAUGUGCCCAAGAUUGAUGAGCCAAAUAAAAUAGAGAAGUACCAAGUUUUCUCACUCCGCCAUGGAAAAGCAUGAGGCUGAAGAGGAAUACAACACUCUUAAACAAACGAAAGCCAUGUGAUCGAACAUUUAAAUAUGGAAUUUAUGCUUCUGGAAUGGAGGCUACUGCUGCUGUUGCUGCCGCCGCCGCCGCUGCUGUGCGCUUAAUUGAUGCAGACUUAAUAAGAUGGUUGUAGCUCCCCUUCUCCUUGAAAAGCUGGGAGAAAUGGUGCUUGCAGUAUAGAAUGCCCUCCAAAGCCGCGUAGUUUGAGGGAGUAAUAGGACAGCCGCCGUGAGAACACUUGAAACACGACUUGUGAUAGGCCUGGCUCUCCACAGUCACCUGCAAAAUUUUGGUUCAAUACACUCGAAUUAGUUUCAUGGGGGUUUUUCAUAUCUUUGUGAGUUAUAUAAGAAAAAAGUUAAUUUUCCCCCAAUAACUAUUGCAGAGGAACUCAUUUGUUACCAUGGAGGUCAUGUGAAAUUCGUGGACCUUCAAACACCUUUGAUUAUAAUUAGGAAUAUUACAUAGAACAUGUGCUCAACUUAUAUCAAAGCAACGAAGUGCCAGUUCCAACCAAUUCAUUUUUGUUUGGGACAAAAACGGGAAAGCAAAAAUAGAAUGGUCGAAAGAAAAAUUAUCAACAAAAGACAUAUCUUCGGAUCCUACCUUCUCCAGUGGAUAAGCGGUUUUACCACAAGUAGCACAUUUGUCUUGUGUUCCAGAAAACAUGCUAGCAGCUUUGCUAGGAGACCUAGUCUGAACCAAACACAAACAUUUGAGAAUCAGUGUUGCCGCUAUCUGAUAGUAUAAGAAUAUUCUGUAACUAAAAAACGGAGUUUAUAACACCGAUGUAGAGAAGUUUACCAGCUCUGGAGUUAACUUCUCAGCUGACUUUGCAGCUGUUGCAAAUUAAAUUUAUAGAAGAUUAAAACAGUAAACAAAAAACCAUGCAGAGACAUCAAAGACGGUUUCAUCAGGAAAAAGAUAAAGACAUACGUGACUGAAAGUUCUUGUUGAAAUUGCCAGUCUCCUUGAAAAGUUGCUCAAAGUGAGGCUUACAGUAUAGAACACCUUCCAUUGAGGAAUAAUUGCUCAGCUUUAAAGACAAAUAUUACAAAACAUUAGAAACAAGAGGAAACUUCCAUAAACAACUCCAUAUGUUACAUAUCUUAAAUUGAACAGAAUUCGGAUCAAUGGCACAAACAAAUCUCACUAUUCGAGUCCUCUUUCUAACAUAUACGUUCAUACGUCAAUAAAUUCAAAUGUACGUUCAUAUGCGAGGGUUUGGGACACAAAUUUAAGUAUUUCUUUUCCCAUUGUAUUGUAUUAUCUAUUAAUAAUCUUCAAAUUUUGAUAUUCGAAUAAGGUUGCAAGUAAAAUGUGUGUUCCUACGCAAGAUUUUCGAUUAUUAACCAAUAUUUAUGUCAUUACACCCAUUGCCAUGAUACUAAAUAAUUUGGUCAGAAGUAUCGAUAAAACGAUAGUCUUUAUAAUUUGCUUUGAAUCAUUUGAAAAUGAUGCAUCUAAGUUCCACUUCCACACAAAACGGAUCGAAAAUCGCAAAGAAAGCAUGAAACGAGGCAGAAUUGAUGGUUGGUUGAGUACCUUCAAAGUCCCUUUGCAGUGGGUGCAUUUGAAGCAAGACUUGUGGUAGGAAAUCCCAUCAGCAGAUAGCUCCUCCACUGGGUAAACUGUCUUUUCACAAGCCUUGCAUUUCUGCUGGGUGCCAAUGAAAGACAUAUUUCUAUCUCCUUCUAGAUCUGAUUCUUCUCUUUUUACCAAGAUCACCCCCUCUCAACCUUCCACCUGCAAUGAACAAUUUAACAAAACAAAAUUCAGGAUCAAACGAGCUCUGUUUGUUUCCCGAGAAAGUAGAAGAAAGAAAAGGACUUUAAAUUAUGUGUGUAAAAGUACAGAGAUUCAUUGACCCAGAUACGGGAAAACAGUAAAGUUACAGAAUUUGGCAACUUUAUCAACAAAUCGACAGAAAACCCAAAAUCCCAUAUCUCUUUUCCAGCUUUCCCAGAAACCGAUCUAAAACUUUUAGAACAUAAACAGCUAAAUUAUAGAAUAAAAAAUUACUCAUUUUUUCUUAAGAUUUUUUCUCUGAUCCAACUUUCAAAGCACCCAAAUGCAAGAACAAAUUAAUGGAGAUCUGGCAGCAUAGAUUACGAAAUGAAGUCAAUAAAAAUCCUCCAGAAUCAGAAAAGCGUACCCUUUGAAGCUUUAAGGCUGACUGAGUGAAGCUCAAAAAUCUCGAUAAUUAAAAAGGGUAAAAUAAAAAAGAAAAGAUUUUGAAAACGAAAUGGGUGAGGAAGGGCAAAUGGGUCCUUUUCCGUACGGAAGGAGUGUGAUGGCAAGCGGAUGGAUAUGGCGAGCGCUUUUUGCAGGGAGCGGAUGCAGCGUAGUGGAGAAGACGACGAUGAUGAAAUUAUAGAGAGAGAGAGAGAGAUAGAGAGACCCCUCCAAAAUCCAAAUCCAAUGAGAGAGAUUUUAAAGGCGUUGUAAAAUAAUAAAUAGGAAUAAAAAUAUCCGCGCUGGACACACUUUGUAUCGUUCAACUUCAACUACUCGAUUUUACGCGGCUUUUCUAGCUCUUUGUUGCCUACAAAUUUACACAUUGACCCCUAUUUACGAUAAAAUUUUCAAUGUGACACGUGGUAUACCCUCUGUGUUCCGGUCACAAUAAAAAGUUUCUAUUUAUUUACUUUACUUUUUACGGGGGGGGGGGGGGACUCGAACUCAUCGCAAAUAUAUGUCAUCUAUGCAUACAUAUGAGUCGAACGAUUUUUAUAAUAGGACUAAAAAAGUGAGUGUUAUGCUAAUAUACUGAGCUCGUGUAGGAAUCACACAUUUACAGUGGGUCGAAAAUUUGUAGGUGAUACUUUUAAAGUAGUGGGUUCUAAGGUAUGAAUCGCACAUAUAUUGAACUCACACUUGUGUAGUAGUGUUAUAGGUAUCAAACUCAAGCGGCCUGAUUCUUAUAAAUAAGUAUCACAUUCACUCAAAUUACGGUAAAACCCUAAGACUUCCUCUGAUCAAAUGAAGAUAACAACUACUUUACUUAAACAAAGGCUACUCGAACUUUCUAAAAUUGUUUAUGAUAUGACAAAGUGUUUUUUAGUAACCAAAAACACUUCUGAUUGUGUUUGGUGAAACAACUAAAUAAACUUUUACGUCGUAAAAGUGUUUUUUUUAAGCACUUGGGUCAUUGGGAAUCACUUGGAGUUUUAAUAAAAACACUUGUUGAAAGCAAAUUUGAACAUAAUUGUUGUUUGUAGAGGUAGUCCCAAAUGAGCUCUCAACUCCUUCCAAUGUACUCAUUGACAAUGAGCCAAGCAAGGUUCAUGCUAAUUGGUAGAUAAAUGGUUAGUAAAUAAUUAAAAUUAAAAGGCUAAUCUGUUUCAGUUUUAAGUAUUUAGAGGAUAAUUAAAUGCAUAUAAUCUAAGGCUGUGGUUGCACCACAUCAUUAGCUACGGUAAACAUUCUAAAUUAAAAUUCGUUUCGAAAUACGGUGGUAAUUAAUUGUGAUUUGGUCAUUGGGUGUAUGAUUUAACUACUAAUUUAGUUCCCAACCAAAACAAAGAUAAACAAAACUACAAAUUUGUCGGGAAAAAAUGCCUUGACCAGUACAAGACAAAGUGGUCACCAACAAAUAAAAUAAAACAGAAUGAGGCAUUGAUUGAUGAUGUUCCACUAACACCACUUUUUGGGUGUCAAUUGUCAAAGACAUCGAAUUUUCUAUGCUCCAUCUAUUUGCCGGGAUAUUAAUGUUAUUGCUAGGAUAUUAAUAUUAUCCACUUACGUGCACUCAACCUAGCCUUAACCUAUUUUGCCUAUGUCAAGAGUUGUUUAUUGAUCAUUUUAAAUUAUUUUUAAAAUGAUUGUAAAUAUUUUUGGUGAUAUUAAUUUUAGAUUCCAAAAGUACUUUAAGUAAAAAAACAUCAUAUAUGUGAUAUGUUUUUCCAAGAUCUACUUGAAUUUUUAUUAAAGAUUUGUUUGAAAAUAUUUUCAUCAAAAAUGCUUUUAAUCAUUUUAAAAACUUACAAAUAAGCCUAUGUUUGUGCAGAGUUAAAUCCGCAAAUAAGCUCAGUCGAAGGAAGCUCUAGACAUUAUCAUGGAUAACUUGCAGGAAGACAAAGCCGAAUGGUUUGAUUUAAAUUGAUUGUACUUGUCUUCCUUUAUACGCGUUUUUUUUUCUCUCUCUCUCCCUAUCUAGAAAUCAAGAUCCAGAGCCUUUUCUCCGGCUUCAACUUUCAGCCGCCGCCCUUACUUUUGCUCAGGGUAGGCGGCAACCCGCUACUUCCUCCUCUUUCAAGUCUGCUUAUUCCCUUCUCUUUCCCUCUUUCCCUCCUUACCUCAUUUGCCUUUUUCUUCUUUUUCCUCCCCUCUCACAUUCCUCCGCUCCAUUCCCCUCCCUGCAUCCAUCUUUUCAUCUCUUCUUUCCAGUCUCAUUCUUUCGUUUUAUUCUCGGUUUUCUCUGAGUUUAUCUUAGUUUUCCCUGAGAUGGGUCUCAACUAUCCCCUGAGCUUGUCUCAGAUCUCCAUUCCCAUCCCACCACGCACUCGAAUAGGCGGGCUCCGAUCAUGAAUAGAAUACCAAAUCUACUACCCUCCUUCACUUCCCUUCCCCCAACCGACAUGCCUAUGCCGGAUCCCUUUGGAGGCCAAGUGUUGGGUAUUUUACAUACACCCCUUAGCCUCACUUUCUACUCGUAUGAUACUUUGUUUGUAUAUAUUUGCAGGGGUUCGUGAAAGGGAUUUGGAUCUAAUGUCUACUUUCUCGGUUCGGAGUUUGCCUUCCCCCGAGGAUGUGAUGGCCGCGACGAUGUGGUCUUUGAUGCUGAAAUUAGGGUAUUUUAUUGUCUGUUUUUUUACUGUUUUCGGGCCUAAGCUUGUGUAGGCCUCAUGUUGUAUCUUAGGUUGCUACUCUCAUUUUGUUUAGGCUACUUUCCCUGUAGUUGAUUAUCCAGUCUUUUUUUAGCCUUGUACUAGUUUUUAUCAUACUGAAAGUUGAUUUUUUGAUAAAAUAAAAAAUUGAUUGUACUUAUAGGGAAUAGUUGACUUCUAAGUUGCUAAUGCAAAACAUUCAUUUUUAUUCGACUGAGUUGAAAUCCUGACAAGAUUUUUAUCGAGGCACAUUAUGCCCCUGUUCCCAAAUUCUAUGUUUUUCUAAUCAUCAAUAAAUAUCGUACUUUCUAAAAAAACAAUCCGCAAAUUUGUAACUCAAGUAAGUGUUAACAAGGCCCUCGAUCAAUAUUGCUUGUAUUGCAAAAUUAUUUGGCACUAAAGCAUUAGUACACGAAGGAAAGUUUUUCUCUCCUCUGUGAGAGUUCUCUUCUCCGCUGUGAGAUCCCGCCGUAGUGCGUGGUUAUUAGUUGUCAGGCUCAAGUUCGUUUUCAGCCUCGCGAUCUUGGUGGAUCAGGUCGUUUUCUUUCCCCUUGGUUCUGUUGUUUUUACUCUUGCACCUUCCGGUCUGCUUUUCCUUUCUCUGAUCGGGUUGGGUCCUUUCUUGAUGUGAUUUGGGUUGGUGGUCAGUUAAUUAGGGUGGUUGGGGUUUGUUUUCCGCUUUUUUCUUAGUUAUUUCUUGGCCCCUUUUUCUCCCCUUUCAAGCCCUAGGUUGAUUUUGUCUGAUUUGGAGGGAGGGCUUGGCCCUCUUUGGUACUUGUAGUAAUGGGGAAGCUGAAGUCCCUAAUCUCCGACAUCAGGUGUAGGAAGGGGACUCUGACACAGAGGAUUAUGCCUGACUGCACAGAGACUACCUCCAUAACUGCAAAAGGCUCCAGGUCAUCAAUUUCCACCGAAUACAGGUUAUUCCAACCACCAUUAUUUAUUGCCAUUCUCUUAUAUGUACUACAAACUCAAGAAAUUGGUUGUGGGGUGAAGAAGCAUUCUAUUUACCCAGUUGUUCGCCUGGAAAAAGCCCCGUUUUUGUAUUCGAGGUACUCUGCGGAACAACCGAUUCAAUCGGUGCUUCUUCAUACGGAUAAUAUGGCGCAGUAGGGUGUGGAGGAGCUUGUGGUUCAAUUAGACAAAGCAAUGGACUUGUCAACUGUGGAGACAGGUAUUAAACUUGUGGGUUCGGUGCUAGCCGAUAAACCUCUGAACAGAUGGGGAGUUAGGAACAUUCUUCGUGCGGCCUGGAAAAGUUAUGGUGACAUAGAGAUUAAAUGGGUAAAAGAUAACACGUUUAUCAUCUCGGUCCCGGAUGAACGUGUGGCAGGGAAGAUUAUUGAUCAGGUGUCGUGGGGGGUCAUGAAAAAAAACUUUUUGGUCACUGUUUGGCCAGCGGCGCUUGCUCUGGAAGAAGUUGAAAUAAAAAAAGUCCCGUUUUGGGUCUAAAUACGAGGUGUUCCUCUUUGUCUCACCUCUCUCGAAAAUGUUAAACGGUUGACUAGAGAGGUUGGGACUUAUAUGGGUUUUUAAGGGUUAGACUAUUGAUUGAUUCGACCAAACCUCUUGUGAGUGGAUGCUGGUUGAGAAGAGAAGAUGAUAGAGAUACAUGGGUGGAAUUCUGUUAUGAGAGAUUACAAGAUUUCUGCUAUAGAUGUGGACGACUAAGACAUGUUAACACGGAUUGCACUUUUGAGGCAACCAAAGCUGGGGCAGUAGGGUUCGGAGAAUGGCUGAAGGCACCUCCAGUCAGGGAUGUGGAAGAAGGACCAAAAGUCAUGAUGACAGGGACGAGUGAAAGAAGGAGAGCUGGACCAGCUAGGGUGCCUGCUACACAUUUGAGGUCUUUGGGGAUUACCGAACUGGAACACACAAAGGAGUCUACUGCUGAUAGUGAAAAGGAAAAGGGUAAGCUACCGAUUCAGGGGAAGGGAAGUGCUCACCAAUUCUAUGGGAGGAAAAAGUGGCAAAGGAGGCUUCGUGCUCACAGGAACACUGAAGAACCGGUGGGGACAACUAAUCAGCUAAAUUGGCUUGUUCAGCAAAGUUUACAACAGUCUAUAUGGGGCAGUGGAUCUGGUUGCUAUCCUUUUUUACAAAAGUUGAACGUGCAGCAAACGGGGCCCGGUAUGCAAUCGGUUAUUAUACAUGAGAUCAACGAGGAGGCGACCACAGUGAAAAUCGUGGCUGAUGGGGGCAACGGAAAUGAGCAGGAUGAGGAUGGAUCUUUGGUUUUCCCACCCUACUCUCAUUCGGGUAGGAAUAAACAGAAAAAGGUAAAGGAACAUCAAGAGAUGGAAAUAUCACAAUCUCCCCAAAAGAAAGGCAGGGUGUAUGAUGGUGCUCUUGCGGGAAAAGAUGCGGGUAUUUUGGCCCGGGGUGGUGGCGGCUGGCCCUCAACAGCCGCAGAAUCCCCAUGAUUUUUCUAUUCUGAAACUGCUGUGGUCUAGGGUCGGACACGGUAGUUCGGGCCCUUCAUGGGCAGAUAAGACAUAAUAGACCCUCUAUGAUCUUUCUUUCUGAAACUAAGAUGAAAGAUCAUAGAAUUAAUGGAGUGCGCAGAAGGAUGAGAUUCACGAAUGGGUUUAAUAUUUCGCCCAUGGGAAGGGCAGGCGGUCUAAGUUUAUGGUGGGAGGAUUCACUGGAGGUGAAUAUUAUUUUUUCAUCUAAGCAUGUUAUUGAUGCUCAGGUGAAAUCUGGUGCGUCGCAGCAAUGGGUUCGUGUCACUGGGAUCUACGGCACAGCUUAUAGAAGCGAAAAAGUGGAAUUCUGGGGUUGGAUGAAGAAUCACUUUACCCCUUCGGAUAUGCCCUGGCUUUGUGGGGGGGGGGAUUUCAACGAAUUUAUGUGGGAUCAUGAAAAAUUGGGCGGGGCCCCGAUGUUGUUCAAUCGUCCUCGUUAUCUGGAGGAUUUUAUUAACCAUUCUAAUCUGAUGGAUCUCGGUUUCAAUGGGCCUCCCUAUACUUGGCGAGGGAUGAGGAAUGGUAAUCUGGUUGAGGAACGCCUUGACCGGGGUCUGAUCAACAAGAAAUGGCAGGAUAUAUGGUCACUUUCCACUACUGUGCACGGGACGGUUCUGGGAUCUGACCACUGCCCAGUAAUCAUUAAAACGGAGGUGAAUGGGAUGAAGGGAAGAAAAUUUUUUCGGUUUGAAGCUUUCUGGGUGAAAGAAGAGGAAUGCAGGAAUUUGGUGGAAAAGUGUUGGGCCCGUGCAAACGUUGGAGAUCUUCAAAGGAGGUGGGUAAAGAAAAUCGAUGAUUGUAGAUCUCUCCUGAUCAAAUGGAGUAGAAACAAAUUUAACAAUAGGAGAAUACAGAUUGAGGAGCUGCUCGACCAAUUGGGGGAACUUCAAAUGAAUUGGAGCAAAAAUGUGUCUGAGAUCAAAGAGAAAUCCAGAAUUAUUGAUACUCUCUGGGCUCAAGAGGAAUGUUUCUGGCACCAGAGGUCUAGGGUAAAAUGGUUACGAUAGGGUGAUGCGAACACCAAAUUUUUCCAUCAGUCAACUCUUCAGAGACGCAGACGGAAUAUGAUUAUAAAGUUAAAGGAUGGUGAAGAUUGUUGGGUGGAGAAUCCCAACCAUAUUAGGAAGCUGGUUGACGAUCACUUUCUGAAUGUUUUCAAAUCGGGGGGACCUCGGGACUGGGGAAACUUGCUGGAAGGCAUACAUAGUUGUGUUACUGGUGAUAUGAAUCUGGCUCUCAUGGAGUCGGUUUCCAUGGAGGAAAUUAAGGAAGCUGCUCUCCAAAUGGGGGGUUUCAAAGCGCCAGGUCCGGAUGGCUUUCAGAGGAUUUUCUACAGGUCUUUUUGGGACAUUGUUGUGGAAGAUGUCAACAAUCUGGUGAGGUCUUUUCUGCGUGAUGAGAUCAGCCCGACGGAGAUAAAUAACACCCAUAUUGUGUUGCUCCCUAAGAUUCCGAACCCUGAAUCUGCGUCUCAUUUCCGACCUAUAAGCCUAUGCAAUUAUUCUUACAAGGUGCUAUCCAAGGUUCUGGCAAACAGAUUAAAGAUCCUUCUACCGAAGAUUAUUUCUCCUACUCAGAAUGCGUUUGUGGCAAGAAGACAGAUACAAGAUAAUAUCGGGAUCACUCAUGAGGUGUUUCAUUAUCUGAAAGGGCGCAAGUCAAAAAAAUAAGUUUGAGUUGGGUAUUAAAGUUGACAUGCAAAAAGCGUAUGAUAGAGUUGAAUGGGACUUCCUCGAGGCGACUAUGGAAAAAAUGGGGUUCUGCAGCCAGUGGAGGAAACUUAUCAUGGGCUGUGUGACUUCUGUCAAGUUUGCUGUCAUUCUCAACGGGCAUCCCGGCAACAAGUUUGCCCCUUCUCGAGGCCUUCGGCAGGGCGACCCUCUAUCUCCGUAUUUGUUCCUUCUGAUUGGAGAAGUGUUAUCCAGAUUGAUCCAAGCUGCGGUGGAAAAAAAGUCUUUGGACGGUAUCAAGUUGGGAAUCACAUGGCCGGUUCUUUCUCAUAUAUUCUUUGCUGAUGAUAUGUUAAUUUUUUUGAGGGCUAAUGAGAAAAAUUGCAGGAAUCUUGUAAAUCUCCUUAAGGCUUUCUGUGCUGCCUCGGGGCAGGAAGUUAACCUGCAAAAGUCCAGUGUUUUCUUUGGAGCGAAUACUCCGGUGAGGGUUUCUGAGGAGCUGGGAUCUAUUCUGGGUAUGCCGGUUCUUGACAACCCGGGGUCAUAUUUGGGUGUCCCGACCUGUUGGGGACGCUCAAAGAAGCAGGGUCUCGCUUAUGUGAAGGGUCGUAUUAUUGAGAAACUUCAAGGGUGGAAGCAAUGUACUCUGUCGAAGGCGGGCAAGGAGGUUCUCAUCAAGGCGGUUGUCCAAGCUGUUCCUGCUUAUCCAAUGAAUCUUUUCAAAUUUCCGGCUGUGUUAUGUGAUGAGCUGGACACUUUGGUUGCUAGGUUUUGGUGGGGAACGGGGAUGGGUGACAAUAAAAUUCGCUGGGUGUCGAAGAAGGUUUUGGGCCUCCCUAAGACUCUUGGGGGUUUGGGUUUCCGAAAUUUCAUGGAGUUCAACGAUGCGCUGCUUGCAAAACAAUGUUGGCGCCUGCUUUGUGACCCUUCCUCUCUAUGGGCUAGAGUGAUGAAGGCCCGUUACUUCCCCAAUUGCUCCUUCUUGGAAGCCAAAAAAGGAGGCAGGGCCUCUUGGGCGUGGAGUAGCCUUCUAUCGGGUCGUGAUCUUCUUAUGUAGGGAACUCACUGGCAAAUUAUGGGUGGUCAGGAUGUGAGAGUUUGGGUUGACCGCUGGUUACCCUCCAUUCCUUCGGGGCGCCCUUCUCCGCUGGGUGAGGUUGGGGUGACUAGAAACCUACGUGUUAGCUCUCUAAUUUGUCCGCAAUCUCGGGAUUGGGAUUUAUCCUUUCUGAGUCCCUUCCUUUCUGUGGCUGAUCAAGGGGCAAUUGAAGGUACGCCUAUUGGAGAUAUUAGUAGAAGUGAUAGACUGAUUUGGGCUGCAACAAAACAUGGUAAGUACACGGUAAAAUCUGGGUAUAGAUGGGUGCAAUCUCGGUCUCUGAGUGCGAGAGAUCAUCGCCUACCUCAUGUUCGAUCCAUCCCAGAGAAGUUGUGGAAUUGUAUAUGGAAGAUCGAUGUUCAACCUAAGAUACGCCAUUUUUUAUGGAACUCUCUGCAUAAUAUUCUGGCUACUAAUGCGAAUCUGUACAGGAGGCGGUCUACCACUUCCCCCACCUGUCCUAUCUGCUUGUGUGAAGAUGAAUCUGUUGAGCAUUUGUUCCUCAUCUAUUCAUGGGUUCAAGCUGUAUGGUUUGGUGGGGCUUUGAAUUAUAGGAUUAACAGGCUGGCUAUUAACUCUUGGAUUAGUUGGCUGCAUGCUAUUUUUAAUCCUGAUUUUGGUAAUCGUUCUGAGUUGUUAUGGACCCAAAGAUUGGUGGCUUAUACUUGUUGGCAUAUUUGGAAGGCCAUGUGUGCUUUUGUGUUUAAUAAGGUGCGUAUCAACCCUGUAAAUGUUGUUCUGGCCAUUUCUAAUUCUGUGGGGUCUUUCCUGGCUGUUUCCUGUGUCUCUGAAGUUGAUCGGUUUCCGGAGAAUGUUGGCCAGGUUCCUGGCAGUGCUCCGUUGUGGUGUCCUCCUCCCCCCCUUUUACGAAAAUAAAUGUUGAUGCCAUCUGGUUCAAGACGUCUUGCUUGGGUUUUGUGGGAGUGGUUUUACGCGACGCUGAUGCUCAUUUCAUUGCGACUGCUCGUUACCACAUUCGGGCCCCCUGUGCUGCAGCUGCCGAAGCUAUGGCUUUGCUGCGGGGCUGUGAACUGGGUGCAUCUUUGGGUCUAUCUGAGGUUAUUCUGGAAUCUGACUCUUCCGAGGCGAUUUCUUGCCUUUCAAAUUCUAUAGAGAAUGGCAGUUGGGAGGCUAUUCCUACUUUAGCAAGAGUAAAGCUCUUUGGGGAAACCUUCCAGAACUGUCACUGGUCUUGGGUUCCAAGAUCAGCCAAUACGGCGGCAGAUGCUCUUACGUCGCGUGGUUGUGCGGAGCUGUGUGAUGUUGUUUGGGUCGAUAGGCCUCCAUCUUCGCUUGUUUUCGUGUUAAAUAAUGAUGGUCUUCCGUGUCCACAUUAGCUGUUGGUGGUAGUGUGGGGAGUGACGCUUCAGCUUAGUUGUUGUGUCUCUGUUUGUAACUCCUUACGCUGCCUUCCUUCUUGAGCUUGUUGGCUGUUUGCCUCUUCGUAGGCUCUCUUGUUUUCUUCGUUGGCCUCUGUGCCCUGGAAUGAAUCUUUCCUAGCUUUCAAAAAAAGCAUUAGUACACCAAUCACUUAUUUGGAUACCCUUUUCAUAUUAUAUGCAAGAAUUCUCAAAUCGAAAAGUAUUUUGUUAUCCAAUUGGGAUAAAAUAAAUUCGAUACAAUGUUCACAAUACAGCAAUAAAGUGUUGAUAAAAAAAUGAUUAAUAAUUUUUUUAAAUUGAGAGAAUAUUUGCAGAAAUUAACAUUAAUUGAGAUGAAAAAAUGAAGUCGUGAGAGACUAUUUUGGUAGGGAUGGGUAUUAGGUGCCUCGGUUGGGUUGAUUUUAAUCCGUUGGCCAACCAAUAGGCCUGGUAGGCUCUCGGAUUGACAUUAUUGAAACCCAAUUCCACCAUUUUCAUCCAAGAAAAUGGACAAACCAAUCAACUCAAACCAUUAUAAAGCAGGUUUGAGAUUAUUUACUUUCUUUCUUGUUUUUAAAGUGACCGUGAGUGACAAAUAAUCCAAAAUGCAUGUCAUAUUAGACUUAAAUAAUGUUAAUUUGGUGUUGUUGAGUCCCUAUUUGUUAAUAUUUGAAUUUCAUUAUUUAACUAAAUUUUAAAUAAACAAGUGUGUUUAAUAACUAUUAAAUUUUAUAUAUGUCUAUCUAUUGUAUGUUUAAAAAUUAUUGAUAUUCGAGUAGGUCAGAUUCUAUUAUUAAUAAUACUUAAACUCAACCCAACCCGACCCACUUAUUAAAUGGGUAGUCUAAUUUUUACUCAAAAAUAAUUUUUAGAGUUUACAACCCAACUAACCAAACCCAUUUUGGUUGGGUUGGUCAGUAAAAACACUAAAUUGUCCACCCCAAACUCUAUGAAAGUGAUUCAAAUGAGAUAGCUAGCAUUGCAUUAAUUCACUAAAUGACUAACGAUGUAAGUUUUAAGUAAAAUCGGGUGAUAAUUCUCGUUAAUUAAAUUGAUCCAGUACACAUUAUUAUAUAACCUUACAAAGAGCUAAGAUCAAUGACACGACCAUCUAUCUAAUCUUGAUACAUUGUGAAGUCCCAAUGUAUGAACGUGUGCGCGACAGACCGUAGUAGACGUAAUGAGUCGAAUAAAGCUAGGUCCUGAGGGAGACGGCACGCGCUUGAACUGCAUGCUGGACAUUGUAUUCGCCAACAUGAUGACCUUUUAUUACCUCAAGCCACGAUAACCAUAAUUCGGUAUCAGUGGUUUCCUGUCCUGCUAUUCAUCCGAAUUCCUGCUUAGAGGAUUGACAUUGUAAAGUUGUCCAAUGAUCGUAUGUGGAAAGCGUUUAGUCUCGUGUACCCAAGGAGUUUACGUGCAGAUGCAAAUAAGACUCGAUUAUAUAUAACGUUUCUUGCCAGUAUAAAUUGGCAAUUAAUUAAACAUGGUUUGGCUAAGAUUUUGACCUUGCUGAUCAUAUGUGCCGGUAUUUUCUAUGUCCCGGUCGAGUAGAAUCAUCCUCUUUUGAACUUAGGUACUUGAAUUCUGCCCAUGUUAAUCGUCUUCCUUGAUCGGACUGAUGAUUCUACUAUAUACUUGCGCUAAAUGCAGUAAGGAAACAAUGCUAAAUCCAUGCCAAAGCUCGUAAAUAAUUUAUGUAAGCUCAAGAGAACGUGGACAAAAUGCAAUAGCUUUUGAAGAAAUUAAGGUUCAAAUAUACAUGAAAAAUAAUUUGACUUGAAAAUAUGUUUUUUAAUCAGUGUUUUAGGAAUUGAAUCAAUGUUUUUGGAUACUGGGCUUGGGCUGAGCGUUUAAAAUAAGCCCAGCAGCAUUUAGCUGCCCGAAUUACUUGGGAGUGUGACACUAUCCGGCUAACAGCCCACUCUCAACUAAACAACACCCAGUGCGCAAUACGCACCCCCCUCAAACUCCAGUUCCCGCGCCAAAACUCCUCUGCUCCAACAGCUCUAACAAACUAACAACCACCGGCUUCCACAUCACGCCUUCCUCGCACUCUCUCUCUCUCUCUCUCUCUCUCUCCCUCUUCAUUUUCAAACCCCAAGAAAACUCCCUCCAAAGAAAGCUCCAAGAAGCCAUGGCGGCGUGCUUCUUUCUCUCCCUUGCCGCCAUCCUCUUCACCCUCUCUCUCCUCCCCGGAAGCACCUCGCUUUCCACCACCGUCGGUGCCACCUACUCCGCCAGCACCGCCGCAACCUACGCCGCCCCUCCCGCCGUCGACCGCGUUGCCCACGCCGUCUCCUCCCUCGGCCUCUCCGCGCUACGACUAGACGCCUCCGACCCCGCCAUGGUCCGCGCCUUCCUCUACUCCAACACCUCCCUCCUCCUCACCAUCCCCAACAAGCUCGUCCCGCCCCUCGCCGCAAACCGCUCCAACGCCCUCCGCUGGCUCUACAUCCACGUCAUCCCCUUCUACCCCCGCACCAAAAUUUCCACCAUCUCCGUCGGCAACGACCUCCUCGAGUCCUCUCCGAACUUCUCCACCUUCCUUCUUCCCGCCAUCCGCAACGUUCAACUCUCCCUCAAAGACCUCGGCAUCCAAAAGAUCUCCGUCUCGACCACCUUCUCCUUCAUCAACGUCAUCACCACGGCGUUCCCGCCUUCCAAUGCCCAGUUCCAAGAACCGGCCGUUGACACCGUCAUCAGGCCCCUCCUCCAGUUCCUCCAUGACACCAAUUCCUCGUUCUUGAUCAAUCUCUACCCCUACAAUCUGUACAAGAUGCGCAGCGAGAUACCGAUCGGGUUUCCCCUGUUUCAGGAGCACCCAUUCGGAUUCCGAGACGACCUCACCACCGGCGUCCGGUACCGGAACCUCUUCGACAUGAUGGUCGACGCCGUCAUCAGCGCCAUGGCUGUCGCAGGAUACGAGAACAUUCCGGUGAUCGUGACCGAGACUGGGUGGCCCAGCUUCAGCACCGACCCGGCCGAAAUCGACGCCAACCCGGUUUACGCCGAGAUGUACAUCAAGGGGCUUUUGUGUCAUUUGAGGUCCGGAAAGGGAACGCCGCUGAGGAGAGAAGGGGUUUCCGAGACGUACAUUUACGAGCUGCUCGACAAGCAAGUGAAGCAGGGGCGCAAUUGGGGGAUUCUUUACCCAAAUUUGACCAGCAAGUACAAGGAGAUUCAGUAUUCUGGGUCGGAUUGCGGAGGUUUCUUUGAUAUCUUGAUCAUGGCGGUUGGGCAACUCUUGGUGUUUGCAUUACUUGCCUGGUAAUGUUGCUUUUCCGAUUCAGUUGCUUAAUUUCAUUACUGGGUAGCUCGAUUUGUUGAUUCUUGGAGGGUUCUUAGAGAUCUUUGAUCCGCACAGUCGACUGUGAAUUGGGUUCAAUUACUUGCUUUGAUUAGUAGGUGACUAGCACAGCUUUCGAUUCAUGGAGGUGCUGUUGCUAAUUACUUAAUUGGGUAUAUGAAGAAACUGUUGUUGAUUACUUAACUGGUAAUUUUGAUUCUUAGAUGGUCCUGGGGAUUCAAUUUGUUCAGUUUGGAUUGCUGCUCAAAGGAAUUCCUGUUUUUGUACUCUGUUUUUAGGGUAUUUUGUAUACGAAAUGGUGGUUGUGAUAAAGCCAAUUGCACCACUAGUCUUCUUGUGAUGAACAGAGUUUAGUGGAUGUUUUUGCAGAGAAAAUCGAUGUUUGGAUGGUUUGAAUUUUUAAUCUCAAAACUGAAAGUUAGCAUCUUGGUUGGCUGCAAUGUUUAAUUGAAGAUUUGUUGUGUGAUUGUUGCAAGUUUCAUGCUUUAGUUUCUUUUGAGAUGAUUGAAUUCUGCAGAUUGAAUUGGAUUGGGAAUUUGGGUGUCAUAAGUUCUGCAGAUUGAAUUGAAAUUUUAAUGGACCCUUGUCUAGUACUAGGUACAUGGAAAAUGACUAGCAUCCUGUAAAGUCUACCUUUUUACUGCCCAAUUUGGAACUUUAACGAAAAAAAUUCGGUACUAUUCAUUUUAAUAAAAAAUCACAUUUUUAUACUAAAAAGUCAAUCAUGAUAUUAUUCAUUUUACAUUUUAUUUUAUCAUUAUCGUUAAAACUCAAAGUUUUCAAGCUAUUUUCAUUAGUUUUUUUAUAAAAAUAAUGUAUAUAAACCAAUAACAUGCAAAGAAUAAAAAAAAAAAUUAAUGACACAAUUAUUCGUAAAAAUGAAGAGAGUUAUCAUUUUAUUAGUACAAGAUAAUUGAAAACGAAAAUGAUGUUUCAAAUUAAUGAUCACAAUAGGUCAAAUAUAUUAUAAUUACAAAUUUCGAAUUGCAUAAUAUGUUGUGCCCAAGAUUGCUAAACCUAAUUGUAGACAUCGAAAUUUCGGUAAAUAAAUGUUGACGGAUAAAUCAAAGUUUCAACGCUCAUGUAUUACAUAAAUUUUACACGUAGCGUGUGUUUAAACAAAAAAUCGAAAUAGUUGGAAAAGUCAUCAAACAGGACACGUGUCAACACCUGGCAGAAACGACUUAUUUCAUCUGGGAUAUUAUAUUCAAAAUUAGGCCUUGGAAAUUUCUAUAAAUAGAAGGCUAAUUCAUUCAUUUAGGGGAACCAAAAUCAUUAGGCAAAAUUCUUGAAGCUCUGAAACUCUGAAACUCCGAAGCUCUCAAGUAUCUAGGUUCCCGAAGAAUCAAGAAAGCUCUCUUCGAUCUUCGAUCUUCGUUCAUCGUUCAUCCUAAGAUCAAGCCCCAACGGCCCUUUGGAUCAACAAUCAUCCACCUUCAAAAUCAAGCCCUGACGGCCCUUGAAGAAAGUGUUCUUCGUUUUUCGUUCUUCGUUCAUCGUUCUUCCAAGAUCAAGCCCCAACAGCCCUUUGGAUCAACAAUCUUCCACCAAUUCAAGAUCAAGCCCCGACGGCCCUUGAAGAAAGUGUUCUUCGUUCUUCGUUCAUCGUUCUUCCAAAAUCAAGCCUCGACGGCCCUUGGAUCAACAAACCACCGUUCUUCAAGAUCAAGCCCAAAAGCCCUUGAAGAUCCGUUCAUCACUGUUCUUCAAGAUUAAGCCCAAAAGCCCUUGAAGAUCCGUUCAUCACCGUUAUUCAAGAUCAAGCCUUAACGGCCCUUGAAGAAACACUCAUCCUCAAGAUCAAGCCCCAACGGCUCCUUGAAGAUCCGCUCAAAUCCACCUUCAAAGAUUAAGCCCAUGGCCCUUUGAAGAAACUUCCAACAGUUCAUCCAAGAUCAAGCCUCGACGACCCUUGGAUCAACAAAACAUCCACAAAUCAAUACCUUACGGAGAUCGAAUCAGAGGAUCAAAAUAGAGAGAGAUUGUAACCCUAAAUCAUCAAAUACACAAAUAUUAUUUUGUGCACGUUGUUCUUGUCUCUUUCGUUUCAGGAAUUUUCCGUGUUCACAAAUUGGCACGCCCGGUGGGACAAUCUCUACCUCUCAUCUCUUUCUCCGUUCAAGAAAUUCGAGCACACUUCCAAAAUUAAUGGCAUCAAGGAAGGCUCAAACUGUUCCCGCAACUGGCGCAAAUAACAAGAGCGUCAUCGUCGCAAGUGGUGUCCCUUUAGGCAUCACGACUCGAAGCAAGGCAAGAGCUACUUCUGCCGCCUCUUUCACCUCUGCAUCAACUCUGCCAAGGGAACAAGAGCACCUAAGGCACGAGCCUUUGAUCACCUUAGCCUCACCAAGGGGCGAAAAUCCAAGGAAAUACUCCGAAUCCAUGCUCUCCAAUGCCGAUUCGAGCGGCAGUUCAGCCAUGCAAGUCAUGACCAUUGGAGCAACUUCAAUCGAUGAGCAGCUGGCUCAAAUGAAUGAAGCAAUCGCAAGGCUAACCCGAACUGUGGAAGAAAAAGACUUGCAAAUCACUGCACUCGUCAGCCGACUGGAGCCACAGGACGACGAUAACCCUAACCCAGAAGAGGAGCCUCUAGUGGAGAAUAUCGAUGUGAAGCCGCAGCCAGACCAAGCAGCGGCACUCAUGGGAUCUCUUUCUAUCCAGCAACUGCAGGAGAUGAUCGCCAGCACCGUCAAGGCACAGUACGAAAGGAGCUCAAAUACAUCCGGGUUGUACUCAAAGCCGUAUUCAAAGAAGAUCGACGCCUUAAGGAUGCCGAAAGGUUAUCAACCGCCAAAGUUCAUGCAAUUCGAUGGAAAGGGAAACCCGAAACAGCACGCGGCCCACUUUGUUGAAACUUGCAACAACGCAGGGACCGAAGGGGACUACCUCGCCAAGCAGUUUGUGCACUCGCUGAAAGGAAACGCCUUUGAGUGGUACACGGACCUAGAGCCUGAGUCCAUCAACAGCUGGGAGUAAUUGGAGCGGGAAUUCCUCAACCGCUUCUACAGCACCCGCCGCACUGUGAGCAUGCUAGAGCUAACGAGCACAAAGCAGUGGAAGGACGAACCAGUCAUUGACUACAUCAAUAGAUGGCGCACUCUAAGCCUCGAUUGUAAAGACAGGCUCUCGGAAACCUCUUCAAUCGAGAUGUGCAUCCAAGGCAUGCAAUGGGGUUUGCAAUACAUCAUUCAAGGCAUUAAACCACGGACCUUCGAGGAAUUGGCCACUCGCGCCCAUGACAUGGAGUUAAGCAUCGCCUAUCAUGGGAAGAAGGAACCGAUCGCCGACUACAAGAACGACAAAGUUCUUAAGACAAAGGUGGAGAAGGCUGCAUGGAAACCCACCAAGGAAGCGAUGACGGUCAACACAUCUCCCGUCAAAAUCUCCACACGAGGCAAGGCGAUUCAAAUCGAAGCUUUUCGUGAUCAAGAGAUGCGUAGACGCACUUUGAAGGAGCUUGAGGAGAAGACUUAUCCAUUCCCCGACUCUGAUGUGGUUGCCAUGCUGGAUGACCUGUUGGACAAAAAGGUGAUCGGUUUGCCUAAGUGCAGAUGGCCGGAAAAGAUGAAUCGUACCGACAAUCCAAGGUACUGUAAAUUCCACCGCUUCAUCAGUCAUCCGACAGAAAAAUGCUUCGUGCUGAAAGAUCUCAUCAUGAAGCUGGCUCAGAAAGGAAUCAUCGAGCUAGAUCUUGACGAUGUGGUGAAGUCAAACUAUACCACCAUCACUUCUGGCUCUUCUGACUCAAGGUUUUUACCUCAACCGUUGGGGGCAUCCUCCAAGACAAGCAAAGUUGAAGGAUGGACUCAAGUCACUCCUAAGAAAUUGCACAAGAAGUGUAUGUCUCCUCCACAAGUCCGCCAAUCGGAAAGGGGGCAAAACAGCUCUUGUCAACCUUCAAAGCAACGUGAACGGGUUGAAGAUGAUGAAAAUUUGACACAUAGGUCGUCCAUCCCCAUCACGAUGCACGAUUUCUUUCCUGAAGACUUCUUCAAUCACUCGGUCAAGACUCAUUGCUAUGAAAAUUGCAAGGAAAGCCUCUACAGGAUCGUUUGACAAAUUCACAAAGCUCCUUGUCCACAAGAGCCUAAACUGCAGGACACCCAAGCUCCUGGUUUGCACGAGCAUAAAAGGCAACAUCAACGCUCCUGGUCUGCACGAGCAUAAAAGGCAACACCAACGCUCCUUGCCUGCAUGAGCUGAAACUGCAAACGGCACAAAAAAAGAAAUACCAAAAAAAAAUAUAUGUAUGUAUUUGAACUACGUUACGACUUGAUCUCUUCUUUGGAGGGGUACGUAGUCAGCUCGAAUGUUCAAAAUUUUCGAGUUCAGUCACAUCAAAUUAAAAAGAAUCAAUGUUUUAUUAAAGAAGGUCAAUUUUAUUACAAAUUUAUUUUGUUAAGAAAAUUUGCAAUUUUCUUUGUAAAAAAUUAAAUUACACUUUCUUCGAAAAAAAAACAAAAAAAAUAAAAAAAUAAAAAAAAAUAAAAAUAAAAUCAGAAGAUGGAAGCUUUUCUCCGCACUCGGCCUACUGGCCUGCGAUGCCAGGAUCCAUGCCAGCAAAACCCUAAUCACCAUAACCACGUGGCGGUGGAAAAGCAAAACAACAUCAAACACAAGAAAUACAAGCAGCCGAGAUCUCAGGUGGGAGGCGGAGGAGAAGGAGCAUCAUUAGUCAUUUUCGAAGCUCGAGCACCAUGGAUGCCAAGUCCGUGUAUUCCUCAUCGAGUUCAGGGUUUCGAACACCUCCUCCUUAUAGCCACACACAUAUUUCAUUUGCUGCCAGCACGAAGGCUUCAACCCAAUCUCAAGGGUUACGGCCUGCCAGUAGCAAUCAGUCUUCAUCUCCUCCGGUAAUGGUCGGUUCACCCACAACCACAACCUCAUCAAUGGCUAAGAGUGCUGGUGGAAGCCCCAGGAUAACUAGUUCGACUUCCACAGGAAAUAAAGCUGGCCAAGUAUCGUCUUUGUUAUCUCAGCAGGCCAAGAACUCACCAACAGUGCCCAGUCAGAAGUCGUCUCCUGUUGGCGGGAGGAAUGUCCCUUCGAUCAUAGGCCCACUCCACCACAACAAUGUUUUUUGGGCCAACAAUGGUUUCGACAUCGCCGUCAGGCUCUUGGAGCCCAUCAAGCAAAGGGUCUCUUCCUCUCUUCCGCCUGCAACAGCAAGAACCACGCCCAAGUCUCCAUGGCUUCUCCCAGAGAGAGCACGACAUCACCUUCUUCAACCCUUUAACCUUUAUCGUCGGCCCCAACGACGACGGCAAAAUCAUCCUUUCCCGCAGCACCCGCUACAUCUCAUGCGUCCCACCGGUGCUCUUACUCUUCCAAAUCCUCGUAAGUAGCCACGAUGUCCACACUUCCAAGAUUCAAUCGCAGACCUCCCUCUUCACAUCUACUGCUUCGAAAACAUCUCCCAAUUCAUGGAACUGCCCCUGCUUGAUCAACGGCAACAACGGCGACACCUUCACUUACGCCGACGUCGAGCUCGCCUCCCGCAAGGUCGCCUCGGGGCACCACAAAAUCGGCAUUCACCAAAUUGACGUCAGCAAACUCAUCUCCUCUAACACCCUUGGACUUUCUGGAAAGAGCAGCCGUCGUCUACGGCGACUGCCCGUCCGUUAUAUACGGAGACACCACCUACACUUGGACACAGACCCAUCGUCGAUGUCUCCGCGUGGCUUCCUCUAUAUCAUCCCUUGGUAUCAAGACAGGCAACGUGGUGUCUGUUCUUUCCCCAAACAUCCCAGCCAUGUACAAGCUCCAUUUCGCCGUACCCAUGUCUGGCGCCAUCCUCAACAACAUCAACACCCGCCUGGACAGGCGCGCCGUCAUGCGCAGCACCACUCGAUGACUUCCUUUGCACGUACGUGGACCUCGUGGACAGGGGCGACGAGGGGUUCGAGUGGGUCUCGCCGUCAAACGAGUGGGUUCCGAUGACGCUGAACUACACAUCGGGGACCACAUCGUCUCCCAAGGGAGUCGUUCACUCUCACAGAGGCGUCUUCAUCAUCGCCGUCGAUUCCCUGAUCGACUGGGGUGUACCCAAACAGCCGGUGUACCUAUAGACCCUACCGAUGUUCCACACUAACGGGUGGAGCUACCCCUACGAAAUGGCAGCCGUCGAUGGGACCAACAUCUGCAUCCGUAAGUUCGACGCCCAAAUAAUCUAUUCCAUGAUCAAACGAUAGCGAGUUACCCACAUGUGCGGUGCGCCGGUGGUGCUGAACAUGCUCACAAACGUCCCGUCCGGAACCGAAAAGCUCGAGUACCCGGUUCACACCCUGACCACCGGAGCUCCGCUGCCGGUUCCAGUUCUGUUCCGGACCGAGUCCCUGGGUUCGUGGUGAGUCACGGUUAUGGGUUGACCGAAACAGCGGGGCUGGUGGUAUCGUGCGCGUAGAAGAGGAAGUGGAAUUUGUUGCCGGCGACUGAGAGAGCGAGGCUGAAGUCGAAGCAAAUAGUGAGGACAGUCGUGCUCCCUGAAGCUUGCAGGACAAUGAAGUUCGUGGCUGGGCUUUUGACGUCGAUGUUGAUUGACGGAUGAUAGAGCUCUUGAUGGGCAGAGAUCUUCGGCGAGGCUCUCGUUGGGUAGAGUGUAGCUCGUUGGGGGAGUAGGGUGUCUUGAGAGAUUCCCUCGAGCUCGUCACUAUGACAACCCUAGUAGCAAAGAACUUCAACGACCGCCGUCAAACGACUAGCCGGUCGUGAAGCUCGAAGCACCAUCUUUGCGCCCUCCUUGCUCCGCUCCCUGCAAAAUUCCCCAUCCCGUCAUCCAAAUUUAUACAAAAAAAAUAAAUAAUAAAAAAAAUAUAUGGUGGAACACUGCACCAUGAUUAAAGAAAAAUAAAAUAAAAUAAAAUAAAAUAAAACAAUAAAAUAAUAAAAAUGCAUGGUGCGUCUGGCACCAUAUGAAAAAAAAGAAUAGUGGGUGCAUGAUUACAAAAUAAAAAAAAUAAAAAUAAAUAAAUAAAUAAAUAAAAAAUAAAUAAAAAAUAAUAAUAAUAAAAAAAAAAUGAUGAUGGUGCAUCUGGCACCAUGUGACAAAAGAAAGAAAAAAAAAAAAAAGUGGUGGUGCAUCUGGCACCAUGAGAAACAUAUGAAUAUAUAUAAAGCAUUUAGUAAAGCCCAUCUUUUAUUUAUUUGUGUAAAAAAAUUUUUACAUAAAUUCGCAUUCCACAUGCCAUAAAAAAAAAAAAAAAAAAAAAAAAAAGACAAAUCAAAUUUACAAGAGGGGAUUUUCAAGGUUGAUCAGAUGGCGCCUCAGUACUCGGCGGAACCCCAGGAGAAGGAGGCACCGAAUGUUGAUCAUUUGAGGCUUCAUUACGCAGUACAGCCCCAGAAGACGAAGGUAAAUGCUGCUGGAACAAACCCACAAACCUCUGAUGAUCAAGUAAAAUCUGACCAUCAGAUUCCUGCAUCUGGUUAAUCUUCCUCUUCAUGUUUGUCGCAUAGCUAUGUGCGAGCUUAUGCAACUGUUUAUUCUCCUGCUUGAGCCCUCUAAUCUCCUGUUUGAGACUCAUCACUUCCGCCGCCAAUGAUUCAACUUGACGGGUUCGAGCAAAUAGGCGUUGGGCCAUAUUAGACACAGAACUUGCACACUGCACACUGAGAGCCAGAUAAUCCUUAACAGCCAACUCAUCAGACCGUUUGGAAAGUAGUCUGUUAUCUCUGGGAGUGACAAGGUUUCGGGCCACCACCGCAGCGGUCAUAUCAUUCUUCACCACCGAAUCCCCAACGGUAAGAGGACCAGUAGGGGAUAUGAAGGAUGGGCGCCAUAUGUUGUCUGGAGAAGGCGGGACUGCCUCUUCACCAAGGUUCAAGUCAAAACGACGGUCGGAGGGUCCAGAUAUUUUCAAAGUGUUGAAGAAAGAAGAGAUCGGACAAAUCAAGAUCUUAGAAGUGCAAGAAGGGAGUUUUCACAAGCGAAAAUUCAAGUGUGCUUUGAAACAAACAACGUGCCUCUAUAAAAAAUCAGCACUCGACGGGAUUUCAGAGAUCGAAGAGGCGAGCUCAGAAUUCGAAGAGGCCAUUCAAAAAUCGAAGAGGCAAGCUCAGAAAUCGGAGAAGCAUCUUGCUUUUCCAGACGCGUCGGCACCCAUCACACGCAAACUCAGCUUUGCGAAAAUCACGGGCAAUUUGUCGAAGCGCCGAUCCUAGAUAUCGAAGAGGCGCCAGUCUUUUUCAGCCUCGUCAACACCUGUCAUAUGCACACUCAACUUUGCGCAAAUCACGAGCAAUUUGUCGAAGAUUUUCGGUGAAGGAGAAAGCACGUGAAGUUUACUGUUCAAUCAUCCAACGGUUGCCGACAAGAGUGAAAGAACAGUACCGGUUAUUAAUCCAUAUAAAUGUCCACCUUUACCCUACAUAGCAAGGCAGACAUACAGAACAUUUCUUCAUCUCCGAGAAUGCCUUCCCAACAAAGCCUCUCGAGUCACCCAGUGUUCCUUAUUCCUUGGGGUACCUCUGUAAGCCAAUGACUCCAAAGCAAAAAUAUCUCAUAUCACCAGGGUAGAAAGCAAGAGUAUCUCAUAUCAUGUGUUCUCUCUGUCCUUUCUUUUGUCCUUGUUCUUACUUACAAAGACAAGGAUAAAGAAAACAAUAUGCCGGAACCUCCACUCAAACUCGGGUAAGGAACCGACCGCUUGGAACCCUUCCCUGAUUGCUUACCUAGCACUGCUCUCGAGUACUCAUUUCCCAUUGCUGCUGUACUUCCAAAGAAGCUGCCACAUCUGCCUGAAGAAACAAGCAGAGAAGAAUGCAGCAUGCACAGUCAACUCAGCAGAAGGAGUCUGAGAUGAGGAACUCGAGAAGAUGCCACAUCUGCCUGAGGAACAGAUAAAGGAAAUGAAAAUAAUACCUUGAAACAUGUGGAGACAAGUGCAACCAAGCACGUGCUUAUUCAUUCGCUACUUCUUCAAAAUCAAAAGUAUCUCAUAUAAUCAGGGUUGCAAUCAUUCUGGACGGUGAAUUCGUUUUGACCCUCAAAUUCUUGGGUCGACUUGCUAGGCGUUGUGGGCUGCACGUGCCGAUUCACCACCCUUGAAUCGAAUCCUUAAAGAUCAAGUCACCAACUGGAAGAAGAGCCCAUCAAUCUUGAAGAUCAUACCGUUGACCAAACUGCUCAGGUGUGAAUUAGAAAGAUUGAACAAAGAAACAGGCUGUCACAUUUACCUCGUGCUUGCUUGCCAUGUGUUCAAAUCAACCUUCGAGAUCAAGCCUCAAAGGCCCUUGAAGAAGCUUCCAGCCAAAGUUCAAGAUCAAGCCUCAACGACCCUUGAAGAAAUCACAAGUCCGAUUCAAGAUCAAGUGUCUACCACCCUUGAAUCAAAUCCAGUUCAAGAAUAAGCUGUGGAAAGUCAACAAUUGGAGGAAACCAGAAAAUCCUCCAACCCAGUUCAAGAAUAAGCUGUGGAAAGUCAACAAUUGGAGGAAUCCAGAAAGUCCUCCAAUCCAGUUCAAGAUCAAAGCUGUGGAAAGUCAACAAGUGCAACAAAAUACGUGCCGAUUCAUCCACUACCAAAGCCAAAAAUCAUCUACCACAUGAAGUUCCUUGUGGUCCAAUUUCAACUUUCAAGAUCAAGCCUCGACGGCCGUUGAAGAAAUUUCAAACAAAAGUUCAAGAACAAGCCUCAACGGCCCUUGAAGAAAGCUCCAGCCCCAUUCAAGAUCAAGCCUCGAUGGCCCUUGGAUUGACAUCUACAUUAAGUGACUUCAAAACGCAUCUCCUACACGCGACAAGCACAUGUAUACGACGCGUCUUGAAGUGGGGGCAUUUGUAGACAUCGAAAUUUCGGUAAAUAAAUGUUGACCAAUAAAUCAAAGUUUCAACGCUCAUAUAUUACAUAAAUUUUACACGUAGCGUGUGUCUAAACAAAAAAUCGAAAUAGUUGGAAAAGUCAUCAAACAGGACACGUGUCAACACCUGGCAGAAACGACUUAUUUCAUCUGGGAUAUUAUAUUCAAAAUUAGGCCUUGGAAAUUUCUAUAAAUAGAAGGCUAAUUCAUUCAUUUAGGGGAACCAAAAUCAUUAGGAAAAAUUAUUGAAGCUCUGAAACUCUGAAACUUCGAAGCUCUCAAGUAUCCAGGUUCCCGAAGAAUCAAGAAAGCUCUCUUCGAUCUUCGAUCUUCGUUCAUCGUUCAUCCUAAGAUCAAGCCCCAACGGCCAUUUGGAUCAACAAUCAUCCACCUUCAAGAUCAAGCCCUAACGGCCCUUGAAGAAAGUGUUCUUCGUUCUUCGUUCAUCGUUCUUCCAAGAUCAAGCCCCAACGGCCCUUUGGAUCAACAAUCUUCCACCAAUUCAAGAUCAAGCCCCGACGGCCCUUGAAGAAAGUGUUAUUCGUUCUUCGUUCAUCGUUCUUCCAAAAUCAAGCCUUGACGGCCCUUGGAUCAACAAGCCACCGUUCUUCAAGAUCAAGCCCAAAAGCCCUUGAAGAUCCGUUUAUCACUGUUCUUCAAGAUUAAGCCCAAAAGCCCUUGAAGAUCCGUUCAUCACCGUUAUUCAAGAUCAAGCCUUAACGGCCCUUGAAGAAACACUCAUCCUCAAGAUCAAGCCCCAACGGCUCCUUGAAGAUCCGCUCAAAUCCACCUUCAAAGAUCAAGCCCACGGCCAUUUGAAGAAACUUCCAACAGUUCAUCCAAGAUCAAGCCUCGACGGCCCUUGGAUCAACAAAACAUCCACAAAUCAAUACCUUACGGAGAUCGAAUCAGAGGAUCAAAAUAGAGAGAGAUUGUAACCCUAAAUCAUCAAAUACACAAAUAUUAUUUUGUGCACGUUGUUCUUGUCUCUUUCGUUUCAGGAAUUUUCCGUGUUCAUGGAAAAUGACUAGCAUCCUGUAAAGUCUACCUUUUUACUGCCCAAUUUGGAACUUUAACAAAAAAAUUUCGGUACUAUUCAUUUUAAUAAAAAAUCACAUUUUUACAUUAAAAAGUCAAUCCUGAUAUUAUUCAUUUUACAUUUUAUUUUGUCAUUAUCGUUAAAACUCAAAAAUUUCAAGCUAUUUUCAUUAGUUUUCUUAUAAAAAUAAUGUAUAAAAACCAAUAACAUGCAAAGAAUAAAAAAAAAAAAAUAAUGACACAAUUAUUCGUAAAAAUGAAGAGAGUUAUCAUUUUAUUAGUACAAGAUAAUUGAAAACGAAAAUGAUGUUUCAAAUUAAUGAUCACAAUAGGUCAAAUAUAUUAUAAUUACAAAUUUCGAAUUGCAUAAUAUGUUGUGCCCAAGAUUGCUAAACCUAAUCCAUACCCAACCCAAAUCAAGAAAAUAAAGCUAAUUUCACCCUAAAAAUUAGAAAAGGUGAACAAAUUGGACCUCCAAAAAUCCAAAGAAGAUGAUAAUAUCAUAAAUGAGAGAGGAUGCUCGCCGGAUUCUUAUUGUAUAUACCGUAAGAAUUCUGAAAAUCUUCCAACCACAUCCGUCUACAUAUUAUAUUACAAAACCCAAAAACAGAAUCCCGCGAGGAUCCUUCUGGAUCAGAAACGGGCAUGGUGGACCGACUGUGAUAAUUGUUUGACCAUGGUUCUUGCUUGGGCCGAUUACAAAACCCAAAAAGAAUAAUAAAAAAAUUCGGAUUGUGCGCCGUCGUUUUCGCGUUUCAGAAACACUCAGAGAGUGAGAGAGAGAGAGAGAGUCUUCUGCUUUUUCGUCGUCGUCGUCGUCUUCUUCUUGUGGAAGGUAAAGGGUAAAGGGUAUGGUGUGAAACUGCAAAGAAGGAACUCCGGCCCUCUUUAAAUCCCAGGUAUGAAUUAUGUACCCUCUUUCGAUUUCGAUGCAAUUUUUUAAUAUUUUGUUUUAGCAUGCAAUCGCCAACGCAUUGUAGAUUCACGGAGGUUGUUUCAAAUGCGAAUUUUGUCACUUCAAUUGAGCUUUUCUGUAUGAACACUCUAAUUGCAUCGUAUGGGUUUAUAUUUAUUUGCUUCAGUUUUCAUUGCAUUUCGAGUUUUUCACUUUUGUUUUCUGCUUAUUUUUUGCAUUUAACUGUAUAAAGUUAGAGACUUGAAUUAUGAAUCUAAUCCUUAUACUCAUUAAGGUUAUCAACAAUAAAUCAACUGCAAAUUAUGUAGUUUGGCAAAAAAGGUUGCUCUUUAUUUGGACUGCAAAAUAAUUUGAAGAAAAUUAAUGGGGUUUUUCAUAAUUACAAUGCUGCUUUGGUGUUGAAGUUUGCCCAAAUUAUCCAGCUCGUCUGGAAGCUUUUAAAAUGACUGCAAAUGCUUUUGGAACCAAUCCUUAAUAAAAAUGCAAGUGAAUCCUGGAAAAGCACUUGAAGUGCUUCAUGCAAGAAGCACAUAAGAAACCCAAAAACACUUUCACCAAAAGUGCUUUCAGUCAUUUUAAAAGCACUUCCAUACAAACCCUUCAUUUCCUUUUUUCAUGUUAAAUACAUUGGGGUUUUAACUUUUUGUUUUGAGUAACGAAUUUCGCAUUGUAUCGUGUUCAUGCCUGUGAAAAAUGUCAGAGAAUUUGGAAUUGAUAAAGGAUGUAUAGCUCAACAAGAUCAAAAGCUAUCUGGACUCCGGGGCACCGGAAAGUAUUCUUUGAUCUUUGUCUAGAAGAGGUGGACAAAGGGAAUAAGCCGGGUACACACUUUACUAAGGAGGGUUGGAGGAAUCUCAUCCAAGGGUUCUACGAGCAGACGGGUUUAAGGUACACCAAGAAGCAAAUGAAGAAUCAUUGGGAUUUCACCAAGAAGCAAUGGAAAGUUUGGGUUAAGCUCAUCGCCGAGAGUAGUAUGAAGUGGGAUCCUACGACCAAUCAAUUUGGUGCUAGUGCAGAAGAAUGGGCUCACUACAUACAGGUAAUGCUAAUUUAUUUACAGCAGCUAAUGUUAUGCAUUUGAAGAACGAUGCUAUAGAGGUUUUUCGUGAUUUCAGAUUUGUAAUUGCGAGUGCUUUGUCUCAGGUGAACCCCGAAGCUGCACAGUUUCAGCAUAAGGAAAUCCCGUGCCCUGACCUAUUGGAAAUCCUUUUUGUUGGCACUAUGGAUUCUGGGGACAUGGAGCCUUGUGAUUCUCAGAGGAAGCAAAGCAAUAGCUCGGACAACUCCUUUCUGCACUCAGAAGAACAAGAUUUGGUGACUGUGGAGCUGGGAGAGGAGCAUAUUUCAAACGCUGUUCCAUUAAGGAGUUACGUGGCUCAGUCUGAACACCGUCUAACAACUGCAAGUGAGCAGAGCAUAUCUAGCUCAUCCCAUUCAAAGGCAAAGGCCGUUUGGUCGCCUGCAUCCCACGGUGUAUUUAUUGAUCUAUGUCUAGAAGAGACAUUGAAAGGGAACAAACCUGGGACACAUUUUACCAGGGACGCUUGGAGGACUAUUGUUGAAUCAUUUAACCAAAAAACUGGCCUUAUGUAUGAUAGGUUGCAGUUGAAGAAUCAUUGGGAUGUCACCAAGGAGCAAUGGAGAAUCUGGUGUAAGCUAAUUGGCACAACUUGUAUGGGUUGGAAUCCGAACACCAGACGAUUUGGAGCAAAUGAUGAAGAUUGGGCCAAUUACUUAGAGGUAUGGUAUACAAUUGCCAGUAACUAUUUCUACGAAGUUGGAAACUAGGAAGAUUAUGAAUGAUUUCGGGUUCUUAAAUCAUGUUGGUUUUGUUUUGUUACAGACCGACCCUGAAGCUGCUUCAUUCCGCUUUAAGGAACCUCAAUGCGCCGACAAACUGGAAAUCAUAUAUGAUGGAACAAUUGAUACCGGAGAGACAGAGCCUCCUGCUAGGCGUAGGAAGUACAACGAUAACUUGAGUACAUCCGUUUUGCAUAUAGAAGAAGAUGGAGGCAUAGCGAAUCAAGAGGAGAACAACGUUGGGCAACUGGAUGCUGUAACAUUUGCUUUUGCACAAGGCAAGCCCACUUAUAGCAUCGGGGAGUGCAUCAACUGCCUUGAUGCCAUGGAGGAAGUAGAACAAGGAAGUGAUCUCUAUUUGUUUGCUUUAGAUGUAUUCCUGAAAAGGGAGUACAGAGAAAUAUUUCUUCAACUGAAAAGGCCUAGUGUAAGAAUUGCUUGGUUGCAGCGGCUGCAAUCCGUCAGCCCGCCUUUGUUCUAGGAUGUUUCUUGUCUCUUGGAUUUCACUUGUUCAUUGAAAGGUAGCUGAUUUCUUUCAUCAUUUACGGGUUUUUUUUCAUCGUCACUCGAUUAAGUAAGUGCACAUAUUUAGGCAAACUUAAGCAACACAUGAAGAGCGAUUACCAAUAAUUAUACUGAAACUUUUUUACAAGAGAAUACACAGAGCAGAACUGAGGCUAUUUACAUGGCUGUGGAGAGUUCAGAUCAGAAAUCUCCUGAAAAUCUGUAUGGAAUGCAAAUAUCAAUGGUGCCAACAUGGAAGAACAACUUUUUUGGUGUAUGUGUGUAUAAGCGAUAUUCUACUUAAACUAGUCUAAACGGCAGAGGAAUUUAAAUUCGGGUGUAUACGGGAGAGCACAUUCGCUCUAGACAAUGCGGCGACGCCCACAUCUGUAUGUAUGUCCUCAAUUUGAUGUGAAAAAUUGUAAAAAAUUGGGUUUGGAAGCUUGAAAAUCCGCUCGCCUGAAAAUGGACUUCUUAGAGCAUCCAUGUGACUGCUUACGGAGGCUAUAGCGCGGAAGCCUUCUCUCUGCAUCGCGUCCCUUCGUUUGGAGAAGUAGUCAUGGCUCUCCAUAUGCAAUUCAUCUUCCGAUCUGCCGAAAACAGAACGACCAAUCAGAACUCAGAAACCUCCAACUAAUUUUACCUAAAAGACAACAGAAAGAAGGGGCAUUUGGAUAGUAACAAAUACCUCAUAAUCAAUGAAGACCAAGCUCUAUAUCCUGCAGAUAUAAGAUCCUCCAUGGAAGAAUUUCGCUCCGCCUCCGGUUUUCUUGAGAGCAGAAUCAAAGGCCAACCACCAGCAUGAAGUUCCAUAUAUAAUCUCAGAAUAAACAUCUGCUUCAGAUGCUUUGCCUCUUCCACAAAAUCACUACCACCAUACUGAUCAUAUCUGUGCACAAGGAAACGGGAUAGCUCGAAAGCCGGAACUAUGGAAGAACAGAUGCUUCAAGGACUAAAAGGAGAUUAAAUUACCGGUGCAGUCUACGAUUUGAAGAAAGAAUGUCAUCUAUGUCGAUCAAGACCACGUCGAGACCAUCGUGUGUUGGGGUAAUGCUGCUGAAAUAAUUCUGAAUCAUCGACACGGUAGAAUUUAAGUCUCUUGCGUAUUGACCUUCUUUGAUGUACUGAAGGGCAACAACCCUGCACAUUGAAGGGAAGCGAUCUGCUUCAACGGCGUUGAGUUCCAUAUGCAGAGAGAAGAUCUGGCAGUGAUUGUAAUCGAAACUCGGUUUCUGAGUCUCAACGACUCCAUGGCUCUUACUUUCGCAAGACUGCAGCAUUACAGUCAGUGCAAUCAGCAAGGUGAUCAAUAAGACCCCAACAGCUACAAGUGCACCAAUGAAGAUUGCCGUAGCAAAAGACGACAUGUAGAACCCCGUCUCCAUGGCAUAACUGCUUGCCCUCUCUGUGUCCACGAAAUGGAACAGUAUCAAUAGUUGAUUAAUUAAAAGCUCAACAUGCUUCUGAUUAUAUGAACGAAGGCCUCGGGGCUUGUUUGGUGCCUAGGGUUGGAUUGAAUAACUCGUUUGUCAUACGUUUCUUCCUUCAACAUGUACUGAAUCUAUAGAUCUUAGACACCAAACGAGGCCUAAAGAUAUAACAUUUCACUGAGCUACCACCUAACAAAAGCACUUGUAAAAAAACGCUUAUGAGCAGAAACGCUUCCUACGAUUUGAAGAAUGUUAUCACAUACCUGAACCUCCACCCGAAAGACUCUGGGCGGAGUACUCGCGCUCCAUAUGACGUCCAUAGGCAGACAUGGUUAAAAUCCAAGACAAAUCACCAGCUCAAAUAUUCUGCAGAACAACUCCAGGUCCCUUCCUGUUCACAGAAGGAUCACCCGCAAGUCUGCAACCUACAAAAGUGACAUUAAACAUCAUGACAACGCAACAGCCACCAUAACCACUUCUCAGAUUCUCAAAUUAUUCGAGGAAAACACCGCGAAAAACGCUAAAUUUACAAAAGAAACCUCAUUCUCUAAAUCUGAUGCUUACAGUUUUUCAGAUGCACCCCUUAAAGCCAGCUUGUUCAUUGUUCAGUUGAAUCUCAUCAUAUUCCGGAAUCCACCGUUCAACUAUGUCCAGUUAGACCAAAUCCAAUAAAAACAUCAAUUUCAUGAAAAAAUACAAUAAUAAAUAUAUAUAAAAAAGCAUGAGUUGCGUCGGGAGUUGGGACAAGUAAGACCAUCUGCUGAUUUGCAGAUCAUUUAACCAAUCCAAUAUUAUUUUCCACAAUUUUUACAUUUUGGCCCCAAAGGGAAAUCAAGGAAACCGAUAAUACAAGUUGACCGCCCUAAUCAGAUGAUAUUUAACUAAAUAACUGAAGCUACAGGGAGGGGGAGAGAGAGAUAUAUAGAAUACCAGAGAGAGAGAGAAACAUUGGAUUGGAGAGAUUGUGUGACAAGGCAGCUCUCUCUUCCUCUGUCGUGUUCUUGGAGAUGGGGGGGAGAGAGAGACUUGAAGAAGUUUCCUUUGUUAAAAUUAGCAAUCAUUAUGAUUAUGAUUUUACUGUUUUACAGGUCCCAUGAACCAGGGGGUACUUGUCAAACAAAGAAACACUCUACUAGGUACACUUUUGUAAUUAGCUGUCGAAUUCAAACUCAUCGUAUAACUUUUCACUUAUGAGUUAAGUUACAAGUGAAAAAAAUAACAUUAGACCGUAUUUAAUUAGUGUAAUUUUUCUAAUCAUUGACACUUUUGCCAUAAAUACCACGGUCUAGAUUGUACGUAUACGUAUAUAUUUUCCAUUUACUUGUUACUUUGUUAGUGGGAGAUCUCAUGUUCUACUCGGUGAGUUUGUUACCUAAUUAUAGUUGACCAUAUCUCAUCUUCUCAUAUUUGAUAUAUACCACCACUCAAAUGUUAGAAUUCAAAUUUGAGUUUUGAGUCCUCUCGGGCUCUGGAAUGGUGGACUACCGCGCAAGAGCCACCAGCUGGUUUCUUCUUAGGAAAAAGAAAAAAUUGAGUUUGAGCUAAAUGCUUGAAUUUUCUUUUUUUGAACAAAUGAUAUUUUCUACUCUAAAAGAAAGGGGUGUGCUUAAUCUCACAAUGCGAUAGCAAUAAUGUGGUUUAAAUUCGAUUUUGGUAAUAAUAGAGUCUAAGAUUUCUUAUUUAGAAAUAAAAAGAAAUAUUAUAUUAUUAAAUGACGAGUCUAAAUCCUUGAAUUGAAUAAUGAAAAGUUAUAUUUUGUGUUUUACUAUAUAUGACUUUUGUUGGUAAGGAUUGAGAAAUCAUAAUCUUUUGUGGUUGUGGGCCAGUUAAGGAGAAUUUGCUACCAAACCGACUCUUAAAUUAAUUAAUCUUAAUUAAUGGUUUUAGUUCCAUACUUAUCAUUAAAAAGAUGCAUUUGCUAUUGGCUCUGAAACAUUAUUGUAUAAAUGCCAACUGUCUGACAUGUCCAGCCAUCCCUACACGAUUUUCAUAUCCAGAUGAGCAUCAUCCAAUAUUAUAUUAUACAGAUCAGAAUGAACUAUAUAUAAUAUUCUUGUCUUGACAUUUGUCGUGAUUCUAUAGGUCACCAAAAAAUUGAGCCAUGUAAUGUUUGAUUCUCUUAUCAGCCACAAUAAGCACUUUUCCUGUGAGCACUUAAAUUUUGAAGAAGCACUUUUAUUGCUUCACGGCCAAGUGACAGGCCAGUUCUUCAACUGCUACAACAUAUUACUAGGUAAUUGGUUUCUUCCUUCGGUUAGUUUCUCCAAAUCGUCCUCAAGAAUACCAUUUUUUUUUUCAAUUAUCUGUAUGUAAAUUUGGUUAAAUAUAAAAUAUUUAGCACAGAGUACACUUUAAACUCAUCAAUUAAAGAGAACUUCAAUGCGUACUUCAUGAUCACCCACCUAAAUUUGGUAUAGAUGAUUGAAUUGGAAUUGAUAAAUAACUAUUUUCAAGGAAUGAUGAAAGAAGAAAUGAAAAUUCUUGUUGCGGACAAUUUUGCUAACAUGGGAUUGUCUUCUCCAUCUUUAACUUGGCAUGAUUCUCCUCCGAUGGCGGUUCGUGCUGCCCUGUUUUCAGACUAUGUUAGCUUGCUUAGUUACCGCUUAUCAAAUUAAUGUGCAUGUCAGCAUCCAGGUUUGUCUCAUUUUUUUUUUCUCCUAACUUUACGGGGUUGUUUGACUUGUUUUGCAGGUUUAGACCUUUAGGUUUGGUUUUAGAGGGGUUAGGUUUCAUGUCCCCCCCUUCCCUCUUUUCUUUGUAUAUUUCUCGUUUUUUGUUUCUAGAAGGGUAAGGUUUAUGUCCUCCCUUCUUUUUCGUGUAUUCAUUUUUAUUGUCUCUGUUUUUUUAGGGGUAAGGUUUAUGUCCCCCCUAUCUAAGUGUAACUUUUUUUUUUCGUUAUCAAUAAAAUUAUCCUCGUACCGUCGAGGUUUCCAAAAAAAAGAAAAAAAAAGAAAAAAAAAAGAAAUGAAAAUUCUAUGACAAACUUGAAGGUAGGAGAUAGAUAACUCAAGAAGAAAAGUUAUCCAUUUGCAAGUGGUUUGUAGCUUACGUGGUUAAGAGUCUUCGCUCUUGCAUCCAAACGUGUUCAUUUCCACUCGUAAUUUAGAUGAAAAUAGUAUAGGUUUAUCCUAUCGUUUGUGAAAAAUAGAAAUUAUCCAUAUCAAUUCUCCCAAAAUGAAAGGUUUCGCACAAAUAAAUUUUCUUCAUAUCUAAUCGUCUUCUAAUCCAUUUUUUUAAAUGAGACAUUGUUCUCCUUUACUUUCAAAAAUACCUAAUUUCGAGGACUAUCCGUUACAUUCAAUCCUCAAUACCAAUUGAGGCCUAAAGAUCCUUUGGACAAUACAAACGAAUGGGAAUAAUACGUAAGCAGAACCAAAGGCGGUUGGGCACACACAAACUUACAAACAGUGGGUUAACAUAUCUCUUGGGAGGAGCAGGGCAGAUAGCAGAGCCACAGAACACUUUGUCAGCACAUCUACUCGUCGGCCUCCACGUGUCGAAACACCAUUUCCCGCCUUAUCUGGUAUCCCCCAACAAGACAAAGUAUACUACCGAAAAUUGUUGAUCAGAAUAUCAAUCUCUGGAGUAGUAUUUUCCAAAAGCAUGGAGGCCACCAUAGCUUGCUGCUCAUCCGCCAGGGCGCUCCUGCCGGCUGCCGGCAUUUCGACUCACCAGCAUUCCACUUCAGUUGUGGCUCCAUCUUUCAGCUCCAAGGUUAUUAGCAUUUCAUUUCAUUUAUGCAUGUGUCAUCACAUAAAACUUAAGGUAUCAUCACAUGGUGUAAUUGGAGCUUCCUUGUGACUGCAGGGCCUAAAAUCAAGCUCCCUCUUCGGAGAAUCACUACGACAAGUGCCACGAUCAUCGCUCAAGUUUUCUACAACAAAACAGUCCUCCCAUGUGAUCAAGUGUGAGAUCGGCGAUAGCCUGGUGAGUUACACAAAAGAACAACUUUUGUUCAACGUAACAAUAGUUUGGAAAAUGAAAGUUUGUCUAAGCAACAUUGAAAAUGUAAAUUGUGCGAAAAUAUUUAUUGCCACUGUAGGAGGAGUUUCUUGCAAAAUGAAAGUUUGUCUAAGCAACAUUGAAAAUGUAAAUUGUGCGAAAAUAUUUAUUGCCACUGUAGGAGGAGUUUCUUGCAAAGGCAACCCCGGAUAAGGGACUGAUCAGGUUGCUGUUAAGCAUGGGAGAAGCAUUGAGGACUAUAUCCUUCAAGGUCAGAACAGCUUCUUGUGGAGGAACAGCCUGCGUUAAUUCUUUCGGAGAUGAGCAGCUCGCCGUGGAUAUGCUUGCUGACAAGCUUUUGUUCGAGGUAAGGAAAAGAUAAGUUUCGGUUCUUGUUGAGUUUUGGUUUUAAUAUUUGUUGUAUAUUUCAUUAUGAAGAUUACAAGAGAGUGAAGACAACUAUUAUAGAGAGCCAAAAGAAAGCUACAAUAGAUUGUAGGAUAACUACAAAAACACAAUCCCUAAAAUCUCCCCUAACAAGUGGAAAAGCAAAAACACAAUCCCUAAAAUCUGCCCUAACAAGUGGAAAAACAAAAACCAAAUUACAAGCAACUAAGAAAGGUUGACAAAAGGAAGGUAAGAUGAAUGACAAGCUAUGAAAAGUGAUGAAAAUAGGGUUAAGACCAUCACUUUAGCCUAUAACCCAUCCAUAUAAAUUGGUUUCAAUACACCCUCUCAAGCUGGAUCAAGGGGAUUGAUUGAUCCAAGCUUGCACAACAAACGCUGAAACUGAGUAGAGUCUAGUGCUUUUGUGAAUAAAUCAGCAAGUUGAUCGUUGCUGUGUGUGAACAUGGUGUCUAUCACCUUGGAUUGAGCUUGAGCACGAAUAUAAUGGCAGUCAACUUCAAUAUGUUUGGUCAUUUCAUGGAAUACUGGAUUGGAGGCAAUGUGCAUGGUAGCUUGGUUAUCACAAUACAAGGACAUAAGUGCCAUGCUUGUGAAUCCGAGCUCGAAAAGAAGACCUUUCAACCAUAUGAGUUCACAGGUUGUUACUGCCAUAGCCCUAUACUCAGCUUCGGCACUAGAUCGAGCAAUAACAGUUUGUUUCUUGCUCUUCCAAGUGACAAGGUUCCCUCCAACAAAUGUGCAAAAACCUGUUGUGGAUUUUCAAUCAAGGGCAUUUCCAGCCCAGUCAGCAUCUGUGUAGGCCAAGAUGUGAUUUGAUCCAUUGUUCUUCAUAAUUAUCCCCCUUCCAACUAAGCCUUUGAGAUAUCGAAGUAUUCUCUUGACGAUUUCCCAAUGAACUAGAGUAGGAAAGUGCAUGAACUGACUGGCUAGGCUAACUGAAUAUGAGAUAUCAGGCCUAGUAAUGGUGAGAUAAAUAAGUUUCCCAACCAUUCGCUGAUAAACACUAGGGUCCGAGAAAGGUUCACCUUUUUCAUGCCACUGAAGUUUGCUAGCUAGGGGUGUCCGAGCUGGUUUAUGUUCUAUCAUGUUAGCUUCAUCUAGAAGAUCGAGAACAUACUUUCUUUGAUUCAAGAACAAUCCCUUUGAAGAGGUAGCCACCUCAAUUCCAAGAAAGUAUUUCAAGGGCCCCAAGUCUUUAAUGAAAUUUUUUUGGUGAAGUGACUGCUUAAGCAUCUUGAUUUCACUUAUAUUGUCACCUGUAAUAAUUAGGUCGUCAACAUAUAUAAGCACAACCAAUUUGCCAGCAAUACCACUUCGAACAAACAAAAAAGAGUUAACAUGACUCAUUUUGAACCCUGAGGCUUCAAGGACUGAACUAAGCUUCGAAUACUAAACUCGAGGGGAUUGUUUGAGACCAUGUAUGGCUUUGUGAAGUUUGCAAACCUUGUUGGGUUCAUUUUCUCUUGGAUGACCAGGAGGCAACUUCAUGUACACUUAUUCUUCAAGAUCCCCAUAAAGAAAUGCAUUCUUCACAUCCAUUUGGAAUAAGGGCCAUGCAUUAUUGACUACCACAGACAACAAUACCCCCAAUGUGUUCAUUUUGGCAGUAAGAGCAAAGGUCUCUUUAUAGUCAAUGCCAUAGGUUUGAGUAAAGCCUUGAGUAAAGCCUUGAGCUACUAACCGUGCCUUGUGUCUUUCAAUGCUUCCAUUGGAGUUGAAUUUGGCCUUAUAUAUCCACCUAUUUCCCACGACUUUCUUGCCAUUUGGAAGAUCCACCGCACUCCAUGUCUGGUUGUCAUUCAAAGCUUGAAGCUUUUUAGUCAUAACAUCUUGCCAUUCAGGCAUGCAUGUGACUUCAUGAAAAUUCCUUGGUUCGAAAGUGUAAGUAACAUACUCUUGUAACGUCACUGGUGGAUGUCUAUCUUGUGUAGGAUUUCUUCUUGGUGCACUUAUAACUUGCUAAUUUGGUUGAGCUUCUGAUGGUCCAGAAGUGCUUGGCACUGCAUCAAUUACACUCUCAGUGUGUUGAGAAUUAUCAGUGUUGAUAUGAGCAUGAGUGACUUCAUGAAUUCUGCUGGAAUAGGUAGUGGAAAUAGGUCCAUAAGAUCUUCCAUAUUAGCAUUAGUCUCCAACCCUUUGUGGAAAUAAGGUGAAUAUUCAUCAAAUCGCACAUCUUUAGAGACUGCCAGCUUCCCCAUGUUAAGGUUGUACACUUUGUAACCCUUUUGAGAACUGGCUUAUCCCAUAAACACACAUUUAACAGCUUGAGGGUCUAGUUUGUCACGAUGGAGAGCUUGAAUGUGCACAUAACAAGUACAACCAAAGGUCCUAAGGUGAGACAAGUUUAUAGGCCUGCCCUUCAUGACUUCAAAAAGAGAUUUAGUAUUCAACACCCGAGUUGGCAGUCUAUUAAUGAUGUACGUGGCAGUGAGUAGGGCUUGAGACCAAAAUUUCUUAGGAACAUUCAUUUGGAUCAUAAGUGAUCGAGUCUUCUCCAAUAAGUCUCGAUUAUUUCUUUCUGUCACACCAUUUUGUUGUGGUGUACCAACACAACUAGUUUGAUGCAAAAUGUCAUGAUUGCUCAAGUAAUUACUCAUGUUAUUGGAAGUGUACUCGGUACCAUUAUCUGAUCUUAACAUAAAUAACUUAGAUGAAAAUUGAUUGGUGAUUAGGUUGUGAAAGUCCUUAAAAACAUCGAACAAAUCACUUUUAAGUUUUAAAAGAUACAACCAGGUUACUCUAGAAUAGUCAUCAAUAAAUGUAACAUAAUAUCUAUACCCAUCAAAGAAUUCUAUACGAGAAGGACCCCAAAUAUCUGAGUGAACAAGCUCAAAAAGUUUACUAGUUCUAGAAUUAGAGGAAACAAAAGGAAGUCUAGUGGCUUUUGACAUUUGACAAGUUUCACACUCCAGUGUGUUUUUACAAAAAAAGGGAAACAACUUGGUCAUCACAUGUUCUGAGGGAUGGACAAGGCGUUGAUGCCAGAGUUGGUGUUCUUGAACUUGACUUAAGUUGAUAUUGAGUUUUUUUGACAAAAUUGAACUCAUUUGAGAGAUAGUAGAGUCCAUUCAAGAAGAAUCCUUCACCAAUCUUCUUCUGAGUAACUCGGUCCUGAAACACAACAUUGUGAGGGGAAAAUAUGGCAAGACAGUCUAAGGUUUUUGUGAUUUUUCAUAUUGACAAGAGCUGAAAAGGAAAAGAAGGUACAUAAAGAGCAGUGGAAUCAAUAUGCUCACUUGGCAAUCUAAUCUUUCCUUUCCCUAGAAUAGGUUCCCCUUUCCCAUUUGCAACAGAUACAUGAAUUGGAUCAAUAGUUCUUUGAAAAUCGUGAAGACUAGAGGGUUUAUUAGUUAUAUGAUCAGUGGCACCAGAGUCAAUAAUCCAAAAAUCAUGUGUAACAUUUGUAUUAAGAGCAGUGGAAAUGACACUGAUAAUACCUGGAAUAUUGCAUUUUGAUGUGUUUUCCGAGUCAGCCAAGAAUCCAGCAAAUUUCCCUAGCAUUGCAGUAGGGUUUUCAUGUGUCAUUUCAUCAGGUUCAGUGCUUCCUUGCUUCUUUUGAAGAAAAACAGCAAACUCGUUGAUCAAGGACACAUGAUUUAUUGAGAAAUUGGCCAUCCCAUCAGUUGAGGAACAAGCUGAAUGAAAUGCUUUUGGAAUGACUCAUCAUUUCCCAUCUUUGAUCAUCUUGCCUUCCCUAUCAAACUUAGGCUUUAACUCCGGAUGAAGAAUCCAACAUUUUUCUCUCAAAUGUCCCUUCAUGUUGCAAUAAGAACAUUUCCAGUCUGCUUUCUUGCCAAGCACCCUAUCACCAGUUGCUUUGUGAUUUGUCGUGAAAACCCUAGCCUUAGAGUUGGAUUUGGGCUCAACGUUCAUCACUAUUCAUCGAGUUUCCUCUCUCUGGAUUGCAUGACACACACUGAUAAAGGAGGGCAACUCUUAAGUCAUUAACAAGUGACUACGCAUGUCUUCAUAAUCCCAAGCUUGGUAAGAGUUGAAACACCUUGUCUUCAUCAGCUUUUUUCAGUAGCACAUCGGAAUUAGUCGUGUGUGGAUGAUACAUAUCGAGUUCAUUCCACAUGGAUUUCAUACUUCCAAGGUGUUGAACAAAGGAGUGAUCACCUUGCUUUAAACUAGCCACACUCUUCUUCAGUUGAAAGAUGUGAACUGAGUUGUUUUGGCUGCCAUACAUGUCUUUGACAGACUUCCAUAGGAGAAGGGAAAACUCUGAGUAACUGAAAAGCUCAGACAAUUUUGGCUCCAUGAAGUUAAGUAUCCAGGACAUGACCAGCUGAUCAAUAGCAUGCCAUGCAUCGUAGGUUGGUGAAGUGGAUUCUGGGGGCUCAGAGCUUCCAUUAAUAAACCCUAACUUCGAUCUUCCUCCUAGAGCAAAUGACACAACUCUUGACCAAUGAAGGUAGUUGAACUUGUUCAGUAACACUGAGCAUAGUCGUUGAUUUGGAUUGUUCUCACCCCAUUGGGUUAAGUUUGGGGAGGAGGAUGAGGCACUGUCGGCACUAGACACAUUUACUUUUGCCAUCUUUAUCGAUGAUGAGCAAAUGAAGAAGUAAAAAAAAAUAUGAACAGAGUCAGGACCCUAUGGUUCCUGCUAUGAUACUAUGUUGAGUUUUGGUUUCAAUAUUUGUUGUAUAUUUCAUUAUGAAGAUUACAAGAGAGUGAAGGCAACUCUUAUAGAGAGCCAAAAGAAAGCUACAAUAGAUUGUAGGAUAACUACACAAACAAUCCCUAAAAUCUCCCAUAACAAGUGGAAAAGCAAAAACACAAUCACUAAAAUCUGCCCUAACAAGUGGAAAAGCAAAAACCAAAUUACAAGUAAAGAAGCUUUUACAAGCAACUAAAAAAGGUUGACAAAAGGAAGGUAAGGUGAAUGACAAGCUAUGGAAAGUGAUGAAAGUAGGGUUAAGACUAUCACUUUAGCCUAUAACCCAUCCAUACAAACCGGUUUCAAUAGUUCUGCUUGUAUUGUUCUGAUGAAAUUUGAAAGUCAUUCUUCCACAAAUGCAUCAGAAUAUAGGAUUUGUAUACUUUCAGGAUCAGCAAUAAAAUUAAUGCCUGUUACAUUUGGUGCCUUAGGCCUUAAGUUACUCGCACGUCUGCAAAUACGCUUGCUCUGAAGAGGUUCCGGAACUCCAAGACAUGGGAGGCCCAGUUGAAGGUCAGCAAGUCCUAUCUUAUAAUGAAUUGAUCUCUGAUCUUAAAAUUUUUUUUUUCUUGUAACGGAGGAUGAGAUGAUCAAAAGGGUUUAGCCUAAUUAUCGAAUUUGCAAUACGAGCAGGUGGAUUUAGUGUUGCUUUUGAUCCGCUUGAUGGCUCCAGCAUAGUCGACAAACUUCACAGUAGGGACAAUCUUUGGUGUGUGGCCAGGGGAUAAGUUAACUGGGGUAACAGGAAGAGACCAAGUUGCUGCAGCCAUGGGGAUUUAUGGUCCUAGAACUACAUAUGUUCUUGCUAUCAAGGGCUUCCCCGGAACCCACGAGUUUCUUCUUCUUGAUGAAGGUAUCAUUGUAACAAUAAUUUAAUUAUUUAAACCUCCCAUGUUCCCAAAAAAGGAAAAAAAUGUUCAUCAAAAGUAUGAGGUGCUCAAUCCUGUUGGCUGUAAAUCGAUAUCUCACGUGAAUGUCUUGGUCAGGAAAGUGGCAACAUGUCAAAGAGACAACAGAGAUUGGUGAAGGAAAAAUGUUUUCGCCCGGGAAUUUGAGAGCCACAUUUGACAAUCCAGACUAUGACAAGGUUUAAAGAGCAAUAUUAUUUCAUUACUGCACUACUAAUCAGUAGUGAAGCAGAUUCAUCAAUUUUUUGUCAAUUUUUUUUUUUGUUUAUCAACAGUUGAUCAGCUACUACGUAAAAGAGAAGUACACGUUGAGAUACACCGGAGGAAUGGUGCCAGAUGUCAAUCAGGUCUUCUCGACUUCCUCUUAAUCAAACAAACAGAUAACUGCUCAUUUGUGUUUGGCAAUUAGCACUCUUAAAAGGUUCACCAAUUUAUGGUUUCUUUGUGUGCAGAUAAUUGUGAAAGAGAAGGGGGUUUUCACAAACGUGAUAUCUCCAACUACGAAAGCCAAGCUGAGGCUGUUAUUUGAGGUAGCUCCAUUAGGGUUGUUGAUUGAGAAUGCUGGAGGUUAUAGUAGUGAUGGUCAGCAGUCUGUGCUAGACAAGGUCGUUGUUAACCUUGACGAUAGAACUCAGGUUGCUUAUGGAUCAAAAAAUGAGAUAAUCCGAUUCGAAGAAACUUUAUACGGAUCAUCCAGGCUCAAAGGUGUGCCUGUUGGAGCUGCAGCUUAAGCCAUGCAUUCCUUUCUCGUAUAAUGGUGCACAAAUUUUCCAAAGGUGGUGGAAAUGGAUCCAAGUUUAAUUUAGUAUAUCGUUAUAGUUUGUAUUAGGUAUAUGUGCAGUUGUGCACCUUAUUCACCAUACUAUAUAUAUAGCAACUUGGUGCGUGUUUACAAAGCAUUGAAAGGCUUUCAAAUGAUCUAAAGUAGCAAUGUUUACAUGUGAUUAGCAUGAUGAUUAAGUUGUUGGUCAAAUUUGCAGGCUUCGACGAAUGUUUUAGUUUGAACACAAGACAGUUACAUAGUCCACAUCAUGUCGAGAGUCACAUAUUUGCAAAGUAAAGCCUUCAAUAAUAGCAAUCAGAUUGAUUUUAAGUUGGAUGUUCACAUUCUAAUAUGAUAUUAGAGUGAGUGUGUUUAUUUUUCUAUUCAAUGAUAUGGCAUUUAUACGGACAAGAAAUUGAACCCUCGAAAAAACAAUAAAAAAAUAAAUUCUAAUGACUGUAGUAAUCCAAAAUUUUGUAAAUUCCUAAGUUAUGCCUUGAAGUAUCCCCUAAUAAGAUCCAACCUUUUUUGUCUUCCAAAGGUAUACAUUCCAAGACCAUAUAUUGUUUCAUGACAUAUUCCUUCAUGAACAGCUCUGCUUUCAUUGGAAAUACUGUUCCUACAACCAAGUUGUCUGUCAGGAAACACACAGAAAAGCAUGGUAUGAUUACUACAUUCCCUUUUCAAUUUUAUCCGUAUAUGAAAACGACGCUAUUUUAAUCUCUCAAAUCAUAAUAUAGCUACAAUUUUCUCUUUUCACACUUAAUUUCUUGAGGUACUAACUUAUGAAAAUUUGAUUUUGAAUUUGCUAAAGUUAUUGGUGAAAUCAUAGAACUCAAACUUCCGGAUUUUUUUCUUCAGGCAUCUGAGGCCAGAACUGCGAAAUGGCGCGGAUCAGUGGGGGGCAUUGUUGAAGCUCCUAUAGACAAAGUGUGGAGCAUGGUUUCUCAAACCAAAAGACUAGCCGAAUGGAUGCCGAUGGUUGAGCGCUGCACUGAUCUAGCUGGAGAGGAAGGCGUUCCAGGAUAUGUUCGGUUAGUCUCGGGCUUCAUGUUCCCUCAAGACGAUGGAGACAGGUCAUGGAUCAAAGAGAAGUUGGUGUCCAUGGACUCAUCACAACAUAGUUAUGCGUACAAACUGGAAGCAAGCAACGUAGGGUUGGAUGGGUCUGUAAAUUCACUGAAGCUUGUAGAUUAUGGGGAUGAGUCAACCCUAGUUGACUGGUCAUUUGAGGUCAACCCCGUUGAAGGUGCACGUGAGGACAGCACUGUAGAUUAUCUAGGGUUUCUGUUUAAGUCUUGCAUUAAUAGGAUUGAAGCUGCUUUAGAAGCAGCAUCCAAGAAAGUUUGAGUAGAAUGUUAUUGUACAUGUUUUUGUUUAAGUAAAUAAAAAAUAAAACUCAACUUUCUGUUUUUUUUUCCUAUUCCUUUUGGUACACCUAUGCUAUAUUGAACUGAAAUUUUUAUGGUUUCAAGGUUGAGGCGGUCUAGCAGCUAACUACUAAUUGAUCAAACACCAAUAUUGUUCUUGAUUUAACUACCUGUACAGUCCAAUUGUGUAACAUGCAAUUCACACACAUAAGAGGGCUCCCUGAAAAACAUGGAGUUCUUCGGGCUUCCAUUUCGAACAAUGUUGUUGGUUGCCUUCUUGUAUCUGGCAUUUGUCGAGUCCUUGAUUCGACACUAUAACUUCAGUGUCUUGUUUCAAAUUAAGCUCGCAUGUAUUGAUGUUUCAAUACUAGCUAGUGUAACAUUAACGGCUGGAUUAUAUAUGCAGGUGGUCUUCAAGAGCACAACAAAUCUUUGUUCUUCGAAGCCCAUCGUCACCGUGAAUGGGAAGUUCCCCGGACCAGCUCUAUAUGCAAGGGAAGAUUAUACCGUAAUUGUAAAGGUCACCAACCAUGUGAAUCACAGUGUCACAAUCCACUGGUGAGAACUAUUCUAUUCCCACAAAUAUACGAGAAAUUUUUAUGCGAGACUGUUCCUGUCACGUGACAAUACUGAGUGACAAAACAAUUUAACUAAAAGAUGAUAUACAUCCAAAUUUAAUGACUGAUUUUACUUUUCUUUUUAAAUGUUUGUCAUUUUUUAACUGAAUUACAUUGUCAUCUUAAAAGUUGAUGAAAUCCUAAUAAAUUAAUCAUAUAAUUUUGGUAAUGGAAGGCAUGGGGUGAAGCAACUUGGAACAGGUUGGUCAGAAGGGCCAGCAUAUAUCACACAAUGGCCCCACAAAACCUGGCCAAAACUAUAUCUACAAUUUCACACUUACAGGCCGAAGAGGCACACUUCUUUGGCAUGCACACGACUCUUGGCUAAGGGCCGCUCUACACGAUGAUAUGGUCAUAUUGCCUAAGAGAGGCUCUUCGGAUUGUGCUAGAUACAAGGCUGUCAUAUCACCAGAGAGCCAUCCAACACAUUUCCAUGGAAUUCCCCGAUUCAUUGUUUCUCCUAUUCCAAGUAGCAUGCUAACAAUUUUUACAAAUGAAUUGUAAUUUAUUAGAAAUUUAUUGUUUUUGGUGAACGGUAGGUAUUUGGUUUCUGCAUUGUCACCUGGAAGUUCACACAACAUGGGGGCUUAAGAUGGCAUUCACAGUGGAAAAUGGCGAAGGACCAAAUGAGUUCAUGUCGCCACCUCCGACUGAUCUUCCAACUUUCUGGAUUUUCCGACCCGAGCGGCUUUCAAAUUGAGGACUGAGGCUCUACACAUGAGAAGAGUGUGCAGGGUAGAAUAUGAACUGGAUUGAGAAGCAACAAUAGGGAGGAAAAUAGAAUAAGAGCAUUAUUUUGUAAAAUGACCUUAAAAAAAAAAGUAAUAUUUUGUAAAAAUGACCUAAAAAUAAUAAACGCGCCAGAUAGGGGUCGAACCUAUGACCUUCUGCUUAGGAAACAGACGCUCUAUCCACUGAGCUACAGGCGCUUGUUGAUAGGUAUUGCGGUUGAGCUUUAUUUAAUGGAUCCAAGUGAGUUGGCCAAAGGAAAACAAACAAAUAAUUGAAAAUUGAGAGUGACAAACCAUUUGUGUCCUCCAACACACCAUUGUUUAUUAUUGACUUGUUCAAUUUGAUGGUCAAAAAUAAAAAUAGUAUAGUAUUUUUAUGAAAAGUUGGAACCGUCGUAGCUAAUUUGUUUGGUAUACCAAUAAAAAAAGUCAAACUGCAUCGUAUUGGUUUUAUGUGGUUUGAUUCCACUGUAAUUUUGAGCUUAUGUAAAUGUAUCAGACCGAACAUCCACUUGUAUAUUUAUCUGUAUAUUGUUUAUACAUGUAGUACUACAAUAGGCUGAUAACUAAAAGUGUAUGUUCAACUUUGAAGUCGAGUGGGAGUUACGAAUGAGGGUUGGUUGAGUUGGUAAUGAUCGUUAUUUUUGCUAUAUUAAGACCUAUGUUUGGGUCUCGCUGUCGACAAUCGUUCUUGAUAGGCGAUUUGUGAAAACAAAACAAAAAAAGACUAAAACCCCUCUGUAAGUCCUCAAAGAAGCUCGUAGUAUGCCAUGACCUGAAAUGGUUUAGCCUUCCCUCUUCCUUAACCUUUUGUUACCAAAAGAAAAAAAAGGAUGUCGAGUGGGAGUUUAAAGCAGUUGAUUUAGUUGUAACUAUAAUAGUUAUUGAGCUUUGAAAUUUAUGUGCAAGAAAAUAAAAUAUAUGUAGCAGUCACAAAAUAUUUUGUCAUAAUUAAGCUGAUGAAGUUGAAAAAUGUAAAAGAAAUAAGAUUCAACCAAAAGAAAACCAUAAAAAUUAGGGGUGGACACUUGAAAUUGAAAACUAAAAGGGAAAUACGAAUCAAAUCGGACUGCAUCUCACGGUUCGAUUUUUUAGAUGUCAGAUUUUAAUUGAUUAUGUCACAUCCCGGCCUGGGUCCCCACCACAUCCCGGGCUCGACUCCGCCGUAACAUGAUAUUGUUCGCUUUGGGCCCCAACCACGCCUUCACGGUUUUGUUUCUGGGAACUCACACGAGAACUUCCCAAUGGGUCACCUAUUAUGGGAUUGCUCUCACGCAAACUCGCUUAACUUCGGAGUUCCGAUGGAACCCGAAGCUAGUGAACUCUCAAAAUGCCUCGUGCUAGGUAGAGACGGGAAUAUGUAUAUAAGGCUUACAUGAUCCACACCCAUGGGCGAUGUGAGAUGUUACAAUCCACCCCCCCUUAGGGGCCUGACUUCCUCGUCGGCACACUUCCAGCCAGAGAUUGGCUUUGAUACCAAAUUGUCACAUCCCGGGCUCAACUUCGCCGUAGCACGAUAUUGUCCGCUUUGGGCCCCGACCACGCCCUCAUGGUUUUGUUUCUGGGAACUCACACAAGAAUUUCCUAGGUAUCACUUGAUUUCGUUGAGUAUUGAAGAAGUUAUGAACGUUUAAAGUUUAUCCAGUUUCUUGCGAGUUUUCCAGUUUUUCCUCGGACCAGUCAACUUUGAGGCUAUUUUCCGGCCAUAUCCGGCUACCAUUGGGCUUCUAAAUAGGUAUAAUAUUAUUCUAUAUUUUCCUAUCUUCAUUUUGAUAUAUUAUGGGUCGAAUUUGGUUAAGAAACGAUUGAGUUACGAAACUUUGAAAAUUGCCCAAACUUCUGGCCAAGAGCUUUGGGACACUUAACGGAGUUUUUAACGGAAUGACCAAAAUGAUGGAUGGUGGACAAUCUCAGGGACCACUUUGAUUGAUUUGAAAUGUUAGGGACCAAAGUGAUAAUUAUGCAAAUCUCAGGGACCAUUUUGGCUAUUUACCCUUCUUUUUUUUUGGGAGCAGUCUCUCCAUAAAUGGGGGUAAGGCUAGCCGACAUUCACCUCUUCCAGACCCUACGUAAAGCGGGAGCCUUGUGCACUGGGUACGACGACCCUUUUUUUUUUUUUUUUUUUUUGGAAAACUCAUAGAUUUUGGUUUCAUCACAAACAUAUUUGCAAAAAGUUUUGGUUUUGAUUUCGGUUUCACUUUCACUCAAAACUUCUUUGAAUUGAACCGUGUCCACCACUAAUCAAAAUUAGUGAUUCUUGCUGUAAUCAAAUUCAAUUAAACUGUUUUACUGCAAUUGGUUUGGUGACGAUUUUUAAAAGUAAAAUUAAUCCAACACGAAAUCCGAACGAUAUCCAUCCGUACCUAAUUUAACCAAAAUAUAAAUUAAUGAAUAAUACUUGAAAAAUGCCAUGUUUCUCAAUCCCAUUACACAAAAGCCACAGAACACAACAGAAUCCCCCAUUUUUUAAAAACUUUAACGACUCACUCAGCAGAAAGAUAAACAUCCGAAUUUUAGCCCCCGGCAAAAAAGGAGAAGAGAAAUCCAAACCUCUCUGACUCCCCACAGUCCAAUCCCACCGCGCCGUGUGUCACGCAUCACAUCUCUCUCAACUGAUACAUCGUACACUCACACAGACUUCACAGAAUGCAACAAUUGCUGAAGUGGUUCUGAUCAAUUUUUUUGAUUCUCACCCUCCUUUCACAGUCUAUAUAUACACCUAUAUAUACACUUUCAUCUUUUCCUCUUCCUUCUCUUCAAAGCAACGAAGCCAGUAAAUCUUUUUUCCCGCUUUUCUCAGCCGUAAUUCCCCUAGAAUCUAUCUUUUCUCUCAACUGGGAUUUUAUUGCUUUUCAAUCCUUCAUCUUUCAGUCUUUUUCUGGUUAAAUUUCAGAAGUUUUCAACUUUUUACGAUGUGGGUUGCUUUCAGAUUGCUAUAAAGCCCUCACCUUUGAGCUUAAUUUCGUUCAAAUCCCAAAAUUUCAUCUGGGGUUUCCCCUUUCUCUCUGGGAUUAUACCCAACGAACCAAAUCAGAUUUUUGUCAGGGUUUUCCAAGGUUCUCCCCGAUUCCCAAAAAGUGGAUUCGUUCCAAGAUUCUUUGGUUUAUGUUAUCAAGGAAAAAGGAGAUUCUUGAUUCCCAGUAAAAAAUCUGAAUUGAAUGCCUUUUUAAGCUUUACAACAAUGGCCUCCGACUGAAUAAGUGAAGCAGUUCCUGCAUAUUUUUACGACUUGUAAAAGCAUGGAGACCUUGUAUUUCUUCCAGGAGAGCCAGGGCUCGGAGUGGACUAAGGAGGAGAACAAGAUGUUUGAGAGUGCUCUAGCUAUGUUCGAUGAGAAAAGCCCGGACAGGUUUCUGAGGGUGGCGGAGAUGAUUCCGGGGAAGACGGUGAUCGACGUGAUCAAGCAGUACCAGGAGCUGGAGGAAGAUGUUUGUGAAAUAGAAUCCGGGAGGUUUCCCAUUCCUCCGGGGUACCCUCAGGCUUACUUCAGAUUGGAGUUGGGGGAUGAUCGGGAUUUCGAUGCUAAUCGAAAGAGGCCGCUGGCGGCGGCGAGGGGUUCUGAACAGGAAAGGAGAAAGGGAAUUCCAUGGACACAAGAAGAACACAGGUUUAUCUCCAUCCAUUUUUUUUUUUACAAUUGCCUUUAAUUUUUGUGCUAGUUCUAAAUUCAAGUAAAUGGAGAAUUCUUACAUGCAACGUAGCAUUAACGUGCAAGACCUAUUUGAAAUGAUUAUUUCAUUUUCUAUGAAAAUAGAGGAAAAUAUAUGGAUUAAACUUUCGUUUUCUUUAUUUUUCGAAGUAGUUUUUAUGACAAAACGAUAUUCUAAGCUUACUCUAAUCAACCGGAAGAGGAUCUCCAAGGGGUGCAAUGGACGGUUAAUAUACUAUCUAAGCCAACUGACCUAAAGCAUGGUGUAGUCUGCAACUAGUUUGUUAUGAACCACUCUAGCUUCAUGUUCUAGAUAUAGUUCAAAAGCAGUCAUCUAUUUAAAUCUUCAAAUCCAACUUGAUUUUGAUGGAGCGGAGUGAUUUCCGCACUGCUAGUUUUACCUUCUACUUUCCUCGGCCUUAAUUAUGACUCUUGAUUCUCCUCGAAGUAUGGUGGUGAAUAAAAUAUGUUAGUCAAAUCGCAAUUGUCUAGAAUACAGUUUGAUUUCUCUGUGUUUUCUUGGUAUAUUUUUUGGCACAAAUUGCUGGUAUGAAUCGUAGGCGAUUUCUGAUGGGACUUCUAAAGUACGGGAAAGGGGACUGGAGAAACAUCUCCCGGAAUUACGUGGUCACUAAAACUCCCACACAAGUAGCAAGCCAUGCUCAGAAAUACUUCAUGAGGCAGCAUUCAGGAGGGAAAGAUAAAAGGAGGCCAAGCAUCCAUGACAUAACUACUGUCAACCUCACAAGCGAUGCUCAGUCAGAAACUAACAGGCCUCCUUCAGACCAGUUUCUGCCGGAGCAGAAGUCCACUGAAUCGCUGAACGAGCUACUUGACUGGAAUGCGGCUGAUGAUGAAGGAGCUGCCAUGGGUUUCGAGUCUACCCAUGGCAAUCUCUUUGAUCCAUCUCCGUAUGACGUAGAUGCAGAUGGAAUCAAGAUGCAGCUGCAGAAACUAUAUAGUCGCGCUCAUUAUGCUGCUCAUGCCACUCCUCAAAAUUCGCUGUAUCUAAUGCGGUCCGCAAGACAUCAGAUUCAUGGAUAAAAGCAGGCCUGUUUGUUGUCUUCAUGGAUUGAAAAUCCAAGUAAAUGAUUUUCUUCAGAAUUUCUGUGUUCGUCUUUUUAUCGUGUUCGUGUUGGAUUGAUUAGUUAAUAAGGUUUUCAAUUUCGUACGUAGUUCUUGAACAUUGCAGGAUGGUAAAACUCCAGUAGGCCACAAAGUGUAAUGUCUGAAAUGUGAAUGGGAUUGAAUGGUAAAUUGCUCUUUCCCUUCAGGAAUUUACAUACCGGCCCCGGAUGUUUUUGAACAUUUGAGUUGUAAAAUAGACAUGUAUACAUCCCGUAACUGUCCAGCAAGAUUUAUGCCGUACCGUAGAAAUCCCGUAUAUAAUAUAUGCAUAUGUAUGCAUGUAUGUAUGAUAUAUUAUAGGCAUAUUUCAGGCAUGCGCAUGAUCUUACCUUUUAUAUAUUUUCUUUGCUUUAUAAUCCUUCUUUGGUCUUCAUGUGGAUACAGAUUGAAUAUUUGCAUGAUUUGAGAGACAGAAUCCGGAACUUUUCAUCUCCAAAUCAAUCGUAUAGACAAAGAAUAAAGUUACAAAUAUCUACUCGUAAGAAUUUACCUUUUUUAUUUUUCCUAUUGUUUCAUAAUGCGCGGUGGCAUUACACUUGAAAACUUCAAUAAAACUGUGUAAUUAAGGUAUAUAUCAAAUUAAGUGCUAUCAGCGAAGAUUCGGCUUUCAAAAAACUUGAAGAAUCUCAUAUUCUCGUGACAAAUGCCUUACAAAAUGACAUGGUAGGACAACUUGACCGAAUUUCCUCCUGGAUUUGCACUUGGGAUGGCUGAGGUUGAUCUCAGAUAAAUCUUUGGCUGCAUCACACGUGGAAUGAUCUUGCAACCACUAGGGAAAAGCAGACAUGUCAUUGGCCGAUGUGGCUGCUGACUCACUCUGCACUCUUUUGAAAAUUCCACAGUAUCUAACGUAUUGCUUUACCUUUUCUUCCCAUAAAAAAAUUUACUUUCCGCCAAUUGUUUUGCUUUAUACAAAAACGACUUACCCUCCACCGGACCACCACUAAGAUGCUGAGUUUGCAUUCCACUCGAUAAGCAUCCAUCUGCGUCAAUCCAUCGUAGGAUGCAGGAUCUUCCACGUAAGAAAUGCCAAUAUGCAAUUUUGACAUUCGGCAACUUGGCCCCUUGCUUUGAUAUGUUUUUGCUGUUGGAGCCAAUGCCAUUGUUGAUGGUGGCUACACUUUUUGCGUCAUCAUUGCGCCAUUUGUUUAGGUCUAGCCAAGCAUUAUGCUUUGCUCUUUGUCGAGUGUAAUGAUUCGUUUAAUAAUUAUUUCGUUUGAUUUCAAAACUCUUAACAUUUUACUUCGUUGUGUUAUAAUAAUUUGUUAGUUUGUAAGUGGUUGGCCAUGUUGUACUUGUGUAUCAAUGUGGAUUCACUGCUAAAUUUGAUUCAAUUCUAACAUCAAUAUAAGGUGGGAGAAGCUCACUCAAGCGCGUGUCGAGUUUUAUUUCAUAUGAUUUUGGUACUAUUCAUAACGAACUGUAAUAUGCAAUCCUCUAUUAUUUUUUACUAAAGCUCUACUAUAUUCAUGUGUUAAGCAUGCGCGGGAUGAACAAAGUGUUUAAUGUGCAACCAAUGAUCCAACGGGUAAUAGUCCAAUGACUACUGUCAAAGUCCCACAUCAGUGGGGUGAAAAGAAAUCAAGGGGUUUAAAUAGUUUUACCCCACUCUAAUUAAUACCGAUGUCUUUUGUGGUAAAAUCUCACACUUGACGGAUUGGGUAUGUGGUAAUGUUGGGAACAAUAUCGGUGUCGUUAGAGUGGGAUAGGCUCGGUGAUCCAAAAAUUCCAACAUGGUAUCAGAGCCCACGGUUGCGGGCUCGUGCAAGCCAACGAGCUUGUGUGCAAGCCAAUGAGCUUGUCACCAACGAGAAGGAAAUAAGUUUGAGCUCUUAAUAUAGAGAUGACCGCUGAGUUCCAAUUGAAAACAAAUGGGCCCAAUGUGAGCUGACCUCUGAGUUUCAAUUACCGAUGUGGAUCUCCACAUGUGAACCACUAAAUGAGGUUACACAUGAGGGGGAGUGUUAAAGUCCCACAUUGGUGGGGUGAAAAGAAACCAAGGGGUUUAAAUAGUAUUACCCUACUCUAACUAAUACUGAGGCUUUUUGUGGUAAAAUCUCACACCUGAUAGAUUGGGCAAGUGGUAAAGUUGGGAACAUUAUCAAUGUCAUUAGAGUCGCGCGGACCUGGCGAUCCAAAAAUUCCAACAACUACGAAUAUCAUUGUACAAUAUACACUACUGAAAAAUCUCCUAGUUUCAAAAGUAGAAUUAAGUUCUUUUGUAACUAUUACUUAUAUCUAGCCAAACAAUAAGUAAGCCUCUACUAUUUUGGCUACUUAGAUGAAUCUAAUGAAUAUGGAUUUGAGUCCACUAGAAAUGUUCUUUUGAUCAUCUUCAUUAGAAUUUGAGUCCACUAGAAAUGUUCUUUUGAUCAUCGAGUGAUUAAAAAAUUCAUGAUCAUUCAAUCUUAGUGUCACAUUUCGGUCCGGGCCCCCACCACAUUCCGAGCUCGACUCCAUCGUAGCACGAUAUUGUCCGCUUUGGGCCCCGACCACACCCUCACGGUUUUGUUUCUGGGAACUCACACGAGAACUUCCUAGUGGGUCAUCCAUCCUAGGAUUGCUCUUGCUGCGAUCUCACUUAACUUCGGAGUUCCUACGGAACCCGAAGCCAGUGAGCUCCCAAAAGGCUUCGUGUUAGAUAGAGAUGAGAAUAUACAUAUAAGGUUUAGAGAAUCCACUCCCUUAGACGAUGUGGGAUGUUACAAUCCAUCCCCCUUAAGGGCCCGACGUCAUCGUCGGCACACUUUCGGCUAAGGAUUGGCUUUGAUACCAAAUUGUCACAUCCUGACCCUGGCCCCCACCACAUCCCGGGCUCGACUCCACCGUAGCACGAUAUUGUCCUCUUUGGGCCCCGACCACACCCUCAUGGUUUUGUUUUUGGGAACUCACAGGAGAACUUCUCAGUGAGUCACCUAUUAUGUGAUUGAUCUCGAGCGAACUCGCUUAACUUCGAAGUUUCAAUGGAACCCGAAGCCAGUGAGUUCCCAAAAUGCCGUGCUAGGUAGAGAUGAAAAUAUACAUAUAAGGCUUAGAUGAUCCACUCCCCUGGACGAUGUGGGAUGCUACACUUAGACUUGAUAACAAGGGUGAAGAAUAAACAAACAUGUUUUUAAUGUCUAAUUUCUAACAAUUAAUAUCAAAUUAAAAUAUGAUUGAUCAUGAAUCUUUAGUCACCAGUGUCAAAGAGAACGAGACUCUUAAUUUCUAAAAUGACAUCAUGGUUUUUUUAUUCUAACCGUUAAUUAUGAGCUCAUUUGGAAGUUUUUUUUAAAAUGAUUGAAAACACUUUCGGUAAAAUCGAUUUUGGGUUCCAAAAGCACAUUAAGUGGUUUUUGGAAGAAGCACCAGAUAUAUACUUCUUGCAGGAAGCACUUAAAGUGUUUUUUUAGGAUCCCACUUGAAUUUUUACAAGGGAUUGGUUUCAAAAACAUUUUCACUAAUGGUGCUUUCAAUCAUUUUAAAAACACUUCCAAAUGAGCUUUAUGUUGUGUAAUAUGGUAUGACUAUGUUUGUUUUAUUAGAGUUGUUUUUCUCGACCGACUAAAUGUAUGGACUAAGAUCGUGUGAAACCAACUUAGUGCGCGUUAUUGUCACUUUUGCACAUACCAAUUUUGUAGACACCACACACUCAGCGUUAAAAAGUUCCAAAGCAACAUGAGCAAUUUGAUUAUCCUUUUUAACCUUUAAUUUUCUAGGUAUAGUCCAUCUUUCAGCAACUAGCAUGAGAAAGCAUCUGGGCCCUUUAUUCCAAUUUUGAUCAAACCUUUGAGAAAGUUGAACCGUACACCUUUGGCUUUUUUUUUUUUUUUUUCAAUUAAUUUCUGGUGUAGUAGCUACACUAGGUUCCAAUUUUGAUGAUGUCUUCAUCGACCUCGCAUGGGAUUUAGAUUAAUCUGUCAGGAAAGAUUGUCAAUCAUACAUAUCAAUUUAGGUAGGACUUAGAUGAAUCGGAUACAUCGUUACAAUAAUAUCUCAAUCCAAUCUAUUUCAUAUGGCAUAGUGUCAGUGGAUAGAGAAGAAAUUGUGGCAGUGCACCUGAUCAUUUAAGUUGCUCACCAAAUCAGCAGACAAAUUCAUGUAAGAUUUUACUCACCAUAUGAGACUCGUCCUUGUCAGACAGUGUUGCCGAAUAUCUUUUCUUAAAUUAGAGGACAUAAUAGGUGACCAUGUUAUACAUGCAUACAUGAAUGUAUGGUAUACAAUUAAAUACAAUAACUUAUUAAUUUAUCAAUGUAUUAAUAAAUUAUUAAUUUAUCAAGAUAUUCUUUAGUUUCUUAAAUAUUGUAUAUUAUAGUUGGUUUUUCGUUUUACGAACUAAUUAAAAUGCUAUGUAUUGUUUAACUAAAUCUCACAAAUUAUAAACCCUAAACCAAACACGAGAAGAGAACUCCAAACAAAUGGAGAAGGUUCUUACAAAUUACUCUCUAACUCUCAAAUUCACAAAUUAAAGCUCACCAAAUUGUCAUACGGAUGUGCCACACAAAAUAAACUAACCCUAAGGUCCUAUUUUAUAAAGUAUAGGAUUUAGGUUUACACAAGAAUCCUAAAAGGAAAUAAAAUCGAAAACCUAGUGGGCAAGAAAAUCAAAUCCUUAUCUUAUAAGGAUAAAGAAUCCAACAAAAAAAUGAAAAUCCCAACCCAAAUGGGACACAACUGGCCUAAAUAGGGUUCUAAAACGAAAUAUGUAACAAACCAGAUUUUUGCAUCACUCUAAUUUGAGCUGCAAAUCACAACAAUCAUUGCAAAAUUUAACAGUUGAAUGUGUGCUAAAAAAGUUUAUAGAAUUUAACGGUGAAUCUUAGCCACUUAAAAGACAUAAAUCACGGUCCCUCUUCAUUGCCAAAAUCAAAUUUGAACCACAUUAUUACUAGUCUAUUGUGAGGCUUAACCUACUCCUCCGCCCCUUUAGUGUAAAUAAUAUCGUUUGUUUAAAAUAAAUAAAUAAAAAAUAAAAAAAAUAGAAAAAACAUAAACCACGCAUUGAUGUAUAGUAGAACUCCAGAGUCUAAUACCUUGACAAUAACUAGUACUUAAGGGGCCAAAACUUUGUCCCUUCACAACCGACCAUUCAUGGACGUAACUAAUUGUAAAGAAUCAUUUUUCUCGACAUAGAUGAUCACGUGAUAAAGAAGAUAAACACAUAUCGUUGUACAAGAGAAUUUCCUCGACUACAAGUUGAGUUACAUAUAAUUCUUGCAGCAUUGUAGUUUAUUACCAUGGACGAGGCCCCAACCUCACUACCUAGCCAUUAAAAGAGAUUUUGCUACUUCUUCCUCGCCUGGUUUUUUGCUCCAAGUCCAACACUGAAGAAAGAUGAGAACUGGAACACAAAUACAUGUAUUCUACACACAGUGUAGUAGGUUGCUUGUUCCCUGUUGGCUUAAUCUUUUUGGUGUCAAAUGAUCGACAAGUUGUCGCUACAUUUGAGCAUCUCCAAUGGUGCUCUAUAUCAAUCGUAUAGUCCUCAUAUAUGAGAUCCAAGGCCUUCCGAUGAAUCUGAAAACAAGAUUCUGCAAUCAACGGUGGAGAUUGAUUGUGGGUUUUGGUGCCUUUUUACAGAUGGAGAUCAACGGUUUGUAAACCUCAAAUUUAAGGUUUUUACUAUACCAACUUUUUCAUUGAAGGCAAUAUUUCGUUAAGUUCACAAAUAUUUCUUUUAAAUCCACAAAUGAGUCCUCAAAUGUGAUAAUGGGAGGAAAGGGAUCAUUUCCGAAUCUCUUUCAACUAAUCCUCAUAACCUACAAAUUCAGGUCCUUGAAAUUUGAUCCAACGGUUAAAGUUAGUAUAAUAUUUAAUGAGAUCCCCUGUUUAUAGCCGUUAGAUAAAAUUUCAAGGGAUUUGUGGGUCAUGAGGCUUAGGGGUGGAAGGGAUCCGGAUCCUUUCCAUGAUGGGAGUCCUUAAAUAUGAGAGAUUUUUCAGUGUGACAGGCACACGAGAUGGUAUAUCACGUGUCGUUAUACAAAUAAUGAGAUAUGUGUGUUAAAAAGUUAAUAACUUAAAAACUAAAUUACAUAAAAAUAUAUGAUGUACCACUCAUGUUCCCGUCACAAUAAAAUAUUUCUCCUUAUAUAGGGACUCCCAUUAGAGACGCUCUUAGAGCCAGCGGUGCAUAAACCAUGUUCAUCAUCCAAUCUGCGAUUGUAACAAUCAGCAGCUUCACAUUGUAUUAGAACUCAAGUUGGGAAACAAACUCAACGAAGUCGGAGGUUAUGACAAGAACAAGUAAGGUAGAAUCUACUCAAAAGGAAUCAAACCACGACAGAUUCACAAAUUCUGGCAAGCAAAAUCACUCUUCAAUUUUAUUCAAAAACUUGCAACAUCGCCACAUUGUGCUCCAGAAAGUACAAUAGUUUCCCAGCAAGAUUGUCCUCAGCAAACAAAUACCAGCCGCCGCCGGCUUGAAAUUGAAGCAAACUGUCCGGAAAAGAGGACCGAAACAGUUCCGGAUCAAAGAGUGCAAGUUCUUUCAGAUUACACAGGGUAACUCAAACUUAUUACGGAACUAAGAGUCUAGAAAUAAAAUUGAAAAUAUGAAAUCAAAACCCUCUAAAGAAAAGUAAAAAAGUUGCAAGAACUUAUAAACAAGGCAUGGGAGGAAAAUGACUGCUUGUGGAAUAAAAAAAGAGAGGAUGUAUUUACAGCUCUAGGAGGUGAGUAAGGAUGCCGGAUCAACGGGAAUAACACUGUCUGGAAAAUCUGUUCUCGGUCCGGCAAGUGAGUAGUAUGCAAGUAUAUGGGCUGGAUGCUCGACUCCCUGCUGAUCAGGAACAUCAACUCGUCUCGGAGGAAUCAACUCGAUAUUCCAAAAUGGGCGAGCCAUUGCCAAAAGGUCGAGACCAGUAGCAGAUCCUCUGUACCCCUGCACCCACAAGUACCUAAGGGAAGUCAGUUGCAUUACUGCAUCAGCGAGUGCACGCUCGCUGAAGCAGCAACCCCUCAUUUCCAAUUUUUGCAGACUAGGGCAACCCUUUGAGAAAGCCAAAAGCCCUGCAUCAGAUUCCCCAACAUAACCCAGAAGCAUCCAUCUCACAUUCUGACUGUACUGGCCGAUAUAACUCAGUCCCAGAUCAGUCAAGCCCCCACGACGGAGAUACAGAGCAAACCUUCGAAGCUUCUGGCAUCCCCUCAAAAGAGCUCGAACCCCAUUGUCAAGUGGCAAAUCUGUUAUUGUCACUUCUCGGUCCAGCAAGACAAGGCGAAAAUCACAGAGAUUUUUAGAGUAAGUCCCAAUGUAUUCCAGACAUGCAUUGGUGAUGUCCGAUACAUAAACAGCCACGUAUUCGAUCUCUAGGCAGCCCUGUGCCAGGGCCAUCAGACCCCGUUGUGAAACAACACCUUCUUCGUGCUCCAUGUCUGGUUCAUCUGCGCCCCGCUCAAUUCGGAGCCUCCUUAGUCUCUUGCAACUCCGAGCAAGAACUUCUAGUCCUCUAUCUCCAAUAACGUUCCUUGUCUGCCCAAAAUACAAACAAAUUAAAGUUUUUAAGUAAGUUUCAAUACGAAUCCUACUCCAAAGCAAAAUCAUUCAAAACACUCCUGAUGAUGAAUGAAAUUUCAAAUGAAUCUUUUUGGUAUGUUAAAACUUAAAACCUAUAUAUAACUAAGCACAAUAAACAGAGCAUUAUUUGUGACCCAUGUGAAAUAUUUGAUUUAGUCACAAACAAUAUAGCGAGUUCUUGAACUAGUAUUCCAAUCAAUUAUUGUAAUUCGACACACUCAACAUGCGCAUUUGCAUGGUACACGAAAGGGCAACAAAUUAAAAAGCAGAAAAAAUGGUUUUGUAAUCCUACCUCAAGAAUUUCCAGGUUGGGGCACCUUUGAAUUAAUGUGCAGUGGUCCUCAGUGUCCAGCAAUGCAUAAAGGAGAUCGAGCUUUUUGAGAAGGGUUGCAAAUGGGAAUACUAUUGGCAUUUCUUUCUUUCCCAUGUACGUUAGACCCAGACGGCAAAGUUUUUGGGGCAAAGUUACAACAGAGUACCUCUCUGAUUGCUCGUUGAAGAAACCCCCACAAAACUCUUCCAAGACAGCUGCAUUACGGAAGAAGCCCACUAGAUCCAAGAUUUCGCAAUCACUAGUUUUCACAGAGGAUAAGGAGCGACAGUUUUUGGCUAUGUGCUCAAGGUCUUCGAUUUUGACUUUGAUAAGAUCCGUCAUAUAAAAAUUCAGAGUCUCCAGGACAGUGUUGUUCUCAGCAAGCUCGUGUAGCCAAUUGCCGUCUUUCUCCUUUAUGGAGCUCUCUUCCAAAAACAAGGUCCUCAAAUUCCUACAAAAGCAUAUAGUGAAAAACAACAUCAAUUAACGUCUCUCCAGAACAAUUACAGAAAAAAAUUACUUAGUUGAGAAUGAUUGCAAAAGCUGCAUUAACAUGUAUACAAGAACAAGGGUUCGUGGAUGUGUGCAUGCGCAUGCAUGCGAUGCUUACUACACGAAUGCCCCCCAAGCGAGUUCCGAAAUGCAGCAUGUGAAUUUCUCUUCCUUGUCCAUAAACAUGAUGGUAAGAUUUCGGUACUACGCUCCCAAGGUUUCAGUUAAAUUGGGGGUCAAUCUUAAACGAGAAGCGACUUAUUUGGCACCUGCAGAAGCAUUUCUUAUGCAACUUCAAAAUUUUUGGGGAUCACAGAAGUGCUAGAAACUGCCCGAAACAAGGCUUUCGCGAACAAAUAACAAACGAAACAACAUGCUGAAUUGUGUGAGAGAUAAUGAAAGAAUGAAAGAUCCAUAAGCAAUCCCUGCAACUAAAAUUUUUACAAGAGUAAUGAAACUAUGCAGCAUGAAUGAAUAUAACUUUGUGCUUCAAUUUUUACCAAAACAAUGAAUGCAUCAAACGUUUCUGAUUGAACCCACAACAAAAUUCACCGCAAGUAAAACAAUUUCACAUAAAGUUGUGAACUUUACUACCUGCAGGAGUGGCCGAUGUGGAAAAGCCCAUCGGUGGAAAACCCUGAGCACUUGUCGAGCUUAAGCACCUGGAGCACGCGCCCGCGCGUUUCAGCCAGCAGCUCCAGGUCCGAAUCCCUAACAAUCAUCCGCCGAAAGUGCAGACACGUCAAGCGGUGGAAGGAGUCGGCGAUCUCCCUCACCCACGGCGUCACAUACCCUCCCCAGUCCUCCGGAAUCAGAUUGAACAUCGCCGCCCUCGGCUUCCCCUUCAGCUUCAGCGACUCCAGGUGCUGAAACCGCUGCCGCAGCCGAUCGGGGGUAGUGGUGUAGCAGAGCGCGAUGGUCACGUGCUUCCGCGUGAGCGCGUCGAGCUCGUACCACCGCUUGCACACCAACGACACGGCGUCGCGGUCCUUCGGGUCGUGCAGAUACGGCAUCACGACGUCCAUAACGACGUCGGUAAUCCUACGCCGGACGUUUCGGUCUUCCAUCGCUAAUAAGAAACGUCGCCGGACGAAAAUACUCUCACUGAAAAAAAACUUACUGCUAUUUAUAACAAAAAGUUUCAGAGUCAAAAGUGGGAAAAGAUUUGAAUUCUUUAAUUCAAGUUCAAGAUCGGGUUUUCGGAGCUCCAAAUCCCCAACUCCAAAUAUUUCCAAAAAUAGAAACUGGAUUCCCAAAACCAGACCCCUAAACCGUUAUAUCUCCAAAUCCACUUCCAAAAAAAGAAUCAAAACGACAACGCACCGCCGCCGCUUACAAAAUCACAAUCUCAGACAAACGCCGCAACGUGUCAAGAAACGAGCAGGGACAAACGGAAAGAGAGAGGAGCGAGAAGAAGCACGAUCUACGAGAAGCUCGCGCGGAAGACGAGCGAACCGGAUCGAAGACAGCGGAGCAGGGCGACCAACGGAGGAGCGCGGGAGCAUGGAGUCGGCGUGAACGCGAAGCGCAUGAUCUGAGAAGACGGAUCUGACACGGCGGAAGCCGGCGGCGAUUGAAUCGGACUUUGAGUAAUUAGGGGUCCUUACUAAUAAUUAUGCGCCUCAUAAAAACAAAAGGGAAGGGAAUGUAGAGCAAAGCGGGUAGGGGGCGGAAAAGAUAAAGGGAAGGCGACAAAACAAAGGCAGAAAACAGUCAAACGUCGUCGUUAUGCGUUUGGAGGGAUGUACGGGAAGUUGGAAACGUGGCGAUUUGGGGUUGGUCGAUGUCAGGUGGAGCAAUUGCAGUGUCACUGCAGCAGAUGCUGUCUAGGAGUGGUUUAACUGUGAUGUGAGUGGAAGGAUAAAAAUUAGCAAAGUAGUUUGGUUUUAUUAUUUGAUUUUUUUUCCAAUGUCAAUCUUUCUUAAAUUGGUUAAUCGCGAUUUUAGUCAUGCAAGUGAUAUUUAAUGUCAAUGAAUGAAAUUAAAGUCGUUGUGUGAUAAGUUCAUUUCUCUAUUUGCAAAUAACGUAAUGUGAACUUUCAUAAUCGAAAUUGUUAAAUUCCUCAAUUCAUGGAACUUAGACAAUUUUAUUCAUGUAGAUAAACUGGUAUUGUCUUUUGAAAUAUGCAUCAGCUUUAACCAAGAUUUUUGCUUUCUUUGUUUUCCAUUUCUUAAGGCUGGUUCUUGCUUUUAUUAUUUUAUCAAUUUAUAUGUGACAAGGACGUUCAUAACUUGGAAAGUGAUCAUUUUCGGAUUCCUUCCUCCUAAUCCACCAAGUUCGGAGAUCUGGACCUUUAAAAGUUACAACAACUUUAGCCGUCAAAUCAAAUUUCAAUGGUCCAGAUCUCUGGACUUGGUGGAUUAGGAAGAAGAGAUCCAGAAAGGAUCCCUUUCCUCAUCACUUACCUAGUUACAAGAUCAAAUGAACCCAUGAAAAAGAAAAGAAAGAAAAUCCAAUAAUCUAGAAAGGAAAGCGGGCAAUCUUUUAAAGAUAUAACCUGUCCUAAAGAAACACUUUUCUGUCUUUGUUCUUGGCAUAAUUUGACUUAGGGUAACCAAAGGUAACAGUAAAAAAAAAAACUUUGGUACAGUUGUCUGUCUAGAGCAGGUCUCAUUAUGGGUGAUAUUAUAAUUGGAACAAGGAGACGAAAUUAUAAGAGUCUCGUUUACGCAUGACAUGAUUCAAUGUAUCUACACAAGCUAAUCCAUUUCAUCUCUAUCGCACAUCGAACAAAGCUCAAAUCUCACCCAUUUGAACAGUCAAAUUUUUUACUCUUUGGACUCUGAACAGUCAAAAUAACAAUAACAACAUUUUUUUUUUUACUAAGUGAGGUCAGCAUAAGGAUUCGACGUAAAAUAAAAGUGUCAACUAUUAACUAUCUGACCCCCUUUUCUCUUCUCUUUUAUUCGGACUUGAAAUCUGCAAUAUAAGAUAAAUUUACAUCGACGGAGUUUGACUCUGAACUCUCAGAUUGGAAAAAAUCUCAAUUGAGAUUUUUGUGCUACGCAGCAUUACUCUUGUAUUUGUGGGACCUCAGGGAGGAGCUGACUCGUGACACAAUGUUUGCCGCAGUAACCUGAUCUUGUUGGACAGCUGUGCCGCAAAGGAUGGUUUUAUUGUGUGACGGGGCACAUCUCUUUUAUUUGCGCGCCAGCGACGCAUGAUAGCUGAUGGCUGCGGCUGCGGCUGCUGCCUCAAACCCUCAUCUGGUCCGUAGAACUUGUAGCUCGCUCUUUACCGUUGAUCGUCGUGAAAUCUUGUUGCAUGCUGAGUGGGUGGUUUGUUGUAGCUAGCUCUCUCAAUCUUUCCCCCCCAUCAUUUUCCUAUCUACAAUUGUGUUUUAUCAUUUUAUGAUGUUAUGACACGACAUGUUUAUCUAUUUAGAACGAGAGAAUUUGAUGCAUGUAUGAGUAGGAAUGUGUGGUCAUUGUUUUAUCAUUUUAUAAUGUUAUGACAUGUUUACCUAUUUAGAACGAGAAAAUUUGAUACGUGUACGAGUAUGAAUAUGUGGUCUGGUCACUGGUACGAGCAUGGGAGAAUCCAUGGCAGUAUGCUCGAAGCAAAUUAUGGGAAAUUUUAAUCUUUAAACUAAAAGGCCUUCCAUCUUGGUUUUCAGAAUAAUAAUUUCAUUUUUCUUCUCAAAUUUAGCGGAUGUCAUUAUUUUCUAGGGGUGUGAUAUCCACACACCCCUUUUUAGUUCUCACAUACCUUUCUAAGUUUCGAUCGUUAGAUCAGAUGAAUUGAAGAAGAUCAACGAACAUAAAUUAAUAAAUGGUAUGUGAGAAGUAAAAAGAGGUGCGUGGAUAGCACAUCCCUAUUUUCUAAUCACCUUUUCAUUGUUUGAAUGAAAUCCAUAAUUUUGAUAUAAAAAACAAGUACACAUAUCAUUAAUUUUGAUUGUUUAUAUGUUAUAUAUAUGGAGUGGAUUCGUCACACCAUUUCUUUACAUAAUUUUUUACACACAUUUUUGUGAGCCUCACUUUGUAAUGUAUUAUAACGAUCUGAACCGUCUACCUUUUAAAAUACUAUUCAUAAAUCAUCCUUGCGAAAAAUUAGGCAAAUUCAAAAUUAAUAAGAGAUUCAUUCGUAGUAAAACAAUGGACAAAUACAAUUCUACAAAGAAACCCUAAGACAAUUAAUCCAACGGUCAUAUAAUUCAGAUUUGGGUGAUUUUUGGUAAACGUAAUUUUUGAAGAAAACUUAAAAGUUAAACGGUUCAAAUUAUUGAAAUACAUUACAGAAUUGUGAUGCUAUCUUCCAAGAUUAGUUGAAAUACAUUACAGAAUAAAUCUCUUAAAAAAAGUAUGUAAAAAAUAAUGUAUCCAUCCCCUGUAAUUAUUUAGUUAUAUCAAAAGUCAUAAUCGAUCCACUACUAGGCCUGGCAUUUUUAACCCAACCCGUUAACCCGACCUGACCCGACCCGUUAAAAUUAGUAUUCGGGUGGGUGGUUAACGGGUCGGGUAGUUAACGGGUCAACCCGUUAGUCACCCGUUACAUAACGGGUCAGUUUGGGUAAACCCGUGAAACCCGUUAAGACCCGUUAGUAAGGAUUUUUGUGUAAUUUCAAUAGCCCUAAUUCAAAACCUCAGGACCUCAGCCGUCAGCCCUCACGUUCCUCACCUCUCUCGCUGCCUCACACGCCAUUGCUCUCUGAGACUGAGAUCGCUGUGCAGCCUGUGCUCCUUCCUUCUAGCUCCGGUUAUCUCCCUCAUCUUCUUCCCUCAAAAACUUUACUGAACUCCACCACUCUCUCUCUGGUAAGCUCCGAUUUCCUUCAACCUCUUCUUUCAUUUCGAUUACUUUUCGUUUCUGCAGAUUAGAUUUUUGGUUGUGUUUUGGAUAAUGGGUUUUGCGUUUUGUUCAUGGGUUUUGUACAGAGUACUGAUUUAGUGUACAGAGUAUUGAUUUCUUUGUUCAUGGGUUUUGUUCAUGCGUUUUGUUCAUGGGUUUGAAUCUUUGGAAUCUGUUUGGGUUGGUAGGAAGAGAUUCAACUCUGGGGUUUUUUUAAUUUUUCGGUCUGUCAUCUAGAUUAUGUGAAAGAGUUGUAUAUUUUGAAUCUAAGGUCAUGAUUAUUAAAAAAGGCUUUAUAUUCCCACCAAGGGAGAUUUUGUAAUUGCAUGAAAAUGGAUACCAGCUGGCCCUUGUUUAGUGUAAUGCAAUUAUCUAAUAUGAAAGGAUUUGAAAAUUUCAUUUUUGUUAUUUUGUUAGAAGAUUCUGUAUUUAAUUCAUAAUGGGAUGUCUGAAGUCUGAAGUUUUUCCUUCUAUUUUUGUAGCUGUAUGCACGAUUUUUGAAGCAUGAAUGGUGAUUUCUGAAGUCUGAAGUCUGAUUUGAAUUGUCUUAGAAAAACCCAUUAAUCUGAAUGCAAGCUUUUUACUUUGUAUGCUGUCUCUCUCUAAAUCUGGAAUUUCUAUAUUCUUUGGUAUGCAUCUUCUUAUUUACUAGGUCCAAUUUAUGAGUUUGAAUUUAAGGCACGGUUUGGAAAUUUGGAAUUAAAAGUUCAUAAAUUUGAAUUUCUAUAUUUGUUUAUGGUUAGUGCAGAUGGAUAUUGAUGAAGAGAACAUUGAGGCCACGGAAAUGUCAACAGUCAAUCUAAGUGAUACGCAAGGUACAACAAGUGCACCAAGUCCUUCAAAGAGAAAGGCUAAAGGUAUGCGAGUAGGUAAGAUACGUCAAAAGAGAUCCCGUGUUUGGACUUUGUUUGAAGAAUUGCCUGUUGGUCCUGAUGAUAAACAACAUGCGAAGUGUAAAAACUGUGGGAUAGUUUACGUAUGUGAUAGUAAUUGUGGGACGAAAAACCUAUUGAAUCAUAUGGAUACAUGUAAUAAAAAACAUCACAUUGAUAUGAAGAAAUCUCAAGUUGGAUUGCGUUCGCCUCAGUUUAACCAUGUUAGUUUUUGUGAGCUAUUGAUUGAGGCUAUAGUUAAGCAUGAUUUGCCUUUUAGGUUUGUUGAAUAUGAAGGCAUUAGAACUUUGUUUAAAUAGAUAUCUCCUGAUAUCAAACUGCCGUGUAGAAAUACAGUUAAGAAACAUGUGUUGAGGAUGUUUGAAGAUGAAAAGAUAAGACUUCGAGAUUGGUUAAAUACAGUUGAUGGAAGAAUUUGUUUGACAUCUGACCUAUAGUCUUCUGCUACAACUGAUGGAUAUCUCACACUCACAGCUCACUUUGUUGACAAAGAAUGGAAAAUGCAUAAAAGAAUUUUAAAUUUUUGUCAUAUGCCUCCUCCACAUACGGGGGUUGCUUUGUCUGAAAAAAAUUAAUGCCUUAUUAGUUGAGUGGGGGAUUGAAAAGAAAACUGUUUUCCAUUACUUUUGGAUAAUGCCUCUGCAAAUGAUUGUUCUGUUGAGCUAUUGAAGAAACAAUUAAAUUUUAGAGGCUUGUUAUUAAUGGAUGGAAAGUUCUUUCAUGUUCGUUGUUGUGCUCACAUUCUAAACUUGAUAGUCCAAGAUGGACUAAAGGAAAUUGAUGGAUCAGUGACUAAAGUUCGUGAGUGCAUCAAAUAUAUAUAAGUGUUCAGAAGGAGAAAAAUUAAGUUUUUUGCUUGCGUUGCACAAGUAGGGUUGGCAGGUAGUAAAAGAGGGUUGAGACAAGAUGUGCCUACUAGAUGGAAUUCAACAUAUACAAUGCUUGAUAGUGCUAUUUUCUAUCGUCGUGCUUUUCUCAAUUUGGCACUUGUUGAUUCUAAUUUUAGUUCAUGUCCUUCCUUGGAAGAGUGGGAUAAAAUAGAGAAGAUUUCCAAUUUCUUGGGGUAUUUUUUAUGAAGUUACUUGCUUUAUUUCCGGAACAAAUUACCCUACAUCAAACUUGUUCUUCCCGAAAGUGUUCAAAGUUCAUUAUUGUAUUAAAGAUGCUAUGGAAGAUUGUGAUGAUUUCAUGAGACGGAUGGGGAGUUAUAUGAAUUUGAAGUUUGAAAAGUAUUGGUCAGAGUAUAGUUUGAUCCUUGCCAUUGCGGUGAUUCUUGAUCCUCGCUAUAAAUUGCAAUUUGUAGAGUGGGGUUAUGACAAACUCUAUGGUAAGGAGUCAGGAGAGUUGAAGGAUGUUAGUGGCACAUUGUUUGCACUCUUUGGUAGUUACAUGGACAAGUUCUCUCAUCUUCUUGUAUCCAACCCAGUUAAUCAAACUCCUACUGAAAUAAAAGUUGGAGACAAACUUUUUGAGGUAGUAUUUAUAUUUGUUAUUCCUCUGUUUAUACUUUUUAUAUGCAUCUUUAUAUUGUACAUUGAUCUUUGUUUCUAUUUUGUUUUUAUAUGUAGGAAUUUGAUAAUAUUUAUCAAGAUGGGUCAACUUUAGUUGAAAAAACUGAAUUAAAUUUAUAUCUUGAAGAAAAGAGACUCGAUAGAAAACAAGAGUUGGAUAUUCUUUCAUGGUGGAAACUGGAGCAAUUUCGUUAUCCCGUACUUUCUCGUAUGGCUUCUGAUGUGUUAACAAUUCCUAUCUCAACCGUUGCCUCAGAAUCAGCAUUUAGUAUUAGUGGUAGGGUGCUUGAUCAAUAUCGAAGUUCUUUGUUGCCUGAAACUGUUCAAGCCUUGCUAUGUACUAGAGAUUGGCUUUUUGGCAAAGAAGGUAAAUUUCAUAUUUCUUUGUAUUUUUUUAACUUGUUCCAGUAAUAUUAGUCUUGAUUAAACAUGGUAUGUAUUUUAACUUGUUCUUUUAAAGAUAUUUUUCUACUUAAUCUGCAUGUAAUACUAGCUGAGAGAUAUUUUUCUACUUAAUCUGCAUGUAAUACAUAAAGGUGAAUGUUGAAGGCAAAAAAGCAGCAGAGGAUGCAAUACAAGAAGGUUGGCAAAAAAGCAGUAGAGGAUGCAAUGCAAUAAGAAGAAAGAGAGCUAAUUGAAAAACUUUUGUUUGGAACAAAGUGAUACAUGUGAUGAAGAACAAAGUUUACGUAUUGCUUGAUGUGAUUUCGUAUUUACUUAUAUACAAAACUUUAGUAUACGCUACGAAUUAAUUGAUGUGUAAAACGUAAAUUACAUUGAGUUAUAUCAAACAAUGAGUUAGUUGUAAUUCGAUAUCAAACUUGCAAUAGACGAGAAUCAAAUUUAAAAACUUUCUACUUUCGAAAAUAAAUAUCACUGGAUGGUAGUCGGAUUAAUGCUUUUGAUUUAAUUGCACAAAAUGAGGAGCCAAACCAAACUGUCCAUCACAUUCCUGUUUCCCAUCUCUUCCACCAAAACACGCUUCUUUAGCACUCGUCUCCUCUCUCUCUCCUCUCUUUCUCUCUCUUUUUUGUCACAUAGGUUGUAAUUGAUUUGAAUGAAAUGUGUAAAAAAAAAAAAAAAAAAAAAAAAAAACAUGAAACGGAUGAAACGGGUGACCCGUUAAGACCCGUUAGCUUAACGGGUCGGGUUUGGGUGACCCGUUAACUUAACGGGUUGGGUUUGAGUGACCCGUUAAAAUAACGGGUCGGGUUCAACCCGACCCGAACCCAAUAAACCCGACCCGUUUACAGGCCUAACUACAACCACCAUAUCAUUUAUAGCAAUAUGUGUAGAAUACAAUGCAUGAUAUUCGACAAAAUUGUUGUGCUAUCUUCCAAGAUUAGUUGGGAUGGAUUUGAGGAUGACACUCAUGUCGGAUAGCUAAAAAGGAAGAUGUCCAAUCAGUUUAUACAUAAAUCACUCACAGCAAAAACCUAGUAAACCUAUUCACUUCACACUCCAUGAUAUUUUAAUAUGAACUUUAACAAAAUGUUUCAGGUACUGUUCACUUUAACGAAAAAUCACAUUUUAACACUAAAAUGUCAAUUCUGGUACUAUUCAUUUUACUCUUCAUUUUGUCCUUAUCGUUAAAACUUAAAGUUUUCAAGUCAUUUUCAUUAGUUUUCCUUAUUUUAAUUAAUGAUGAUUGAGACAAAAUUCUACUCAUGGAUUUCAAAUUACUUUGGAGGAAGAAACUCAUUUACAUGGAUUUCACUCAGCAUUGUAUUUCAUCGAUUCGAGUAGUAUAGGUAUUAAGUCUUCUUUCAAAGUUCACAUCAAUAAUAAUUGACGUAAAUCGAAAUAUAUAUGAUUAUGAGAUUAAAUAAUAGUUAUAUUAAUGUUUCCUUAAGGCAUUGUGUAUGCAAGUAAAAAUAGCCAGUGUUCUAUAAGUAUUUUUUCAAGGUGCAUUUUUUUUCAGAAAUUUGAGCAAAAUUAUUGUAUGAAUAUAAUAUCCAAUCAAUGGAUGGCCCAUGGUUUUGGAAUUUAAAAUAUAAAUAGAAUAUAUGAAUAUUAACAUACAACUUGCAUUCGGUAUCGUCUACAACUCAAUCUUGCCCCACAAAAGAAUAUGUUGUUUAUAUGUGGUCAACUAAUCCAUUGUUUAACUAAAUCUAAUUACAAAUUAAAUUAAUUUGAAGCUACCUUAAAGGUUUGAUCACUAUUUGUAACACUUAUAUAUGAACAAAAUUAUUUGACUUUUUUUUAAUGCAAAUCACAACUUGACACAUGUGACAGUCCGUCCCGAAAUAUAUUUUCGAUAGCAUGAAAUGACUAUUUUGCCCUUGAGUGUUGGGUUGUGAUUGUGUGAAAUGAACUUAGGUUGUGGACCAAUUCAUUUUCUUCCUAAGUUGUUGGACCCAAUUGGAAGUUAGAUUGUUUUGUUUGUUUUGUUGGCCUGCAACAUGGACCACACACUCACACUCUCCCGUUGACUCUCUCUCUUUCCUUCCUUCUCGGACUUCUUUCCAUUUUGGUACAAUUGUACGGACAAGCUUUCAACCAACCAUUUCAUGCAUGGAUCGAGGUUGUGGACAUGAUUUUCGUGUUCUUUGCAAGCUCAAUAGUUGAUUUAUACCCUUGGUUGGACGUGAGGACUCAUAGAACUCAAGUUACCCGAACUCCGGUGAGGGGUAAAUUUUCUCCAACAUGAUCGCGAAGGUUUUAGGUUGUUUUUAGACCUAAAAAGGUAUUAUUCUUGCUUUUCUAGCAUGUUGGAUCAAUUUUGGAGUGGUUUUAACAUUAGAACACUAGGGUUUAUCAAGUUGCAUGUUUGGCCGAUUUUCACGAGAUUUUUCUGGCGAAUUUCCGUUGAUUUUAGGACUUUGAAAGGUACGAUCAUGUCCUACUUGUUGAGGGCUUCAUUUUGGUAUAAAAUUUGUGAAAUUUGGUGUAGAAAUGAGAAAGAUAUUGAAGUUUAAAGUUUUUCCAGAAUCCGGCAAUAGCAGCGGUGGCCGGCGCCGGACUCCGACGAACCAAGGAAGAAUGAGGAGAAUAUUCUAUCAAAGUUGACGGAAUAUUCUAACGGCGUCAGGUAUCUUUAACGGUAUAUUCUAAAAUUUAACGGAAUAUUCCCUAACGACGUUAAGGAAUCCGUCAGUGUGCCAAACACGUGCCUAUGCGUGGGCGGCGAGUGUGGCUGUGCCUUGGCCGGCGCGUGAGAGCGCUUGUGGCAUCCGAAAUUUUUUCUAAAAAUAUGGGGUUGUUUGUGGGGUUGAGUAGGUCACGUUGGUAUAUUCAAAUACCCCAAUUGAGUAUCAUAUGAAAAGUUACUACCUAAUUUUGGUUAUGUGCUUUAAAAUAACGUUUAUAUAGUUGUUUCGCAUAUAGGUGAGACUUAUCCUGAGGACGAGCGCAGUUAAGUGAGACUCGGGGGCUACGACCCUUCCACAUAUCAGUGAAUGGGCUUUUGGUUUUUAGUAUAUAUAUAUAUAUACACACACACACACACACUUGGUAUUUUUCCCAUAAACUUUAAUUAAAUGGUUUUAUAUGUUUAAAUGCCAUGUCAAAUGCUCUCUAUGUUUAAUUGUGCAGUAGUAUGGUUAUAUAUAUUAUUGAUCGAUGUUGCGGACGCUCAGGUAAGCUUCAAGUGAGUAUAUUAAUGGUAGUGAUGGUGGUGAGUAAUUGUGUUGAGAUGUAUUUAAAGAUUGUUAUCCUGCACCUUAGUGUUAGUCCUCCGCCUGAAGAUAGGGUCUAGCCUUCACGUGAUUGUUCACCUUCCGCACCACACGCUCACCUUGGAUCCAAGGCAGGUGUCAGCCUGUCGUACAGACCACUUUAGGUAGUUCCGACUUGUAGGUGAUUUGUGAUACUUCGCACAGCCUUCACGUGACCGUAGCACUUAAGCAUAUUUAUUUACACACAGCCUAUCGUACAGACCACUUUAGGUGGUUCCGACUUGUGUGCAGAGGACUAGUUGAUGAGUUCUAGAUCCGGUCGUACAGGUCACGUUAAGUGACUCCGGCUGACGUACCAUCUCAUAUUGAUUUAUUUCACCUGACUUACUUAUUUCCUUGCUGAGAUAUUUGACAUGGCAUGAUUAUGGAUUUGCUAUCUUAAACAGGGUUUUGAGAUAUAUUUAUAUGCAUGCUAUUUUCUGGGAAUUAUACAGGUUUUAUGACGAGGGGUUAUUACUUUUGAUAAGUGAAAUGGUUUUGAAAAGCUUUGUUUUUGCCCACUCACACCUUAUGUUUUGCGCUCUUCCAAGUUCUAGUUAUGAGUGCUUGUUGGUGGCUUACAAGGAAUUCACGGCAGCUCUGACAGAUUAUCACUAAUGUAGGACCAUCUUUGGUAUUGUGUAAUUAAUAUUUGUCCUGCUGGACUACAUUUAUGCUACUUAUGCUCUGAUUAUGUGUAAUUAUACCUACAUACCAUAUUUGCACUUAGGUUUCCUUAGUGUAAAUUAGUUAGCUUGGUUUUUAUUCAUUCAAUUCCUUUAUAUCCUUAUCAUUUCCGCAUUGUGUACAUGACUACGUCAACCUCACGUGACGGCCAGCAUACCUCGAUCUAGGUCGGAGUGUGUCAACACAUAUACAAAAGUAAUUCAUUUUGAUCAUAAAACGAAAAUUUAUAUACAUACGUGUCAAUUUUUUUUAUAUAAAAAUGAAUGACUUCUUACAUAUAAAGAACCAAUCUUUUUCUAGUGCAACAAAGAAUUAGUGAAUAUUAUUUCAAGUGGAGAAUAUAUUUUUCAUCAUCUCUACUGGCAUAGCAUAUAGUAUUAGUAUAUAUAGAUAUAUUUUCAGCAUUUUAGCUAAAAUAGUUUAUGAGAUUGGCAUAAGUCAUCACUUUGAUCCUUGAGUUUUAAAAUCGAUAAAACUGGUCCUUGAGUUUGUCCACCAUCAAUCAUUUUGGUCAUUCAAUGAAAAUGUUUGUUUAAAUAAGGAUCAAGAUAACAAAUACCUUCCAUUUAAUGAACAAUGAGUCAAAAUGAGUUAACAAAAAGUAGGGGGUUUUGUGUCAAUUUAUCCUUAUUUAAUGGAGGUUUAUCACAGAAAGACCAAAAUGAUUGACAGUGAACAAACUUAGUGACCAAUUCUAUCAAUUUUAAGUGGAGAAUAUAUUUCUCAUCAUCUCUACUGGCAUAGCAUAUAGUAUUAGUAUAUAGAUAUAUUUUCAGCAUUUUAGCUAAAAUAGUUUAUGAGAUUGGCAUAAGUCCUCACUUUGGUCAUUGAGAUUUAAAAUCAAUAAAACUGGUCCCUGAGUUUGUCCACCAUCAAUCAUUUUGGUCAUUCCGUAAAAAUGUUUGUUUAAAUAAGGAUCAAAAUGACAAAUACCCUCAAUUUAAUGAACAAUGAGUCAAAAUGAGUUAACAAAAAGUAGGGGUUUUAUGUCAAUUUAUCCUUAUUUAACGAAUGUUUAUCACAAAAAUACCAAAAUGAUUGACGGUGAACAAACUCAAUGACCAGUUCUAUCGAUUUUAAAUCUCAAAAACUAAAGUAAUGAAUUAUACCAAUGUCAAAGACCAGAGUGAGAACUUGUACCAAUUCCAAAGAAAUUUUGACUAAAAAGCCUAUAUUUUCUUAUGGUUAAUCUCAGUUUAUUACCCUAAAGUUUAUUGGUUUUCAACAUUUGGCACAUAAAGUUUUUUUCAUCUCAGAGUGGUAUAUAAAGUUAUAAUUUUGGGACACUUUCAUACAUCCAUUAAGGUUGCUGUUAAAUUUGUCGUUAAUUGAUAACGUGGCAUCCACGUGAACAAUGAUUGAACGCCACGUGGGUAUUAAACAAAAUUAAAAAAAAAACUUUUGGUCUUCUCCCUCACCUCUUAUGACCCUCAUCCCUCCCUUCUCUAAUUUGCACCCACCCUUCCUCCUCCCUCUUUACGCUAGUCAAUCAAAAGUCGGAUACUGAAACGCCUUGUCGUUUAACAUCCACCCUCGUCUACUUUUUUGUUUCUUCUUCUCCUCCCAAAUCUCUCUUUCUUCUUCUCAUAGUUCAAUGCCAUGGCAUUCCCGCUCGCCGUUGACCACCACAACCCUAACCCUAACCCUAACCACCUCCACCUUGAAUCCCUCCCUCUUAUAGACCUCGACAUCCUCUCUCAAUCAGGCCUCUACUCUCUCUCCUUCACCUCAUCCUCAUCCUCUUCUCAAUCCCACCCCACCCGCCACUUUGACGAUGACGUAUUGAUCCCCAAAAUCGACUGUUCUGUCUUCAAUGAAUCCACCAUUCCCCCUCCCUCUCGAAGUCCACAUUCUCCUAAACCCUAUCAGGCUCCAGAUCUCCUUCUGCACCCACAUCACCGUUCUUCGGGUUCCUAGGCGUUGCCGCGACGCUCAUCUUCUCUUGUAUGUUCCGAUUCGACCCAGAUCUAAGCGCAUAGGGUUUGGUCCGGACAGAUAUAGGGAUUUUGAUCAGAUUUUGUGUGUUUUGCAGGUAUGGGAGCGGCGUAUGGGACAACAAAGAGCAGAGUAGGAGUGGCAUCGAUGAGAGUGACAAGGCUGGGGCUAGUGAAGAAGUCGAUCGUGCUGGUGGUUAUGGAGGGAGUGUUGAGUAUUUACGAACUCAUCAUCGCCGUCAUCAUCAAUACCGGUAUCAACUCCAAGGCUAAGUCCUAUUACCUUUUCGAUGGCUAUGCUCAUCUUUCGAUGAAGUGGGUGGAGUCGAAGAGGGAGGGGGAAGGGUGGGCGCAUAGGAGAGAAAGGAUGGGGGUCGGAAGGGGUGAGGGAAAAGACCAAAAGUUUUUUAAUUUUUUAAUUUUUUAAUUUUUUAAUUAAUUAAUUUUUUUAUUUUUUAAUAUUCACUUAACGUUCAAUCAUUGUCCAUGUGGAUGCCACGUCAUCAGUUAACGGUAAAUUUAACAGCAACCUUAACGGAUGUAUGAAAGUGUCCCAAAAUUAUAACUUUAUGUACCACUCUGGGGUGAAAAAAAAAUUUCAUGUACCAAAUGUUGAAAAUCAAUAAACUUUAGGGUAAUAAACUGAAAUUAACUCAUUUUCUUAUGUUUUCAAAGGAGGCAUCUCAGUCAAAACAUACGCCCGUCUUAUCAAACAAAUUAACCUCUUUUUGACGUAAUUAGUACAUGACUGACUUCCACUUUAUGACUAAUAACGCAAGUAGUAUACUAUAUGUGGAUGCAAAUUUUCUCCGCUUCGAUCUUGGACGAUUUUGCACCUACAAAACAACUAGCACCUUAGGUUAAGGCCAAGAGCCUCACGCGCCCACGAUGAAUGGGGGGGGCUUUGGCCGAAGAACCUCCGAUGCCAAAGUUAGAAUUUUAGAGAGCAAUAGUGUUUAGAAUAUUUGGGAUUUUUUGUAAGAGAAUUGGAACUAGUGUUUUGUGAAAAUGGGACCCAAUUUAUAGGAGAGGAAAUGGUGAUUUAUUUUGGGGGGUUAUGGAGAUAAUGGGCUAGUUAUUUUGGGGAGUUAUGGAAAUAAUUGGCUCGUUAAUUAGCAAAUAGUAAUAACCUAAUUAACUAGCUAUUUGAAUGUCAUAAAAAGGGGGAGAAAAUGGCAGCAACAAACAGAAAAUAAAGGGCAUGGCCGGCCCUAGUGGGGUUUUGGUUAUAAUUUGGAGGUUUAGUUGAUAAUUAAGGGAUUGAUUAGGUAAUUAAUCCCUUAAUUAGUCAAUUUUAGGAAAUAUGAAAGGAAUAAGUAUAUUAUUUAGCUAAUUGAUUAGCUAAAUAAUGAAAUGGGAAAUAUAUGAAUAAAUUAGGUUUUAAGUUGAUACCUAUUUUGGGUACUUUUGACUUGGUUGAAGGAUAAUUGUCUGCUGAUUGCACGUAGGAAUCCCGGUAUACCUCAAGGGUAGUUUUGUCUUUUUUUGUCAAAAAUCCACGUGUCGCCUUGUGGUUAUUUUUUGCUCUACACUAUAAAUAAAGGCAAUCUACUUAAUUAAACUAGUCUAUUAGUCAUGGUCCACCAAAUAUAUAAGAGAACCUAUGUAACGGUUUUCAUAUCUAUAUUAACCAAAAGAUGAACAAAUUAUUGGAGAGAGGUUAUGGGAAAUUGGUCUACCUACUACCAUACGAUAUAGUGUUAGUUGUCUCUAUUCGGUUGCGAAAGGUCUCAAUUCCGAGUUUUAUGGAUAAGUAAGACAAUAUAUAUUGCAACGAGUUUGAAAUAUAAUUAUGAGUAAAUCAAUUAGAAUGAUGUGAUUUUAUUAUGAUGACCUGAUGCGACAUAUCGUUCGUGCAUAAGUAACCUAAUUCAUGCAUGAAUACUGGAAGUGAAAAGUCGCAAAUUAAGUAUGGUAGAUAUAAUGAUAUAUAUAUAUAUAUAUAUAUAUAUGUACGUAACUAAUAGUGUAACUUGAAGAGAAAUACAGUGGGAUUUCCUUCAACCUAGAGAAACAAAAACUAGGUGCUCAAGUGAGGAGAAAUUUUUCAGUGUGCUGGUAACACGGUCUGAUACACUAAAUGCCAUAAAUACAAUUAACAAACAUAUUCUAUGUAAAAAUUGACAAAUAUUUUAUUUGGUUGAAAAUUGUCGACGUGAGGUGCGAGUAGGGAUGGGCAACGGUUAUGGUGGGCGGAUAAUCAUGAUUAUUUACCCAUAACCGUUUAUGUUCAUACCCGCAUAACCGUUUACCCGUUGGGUAAUUGCAUAAACGGUUAUACCCAUAACCAUAACCGUUUAUAAACGGUUAUCCAUACCCAUAACCAUGUACCAAUUUAACCAUAACCAUUUACCCAUUUAACCAUAACCAUAACUAUUUACCCGUUUACCCGUUUUUGAGCCCGUUUAUCCUUUUUUUACCCAUUUAUCAUUUUUUCACCCGUCUACAUGUUUUUUUUAACAACUUGAAAAUUACAAAAGAAAAAUUUGUCAUAAUUUUUGUUUUCUGAUAAUUAAACACCAUUAUAAGUACAUUUUAGCAUGCAUUUCUCUAUUUUAAUCAUUUAAAUCCUCAUACAAUUCUAAUAAUUGAAAUAAUAGUUCACGCCUAUUUCAUAUUUCUUGGAGAGAAAUGCGACUUUCAAUUAUUGUAAAAUAAUAGUUUACGCCUAUUAUAUUAUUUCAAUUAUGGUAAAAAAGCGAAGUUGGGGAAGCUUUGAAUCCGAACUUGGCAACGUGCGGAAAUAUAAUUGAAGUUUGGCUCUGUUGGUUGGGGUCGCAGGUCGCUGGGAAGGAGAGGAGAGAGAGAGAGCCUGCUUCUAAAACCCCUCAAAAUCCAUAAUUUUUUAUUAUUUUUACAUAUAUUAAAUUAAAUGAAUAAAUGGAUAUUUGUAUAACCGCGGGUAAUACCCAUAAACGAUGGAUAUCCGUUAUAACCGCAAGUAAUACCCAUAAUCGUCCAUUUAAAUUUCAUGGAUAAACAGUUAUACCCAUAACCGUUUGUUCGUCUAAACGGUUAUCCAUAACUAUAACCGUGAAUUUUAAAUGGACAGAUAAUCGCGGUUAUUCAAACCCAUGAAUACUUUACCCAUCCCAGGUGCGAGUGAGUCGUUGUCCUCCUCAUCAAGUUGGGGACUUAGAAAUCGACAAGACUAUGAACAAGCCAAGCCGUUUUCCUCCUCUUUAUCACUAUCUUAGAAAAUUCCACAGAAAUGGACAAAAACUGAAACCCAAAAUUAAGUUCUUGAAAAAAUUAGUGGCUGCAGAUUCAAAACCUUCUGGUCGGCUAAGAUCUUUAAUUUCCAAGGGCUUUCUGCUUCCCGUAUUUAGGGUUAGCCUUAUCAUCUAGUAAAUUUUUCAUUCACAUUUUCUUGUGCGAUAUUGGAAUUUUAUUAAGUUAGGAGAAUGAGAAUUUGAAUUCAAAGUGUAGAAAAAGGAUUACUGCUCUAGCUAGCCGACUUGCAAGACUCAAUAUCAUUUGAACGGAGUAGGAUUAUCUCCUAUUUUUUUCCUCUUCUAUUUGAACGGUCACAGUUCAACCACGUCGAUAUCUUAUAUUAAUUUUUUAUAGCGAGAAAAAGACAAAAUAAGAGAAUGUAAGAGGAGGGGAUGAAAGGGAAUAGAAAGAAGAGGUGAGAGAAUCUUAAUCCCAUUUGAACCAUCAAGUUAAGAUAAAUAUGGGGAUCUGUGACAAUUCUUUUACACAAUUUUUGACACACGUUUAUGUAGGGCACACUCCAUAAUCUAUUUUAACCAUUCCAACUGAUUAUCUUUUAGAACAACAUUCAUAGAUCAUCCUUAAAAAAAAAAUUAGAUUAGACAAAUCUAAAAUCAUUAAGACGUUCAUUUGUAGUGAAGAAAAUAGACGAAUACGGUUCUACAAAGAAACCUUAAACUCUUAAUCCCAUGGUUAUAUGGUUUCAGCUUUCAAUGAUUUUGGGUAAACAUUAUCUUUGAGAAAAAAUUUAAAAGAUUGAUAUUUCAGAUCGUUAAAAUACAAUAUUACGAAAUGAGUCCUAAAAAAAACUUUGUCGAAAGUUAUGCACAAAAAAAUAGUAUCACGGAUCUGUUCUCAUUAUAUAUAUAUAAUUACAAAUGUCAUAAUAAAAUAAUAAAUGAAUGUAGGAGUUGUAAAAGUCAUGCAGUGUGUAUGACAUAUGCAUUGUAUCUAGAGAAACGCCGUACAGAAAAUAUCAUGUUACUAUACAGUUAUGAUUACUCUUAUAAUAAUCGAGCUGAUGGUGUGACUUGACCGUACAGAUUCAUGUAUAAAAUAAUGAAAUGAUGCAAAUCAAGGAAAAAUAUUGUUUUGUGAAUCAUGAGGCUGAUAGGGUAUCCGAAUCAUUUCUCUUCUUCAUUUAUGCCAUUUUGGAAUGUAGAUGAAGGAUACUUUGUAUUGGAAGUGAAAGUGAAAUAGAGAUGUGAAAAAGGAGAAAAAUGAUACACGAAAACCUUGCUUAGAAUCCACGUUCUCUAGACUCACAAGUCCAAAUCGAAUAAAUUGUUAUUCGUCUCUUCUUUUAAAAUGUUUUUAAUAUAGUAAAUAGUCAUAUCCAAGAUAAUCUCUCCCUAUCAAAUGAGGCUAUAUUGUUUCUAACUUCAUUAGUUUGGAGACAAAGACCCACCACAGUUACCACUUAUUAUAUUCUUUUUAUGGGAAUCAUCUCCGAAUCUCUUUCAUCAAAUACACCCAAUCAAUGAAUCUGUAUAUUUGAAAUUUGAUCCAAUGACUAAAAACAGGGGGUCCCUUUAAAAGUUAUAAUAACUUUAGACGUUGAAUCAAAUUUUAAAGAUCCGAAUUCAUUGAUUGGAUGAAUUUGGUGGAAGAGAUUCGGAGAGGAUCCCUUUCUCUUUUUAUGAGCAAUUAAUUACAAAAAAAUUUUCCAGCUAAUUUUUUUCCAGAUUGUCUGCACUCAUGUUUGGGUGCCCUUCACAUCCCCUCCUAUUAUGUGCGGUCACGGUUAAGCCACGUCAAUAUUUUAUAUUAAUUUUUUUUAUAGAGAUAAUAAGACAAAAAGCAAUAAGAAUAUAAAAUGUUGACGUGGCUUGACCGUGACCGCAUAAAUAGAAGGGGAUGGGAAGGACACCCAAACAGAAGGGCAUACAAUUUGUCUCCCUUGUUAAAUGAGUACUCCACUCAAAUUAUGAUUAAACAUUUGAUUAAUUAAUCUAAUUGUGUCAGAAACCCUAAAGGGGAGCGCAAGAAUAGUAAACAAUUAACAUAAUCUGAUUAGCGUUUAAGGGUUAUCUACGUUGGGAACCUCAGUACGGACCCCAUUUGCACCGGCAAGGCCAUGCACCUAAUCCAUUUCAAGAAUUAAUAUGCAUAUAUGCUCUUCUUUUUCCAGAAGCCACUUUCAUACUUGCAUUAUCAUCAACGGUAUAUAAUCAUCGCAUGAUUUCUCAUCAUAUAACUAAUCACGUCACGAAAGAUGGAAUUUAAAUUCUCUUUGGAUCUCGUAAUCUAGAACUGACGGACCAUGUAAUCCGGAUCGUUCAAGAGAGAGAAAGAGAUCUGAACCUUUGAUUUUACGGAGUGAUCAAUGAGAUGAAUUAAUAGAGACUGUAAAAUUUGAAAUAAGUGGUCCGGACUAUUAAAUCUGUUAACUCUGGAUUGCGAGAUCCAAAGAGAUCUCGAUUCUAAAAGAUGCAGACAAAUGAAUUUCAACCGGCGAGCGGUGACACUAGAUUCCGUGCGCGAGAAAGGUAGAAGAAAAAAUUUGGGAAAAUAAAGUUCAUCUAUUGAAUUAUUAAAAGGAAGAUGCUCUUCUUGUAGUGCAUGAUAUGCAGGGAACAUAAGUAGAAAGCUGUUUAGCUGCUUUAGAGGAGUUGGGGGACCAUCUGAUGCGGCUUUAGAGCAAAUUAGGUGAACUUGUUCUCUUCAUUUACCUCGAAAAUAUUUCAUUUAUUUUUCAACAACUUAGGCCAUCUCUAAGGCCAUCUCCAACCGAAGGGUCCAGAGGGCCAGAGGGCCGAAAAUAGCCCUAAAAUCGUCUCCAACCGAGGGCUAGGCCAGAGGGCUCUGGAAUCUGGGAGGGCCCCACGGGAUCGGAGAGGGCUGGAGGGCUGGCUGCUUUCGGCCAGCCAGCCAGCCCCGGGGCUGGCUAUUUUUUUUUUUAAUGUUUCCUAUUGCUGUCGGUUAAAAUCGACAGCAUUAAAGAGCUUUUUUUUUUUUUAAAUAGUUCUACUAUUAGUGUCGGUUAUAACCGACACUAAUAGUUUGAAAUGUUUUUGAAUGUAACGGCUAGUAGCCGUUGGAUUAUUAGGCCUCUCUUUUUUCUUUUUCUUUUUUUUUUUAAUGAAUUUAAACUUCUUUUUUUCCCUUUUUUUUUCCUUUUCAUAUGAAUCAAAUUUUUUUUCAUAUUUUUUUUCCUAUAACUUCUAUUUCACAAAAUUUGUUUCAUAUUUUUUUUCAAUUCUAUUUUUUUCGUAUAACUUCCUAGGCCAUUUAUACAACAUUAAAUUGUAGUUUUUAAAUAAUAAAUUAUGUUUGGCCCUAUGGCCCUUUGGCCCUCGGUUGGAGACGGUUUUUUGUGACAGGGCUAAAACGAGCCCUUUGGCCCUCUGGCCCUCGGUUGGAGACAGAGGCAAAUAUGGCCCUGUACUGUUCAUUAAAAUAUUAAUAUCUUGGGGAAUCUUGGAGGGCCAGAGGGCUCAAACGAGCCCUCUAGCCAGCCCUCGGUUGGAGAUGGCCUAACCGAGGGCUGGCCAGAGGGCACGUUUUAGCCCUCUGGCCCUCCAAGAUUCUCCAAGAUAUUAAUAUUUUAAUGAACAAUACAGUGCCAUAUUUGCCUCCGUCUCCAACCGAGGGCCAAAGGGCCAGAGGGCUCGUUUUAGCCCUGUCACAAAAAACCGUCUCCAACCGAGGGCCAAAGGGCCAUAGGGCCAAACAUAAUUUAUUAUUAAAAACUACAACUAAAAUGUUGUUUAAGUUUCAUGUUGUAUAAUUUUUAUGUUGGUUAAUGUUAUUUAAUGUUGUUUCAUAUUGUUUAAUGUUGUUUCAUGUUACUUAAUUUAAUUUAAUGUUGUAUAAUGGCUUAGGAAGUUAUAGGAAAAAAAAUAGAAUUUAAAAAAAAUAUGAAACAAAUUUUGUCAAAUAGAAGUUAUAGGAAAAAUGGAAUUUAAAAAAAAUAAUAAUAAUGUAAAAAAAAAUCAAAUCAAAUGCAACGGCUAGUAGCCGUUUCAUUUGAAUUUAAAAAAAAAAAAUCCUGUCGGUUAUAACCGACAGGAAUACACCAUUAUUUAGUAUAUUAAAUAAUAGCAUGUAUUCCUGUCGGUUAUAACCGACAGGAAUAACAAAACUAUAAAAAAAAAAAAAAGCCAGUAGCCAGCCCUUUGGCCCUUUGAAAUUCCGUGGGGCCCUCCCAGAUUCCCGAGCCCUCUGGACCCUUCGGUUAGAGAUGGCCUUAACUUAUAAGUGAACUUGGAAUACUUUGAUACGAGAAACGCUAAGGAGAUUCUCUUAAAAGUAGAACUCUCUAUGAAUUUUCUACCGUCUAAUAUUUUUGACACAAUGUUUUAUACUACCAACACCAGAAUUGUUGUUAAAUUGUGAGGUGACAGAAAAUUCCACUUUGAGAAACUCCCCUUAACAUUUCUCCUUUUAUACUAUGCGUAUGAGAAAUGCUAAGAAGUUUUAUGUAGACUCUUCACCUCAUUUUUUUGGCACAAUAUUUUAUAAUAUUUGCACGAAAAAUAACGUUAAACUGUAAAGUGACAGAGAGUUCAUAGAGUCCCAUCGGCCGUGAACUGACAAUUUGGGUUACAGUAAGAUAAUAUUCUCCAAUAGUUUCGAAAUAAUUGAUGUCGCGAAACGGCGAGACUGAAUCAGACGGCGAGGCGAAAUCAGGGAGUUAAAGUGACGAUUGUUCAGCUCGAGGGAGCAAAAGUCAGACUCGAAGUUAGCUUGAGGAGCGAAUGAAUAAUUGAGAAUUGAAAAUACUGCUUCUGUGGCCGCCACAUCUGAAAGCGCUUUUUGUUCUUCCAAAAGCACACACAGCAAGAACAACACAAGAAGAACACUAAACAAUGCAGGUAACAAAAUGGAACAAAGCUAUAGGCGGUGGCAUUAAGCGCUAAUUACACUUCAAACGCCAAAAACUACAGCAACCUAUAUCUACAUUCUGUAAAAUUGAACAACAGAAACCUACAUAACGAAACAACAGACGGACGCCAUUCGUUUAUUCAUCGGCCCUCUUCGCCCUAAAAUCCGAACACCAGGCGGUACCCUUAUCUUCCGAACAAGAUCCCUCCAGCCCACUAGUUCCCUCUUCCUGUACAUUAAAAUUGUCACGGCCGCUACGACUAUCUAAAACACUUGCCAUAUUGGAUAUCCCAGGCAGAGAGACCAGACCCAUGGCUGCAAUGCUGUUUGCAAUGACGUCAACGUCCCUGGUUCCACUAUAGAGACCCCUGCUCCCAGUAACAAGCAUGUUGCGAUUCUCGUGUGCAGUUGUUAUCAUAGCAGGCAAUACAUCCAUCAGCUGUGAGCUAUUCUGGGUUGAACCACUGAUUAGAAGUCGUCGUAGUGUCUCUCUGGCACCCUUCUCCAGCAUGGAAUCAGUUUCAGGAAUGUUCACAAGUUUCGAGUGCAGGGGAGAUAUUGCAGUUGAAAUAGCAGGACCGGCGCUGACCAAGUAUCCUUGACCCGACGAGCAAAUAUCAAUAACUGGAAUGUGAACAAUUGGGUCGCACAUCAAGGGUAUGAAAGUUGGGAUCUGCUGAGAAGAUGGCCUUGGUAGCCUAACCAGUGGGUCUGGGAGAAAUGCAGGGAAAUCAAGCAAGGGGGAAUCAGCCAAAUGAAGAGGUGGUUUUGUUGUCAACAUGCUGGAGGGCAUAUUGGGUGGUAAUAAAGAUGAAAGUGGUGGAAGCAAUGCUGACUCUGUCGAUAAACUGGGUAGUUCAGGAAGUCCUGGCGAGUAUUGCAAAUCCGAUGAACCUGGAGGGCACCAACAAUAGUAAGGAGAGAGCAGAGGGGUGACCAUGUAAGGAACUUGUGAUGCAGGGUUCCUGGUUUUCUCUAGCGACUCUAGGAAACCUGAAGAUGAUAACGAGCAACUUCUAAUAGGUUCUGGACACCAGUCACUUUCAGCAUGAUUUGAACAAGAUGAAUCGACUGUGAAUGUGAUUGGUGAAGCAACUGUUGGGUUGUCAAUGGCUGAAAGAUAGAUGUCGCCUCGCUUCCUUAAUUUCUCCCUGGUAAUAUUCCUCAGAGAAGACAAGGUUCUGGGCAGAUCUUUGAAGGAACUUGACCGUGGACUCAGGCUACCCUGAAAUGAUGAAUUUGCCUUCAUUGGUUGAUUGACACCAUGUCGGGAACGCAGGGAUUUUGAUGAUGUGGAUGAGAAGUGUCCGUGUUGAGCUGUAUCACAUGGUUCUGUGGUGGUAUACGUAUCAGAAGGUGAGCCUGCAGAACUUGACGCACCGCCACCUGCUGUUGAUCCCACCAGAUAGGCACGUAGGUGAGUUGCAAAGCAACCGAGGCGAGAUUCACUGAUACCAGUUAACUCAGCUAUGGUGGGCUUCCUCUUGAGCAGAUCCUUCAUCUGUACACAAACAAAGUACGUUGAGUUAAAACUACUGUUGGAACCAAAUACAUCAAAUCAAUAUUACUUGUUAUAUACACACCUUCAAAAGCAAUUCAAUUCCCAAAAGUCGUGAUGUCUCAGAGCACCAAAAGUAAAAAUCCGGUCAUCUGGAAUUUUAAUAAGGAAAGAUCGGCCAGAAUUGUCUGCUGGAAUCUCAUUAACUUCUACAGCAGAGCAUUCGGAUUUAUUAUGUAAGGUGCACAGUCUAUCUAUACGACCAUCAUCCCCAACGAAUGAAAGGCGUAAAUUUGAAGUUGGCAAAACUGUUAGAUUUAAAUUGCCCCUGAGAUAACAUGAAAAGAUAAUGAAAGCUUAGAAAUACAGAUAUAAACAAUAAACAAAUAAAACACAACAAUAUCAACCAGAAACUACAUUACACGGUUAUGUUUUGAAAGUGGUUUCAAAGGAGAGGAACAAAGAUAUGAAGACUAAAAUUGAAGGAGCACAAUCACUCGAUAUAAAUCUAAUUGUGCUUUCUCAAUUAACAAAAUUAUUUCUUUUUUCCUUUUGCUUUUCCAUUGAUAAAAUCCAAAACAAAUUCAAGCAAUUAAAUUGCUAAUUUGAAGGCUUUACAGACAGAGGUAUCUGUUCACCAUUCUAAGAAAACAAAUCACCAUGCAGGAUCACAACCAUUUUCCUUGAAAGUUCAAAUAUUAAGCCCUUUAAAAUAGCUAUCACAAAAGCUAUUAUUUAGAGAUGCAUCAACGUCAAUUUUGUAUCUUGAAUCCUAAAAAUACUAAAACCUGAUAAAAGUUGGACUCUCCAGUGACCAGCAUAAAUGAAAGGUACACAACCAAGGCAAAAAGGUGUAUCUUCCUGUUUUUCACUGAUAAAUGGGUUAUGAGAUAAUGUUACUUUUAUCAAGCAAAAGCAUUUCACACAAAUGUUUCUUUUCUGUAAAUAUAUAAAUAAACAGGAAGUUCAAGUAACACGCCGUCAAUACACCAUAUGACUGGAAGAAAGACAUAAAGUAGUACAUUGAUGUCCAAUUCAGUUAAGAAUAGCUCGACGUUAAUAAAGAAACAUAUGCUUGCAGAACCAAACAAACUUCUGGAACACAGUAGGAAGAAACGACAUAACUCUGAAACACAACAAUCAGUCACACUCGAUUUUGAUCUCCAUCAAGAUGUCAAUCAUUUAUAAUUAAAAUGCAGCAGCAAGCUAUAUAAUAUAUAGGAUCGUGGAACUACCUUUACGUCCUCUUAAUUCAGAGAUCAUAAUAGAAUAUGCCCACAUUACCUACAAGUCAAAAGACAUAUUUACUUGGAAGAAUGAACAUUGUCACUACUAAUAAACUAAAUAGAUUCCCCUACCUACGAAAACAUUAUUUACUAAAGAUACACUCCUCACAACAUAAGAUUUGUUCACAAACUCAAUACUAUAUCAAAAUUCCUUCUACCAAACUAAGGGAAUUGUUUAUUUUGUAACCACUAAGGUAACUAACCCGCAAGUAAAAGUUAAUGAUACAUGCCAAUGAUGUUAAUUAUAAUAAAAGGAAAUAAGAACUGCAAACUAUAUCAGAAUAGCCAUAAAUUGAUUUAUUGACAAAAGACUGAUAAGUAAAAGAUACGUAUAAAUAAAUGCAGACCAAAACAUUCAAUGGAAAAUAUAAGCUUCAUCUGACAUCAUUCUGCUUAUGUAUUGUAAACAAAUGUCCCUUUCUUCACAUAAAUUGAUUUAACAAGUACAUCAUUAAAACUAACCUCCAAAAUGUGUCUCCAUGUCUGACUGCAAAAACCAUGAUGCAGUACAAAGUGACAUCAAGAUGCAGUGCUUUUCACAGCAAAUAGAAAUCCACAAGUCAAACAUGGUUAAUAUGAUGGUAUUUCCCAUGGCUAUCACAAAAUGCUACUACCCUCAAAAUCCACAAUCAGGGAUUCAUGAUUCCAAAAAUUGUUACACUAAAUUAUAUGGUAAUUUUGGUGAUUGAAAAUACCUACCAUCUCUAAAUGAUAAACGACACAUUAAGCUUUUGUAGAUUAUGAUGUUUCUUAAUAAGAAGCCAAAACCAUAAAGACAUUUGACCUAAGAAUGUCUUCCCCACAUUCAAAGUUGUAAUUGAACAUUCAGUCUAUAAGAGUGAAGCCCCAUUGUGCAUUGUUCUGGCUAGGUGACAUCACUUUCCGAUUCCCAUACGACAAACCAUAACAAAUCCAUGUUUUAAGUAACGAAAGUAAGUCCCAACCCAUAUGAGAGCAAGCUUUCCAAUCAAUUUCACACAUAAAAAUUUAACUAACAAACAUACACAGCAAAGAGUUUCUGCUGAGUUGUAUAAUAAUCCAAAACAAUAAUUCAAAACUAACUUGAGUGAACUUUCCUAGAACAUUCUCUAAAGGUGACCCAGAAAUAUAAAUGCAUACAAAGAUUCACAGAAAGACUACUUUCUUAAGUUCAUAAUCAACAUGAAAGAUGCAGUCCAAUCUCCCAAUAAAAAUCAAACACGCACAAUUACACAACUAAUACUUUUCUACACGAGGACCUGGAAAUUAAUAUCGGACAAAUUUGAACUUACGGGAGUAAAUUAAAUGUUUGAUUAACUGCGAAACAUCAGACGGUACUAACAUCAGGACAUUACUAACAACAGUUAAAUCGAAGGCCAAAGAUUUCCAGCAAAGCUAUCUAAAUGCAAAGACAAUCAGUUGUUCUAAGUGAUUGACUUUGUACGGUUCUUGUUCAAACUAUUUAAACGAGCAAAAAUAAUGAAAAACAUCAAUUACAAACAACAUUUCAAACAAACAAACACACAGGCGAAAACACACCAAACCAGAGCACCAAUGGAUAUCGAUAGUCGGAUGUUUACCUAGCAGCAGUGGGACACAAGAGAGUCCCUUGCUUGUUGAUCUUCCCCACACGAAUAGAUACGAGAGGUAUACAGAAGCACCUCGCAAGCAUUCCAACUUCCGCCGGCUCGAAAUGCUAUUCAUCAAACACAAAGUGUGAGAUCAUCAAUUUGCAAAACCCGAAAUCAAUAUAAACUUAACCCCCAAAAUUAUGCCCACAUUUCGACAGAUUUCAACAACAUUCCAUCCAAUUCACAAAGUAUUUUGCAGUUACUCCCACCAAAAACCAUUGAAUGGCAAAUAGAGCUUCAAUUCAAUCAAGUUAGGCCAUUUCUAUCAUACCUGGCUCAAUUGAGCUAACAAUCGAUCCUCUGCGACGUCGUUCGACACAUUCAUCUUCAACAACGGUUUCAACCUCUCGUCGACGCGACACGCGCCCAUAACCUGCAUAUCAAGCGCUUGUAGGCACUGCAAAACGCGGUCCUCUCGAUUGCUCUGCUGCAGCAACAGAUCUCCAUCUCCUUCGUCAACAAGUAUCCCCGUCAACCGCUCCUCGAGCCCGGUCUCCCUCCUCGCCGCCGGUCCAGCUCCGUUGCUCUCCACACCGUUCGAAGACGACGAGUCCUCCAUUUCCCCACCGCUCCAUUGAUCAGAAAUGCGAUCGCCGCCAUUGAUCUCGUUGUUCGUGUCUAAAUCUCGGUCUCCAUGGUUAGUCAUCGCGAAUAAUAGGGGAAAUUUCCUUCAAAUCUCAACUCGUCUUGACAGAUUCGAAACCCUAAUCGAAUUCAAUUCUUUUUGUUAAAUUAAACUUAUUUUUUUCAAAUUACGGUUUCCAAAUCUGAAUCGGAAGCCCCGGAGAUGGUUGAGAUUGAACCGGAAAAGCAAGAUUGUUUUGCCGAUUGCGUGGGUGAGGAGAGAGAGAGAGAGGAGAUAAGGCGGUGUUUUUAGAGAGAGAAGAAAUAAUAAUUGGUUUUGUUACAAAAACGGAAGGACGCAAAUGGCAAUGGGGUCGGUUUAUAUAAAUACAGCUGGGCAGGGACUGGAUUAUAAUACGAGGCGGACUUGAAAGCCGCCUAUCCAAUUCGGUUGUGUUCGGUCUUGAAAUCCGGGCGUGAUUGCAUAGGCACCACGUCAGCUUAUCAGACUGUGGGGACGAUAAAUUUUUAGGUGUGACGGAAACACAGAUAGUAUAUCAAGUGUUUUUAGCAAGUGGUGGAAAAUUUUAAUUUUUAAGUUAUUAAACUUUUAACACAUAUAACCUAAUAUUUCUAUAGAAACAAGUGGUGUAUCAUUUCAUGUGACGGUCACACUGAAAAAUCUCUCAUGUAGGACCUGAGUGUCCGAUGGAGCCAGCUGCAUUGGGGGUGGGGAGAGACGCCACGUCAGACGCUGAGCGGAUCAUGGUCAUUUAAUUCAGCAACAGGAGAGCGAGUGAGCUGCGGCGGCGUCGGAUAAGGGGGUGGCUGCUAGCGUGCGCGUUGGAUGGGGACGGGUUGAGGAACAACAAAACAAGAUUAAUUUAUUGGUUUUUUCCCAAGAGAGGAGAUUGGAAAUUGAGACAGCUUUCUUCUUAUUCCUUUCUUUUCAAAUUAAGGAAAUGUUAACGAGAUCAAAUUUAUAGAUAAGAUUUUGUAAAUUAAACGAUGUAGAAGUUGAUUAGAUUAUUAAGUAUUAAUGGACAUGUUCAUUUAUAUUAGUGACAAGUCAUUCAGUUUGUAAAUUUAAUCUAUAAAUUUAGUCUCUCAAGUAUUAACCUUCAAUUUAUAGCUAAUUGAGGCUUACUAUUCAUUUAGGUGUGUUGUCAGUUAGCUUUUAGUCUAAUAAUCUUUUUCUUUUUCUCAAAUUGAAAGUUUGUCUAUAGUAUGAACCUUUUAUAGAUAAUAUUAUUCGCACAUCUGCUUUUACUUUUAACGCAGGGAUUGAAUGAAUUGAAAAAAAAUCAACCGACAAAAACGAACAAGAAUGUAUGAAAGAUAAAAAGGAUGUGUGAAACUUACAAAUUUUAUCUACAAUUUUAGUCUCUCUAACUUUUUCUUUAAAAAAUUAUCUUUAUGCUAGGUCCCAUGAUACGUAGAGUUUUGAUUGGGUGCAACCUUGUGCCCACAUUGAAAGUGAGUGUCACGUUUAGAGCAAAAAUAACAAUUUAUGGGAAAGAUAUCUUCUCUGUGAAACUUACAAAUUUUAUCUACAAUUUUAGUCUCUCUAACUUUAUCUUUAAAAAAUUAUCUUUAUGCUAAGUCCCAUGAUACGUAGAGUUUUGAUUGGGUGCACCUUUGUGCCCACAUUGAAAGUGACUGUCACGUUUAGAGCAAAAAUAACAAUUUAUGGGAAAGAUAUCUUCUCUGAAUUUCUUCCACUAAUGUCACCCGAUCAAGUGAUUCGAGACUUUCAAAUUUCAUCCAACGACCUAUCUGUUUUGACCACUUAAAAGCUGUAAUAAUUUUUUUACUGUUGGAUGAAAUUUGAAAGGUCUAGAUCACUUGAUUCGAUGACAUUGGUGGAAAAGAUCCGAAAAUGAUCUCUUUUCCAAUUUAUGCAUUGUCUAAAUCCCAAAAUUUAAAUUCAUCGGCAAUCAAUAUAACAUGGUGAGCAAAACUAUUUCGCUUUUGCUUUUCUUAAGUUUACCUUUUUGUUCCGUUGAUUGGGGUAAAGGAUACUACAAUAAAAAUUCCAAUACAAUGGAAGUUUGAUGACAAGGGAUCAGGAUCCUCCCUUCACCCUUAAAAACUGAACAUGCUAAGUAAGCAAUUGUGGCCGUUGAAAUUUGAUUCAACGACUACAACAGGAGGAUCAUCUAAAGUUAUAAUAAUUGUAGCCGUUGAAUCAAAUUUCAACCGUCACGAUUGCCUGCUCAGCAGGCUCAGUUUUUAAGGGUUAGAGAAGAUCCUGAUCCGAUGACAAGGAAAAGGUUAGAAGAGGAAAAUAACACCAAACGGGGCAUAAACCAUAAGAUCAGCAUCCAACAGGAUCAUCUCCCGAUUUUUUAUGAGAAUUUUGGAGAUCUGUAAAUCUUAUCCUUUCAUCGUAUAUCGUAAGAUCAGUUUUUAUCAGGUACUGUUUGUGUUUAAUUUUAUAUAAAAAUAUUUAAAAUGAUUUCUUACCAUACAAUGAACGAUGAACAGACAUAAUUCAUGGAUCUUCGGGAUCCUCACAAAGAGGAUCCGGCGGGGAUCCGGACCCGAUCAGCAUAACAUCUUUAAUCAUAAGAAACAUGACUUUUACUUUACAUUUUGUCACUCCACAGUGGAGUCUCCACUCACAGGCAGAGGUUAAACAACCAGUGUUAGAAUCGCUACCCGAGUUCAUUUCAGCAGUACUCUAACAUCCACAGAUAACAAAAUAGCCUAAUUGUUAAAAAUUCCGUCAAUGCGCUUCAAGUCUUGUAAACGAUGAGAUAUAAGUUUAAACUGAUUUCGAUUCUAAAGUUACCGGUGAGACAAGCUAAAAUUGUCAAGGAGCUACAUCUAUAGUCGCGUCACAGCUAAACUAAAGCUCUUUCCGUUCCAACCAGGUUCUCCACCAACGACGAUAUGAUGUAGUUUCCAAUCACUUGCUCUUUUUUGGUUCUCUCUGAUAUUCAUUUAUUAGUGCUUCGACAUCUUUCCAGAAGAGGCCCUCCACCAAAACUCCGUCCUUGGUGAACCUGAAAUGUUCCCAAAUGUUAAGAAAAUAUUGAUUAUGCAUCCAUGUAUGUUCAUCUCUAUAUGUGCGGGUAUGAUCUUCAGAAGUGCGUUCAAGUCUUGGUCUGUGUGUGUGUGUGUGUGAGAGAGAGAGAGAGAGAGAGAGAGAGACCACUGAGUAACGCUCUUGGUGAACUGUACUGGUUGAUUAGCAGAAAUAGAUUUGGGGUCUGAACUUGCUAUCACAAGUGUGUACAUAUCAGAGAAUCUUGGCAAUUUGGAAGAGACCACCAAUCCAGUGCUUGUGAAGGAAUCCUGCGCGAAUAAACCGCAACUGAAUAAAGCUUACAAACCUUCACCGAGUCCAAAAUUUAGAAACACACUAGGAUAUAUUUAUUAACUGACCAUUCUGACUUAAAUUGUAGGAACAAUCAUACUUUAUAUACAACAUUAGACCUUAUUGUAGCUUGUGUGGUCCAACAUAGAAGUUGUUCAUGAACGAGUACAAAAAGAAAACAGUACCGUUAAUUGCUUAUGCAUUAGGAUUGAGUUCAAAAUGGUAAAUAUUAACAAGAAAAAGGAACUAUAAGAUCGUAUAAAUCAAUCGAAAGAGUAAUUCUGUUUUACUAUAGACUACAUCAAAACGAACAAAAAAUGUAUCAAAUUCUGAAAUGGAAUUUUAAAAUUCUUGCACCUAGUAACAGGGGUAAGCAGUUGCGUCAACCAGAGAAGAAAACACAAAAGCUCCCUAUCAUCAAACAACCAUCGGUCUUGCACACAUACCACACAUGUACAAUUACCUAACUAUGGACAGUAACCCUCAAAAGGCAGCUCGGCAAAAAACACUCAACAAAGAGCGAAAAGAAGGAACAAGAAACUCUCAAGACACAUUUGAGUAGAGACUACUUUAUAUUCCACCCUACGGUGAUGGCAGCAAAGACCUGAGCAUAAUGUCCGAGACAUGUCCCAGUUACAUAAUGCAUAUACAACUAACAAGAGGGAAGGAGGAAGAUACACCACAUUACAGAUGAAGAACAUAUAAUAAAUUAUCAUCUAGAUGUAUUCGGGUCCUUUAGACUCGCUAAUAGGUAACUGAGCUUGCUAUAGGUUAUAAAGCUAAAAUUUUGAAAAUAGGAUCCUCGGUUAAUAAGUCACUACUCAACCUCCCGUCGACAAUACCAAGCAAACACCCUAAUCUAAAUUGCAGGUGAUAGAGCAACUAUUCCAGCGGCGAAAGGUAAAGCUUUGAAAAUAAAGCCUUCAAUGGGCUGUCGACAAGGAUUGCGCCCACAUUGAAGGCAACUCCAAAAUGGUUAUGCACAGUGUCACGGGUUCCACCCCCAUGCCCUGGAACCUCAGGAAGUUGAGUAUGGAUGGAUGCAAUAGUAUAUAUAACAAGGGAAGCUAGACAUUAUGAACCUAAUUAUAGUGUGCCCCGUUACACAGUCUCGUAUUAAAGUUUAUCAAAUCACGCUUUUAUCUGCAUUCGGUUAUCAGCAUAUCGUCGAAGAGAGACAACGACGCUCAUAUAGCCCGGAAAUUCCAUAACCUAGAAGUAAAAUAUCAACGUACAAUCAAGCAAUGUAGCUACAUUUCCAAUCCAAAAGAGAAAACAUACCACGGGAGGAUACGUAAAGAGAAUGGCAUUCUUCUCCUUGGUGAAUAUGAUGAGCUGCAACACCGCAUUGAAGACUAUAUACGUGCAAGAGUCAAAGAUCAAACACACUUCAAGCUAACAUCAACACAAUUCGCAUCAACCAAACAGAAACUCAAAGCAAUUGAACAAAUAAUAAACACAAAUAACAAGAUAAGCUAGGAUAUAAGACGAUGCAGAGGAUGAGAAAAUCUCGGUUUUCGGGGAACUUCUUCUUGUAAAACUGAGCGAAGAGAGCGAUGGCGAUGAUGAUGGUGCCCAGAAACAGCCUCACAUUGCUCAGCCGCACGUCCUCCACAUAUCCGCGGCCCGUCACGAUCUGCUCGAAUUGCAGAGAGAAAAUUCAACAAAAAAAUUAACCAAAAAUUGAAAAAAAAUAAAUAAAUAAAUAAAGGAAAGGGAAAGGAAAGGGAAAGGGAAAACGGAUCAAGAGGGAAGAGCGAGAGACCGACCUCGGUGACGGACUCGUCGAGGGUGUGUUUGAUGGAGUGGUGGUCGAGGAGAUUGGCCUUCUUAGGGUUUUUGUUGGGCGAGUCUGAUUUAUUUUCCUGCAUUUUUAUGGGGAUUUGGAUUGGAGGACUGAAUUUGAAGGGCUUUGUCCGAAGAUGGUGGAAACUGAGAGAAAAAGAGCGGGUACAGUUGCAGUGGGAUUAUAAUAAACAUGGAUUUGGUGGGUACAUUUAGUGAAGAUUCCUAUACACUAUUUGCACCCACUUUUUUUUUUUUUUUAAGAAACUAAUGAAAAUGAUUUGAAAAUUUUGAGUUUUAAUGAUAAGGACAAAAUAAAGGGUAAAGUGGAUAAUACCAGGAUUGACUUUUUAGUGUAAAAAUGUGAUUUUUCGUUAAAGUAAACAGUACCGGGUGCUUUUCGUUAAAGUUCCCUUUUUUUUUUACCAUCAAAUUUUCCACUUGUUUGAGGUUAAUUUGACUCACAUGAAUGCGAAAAUGAUUCAAAAUUUUCAUUUUAAUCAACAAGGAAAACAUUGAGCGCGAGUCUACUUUGUUUUUUAAAAACAAACUACCACUAGACCAAAAGUCAUUCUCAAACAAGGAAAAUGAUCCAAUAACUUCAAAAGAAUUGAACGAGGAGCCGUAUGAGAUAAAAAUCUCAUGUACGGUUCUGUAGAAUGGCAGUAAAGAUGACUUAUCUGUCAACUUUUUCACUAUCAAAACCAAACUCUACCAUACAUAGAGUUGCCAGAGUACGCUUAACCUCUGGAUUUGAAAUCACUGCUUAUAUACCUGGUAUUGGGCCUAUUGGCCAUAAUUUACAAGAACAAUAUGUAGUCUUAGUAAGAGGGGAAAGGGUUAAGGAUUUACCGUGAAAACCUAAUGCACACAAUUCUCUAUUGCCACAUUGUUAGUGUAAAAGAGGGGCAUCUAAAAUCAAAUGAUACCACUAAAUUCAAACUUAGGGUCUCCUUUUCAAUAUACAACUAUUCAUAUGGUGGAUUAACUAUAAUAUGGUUACACUAAUCAGAUUAUCCCAAAUUGAUCCCCCUAAAAAUCCCUUGUAUUCAAGGUUAUCAGUUUGCCAACAAUGGCAAUACAUUUCCAAACAAUAAAUAUUUGAUCCUGCAGUUUCUUGAUAACAUGAUGAGAUGAAAUAAUCGGAAUCGGGAUCGAAGGGAGUGACAGCAAAAGAGGGAGGAUGAAAGGUUCGCGACUACGGAGGUUUUGAUUUUACUUUGCUGGUGAGCAAGAAUCGAGCGGCAUUGACAAGUUCCUCCUUAAUCAUGAACAGAACAGCAGCUGCGAGUACACUUUGUACUAUUUUCGUUCCCAUCCCUUUGUAGAACCCGUAAAGUCCUUCAUACCGAAUCAUCUUUAAAAUAGCAUCGGAUGUGCCUGAAAGUAAACAAAAUAAUAUGCAACACCAUAAUUCAUGGACACGAAACUUUUAUCCGAAAAUAUUCAGAAAUGAAGUUUUGAGGUAUUAGUUUCUCAAUGUAAAGCAUGAUUUAUGCGGUAUAAGAAGCUCUGGCUAGCAGUUGGAAGUUCAAACCUUUAUAGUGUUGCCUUUUGUCUCCGUUUGUAACCUGUUUUGCUUGAAGCCUUGACUGCAACAGCACGAGACUCGGUAAGAAACUGAAAGGUUAAUGCAACCAAAUCCAAGGUAAUAAUAAUACUACAUUGUCUCUUCCUGGAUGUAGCAUGAUAGCAGUGUUUUUUCAAUUGAAAGGAGCUUAAAAAGUGGAAGACAUUUCAGUCGGUCGCAAUCCAUUCACAUUAUAACUCAAAGUGUGUAUUGCUUCGCAUAAACAAAGAUGUAUAUGCUAAGUCCUUUACCUUUACGACUAGAAGAGGAUAUGUCACAACCGUAGCCCCUAGUUUUGCCAAGGCACCAAGAGAAAAUAUCUAGCAGAAUUAGGCAAUCUAUUAGCUCAGAGGAAAAUCAAAAGAGUGAGUAACAUAGGUUAGUACUGUAAGUACUCGGGUUAAAGGUUAUCAUAAAACAUUUACUGAAAAGGUUAUGAUCUAAAUGAAACCUAACCUCUAAAGCAGUAACCCCGCUGUUACCCUUCUUAUUCAAGGCACGCCUUUGUUUCAGCUUCUUCAGCAUAGUUUCAUACAGCAUAAAUUGCAUGGAAGGAUUACUCACCUGUGAUCAAAAUCAAGAACAAUUAGUCGUACUCCCUUAGCCUGUAUAAGAAUCACUUCUCACAUACCAUGAUCAAUGUCGGGAAUACACCUCUCCAGAAGCCGAAAACUCCACCCUCAUCAUAAAUUUCCUGAAUCUGUAUGCGUCCAUAUAUUGUUAUGAUAGGAAAAAUUGUUGCUGGAACUAAAGCCAAACUUGUGUGAAUCAGAAAACAAAAUUCUGGAAAUCAAUAGAAACACUAUUGUCACCCCAUGCGUGCACAAGUAGGGGACAAAGAAUUAAGAAUUAAAAAAUAACAUAAUACUAACCGCAUGAGUAGUCCCAAAGGGAGGAAGCUCAGCUGCAGCAAGGAUUGCUUCAUCUGGAGCAGUUGACAGCUCCUGACCGGGCUGGCACUUCUUUGAGGAUUUUUUAUAAGUCUAACAGUGCAAAACGAGAACAAACAAUAAAUUAAUAACAUCAAACUUGUAUGCAUUGAGUGAGAGAUGCAUAAGCUCAGUUUGUUAAAUUAGCUACACAGAAGGAUAAGAUAAUUUGGUGAAAUUGGUAACUAACAUCAUAGGCAUUUCAAAAUUCUGAAAUAAGUUCUAAAUCCUGGAAUGCAGUGCUCUUCAAAGGUCACUUCUAGCACAAGCAUAGAUACGGGAAAACAAAACUACCCAAAUAAGACAUGCAAAUAUGAACUAUCGUGUCACUUGAUUUGGAAAUUCAAUGAGAUUUGAGGCUAACGUCAAUUAGCUCUUCGUUUUUACCUGCAUACGCGUAACAACUACCCAUAUAGGAUUUGUGAACAGCACAUUCACGCACCUGCAAGAAUAAAAUUGUGAUGAGAUUUUCAGCCAUAAAUCCAUGAAAAAAAAAACUCAUAAUAAAAAAAAUUAAAUACUGUAAAAGCUACCAAAUCUUUACUGUUCUCUUGAUUUUCUUCUUCUUAAAAGCUUUCAGAAAGAGCGAAUGCAACUUUUUGAGGAAACGAUGCUUUUAUAGCUUCGAAAAUAUUAGGAAACAAACAAUGUCUUAAGGCCCAUCAUCAUAUAAAUAAAGAAAUACCCAGAUAAUGCAGCAACCAAAAGUGAAGAGAGCAUUCCAACAGAUCCAUCACCAACCCCCAUCUUCCUCCGUUCAAGUGCAGCAGUUUCAGCCUUGUUCCUGAAUAUUUGAUAGAAAUAAUAGUAAACACCCUGUACCAAUAAAAUCGCGCGUAGAUAAGAAACCAGACAACCAAAUAAAAAAUUAAUGAUGCAGAUUUAUACAACACAAGGUUUAGUGGUAACGUCCUUUGUAAAAAAAGGCUGCAAGCUGCUCUAUAUCAUGUCAAAGUUCAAACUAAGGAAUUUCUGACUCAAAAAACACUACAGAAAGAGCAUUAAAAUUUAUGUAGCUAGCGUUGGGUAAGAACAUUGCAAUUUAACGCUGGCAGUCACUUUGUUAUUCAGACGACCGCAUAAGCAUAAAAAAAAUGCUCAGGGUGUUAUAUUAGCAGAUCAAAUGCUUUCACUGAUGAGCCAGGUCAACACAAACUGUUACCAUUACUAACUCGCAGAAAGCAUUUACUGCUAAUAUUGACCUCUUAAACAUUAUGAACUAUACACAUGAUUUAUCAACUGGACUCAACUUAUAAACGCUAAUGAAUGAAGGAUAACUGAGCCAAUACGCAUAACAUAUUUUGAUUAGGUGUAGUGAUGGUCGGGGCAAAAAAACCAGCCAUGGCUCCAUCGGUUUGGGCGGCUUCAUGCACGCAACCUAGCAAUGGAGGGCAUAUAAUUUUGGGAUGACACAAUUGUAUUUGUUGAUGCACAAAAUCGGUGAGGACUUUGGUACAACAGAAAGUGUCAAGUUUGUGACCUUCGCUGGAUUGCUCCAGUCACUAGUGUAGAUAAGUAUGUAAAUGGAUAGAGACAGGAAAGCAAACGCAAGAUGUACAUGGUUAACCCAGAUUGGCUACGUCCACAGAGUGAGAAAACAUAAUGAUGUUUCCUUUCGUACAGUGCACACAGCAGUAGUCAUGUAGCUUUAAUAUAAUGACAAUGGGGAGAUACACAAUAUAUUAUAUAAAUAUAUUUUCAUUCAAAUAAUGAAGUUGUCUAAUUUGGUCAGACUUGCCACAUGUUAUGGGAAAUAGUCAGGUGAUAAACCAUUAAUAAUAAUGUAAAACAUAUUAUUAUAACAUGUCAUCUCGUUCAUUUAGGCAAUCAUGCUGGCGUUUCCACUGUUUUUGUCAAAAAGCAACUCCUGCUUUUCCACUUGGUACUUUUCAAAAAGCAGUUUCCCUUUCAAAAUGAUGAUACUGAUAAGGGUCUCGUGGUGCAAAUAUAAUAGUAAUAAAGUAAUAAUAGUAUUUGAUGUGACCGGCAUAAUAAGCAUACAUCAGUAGUGGAAAAGCAAGAGUUUGUACUUUUCCAAUGGGUACGCACUAUAUAUAUAUAUAUAUAUAUACAUAUAUUGUGAGGUGCCGCACUAUAUGUACACAGAUCAUGAAAACAAAUAAUAUAUUGCUAACUGUGCACUAAAAUAUAGGUGAUGUGGUCUCCUGUUAAAGAAUAUGCACACUGUAAAUGCUGCAGUAACAAGACCAACACAAAAUAAUAAUAAAUUAUUAAAUAAUAAACUAGUUAAUGAAUUAGAAGAAGACUUAUCUUCUUCGUUGGUUCUCCCGUGGAUUUUUUCAGUGGGAUAGGUACGGCAUGGCUAGAAAUUUCUAAGCUACCUCAAGCAAGCUUGCAGCGGCGACGUCGCUCGGGUUGAGUGGGAAUAACAAUCUGAGUCCCCCGAUUCCACUAGUGGUGACGGCGUUGCUAGUAGACGAACGAAAUUCCGCCAAUCGCGCAGCAACCUCGACCUGGGUUCGAUGACGACAGUUUCGUCUGGGUUUUGUAGGUCGAAGCCUUCCGAGUCUGGCAGAGAUUAGGAGACGCCUUUGCAAUGGGGGGCUUCGAAAUCGGUUUAGUGACAACCAUGGAAGCUUUUGCGGCUAACCCAUUUCCCAAUCUCACACCAAAUCGCAAGUCGUGCGAGGAAAGUGGAGGGCACGGCGAUGGAGGUAGGACGAGGGUUUUGCAAGGUUUUGGAAGUGACAACGGGUUUUGAUUGUAUGAGAGAGGUCACUGUGGCCUCCGUUGCUAGAAAGAGAAGAGAGGGAGGCUGCAAAGGUUUUCUGGAAAAGCCAAAGAUGAGGUUUUGGGUUCUUGGGUUUUGCAAAUUCAUGGUGGUGGGAUGAAAAAUUAAGAGAGAACCGACAUAGUUUUUCGUGUCGUUUCCCACAAACGGUGCCAAAUGUUGAUGCACAAAAUCGGGUCGAUCUUGGACCAACGUAAAUCUACUCGUGAAUCACACAAUCGCACAAGAACACAAAGCUUCCACGGUCGUCACUGAACCGAUUUUAAAGCCCCCCAUUGCAAAGGCGUCUCCUAAUCUCUGCCAGACUCGGAAGGCUUCGAUCUACGAAACCCAAACGAAACCGUCGUCAUCGAACUCAGGUCGAGGUCGCUGCGCGAUGGCAGAAUUUCGUUCGUCUACUGGCAACGCCGUCACCACUAGUGGAAUCGGGGGACUCAUAUUGUUAUUCCUACUCAACCCGAGCGACGUUGUCGCUGCAAGCUCGUCGGAGGCAGCUUUGAAAUUUCCAGCCAUGCCGUACCUAUCCCACUGAAAAAACCCACAGGAAAACGUUCGAAGAAGAUAAAGUCUUCUUCUAAUUCAUUAACUAGUUUAUUAUUUAAUAAUUUAUCAUUAUUUUGUGUUGGUCUUGUUACUGCAGCAUUUGUUUUACAGUGUGCAUAUUCUUUAACAGGAGACCACAUCACUUAUAUUUUAGUGCACAGUUAGCAAUAUAUUAUUUGUUUUCAUGAUCUGUGUACAUAUAGUAUGGCACCUCACAAUAUAUAUAUAUAGUGCGUACCUAUUGAAAAAGUACCAACUUCUGCUUUUCCACUAUUGCUAUAUGCUUAUUAUGCUGGUCACAUCAAAUACUAUUAUUAUUUUAUUACUAUUGCUAUGUCUUACAUGGCCGGUCCCAAGCCCGGAUAAAGGAGGAGGGGGGAGGGCGUCAGGUAGUCGACAGCCGGCACUCCAUGAUCACGUCGAAUCCUUAUGAAUUUUAUUACUAUUAUAUUUGCACCACGAGACCCUUAUCAGUAUCAUCAUUUUGAAAGGAGAAACUGCUUUUUGAAAAGUACCAAGUGGAAAAGCAGGAGUUGCUUUUUGACAAAAACAGUGGAAACGCCAGCAUGAUGGCCUAAAUGAAUGAGAUGACAUGUUAUAAUAAUAUUUUUACAUUAUUAUUAAUGGUUUAUCACCUGACUAUUUCCCAUAACAUGUGGCAAGUCUGACCAAAUUAGAUAUCUUCAUUAUUUGAAUGAAAAUAUAUUUAUAUAAUAUAUUAUGUGUCUCCCCAUUGUCAUUAUAUUAAAGCUACAUGAUUGUUGCGGUGUGCACUGUACGAAAGGAAACAUCAUUAUGUUUUCUCAAUAUCAUCAUCUAUUUAAUAUUUUUUUAUUAUUAUUUUAUGAUAUUUGUUACAAGGUGUCGUCCACCUCCUUUUAAAAUAACAUAGCUUUAAUCAUUUUUUAAUAUUAUAUUCAUUAUUUAAAUGUUUGGAUGAACUUUAGUGACUCAGGGCACACUACACAAUGCAAGUAUACAGAUAUAUGAUUAUUUAAAGAUUUUAUUUAUGAUGAUAAUCUUUUGUCACAUCAUUACUACUAUGCCAACACAGGCUGCUAAUACCACAUACUCGAACAGUGAUAACACCACAUCCAUGCUUCUUAUUAUAAUAAGUCUUUUCCAUCAUGAUUAUUCCACUACGUGGAAAGUUUGACACAUGAUAUAUUUUCACUCUUUCACUAUUAGGACACAGUCCACACUCCACAAUACAAAGUUGUGCAUAUGUACAUAUAUGCGCAUUAUCCCUACAUUCAUCUUAUUAAGAUUACAUGCUACAUGCUACAAUAAUUACAUAUGCUCAGGGUGCCAUCCAAAUAAUAACUCAUUUUGUGAUCGCACAUAUUUACUUGUGCAAAUAUUUAUUCAUUGCCUAGUAAUAUGUAAUGCCUUUAACUAUGUCACUUAUGCAACAUGUGAUUUACCACGUAACUUAAUAAAUUAUUUAUUUGUAGUAGACACAUGGUACCAUAUUUUGCCUUGCCAAACUAUAUCAAUUUGAUUUAUUAAUUAUGCAUUCAUGCUUAUACUAUUAUUUAUUGUCAGGACUCCGUUGAUCAACAUUGUUACUGAUCAACUUAUAGAUCGAUGAGCCACAUGCUAAUGAUGACAAAGAUUUAGUCUGAAUGGUAAUUUCUUGUAUGACCGGACACCCACUUGCUCGGACACUCGCUCAUUUGGAUACCUAUGUGCUUGGACAUCCAUUCAUUCGAGCACUUACGAGAUUGGACACCCUUGAGCUCGAACCCCGACUCACGGAUCCAAUUUGUGGACCCAACUCACGGACCCUACGGAUGACCCCAACUAAAAAACCCGACAAGCAGACUCGAGUCAUGUCGAGAGUUAACUCAUAUUGAGUGCACGCUGACGUUGAGUGCAUACUCGCAACGAGGAACACCACGAGCCGAGCCGCCUUGCAACGAGCACUGCCUCUAGCAAAGCAACCGCCUCGCCGCAAGCAUUGCCUCUAGCCAAGCAGUCUCGUAACGUGUGAUACAUCUAGCUGAGUAUUACUUUACGUUGAGCAUUGCCUCAUGUCAAGUAAUGGUUCAGGAUAACAUUUAGUCACUUCGGCCCGCACAUGGAUUGGGUUUGAAGUCUUCAGCCAAAAGAUUCACCUGACACAUAGACCCAUAUACAAACCCAACAAACGGGUUCGAGUCAUGUCGAGAACUAACUCAUAAUGAGCUUAUGCUGACAUCGAGUGCAUACUCACAAUGAAGAAUGCCACAAGCUGAGCCGCCUCGCAACGAGCACCGCCUCCAGCCGAGCAACCGCCUCGUCGCGAACAUUGUCUCUAGCCGAGCAACCUCACAACGUGUGCUACCUCUAACUGAGUAUUGCUUCACGUUAAGUAUUGUCUCAUGUCGAGUACUAGUUCUAGACGACAUCCAGUCACUUCGGCCCGCACAUGGAUUGGAUUUGAAGUCUCCAACCAAAAGACCUUCUUGACUGAAGACUUGGGGGACUCCUGUUAUACCAUAUAUUGGGUCUCAGUAUUUGGCCUUCAUUACUUAGCCCAUUAUUCAUGUAAGAGGGGAGGAAACCUUAUUCUAUAAAAGGGUUCCCUCACACUCACUUAAGAGGGGGACUCGACGAGAAAGAAGGAAAACAUACAUAGGGAAACAGGAGAGCAAACAGAAUAGCAACGAGAGCAAACACUGCCUCUAUAGCCUCCAUGUAUAUUCAACAUUCAUUUACAUAGUGAAACGGAAUCAACAUCAAUGUGGACGUAGCCUCAACUUGAGGUGAACCACGAUAUAUUUGUGUGUUUGUGUGAUUUAUGAUCGGAUUUACGUUGGUCCAAGAUCGACCCGAUUUUGUGCAUCAACAGCAUUCACUGGUACUAAUCAAGAGAAUAACUUAAUCAAUGAUAUCUGCCAAAUCGUCCUACAGGAUUUUGGCCAAUCGAAAACCCAAGUUACACCGUUGCUCGGAUGGUAUAAGAGACAUCUGUAAAUAGGGCCAAACUCCUCUACAAUCAGUUUCCGCUCCGUUAAAAACUGUUCCAAUUUUUCUGCUCUUUCCCAUCAAUUCCUCGGUUAACAAACAAUGAAUGUCAACUCUACGCAAUACUUUCCUACAAGCACGUAUAAUUUCAUUCACUCCAUCCUAGUUUCUAAUCAUUGUAACAAUAAGAACGAAAAUACUAUUCGAAGAAGUAAAACAAUCCAGCAAAGAGCUAAAGCUUUGCUCACCUGAGAUGCUGCCGUCCCCACCAAUGAUGGCGUCAAACCGCCGUACAACCGCUCCCAUCCUUCAUUUUUAAUAACCUGCACAUCAAAUUCACACACUGGCCGAAUAAUCAGAUACAAUGAAACAAACAGAGAAAUGUGUCCCUUCUCAGAUUUUCCCGUCCAUUUUCUCAGCAACCAAACAAGGUAAAAGUUUCGGAAUACUUAAAAACGAAGCUGAAAUUUGAUAAAAGGGAUGACCUGACAUAUUUGCUCAACAGUCCGAGCUUGUUCUUCUCCUUCUUCAGACCACGGUCUGUUUGUUGGCGAGUAUUCACCUGCAGCAGAUCAGGACCCAAAAUUCAAACAAAAAACAAGGACUAUCAAAAGCUCAAGAAAAACAAUUACGAAAUGAGAAAAUUUGUACAGUCUGGAGAGGAUAUGUGAUGAGCUGGGCGAUGAUCCCGCCGCCAUCUCCGGCGAGGCCAUUGAUCAAAGCGUCGGACAUAUUUUCUCGAGAAAAUGUUUGUGAAGGUUUCUUAUUUUCUCGGGAAACUGUAGCGAGCCAUGGAGGGUUCGGAGAUCUGUACUUUUUACUUGUAUUUUUUUGGAGAGAGGACUAUCUCUGACUUUGGCUUUGUCGAGGUGAUGGCACUCGCUAUCAGAACCCUCCUAAUCGGUUGGUUGUUUCGUUCAAGAAAGCAAAUAACGUUUGGUAGGUGCUUUUGUUUUUGAGUGCUAAUCCUUUCAAUAAUAUUUUCUUUAUUUUCUGUUGACAUUUUAGGGGGUGUAUUCAAUUAGGAUUCUCAGAGAGUUUUAGGGAAUUUAAAUCUAUAGAAUUUGAGAGAGUUUGAGAGAAAAAAAAAAUGAAUUCCUAGAGAUUUUGAGUGAAUUAAUUAUAACUUCCAGAGAAUUCACAUGAAUUGUGAGAUAAUUCUUUACAUGGGGUUAGAGAAUUGAAGAGAAUUUGAUCAACAAUUUCCUUCUCUUUAGAAGCCAAAUUUUCAUCCUACUAAUACCAAAUUGCAAUACCAAGUUCAUAUGCAAUGUUUUCAACUAGCUAUCAAAAUGAAAGAGGAACCCGAUCAAUUAGUGUCAAAAUAAACUAGCUAUCAAAGUUUUUUAAAAAAACCCAACAAUUUUAUAUAAACAUAACUACUCAAAGCAAAAAGAUUUAUCCAGCGUUCAACCAUGUUUGAAUACUCUCGAGGUUAUAUCGCUGCUCUCCAGGUGUUUGCAUACUCCAAUCUGUAUAAACAAUUAAUUCUCUAUUUCUCAUCUUUGAAUGUUAUCAUUCACAGCAUCCGUCCACAUAUUUGUAGCUAUGCCAGCUCUCCAUGCAUUAGCAAUCUGUCGUUGUUGCUCUUGAGUUUGAUUACCUAGUUCAUCAUCAUUAUCUUCAUCUUCAGAUUCAUCAUCUUCUGGUUCAAUUGGAAAUUCAUCAGAAUGACACUCCUUGCGAAGAAAGUUGUGCAACCCUGCACAAGCUAACACUAACUCUGCUUGUGUUUUAAUUGGAAAUGGAGGUGUAGACUUAAAAAUUGUGAAAUGAGAUUUAAAUACACCAAAUAUCCUCUCCACUACGUUUCUCAAGGAAGCAUGUCAAAGAUUAAACAAUUCAUUCGCAUUUACGGGGUCACGACCGUUACCAGCAAAAUCUUGGAGAUGAUAUCAAACACCUCGAAAUAGAGCUAAAAAGGGCUAUAAAAGCAUAACAUGAUAAUAGAGAUUACAAGUAUAAAUGACUAUAAAAAGGAUUGGGACAACAGAUUGACAUAUUAUUAAUAGGGAUUACGCAACAAGUAUAAUGACUAUAACAACAAAUGAGCAGGUCGUUUUUUCCCUUUGUUUCUUCGCUUCAAUUAGGGUUUUAAACCUGCUUGGUUUCUGUAGUUAGAUUUUUGUUUUAUUAACCCUAACAUAGAAAGACUUGGCACUGGAAGACUUGGCAGUUGACUAAUUAUAUUAUAUAAAUUUCCACUAAUCUAGAAAGAACAACAUAAAAAUAUUAAAUUUUCCUUAGCAUGACAUGGAUGAUAAGAUAUUCAGGGUAAAUUUUCCUCGUGCCUAACCAAAAAAUAACCAAAAAAUAAAUAAAAAAAAUUGGAGACUGGACAAGUAAGCUUUGAAUUUAUAUUUGUCUGUCGGUUCGGUUUCUGCAUAUCCCAGAUUUGUAAGAUAUCUAGGGCAUAUGGGAAUUUUCAUUGGCCGUAGUUGUUUGGUAAAAGAAACAAAUUCGCAGCCUUCACAACAAGGACAAAAUCGAAGCAGACGAAUAAUGGGAAGAAGUUGCAGAGAUUGUACCUUCGCUCGAACGGAGACUAGAGAGGAGAGAGCAGCACGCUCAAAAUCUCUCAAAGUUUCUAGGGUUGAGGUGAGAUUUGCCAAGCUCUUUGGUAUUUAUACAUAUCACCUUGAAAUCCUCCAAAAUCCACCAAAUCACAAAUCCGUUAAAAUCCAAUUCCUUUUUCAAUACACCUAAACUUUUAGAGACUUUCAAAACGUUAUAAUUGAAUACACCUAAAUUUAUAGGGAAUUGUAAGAAGUCUUUAAGAAUCUCAAUUGAAUACACCAAGAUUUUUAUAAAAUCUUUUAAAUUCCUAAUUGAAUACUCCUGGAAUUAUUAAUUCCUUGAAACUCUCUGAGAAUCCUAAUUGAAUACACCCCCCUUAGUUUAAAAUUAUUUCUGAGAUUGACAUAACUCUUCAUUACAGUGAAAUCAACAAAACAAAUUCCUGAUUUUGUAUACCAUCAAUCAUUUUGGUCUUUUCGUUAAAAUCUCUAUUAAAUAAAGAUCAAAAUGAUAAAAAUACCCUCAAUUUAAUAACAAUGGACUAAAAUGAUUUGACAAAAUUGAGUGGAUUUUUAUCAUUUUAUCCUUAUUUAAUGGAGAUUUUUUACAGAAUAACCAAAAUGAUUAACGGUAGACAAACUCAGGAAUUAGUUAGUUCUAUCGAUUUUAAAUCUCAAAGAUCAAAGUGAUGAGUUAUGUCAAAUCUACCAUUUGGCUAAAAAAACCUUUUCUAGUUUAAUAGUGUAAUUAUUGUUCAAAAUAUUCUAAUAAAAUAAUACUUAUAAAAUUUAAAAUUGAAAUGGAAGAUGAGAAAAAGAAAUUGGGCUUGAAGAGGUGGGAUUGGGUUGUAGCGAAUUUGAAAUUGGGCAUGAGGGUGAAAUUUUGGGAAUGCGGUGGAAUUUGAAAACGGGUUGCGUUGGGAGUCUAGAGAGAGUGAAGGAAUGAGAGUUACAAUCGGUUAGAGAUCUAAGAAGUGAUUGGAUUCUUGAAUUCUAACCGAAAUAAAAAUCAUGAAAUGAGGCAUUGGUGGUGAGUUUAAACUCGGCUAGGCUUAUCAGCAUUAUAAUAUUAUUCUCUUGAAAAAUUAAAAUAGAAUUUAGAUAUAUAUUAGGGAUUACUUUGGGAAUAAUAGUUGUUGAAAAAGUAGCAUUCAAUUUUUUACUUUUUUUACGGGUGGGAUUAUAAUAUAGAUGGGGAAAAAAGACAUUAGGGUAAGUCUAGCGACACUCUUGUUUUUUUUUUUGUUUUUUGUUUUUUUUUUACCAAUUUACCCUUCAUAUUUUUUUUACCAUUUUACACUUCAUUUUUUUUUGUUUGUUAAAUGUUAUUUAUAAGGACUAUGGCUCCCCAAUAAACAAAAGAAAUGUAGGAGGUCCCGUGUUUGAGGCUCCAAGCUGGUGAGUCUGCUUGACUAUGGGUGAAAUUCCCCAUAGCCUCCCGAGCUCGAAAGGGAUUGAUAAUCGUAACUUACCACAUGUUGUCUCUCUUUAAAAACAAUUAGUGAAACAUUCAUUAAUGUAAAAAAUGCUCCUAUCUUCUUACAACUUUUAAAAAUAACAAUUUAAUUAAAUUUUUGAAAAGAAACAACUGCAUCCCAUAAUGGCCUUUCUAAUGAAUUUAUUAUGAAUAAAAAUUAUAAAAAAAGUUAGUAAAAAAAAUAAAGGAUAAGGUAUUUAAAAAAAGUAUAGAAGAGACAAUUGCCACUCUCGUAAGAUGAGUUAUAUACUUGGGAGUCAUUUGAUAACCGUCUCGUUUUUAAGUUUUCGUUUUCAAAAGUGAAAACUACUUUCAAAAUAUGCCUUUCAACUUUAAAAAUGUAACUACUUACCCAACGAGUUUUCAAUUUAAAAAAAUUAAAAAAUAAAAACGAAAUAACUAUCAAAUAACUUAUUAAUGUUUUUACUGCGUAAAUUGAUUGUAUGAGAAGCUCUAAAGAAAUAGUUUAUAUCAUCCACACAAAUAAUUUAUAGGAUUUGGAUUCUUUCCUGAUCAAGGCGGAUCAUCCUGACCCAAAUACUAUUGAACUAAACAUGGUAAAUACCAAUAUUAAACUAAACAUGGUAAAUACCAAAAAUAUAUAUGACAAUAUUUGGGAAUUUCUUAUAUAUUUAUUAAUCUCCAAAGUGGAGUAUAUAUAGGAGUUACAAUUGGUAUUACAUAUGUACUUCACCAAUGUGGGACAAUAAACUACUAUUUACACUCAAACUAAUAUAUAACUCGCAACACUCCCCCUCAAGUUGGUGCAAAGAUGUCACGCAUGCCCAACUUAUUAAGCGAGUUAGAAAACACACUAUUAGACACAGCCUUAGUAAGAGCAUCAGCAAGUUGAUCUUCAGAUCUCACAAACGGAAACAUAAUAAUUUCAGCAUCCAAUUUUUCUUUAAUGAAAUGUCGAUCAAUCUCCACAUGUUUUGAGCAAUCUUAAUAGCAGCCUUGUUAUCACAAUGAAGUUUCAUAGCACCUUUGGGGUUAAACUCAAGAUCUCUCAACAAUUUUUUUAACCACAACAACUCACAUACACCAUGCGACAUACCACGAAACUCAGCUUCUGCACUUGACCUAGCCACCACUUUUUGUUUCUUGCUUCUCCAAGUAACUAAAUUACCACCCACAAACGUAAAGUAUCCAAAUGUAGAUCGCCGAUCAGUGAUAGAACCUGCCCAAUCUACAUCUGUAUACCCUUCGACAUUCAAAUGACCAUUCUUGGAGAAAAACAGGCCUCUGCUAGGAGUCAUCUUCAAGUACCUCAAAAUACGGGUUACUGCAUCCAUAUGAGCUUCACUAGGUGAGUGCAUAAACUGACUUACCACACUAACUGCAUAAGCAAUGUCAGGGCGAGUGUGAGACAAAUAAAUUAAUCUCCCCACAAACCUCUGAUAUUGUUCCUUAUGAGUAGGAACUUGAUCUGGAAAUAAGCCCAAACGAUGAUUCUGCUCAAUCGGAGUAUCAACAGGUUUGCAAUCUAACAUACCUGUUUCAGCUAACAAAUCAAGAACAUAUUUCCGUUGAGACAGAAAAAUACCAUGCUUGGAUCGUGCAACCUCGAUUCCAGGAAAAUACUUCAAUUCACCCAAUUCUUUCAUCUCAAACUCAGUAGUUAGGUACUUUUGAAGACGUUGUAUCUCUUUCUGAUCAUCACCAGUCACUAUCAUGUCAUUAACAUAAAUAAUCAAUGCAGUUAGCUUACCAUUUUGUCGCUUUAGAAACAAAGUAUGAUCUGAAUGACUCUGGAUAUACCCAAACUUCUUCAUUGAACUUGUAAACCUCCCAAACCACGCUCUAGGAGAUUAUUUCAAACCAUACAAAGCCUUUCGUAACCUACAUACAACACAUUUUCCAGGAGAUGUUCCAAUAUCAGGUGGGAGAUCCAUAUACACUUCCUUCUUAAGAUCACCAUGAAGGAAAACAUUCUUAACAUCAAACUGCAACAGAGGUCAAUCCUGGUUUGCUACUAAGGACAGAAGAACACGCACAAUAUUAAGUUUGGCAACAGGAGAAUGUCUCCUGAUAGUCCACCCCAUAGGUUUAAGUAUAACCCUUAGCAACUAAUCUAGCUUUAUACGUGUCAAUAGAACCAUCUGCUUUGUGCUUAAUAGUAAACACUCAUCUACAUCCAACGGCUUUUUUUCCGUUUGGUAAAGGAACCAAAUCCCAGGUAGAAUUCUUUUCCAAAGCUUUCAUUCCAACUUGCAUGGCAUUAACCCACUUAGGGUCAGACAAGGCAUCUUGCAAUUUUGUUGGAAUUGAUACACUAGAUAUUUGACAUAUGUAAGAUGCAUAUGGUUUGGAUAAACGAUGAGUAGACACAUAAUUGUUGGUAAGAUAUUUGGCUUUGGCAUGCAUAUCAGGCUCAUAUUGUACUUUAGGUUUUCCACGAUUAACUCGUUGAGGCAACUGAUAAGUAGAAGAAUCGUCUGAAUUUACCUCAUGUAUGCCACCAUCUUGUACCAAACUGUUAGAAGAAUCAUCACUGGACGAACCAUCAUCAGGCAACUCGUUAGACAUAUCAGUAGCAGGCAACGGAUCAUUAGAAGGUAAUUUGUCAGACAUACUUACAGGCAACUCGCUGGGCACAUCUGAUCUAUCGUCAGUAGAAAUAGUUCCAGGAAUAACAGGUGAUCGAUCACUAUCUGUAGUCGACUGAUCAGUAUAAUGUAACAUAAUAGGUUUUGUUCCCAACUAUGCAUGUAACACAUCAUCCAUACCAUCUAUUCGAAUCUGCACUUCACUCCCUCUCUCCCUCUGAAGUGGAGAGUCAGAAGAGGGCUUCACAAAAUAUGAAACUUCCUCAUGGAAGGUGACAUCCAUGGUAAUAUAAGUUUUUUGAGUCGAAAGAUGAUAACACUUAUAGCCUUUCUGAUUGUUAGCAUACCCAAUAAAGACACACUGGAGAGCACAUGCAUCAAGUUUACUCCGCUGAUGAGAGUAGACAUACACAUACGCAAUACACCCAAACACUUUCAGAGGAAGCUUUGAUACAGAAACAAGAGAAACAUGUUGUUGUAGCAUAUCGAACGAUGUCUGAAAAUCAAGAACCCUACUUGGAACACGAUUGAUCAAAUACACAAUAGCCAAAACAGCAUGACCCCAAAAAUGAUUAGGAACACAUUUAUCCAACAUCAAUGAGCGAACAACUUCCAUUAUUUGACGAUUCUUCCGUUCGGACACACCAUUUUGUUGGGGUGUAAACGGAGUAGUCGUCUGGCGAAUAAUACCAUGAUCACGAAAAAAACAUGUCAAAGUGUGAUUCACAUAUUCUCCCCCAUUAUCAGACCUGAAGACCUUGACUUUGGUCUGAAAUUGAGUAGACACCAUUGUACAAAAUUCUUGAAGAAGUAACGGAACAUCACUCUUAUUCUUCAUCAAGAACACCCAAGUUAACCGAGUACAAUCAUCAAUAAAAGUAACAAACCAACAGAAUCCAUUAGAAGUAACUUUCGUUGGACCCCACACAUCAGAAUGUAUCAAAUCAAAUGGCAAAGUAGCUUUAGAAUCACUUACAGAAAAUGAAGCACGAUGACUCUUAGCCAUGACACAUGUUUCACACUUGAACUCUGAAUCACUACAAGUGCGAAACAAAGAAGGAAAUAGAUGUUUCAUAUAACUGAAUGAUGGAUGUCCCAAUCGUCGAUGCCACAACCAAAUUUGAUGUCUGUCAUCCACUUUAGCACUUAAAACUUGAUGAUUAUUUGAACCAGAAACAACAGUAUCCUCCAUAGUCAAGAUGUACAAACCCCGUAUUCUUUUACCAUGACCAAUAUCUUCUGAGUUUGAAUAUCUUGAAAAUAACAAUACGUAGGGUAGAAGUGAGCAGAACAAUAUAAGGUAUCAAGAAGUUUUCCUACCGACAAAAGAUUGCACUUAAGAUCAGGAACAAGUAAAGCACAGACCAAUGAUAAGGUUGGAGUCAGAGAGAUAGUGCCUUCACCCUUCACAGGGGAAUGUGCUCCAUUUGCAUUAGUAACAUACGGAUCACGAACAUAGUCACAUAACUCAUCAAACACUAUAGGGUCACUAGUCACAUGAUCAGUGGCCCAAGUAUCUAUUAUCCAUUUAUUUGUUCCACCAAGAUGCAUAAUAACACUAUGAUUAUAUUGAACCAUUGAACAAAAAUCACGAACAAUAAAGGCACAAAAGAUACGUAGUGGAAUGAAAACAAUUUACCAGAUACUGUAGCAGAGCACUGUUCAUGGCACUGUAACAGAGCACUGUUUUUACAGCACUGUAGAGGACCACUGUUCACAAAGCAGACCAUUGUUCACGCACUGUAUUGUAGCGCCACUAUUCACUUUUUAUUUUUUUUUAUUUUUUAUUUUUUUAUACGAAGGAAAUCACGAAAAAUGUGGGCACAAAAUUAAAGCACACAGGUCACCAAGAGCGAACUUCUCUGAUGCCAUAUUGAACUAAACAUGGUAAAUACCAAUAUUAAACUAAACAUGGUAAAUACCAAAAAUAUAUAUGACAAUAUUUGGGAAUUUCUUAUAUAUUCAUUAAUCUCCAAAGUGGAGUAUAUAUAGGAGUAACAAUUGGUAUUACAUAUGUAUUUCACCAAUGUGGGACAAUAAACUACUAUUUACACUCUAACUAAUAUAUAACUCGCAACAAAUACACGGGCCGUUGGAUUUUGAUCCAAUGACUACAAACAGGGGGCCCUCUGAAAGUUAUAAUAAUUGUAGUCGUUAGAUCAAAAUCCAACAACCCGUGUAUUUAGGUCAGGAGGCUCUGUCUCCUUUGCUCAGGAGGGGAUCCAAAUCCUCAUUUAUAAACGACUUAUGAUUAUUAGUGCAAUAAACAACUGCCAAAUGACGUCCAAACAAGAUGCCAAAUCCAGCAGCCAAAAGCUUAAGCAGCAUGUUGGACUAAAAUACUUGUUAAUGUUGCUACAAAAUGUCAUAUGGUCAUGUUUGUCAUUGUCACUAAAUUACACACUGAUAAGUACCAAGUGUUAAGUUUUAUGAAUCUUUAAGGUAACACUGGAGGAGAUUGAGUCUUAAGGAUGAGAUUUUGAUUGGCAAAGAUGGGUUACAUAACCCAUGUGUGUGGUUGGAUUACAUAACCUAUCGCAUUUUCUCUUAUUUCGGAUUUGUAGCCAAUCCAGUUUAGGAUACAAUUUUUCUCACCAAACAUUGGCUGGUUUACAAGUCCAAUUUAAUUGAAAAUAACUCAUCACAUCUUGUCCACCAAACAAGGCCUAAGAUAAUUCAUCACUAGCACCAUUGUAAGCUAAGUAACCGAUGUACUGGAUGAGGGCAUGAGGCCCAGGGCCCAUUACCUUUCCAGUUCUUUGGUAUCUCUGUCCUUAAUUAAUGAAUUAUGAGGGCACGGUCAAACAAUUAUUAAUUGGCACUGAAUGGCAUGCUAAAUUUGUCGUCUUAUUCAUCAAUUUCUUUUUUAAUAAGGUUUAAAAUUGACAAGGGACAUGUUUAUCAAUGCAUGCACUAACACGUAUCCGCAUAUCUUGAUUGUACGUAUAUGAUCCACGGACGGAAACCGAUAAUUAUUUUUUUUAAGAAACUUAUUUAAAAGAAAAUACUUGGAAAAAAGUUGUAAUUGUCAUUUUAAGAAUGUUUUAAAGACCGUCAAAUCUUAUCUCGCCUACAAAGCCCCUAUUUAUCUUAGCCGAACAGGGUGAGAAUUGUCAAUCGUUGUGCGGAAAAACAAAAAUUAUAAUACCCAGUCCCAAUCGCCAUCUCUUUCUGGUAAGUCAAUUGAAAUCUGAAUAUCAUGUUUCGUUUUAGGAGGGUGUAUUCAAUUAAGAAUUUAAAUUAUUGUAAAAGAUUUUGCAAGUAGAUACGUAUUCAAUCAAGAUCUUAAAUGAAUUCAUAGAAGUUCAUGCGUAUUCAAGCAAGAUCUUCAAAGAGUUUAUAAAACUUCAUAAAAAUCUGAGUGGCUGACACUGAUUAGUCUGAUUAUGUACUGCGAUAUAAGCCUUGCAUAGAAAAGGCCUCCGUCAAUUUUUUUGUAACUUAAUUUGAUUUUUUUAUAUGUUGCUUUGUAUCUCUAAUUCUUGUGAUUUUUGUUUUUCACAUUUGAUUUGUAUCCCUUAUACUCUCACAUUCACAUAGCAGUAGAAUUUGUGACUGGUAGAACAUGAUAUCAAUCUUGAUAAGUUAAUUUAUUGUGUAUUUAUAUAUAUAUAUAAAUUUUUUGGCGUGUAGUACAAAAUACGUUCUAAUAAUUUAAUUUAUUUAUUUGCAGACAAGGGUCUAAUUUAAUUUUAUUUUCAGCUUGGUUUUUCUCUGUCAUUUUUGUUCUAUGCCUUGUAUUAGGUCUUUAAUUUUUCUAUACAGCUUGACCAUGGCAAGGAUGAUGAACAAUGAUAUAGAUAACUACAACAGAGCUCUGAAGAAGAAAAGGAUGACAAACAUCGAUGAUGGACAAGAAAAAUACUCAUGCUUGGACCAAAAAGUCGUCCUGAGUGUUGACAUCUACCAUGCCGAAGGCCUCGACGGCCCUAAUUAUAGUACAAUAUGUUGUACUAAUAGGGUUUAUCAAUUUGUAUUAUGGGUUGAACCUGGCAAAGAGUACGAGUCAAAAUUUGUCUACGGGUCGCCAAACCCUAAAUGGAAUCGACAAGUGAAUUUCCAGCUCAGCGCCAGUCUUUUGGAAUGGGGAUCUCUACACGUGGAGAUCUUGAAGAAAGAUGACUCCGAGCCAGGGACCUCCAAUGGGAUAUCCGGUGUGAGUAGGACUAGAAUCCCAUUGCCGAAGAUCAACCAGAAAAAGGAAGGCAAGUUUGGAUUGACAAAAAGCGAAGGGCAUGUAUUGAAAGCCGAAGGACACAUUUUUUUGUCGAUGAAACUUGGUCAAUAUAUAAGCUUAGAUGAGUAACCUAGUUAGUUAGAUAGUUCCUCAUGAAAUUUGAUGAAGGUGACUUCCUUAUCUAGAUGUACUCGUACAAUUUAUUUUAUCCUAAUUCCAGUUUUGGACUUAUUGAUACAAAAAAAAAAAAAAAAAAAAAAAAACCAAAAUUAUAUGCAUAUGAUGCUUAAUUACUUUGAAAAAGCAAAUUAAAUCUGGAAUUUUCAACUUCCUAUUCUAUCUAAAGAUCUAAAAACAUAAUAAAGAUCGUAUACACAUCGGAAAUGCAAACCCACUUAAAAAGAAAACACAAGAAUUAGAAAUAACUAGUAGACGACAAAGGGCAUGCAAAAUAAUUGCGAUUAUGAAUAUUUGCGAUUAUUCAUGCACCCAAAUAAUUUGACAUGUAAUGAUUAUAGAUAAUCUUUAUCUAAAUUAUAUUGUCAUAGUAAUAGCUUAAUAUUUUUUUCCAAAGAAGUUUGGAUACGAAAAUUUUAAUGUAAUUACGUACCAUUUAUACUUGAAAUUUAUAUGGAAAUGUUUAGGUAAAAUUAAUAUUUGGGCAGCAUAUAUGGAGAAUGCCAUCAUAUAUAGUAAUUAAUGACGUAACAAAUUUUCCAAACAAGUUUCAGAUAAAAUAUUCAUGCAUCAUCCAACAAACAAAAAUAUCCAUGCAUUUUAGUUUAUCCAGUCAUGUAAUUACCUAAUUGCUUGUCAAUUACCCAAUAAGUACAAUUUAUAUUCGAUUUUAUAUAUGGAAAAUGUUAGGUAAAACAUUCUUAUUGCCACGUAUUUUUCCUAGUUUGUGAGUGUGACAUAGUUGACCAAUCAAAGAUUGCCAUGUAUGAGGUGGUCGUUGGCAAUGCUUUAAGGUGCGGCCAUAGCCCGCAUGCCAGACCUAGACGCCACUAUUUCCUAUAUAUACAUGCAUCAACUUUCAUCUUCGACUCAUGCACAAACUCUUUUUAUUUUUAUUUUUUCAUACAGUUUGGCUGCGACAAGGAUGAAAUCUGCAGAAGAAGAAGAAGAAGAGCACGACUCAUACCGGCAAGCCCUAAAGAGGAAAUCUGCAGAAGAAGAAGAAGAAGAGUACGACUCAUACCGACACGUAGUUUUAAAGGUAACAUUGUAAGUUGUUGCCAUAUCCAUUAAGAUAAUUCAUCAUCGGCACCGUUGUAAUCUAAUUAACUUAUGAAUUUGAGAGCACAGUUAAACAAUUAUUAACCGGCACAAAAUGACAUGAUGAAUUUGUUGUCUUAUUUGUCAAUUUCUUUUCUAUUAAGGUUUAAAACUGACGAGGAUAUGUUUAUCAAUACACGCACUAACAUGUUUUCGCAUAUCUUGGCCGUUUGUAUUUGAUCCAAUGACGGAAACCAAGUUUUUUUUAAGAAGCUUAUUUAAAAGAAAAUACUUGGAAAAAAGUUGUAACUGUCAUUUUAAGAAUUAUUAUUUUAAAGACUGUCAAAUCUUAUCUUAGUUACAAAACACCUAUUUAUCUUCGCCGAACAUUGUGUGGAGAAACAUGGAUACACUAUUAUAUCCAGUCCCAUCUCUUUUUGGUAAGUCCAUUGAAAUUUGUAUUUCGUGUUUUGUUUUAGGAGGGUGUAUUCAAUUAAGCGAAAAUAAUUGUUAAAGAGUUUACAAAUCCAUAUGUAUUUAAUCAAGAUCUUAAAUGAAUUCAUAGAAGAACAUAGGUAUUCAAUCAAGAUUUUAAAAGAGUUUAUAAAACUUCAUAAAAAUCUGAGCAGCCAACAUUAAUUAUGUACUACGAUGUACCUACACAAGAAGUCUUGUACAGAAAAGGCCUCCAUCAUUCAAUUUGUAAAUUAAUUUGAUUUUUUUUAUGUUGCUUUAUAUCCCUGAUUCUUGUGAUUUUUCUUUGUUCAUAAGUUAAUUUAUUUUGUAUUUAAUUUAUUUAUUUUAAUUUUUCUUCGGCGUGUAGUACCAAAUACGUUCAAGUAAUUUUAUUAUUUUGCAGAUAAGGGUCUAGCUUUCUUUUUGCUUGGUUUUUCUCUGUCAUUUUUGUUCUAUGCCUUGUAUUAGGUCUUUAAUUUUUCUAUACAGCUUGACUAUGGCAAGGAGGAUGAACAAUGAUAUACAUAACUACAACAGAGCUCUGAAGAAGAAAAGGAUGACAAACAAGGAUGAUGAACAAGAAAAAUACUCAUACUUGGACCAAAAAGUCGUCCUGAGUGUUGACAUCUACCAUGCCAAAGGUCUCGAUGGCCCUAAUUAUAGUACAAUAUGUUGUACUAAUAGGGUCUAUCAACUUGUCUUACGGGUGGAACCUAGCAAAGAGUACGAGUUGAAUUUUGUCUAUGGUUGCCAAACCCUAAAUGGAAUCUACAAGUGAAUUUCCAGCUCAACAUCAGUCUUUUAGAAUGGGGAUCUCUACACGUGAAGAUCAUGAGGAAAGACGAGUCUGAGCUAGGAACCUCCAAUGGGAUAUCCAGUGUGAGCAGGACUAGAAUCCCGUUACCAAAGAUGAACCAGAAAAAGAAGGCAAGUUUGGACUGGUAAAGAGCGAAGGACAUGUACUGAAGGCUGAAGGACACUUUUUUUUUUGUUUAGGUCAAUGAAACUUGGUCAAUAUAUAAGCUUGGAUGAGUAAUCUAAUUAGUUAGAUAAUUCCCCAUUAAAUCCGAUGAGGGUGACUUACUUGUCUAGACGUACUCAUACAAUUUCGGGAACUUUAACGAAAAGUUUCUGGUACUGUUCACUUUAAUGAAAAACCAUAUUUUUACACUAAAAAGUCAAUCAUGGUACUAUUUAUUUUACCAUUUAUUUUAUUAUUUUCACUAAAAGUCAAGUCAUUUUCAUUAGUUUCCCUUUUAUUUUAUCUUAAUUGCAAUUUUGGACUUCUUGAUACAAAAAAAAAAAAAAAAAAAACUAAAAUUAUAUGCACAUGAUGCUUAAUUACUUUGAACAAGCAAAUUAAAUCUGGAAUUUUCAAUCUCCUAUGAUUGGAUAGAUUCUAAAGAUCUAAAAACAGAAUUAAGAUGCAUCUACUCACUCGAAAAGAAACACACAAGAAUUAGAAAUAAUUAGUAGACGACACAUGAGAUGCAAAAUAGUUGCAAUUAUGAAUAUCCACGUUUGUUUAUCGUAUAAAUUUGACAUGUAAUGAUUAUAGCUUAAUAUUUUUUCCAAAUAAAGUUGAAUAUGAAAUAACUAGUAGACAACAAAAGACAUGUUAAUAUUCACGAUUAUGAAUAUUUGCGGUUACUCACUCAAAUAAAUUUGACGUUUCAUGAUUAUAGAUAACCGUUUAUCUAAGUUAUAUUGUUAUAGUAAUGUUUAAUCAAUUUUCCAAAGAAGUUUCUUUUUUGAUCGAAUUCCAAAGAAGUUUCAAUAUGAAAUGUUCAUGCAUUGUGACUUUUUAAGUAACCAAUUCCCAAUACCUAAUUUGUUGUCACCUAGUAAUUACGUACCAUUUAUACUGAAAUUUAUAUGAAAAUGUUUAGGUUAAAGUAAUAUUUGGGCAGCAUAUAUGGAGAGUGCCAUCAUGUAUAGUAAUGACGUAAUAAAUUUUCCAAACAAAUUCGGUUGAUGCACAAAAUCAGCGAGGAUUUUAGUACAACAGAAAGUGUUAAGUUUGUGAUUUUCGCUAGAUUGCUCCGGUCACUAGUGUGGAUAAGUAUGUAAAUGGAUAGAGACAGGGAAGCAAACACAAGAUGUACGUGGUUCACCCAGAUUGGCUACAUCCACGGAGUAGAGGAGUUCUCAUUAAUUGUGAAGGGUUUACACAAGUACAUAGGUUCAAGCUUUCCUUUUGUGAGUACUAGUGAAUGAUUUAGUACAAAUGACAUUAGUAAAUAUUGUGAGAGCAUGAUCUCUAUUUAUAGAAGAGAGUUUCUAAUUUCAUUCUGACAUUAACACGUGUCGUGUUGUGAUUGGCUUUUGAUGUUGACAUGUGUCACUCUAUGAUUGGCUUCUGAUGUCGACACGUAUCGCGUUAUGAUUGGCCUUCUGGUUCGAAGGAAACUCUUCUGGGUCCUUGACGGUAUAACGUUGACCGGUGCUCAGUAGUUUCGGGAUUGGUCAAGUAUGGUACAAACAGUGCUCCCUUAAGUUCCCGAGUGAGGGAAGCUCCUCGGUUGGGGACUUGCAAGAUCCAAGCCAUUGAGUAAUCACGAAACUUCUAAGUACCGAAGUGUGGUAUCAUUUUCACUUGUCUUAUCUGUCUCAUAUGUAGAUAUGACAUCUUCUCUGGAAGUACUUUUCCUCCAUCCAGGGGUGGUAUCUUUAACCGAUGAAGAUGCACAAGGUAAUGUAUCAAUUUCACUUGAAGCUUACUUGUAGUUUUGGGCUUGGUCAAGUGAGAAAUAAACCCUAUAGUAUGAGUCCCCCAAGUCACCGAGUUAGGACAUUUACCGAAAGAGGUAAUAGAUAAGGUAAGCAAUCAAACUUCCAAGCAAGCAACCUGGAUCGGAGGUUCCCAAGUCACGACACGUGUCGCGCUGUGAUUGGCCUCCUGGUUGGAAGGAAACUCUUCUGGGUCCUUGACGAUAUAACGUUGACCAGUGCUCAAUAGUUUCGGGAUUGGUCAAGUAUGGUACAAACAGUGCUCCCCUAAGUUCCCACUGAGGGAAUCUCCUCGGUUGGGGACUUGCAAGAUCUAAGCCAUUGAGUAAUCAUGAAACUUCUAAGUACCGAAGUGUGGUAUCAUUUUCACUUGCCUUAUCUGUCUCAUACGUAGAUGUGGCAUCUUCUAUGGAAGUACUUUUCCUCUAUCCGGGGGUGGUAUCUUUAACCGAUGAAGAUGCACAAGGUAAUGUAUCAAUUUCACUUGAAGCUUACUUGUAGUUUCGAGCUUUGUCAAGUGCGAUACAAAACCCUAUAGUAGAAGUCCCCCAAGUCACCGAGCUAGAAGAUUUACCGAAAGUGGUAACAGAUAAGGUAAGCAAUCAAACUUCCAAGCAAGCAACCUAGAUCAGAGGUUCGACUUCGACUUCCGGUUAAUUGUUCUCCUUCUCCUUGUGUCAUAAACAGCAACAAGGAUAAAGAGAAGCAAAUGGAGAAGAGAUGAUAUGAGAUACUUUUGCUUUUGAAGAAGUAACUUUCCACAGGUUUAUUCUUGAACUAGGCUGGAGGGUUUUCUGGUUUCCUCCAGAGUAUAAGGCCGACUCAAGAAUUUGAGAGUCAAAACAAGUCCAUCAAAUCAAGAGUGCAUUCGACCUUGAUGAUAUGAGAUACUUUUGCUAUUGACGAAGUGAUAGAUGAAUCGGCACGUGUUUUGUUGCGCUUGUCUCCACAUGCUUCCUUGUAUCCUUCUCACUUGCCCUAUAUGUUCCUCAGGCAGAUGUGGUAUCUUUUCUGGAAGCAUAAGAUGUUGAAGAUUAGUACUCGAGAGCAAUGCCGGGUAAAUAAUCAGGUAAGAGGUUUCAGGCAGUCAGUUUCUAACUAGAAGCUUGAUUCCAAGUGCUGACUGAUUGCUCUCUUUCUCAUUGUCUUGCAGGUAAGAACAAGGGCAAAGGAAAAGACAAGGAAAAAGCAUGAUAUGAGAUACUCUUGCUUUUGACCCUGAUGAUAUGAGAUACUAUUACUCUGGUGUGGCUAGUUUGCAUAGGUAUUAUUGGGGGGAAGAAAGCUGAGUAUUUCGAGAGGCUUCGUUAGGAAUGCCCUCUCAGAUAUGAGGAAGGGUUGAGCAUCUUUGCAAGUAUGCCUGUCCGUGGAGAAUGGAGGUCGACAUAUAUAGGAGUCUCCCUAACAACAAGUAGUAAUGUUAUUCCUUUACCCUUCUUGGUCGUAGCAAUGUAGUGGGAGCUGCAAGCUUCACAUGUUUUAACUUUGUCAGAGCACUUUGAAAAAAUGGUAUGUGGUAUCUGGAAAGCUGAUGUUGCGUGUGAAGAUUGCAUACAAGCUUUAUCCAAGGAAAUCUGGCUCUCGAAGUUCGGAGAGCGAUGCCUCUUCGGUUUUGGAACAAGCAAUCUUGUCGGGGAUCUGGCUCUCGAGAUUCGGAGAACGGUGCCUCUUCGAUUUUUGAGAAAGCAAUCCUGUUGGGAGUCUGACUCUUGAGAUUCGGAGGGCGGUGCCUUUUCGAUUUUUAAGCAAGUAAUCCUGUUGGGUGUCUGGCUCUCGAGAUUCGAAGAGCGGUGCCUCUUUGAUUUUUGAGCAAGCAACCAUACUAUUGCCCACAAGGAUAAAAGAACAGCACAAUUGCUUGAUAACUAGAAAGUCCCUGUGUGUGUCAACCUCUGUGCUCUGUGGCAAGGCAGAUUGGCAAAAAUGCCCAACCUUUACUCACAUUCGAGAAAACAUUCCUAACAAGAUUGCUUGCUCAAAAAUCGAAGAAGCACCACCCUCCGAAUCUCGAGAGCCAGACUCCCAACAAGAUUACUUGCUCAAAAAUUGAAAAGGCACAUCUCUCUGAAUCUCGAGAGCCAGACUCCCAACAGGAUUACUUGCUAAAAAUUUGAAGAGGCACCGCUCUCCGAAUCUCAAGAGCCAGACUCCCAAUAGGAUUGUUGUCUUAAAAAUCGAAGAAGCACCGUUCUCCGAAUCUCGAAAGUCAGAUCCCCGACAGGAUUGCUUGUUCGAAAACCGAAGAGGCACCGCUCUUCGAACUUCGAGAGCUAGAUUUCCUUAGAUAAAACUUGUCUGCAAUCUUCACACGCAAUAUCAGCUUUCCAGAUACUACAUACCACUUUUUUAAAGUGCUUUGACAAAUUUAAACACGUGAAUCUUGCAGCUCCCACUACAUUGCUAUGAUCGAGAAUGGUAAAUGAACAACGUUACCACUCGCUGUUGGGACAAUUCCUAUAUAUGUCGACCUUCAUCCUCCACAGCCAGACAGACUUGCAAAUAAAAAAAAAUGCUCAACUUUUCUUCACAUCCGAGAAGGCACUCCCACAAAGUCUCUCGAAAUACUCAGCUUCUUUUCCCCUGAUAAUACCUCUGCAAACAAGCCACAUCAAAGCAAGAGUAUCUCAAUGUGGAUUAUAUAUAUAUAUUCUAAUAACUUACAUAUUUAGGCAAUACCUAAUAUAUAUUGUUGAUUUAUGUAACAUGUCAUUUAUCACACAACAGAAUAAAUUAUUUAUUUAUAGAAGGCAUAUAGUACAAUAUUUUGUCUUGAAAAACUUUAUCAAUUUGAUUUAUUCAUCAUACGGUUGUACUUAUACUAUCAUUUAUUGUCAAGAAUUAUUGAGCAACUAGAUCCACUGAUCAACAUUGUUACUGAUUAAAGAAGCCUAUUAACUUAUAAACUGAUGAGCCACAUGCUCAUGGUGAUCUCUUGUCUUACCGGAAACCCACUUGCUCGGACAUUCGCUUAUUGGGACACCUAUAUGUCUGGAUCCAACUUGAUGACCCUACAGAUAGCCCCAACUCGAUGACCCUACGUAUGGCCCCGACUCAAGGACCCGACUUGCAGACCCGAUACGAGGAUCUGAUACAGAGACCCAAAAUGCGAACCCGACAAGCGGACCUGAGUCAUGUUGAGAAUCAACUCAUACUGAGUGCAUGUCGACGUAAAGUAAAUACUUGCAAUGAGGAAUACCACGAGCCGAGCCACCUUAUAGUGAUCAUAGCCUCUAGCCGAGCCGCCUCGCAACGAGUAUUGCCUUCAGCUGAGCAAACACCUCGCCGUGAGCAUAGCCUCGCAACGAGCAUCGCCUCCAGCCGAGCAGUCUCGUAACGUGUGAUACCUCUAGCCGAGUAUUGCUUUAUGUUGAGCAUUGUCUUGGGUUGAGUACUGGUUCAAGACAUCUAACCACUUCAGCGCGUACAUGGAUUGGAUUUGAAGUUUCCAGCCAAAAGACUCUAUUGACUGAAGACUUUGGGGAUUAUUGUUGGUACCAUACAUAUUUGGGCUCAACAUUUGGGCCUCAUCACCCAGCCCAUAAUUAUGUAAAAGGAGGAGCCCCUUAUUCUAUAAAAGGGGACUCAUCCCCCUCAUAAGGAGGACUCAGUGAACCCAACAAAAGGCAAUACCCUCACAAACUCUCCCAAAUUCUCUCUUUCUCUGGGGGACUCCCCCUCACCCUUGUAAUCCAUACAUAUAGUCAGAGAAAUACAAUCAAUGUGGACGUAGCCCAAACCUUGGGGUGAACCACGAUACAUCUUGUAUUAUUUACAUUUCUUGCAGAUUCACGGUCGGAUUUACAUGUACCAAGACCUCCGGUUUUGUGCAUCAACAGGUUCCACACAAAAUAUUCAUGCAUCUAUCAACAAACAAAAAAAUGCUAAAUUUUAUUUUCUCCAGUCAAGUAAUUAAAAUUAUGUAAUUGCUUGUUACCCAAUGAGUACAAUUUAUAUUGAAUUUUAUGUGAUGCUUAAUGGUAGAGAACCGUGACUUGUCAUCAGUUGUCCUCAUUUAAAAAAAAAAAAACUAUUGUCAUUUAGUAUGACGGUCUAAUGGUAUUCAUUUUCACUUGUAAGUGAGAGAUUUUAGGUUUGAUUCUCGCAAAAAACAAUUUUGAACCACAUUAUUGUUAGCUAGGCUAAGCUCACCCUCUCCUCUUAAUGUAGAUAAUAUAUAAUAUCGUUUGUUAAAAAAAAAUAAUAACUAUUACAAACAGAAAUGUUCUUAAUCCCUAAUCUUCAAGGACUCUUUUAGAGCAGUUUUAGCGUGGGAUAUACCUAUAAACGGGUUGGGUUUACUGGGUUUGGGUUGGGUUCAAUCCGACCUGUUAAGUUAACGGGUCACCCGAACCCGACCCGUUAAGCUAACGGGUCACCCGUUUCACCCACUCGAACUUAUCCUCCGCCAUUAAUGCCCUCUCUACAUCCACUCAUUCCUUACUCGCUGCUGCUCGACUCACUGCCUCUCCAAACUCGGCCGGUCUAUCGAAUCCGAAAUUCAAGCUUGGAUCGACCGCGAAUGCUUGGAUAGCUUGACACGAGCUAUGGAAGAGAACCCAAUUUGCAACGAGGACGAGUUGAUCAAGCUACUGACUCAAUUCAAGGACCGAGUUGCGUAGGGGUUCAACCAUGAGUUGCGAGAUUUGAUCUUGAAGUUCAAAGUUGUCACCUCGCUCGAGUUAGUUCUGUGCGAGUUGACUAGGUCAUCGAAGCGAGUUAGAGAACAUUGUACUUUCGUCAUUGCAGCUCUGAUCAAGUUCAAUAAAGAAGUUUUCGUGGGUCAAGUUUUGAUGGGUCGGCCCACGAUCAGCUCUCUGAUAAAAAUCGCGUCUACGAACUUGAUCAGGGUACUCUGCGCGCUCUUCAGGCUGAUCAAAUCGCCGCUCGUCGACGAGAUCGAGUUCAACGGAGAAAUACCUAAGUUCAUAAGCUUCCUGAAUUCCAAAGAUUUAGAAAUGUGAGUGAUGACGAUGGUCUGCGUGUUCAAAAUCGGGUAUUUCGGGCGGAAUGAGGCUAUUGACGUUUAACGCGAUGCUACAUGAGGGGUUGAUUGAGAAGCUUGUGGAGUUGUAGAGGUCGGAGCAUGGCAAUGAUUUAAUGAGGGAGAGCACGGCGGUGAUUUGAAAUUACACAAAAGUCCUCAAUAAACGAGUGAAACGGGUGAUGAUCGGGUUUCGCGAGUUCACCCAAAUAACUUGUUAUUUAACGGGUUGACCCCUUAACCACCCGACCCAUUUAUCACUCACCCGAAAACUAAUUUUAACGGGUCGGGUCAGGUCGGGUCGAGUCGGGUUGGGUUAAUAGGUCGGGUUGAAAAUGCCAGGUCUAGCGUGGGAGCCCUCCCUCCCAGGCAAUCCACUAUUCAAUCCACCCAGUGAAUAGUAACUGCCCUUAAUGAACAGUAAUUGCCUUUUGCAUCUCCAGUGUGGGAGCCCUCCCCUUGGUAAUAAGCAAUAAAAUAUUAGUAUUUUUUUAUUUAUAAAAUAAUACAAAAUAAUUUUAUUUGUAAUUUCGGAUAAGAUUUUUAAUCGUUCUCGUUGCGUCACGUGUCAUAAUCUGAAAAGUUAUAAAAUAAUACAAAAUAAUUUUAUUUGUAAAAUAAUUCAAAAUAAUGAGAAGGUAUUUAUAGAAAAGUAAAAAAAAAUUAAAAAUUUUCAGAUAAUUUUUCAGAUUUUUAACAAUUUUUUAAUUCAAAUAAUUAAUCUAUGCCGUUGGAUUUAAAAAAAAUGAAUUCCAACAUUCCAGAUUGUGCCACGUGUUACAACAAUAACUUUUCUUAAUUUUAAAACUAUUUUUUUUUAUAUUUAUUUAUAAAGAAUAUUAAUAUCGACCGUUGAUCUCGGAUCGAAUGGUUGAUAUUAAAUAAGAUUUUUUUUUUACCGUUGAGAUUUAACGGUCCAAGUUAAAGAACCAUUGAGAUCGAACGGACCGUGGGAAGCCACAUGGCUUCCCAACCGUAACAUUCAGACUGAAAAGUGGGCUGCUUUUUCUGAAAAGAUGUCGGACGACACGCCCCCACGCCAGAGUGGGGUGCACGCACCUGACAGAAAAAAAUAAAAAAAGGGCCUGCUGAAGGGUGAUAGCCAAUCCACUCGGGCUUGCGGGCUGGUAAUUCUUCACCAACCCGGAGCUCGGGCUUCCACCUCAACUCGGGCUCCUUCACGCUGGAGCGAAUCCACAUGGCCUCGGGCCCUUUUCUCUGGCCUGUCCCCCGACCAAUCCACCACGGUGGAGUUGCUCUUUCAGUUGAGAAACGCGUUUACUAUCGGUAAUUUUACUAUUUACUUUUUGCUAAGAAAGUUAGGGCGUGCUUGACAUGUCGGAUAACACACCAGAUAGUUCUAUUUAAUACUAUCCGGUGUUUGGUGUCAAUCCGUAUUAAAUAAGCAUCGGAUUAUUUAUGCGGUCCGGCCUAUUUUAUAUGACGUACGCUGAAUAACUUAUACACUCCAAAUCGUCGGUAUUAAUUAGUCGGGUCGCUGAAAUCAAAAUCAAGCUAGCUCAUUUUCCAUCCCUCUUGCUAGUUUUAAAUUGUGAAACUCAUUGUCAUAAAUGUUCUUCAAUCUCCUUUUGAGGAAGUAAAUGAACAUGAUAAUCUUUGAUGAAUUGAGUUUUUAAUCCAGUAUUGCACUAAAUGCUCGAUUAAAUAGUAUGUAAUCUCGACUAAAUAGUCAGUACUAUCUGAUGACAAAUUAUCCUAUUCGACUGAAAUAGUCCGUACCGUCCGAGUUCCUAAACAAAACCUUAAUAUAUAAGGGAAGGUAUAUUAUCGUCAUCAUACCGAUUGGCACCAUCCCCCGCAACAAAGCAACAAUCCCAUCAAUCCUUCUUACCCAUUAUCCAACGCACCCUCAGCACCAUCCCCACUAGCGCACGUUAGAACAGAGACGCUUUAACCCCAUGGCUUCCUCCCGCCCUCCGCCGCAGAAGCCGCUCGAUCUCGACCUCACGAUCGUCUCCGCCAAGCAUCUCAAGAACGUCAACUGGAAGAACGGCGACCUCAAGCCCUACGCCGUCUUCUGGGUAGACCCCGACCGCCGGCUCGCCACCAAGUCCGACGACUCCGGCUCCACCCGCCCGGUCUGGAACGAGCGGUUCACCGUCCCGCUCACCCUCUCCCUCCACGACUCCUUCCUCACCCUCGAAAUCUUCCACUCCAAACCCUCCGAAACUUCCAAGCCCUUAGUCGGCACCCUCCGGGUCCCACUCAAGGACCUGCCCGAUCAGGACGACUCGACCCGAAUCCGGACCUUCCAGCUCGUCCGUCCCUCCGGCCGUCCCCAGGGCAAGAUCCGUGUUAAGCUUGCCGUUCGAGAACGACCUUUGCCGCCAGAUUACCAUAUUAGCCCUCCUCCUAGCUACUUUUACGGAGGUGCCCCUAUGCCCCCACCGCCUGUUCGCGACUUCAGGUCAUACUCGCCGUCGUCGUACAGCUCUACUUUACCAGCUUCCGCUCCUAGUCCAUCGGCUUCGCCACCGCCUCCGCCUCCGCCUUACCAUUACAGCUCCUAUUCCGAUCCGUACUCGGGUUACUAUCCAGCGUACUACUCCAGUGCGCCACCGCAUCCACCAAGGCCGUUCUUCGACCGACCGGUGAACUAUGGCGGGCCUAGUGGGCCUUCAGCGCCAUUGGACUACUCAAAUUAUGACCAGAAUCAGAAGCCCAAAAGUGGGAAGAUGGGAUUGGGCACCGGAUUGGCUGUGGGCGCAGUGGCCGGAGGUCUUGGUGCAGUGGCAUUGGAUGAGGGGUUGAGGUACGAGGAAGAUAAGGUUGCACAGAGGGUGGAGAAUGACCUGCGCGAGCGUGACGAGUACAGCAAUUAUCAUGCCGAUUAUUGAUUGAAUCGGGGUUUAGCCGUUUUGGUAUGGUUUAAUUACUAAAGCGCAAUGUUAAUUUGCCGGUUCACAGUGUAUAUGUAUAUAUGUUUUUAUGUGGAAUUUGGUUUGGGGCUUUUGGAUUGCUGAAUGAAUUAAGACAACGGUUUAAACUUUAUUGUUAAGUGGGUGUUUUAUUCGAUGGAAUGAGUGUUUAUGUAUCUUGGAAUGAAUUGUGUUAUUGAUCAUCUUGGAAUGAAUUGUGCGUUUGAUCAUUCUUGGAACGAAUUGUGUGAUUGAUCAUUUUAGAAUGAAUAGCGGGAUUGAUUGUCUUGGAAUGAAAUGCAUGAUUCAUCUUGGAAUGAAUUGCGUGAUUGAUUAUCUUGGAAUGAAUUGUGCGUUUGAUCACUCUUGGAACGAAUUGUGUGAUUAAUCAUAUAAAUGAAUAGCGGGAUUGAUUGUCUUGGAAUGAAAUGCAUGAUUCGUCUUGGAAUGAAUUGCGUGAUUGAUCAUCUUGGAAUGAAUUGUGCGUUUGAUCACUCUUGAACGAAUUGUGUGAUUAUCAUUUUAGAAUGAAUAGCGGGAUUGUCUUGGAAUGAAAUGCAUGAUUCGUCUUGGAAUGAAUUGCGUGAUUGAUCAUCUUGGAAUGAAUUGUGCGUUUGAUCAUUCUUGGAACGAAUUGUGUGAUUGAUCAUUUUAGAAUGAAUAGCGGGAUUGAUUGUCUUGGAAUGAAAUGCAUGAUUCGUCUUGGAAUGAAUUGCGUGAUUGAUCAUCUUGGAAUGAAUUUGUGCGUUUGAUCACUCUUGGAACGAAUUGUGUGAUUAAUCAUAUAAAUGAAUAGCGGGAUUGAUUGUCUUGGAAUGAAAUGCAUGAUUCGUCUUGGAAUGAAUUGCGUGAUUGAUCAUCUUGGAAUGAAUUGUGCGUUUGAUCACUCUUGGAACGAAUUGUGUGAUUAAUCAUUUUAGAAUGAAUAGCGGGAUUGAUUGUCUUGGAAUGAAAUGCAUGAUUCGUCUUGGAAUGAAUUGCGUGAUUGAUCAUCUUGGAAUGAAUUGUGCGUUUGAUCACUCUUGGAACGAAUUGUGUGAUUAAUCAUAUAAAUGAAUAGCGGGAUUGAUUGUCUUGGAAUGAAAUGCAUGAUUCGUCUUGGAAUGAAUUGCGUGAUUGAUCAUCUUGGAAUGAAUUGUGCGUUUGAUCAUUCUUGGAACGAAUUGUGUGAUUGAUCAUUUUAGAAUGAAUAGCGGGAUUGAUUGUCUUGGAAUGAAAUGCAUGAUUCGUCUUGGAAUGAAUUGCGUGAUUGAUCAUCUUGGAAUGAAUUGUGCGUUUGAUCACUCUUGGAACGAAUUGUGUGAUUAAUCAUAUAAAUGAAUAGCGGGAUUGAUUGUCUUGGAAUGAAAUGCAUGAUUCGUCUUGGAAUGAAUUGCGUGAUUGAUCAUCUUGGAAUGAAUUGUGCGUUUGAUCACUCUUGGAACGAAUUGUGUGAUUAAUCAUAUAAAUGAAUAUCGGGAUUGAUUGUCUUGGAAUGAUAUGCAUGAUUCGUCUUGGAAUGAAUUGCGUGAUUGAUCAUCUUGGAAUGAAUUGUGUGAUUGAUCCCGAAUAGUUGGUACAGUUCCAGGUUUGGUUGAUUGGUUUACUAGCGUUUUGAGCUACUUUGUGUUCCAGGAGCAUGUUGAAACUUUAAAUAGAGUAGUUUUUAGAAUGAAAGCACCAUUUGGAAUGAAGAAGAAUGCCAGCCAUGGUAGGCGUUGAGCUUACAGCUGAUUGAGGUCUUUUUAUGGAGCUUAGUUAGAUUUUUAUCCUUGCAACUAUGAACGUUAGAUUUCUCUGUAUGGAUUCUAUGGAACCACGGCUAAAUAUCUCUUGCAUUCUUUUCUGUGGAUCUUAAUCGAGUUGUUUAAAUGACUGGUAUAUGAUUAAAGGUUAUCUUAGAGACCGAUUUAUUACCAUUUCGUUUUUAGAUUUCCUCGUUUUGUUAGAGAUGAAAGAGAAGUACAUUAGAGAAAAGAAAGAUGAAGAAGGGCGGAGGAAUGAUGACGGGAGGGGUGUGGAAAAUGUAUUUUGAAUGGCACACAAGAAAAAAAACGAAAAACCUUUUCAACCUUCUGGAGUCCAUACCUUUCUCGGUAUUUUGGCUAAGAUCUAGUGGAACAGUACAAAGACUCUUCCACGGCAUGUAAAACGGUUUGCUUGCCCAUAGAGGAGACGAUGAAAAGCUUUGGGAUCCUUGGCCGUACAUUAACUGGAGUUCUCUUCUCAGUGCAUCUGUUAUGCUGAGUAACAAAUUGGGAUGGCUUUAUGCCAGAGAUACCAAAGUUUAGGUGAAGGGAUAUUGCUUUCUUAACAAGAAAGUUAAAUCUUUCAAGUUCGAAGGUGCACAAAAUACUGCCCGAAAGAGCUGACGCUCUCUCGGGCCUUGACCUUCACCUUUUUCUCCUCGUCAAAACAAUGUCCAAAGCGGGAAUUACAGCACCUCUUUUCGGUCUACUUCGCAAACUUCUCAUGAUCUUGUCGAGUCAGUGGAGGCUCUAAGAUCCAAUAUGAGGAUGAAGAGUUGCGGGGACUAUUGUGCUAGUUAUACUGACUGGGAUUUUGCAGAUGCCAAUAGUCUGUCGGAGAAGGCGAGGGAGGAAGGGGCGGUGAGACUGGUGACUAAGGAGGAGGAUUUUGAAUUCUUGAAUGGGAGCUUUAACGAAAAGCUUCUGGUAUUGUUCACUUUAACGAAAAACCACAUUUUUUACAUUAAAAAGUCAAUUUUAGUACUAUUCACUCUACUCUUUAUUUUGUCCUUAUCGUUAAAACUCAAAAUUUUCAAACCAUUUUUAUUAGUUUUCUUUUCUUAAAUUGUAACAAACGACGUAUGGAUCAAAUAUUAACAACAUAUACUGACGGCAUUUCGAUCAACUAUUGACAUGUAUCAAUCGAGUAUUGGUGACAUAUUGAUUGGUGUAAUAUUGACUGAAUACAAAUGAUAAUAUGGGCAAGAUACACUUUCGAGUUAUAACUUUUUGUAUUGAAUCGUUUUAACCCUGUUUAUUUUUUAUUUUUUGUACACAUAUAUUUACAUUAAGAGAGCAGAGAAAUAAAUUGGUACCUUAGUCAUCAUCCACGAAAAUUGAAACUAAGACUACUUACUUACAAAUAAAGACUAAUAUUAUUAUAUCGCACUACUAAGUGGCUUUAUCCGUUCAAAUUUUGUACCCGCAAUUUGUUCCCCUUUUUAAGCUCUCAGUGUAGAAGUACCUAUUUUCUUAAGCCGACGUGGCCACCUUACGUAUCUGAGCCCAAAACCAAAUAAACACUAUUUUGGGCGUAGUGGAAUGGGCUUAUCAUCAGAAGGCAGACUUGACACACAAACCAUGUCAUUGCCAAGCCCAUCUUAGUAAAUGUACUAUUAUUUUUCUUGGCCCUUGCAAAAUUCAACAUAGGGAAAGGGAUAGUAUUGCCAUUUUUUUUUUAACAAACGAAAUUAUCUGCACUAAGGGGAUGGAUGAAUGAGUUAAGUCUCACAAUGGACUAUCAAUAAUAUGGUAUUCAUUUUCAUUGGUAAGUAAAAGGCCUUAGGUUCGGUUCUUACCUUCUUUUUUGAACAAACACAUCCCUUUCCUUAUGUUGAGUUUUGCAAAUUGCCACUUAAUACUACAGUAGUAAUGGUAUUCCUCAAAAGAGACCUGACAAAACACAUCAAUUCCUAAAUUUCCGAGGACGUAAGCUAUAUCUUAUAUUUGCAUGCAAAUUAUUGAUAAUAAUAAAAUAGCCAUACAUGCGAUGUCAAAUUAUAAUUUGUCCACAAAACAAAAUAACUCCUUAUCUCUACGAAGCAAUUUGUUCUCUUAUUCCAGAUGAGUGGACCACAGACUGGAUGAGGGGACCUAUUUGUAGACAACUGAAGAUUUGAUCAAAUUGUCGUUGAGUUUGUGCUCCACAAUCACCAUAUACAUUUCCAAUUCCCCAGAACAUAUGCGUAUGUGUGGAAACAAAUCAUGGUGUCCAAUCUACUCGUCCCAAAAAGAUGCAUAUUUUAUCUUGGAACUCAAGUGGAUUGGAAUUGAAUUCCAAUACAUUUUGAUAUCAAAAACUUACCUUUUUAUUUUUUUUAUUUUUUAAUAUAUAUAUAUAAAUUAUUGGAUGAAUGAUGUUACAUGAUUAGAUUACAAUAUAAUCAGAUUCUUUAUCCAAAGGGAUUUUUCAAUUUUUGGUAAAAAUUGAGACUAAUUGUAUGGCCCAAUCCACAUCGAACUUUAAGAUCCGAAUCAUCUAUUUUUCAAGUUGCACUUUACAGAUCAUCCUUUUAAAAUAUUAACCAAUUCGGAAAAGUUUAAGGCAUGUAAUUGAGUUCAUAGAAAUUGACGAACAUUAUAUUAUAAGAUACAUUGAAAUUUCACCAUAACAAUCAAAUGAGUAAAUGGUUUCAAAUUGUUGAAGUUCGAUGUACAAUGGACCCAACAACUAGUCCUAAUUUUUACAAAACUUGGAGAUUGCUUCGCAAUAUAAUUAAACAAAUUAUUUUGGCACGGCUCAUGGGGAAUGAGAACAUGAACAUCUUAUCUUAUAACCCUUUCCAAUGCGUAACAUUCGUUAUUCUUCUUGUUUAUUUUUUCUUUGACUUAGAUUGUGUGUGACAAUGUUGACCCUAAAACUAUUUAGCCUAUAAGUUAACUAUGUCAUUCAGUCGAAUGCGGGGCGUGCCAACUCGUUGGUUGAACUCGGCAGAGGAGUGAAUGAAUGUUGAUGUGGCGUUGGGUGCGCUGAUGGCUUCUAAAUCUUGCGAUUGCGGCCGAGGAAGGAACAUGUCUCGGCCUUCGGGUUCUAGAGCCUAAAGACAAGGCUACUAGUUUUGAGAAGUUCACGAAUCGUCAGCACUAGGUUCGGCAACUGUAAUUAUAUUCGUGAGAAUAUAAGCGCCGAAUCAGUACGAGACUAUCUGGACACAAAUACUCAAAAGAGAUGUGUGUCUUGAUUGUAAAUAUGGUUCGGCCGUUUGAAUGCCGAACUCUGAAAUGCACUUGUGAAUAUCCACUCAUAAAACAAGUUCGGCUUUCAAUGUGCCGAACUGUCGUGACUUGGUAACACUUCAUUUCGCCGAGAAGGCUGAUGGGAUGACCUUUACCAACAAGGACUCAGAGAUUCCUUGCUGACCAAGACUUGGAUAGAUAACUAGUCAGUUACGAAGCAGUGCUGUUUAUCCAAACUGAAGGUACUCCUCAAUCGGUUGAUUAGGCUUAAAUGCUAUUUAUCUAAACUGAAGAUGUUGCUGGUUGCCCCACAAUGCGGUUUAUCCAAAAUGCAGAUGUGUUGGUGGAAAAAAGGGGUAAAAUAAAAAGAUCUCAAGAUGUUUGAGAGGUUUGGCAUAGAGCGAGAGUUUGCGCAAGGCAAAUUUGUGUGUUGGUUUGGAGGGCUUUGAAUGAUGCACUCCCCUCUCUAUUUAUAGUAAUAAUUCCCACAUGGCCGAAGUAGAGUCCUACUCAGAUUAUAAUUCCUUGAUCCAUUAUCACGUGUAGAACUCUGAAUCCAACCCUAUUAUUCUCCAAAUUCAAUCCAAUUGAUCCUGAUCAUCUCCCCUAAUUCGGGGUAUCAGUGAUAUCCAAGGAUUCCUUGUUACAUUAGGACUCGGCCGACCAUUCUAUCCAGGUUUAAGAUAAGAUCAACUUCUGGUAGAACUCGACUGAAUCUCCUUGGGCUGGGCUUUCCUUGGGUAUAUUCCAAGAUACCCUAAAUUAUAUACUGGGCCCAUGAACAAACCGUACAUGGAUUCCUUGUUACAUUAUGCCCCAUGAACAAACCGUACAUGUAGUAAAGGGCAAAAGCUCAGGUGCAGAGUUGGUUUUGAUUGUCGGAAUGCAGUUUGCAGUGAUGGGGCUAACAAUUUGACAGAAAACGACCACUUCUGGAGCGUCACAUUUCCAAUGGUUUGAUGUCCAUGCUCUUCGAAUGUUGGUGAGAGAAAGGAAGAGAUGAGCGUGGUUACGUAUAUAUGAUUGGAAUCUAAAAUAUUCCUUUAGACUAAAAUGUCUGUUAAUUAUCAACUAGACCUUUUGUAUAAGGAUAAUGUUAGGAAGACCAAUUAUUUAGACUAAAUUUUGUAAACCAUAUAACAUAGUUGUUAGUGAUUGUAUUAUUACAUUACUUAAGUAUUAAUUAACGUACUUAUUUCCUCUAUUUUUCCCUUAAAAAACAAUCAUUUAUUCCAAAAAAAAAAAAAAAACCUCAAGUACAACCAGUUGCACAUGAUCAAAGUUUAAAGCGAGAUCAUCUCUAAACAAAUAGCUUCUGCGACUGAUCAAACAAUCACUUAUUCACAAAGCUCUGUAUGAUGAAAUAGUUUUCAUUUUCCAUCUCAUGGAAAACUCUUUUUGCUCCGCUUAGCCCUACAUACACUAGUUGCUUCCUGCCCCCUCUUUUUUCUUCUCCACUAACCAAUCUUCUUUAUUUUUUUUUUAUUUUUUUUUAUAAAUCCUUAAUCUUCCAUUAAUAUCCCACAAGGAUAGGUACAAUUUAAUUUAAAUGGAAAGACCUCUUACGGAUAAGAGACAUAGGGCUAAAGAGAGAGCCAAAAAGAUGAUCCUUUGUGUAUAAUCCUGCAUAAUCUCAAAGGUUAUCAAUUCCAGUACGUAUAUCAAAUGAUACAAUGCAGAUUAUAAGUCCCUCUAUUAGAAGUGUUCCAAAAAUGUUUGCAAUCAAGUAAAUAACUCUACGAACGAAUUGAUCGUUUCUCCUAAGCACCUUAUUCCCGCCACAAUAAGACACCCACGAUUAUCUCGAGUAAUAAAUCCCGCAACAGCAUUCUGAUUAAUAACUGAACCAUCAAAAUGUAUUUUAAGGUAGCUAGGCUUAGGCGGCUUCCACUUUAUAAUCUUCUGAUUUCUAUCAUCACUUUCCUUUUAACUUUUGUGUUAGCUUUAAAAUAUUCUUUCUCAAGAAUUCUGUGUGGAUGUUGGUCCAACUAAUCCAAUUUGUUGGAGAUAUUUUCUGCCAGUGGUUUAGACUGAGUUGCAGCUUGUGGAAAGGGCUAUGGAAGAAAUGGUAGAAAGCUUUGCCUCACGGUUGGCGCUCAUUGCACGAAUUGUAACCAAUCAGUUUAGUAGGUUGAAGACCCCCUGAGUUGCAUAUUUUGUUCGAAGAUAGUUCGGAAUUUGUUUAUGGAUUGGAGGAUAGGUCUUUUAUGUUGUGUGGGACACUCUUUUCCCUUCGACCGGAGUGAAAUUCCCAGCAAGGUUUUAUCGGGGCCCAGUAUGCACACUAUCCUUAGUUUGUUUGUAUUUUGAAUUUGCUUGCAAUGAAUUAUCGUACUUCUCUAAAAUAAAAAAAAUAAAAAUGAAUGUGACACAUUUCACGGUUUACGAAUUUUGUCUAAAAUAUUGGUCUACCUAGUAUUACUCUUUAUAUAUUAUAAAAAGAGUGGUCAUUAUAUAUAUGUAUAUUUCUAAUAGAAGCCAUAAAGUGUUUCAUUACUAAGACCAACCAAAUACGUGCGGUGCUAAAUUAAUAUAUGUGUUCCAGUAACUAAUUUUUUGAUUUGAAGACAAUUCGCACAAAUCACAAAUAAUUUUAAACCCCUAUACAAUUAGAAUAGAACUUGGCCGCUGAAAAAUCAGUAGCAGCUCCUGCAGCUGGCCAAUCACAAAUGAACACGUGUCUAAGUAAUUGAUUUUUUAAUCAUAUAUUGAACACGUGUCUAUCUAUGAUUAGCUAGCAGCAGGAGCUGUUGCUGAUUUUUCAGCAGCCAAGUAUUGUCCAUACGAUUAUCACAUUAAACCAGCACAAACUAGGAUCAAGAAGCGGACUUGGAUCCAAGUACCCCUUAAAAGUUAAAAAUAAUAUUACUCUAAUGAACCACAAUGAUAUGUAAUGAUGGUUAAACGAAAAAAUUAAUAUUUAAAGAUAAUAGUAAUCACAGCAAAGUAAAUGUGUUUAUUGUAUGGCAUAUACGCAUGCAGUUGGGUUGGGUGAACCUUUCAGAACCAUGGGAACUUCUUGACAGGCCGAAACAGGCGAUGCCCUAAUUCUAAGAACGUCAACGAGGAAUAUACAUAUUAAUUCAUGCAGAAGGACUACUCCAGCAGGUACAUGAACGUCGACUGCUCACUCACUACAUGAUAAAAUUACAAAUAAAAUAAUCCAUAUAUAUAUAUAUACACUUUGUAUUUUUCAACAUUUUGGUGAACCUUUCAGAACCAUGGGAACUUCUUGACCGGCCGAAACAGGCGAUGCCCUAAUUCAAAGAACGUCAACGAGGAAUAUACAUAUUAAUUCAUGCAGAAGGACUACUCCAGCAGGUACAUGAACGUCGACUGCUCACUCACUACAUGAUAAAAUUACAAAUAAAAUAAUCCAUAUAUAUAUAUAUACACUUUGUAUUUUUCAACAUUUUGAUGAUCUCUGUCAAGGUGUCAUACUCAUGCAUAAAAAAAUAUAUAAAAGCCAGGAAAAAAAAGGCCACCCGUCAAGACAAAGACGUCAGUGAGAAUAAAAGUGCCCUAAAUAGAUUCUUUUGAGAAAUGUUGUCUAUUUUUGGUUAGUCACAUAAAAUUGUGGGUAGGGAGUUGGUGGCAUGAGUGACGCAAGGUCCUUUGGUCUUUCAUUUUAUGUGCAUUGAUGGAUGUAAUUAACUUAAGAGGAAAACUCACAGCUUUAAGUGAUUAAAAGUGUUUAUGAUAUUGUAUUCAAAUUUUUCUUUCAUUAAUAUUGUAUGUGUAAUAAAAAAACUCUCGUAUUAUGGGGUAAAAAACAUUAUACAUAAAGAGAGUAAAUACGGUCCUUAUCAAACUUUAACCGCAUAAAUAUUUAAUGAGAGCGGUGAAGUUGUGGACUUGCCGGCAACCAUGGGAAUUUCUAGCACUUUUAAUGUCAUUGAUUUAUAUGAGUUUCAUCCUGAUGAUGCUCUUUUAUAACAUGUUGAUCACUUGUAUACGAGUUUUUUUUAAGAGGGGGUGACUGACGUAGGACUAGAAGAGCAAAUAAUUGUAGCAAAUCCCGACAUGAAUAGUAAUCUCGUAUGAAUAGUAUUUUAAAAAUUUUUGUUGUCCGAUUUAGUCCAAAAAUACCUUUUUUUUCCGAAAGAGAACAACGGGAUGAUUCAAACUUAUGGAUUUUGGGCAUUUGAAGCCGUUUGAAGGGUCAAAACAACGAUUUAAUUUAUUUUUGGGUUGUUUUGUUAUUUUUGGAUAUUAAGUUAUUUCCUGUUUAUCUCUAUUUUUUCGUUAGGGUUUUGUGGGACUAUGUAAGCAUCCUUAAGGUUGUAUUUUGUGUGGUUAUUCAGUUGAAAAUCAAAAGUUUCUCUCAAAUGUCUAAAGUUCCAGAAUUCUUGUCUUUCCUUUUUAUUUUAUUUAAGGACAGUCAAAAGUUUUGGUUGCAUCCAAAGUACAUAAAAAACAUGCGAGAUUAUAUAAUUGUAAACUCAAAAAAUAAUGAGAUGUUAGGUAAAUAAGGUUAUCGUAAAGACAAAAUACAGAGGUAAGGUGUUUGAGGUGAAAUGAGGGGUAAUUAAGGUUGUCAAAUAAAGUACUCUCAAACACGUUUUAAUCACUUUCAUCGAGCUUUUCAUGUAAUCAAUAAUUCUAACCUAGUGUCCAUUUUAUUUUGUCCUUUAAUUACGAAAAGAGCUAAUUAAGGAGAUCAAAAUGUGUACGUAAACCCCAAUGCAUUAGUCCCUUCUUAUUUAAUGGUAAAAAAAAAGCUAAUUAAGGAGAUAAAAUCUUUUGCAUUCAUUUUAUAGGUUGUCUCUAUCAUUGAUUGAUACAUGUUAAUAACUUAAUCUUCAUUAAAUUUAUUAUUAUAAACUUAACACGUGUCAAUUAAUGACAAAGAACACAAAAAAUAAAUACAUACUUUUAAUCAAGUUGGUAUAUUACGUAAGAAGAUUGAGUUGGGGUAAAUGUAAAAUGGGUCUUAGUAUUUAGACAGCACGGGCUGUCACAAUACUAUAUUUUUCUUUCUAGGUAAAGGAGCAAUGGACCUUCUGAAGUAAAACAAUUAAUUUAUCCACAUACAUAAGUUAGUACUUCACAACACAUAUAUAUAAUCCUCCAUUUUUUGGAGUAUUUAUAAUUUUAUUUAAAUAUCGCCAUCUGACUGGUGGCAAUUAAAUAUUAAUUAGCACCAAAAGUCUGGCCCACGCCGACAAAUCAGAAUUAAGGGUUUUAAUUAGAGGAUUCUCACGAAAAUAUAACUUAAUUAGCCGACCAUUUCCUUCAGGUAAUUUCAAUCAUAAGCUAAAUAAAAUAAGUGCUUAUGAAAAAACAAUAUUAGUAAGGACAAUUAAAUGAUUAAUUUGCAGAGGACAGUUCAAGGUUAGCUAACUGAUUAACAGUUGAGAUUCUUUGGGGCCCUCCUUCUCUAGGGAUUGGGAGAAGGACAGCCAACCUACAGAAUGUAUAUGGUCGGCGCUAUUCUUAAUUUAAUUAGUUAAUUAAUUAUAUGGAUAAUUAAGUUUUUGCAUGAGGAAAAUAUUUGAUUAUCUUGGAAUCUUCACAAAGUUUAACUCGAUCACAAUACACUAACUGGCAAGUGAGUGCUGUUUAAGUUAACAGCCUAACACUGCCAAUGUUAGGGAGAGAAAAUAAAUAUAUUCCCAUAGGGCUUCUAGCAAAAAAAUAAAACAAUAGUGUACAAAUAAAUUAACAUCAAUCACACUAGCUAGUUGACAACUUGGGAUGAAGAAAUAAAAGAAAAGGCUUAUGUUUCUACUACCUAUAAAUCAAGGGGAUAAAAAAAAAAAAUAAGAAAGGUGAGUUGGUUUUGGUAGCUGUUAUUUACACUGAUAUUGUCAUUAAUUAUACGUUUUAAAAUAACAGUAUAUUUUUGUUCCAUUUCCGUGGAAAGAAAAUUAGUGGAGCGUGAACUUGCACAAGGAUACAUAAGAAUGAUUAUUUGCUGCCACUUCGUACAAUAUUAUAUGCUUCUCCAAUAUGGUUAACUAUAUUCAUUUAAAAUGUGGGUAUAUAAAUUGAUGGUAUAUAAGUCGUCGAUGCAACUGAUAUUGUCCAUGAGUACUCCAACUAAACACGUCAAAAAACCAAGCUACCUCGUUGAUAUAAGAGAUAUACGUCAUUAAUUAUAUAUAUAUAUAUAUAUAUAUGAACGUAUCAAAAUCCAAGAAUGUCCCGGCCCUAUGAUAGAUCAUAUGACCUAAAUAUACGUAUCAAAAUCCCCGGACUCCAUCGGAUAUUGCUGGAUCGGACUUUGUUGGCUGCAUAUAUUAGCUCAGAUUUGCAAGUAGAGAAUCUCAUCACACAGAUUCUUAAUCAUAUGUGAAAAUCUCACACAGAUUCUUGAUUAGUUUGUAAUCCUCCAGAAAACCCAUCUGCUUUUGCUUCGCUGCCAUUCCAAAAAUAUUGAAUUUCGUAAAAGAAAUUAUACAUGGCUAGCUCGUCAACAGUCAACACGUACAAUAUUUUAAGGUUACGACGGUGGUGAGAGAUCUGCAGCUGAUCAGUUCCGUUUGGCUUUCGAAAAUGUACUGAAGUCAGCAAAAGAUGGCACCAGGCUGUUCAAACUGUAUCUCUCUCUUCCGGUGCACAUGCAUGAUGAAAAUUUGUACUUAUACUUCGCCUUUGAGGAAAUAAAACUCAUUGCAAGCUAGCUCGCUAGGGACUUCGACAAAUGGUUUCCAAUAGGAAGCAACACGAUUAGAAGAAAAACUUUAUGACACUGUUUCAUACAUAUUCUAAAUCUCUCCCCUCACACAUAUUUCGUGAGGAAAAAGCUAAAACGAAAAGACAUACAAUGAGAGACUAAGCGCGUUUUCUAACAGCCAAAAUUGCUUUAAUUAUGUUGGCCAGAAAAUUAUAAAUGUGUCUAGUUCAUAGAAGUACCCUUUGAAGAAACAUCUGCUAAAUAAUUUUUUUAUAAAAUGAGAAUGCUAGAGAUCCCACAUUGAUGUUCUAUAUAAUGUGACAAAUAACACAUACAAUCACAUCUAAUAAGAUUAUUUUUUAAUUAAGAUAACAUGUACGCGUCACUUGUUACAUUAAAUACUGGAUAAUAUUGCAUCACCUAUAUAGGGAUGUACAUAUCAUCCAUUUGUGAAUAACAUACCUUGAUCGACUAAAUGAACCAUCGGAACCGUACAUCAAUUUAGUAAGCUUCAUUUGAAGAUCACUCCUACAACAAACAUACAAAUAAAUAGACGUGGUACCUACACAAUCGAUUUAUUCUAUACAUUUGAACUAAAUGAUUUCUGAUUAAAUUGAUUUUUCGUAGAGGUGAUCUUCAAAUGAAGGUUAAGAAAUUGACAGUUCCAAUCGUUAAUUUUAUUCGGUUAAGAUACGUUAUUCGCAAAUAAGGACAUGUGCAUCCCUAAAUGGUGCAAGUGUUAAAUAUUACACCAAUAUGGUACAAAAAAACAUGAUCUCUCCAAUAUUUUCCUUGGAAAAUAUAUCUACCAGUAACCCCAAACUAAACUGCCCAUAAUCAAUGUAUCAUCAUAUACACAUUCAUGAAACACAAACAUUAAAAAAUUAAAGGGUAAUGCUAGAAUUAAAAAGUCCAUGAUAGCCAAAUCAGCAAAUAAUCACAAAGGGGAACAACAGUUAACCACAGAUCCUACGUCAGCACAUGCAUGAACUGAACCAAAAUCCCCAACCCCUCCAAGGCGCCAACCCAUCCCUAUAAAUACCACUCCCAACUCCCACACUUUUCCUCACAACUCACACUUUCAGUAUUACCUACAGACUUGGCGAAGAUCCACCGAAGAAUAAGAAGCAGCAACAAUUUUUGAAUUUUUGAUCCCUCAAAUACUUCAAAAAAUGUCUUCUUCGGAUUCGCCAACGUCUCUGAUCAUUUCCAAAUCCACCGUCUUCCCCGAACGGCCCUCCGCCCUCGCCGACCUCCCCCUCUCAGUCUCCGACCUCCCCAUGCUCUCCUGCCACUACAUUCAGAAGGGUCUCUUCUUCCCCCUCCCUCCCUCCCCCAUCAUCCCCCUCCUCAAAUCCUACCUUUCCCAAACCCUCUCCCGCUUUCCCCCAUUGGCCGGCAGACUAACCACCUACCCCACCGGCCACGUGCACAUCACCUGCAACGAUGCUGGCGCGGACUUCAUCCACGCGUCGGCCCCCAGUCUCUCAAUCGGAGAUGUUUUGAACCCUACUGACGUCCCCGACUGCAUCAAGGAGUUUUUCGCUUUCGACAGGACCGUCAGCUACUCCGGCCACCAUAACGCAAUCCUGGCUGUCCAGGUCACCGAGCUCAGCGACGCCGUUUUCAUCGGAUGCUCCGUCAACCACGCCGUCAUGGAUGGCACCUCCUUCUGGAACUUCUUCAACACCUUCGCCGAGCUCUGCCGAGCAUCGUCAUCGUCACUAUCACCAAACGAAAAUUAUAAUUACACGAAAAUGACAAUCACAAGGCAGCCGGACUUCAGCCGGAACUCGGUUCUGAUCUCUCCGGCGGUGCUUCGAGUUCCGGCGGGAGGUCCCAAAGUCACAUUCAACGUCGACGAGCCGGUGCGCGAGCGAAUUUUCAGCUUCAGCAGAGAAGCCAUUCAGAAGCUCAAGGCACGAACCAACAACAAAAAAUGGUCCGAAAACGGCGACGUUUUGCUGAGCGCCGUCGAGAUUCUCGGGAAGCAGAGUAACGAUCCCUACCAAAACAAAGACAAUGACGCGAGAGUGACGUCGAUUAUCGAAAACUGGUCCAAAAAUUCGAACGCGAACUCCAAAACAACGGCGGAGAUCUCGUCGUUUCAGUCCCUGUGCGCGCUGCUCUGGCGAUCCGUGACGCGUGCGAGGAAUCUUCCGUCCUCGAAAACGACAACGUUCAGAAUGGCGGUGAACUGCCGGCACAGACUUGAGCCGAAGCUGGACGCAUUCUACUUCGGGAACGCGAUUCAGAGCAUCCCGACGUACGCGACUGCCGGGGAGUUGCUGUCGUACGACACGAGGUGGUGCGCGGAGCAGCUGAACAAGAACGUGAAGGCGUACGAUAACGACAGGGUUCGGGGCGUCGUUGGGGAUUGGGAGAGGGACCCGCGAGUGUUCCCGCUGGGCAACUUUGAUGGGGCAAUGAUGACGGUGGGGAGCUCGCCGAGGUUUCCGAUGUACGACAACAACUUCGGGUGGGGGAGGCCGAUGGCGAUUCGGAGCGGGCGGGCGAAUAAGUUCGAUGGGAAGAUAUCAGCGUUUCCGGGGAGGGAAGGAGGCGGGAGCGUUGAUCUCGAGGUGGUUUUGGCGCCUGACGCAAUGGCUGGUCUCGAAACGGACUCUGAGUUCAUGCACUACUUGUCCAGUUGAGCUUGUAAAACGACGUCAUAUUAUAUUAAAAAGUAAUAACUUAAAGGGAAGAGAAAAAGAUAGGAUGUGGAAUUGUGGAUGAUGGGUUGAAGCUUGAAGGGUUCGGUGCGGUUGAUAAGUAUCCAACCUUGAUCUGCACUGUUAUGUGACCGUUGUUGGAUUUAUCCAAUAUAAAUCAACUUUUAAGCGGUCUAUUACAUAUAAUAAAAAUGUAAUAUUUGAGAAUAAUGUUUAUUGUGAUUUAAUCUCUUAACGAUAUCAAUCAUAUAUAAGGUGUCUUAUAUUAGAAAUAGGAUUGAUAGGAAUUCUUAAUUGAAUAUGAUUAUGAUAUUUGACUGAGAGGCUAAGAGGUAGUGAACCUAUAUCCAUUCUUAUAUGAGAAUUAUGGUUGGUCAUGUGAUUAUAUAUAGGUUUAGUUUACAAAGAAGUAGUGAACAUAUGAAGGCAUGAGGUAUGUAAUCCAUUCAAAGUAUGUGACUUAGUUGAUAAGCAUGAAUUUUCGAACAUGUAUUAUUGUUUGUGGUUUUUUCUACGCCUGAAGAAUUUAAACAGUGCUUUGAUUAGUAAAUUUUUAUGUGUCGUAAGGGGAGAAGAAAAUAAAUUUUUCAAGGCUAAUGUAGGGCAUAUAUCGGAGAUGUUUUCUAUGGAAGAAAAUAAUUUUGGUUGUUCCUUUAUUUAAUUUGGUAUUUACAAAGCUAAUGCAUGAUUUUAAUGUUGUGUUUGGUAGUCUUGUACUACAUAAAGAAAUAUAUAAAAGGAAAGGAACCCGUUUGACUUAAGAAAACAUUUGAGCGAUUUUGCUUUUAAAUUAAAGGAAUGUAUUGUUCUUUCCCAUUACAUAAAGUAUUUCUAUUUUAAGUAAUUGACUCCAUAAUGAUAAGUAUUGACAUUCUUGCGGUGGAAUAAAACGUGUUCUAUAUGUGAUUAAUCUCUUUCAAGUAUGUUGUUAGGUUUCUUGAGAUUAAUUUAAUGUCAAAGGGAGUCAUGAAGGAAUUAGUGUCAUUUGUUGGCAAGACUCGAAUCAGGUUAUCAUAAUUUUGUCACUUACAGUUAAUGAAUCCAUGUGACUUCUUGUAUUAUUUCAGGACGAAGUUGAUCAAUGCCUUUUCAACUAAGCAAGCCGCAACGGCUUAGUUGACAAUGGGACUAUGUUUUUUUAGUUACUUCGGUCAACAUUACAUCUUAAUUAGAAUAAAAGGGAUAAUCUUCAGGUGUGGGUUAUUUCUUUUAGUUUAAUUAAGAUGGCAUAGUAUGAAUUUUAUUUCACAGAAGUUGUGAAAGUUUCAUUUGUCCACAGGUGUUGAAGUUUUUCAUGAAGGUACUCUUGUGACCUAAUCUAGUACUGGAAACUAGUUAAUUUUCUUGCCCGCAUGUGUUAAUUAAUAUAGUUUCAUGAAGUUUAUGGGGGAAUAAAGUUCCAUGUCUUCAUUUACAAAUAUUUCCACUAUGAGCCCCAUUAUAGGUUGUGGUUUUAAGGCAUGGAAAUUGAUUGCAUCAUGACAUAUUUUUGUGUCUCUUCAUGAGACUUGUUGAUGCAAAGUACGUAUUGAACCCAUGAAGGUUAAUCAAGGAUUGCUAAGGUACACAUUGUUUAAGUAUAAUGCUUGUAAAUAUUUUCAAUUUGAACUGUGAUGUCUGUUUAGAGGAUGAAAUUUGAUCACUUGAGAUUCCUUUGACAUCGAAAUUGAAAUAACAUGAAAUUGAAUUUGUUAGAGAUGUUUAGAUUCAUGAUAGAUGAACAUAAUUUUUCUGGCAGAUUGCUAUCUUGAUUAAAAUCAGACGAAUGACACGUGUAACGAUUACCAAAUGACCUGAAUGUUUGAUAUGUUAAACAUAUAUAUGUCUUGUGUGUGCAAAUUUUCAUAAUUUUUUUCUGUAUAUUUUAAUUAUGGUGAAUUUACUAGUAACCCAUGCUCAUAUAGACAGUUUUACUGGCAGAUUGCAUUGGGUUUUUGAGUUGUCACUUUAGACUACUAUUUUGACCCAAAACUCCUCUAUAUUUUUAUUUUAUGAAGAUUAGUAUGUCUAUUUUGAUCUGUAUAAUUUGGUUGCAAUCAAGCUUAUAAAUUAAUUAUGAUUAGUUCUAAAGUAAGUGUAACUCGUUGCUGAAAUUUUGUUUGACAACUUUAUGUUAGUUGUAAUGUCUAUUUUAUUAUGUCUAAAAUAUAAAGCAAUUUUAUUUAGUUACAUCUUUAAAGAGUGUUUGCCCAAGUGGGAGAAUUAGUGAACAAAAAUUGGGCUUCACACUCAUUAACUUAUUUGCAAGUCUAAACUCUAAAAACUUAGUGGGAGUUGUUCUAAAAUUUUGAGCAUUAAGUGGACUUGCAUGAUACUAUUAAAGCGUUAUUCUAUCUUCCAUGAAUUUGUGUUUUGGUUGAUAACUCGAAUGACAAUAACAUGUUUAAGUUGCAUGAAUUGAUACUUCAUAUAAGUGUACAUUUUUGCAAUCAUUCGAAUUCCUCAACUGAUUAUUUGUUAAUCUUGACAUAGAAUUUUGGGGCUCAUAAGGAUUUAGCAUAAAUGUGAAAUUAUUAAUACAUAUAAGAUGGUUGUUGGAUGCAUGUUUUUGUGUAACAGUGGUGAAUGCUUUCAUGCUUAGUUGUUUGAGGUAAUAUGCAUUCAUUGACUGAGUAAGGCUAUUCCCAAAGGCAUAUUUUAAAAAAAUAUGAUUUAAUGAUGUUGCAGAUCAGUGGGAGCUUAAGGUUUGUGUUGGCAAUGUCUUACAUUUGCAGAUGACCUAUAAGGUAUGUAUAGAAUCCAUGUAUUCAUUUUAAUCUCCAGUUGGAUUCAUUAAGUCACAUUUUUCGUGUGCUAGUCAAUUAUCGGAUGAAAUAUAUUUCGGAUAUCAAGUUGUUAUCAAAUUGCAUAUUAAAUGGCAUGGCAUGGUUUGUGCACUGCCUUAGUUGUGAGGAUUUCCAUCUGCCCAUAGGUGUUGGAAAUCACCAUGAAAGUAACUGGUAUGGUGCAUAGAUCAGUGUCAAAAACAUGUUAAUUCAUCUUACUCACAAGUGUUGAAUUAAUUUGCUUUAUGAAGUUUUGGGAUAUUUUACUUGGACAUGUGCCUAUUUGCUAUUUUUCAGUUGUGUCCAUUGGCUACGAACAUUGUUUGUCUUGUUAUUGGUCUAAUGAAAGUGAUGCAUGAUUGUUUUGGAGAUGUAUUCACACCUGCAGGUUAUGUUGGUUUCAUUAGAUGAAGGAUAUCUGUGUUGGCAGAUUUAAGACUUUGAAGAAGCAUAAGUUGGGCCUGAGAUGAUAUAAAGUAAGACAUUUUGGUUUUUGCUUUAAAAGUUUCAUCUCUUGAUCAUAAUUUGUGUUUCAUGUGAACGAGGAUUUUAGCAUGUGUGAUUAUGAAGGUUAUGGGUUUUGUCAACCUUACAACCUUGUUAGUUCCAUGUUAAGAAAUGCACUUGACAGAAACUGCAUUAAGGAUGAGAUGUAAUCACUGUUACAUGGCCACUAAAGUGACAUUAAUCUCCAAUCUCAAGUAUAAACGUGAAUAUUACAUUUUGUAGACCAAGUGGGAGAAUGUUGGAUUUAUCCAAUAUAAAUAAACUUUUAAGUGGUCUAUUGCGUGUAAUAUUGGAGAAUAAUGUUGAUUGUGAUAUCUCUUAAAGAUAUCAAUCUUAUAUAAGGUGUCUUAUGUUGGAAAUUAUAUAUUAUAAUAUGAAAUAUUGUAAUAUAUAAUUUUAAUAAUUGAAUGAAAAAUAGUGUUAACCAAUUUCUUAGAAGGGUUAUGUUGUUUAGGUGCAUUCCCUUGAUAAGUGAUGUAUACUUAUAGAUGAAAAGUUACAUCUCUUUAAUAAGUAGAAAUUGGAUUCUAUAUAAACCCAUGAAACCAUUGGUAUUAAAUAUAGAGAAAAUUAGAGUUAAUUUUUACUCUUGAAAAAUAGGGUUUCCCCACUUUGUUUCUCAAAUGAUUCGUAUGUCAAAUUCCGAGUUGUGUCUUGAGAGUACGGAAUAUAUAAAGUUCGCCAUAGUCCGAAGAUUGAAGUGCUUUGACUUCGGAAUAUAGAUUGUUGAAUCCUGGGAGAUAGAUGCCUAUCGAACUACAAGCACAAGAGUAUGGGCGAAAUUCUAUCUUUAGGACAUUGCAUUUAUGCAAGCCUCAAUCUCCAAAGUUUGUCAGUUUUUCUAACUUUAUCUCUAAUUGUUUAUAUUAAUCUCAUACAUAAUUGAUGUUGUGAUUUUCUUUAUGAUUACUUUCAUUGAAAUUCUUUUAUUAUUUUCAUAUUUUCUAAUAUUGCUCCAACAAUCUAAAGAUAGAAUUUUUUUUAUCUCUAUGGAACAAUCAGAAAUAUGAAUGUUCACGAUUCUCAUAUUGAGAGUUUAAAGCUGUGGCUUUAAAAGUCUUGGACAACAUAUGGUGUUGUAUUCGAUGUGAAGCCUAGAAUUGAUGCAAUUAAGACUUUAAUAUCUGAUUUAGUCUUGAUGAUUGGGUUGGAUGAUGUUGUGGUAUUAUCCAUGUGAAGCGGUGUCAAACAACCGCCUGUUUCUUUUUGAAAAGAUAAAAUUUAAAAUUAUAACUUUCUGGGCAAUGCAUCACUUGAUAAAAAGACGUAAGCAGUUUGCAUGGGUAAUUUGGAUCUAGUAUGUAUAUGCAUGCUUACGUCUAUAUGUGUCUGCAAAUUAUCUUGAAAGCAUGAAUUGCAUGACUUGUGUGAUAUAUCUUAUGGAUAAAUUUCUUAAUUUCAAAGAUUAAUAUUAAUUUUCUACAUGCCUGGGCGUUCAUUCCCAUUCGACCAAAUGUGUGAGUUAUAUAUGUGGAUUGAUUUAUUCAUACGACCAUGAUGCAUCUCAAUAACUGGGCAUAUAUUUCUGUGAUUAUUCUUCUUGAGUAUUUAUAAGUAUUGCAACCCUUAAAGUCUUGUACGUAAGAAUGACUUCACUAUUUGGGCAGAAUCAAUAACUAUUUGUGAGAUAUCCAUUCAAAACCAUGUUAGUUGUUGACUCUUUCAAAGAGAGGUGUCGGUUAAGGCAAAGGCAAAGCCUUAAAAAAAAAAAAAAUUUGCUUUAUCAGCAAUGCUAAAACGAUGCUAGAUUUGGUUUUGCCAAAGAUCGUAGUAGUUUCUGGAAAAAUUUCUUUUACAGAAAAUAAUUAUAUCUGUAUAAUCCCUAUGCGAAGUUCUUUCUACGGGAAAGAAAAUAAAUUCCUUAUGUCAGUAUAUAAUGCCAAAAGAACUUGUGAAUGUAAGAAGGAUUGAAGGCAAUGAUAGAGAAACUUAAACUGUCAGUUUUGUUUCUCAAUUAAUUACCCGAUCAUGAUGCAAUCUUUAAUAUUGUGGCUUGACAUCUACAAACAUAAGAACCUGGAAGUCUGAUAUGAUGUUAAGGUUGACGUUAAUGUUGUGCAAAUGAAGCUUAAUGCUUCUUGGUAGGGUUACAUGCAUGAGAAUGGCUUUUGAUUGCGUUGACCUAUUUUCAUCUGGUACUUAUUUCUUUGAAAUUGUGCUACAUGUGUGUUUUGUUGAAAUGAUUAUUUCAAUUGUAGUUGCUUCUCUAACUAAAGGGGCAUCUGGUGUGAACAGAAAGGUCUGUGGAUUUGAACAGACGUAUAUAUAUAUGGGUUGCUAAACCGAUGCGAUAAAGAUAGGGUUGUAUCUGUUCAAAUUGAACAAGACUGUCUCUUCCAAAAGAAAGCACUCCGGCCAAGUUCUGUAAUUAAUAUAUACGGUUGAUUCAACGACUUUUGGUUCUUUACCAAAAGAGUGGCUGGUAUCUUUUGGAAAUUACAAGGUUGGUUCUCAUUUUAAGAAGUGAAGUAUCCAAACCGGGUAUCACGUUGUUAUAAAUUUAUGACUAUAGUUCUUGUUUAAUUUCAAGAAACAAAAGGUCUGAAUACGUAGUUGAAUGUGAAAGGAGUGCUUCUCAUAUAAAGGACUUGUGAGGCUUGAAAGCCUAGAAGUGAAGAAUAGAUAAAGAGAAAAUAUCUUCACUGGUUCCUACUUCUUAAGUAUGAUGAAGGAGUAAUUGAUACCAUUCAAAGUAACCACAAUGUGAGUGAAUUGUGGGGGAGUGACAUAGUUAUCUUUGGAUAAUAUGUCAACUUAAGAAGAAUGACACAGUAAUUUGCUUAUAGAGAGAGAUAAAGAUUAUCUCUUACAAUGGUAUUUUAAGGCAUUGAAAGGUUAGAGACCUUCUGGAAAGUACCUUAAAUGUGGGGGUGUUUACCCAAGUGUUAGUGAAUUACAUAGUAAUUAAGUCCUAAUAUAAUUUUGAGGACUUGACAUUUCAAACAAUGUCAAACAACUACUCUCAUAUGAAAUACAAUUUCAUAAGAUGGAUUGUACGCACUAUUAAAGAUAGUUAUCCUAAAUGGUACCAAUUAUUAAAGGUUAGACUAGAGAGUAAGUUGAUCAUCGAGUGGAAUGAGGCUAAAGCCAACAUAACUAAUGAAUCAGCCGAGCGGAAACCUAACUUAGUUGAUUGGAGAUCCCAUGGUCUAAGUUCAAUAGGCAAACUGGUUGGGCAUGAUUCAAAAAAAUUAACACACUAUAUACCUCAUUCCUAUGAUGGAAGCAGUGUGUUGUCUGCAGACAUUUUAGGUUGUAUAUUUAUACCUAAUGACAGUGAUAUCUUAUAAAUAAGAGGAAUAGAGCAGACUAUUCUUAAUCAGUGGUCACCUAUGUGAGAGUAGAAAUGGGUCGCUUCUAUGAGAAUGAGAUGGCUAAAUUCUCUAAAGCUCUCAUGAAUCCGGGAUUUGUUCAGGACCAAAAUUAACACAACCGUAUGAACCGUAAUAUAUUAGGAUUAGUGAUGUGUGUUGCUUAUUGUCUCGGUUUAUUGCUGCGGUGAACAGUUCAAGAUCUUCUACAUCCACUGCGUCACCAAGUAAACCCGAUAAGUAUUCACUAGGGUAGGUUCAAGUCCAAAAGACACCUCUCCCGAUGCAUCUCUUGUCCGCCUGUACUCUCAAAUUCUUCCUAAUUUUUCAUUCAUGUGGGGGAUUGUUGGAAAUUAUAUAUUAUAAUAUGAAAUAUUGUAAUAUAUAAUUUUAAUAAUUGAAUGAAAAAUAGUGUUAACCAAUUUCUUAGAAAGGUUAUGUUGUUUAGGUGCAUUCCCUUGAUAAGUGAUGUAGACUUAUAGAUGAAAAGUUACAUCUCUUUAAUAAGUAGAAAUUGGAUUCUAUAUAAACCCAUGAAACCAUUGGUAUUAAAUAUAGAGAAAAUUAGAGUUAAUUUGUACUCUUGAGAAAUAGGGUUUCCCCACUUUGUUUCUCAAAUGAUUCAAGUGUCAAAUUCCGAAUCGUGUCUUGAGAGUACGGAAUAUAUAAAGUUCGCCAAAGUCCGAAGAUUGAAGUGCUUUGACUUCGGAUUAUAGAUUGUUGAAUCCUGGGAGAUAGACGCCUAUCGAACUACAAGCACAAGAGUAUGGGCGAAAUUCUAUCUUUAGGACAUUGCAUUUAUGCAAGCCUCAAUCUCCAAGUUUGUCAGUUUUUCUGACUUUAUCUCUAAUUGUUUAUAUUAAUCUCAUACAUAAUUGAUGUUGUGAUUUUCUUUAUGAAUACUUUCAUUGAAAUUCUUUUAUUAUUUUCAUAUUUUCUAAUAUUGCUCCAACAUCUUAUAUUAGAAAUAGAAUUGAUGGAAUCCUUAAUUGAAUAUGAUUAUGAUACUUGACUUGGAGGCUAAGAAAGUAAGUUUAGGUUUCUUUUAUGGAUGGAAACCCUAGCUUUUAGCUUAUAUAAACACCGGUCUCUAUAAGCCCUAGAACACAGAACAUAAUGCUUCCUAUAGAGUAGUUGUAUUCAGCUAAGUGUUUGUAGAAGAUCUUGGUAUUGCCAUGCCCUUCACCUUCCUUGCUCAAGUACCAUGAUUAUAAUUGGAAUCAGGUUUGUCACUUCUUUGUUUGUGCUUUAAUUGUAUAACUUUAUAAGGCUAACAACUGUUGGAUAUGUGUGGGCCCUCCUGGUGUUGUAAUGCGGACAUGGUUUGGACGGCGGCGAUUAAUCUGGUCUGUACGGACAAAUGGAGGAUGUCUUCUGUCUAUUUGUGAAUUUUACCUUUGUUUCAAAAUCUCAGUAAUCGCUUAUGCUAUUUUAGAUGGGUAUCAAUUUUCUUAACAAUUGUAACUCUUUUUUGUUUUUCUUUUCUCAACAAUAUAUAUAUAUAUAUAUAUAUAUCAUAAACUACUAUAAUUUACGAGAUAGGGUAUUUGUUCACGGGCGAGCAUACGCUGUUGGUCAAUUGACGUAACUCAUAUUUACACUCUUGUUCUUUUUCCAUAUGACAUCAACAUCGCGUUAGGGGGCAAUAAGUUGCAAAUUUCAGAAAUGAGUUAGGAUUAGGCUAAGCCGAAACUGAGCCUAACACAUUCCAUAAAAAUAGGCCCAUUUGAUAAAUAGUUUUGUGACCAAUUUUUGGGCCGCCUUCAUCUUAGACUCUUCACAUGGUCCAUGAACACCUAUACGACGUCGCACCAAUGUCAAUGCUUUAAAUUCUAAUAUCUUAACAUCUCAGGCUUUACCAUCUCCGUCUCAACCUCUCAACUCCCGGAGACUUGGAGUUGGACCUCAGCAGCAACUCCAUCUCAGCUGAAUCAAACGCCUUCCCUAUCGCCCCAUGCCCCGAUCCCGACCGUCCGGAACCUCAGGCGACGAGCAGAAUACAUGUUAUGGAUGGGGUGGUCAUGGAUGCUGAGUUCCAGCAAGCGUUCACAUUGAUGAACAAGACUGAGUGGAAAUGCUGCACCCUCCACAAUUACUGAGAGAACAUAAUAUUUCAAACACCAUGAAAAGUAACUGAAACUAAAUAAUUCAAACACCUCCUUGCAUUAGCAAAAUAGCAAAUCACGAAACAAUCAAGAAUCGAAGUAAUUUCAAUUUCAAAUAAAUAAACGUGACGCGCUAGUAAUGUUGUUAAAUAAGAUCCUUAAAUUGGAACAGAUUCUAUAUUUUUCGGAUCCCACUGCAUACCACAAUGCAUGUCAUAUAUUUGAAAGGAAGUGAAAGCACCGUCUGGGACAUGGCAUAAGAUUAGGGGUGAUCACUAAAUCAGGCAUGUCCUAUGCAUCCCUCCAAAUCUAACUUUAGAUUCAUCGAGGAUAUGGAAUGAAAAGAAAGUACGCAUCAGUUAUCUUCAUUGAUAGAUGACGUCCCUCAAUCGUCCAAGCUGUAUUUAAAUACUCUUAGCUUCCAGCUGCAGCUGUUACGGCAACUUGUUUAGAGUCUUCUGCCCUUUCAUGCUCCUUAUUGUGCAUCUGAAAUAUUCCAACAUUUUUACAUUCCAAUACAAUAUGAGAAGCAUGUUGAGAAAAUUAAGGAAGAUGAGAAUCCACAUUCAUGGAAAUGCAUCUCACCUUGUUGUUGAUCAAGUUGUGAAGAGCAAUAACGCUUCGGAUGAGGGAAGAAAGAUAUAUAACCAACAUCAUAUCAUUUGUUUUCACUGCACAUGACAACAACAACAUGAAUCAACACUAUUAACAAAAUAGGCACUAACGCAGGAACCAUAAAUCUAAACAAUAAAGCAGUCUAAGCGAUAAACAUGGUAGGUUUUUUUUUUACCUGAAAAGGCCUUGAUGAGAUCAGAAACAUUAAGAUUUGGAAGUAGAUUGAACACAUCCUACAAGGAUUUGGGAUAGAAAAAUAAGAAAAAUGUAUGAGUGUGAGGGUGAAAAUAUCAACAGUAGGCAAAAGAAUUACAAUAUUUCAUUGUUGUGAAAUAAAAGUUAUGAGACAAAUCAAACUAGCACUACAUUAAGAUUCUAGCCUACACUACAUGUAGGUUAAGCCAAAACCGAACCUGUAGGUGGUACAAAAUCUCGUGGUUUAAUGGGAGCUUGCCAUCAAUAACAAGGUCCAGAUAACCCCGAAUCUCCUUAAGUCUUGCUUCCAAUCCCUUCAAGGCUGUGAGUUUCCCUGUAACCUGUACAAGACUUGGAAACUAAGUUUCUUGUAUCGCCUCUUAUAUGCAUUAAGAAAAUCUAAUAAAAUUGACUUCAUACAUACAUACAUACAUACUGUGUGCGCAUAAAUAAAACGAGGAAGCUAAUGAGAAUAAAAUCACCAAAACCAAACCUCUGUUGCAAGAGUGCUGAUGGUUGUAUCUUUCACAUCUCUAAGCAAGUGUUCCACUCCUGUUAAAGGGUAAUAUGGUCAAUAAAAACCAUAAGUAGAAACAAAAUGACCACCAAACCACAAAGGAAAGCAAGAAAUCAAUAUGCGCAUGCAAUAACUUAAAAGUCUUAUUCAAUGUUACAAGAAAGGGUAGUUCAGUUUCCAUGGGCUUACCAAUUUCCUCAACUUCAUGGGCAGCAAUUUCAGAAGGCACAUGAACGAACACCUUCUGGCUUUUCUGGGUAGCAUUCUGUAAUCGUACCAAAAUGUUCAUUCAAAUUUAUAGCAUUAAAACCAGGUUUCAAGUCAAAGUAGCUCCAACCAUAACGCUUGUUUUGGAAGAACUUAGUAUAUGACCAGACCAAUACAAAAGGCAAGGCAUAUCCGAAAAAAUCAUGAUUCUACCUCUUUCACCUCUUCAACGGCACAGUAAGCUUUUGUUGGUAUUCCCAGCUCCUUAGGUUGGACAUCAAUUAUGACCAAGACAGGAUUUGGAACAUAACUGCAAAAUCAAAAGGGAAAUUGUGAUAUAAUGGAGAAGAAAAGAAACAGGAAUUCAUACGUCUCAAGGAUAAUGAAUAGAAACACGAAUUCAUGUAUCUGCUGAUGGGUGCAAAAUGCUUAAGCAUGUUUCACCAUGAUAGAGACAAAACAAUUAAACAAAAAACAAAAUAUUUCCACCAUUUUAUAAGAAUACCACUUACAGGUAUACGGCUUCCUCAUAACCAACCAUCAAUAUUUUAUAGAAAACUGAUGGAGAACCUCAAGGUUUCCAAAAUCUCAGACAUCUUGAUUAAAUUUACCAAUAUUCAAGUUACACAAAAAAAAAAAAAAGGUAUCACAGUAUAACAAAAUGAAGACAAGAGUUAAGAAAUAAGGGUUGAAGAACACAUUUGCUUCUUCUAGUCAGUUGAGAAUUAGUUUCUCUGAUACCAAUUUAAACGAUAUGAACCUUACACCUUUAAUUAUCUCCAUGUUGUCCUUCCACUUAAACUUUGUUGACCAGACUGGUUAUAAGAAGCAUUCAUGAUAUUCAUAUUCUAAUGGAAUCUCAAGACCAAGUAGAUGUUUUUCAUAGGGUUUACGCUGGCUUACCCAUUAAAUAAACCGUGAAUGUCCAAGUCAUUUUCUCUCAAUUUUGGACCUGUGCUGUACCAUCCCACAACGUGCUCCUUUGCUGGAAAAAAAAUUAUUUGUCAAUUUUUGCAUCAUAACAGAUAAUGUGCGAAUCUAGGGAAAGAGACAUAGUAUAUACUCAUACCAUUUAUUCUCUUUGCCAUGGAAUACAUGGCUUCAUGGUAGUUGUGAUCAAGAAACCAGAUACUGGGAUCCUUAUCAUCUUCUUCAAAGGGAACUGUGAAUAAAGAUCAAUACUAAUAUGAGUCAAAAGUAACGCACUUGAUCUAGAAACAUAGAAGGUUCUACAGGCAACAAGAUGAAAACGCAAAAUAAGAAAAAAAUUUAAGUCUAACAAAAACACAAAAACUAAACCAGUAAGUUAAAUUUAAGACCGCAAUCAUGAAAUUCGAGACUGAUACUGCGUCAAAUUCUUUUGAAAAACCAAUAAACAAUAAAAUCAAAAUGGUACAAGAAAGCAAGUGCUACAGGCUAUAGAAUGCACGUGCUACAGACUAUCAACUAAAAAAAAAAAAGGUCGUACCCAGUGCACAAGGCUCCCGCUUUACGCAGGGUCUGGGAGAGGUAAACAACCUAAAAUGCAAUGGGAAAUUAAAAAGAAAGCGCAUUGAUCAGCAAAUAUAUAGAAAGUAUGCUGAUAAACAAAAACAUAGGAACUGCACUGCCCGGUACAUAAAUCAAUUCAAAUUGUGUAGGUCUAUGCAUUUGGAAAGCAAAUUAAAGCAGAAAUUUCGCAACUUCACACCACAACAACCUCAGCAGCUCUCGAAUUAAACUUCGAAAUGCCUUAUCAAAAGGCAUGUCUGGAAUGCGACAACCCCUCAUAACUAAUUUAACUUUCUACAUCUCAAUUCUGAAAUGCAGCCUAAACCAACUGAAAUUCAUUCAGCAGCAUGCAAACGUAACCUAAAUUUGCUUAACCAAUUCCAAGUUCAAGCUCAUAGCAGCAGAAACACACUCAUUCUUUUGAAUAAUUUAACAAAAAUACACCUUUUCACAAUGCCGUAGAGCCUAAACACAGAUUUUCUCACUGACCAAACAAAAAUUUACCACAGUUUGGAGCAUAAUUCAGAACAAAAAUUCCUUAAUCAGAUAAAAAAAAAAGGAAAAUUCACCCAAAUAAAUUUAAAUUAUUCAAAAAUAAAUAAAAGCAAACGAGAUUCAAACAUAGCCGAGAAGCAGAGGGACUAGGCGAGCUUGAAAUAAACGAACCGGCGUAGCUGUUGGUGACGUCGACGGUGCCCUUGUACGACGAGCCGAGCAGAACUCCGACGACGCGCUUGCGAGUGUCUUUGGCGACCCUGUUGUAGUUGUCGACGAUGCUGAGCAGAACCAGUGGGUGAACUAUCACCCUCUCGAUCGGCCUCGCCGAGAUUUGCUGCGUUUUUACCACAUCCAUUGCUGGAUUUCUUCUGCUUUCUCUGAAUUUUCCUGCUUUUUCUGCAGUAAUUUUGAGUUAGCUUCUUCUGCAGGAAACCUCUGUCUCUCUCUCUAAUUUAUAUGGAAAAAGCUCUUUGCUUGCCCAGCUCUUCUUUCUUCUCUUUCCUUUCGGUUCUCUCACCGGACCUGAUAAUUUUGUAUUUGAAAUAAUUUUGUUUGUUUAUGAAGGUUGAGCCCAGAAUUUAUGGGUUUUAUUAUGGGCCAACUACAUUUGCUUUUGGGCCUUUUGUAAAUUGUUUUUCCUUCUUUUAUUUCUUUGGCUAAGUGAUCUAGAAUUAAAAUAUCAAUACAGACUAAAUUUUGACGACACAACGAUGAGAUAUCAACGACAUGCUAAAAAUCAAUUAUUUCAUCAACCAUCGCCUCAAGUUAGAUCGUUUCAGCCAAAAACCUAAAUUUUUUAAGAUGUUCUUGUCAUGGCCCAUGAUACUUAGACCUGUAAAGGGGUCGGGUUUGAGUCAGGUUCAAUCCAACCCGUUAAGCUAACGGGUCACCCGAAUCCGACCCAUUAAACUAACGGGUCACCCGUUUCACCCGUUAACAAUUAUUAUUUUUUUUUUUUCAUAGAGUUUAUUUUUUGUUGUUAAGACUUUACUGAAAUUACUAAAACAUCCUCAACUAACGGGUCUAACAGGUUGACCCCAAGUGACCCGUUAUUUAACGGGUUGUUAACAGGUUCACCCGUUAACGACCCGACCCGUUAAGCAUCCAUCCAAAUACUAAUAUUAACAGGUCGGAUCGGGUUAACGGGUCGGAUCCAAAAUGCCAAGUCUAAUGAUACUCGUGUCAAAGUACUCAUACAUGCUCCUCUCACCAUCACCCAAUGUAAGGUGAAAUUCUUGUGUCCCUGACAAUCAGGCCAGGUAAAUUGUUCAACUCAUUUACAAAGGAAUGAAACUUUUUCAAUAAAAUUUGUACCUAAAUGAGAAGAGAUUCUUGCAUCCAGCCGGGCAUAUGGGGCAUAGACUAUUUGGGUGGGCAAAGGUGAGAAAAACAAACAAGGGGACCCUGGGUUUAUGAGUAUGGCUGUAUGGCCUUAUUGGUUCGGUCGGCCAUAUCCAUAUAUAUUCCUCUUGCAUAAGGUCAAGUGGUACCUAAAUAUUUCGGGACCGGCUUCUUUGUAAGUGAGUCGAACCACCUAGUUUAAUUGUCAGACGCAAAGUUCUUCAAUGUUAUGGAUACAUAAGAAGUAAACAAGUUGUAGACACUCCCAUACCAACUAACUUCUAGUCUAGUAACACUCCUCUUUUCAAUACUAAAAUAGGUUUUAAGCUCGAAUUUCAAUCUCCUCCCGUUAAUUCAAACUACGAAGAGAGUAAUUCAAACUCGAGUGCAUACGAGAGAACACAAUCUAUUAAACAAUGUAGAUACACUCACAUCUGCAAUGAAAGAGCAGUUUUAGAAUUUCCAAAUGAUAUUUAAGAAUAGUAUAAAAUGUGAUGGAUAAGAUCAAGGUAAGUGGAUGAGAAUUGAGUAUUACUUUACUUAGUAAGGAUAAAUGAGGGCUGUGGGGAAGUGGGGAAGCUCUAAGAUUAGUACAUGAAAUUCAAAGCUGGGAAGCAGACCCAAGGUAAGUAAUAGGUAUAUGUCAUACGACCAAGGCCAAGCUUAAGUAUUUUAUUCACAAUUAUGCAGCCCAAGGAGACAUUGCUCAUGUGGAGCAAGAGAAAAUUCCAAUUUCCAAGCCAUUCAUACAAACAAGAAAUCCGACAGAGUAAAUCACAGAGAAAUUAAUAACAACAAGAAAGUGCACAUGCAGAGAAGAAUGUCCAAGAAUUUCCAAUAUCUUAAUUCAACAACUCAAAUUAGCGUCAAUACUACGUAAACUAUUCAACAACUAUCUCUCCCUCGCUACCUUUCUGUUCACCCUUUCAUGCCAGCUGCUAAACCCCAAAUUCUACAAAUGGCAACCAUGACUACUAGCUAGCUAGGAGCUUUUUUUUCCGUUUUUUUCUCAUAUAUUUGAAGCAUGUAAUUCAAAGGAAACUUAAACGCAGAUCCAAAGGUGGAAGGUCCAUUUCUGUCCCAACAGUGCAGGUAAAAGCUGAUGCCUCCUUGCAAUAUUCGUUUGCGUGAAAUCUCAGCUUCUCUCCCUCAGAUUCGUUGAAAGAGUUUAUAGGGAAAAGUUGAAGGGUCUCAAUCACUCUUGCCGGCUCCGAAACCUGAUUUAUUUCUGCAAAGAACGGAAAAUAAAACCGUGAAAAAAGAAUACAAGCACCAUAUCAGAAAAGAAAAUUCAGGUGCAUAGUGCAUGCUAGAAAAACCCUAAACCGAAGUACUUCAAGAAAGAGAAAUUUUUUUUUUGGUCAAUCAAGAAAGAGAAAUUUUAACAGCUAUGAUUAACGGACGUUUUGGAGACGAUAUGUUCUCCAGAUCUCGACGAAUGAUAUCCUUGUCAUCAAUAGAAACUUUACGCCGCUUUUGUCUUUCUCUGGCUUUGUGAUUCUGAAACCAGUAAAAGACGUUCUUGCUCUCGAUCUUGCCAUAAAAGCUUAGCUGAGAGGAGAUUUUCUGAAUCUGAUCAGUGCUCGGCGUUCGGAGUCCAGACCUGAACAGGUCAGUCAGAACUUUAACCUGUUCUGUAGUUGGAUUCCAACGCCCGCACUUGGUUCCACUAUUACCAUUACCACCAUCGCGAAAACUCGAUGCUUUAAUGCAAAAUCCUGACAUGCCCUCGUCCAUAUUUCAGCUUCAAAUGGCUAGAAACAAAACCAGUCUGUGCUGCUGCCUCAGGAACUUCCUUUUUCUGAGCUUCUGAACUCAAAACAGUGUGAACUCGUGUGCAUAUAUAAUACCCUAAAGUAGACAGUACUUUGGUUUUUUUUUAUUAUAAUUUUUUUGUGUUAGAUCUUUGUUUAUACACUAGUCUGCGUUGUUUUUAGAGAAUUUGAGAUUGAAUAAUUAUGUGGAUUUGUUCGGUUUUAAUUAUCUUUGCCCAGUUUUCUGUGCUGAGAGAAAGAGAGGGACAUGCGCGAAAGCUGCCAAUGUUCAACAUUUGUCGGCGAGCAGACAAGAUGAAAGUUUUCCCUAAACUAUAUGGUUUUUACUUACGUUGAGUUCAUAUGCAUUAUAUAUUUCCACAUAUUUUUUUUAGCUUUUUAAACACUGUGUUUUUAUUUAUAGUCAUCGAAUUGGAUAAGUGAAAUAGAAUCAACCGUCCAUAAUUAAAUAUGAGUGUAAAAGGUUAAAAAGAUGUGUAAAAUUACUUCCCUAUCAAUUUUUAGGGUUUUUUGUGCUUUUCAGUUUUAGAUGAGCAAAACCCUUCUAACAAUGUUUAUAUUAAAAAAAAACACUACUUCAUAGAAGAACAUUUAUUAUAUAUGUGGUUUUUUGUACUUCAAGGGAUUUUGCAUUUUUGUUAUAAAAAAAAAAGGGAAAAUUAGGUUAACAUCCUUCUUUUUGUUACUCAAUUGAUUAAAAUCCUAUUCAUUUUCAAUUUUUGAUCAAGGUCCUUGGGUAUUAAUAACAUCAUUAAUUAUUUGAAUAAUAAAAUAUUUUUAUUUUUAAAUAUAUUCCUUUAAUGUUAAAAAUGUUACAAUUAGUAUAUUUAUAUUUAUGGCUAAAUUUUUUCAUCAUAUAAUUUUAUUUUUAGUUUGUACCUAUUUUUAAUUUGCAAAUAUUUUUUAAUUUGUACCAAUUUUCUUUUCAUUUUUAAUUUGUACCCAUAUAUUAGUUCCUUUUUGUGCCCAUAUUUUUUAAAGUUUUAUUUGUGUUUGUACCCAUGUAUAUACUGUCACGUGACAUUGUAUAUUUAAUCAAUAAUAGAAAAAUUACAUAUGGUAUAUUUAUGUUUUAUGCCUAAACUUUGUAUCAUAUAUUUAUAUUUUUAGUUUGUACCCACUUUUAAUUUGUAACAUUUUUUUUUUAAAUUUUUAGUAUUUUCUUUUUAUUUUAUUUUGUACCCAUGUACUAAUUUUCUUUUAGCGACUAUAUUUUUAAAAAUUCAUUUGUAUUCAUAAAUUUUAAUCUUUUAUUUGUACCCUAAUUUAUUUCUAAUGUACCCAUUCUUCUUUAUUAAUGUACCACUUUGUUAUAUGUGAAAUGUACCAAUUUUUUUAACACUAUGGAUACAUUCUUUUGCCAUUUAUUAUUUCUUAUUUUUACAUAUUUUUUAUCCAUUUAUUCAAUCAAAAUGUUUGAAUUUUUUUAUUGUAACCGUUUCUAAUAGUAUUAUAAUGAGGGAUUUUAAAUUUAUAAGAUUAUAAAUCUCAUAAAAUAUCAAAUAAUUAAUGUCAAAACUAUAAAAAUAUAAAUAUUAAUAGUAAUAUAAUGAGGUAUACAAAGUCAAGGGACCUUGAUCAAACUUUGAAUAAUAUUAAGGUUUUAAUCAAAGAAUGUUAAGGAUUAGGGACCGCAUCCAAAAUAUCCCAAAAAAAAAAUUAGAGAAGUACUUUAUAAAAAUGCAUUUCCAAACAAUUCAUAAUUAGUAUAGUAAGUCCAAGAUAACCAGACAUUGAGUAAGGCCAAGCAUCAUUUUUAAUUAGUUGGUGUCUGCUAAAGAUCAUAUAGAAGAGUGCAAAUCUCCUGGAUUAUCUUAAUUGGGGUAUUAGCAGAAAAACGAUCGAUGCAAGUGAAGGUCAAAAUUACACAUUGUCUGAUUUGCAUUGGACGGUUGUGAUCGCAACAGACUGACAAAGAUACUGAGUUAGGUUGACCCUAAAUACUGAUUACAGCUCAGUCAUAUAGAGUGGGGAUAAUUGAUAUAUAAACCUCCUUUUAAUUGAGGAUGUGUGGGAACAUAAACAAAGCGACAAGAAAGCCACCAAAAAUUGAAAUUUAGGAGGGACGGACAACGCAUGACCAGCCAAAAUGGGAAAAGAGAAGAGGAGACAUAUUGGAUUUUCUUAUGUCAUGUGCCUCCUGUCGUAAGCAACUGCAUCCCCCUUUUUCCAGUCACUUGGUUUGCUUCAUCUUUUAUCAUUUGAUUGAAUGUUACCCAAUUCUGGGAGUGAUCAAAAGUGUAGGAGAAGUUUUGUAUUUUAGGGUUUGUCCCUACACAGGGAUAUGUUGGAUGAGAAGGUUUGAACAUUAAUGGUCAUAUGCAUGAUACAUACACCAUUAGAUUUGCAUGCGAUUUACUUUUUUGAAAAAUGGAACUGAUCUAUACGUUACACAUGCUAUACUUUUUAACGAAUGAACAUAAGUUUCAUUAAUAAAUGAGUGCACGACAAAGUGCAGAUAAAAAAGUAAAAAAAAAAACACUAGCUAGAUUAGCUAGAGGAGGGUCUUCGAAAAUAGCUAUGGGGUUUAGUCGAUGAAUGCAAAUCUUUAAUUAACAUGAACUAGAAGUGUAUGUGGUGAAUGUUCAUUGGAAGAGAAAUGAAGCUCUGAUAUGGUAGCUAAAUUGGGGAUUGAUUGGGAUGCAGAUAUUUAAGUUCUUGUGGAGCCUCUAAUAUACUUUCUGUAUGUAUACAGUCUACUAAUAUUAUCAGAUUUCGUACUUUUUUUUCUUUAGAAGAAGAUUCGAACUUGAAACAUAUUCCAAUGCGUAAAAAAUAAAUAAAACUAAUCAGGAAGAACGAUAAGUUUUGUAAUAUUUAACCUUAUUGAUUACUUCAAAACGAGGAUAAUGGUUUCAUGAUCCAUUUAAUUCAGACGUUUGUGACAAAAUCCCAAGAAAAGUCUUCGAGCAUGCAUGGUUUGAUUUGAUCUCGCAAGAUUUUGAAUAAGAUAUAAUAUGUUUUGGUAAUUGCUAGUCAAGAUCGAAGAGCAGUGUGGCCAAGUUGUGUUGCGCACUUUCAACAAUUCCCGAUGGUGUUCGCAUUCACGAGUAAAAUAUUUGUCUGUUUGCACUUGGCGCAAUAGUUUGCUGACUGCUGUCUGUGAAUGUGGUCUUCUAUCUAACUCUUAGGAUAAAUUUUUAAUUGUGACGGGAAUAGAAAUGGUAUAUCACGUGUUUUAAUAGGAGUGUUGAAAAAUUUUAAUUUUUAAAUUAUUAAAAAUUUAGCACAUAUAUCUUACAAUUUGUAUAGUGACACAUAUUGUACUAUCAUGUGUACCGGUCACACUAAAAAAUCUCUAACUCCUAGGACUCUCAAUAAUUAGUACUAAACUAAGAAAUAAUCUUGUUAAUUAGUGAACAGGCUAUGCAUGUCAGGAUGGAGGUGGAUUGUCUGCUCUCCCAUUUUCAUGCUUUUUUCAUCCCCUCCUGUUUGUGUGGUCACGGUUAAGCCACGUCAACAUUUUAUAUUAAUUUUUUUAUAACAUAAUAAAACAAAAAGUAAUAGGAAUAUAAAAUGUUGACAUGACUUAAUCGUGACCACACAAAACAGGAGGGGAUGGGAAGAAUAUGGAAAUGGGAGGGCAGACAAUCCACCUCCCUUCAAAUUUGGUAUCCUGUCAGGAGGUGGAUUGUCUGCCCUCCCAUUUCCAUACUCUUUCCAUCUCCUCCUGUUUGUGUGAUCAAGGUUAAGUCACGUCAAUAUUUUAUAUUCCUAUUACUUUUUGUUUUAUUAUUUUAUAAAAAAAUUAAUAUAAAAUGUUGACGUAGCUUAACCAUGACCACACAAACAAGAAUGAAUGGGAAGAAUAUGGAACUGGGAGGGCAGACAAUCCACCUCCAAUUUGGAGAGAUGAUGGAUUUAAUUAAUUUGUUUAAUCGUGGUAAUACCGCACUAGGAUUUUUGCUGGGUUGGCAUAAGCACUAGGGUUUGCAUUUUCCAGGGUAAGGGCCAACCCACGAUCAUCGUCAUCUUGAACAUGUCUCCUUUGGAAGCAACUUUUGCCCCUCUUUCUGCUUAUGCAGAUGAAUAAUAUUUGUUAGAACUGAGUUCGUAAACUAAUGGAUAGAGAGGUUCAAAUCUCUUUUAACAAAGACUUCCAUUCUUCUAAAUAUUGGCUCUUUUAUAGUUUCUUCAAUUUCCGAUGUCAAACAAUACUCUACAUUUUACAUAAAAUAUAACAUAGGCUUAGUUUUAACUGACACAUGUACUCUUCAUAAAACCUGACUUUACUGUAUGAACUCUAUUUUGUUUCACUUUACCCAAUGUACUUAUACUUUGUGUCUCACUUUACCUUAUUCCCUUAACUUCGUCACAUAAACCGUUAACUUGCUGACUUGCAGUGUCUUUAAUGUGAUAUUGGUUAAAAGAAAAUUAUAAAAUAGAUUAAAAUGUGACAAGUUAACAGUUUAUAUGACGGAGUUUAACAAAAUAAGGUAAAGUAAGACACAGUAUAAAUACAUGGAGUGAUAGAGUGCAAGAAGUAAAGUGAGAUUUUUUUUUUUUUUUUUAUCAUAGCUAAAAAUAAGCCGCAAAUAUAUACUCACUAACGUGAGGCAUUUUUGUAUCUAACAUGUAGACAAUUUUUAACAAGUGAAGUGACGUGUGACUUAAAUGCUAAUAUCUAACCCAUAAUCAUAUAGCAAGUUAGCAAUGGGUGGAAGGGCUUAAAACUUUUUAAGCUCAUAUAUUUUCUUUGAUCUUUGUAUGUGACAUUCUAUCAACAAAAUUAGGGUUUACGAACUUUAUUAUCUUAAGGAACGCAUGCUUCUCGAUCAAAGCAUUUUACUACCUACAUUUGACUGAAAAUCCCAACUUCCAAAUUAGAACCAAAACAUUUGAAACCAAGCCAGUACUAUUAAACAUAAAGAGAGUAAGUUGGAAGUGUGAGAUUGGUAAAAGUGCCACGCUGUCCUGUUUGUGUGUCUUUUGUAAUUGUCCAUCUAUCUAUCUUAAUUUAGUCUAAUAGAUAAUUAGAGCAAUGGUCUCUGAAUUUUACCUCAAUCGGAAUUUUGAUCUCUGAACUAAAAAUCCGUGAGCAUGGGUAUCUGAACUUGCUAUAAUAUGAAAUAAUGAUCUUUUACGCUAACUCCGUUAGAACUUAUAUUCAAAAUAAAGGGUUUAAAGGGACAAAAAUAAAUGAAAGUUCUAACGAAGUUAGCCAAAAUGAUCUUUGCUCCACAUUAAAACAAGUGCAUAAACCAAUACUCACGGAUUUUUUAUUCAGGGACCAAAUUAUCUCUAUCUAACAUAUCUACAAAGCUAUAAACCCUAAGUAUAAACAUUUUGUCAUAAUAUUUGUGGAAAAGAGUCGGGUAAAGAUUUGUGUUAUGGUGAAUGUGUAAAACGUGAGAUUCAAGAAGUCGUAAGCUAGAAUUAGGGCACGCGUGAAAUCCAGGCCGCCCCAUAAACAUCUUGCCUUGUUUUCUACUUUCUUGUCUUCCAUUGCAGCUGCUGCUGCUGCAGUGGAAGCUUCACCGCCAUCAUCAAGACAAAAGGGCCAAAAGCCACCCCCACUCAAAUCAAACAUUCCUUAUUUUAUAAAUUAAGAGAAGAGAAUAUGAAUUUGGGGGAAAAAGAUCCAAUCAUAUGUACUGGUUGCUUGCUGCCUGGCAUCUAAUUAGUGGCCAAAGUCAUUAGAUUAUUAGGUUUCCUGUUAACCCAGACCCACUAAAUUAAUUUUGGUUUUAUUAAUUAUGAUCCGUGUUAACCCACUAACUUAAUUUUGGUUGUUAUUAAUUAUUGUUCAUGCAUAUGCACAAUUGGUGAAUUGCUCCGGCGCUCUCUUCAAUCCGUUAUGUCACCAGUUCAAAUUCACAGUAUAAAUAAAUAUCGAAUGUAUUCAAAAGGAAAAAAUUUCAUGUACAUGCACUUAGUGUGAUUCCUAAUAAUAACGUGUGAUAUUUUACCCGCUCCAUAUUCAAAUUAACAGAUUCAUUGGGCAACUCAAUGUGUACAAAGCGGAUAUUUAUGGACAAGGGAAGUACAAUCUACCAGAAAUAAAUGCUCUUAACUAGUAAGGCACGGACCCAACCAACAAAUGUUGGGGGGGGGGCUGAGCCAUCUGCAUAGGAGAGUUGUCCAAAGGUAGGUUAGGACAUUUUUGUAAGGCCAUCUCCAACCGAAGGGUCCAGAGGGUCAGAGGGCCGAAAAUAGCCCUUAAACCGUCUCCAACCGAGCGCUAGGCCAGAGGGCUCGGGAAUCUGGGAGGGCUGGAGGGCUGGCUGCUUUCGGCCAGAGCCAGCCAACCCCAGGCUGGCUAUUUUUUUUUUUCUAGUUUUCCUAUUGCUGUCGGUUAUAACCGACAGUAAUAGGUAUUCAUAGGCAAAAAAAAAAAAAUUAUUUACUAUUACUGUCGGUUAUAACCGACACUAAUAGUUUGAAAUUUUUUUGAACAUAACGGCUAGCUAAUCAGCUAGCUGUUGGGUUUUUUUUUUUUAAUUUAAACAUUUCUUUUUUUCUAUAAAUAUGGUGAAGUUCUUUCAAUUCUUCACUUCAUUUGAAAUAUUUCCUUCUUCAAUAUUUCCUUCAAUAUAUUUCUCAAUAUUUCCUUCAAUAUAUUUUCCAAUAUUUCCUUCAUCUAUAAUAUUUGUUUCAAUUUUUCAAUAAUUUCCUUCAUUUUGUUCCUAUAACUUAUUUUUCACAAAAUUUGUUUCAUAUUUUUUUUUAAAUUUCAUUUUUUUCCUAUAACUUCUAUUUCACAAAAUUUGUUUCAUAUUUUUUUUAAAUUCUAUUUUUUUUCCUAUAACUUCCUAAGCCAUUAUACAACAUUAAAUUAAAUUAAGUAACAUGAAACAACAUUUAAGUUGUAAUUUUUAAAUAAUAAAUUAUGUUUAGCCCUAUAGCCCUUUGUCCCUCGAUUGGAGACGGUUUUUUUGUGAAAAUGCUAAAACGAACCCUUUGGCCCUCUAGCCCUCAGUUGGAGACGAAGGCAAAUAUGACAUUGUACUGUUCAUUAAAAUAUUAAUAUCUUAGAGAAUCUUAGAGGGCCAGAGGGCUAAAACGAGCCCUCUAGCCAACCAUCGGUUGGAGAUGGCCUAAGUUGGAGUGGGCUAGAGGCUAGGUCCGUUCUUGUACCAAGUUGACUUACCGGCUCCUUCCUCGUUGGGAAACUAUUACGGAAGGCUGCAAAUUACCAACCAGAAGAGUAGCGCUUACAGGGCUGGGCAUACCGGCAUACUAUAAAACGAAGACAAACUAUGCCCCAAGUCAGCAACGGCUUCGUCAAUAAAGUUCGCCUCUCGAAAAACAUUGCAAAAAACAAAAUUAUCUCAAGUCUCCUGAAUUUACAGCAAAGGAGAUGAAAUUUACAGUGUUAAAUAUUAGAUAUGAGCCCGUCAAGAAAGUAAAGGCGUAGGGAUGAAAAACCAAGUUAAGCAGGAGUAUCAAAUCAGUUUUGAGAAUUAGGGAACAACCUAUUCUGAAUUUGGUAAAAUAAACUAUAAAGUUGAAGCUUCAAACAACGGUACAGAAACAGGAUACGAACCAUAAAAUUAGCUCCAAAAUUGAUCGCGUUUCUAGCCAACAAUUAAAGCAGUAUUGAAAAGAUUGAACGAUCCUACCUAUAUUUUCAAUGGAAAUAAAAAUAUUACACCCUUCUCUGCAAACAAAGACCCCGUUCUCACAGUUGGUCAUAUAUCCUUUGACAGAUUACUUUCAAAAGUAGAAUCUCAUGACAUAGGUUCUGUAAGCAAAGGCAUUACAGAACCUGAGCAGCCGUGUUCAAUUUUUCGGCUAAGGUGAGCUGUGUCCUUGUGAUGCUUGACAAGUACAGUAAGAGCAAGUUGUCCUGUAAGCAACAAACAAAAGGACAAGUCUAAUGUCAAAGAAACGCUCGCCAAACUUAUAACCCUAGUAUUGAAGAACUAUUUUGCAUCAUUACCCUACAACCGACAACAGGAGGCUGUGAACAACACUGAUAAUAGAUAACUAAAGUAACUGAAUAUUUUGAACUGUAUCUUUCAUGAUACAACAAAAUGAACAAAAAUAUAUCGCACCUGCAGGCUGUCAUUGAUAAGCUUAUCAAAAGCUGAUGGAGACAGUUUCGGAAGAGAUGCAAUCGUAUCAAAAAGAAAUCUCCCUAUAGUGUUAUCUUGUUCAACACGGCCUUCCUGGAAACAUGAACCCUCAUUAGAAUUAAGUAAAAUAAAUGGAAUGACCAGCUUAAGAAGGUUAAGUAUCAUUACUAACCACAACAUUGUCAACAUAUUUGUAAACAUCAUCAAUUAAAGCUAGAAGCCGCUCCAUUGAGGCUUCCAUUCCUUCAAGAUCAGUUGGGAGUUUGUCAACCAUUGGGGUCUUUAAAAUAUCAUCUGUCAUCAUGGAAAAGCAUAUGAUUUUGAAUCAGAUCUGCAUCGUGCUUAAAAGCUCAAACAAUCAUAUCCAAAAAUUAGUGGGAAGCUAUGAGUUCAACCAAUGUACUAAAUAAAAGCUUAGGCCCAAAAUGACAAACUACUUUUUAUUGAUGUGAAAAGGACAUAUAACUAGUUCCUUCAACGGAUUGUUAUUCUCAGAAAUACUAGUUCCUUCGAGUUUCCUCCAAAACUUAGCGUAAAAGUUACUUCUGUUCCAUGAAGUCAGAAAACUAUACAGGGAAGAUCAAGUGAAUGUGUUGUGUGUGUGAAUACCAAUAUGACCACAAAUGAUGCUACAAACAAUAAAAGUUUAGAGGGAUAAACUUACAUCCAACUCGCUCAGCUUCAACCAUGCGAAGAUCAAGAGGAAUUUCUUGAAACUGCGCAGCAAGUUGCCGAUCUCCAAGAGACAAAUUCACUGAAACAUAGCUUUUAUGGCACCCACUCCAUUAACAAAUCCAGUAUCAACAGUCAAAUGAACGGGGUUGGGAGCUUCUCUAGAAUAGAAUUCAUGAAACAGUGCACUACCACCAGUAACUCCAAGACCAGUUGAAUACCUACAAGUAAUAAUCAAGGCGUAACAAUAAGCAUUCCAAUCAACUUGAAAACUUACAAAUCUCUAUUACAUAUGCUUAAAACAAACUCGUAUGAACUUUUCGAAAUUUGUGAAACUAUCAUUGGGGAGCAUUGAGUUCGCGCUCUCACGUGUACCAUGACAUACGAGGAUGUUCCCUAUUCCAUUUAUGAAUUCGUAUUUUUGGCUACCAAGCUUACGCACUAGUUACAGGUUCCGCACCAAAUUAAACAUAAAUUACACAGAGGAAGCAACAUUUCACCGGAAUGAAUAUCAUUAUUAAACACGAUAUAAUUCGAAUUCGUCAAUUAAAACUGCCUGAAAAGUUGCACGAUAAUAACUAAGAAAUCUAAAACAGAAAAGAUAAUGAUAUUUACCAUCCAACGAUGACUUCCUUGGGAUUCACCUUCUGGUGGGAUAUCAACAUAUUGUGAUGGUACUCAAUAUCUAAAGCAACCUGCAAAUUACACACCGAAACAAAACGUCAGUAAAUUCUAACACAGGAUCACAAUUUCCUCGUGUUCAAGAAAUUAACCACAAUUUUCUCAUCAACCAAACAGGGGGAAAACCCAAAUCGCUAAAUAACAAUAAAAUUAAAGAAACAAAUGAGGAAGAAGAACCUGCUCGGCGCUCAUAUGAGGAACAGCGUAGGAGUUUCUGAUGUCGACAGUUCCGUCAGGUAGGACGGAGCCGAGGAGCGUGCCGAUGACUCGCUCCGACUGGUCGGGACGCCUGACGUAGCAAUCGCAGAUGUUAAAGAUGACGAGAGGAUGAACCUUCGCCGACAAGCUCGACGACGGAGACGUGGAGAACUGCAACGCAGUGUGCUCGAUCGCCGCCAUUCUCUCUCACCGCCGAUGGAUCUGGAUUUUGCUUAGGGCUCGAGAGUAAGCGAGAAAGAGCACGGAGGGUGGAGCGAGCACUAGGGUUUUGGGGGAUAGAGAGAGAAGAGGGUAUUGGAUUUCACUUGUUUUUAUUUUAUUUUAUUUUAGGCCUUUCAUCAUUAAGAAGCCCAAUGGUCUAAUGGGCCUAUCUUGGCCCAAAUAGGCUUCAAGAAUAAGAGUUGGCAAAAUCGAAGUAAGAUUCUCUCAUCUCCUCUCCUCUAUUAAUUUUCUAUUUUUCUUUCUCUUUCUGCAAAGAAGUCAACACAAGAAAUUGACGUGAUUUAAUUGUGACUGUUUAAAUAUGAGGAGACUAGAGAGAAGGAGAAUUUGGAGAAGAUAAAAUUCUACUCCAGCAAAAUCUGGGACAAGAAACUUGAAGCCAUUUCAAUCUUUAAAUAAAUUUCCUUAAAAAUCACAUAAUAUUGGAUUAAAUAUGAUUGCAAACUUCAUUUAAGGUAUGUUAGAGGGAAAAAGUGGAGCUAACUUUCACAUUUUGGCCAAUUGAUGGUAGAGAUGCACUAUUUGUGAAGAAAACUAAUCACUUCUCAAUCUUGGUUAUGAACGAAUAAAACUUUACCAUAUUGGGAGAGUAAAAGGGACAUGUUUUAUUUCUGAACAGAUAAUCUAUUUCUUUCAACUCGAUAAAUUUUGAAAGUUAAUAUUUAUUUCUUACGUCAACAUACCUCAAAAAUAGCAAAUUGUUAAAUUCAAUCAUAGGCAUCAAACCUAGUAUCUUCUAAGAGCAAGUCCACCCAUCAUUGAGCCAUUUAAUACUAUGGUUUAGUGGUAUUUAUCUUCAUAUGUAAAUGAGAGGUUUUAGGUUCGAUUAUCGUUAAAUGUGAAUUUGAACCACAUUAUUGAUAACUCAUUGAGAGUCUUAUUCCACUCUCCCAUUCCCUUAAUGUAGACAUUUUGUUUAAAAAAUGAAAAAAUAAAAAAAUAAAGUCCACCCAUCCUUGGAUGGCAAGGGCAAGGGCAUAAAAACAAGGGAAAGGGAUUCGGAGUCCCUUCCAUCAAAUCCACCUCAUCAAUCAAUUCGGACCUUUGAAAUUUAAUCUAACAGCUAAAGCCGUUAUAACUUUUAAAAGAAUCUCCUAUUUUUAACCGUUAAAUCAAAUUUUAAAAACCCAAAUUGAUUGAUGGGAUGAAUUUGUUGGAAGGGAUCCGGAAUCCCUUUCCAAAAACAAGGGCCCAAAAUGAAGAAGGCAAUCAGCUCCACCAAGCCUGUCGGACUGCCCAGCCAACAUUACGCGCAUGCUAGUGCUAUGUUCGGCGGAGCAGGCUGUCAUGUUUUGAUAGGUACAAGGAGGACCACGACAUGAUUUGAUCAAGUAUGAAUGCUACCAUGCUGAUAUGAAUUUAAUUAAGCGUCCCGAUGAGCUUUCAAAACGGUAUCCAUUACUCUGACUCUAAAAUCAGAACGACGACGGUUCCUUGAAUAAUUAUUGGAUCUGGAUGUUUACUUGGGACGAGAAAGUUUAUGAACCAGAUUAUGAGAAAAGUCGGGACCAAAAAACAAAACAUGUAGGAUUGAUAAUAUGACGAUACUAAAGAAAUCAAAAUUUUAAUUUAUGUUUUAUAAAUCACGUAAUGUGAUGAUUGAUUGUUUGACUUAUUUUUUAAAUCAUUAUAAAAGGGAGUUUUGCUAUUAAUCUCUACAUCAUAUGAUUUACAAAAAAUGAUCAAUUUUUUUUAUCUAUGUAGCAUUUUUCAUGAGAAUAACUACUCUUUAGUCAAUGGAAUUCAUGGUUGUUAAUAAAUGUAUGGUAAAUCAAGAAUUACAAUAAUUUGAAUAUUUGGUGUAAGAAAAAUGAAAUCUGAAUCAUAUUCAUUCUAAUCCUCAAUUUUAGUAAAACGUGCCAUUAGUAUAUAUAAUGUCGGUAUAUGAGCAUCUACAACACUACUAAUUAUAUAUUUGUUAUUUUAGCAUGAAAAUAAUCAAAAUAACUCAAAAUCUUUUAAUAGCCACAGUUUAAGCAUAACCAUCUCCAACGCUAUUAGGCCUGAAUUCAGCCUUGUGCCUUCGAGAAUUUCUGGAAGGGCAAACUCUUUGGAGUAAGCCAUAGUACACAACCACCACAGGGUGGCUCAAGUGACAAAUUUUCAGAUCCGUAUUUCACACGAUACGUCUUGGAUUCGAUUCCUGACAUUGGUGAGUCACACGAUAGUAGUCAAGUGGAUGCUGAAAUACCUCUGUGAGUCUUCCCUGCCCGCGGAAUAGUCGAUUGUCAUGAUGAAGCUACUAAAUGGUCCUUUUUUUCUAAACAAAACAAAUAUUACAUAUUUUAUUAUAGGAAAAUUCUAUUCUAAUCCUUGUCUAAGAUUACUUUUUGAAUAAAAUCUUAUCUAAGAUUAAAAAUUAAUUCUAAUCCUUGACAUUUAAUUGUAACUUUUUAAUAUUAAAUAGGUUGUAAUUGUAACAUCCCACAUCACCCAGGGGUUAUGAUCAUGUAAGCCUUAUGUGUAUAUUCUCAUCUUUACCUAGCAUGAGGCCUUUUGGGAGCUCACUGGCUUCGGAUUCCAUCGGAACUCCGAAGUUAAGCGAGUUCGCGAGAGAGCAAUCUCAUGAUGAGUGACCCACUGGGAAGUUCUUGUGUGAGUUCCCAGAAACAAAACAGUGAAGGCGUGGUUGAGGCUCAAAGCGAACAAUAUCGUGCUACGGUGGAGUUGAGCCCGGGAUUUGACAAUUUGGUAUCAUAGCCAAUCUCUGGCCGGAUGUGUGCCAACGAAGACGUCUAAGGGAAGUGGAUUGUAACAUCCCACAUCGCCCAGGGGUGAGGAUCUUGUAACGCCUUAUAUGUAUAUUCUCAUCUCUACCUAGCACGAAGCCUUUGGGGAGCUCACUGGCUUCGGGUUCCAUCGGAACUCUGAAGUUAAGCGAGUUCGCGCGAGAGCAAUCCCAUGAUGGGUGACCCAUUGGGAAUUUCUCAUGUGAGUUCCCAAAAACAAAACCGUAAAGGCGUGGUUGAGGCCCAAAGCAAACAAUAUCGUGCUACGGUGGAGUUAAGCCCGGGAUGUGGUGAGGACCCAGGCCAGGAUGUGAUAGUAAUAAUUGUUGAGUUUUUUGUUUGUAGGUUAUAUAUUGAUUCCCAUAAAUAAUAAAAAUGUUAUUUAUCAUUGAUAGUUAUUAAGUUCACAUAAUAAGAGAAGUCAUAUAUUAUCAUAUUUUUUUUAUUGUGCGUAAAUUUCUCCAUAUAUAUGUAUAUACAUAUUACGUACAUAUGUAUAUUUAGAUACUAUAGUUACGUACCAAUACAUUUGUAUCGAUACAUUCGUACCGAAAGUUAUUGUUUGGGCCCAAAAAUAGUGUUGGUUGGGCUGAGUUUAGAAUCCUUAUCGGCCCAGUGUUGGUUGGGCCGAGUUUAGAAUUCUUCUCAGCCCAUAAGCCGUGUACAGGUGUCGUUGGGAGUUAUGUAGCUCCUGGGCUGCACGGUCGAAGUUGGCCACGUCCCAUUGGGGAAUUGGGGAUGUGGAUGAGUCAUGUUAUGAGAAGGAGUUUCGACAGGAUCAGGAUGCUGGAAUUGAAUACAGCCUGGUAACGAGUUAUGUUCAAAGUCCUAGUAAGAAUAGGAUUGGCCGAGAUAAAGUUGAAUCAGGGAAAUGAGUUAUAAUCCGAGAGUGAUUGAGAUUCAAUAUAGGUUGGCUGCUAUAAAUAGGGAGGGAAGACAUCGAAACAAGAUCCCUCUAACUCAACACACAAACUGCCCAUCGCAAACCCUUGCUCUACGCGAAACCUCUCAACAACCUUGAGAUUUUUUUAUUUUCCUUUUUUGCCAACACAACUUCAGUUUGGAUAAAUAACACUGUGAAGGCAACUGGCGAACACCUUCAGUUUGAAUAAACAACAUUGUUGCCGUAGAAUAAGCCGACCUUAAAGCAUGUUCAAUUUGGAUAAACAACACUGGGACAGGGCCAACUAGUUAUCUAUCCAAGUCUCGGUUGAAAAGGAUUUUUGAAUCCUUAUCGGCAGGGGUCAUCUCAUUAGCCUUCUCAGCAAAGCGAGGUGUUACAAGUUACUAUACUCGGCACAUUGAACGCCGAGUCGUUUAUGAUUGGUUAUUCGCAAGUAGGUUUUAGAGUUCGGCAUUCUGACAGCCGAACCACUUUCACAAUCAAGACAUAUAUUUAUUUUGAAUACAUGUGUCCUUAUACUCUGGUGUCGAUUCGGUGUGCUUAUACUCUUAUGAAUAUAAUCACGGUGACCGAAUACGAUGCCAUCAAUUUGUGAACUUCGCAAAACUAGUAGCUAUGUCUUCAAGCUUUAGAACUUGAAGGCCGAUGCGUGUUCUUUCCUCGGCCGUAGUUGCAAGAUCGAGAAGUCAGAUGCACACCCAACGCAACAUCAACAAAUUUUACUCCUCGACCGAGCUCGGCUGACGAGUUGGCACGCCCCGCAUACAACUGAAUGACGUAGUUAGCUUACUAAUUAUUCAGCUUGCACGCCACGUAGGCUUGGUAGUUUUUAGGGUCAACAAUUAUGUACCACUAUAUUCUUACCGAAACUUACGAACCGAUACUUAUGUACUUAUAAGUAAUAUAAGGUACCUAAAGUUAUGUACCAAUACUUCCGUACUUAUGAUAAAAUAAGAUACCGAAUGUUAUGUAUAAAUUGAUUUUGUUAUGCUGUUGAAUUUUUUUAAUAAUGAGAAUUUGAAUUUUGAAUAAAUUUUUAUCUAUUAAUAUGAUUAGAGCACAAAAUAAAAAACAUAAUUAUGGAUGGGUAAAUAAUUUCGAAUGGCAAGUUCAUAAAUUAUAAAUGUGCUAUAAUUACUUAAAUAUGUAAGUUUUAAAAAUAGAGACUUAUAUUAGAUUUUGAAAACCAUUCAGGUUAAAAUUUAAAAACAAUCUUAUUGAAACCCUAAAAUCUAAAAACCCCUGUUAUUAUUAACAACUCAAUCCUUUUUAUUAUUUUGUUAUUUAACUAUUAACCACUACUAUCACCAAAGUUUUGAUAUAUUUCAAGUUGAUCUUUUUGUUAAAUUAUCUUUAUACUUGUGUUGACCCCUAAAAACUACAAAGCCUAUGCGGCGCGCAGGUCGAGUAACUAAUGAGCUAAUUACGUCCUUCGGUUGAUGCAAGGCGUGCCAACUUGUCGGCUGAGCUCGGCCGAUGAGUAAAAUAUGUUGAUGUUGCGUUGGGUGCGCGGCUGAGUUCUCAAUCUUACGACUGCGGGCGAGGAAGGAACACUCUCAGCCUUUGGGUUCUAAAGCUUGAAGCUAAGGCUGCUAGUUCUGUGAAGUUCAAUAUCAAAUUUGGCUUUCAAUGUGCCGAAUGUAGUAACUUGUAACACCUCACUUCGUCGAAAAUGCUAAUGAGAUGCAAGGUUCUAAAAAACGCUAGGCGCUAGUCGGGCGGCGGGCUAGCGCCUAGCGCCUAGGCGGCUAGGCGGAUUUAGGUAAAUUUCUUGUAUAUCAUGUAAAUAAGUGCAUAUUGACACCUUAAAAAAAACUAUACUUGUAUGGAUAAUAAAAUAAUGAUAAAAUGCAAAUUAGGUACACUAUUUCCAUAAGUAUUGGAUGAACUUGUAGUAAAUCCAUCAUUUGCAAAUUAGAUACACCAUUUCCAUAAGUAUACCACCAUAAAACCAAAAAAGAAAAAAGCACGCAUUAAUAAAAAAUAAAAAAUAAAAAAAACCUCCUAGGACCGCCUACCCCGCCUAACCCGCCUAGCCGCCCAGCCCGCCUAGACCGCCUAGGCGCCGCCUAGCCCGCCUAGGCCCAACCCGAUUUUUCCUCCCGAUUUGCCCAAAAACGCCUCGGUUGCUAGGCGCCCAGCGCCUAGGCGGCCGCCUAGGCCGUUUUUUAAAACACUGAUGAGAUGACCUCUGCCAAUAGGGAUUCGAAAAUCCUUCUCGACCGAGACUUGGAUAGAUAACCAGUCGGCCAUGUCGCAGUGCUGUUUAUCCAAACUGAAGGUGCUUCACAGUCAGCUGAUUCUACGGCAACAAUGCUGUUUAUCUAAACUAAAGAUGUUCGCCGGUUGCUUUCACGGUGCUAUUUAUCCAAACUGAAGAUGUGUUGGCAAAAGGGGAAAAUAAAAUCUCAAGGUUGUUGAGAGGUUUCGCGUAGAGCGAGGGUUUGCGCAGGGCAGUUUGUGUGUUGAAUUGGAGGUCGACCUUCCGUUGCCAUUGCAUUUGUAUUUAUAGGACUGAAGUACUUGCUUUGCACGGUCAAAUAAUGUUGCAGAGUUUAAUUGCAACUCUAAUUCCUAAAAUUAAUCCGCGUCAAAAGCCAAGCAUAUCCUCAGAUUCUAGUUUGUGACUUCUAAAAUAAAGCCUAUCUAAGCUUCCACAUCACAUCAGAAACCUAGAGGACCUAGGCUUCAGAUCUCAUAAAAAAAAAUCUCCACCAGAAGGCUUUUAAAACCAUUUGAUCACUUCCAUCACCAUAGCCUACCUAGGUUUCCUAUGUCAUCAUUACAAACCUAGCUUUUCUAGGCUUGUCUCAUCAUCACCCAAAGCCAUCAACUUUAUUGUGGCAUGCAUCAUGACCCUAUCUGAAUGCAUUUCAAAUUCAUUUUUAGCUUCCAUGUACCAUCGGAUAUCCCAAAUCAACUCGAACUGUAAUGCUCGCUUGGGAUAUAAUUCACAUCAUAUUUAUUUGGUUGAAGAAGACGCUAGGAUAAUGCAUAUUAAAAGAUAAUUUUUAUGAUAAAAAUCAUAAUAUUAUCCUUUAAUAAUGACAAAACCUAUCUCCACUUUUCCAUUCAACGAUUGAGAGUUAUGCUCACUCAACGGUCUUGAUUACACGGCCCAAUGGUGUAAAUUUGGGUCCAAACAACUUAGUUAAAUAUAACUUUUGGAGAGUUCAAAUGGGAAUUGUUUUUGGCACUCAAAAAAUCUCAUUUUACACUCCAAACUUUCUAUAAUUAGAAAAAAGCCGAUGGUUUUCUUAAGAUGCUCAAAAUGAUUAGUUGCGAAAAAAAAACUAAUGAAAAUGACUUGAAAACUUUGAAUUUUAACGGAAAAAAAAGCGUUGUAAGUGAAUAGUACUAAUAUUGACUUUUAGAGUAAAAAUAUGGUUUUUCGUUAAAAAAAAAUGAACAGUACCAGAAGCUUUUUAUUAAAGUUCCCAAAAAAUUAUGAUUUAAAAUAAUCUCAUGUCGGGGCGUUGCAGUAGAUAAGUUUUUUUAAUAAAAUAAUUCAUCGACCACUUACAAGUUGGUACACAAUUUUGUAAUUUCAUAUUUCAAUAUACCUUAAACAUCAGAGGUAAUUUAAUCCAAUCCUAUCCAAUCCUUUAAACCAAACUACGCGUAAAGUGAUUUAUUUAAAAACAUAGUUAUUAGUAGAUAGGAUUUGGACCAUUGGCCUAAUAUCAUUUAAAGACAUGCCCACAAACUUUUGUUUUUUAUAUUUUUUUAGAAGAGAGAGAGUAAACCUCAAUUUAUUUGAAAAUGAAAUUGUUAUUAGCACUUUAAAAACAUCAAUAUUUCUUUCUAAUUAUAAAAAGUUUUAAGUGUAAAAUAAGAUUUUUAGAGUGCUAAUAAUAAUUCAAUUUUCAAAUAAAUUGAGGUUUACUCUCUCUGUUCUUAGAAAAUAUAAAAAAUAAAAGUUUGUGGGCAUGUCUUUAAAUGAUGUUAGGCCAGUGGUCCAAAUCCUAUCUACUAAUAAUUAUGUUUUUAAAUAAAUCACUUUAGGCGUAGUUUGGUUUAAAGGAUUGGAUAGGAUUGGAUUAAAUUACCUAUGAUGUUUAAGGUAUAUUGAAAUAUGAAAUUACAAAACUGUGUACAACUUGUAAGUGGUCGAUGAAUUAUUUUAUUAAAAAAACUUAUCUACUGCAACGCUCGAUGUGGGAUGAAUUUAAACGAUAAUUUUUUGGGAACUUUAAUGCAAAGCUCUCGAUAAUGUUCACUUUAACAAAAAAAUUAUAUUUUUACUCUAAAAAGUCAAUCCUGGUACUAUUCACUUACAACUUUUUUUUUCCGUUAAAAUUUAAAGUUUUCAAGUUAUUUUCAUUAGUUUUUUUUUUUGCGUCUAAUCAUUUUGAGCAUCUUAAGAAAACCAUCGGCAUCUACAUUCGUUAUACCUUAAAUUUUAGCCGACUAUUGAUUCUGAUUCAGACAUGCAUCCGCAUCUCAGAUUCAACUAUUAAAUUGCUAAUGAAAUGACCUAUGGUUUUGUUUAUGCGUCUAAUGAAUUAUUAAACAUGUAAUUAAGCUCAAUUAACAAGAAGUCACCACAUCAUCGUUGGCUUGGUGGCUACUUGCUACCUAACCUCAACAACUCUUUUCCUUCUCUCUCCAAUAAUUUCUUUACGACUUAAUUAGAUUAAUAGUUCUGUGGUUAUAAGAUAGUUGAAAGAUAGCAUUUGUGGUAAAAAAAAAAAACAUUAUGAUUUAAACCAUGUGAUACAAUAUGUUAGAAUUGAUGCUCAAAAUUGAAAAUUUCGUCAACUUUUUAUUAAUUGUUAGUACAUAAGCCGACCCCACGUGUUAACAAUUAACGGAAAUGUUCAUUUUAGCCUAAUAUGUGUAUAGAGAUUAAAGAGUUCCGUUUUAGUCUAAUAUGUGCAGCUUAUAUACUAAUAAUCAACAACAAAAUUGACGAAAUUUUCAAUUUUGAAUAUAAAUCAUAACAGACUUUACCACAAAAGAUUAGAUCCUAAUUUUUUAACCACAAGAAAUAUUUUUCAACUAUUUUAUAACCACAAAAACUAUUAAUUCAAUUAGGCCUUUAUUUAAUUUCCAAGUAAAUGGCGACCCGGAAUAAAGGUGGGUGUAAUUUCCGAAAUUGAAAAAUAGAAAUAUUUACUAAUUUACCCAUGAACUUGUAUGAAGCUGUAAUUUUUUUUCUGAAUUUUAAUUAGUCAAUUUUCCUUGAACUUUAGUCUUAAGCCAUUUACCUGCUAGAACUUUGAUAAAUAGACAAUUUUUCCCUUGGUGUUAGUUCAUUCAAGAAAUAAACGGUUAAAAUUAAAAUUCAGAGAAAAUUUGAUUAUGUAUAAAAGUUCAAAAAAGUAAUCGGUUAAAAUUAAAAUUAUAAAAAUAAUUGAUUAAUUAUAAAAAUUCAGAAGUUAAUCAACUAAAAUUAAAAUUCAGAAAGCCAACGACAAAUGUGCCUUAGAAAAAUACACAAAUUCACAGCCACUUGAUGCAAAUAAAAUGAACACUCACCAUCAGAUGAUUCAGAUGGAUGGGAUUGGUGGGGCCUCUCCAUAAAAAAGAAAGGAUCAGAGGGCCCUUUGAGUCUUGAAAGUUGAAACGCAUCCACAACACACAUGUUUUUGCUUGCUCAUAUCACGAUUAAUUAACAGCUUAAUAACUUAAUUACGUACAAAAUACCCUUAAAACGAAAGCAUUACAUAUGAGAAAAUAACAAAAACUCGAUUGAAGAUUGGCUUGAAUGAUGAUCGUACAACGAUUUGAGACGUAAUUAACGGUAAUCACUUGGACUUGAAAGGGAUGGCCCUGAUCACAACCACGUGGUACAAAGCUGCAAGUGCUGCCCCAAUGAACGGUCCAACCCAGAAUAUCCACUGCCACAAUGAAAAAUAAAAUAAACUAAAAGUUAGAACAAAAGUUCAGAAGCCAUUGAAUGCGUUUUUGAAAUUGGAAUACAACAAUGGCUUUUGGAGAGUGCUCCCCACAAAAGCACUUUCAUUCAAGAACAGUAGUGCUUCUUGUAAAAGCAGUUUUGGAUCAAUUAGGAAGGCUUACGUGGUCAUCCCAGGCAUGCUUCUUGUUGUAGAUGAUGGCAGCGCCAAGACUUCUUGCUGGGUUGAUGCCAGUUCCGGUGACGGGGAUGGUGGCCAAGUGCACCAAGAACACGGCGAACCCAAUUGGCAACGGAGCCAAAAUCUGUUCAAAACCCAUUCAAAAUUCACAGCCAGUUAAUCACCAAACCAAAUAAAACGCCAACAAAAUAAUAAAAUCAGGAAGUUCAAGCUCAGCUAGGCAAAUGAUCGGAGACUAGACAUGCGUACCGGAACGUGGGAGUCUCUGGCGCUACGCUUAGCGUCAGUGGCGGAGAAAACGGUGUAGACGAGGACAAAGGUGCCGAUGAUCUCAGCACCAAGUCCUUGACCCUUGGUGUAACCAUGGGCAACAGAGUUGGCACCACCGCCCAGCAUCUCGAAGGUGGAGCUCUUCUCGAAGCCCUUCACGACGGCGGCACCGGCGAUAGCUCCGAGGGUCUGCAUAACUAUGUAGAACACCGCCCUGGUCAGCGACAGCUUCCUGGCCAAAAACAGCCCGAAAGUCACCGCCGGGUUUAUGUGACCACCUGAGAUAUAAACAAUAAGAUCAACCCCGUUAAUCAAGAUUUAUUUAUAAUUAAGAAUGGAUAAAUGACACGGCUGCGUUUUAUGGGGGGAAAUUAAUUACCGGAGAUGCCGGCGGUGCUGUAGACGAGGGCGAAGAUGGUCCCGCCAAAAGCCCAAGCGAUUCCUUGAAUCCCGACCGUCGUGCACUUCGACUUCGACUUGACAACGCCCAUCACCGUCAAGAUUGUGAUGUAGAGGAACAGGAAAGUGGCGAUGAACUCGGCGAUCCCGGCCCUGUAGAACGACCAUGACGUCAGCUCGCCGGGCUCGAACAGUGGAGCAGGCGGUGGUUCCUUGUAGUCCUUCCCGUCGUCCUGGCUCUGAGCCGACGUCCCGAUCGGCUGCCUCUCUGAGUACUUGUUCGCUCCCAGCCUAACAUCCUCUUCCUUGCCCUCCAUUAUCGCUUUACGUACAAGAUCAGACCAAGCAGAUAUCGAGCUCUCGGUGACUGAUGACCGUUGGAUCUUUUUGAUCUGAGAGUGUGAGGAAUGGCUGUGUUAUGAGUGGAUUUACAGGGAGGGACUUAUAUAGCACAGCGAGCGCCUGAGUUUUGGAAGCUGGUGAAGUGAGGGAGGGUGGUGGCGGGACCCAACGGCUUUAUUAAUUUUGAUUUUAUUUAACUUAUUUAUUUUUAUUACCAUGUGAGCGACCAAUGAUUUUUAACAAGCUGUGGUAAUUUUUUGCACAGAGUCGUUAAUUUGACAUAAACGACAUAAUAAUAGUAGGUAGUUGUUUAAUUCGUCAUCUAGUCGGAUUAUUAUCAAGUUACAUGUUAAUAAUUUGUUAACAAAUCAUGUUGUUAUCGAAUUAACGGUUAAGAACAUGAUAAGAUAAUAUGUAUAACAUGAAAAUGAUCCAUUUGCUAGGUCUAGACAUUAGCAUGAUAAUUUUAUCAUGACACGUUAAACCAAUACGAAACGACAUGGCUUGUUAAGUAAUCGGAUUGUUAUUGUGUCGGCAGUUAACAACUGUUAAAAUAAUAAAUUUGAUACGAUAUAAUUUGUUAAGAUAACUAGAAAAUGCCUAGAAAAUAAUACAAAACAUGACAAAUAUGAUUCGUUUGUUAGGUCUAAUUUUCUAGGCAUUUCACGAAAAGUGACGUGUAAAUAGGCUAAAGAAAAUUAGUAAGUUACUUUCCACGUGGCGCGAUUGUGUUCGCAAAUUGUAUGAGGUACUGCACCGUCCAAUCACAUCAUCUACAGUUAAAUAGUGCUUCAGACUGCGUAUUUCAAUUGAUGAGAUGAGACAGAACAACGGGUCUAUCAUUUGAAUUUUGGUUUGUUUGACAAAUUGUUGUGCCUAACUCUUAUUAAUGCGUGGGCACGGUUCGGAAUGAAUCCGUUUGUUUCUCAACGUAAGCAAAUUAAUUGGCAGUGAAGUUAUGCAAUGCAAUUUGUUUUAGUUAUAACUAAAUUAAGAAGAGAUAAUAAUCAAAUCACGAUUGAGUCAUUUAAUCGAUUCGAUUUAUAUAUAGGUCGCGUUGCAUCAAAGCAAACUACUUAUAAUUUGGUUCGGUUCGUUUGAAAAUACUUUCUUAGUGCUAAAAUUGAAUCAAACGCGUGAAAUCGGUUUGAUUCAACUAGUUUUGUACCUACUCUUUAAGUUAGUUAUCCGUGAUCGAGCGAGUAACUCUUAAUUGUUUAUUGGGUUAUUAUCUGAAGCAAAAUUCAACAUCUACUAUCGUCUAUAGUUAAGUUUAUACGAUAAUGCUUGGCUCGUGCUUUUAAUUAAUCAAUUUUUAUGCUAACUGCUAGGUGGCAGCAGGUAAAGAAGCCUUCAAUCAUUUAUCAUCUGAUGUGUUUGAUUCUCUCCAUCCAUUUAAUUAUGUUAUUUUUAUUAUAUAUAAAUAAUAUGAUACCAACCCAUGAUUAAUUUUUUCUUCGUUCUGCAAAGGCUGCAAACACUCAAAGGAUAUGAACUGCUGUGUACAAAGACAACUCCUUUCGCUUAAACAACAAAUUAUCAAGGCUGUAAUGGGAUCAUGGAAUUAAAUAUGCUAUAAAAAUUAUGGUACCGCUCCACUAUCACAAUAUGUGGCCUCGCAGUUUUGCGAUGAUUUAUACGGUCGUUGUGUUGAUCUGUUGUGUCUAUUAUGUUUUUGUUAUAAAUUCGUACUUGUAAUAUUUUGUAUGGUAGGAUAGUGUUUGUGGUAGCCGUAUAGGGUUUACUGUUGUUUGUUUCAUUACACAAAUUUACUUCAGAUUAAUUUCUUGGUCACUAGAACUGAUGUCCUCGAUUGGCAACCUUUGUAAUUAUUUGUGAAGUUCAAUGAAAUACCAUUCUAUCGCUUCUUGUAAAAAAGAAAUUCUAAAAAAAUAAAUAAAAAGGCUUGCCAAUGCAUUAGUAAUGGAGUCUCAUAGUUUAGUUUUGUAGUAAUCGCAAUGACGUUUUUGGAUAAUGAAAAAUAAUGUUGCAUGUCGUUAUAUUUAAUCAUCUCCCAUUCUUUAUGGGAUAAUGUUUCCCCCAUUUUUUUGUGCCAUAAUUCAUAGGUUAUAUAUAUAUAGAAUUUGGAGGCAUCACAUGGGGUGGAGCUUUGAUGACCUAGCCCGACGGCCCGUCAUUUGAACGUUUCAAACUCAAAUACAUUUAGAAAUUGAAACGCGUAUGAUUGAUGUCGUUUGGACCACAUGCGCACCAUGGUAGUGGCUGGCUAGUCAGCUUCACAAGUGGGCUCUCAAAUUAGUACUGGAAAAUUUUCUUAUUUUUGCCAAAAGAAAAGAAAGACAUACUUUUUCUUAAAGCGUAUGGCUGAAAAAAGUUAUCUUAAUUAACAUACUAUGUAUUUUUGUUGUUGCCGAUGGGAUGCUCUAUAUCAUAUAGCUUGAAUUGCAUCGCGGAAGGUGUCGCGUGGGAGAUAAAGCUAUGCAAUGUCGCGUUAUUUAGUGAUUUUGUGUAAAUUAUUUGAGACUUCCAUGGCGUAAAAUAGUAAUAAACACACACACACACUAGACUUUACUCAUUAGAAUCAUCACUAUGCAAAAAUCCUUACCGUCUUUAUCACGUCUUUCAUUUUCCUUCUUCAAUUUGUUGCAAAGUAUCAUUAGUAGUAUGAACCUGGCUUCUCUGCCCUCCCACUUUCCAUACACUUCCAUCUAUUUCUAUUUGUACGGUCACGGUUAAGGCACGUCAAUAUUUUAUAUUACUAUUGUUUUUUAUCUUAUUAUCUGUAUAAAAAAAAAUCAAUAUAAAAUAUUGACGUAGCUUAACCGUGACCGCACAAAAUAGGGGGGAUGGGAGUGUAUGGGAAGUGGGAGGGCAGAGAAGCCGGGUCCUAGUAGUAUAGUCAUUUUCAGUGAAUGGAAGAAUGUAGUGAUCGAUGUCAGCUAAAGGAACAUCAAACAAAUUUCGUGUGGGGUAUUCCAAUAUCGCGUAAAAAUUGACCUUUUUUAAACUAUCGUGGUAUUUUGCGUUAAAUCGUAAAAUCUCUUCCGUGACGCGAUAUUUCGCGCUAGAUUGCAAUAUCGAGUGUUUUUUUUUAAACUAUGCUCUAAACUACUUCAUUUCACGAGAAUUGAUUAAUUAAUCUAAUUCAUAUUUGAUGUGAAAUUACUAAAUUGUCAUGCUUAACCUCGCUACGUAGUUGUAAAAAAAUUGAUAUAUUUAUCUUCAAAUGAAGACUAUGUAGGAUGGAUAACAAUGACACAAGAGACAAUUAUUCUUUAAUCAGAAACAUAAAUAAUAUAAUCAAAUGGCUCAAAAUCUUUUAACACAUGUUGACAAAUCGCUGAUUACAUAUUUUGAUUCUUAAAUCAUGAUUAGGUAGCUGCAGCCGCCCGUUGGAUUAGGGCCACUACUUUGCUUCUUGCUGAUUUGGCAGCACAUGGUGUUUUCUGGAGUAAGCUUGACCAGCUACUCUAUGCAAACAAAUGAAUACAAACGACAUUAGAGAAAGAAGAACCGAACACAGAACUUAAGGUCAGUGGCGAAGACAGAAAAUCAAAUUACAACGAUCUUUAGGCUAUAGAAAGAAAUUAGUUUUUGAAGUAUAAUUUUUUUUUUGUACUCGUAUGGAAAAUUUUGAUCAAACAAGAAUGGUGGAGCUUUAAAUUUUGUAUGAAAAAUUUAGUACUGAAAUGAUUAGAUCGUAAGAGACAAAUUUAGUAUUGAAAUGAUUAGAUCGUAAGAACAAAACUUGUUUAUAGAUGUUGAUAAAAUAAAAAAAAAACACAUUCGAACAAAAGUUUAAGAUGAUGACUUUAAAAUUUGAUAUUGCUCUAGACUGUAUAUGCCUUUGUUUUAUAUUGACGGGCCAAAAAUAAGGCAAAUUAUAAGGGGUUUUUUUUCCUUUCAAUUUAAAAAAAAAAAAAAAUCUAGAAAGUGUUGGAAAGUGUUGGAAGACUAGAGAGUCCCGAGGCUAGAUGGAGUUGCAAAACCCCACUAACCAAUAAACCACAUUUUUGUAAAAGCAUGUUGAGAGUACAUACAAAAGGUUAAAAUUUCAAGAGAGGUCUGGAUUAAUAGCAUUGGUCUCCAUGUGGUUCUGUCACUGCUUAAGAUGUUGAUGUAUUGAUUAACGUCCAUAGCUAAUUGAGUGAUGUUGAAAAUUUUCAUAUAAUGAGAAUUCAUCUACGAUAAUAUCUCAAAUCACUAAUAAAUAUCGUGUAAAAAAUUUAAACACGUAAUAAUAUACCAUUGAUUAUGACCAUAACAUCUGCUUUAGAUAAAAAUAUAAUAAUUAUAAAACUGCUGCAACCAAAAAGGUCAGAUGUUCUAUCAUAUUCACUUCAUGACACAAAAGAUGGAAACAAGUGAUUGGGUAAUUAGCAUGCGACUCAAAAAGAUAUAUAAAAAAGAAAAGAUUACUUAUUAUGACAGAUCUUGAAACUUAAUUAGACUUUGGUUGCAAGCAACAGACUAAUGAAUAUCCUUUGUGGCAGACAUUAUAAUCAAAGCAUGCAAUCAUAAUUAAUCUCAGGUAAACUACAAAUAAUGAGACUUAGUUGGUCAUGUUGGGAUAUUUUCGAUACAAACUUUAGUCUGCCCUCACUCCUACAAAAUUUACAUUUUUAUACUAUUGUUUGGACCUGAUAUUAUGUCUUCGGCCUGUGUAAUCAAGGUCAUUGGAUAAAUAGAGUUCUAGACCGUUGAAUGUGAGAGAUGCUAGUUAUUGUUGGGGAUAUUUGAUCAUAAUAAUUGUCUCUUAAUAACGUAUUGAAUUAUCUUUGCACUUUCUUGUUGUUUGGGAUUGAAAUAACGGUAAAAAAUGAGUUAACCCAAUUUGAAAAGCCAUGAAACUCGGCCCAAUAAUAAUUCCUCUAGCCAAUGGGCUUUCAGCCCAAAAGAGGAUUGAUUUGACAGAGUUCUUAUGGAAGUAGGAUUGUGAAAGGAUUAAGUUUAGACGUGGCUCGGUCGAGGUGAACUGAAUUUGCCAAGGAUGAGAAAGAGCUCUAUUUAGAUGUGAAUAAUUCUAAAGAUCAAAAUUCAUUCUUCGUCCGCCCAAUCUCAGUUAUCAGUUAGUACGCCCGCAUUUACAAAAAGAAUGUAGUUAGCUCAUAGUUACUCAGCCUGCGCCACGUAAACUUUGUAAUUCUUAAAGUCAAAAAACUAUAGGGCAAUGUUAUUGAUAGUUCAAAAAUCUCAUUCUAUACUCCUCAAAAGUGUAUUUUUAUUUCCAAAUAUAGAAAGUAAGGAGUGUAGAAUGUGAAUUUUGGAGUGCUAAUAACAAUUUCCAAACUAUAUAUUAAGUAAUUAGCUAGGCAUUCGGAUCUUGGAUUCCCUCUAACAAGCAAGAAAUAAUAUAACUACAUAAGCGCGAGCCAGAAACACAAAAAUAAACCAAUCACAUAUACUUAACCAACACAAUAAUUUACUAGUUUACUUAAUAUGAGCUAUCUAUCUCCCUGAGUUGCUAUCAUAUGCAUAUUUUCACGGAGUUAAAUUACAAUUUAGAAGUGUUCAAGUAUCUUCCUCACAUGUAAGUAGUCUUUACUACAAUGGUGGAAAGAUGUUAAACUCUUGCAUGAUGGCUUGAGUUUGAACCCUAUCAGUGACUAACCUUACAUCUAACGUAAAAAAAUCGAUCAUUUGACGGGAAAAAAAAUAAAUAAAAAAAUCUUCCUCACUCACUCGUAAUCGCUCGUAAAUAGGGUUCACAGAUCAUGAAUCAUAUGACUAGUAGAAAACCAAAACACUGCAACUUUCAUGCAGUCCUCGCUCCAGUCACUCAACGGGAGCUUUCAAUCUUUCCAUAAGAUCCGACCGCUCACCUACACUACACCGACCCGUUAUUCCUCAACAUAUAACUAAACAUGCAUCAACUAAAUCAUUCAUUGAUUUCUUAUACAACUCUAAAAAUGUAUAGGCAAUCUAACAUAUAUUAUCAUGUGUCUAUCUCUCUUUUUCUGCACUGUAUAAAGUCGCUCUCCUAGCUAGGUUCUUAAAAUGGACGUGCACCGUCAAGUUUACUAUUUUAUGGGCCUCCUUUGGCAUUUCCUGUCUAAUCAUAUCGAACUAUUAGGGUUUAUUUACGAUGUCCUGUAUCGACCUAUCGGUCUGGAUCUGGUUGAUGUACAUUGCAUUUAAUUUGUAAAUUUAAUUUUUUCUUUCUUUUUUCAAGUGGGUUAUUCUUAUCAUUUAUUUAUGUCACUUCUCUAAGGCUUUUUAUAUUAGCAUCCCACAAAAUGUUGAAUGCACCCCACAUUAAAACAUAAUAUUAAUGACUUAUUUACUCUAUUAUGUAAUGACAAUUUUGACCUUAUUAGGUUUAAAAAAUAAUAAUAAUAUUAACUUUUAACGUAUUAUUUAUCUCAUUCAACUAUCAAAACUCCUCACACCCUCCAUUGUUGAAUAAAACUCUAAGCAAUGAAACUACAAACAUGUUGAUUAAGAAAAAUUAUUUUUGACGAAUGGAACACGAAAUUGAUGUUUUGAAAACUUUGAAAUCAUUAUUAUUGUUAUUGAUAAACAUUCAAAUGAACCUAAACAUUUUUUCAAAUCAUUCAAUUUCAAAUCAUUCGACAAACUAAAGUUUAGAUGGUUUGAAAUCAUUCGGCAAAAUUAAAAAUGAUUGUUAUAAGAUUUGAGAAAUGUGGGGUGUAUAAAAAAUGUGAGGUGUGUAUAGAAAAUGUAAGGUGUAUAUUAAGAAUGUGGGGUGUGAGGGUAUUAUGGGAAAGGAGGUGGGGUGUAUUAAGUAUGUGGGGUUUAUUCAACAAUUUAUGAGAUGCUAAUAUAAUAAGCCUUUCUCUAAUAGUGAUAGAGUCUACCAACGCAUGUGGAUCUAAUCUUUAUUAUAAAAAAAUAAAAAAAAAGAUAGUAAAAAUACAAUUUUUUUUUUCCUUCUCAUGACGAAACCACCAAUUCAAGAGAAAUGUUGUCCAAUAUUUGGGAAGCAAUAAUGCUAUUUAAGUAAGGACCGACUUUCACCGCCCAUUGCAUCAUUCUUCCUCCCUUGUCUUUGACUCGUUGUAAUGCGCAUGGAAUUCAUGUUUUUCAAUUCAAUUAUUGACCACUGACCGACUCCACUCUGGCCACUAGCGCGUACCCAUUCACGUUCAGUCCAUCGACAUGUCGCAUGACGCAAGAUAUUUGAAUAAAAUGUCUGUACGAAGCUGAGGAAUGAAUGAGUAGGAAGUUUAAAGUAAUUGAUCGAGUAACGUGGUUUGCGGACUUCAUCUUUACCAACUAAAAUAUACCGACACUAAAUGUUUCGUUUUUCCAACAAGAAGUGGUAACGGUAUUUCAUUGAUCGUCGCUCAUAAAUACAAGGGUGCCAAUUGUGUGCCCUGCUCCCUAAACCAUUGAAUAUGUUAGUGAUGCUGAACAAUGUGGCGUGUGAAUUUCAACUUUUCGGACGGAAUUAACAAUUACAGGCAGCGUUUUGGGCUAAAGAAGCCGGUAGGCCCAGUUAACUGUGUGGACCAAGGUCUGAGAUUGAAAUCGGUCUGUCACUAUUUGGACUAUGAUCCAUGACUUUGAGUCCUUCAUUGGAUGAGGCCUUCGUAAUAUUUUUGUUUUAUGACCGAUAUGAUAAUUUACAUUAGAUUUAUCUUGUUAUGAGGAGAGAAAUUUCAACACGAGAUCUUAGAUAUAAGGACAAAUGCUCUUAACCAAUAAAUCGUACUACUAAUUGGUUAUACAUGUAUAAUUUUACGAAAUACCAAACAUGUGACGAAGUGAAUACUCUUUCUUUAUGUCUCUCCUAGGAUACGAUCCUCUUCGGAUCCCAUCCUUCUAGAUCCUGGACCUUACCCGCCCAGCUGAAUUCCUCCUAAUUUGAGGUAAUUUAUUCACCACUUGUCUCAUUGACGGUUUCACUUCAUUGCCCAAUGCAUAUUUCAGUUAAUCUAUGAGUUUUUACCUUGUCGAAAUGCGCAAUUUCAGUAUGACGAGCUAAAGUACAUCGUCAACGACUACUACAAUAUUGCCAACUUCGACGAUACCAAUGCUUUUACUGGUAACCAGCUCCGGAAAAGGCACGACGCCAACUCGGACUUUGAAGAAUAAGGAUAUGAAGGAUUCAGAUGAAUGAAAUCUAAAGAGAAUCCCAACACAAAAAUAUCUUGUCUCUCUCAUCGAAUAGUAGUAUAUGUUUGGUUAAGGCUUUGUUCUUUCUUUUUUAAUUCCCCUCCUGACAGGACCUUAUAAUUCAAGAGGUAGAUUGUCUGCCCUCAUGUUUGGGUGCUCUUUCCAUCCCCUUCUAUUUUAUGCUGUCACGGUUAAGUUACGUUAACAUUUUAUAUUAAUUUUUUUUAUAGAGAUAAUAAGACAAAAGACAAUAAGAAUAUAAAAUGUUAACAUAGCUUAACUGUAACGUACAAAUAAAAGAAGAUGAGAAUGGUAUCCAACAAUAGUGGAAAUUCUUGGAAUUGACAUUUGCGAUGCUCAUUCUUGUGCAAUCUGAAAAUCCAGUAGCGUCAUCUGGGUUUUUUCAACAUUUAGACUAAUAUGCACACAAACAUUGACUUUCCAAUCGGAAAAGUUAAGCGUAAAUAUUUAAGUUAAUUAUGACAUUUGAUCUCAUCUUAAAAUCGUUAAAUUUCUGAUCUAAAAUAUAAAUAUUUAAGUUAAUUAUGACAUUUGAUCUCAUCUUAAAAUCGUUAAAUUUCCGAUCUAAAAUAUUGACAUGUAACUUGUGUUUGGAGUUAUUUUUGACAUUUUAUUUUAUUUUUAUUUAAUUGUUUGCGAUGGGCAAUAACGUAGGAACAACAAUAUAAGUUUAAUAUUUAUUAUUAUUUUAGAGGACAACUAUAUUUCAAGAACAUGUGAAGAUAAACUGGAUCAGAAUUAUGUCAUGUCGCUACACUAAGUUUGAUUUUUUGUUUAAGAAUAAAAAAUAUUAUCUAAUUGCCUAAUCAUUAUCAUUUUUUAGUUUGUAGAAACCCUAGAUUUUUUUGCUUUGUGCAAGACAAAUUUUUAGAAAGCGAUUGGAGAGUUGAAAUGUCCCAAAUAUCUCUAAAUAGUCAAUACUAGUUAUGUGUAAGGCACACAACUUUUUCUUUUUAAAGAAAAAUCUAACAAAAUUAGAAACAUAUGAUAAAAUAAUUUCAAAAAUUUGACACCAUAAAUCGCUUGAAGUUUUAGUUGAUAUAUGAUAUUGUUACAGAAGACAUGUAGAACAUGUGAUAUUGACACGAAACGACGUCGUCAGGCGCAUUGAAAAACUGGCAAAGGGAAGCGUCCGUUUUGACUACCGGGCAAAAUAAAAAAAAAUCCUUUUCUCUCUUUCAAACAUGGCGUGCUAUUUUUCCAUUACCAACGAUAAAUUUGACAAAAAUCCGCUACGUCAACGUCAUCGACGUCGUACACGUUCGCUCACACCAAUCUUUCCGUCCACCCGUUCACACCCUAACCAAACCUCCUCCCCCCAGUCACAGGAGAUCCCAAGCGACAACUUAACUCCUCAUCAGCCACCUCCGAUCUGAGAACUAAACGUGAGUGCGGCCGUUGCUUACAGCGUCGACGAUAAUAUCAAAGGCUCCAGCUGACCCGUCACAAUACCCAAUCUCAUCUCAGCCAUCCAUUACUUCUCGUCUUAUUAUUACACCAGCGCCACACCGUAUCAAUUUCUCUCUCUCUCUCUCUAUCUCUCUCUCUCUCUGUGCCGGCGAGGACGAAUGCGAAGUGGGGGAAGACCUCGCGACGGCUGAGUUUCUGACUUGUAACUCGUUCGGACUCGGACGCAUCGGCGCGGGCCUUGGCGCGCGAGGUUUGUUGCGACGGCAAAGGUGGCAAAAACCACGGCGGCCAUGAGAGGGAACGUGUGGAACCGUCGGACGGUACAGAGGCUGCGGCAGUUGCUGAUCUCGACCGUUGGAUCGAUGAAGGUGAAGCUUCUGCUGUGCUGUUGCAUCGGAUUCACGCUCAUCGUGCUCGCCAGUCGAGCUUCGGAUUUCAUGGGAUGGACGAGUCACACUGCGGCUCUGGAACGGUUCUCGGAUUCCCGGUUCGUACGGUUGCUUAGAUUUUUUUCCAAAAACUCUACAUAUCCGUAUUAUUCGCUAAUUAUUUAAUUAGGCAAACUUCCACUUGCACAUAACUGUUAAUCAUUAUAUUUUUAGUAAAUAAUUAAGAUCGUUGUUUAUACUUUGAUGUUCUACUUUCUGCUAAUAUCUAUAUUUAGAAGGACUGAUUCCAAAGAUUGAUUAGAGGGAAGAAAACGGCUUGGUAGUCUGCAACAAUUUCGUUUUUUCGAAUAUGAGUGUUUGAUGCUCUGUUUAUACCGGUAUUGUUCGGGUCUGUUAUGAGUUGUGGUGCAUAUUAUGAAUUAUGGAUGUUGUAGCAGGCAUGAUUCCGAUGGAAACGGAACAUUAGCUAUUCGAAGAUUUGGUCACUUUUCUGCUGGUUUUUUAGCCAGAAUGGUCGCUGAGAUUGACAUAACUCCUCACUUUGGUAUUUGAUAUUGAAAAUCGAUAGAAGUGGUCUUGAGUAUGAUUGACGGUGGACAAACCCAGGACAACUUGUAUCGAUUUUCAAUGUUAGGGACCAAAGUGAGGAGUUAUGUCAAUCUUUUUGGCUAAAAAACCCUGCUUCAACUCAUUUUCCGAAUUGGAUAAGAUUGGGAAGAUUAAGCUAGCUUUGUGUUGUUCUCAUUUGCUUCUUUAAAGAGCACACUCCUAGAAAAUUUUCAAUUGGCUUAUUGUUGAUUGUAUCAUAGUAGAGAGAUACUGUUCAUUAAGCAUCCAUGCUGAAAUUUGCAAUUUGUAUGCAGGAAAGGAUACUCUAUUGUAAUGAACACAUGGAAGAGAUAUGAUCUUCUGAAGCAGUCUAUUUCUCACUAUUCUAGAUGUCCUCGGCUUGAUUCAAUACAUAUUGUGUGGAGUGAGCCAAGUCCUCCGUCAGAUUCUCUCAGAAAAUUUCUGGACCACAUUGUACAUCUGAACACUAGAGAUGGGCGACAAGUUGAAUUGAAAUACGAUAUCAAUAAGGAAGACAGUUUGAACAACAGAUUUAAAGAAAUUAAGGAUUUGAGAACAGAUGCCCUUUUUUCAAUCGAUGAUGAUGUUAUAUUCCCUUGUUCUUCAGUGGAAUUUGCUUUCGAUGUUUGGCAAAGUGCAUCGGAUACAAUGGUUGGCUUUGUGCCUCGUAUGCACUGGAUUGAUCCGGUAUGCCUCAAUAUAUACAUUUUCUUGUUAUUUAGAGAGAGUAUUAUCCAACAUUCUUGCUGUCUUCUCUAUAUCUUAAGCUUCUAUGCUGGAAAAUUCGUAUAAAUUUCUGUUUGAGGUAGAAAGUUGGUUUUGAUCUAUUUGAGCUCGAAACUAGGUAUUGUUCUUUACUUUUUAGGCUAGCCAACGUUUACUGAAGAAACACCGUUUCUUAUUAACAAUUUUGCAAACUCUGUAUGGCACACUUGGUCAGCUGUCUUACCAAAUAUAUGCUCACUGUGCAGAAAGGUGAUAAGAAUCACUACAUAUACGGUGGAUGGUGGUCGGUUUGGUGGACAGGUACAUACAGUAUGGUACUGUCUAAGGCAGCCUUCUUCCACAAAAAGUACCUAAGUUUGUACACAAAUGAAAUGCCAGCAUCAAUCAAAGAGUUUAUAACCAAAAACAGGUUUGCACUUUUGCUUUGUUCAUCUGUUUCUUUCUUUUCGAAUGCUUUCAUCUUAUGAGCUCUCUUUGCGGGUGUGCCGGUGUGCAGUGCGUGUGUUUAGCAAAAGUUUUUUCUUAAAUAUGGGGUUUGAUUUCACCAGGAACUGUGAAGACAUUGCAAUGUCCUUUCUUGUAGCAAAUGCAACUGGUGCUCCCCCUAUAUGGGUGAAAGGUAAUCAUAUAUCCUCUGCAAUGAAAUUGUGUUCGUUUUGGCUUUUGAAAACUUGGACAGGAUGUUUCUGCAUAUUGUAUUUUCACUUGUUGCAUAUCAGAAAGCGCUUUUGCAGUACCUUUGUCCGUUCACCGUUCAUUUUUCAUUUCUAUUGUGGUAUUUUCUUUCCUGAUUGCUUAUGUCUCGCUACGCAUUACUGUACUUUUCAUUCAGGUAAAAUAUUCGAGAUUGGUUCAACUGGCAUCAGUACCUUAGGAGGUCAUACUGAAAAAAGAACCAACUGCGUCGAUAGGUUUGUUGCCGGGUUUGGACGGAUGCCAUUGGUACCCACUUCCGUGAAGGCCGUUGACAGCCGCAACAUCUGGUUUUGGUGAUUCCACAGCACGCUUACAUAUUCCUCGAUCAAAUCCUCGAACAACAAGAAUUUCCACACUUUCAACCGGUUCUUCUUUGUCCCUCAGAUGUAUAAUAUUGAAUUCUACGAAAUGUAUGCGUUUUUGUAACAGCAGCCAGUUUAGUGCGCUCAUGUAGAUUGAUAAUUCUUGUAUUCUUACCGUGUAACACAAGGCAGGCAGUCGCUAUAUGGGUAAUGAGAUAGGUCUUUCCGUGGAAAUCUUCUUACCAUUUCGGCCGAACGGUUGCGAAAUCGUAUCUUCUUAUACAAAAACUUCAUCCAAACUCAGCGUCAGAUCAUUCUUAUUGCGAUCAAACUGGAUAACAAAACUGAGAGAUUUCCAUCAACUGAUGGGUUGCAUGUAUUUAUAAUAAUUUUGAGAUUACAUCAGGGGUUUAUCAACCCUAUUUAGACGGCAACAUUUGAAUUUGAACGAUACAACAUCUGUGAAAUCAAACUUUCAAACAUUGAAAAAUAUGCUAGACCUAUCAGAAUUAUCCUUGGAUAAGGACUGCAUUCCUGAAUAACAGACUUCAGAGUUUAAACAUGAGCUGGAUUCUUGAUAACUCUGACUUGGUCUAACAUACCCGUCAUAAUUUGUCAAUUAGUUUUAUGGUGAAACCUCAAUUUCAUCAGUUACCCUAGGAUGUACUGAGAGGGAAGCAAGUAUCUUCGGCGCCAGUGCUCCAGAGGAAAUUGGCAUAUCUGGAGGCGUAAUAGGGAUUGUCUGGCUCCUCUGCCACUGCUUGCUGGUAUCUCUCUUCUGCACCCCACAGGUCUUUCCUUACUAUCCACAAGAAGUCCGCGUACCGGAUCAAAGCCUCAGCGUCUGGUUUCUCCCCUUGCACGGCACGCCUGAAGCACUCCUCGGCCCUGCAAACGCAAACAUAGAUCACACAACACAGGUCAAACAAAAUUACACGACAAUUUGAGUCCUAUCGUAUGAAAAGCAAAGAAACAAUUUGAUCCUAACCGAAAAUCCAACUCCGGUAGAGGUCUCGAUGCUACAAAAUCAUCACAAUUACAUCAUGCUUAGCUGCUCAAAUUCGAAACCAAAUCAUUUACAUAGAAAUGUCGCUUGAAGCAUCGAAAAACCUAACCAAAUCUAGUCGUUUCCCAAUGAUUUUCGGUCAAGUUAGAUUAUGCAAAAUAGUAAGCAUAUUGAAGCAGAUAGUUUGAUAAAUGAUGCUCACCUAUCGUGAUCGCGAGCCACGACAUGGAGGAAUUGUGCAUAGUUUGAGAGCAGAAGUGCAUUCUGAGGAUCCUGAGCUAAACCCAUCUGGUACAAAAGGUCAGUCCUAAAGUAGUGCUCAUGAUAAUCCGGUUCGAUAUUCACAGUUAUCGGUGACACGAAUUGCUGCACCGUUGCGUGAUCAAGAGCCUCAUCCCUCAUUUCUGACUGCCUUCUCGAAGCUUCCUCCAUCACAGAGUUCCACAACUUCACAUCCUCCUCUGCAGUGAACUCCUUAUCAUUGAACAAGGAGACACCAUACAUCUUCUCAAGAUCAACAAUGGCAUGCCUGAUUGAACUUUCCGAGGUCACAUUGUCAAGAAAAUCGGCCUUACUGCCCUCAUUCGAGGUCUUUUUCACAACCCUAGUAGAAUCGUUAUCGGAAAUAUAAUCGGGUUUCGAGUAGGGUUGUUCCUCUGUCUCAGUCUCGGUCAAAGUCUCGGCCAUAACAGGCAGAGGUGCUGCAGCAACAACAUUGCAAUUCAUCGAAUACACACUGAAAUUCGCCAGCAAGAUCAUCACGUAAACCAUCAAAGUCGGCGACCCCGAAAACACCUGCUGGAACAACCAUACAAAUGACAUGCUCAUCUCUCUCUUCUGCACCGUCGCUAUCACCUCCUGCAAAUCUUCAGAGUACAAACUUUCCCUUAUACUCAAAGCGUGGCUAUGGAGCUCAUGGAUUAUAAACACCAUGGAAGAGAAUGCCUUGUUCAGGGAGCAAGAAGUAAUCUCCCCUGCUCCUCCUUUAGGACCCUCUUCCCUUUGCUGCCGCUGCUUCUUCUUGAUUAGCCGGAGCGAAACCGGAAACUCGAGGCUGUUGGCCUUUCUUUCCAUGGCGGUUCUGACGAUUUCGCUUCUCUCCGGCCAGUCCGGCGGCUCCGGAUGAAUCCCGAGCAGAGAGGGUUCCAACGCACUGAACUUGAAGCUUGAAAACCGCGUCGAAAAGCCGCCGCCUUUGCUGUUUUCGCCUUCUGGGUAAGUCAAAAUCGGAGAGAUAUUCGAGGUCUUCGACGCCACAAAAGCCGGUUCCUCGACGUUCUCGUCACCGUCCUCGGAAAGAUUGAACCUUUGCGCCAAUCCCUCAAUCUGGUUCGACAAUUCUUCGUACGAGAAAUCAUCAAACUUUGAUCUGCAAGACUGGUUCGAAGUACGUCGACGUUUCAAAUCACCCGACCCGGAAGAGUUUAACCAACGAACGAACCCGCAACCCAGAGCUCCACUGCUUCUUCCACAUGGUUUUGUCACAGAAGGGAAAGAAACCGAAACCCACGACGCUUUCGACGAAGAAGAAGAAACUGGUGCUGAAAUCUGCAUCGUGCUCUGCCAGCUCUUAGAACAGGGUACGAUUCUGGAACCCAUAUCUCGAAAUCAACGAUCAGAAUUUGGAGAAGACGAUUGAGAAAUAUGAAAUACGGACAGGCCCAAAGCCGAAAAUUGCAAGGAAGAAGACGAGUGGGAAAAUGGAGAAAAAGCAGUUCAGUUCACACUGAUAAAGUGACAUGGGAACUCCCGUGUGCAACAAAAAGUGUAGCUGCUGGAGAUAUUUUUAAGAUAAUUUUUUUUUUUUUUGGAUUUUUUUGGAUCCUCCAAGAAGUGUCUAACUGGGUUCUAGAAGCCUCUUGAUGAAUAAGUUGCUUUUGCUUAGUAUCCAACCUGACAAAAACGCAUAAACACAUUCUAAAUUUCUAAUCAUGUUAAAAAAAUUCAAAACCUUUGAAAUCCAAAAUCGAUAAGGAUUUGGAUAUUAGCAUAUAACUCUUCACUGUUCAGUGAUAUUUAAAAUAUGAUACAUUUGGUCUCUGAAUCUGUUCAACGUCGAUUAUUUUGGUCAUUCCGUGAAAAUCUCUGUUAAAUAAGGAGAAAAUGGCAAAAAAAUUUCACGAAAAAACCAAAAUGAUUGAUGGUCGACGAAUUCUGAUACCACUUCUAUCGAUUUCAAAUUUUAGGAACAAGGUGAGUAAUUAUGCCAGUCUCAUGAACUAUUUUGGCUAAAAUUCCAAAUAUAAAUUACCGAACAAAAACAAAAGAUGUGCAGAAAAAAAGGAUGCAGUUGCAAAAAAAUUUGUUGUAUGAUAGAGAAAUAAUUUUCGCACUCAGAUUUCGACAUUAUGCACUUGUCUUGCUCUUUCUACUUAAAUAUAUCAAACGGAAAUCAACGGAAAUGAAUGUGAAUAUCACACAAUCCACGACCUCAAAUUAUUGAAAAAGAAAAUCCGAAGAAAAAUUUGGAAAACAAGGAAUGAAAAAAACAAUGUGUGAGAUGAAGAGAACAUUACAUGAUGGGAGACGAUUAUUUGGAGAUCAUUUCAUGAUUUCUCUAAACCAUUGGAGCCAUCGAGGAGCAGACAACCUCACCUUCAAAUUUGUACUUGUAUUUUCCUUCUUUUCUUUUCUUUCUGUUGGAAUUGACAGAGAGACCCAAAAAUUUUGUUGAGAAAAAAUGGGCAAAAGAUGGGAAGAACCAGAAUAGGUUACAACUUUUUCAGGUUCUUUGUUUGUUGGCCGUAGAAAGGUAUCACACUUACGUGGACAAUUCCUAUUGGUUCAUUUCGAUGAUCAAUUACUUUAAGAUUUUUUUCCCUUACCACCGUAUUUAUCAUGUUUGAUGAGUUUAAAUUUCGAGAUUUAUACAGUUGAUAAAUACAAAUUUUAAAAUUUAAACUCAUAUAUUAGUGAUAAAUAAAGGGGUGUGAAUUACAACUACUUAAAGAUGAUCAGCAAAAAUAUGCUCACUACUUUAUAUAAAUAAGUUCGUAAAUAAUUUUUUCGAAAAAAUAAGUUCUUAAAGUUUUUAGUGAGUGUAACCUGAGACUUGUGGUUUCAAUACAAAUAUUAUUCGUCAUCGUCAUUCGAGCUGAACUUGAAUUCUUUCUGUCACAUUGAGAUAAAUUUAGUGAAUUUAAUAACUUUGUGUAUUGAAAAAUAGUUUAGGAAUUAAAUUUUAAGUUAAUUAAAUAAAAAGAAAACUAAUAAAAAGAACUUGAAAAUUUUGAAUUUUAACGAAAAGAACAAAAUAAAUAGUAAAGUGAAUAGUAUCAGGAUUAACUUUUUAUUUUUUAGUGUAAAAAUAUGAUUUUUCGUUAAAGUAAACAGUACUGAAAGUUUUUCGUUAAAAUCAUCUUAAAUGAAUUAGUUUAUAAAAAUAAAUAAAAAUCCAAAAUUUACAAGUUUGCCAGAAAACAAAGGGAUUAUCUUUUCCGUGUAUAAUGAUUGCAGUCGGUAAGUUUCUUUUGAUAGAAAAAGGUUACAAAUUUGUGGAGUAUGUCGUCACAGUACCGAGUCACAUGCUAGGAGUCAGGACCAUGUUUUUCUCCAGAUGCAGCUGCAGUUGUCGAUGCUACCGACUCAACUACACACGUCUCACCACGAUACGUGGACAUCUGUUGCUGUGCGGUUGGCUCCAACAAAUUGUUUGCACCGCAGAAGUAAAAAGAAAACCAAAUUCAAAACCUAAAAGAAGAAAAUCAUGAAACUCUUGGAUUGGAAAUUGCAACCCAAAUGUACAAAGGAAUGGCAAUAUCUUGAUAGGUUGGCUUGUAAAAAAAAUGGUCAAUAGACCUAAACUGAUAAGAAAAACACAUUGGAAAAAUCUUAACAAUCAAUGAGAAAAACACCUUGGAUUAAUCUAAUUUUUGUGCGUGUGUGUUCAAAUUGUUCCCAGUAAAAAAAUAAGCCCAAAACCCACUCGGUAAAUAUAGACAAUGAUGUUCCUUAUCUUUGUAAGCAAUAACAUAAAAGAGGUAACGACAAAAGGAGCAGGCGGUCGACGUGUGGGAUCCCAGCCUGGAAUUUCCAGGGUUGCGUCAUGCGUGAGCAAAAUUCCCAUAUUUUAUAUUUUCCCAAGCUCAAGCUCAGCCGCCCCAUUGACCAAAAACAAAAAAGGCUCAGCCGCCUCAGCAUUAUUCACCAAUAAGUUCACAGGUCACAAGCUACGAUUGUGGAUCCAAAAAUGGAGCAAAGCAAAGGCAGGAGAGUCAUCCUCUUCCCACUGCCCUUCCAAGGGCACAUAAACCCUACGCUAGAACUGGCCAACAUUCUGCAUUCCAAAGGCUUCUCCAUAGCCAUCAUCUACACCAACUUCAACUCCCUCAAUCCUUCAACCCUAAAUCCACACUUCACCUACCAUUCAAUCCCUGUUGACUUGACAGAAAACGAAAACUCCAUCAAGGAUCCCACCCUUCAUCUUUCUAUUCUAAAUGCUAAAUGUGUUGAGCCUUUCAGAGAAUGCUUGGCCGGGUUGUUAUCCGACGAUGUUAAUUCGG